rnacentral:lncRNA from 1 species
CCCUAUGACCUUGGUAGCCUCCAGUCUCUUGAGACAUUGGAAAUAUAUACAUGUGGAAAUCUGAAAUCAAUUUCAUAUCAAAGUGGACAAAAAGGCCUCCUUUCCCUUCAGAAGUUGGAAAUUCGUAAUUGCCAUGAGUUGAGCAACCUGCCAAAUGAAAUGCUAGAGUAUAGUAAGUCUCUACAACAUCUAUCUAUACGUGAAUGCCCAAAUCUCACUAUGCUUCCUGAAUUGAGUCGGAUGGGAUCUCUACAGAAUCUAAAGGUGGCGAAAUGCCCCAAUCUCACUUCAUUUCCUGAAUUGAGUGGGAAUGGAUGCCUUAACAGUUUAAUAGAAUUGCGGAUUGGGAAAUUCUCGAAUUCAAUCCAGUUCAAUGCAUUUCAAGAUUUUCUCGAUGGUAUCAAGCACAUAAAAUCUCUUGAGAAAUUAUACUUACAAGGUCAAGCGGAUUGGGUCUCUCUACCGGUUCAGCUUCAACAUAAUACUUUACUAAAAGAUUUGACAAUAUGUGAUUUUGGAAUGGAAGAAUUGCCCGAUUGGUUUGGGAAUUUGUCAUCUCUUGAAGUAUUGAAACUAAAGUUUUGUGAAAACCUCAGGCAUCUAGCCUCUAAAGAAGCUAUGCAACGACUCACCAAAUUAAAACUAUUAAAUAUUCAGUCAUGUCCGUUGUUGAGAAAGAGAUGCACGAAAGAAAGCGGUCCUGAUUCUGAGUGGCCAAAGAUUUCUCAUGUUCAUGUGGAAUUUUCGAAGAUUAGUGCGUUUGAUGUUUCUGUAAGUAUAUUUAAGGUUUGAAUAUUGAAUUUACUGUUCAUUAAUUUUGGUUAAUAUAUGUUUGGAAUAUUACUACAAGGGUAGGUUUAAUUACAAGGAUUUCUCGAUUAAAUGUUUACCUAAAUAUUUGGUUAAAUGACUUUAUUUUUCAAUUAAUUAUAUUAUCCUUUUUUUUAAAACUUUUAAGUUAACUAGUGUGCUAACAUAGUUACAGUUAUGAAUUGCUUCGGGUGCCUUAUGGAUUUUGUAUAAAUUUUAUUAGGUUUUGUUGAAGAAGAGCAUCCACCCAACAACAACUUGAUACUCAUUUAUUGUCCCAACAAUUCCUGAUUCUAUUUGGAUCUUCAGCAACUUUACUUUUGUAAGUGUUCUUAUCAUUACAUAAAUAUUAGCAUGAUUUAAAUGAUCUUCAGAGUACACAAAAAGAAAGAAUUGUAAGAUAAAAACAAACAAUUUAUAAUGUCAUUGUAACUUCAACUUAAUUAUUUCAGGUAUUAGACUCGUCACAUAUUCGAGAUGAAAGUAUAGAUGAGGAUUUCAGAGGUUAUUGACAUUGGUCUUUCUGUAAGUAUAUUUCAACUUUGAGUAUUUUACAUUCAUUUUGAUUAAUUACAAUGUCGGUUUAAUUAGUUAUUGUUACCAGUAGAUAAAGAGCCUAUCGAGAUUGUUCCGUGAUUUUGUGGAACAAAGAUUUUUGGGUUAAAUGAUUUCUGUAAGUAUCAUUAAGUUAAAUGACCUUUUUUUCUUUUUUUUUAUUGCAUUAAUACUGUUUAUAUAUAUAUAUAUAUNNNNNNNNNNNNNNNNNNNNNNNNNNNNNNNNNNNNNNNNNNNNNNNNNNNNNNNNNNNNNNNNNNNNNNNNNNNNNNNNNNNNNNNNNNNNNNNNNNNNNNNNNNNNNNNNNNNNNNNNNNNNNNNNNNNNNNNNNNNNNNNNNNNNNNNNNNNNNNNNNNNNNNNNNNNNNNNNNNNNNNNNNNNNNNNNNNNNNNNNNNNNNNNNNNNNNNNNNNNNNNNNNNNNNNNNNNNNNNNNNNNNNNNNNNNNNNNNNNNNNNNNNNNNNNNNNNNNNNNNNNNNNNNNNNNNNNNNNNNNNNNNNNNNNNNNNNNNNNNNNNNNNNNNNNNNNNNNNNNNNNNNNNNNNNNNNNNNNNNNNNNNNNNNNNNNNNNNNNNNNNNNNNNNNNNNNNNNNNNNNNNNNNNNNNNNNNNNNNNNNNNNNNNNNNNNNNNNNNNNNNNNNNNNNNNNNNNNNNNNNNNNNNNNNNNNNNNNNNNNNNNNNNNNNNNNNNNNNNNNNNNNNNNNNNNNNNNNNNNNNNNNNNNNNNNNNNNNNNNNNNNNNNNNNNNNNNNNNNNNNNNNNNNNNNNNNNNNNNNNNNNNNNNNNNNNNNNNNNNNNNNNNNNNNNNNNNNNNNNNNNNNNNNNNNNNNNNNNNNNNNNNNNNNNNNNNNNNNNNNNNNNNNNNNNNNNNNNNNNNNNNNNNNNNNNNNNNNNNNNNNNNNNNNNNNNNNNNNNNNNNNNNNNNNNNNNNNNNNNNNNNNNNNNNNNNNNNNNNNNNNNNNNNNNNNNNNNNNNNNNNNNNNNNNNNNNNNNNNNNNNNNNNNNNNNNNNNNNNNNNNNNNNNNNNNNNNNNNNNNNNNNNNNNNNNNNNNNNNNNNNNNNNNNNNNNNNNNNNNNNNNNNNNNNNNNNNNNNNNNNNNNNNNNNNNNNNNNNNNNNNNNNNNNNNNNNNNNNNNNNNNNNNNNNNNNNNNNNNNNNNNNNNNNNNNNNNNNNNNNNNNNNNNNNNNNNNNNNNNNNNNNNNNNNNNNNNNNNNNNNNNNNNNNNNNNNNNNNNNNNNNNNNNNNNNNNNNNNNNNNNNNNNNNNNNNNNNNNNNNNNNNNNNNNNNNNNNNNNNNNNNNNNNNNNNNNNNNNNNNNNNNNNNNNNNNNNNNNNNNNNNNNNNNNNNNNNNNNNNNNNNNNNNNNNNNNNNNNNNNNNNNNNNNNNNNNNNNNNNNNNNNNNNNNNNNNNNNNNNNNNNNNNNNNNNNNNNNNNNNNNNNNNNNNNNNNNNNNNNNNNNNNNNNNNNNNNNNNNNNNNNNNNNNNNNNNNNNNNNNNNNNNNNNNNNNNNNNNNNNNNNNNNNNNNNNNNNNNNNNNNNNNNNNNNNNNNNNNNNNNNNNNNNNNNNNNNNNNNNNNNNNNNNNNNNNNNNNNNNNNNNNNNNNNNNNNNNNNNNNNNNNNNNNNNNNNNNNNNNNNNNNNNNNNNNNNNNNNNNNNNNNNNNNNNNNNNNNNNNNNNNNNNNNNNNNNNNNNNNNNNNNNNNNNNNNNNNNNNNNNNNNNNNNNNNNNNNNNNNNNNNNNNNNNNNNNNNNNNNNNNNNNNNNNNNNNNNNNNNNNNNNNNNNNNNNNNNNNNNNNNNNNNNNNNNNNNNNNNNNNNNNNNNNNNNNNNNNNNNNNNNNNNNNNNNNNNNNNNNNNNNNNNNNNNNNNNNNNNNNNNNNNNNNNNNNNNNNNNNNNNNNNNNNNNNNNNNNNNNNNNNNNNNNNNNNNNNNNNNNNNNNNNNNNNNNNNNNNNNNNNNNNNNNNNNNNNNNNNNNNNNNNNNNNNNNNNNNNNNNNNNNNNNNNNNNNNNNNNNNNNNNNNNNNNNNNNNNNNNNNNNNNNNNNNNNNNNNNNNNNNNNNNNNNNNNNNNNNNNNNNNNNNNNNNNNNNNNNNNNNNNNNNNNNNNNNNNNNNNNNNNNNNNNNNNNNNNNNNNNNNNNNNNNNNNNNNNNNNNNNNNNNNNNNNNNNNNNNNNNNNNNNNNNNNNNNNNNNNNNNNNNNNNNNNNNNNNNNNNNNNNNNNNNNNNNNNNNNNNNNNNNNNNNNNNNNNNNNNNNNNNNNNNNNNNNNNNNNNNNNNNNNNNNNNNNNNNNNNNNNNNNNNNNNNNNNNNNNNNNNNNNNNNNNNNNNNNNNNNNNNNNNNNNNNNNNNNNNNNNNNNNNNNNNNNNNNNNNNNNNNNNNNNNNNNNNNNNNNNNNNNNNNNNNNNNNNNNNNNNNNNNNNNNNNNNNNNNNNNNNNNNNNNNNNNNNNNNNNNNNNNNNNNNNNNNNNNNNNNNNNNNNNNNNNNNNNNNNNNNNNNNNNNNNNNNNNNNNNNNNNNNNNNNNNNNNNNNNNNNNNNNNNNNNNNNNNNNNNNNNNNNNNNNNNNNNNNNNNNNNNNNNNNNNNNNNNNNNNNNNNNNNNNNNNNNNNNNNNNNNNNNNNNNNNNNNNNNNNNNNNNNNNNNNNNNNNNNNNNNNNNNNNNNNNNNNNNNNNNNNNNNNNNNNNNNNNNNNNNNNNNNNNNNNNNNNNNNNNNNNNNNNNNNNNNNNNNNNNNNNNNNNNNNNNNNNNNNNNNNNNNNNNNNNNNNNNNNNNNNNNNNNNNNNNNNNNNNNNNNNNNNNNNNNNNNNNNNNNNNNNNNNNNNNNNNNNNNNNNNNNNNNNNNNNNNNNNNNNNNNNNNNNNNNNNNNNNNNNNNNNNNNNNNNNNNNNNNNNNNNNNNNNNNNNNNNNNNNNNNNNNNNNNNNNNNNNNNNNNNNNNNNNNNNNNNNNNNNNNNNNNNNNNNNNNNNNNNNNNNNNNNNNNNNNNNNNNNNNNNNNNNNNNNNNNNNNNNNNNNNNNNNNNNNNNNNNNNNNNNNNNNNNNNNNNNNNNNNNNNNNNNNNNNNNNNNNNNNNNNNNNNNNNNNNNNNNNNNNNNNNNNNNNNNNNNNNNNNNNNNNNNNNNNNNNNNNNNNNNNNNNNNNNNNNNNNNNNNNNNNNNNNNNNNNNNNNNNNNNNNNNNNNNNNNNNNNNNNNNNNNNNNNNNNNNNNNNNNNNNNNNNNNNNNNNNNNNNNNNNNNNNNNNNNNNNNNNNNNNNNNNNNNNNNNNNNNNNNNNNNNNNNNNNNNNNNNNNNNNNNNNNNNNNNNNNNNNNNNNNNNNNNNNNNNNNNNNNNNNNNNNNNNNNNNNNNNNNNNNNNNNNNNNNNNNNNNNNNNNNNNNNNNNNNNNNNNNNNNNNNNNNNNNNNNNNNNNNNNNNNNNNNNNNNNNNNNNNNNNNNNNNNNNNNNNNNNNNNNNNNNNNNNNNNNNNNNNNNNNNNNNNNNNNNNNNNNNNNNNNNNNNNNNNNNNNNNNNNNNNNNNNNNNNNNNNNNNNNNNNNNNNNNNNNNNNNNNNNNNNNNNNNNNNNNNNNNNNNNNNNNNNNNNNNNNNNNNNNNNNNNNNNNNNNNNNNNNNNNNNNNNNNNNNNNNNNNNNNNNNNNNNNNNNNNNNNNNNNNNNNNNNNNNNNNNNNNNNNNNNNNNNNNNNNNNNNNNNNNNNNNNNNNNNNNNNNNNNNNNNNNNNNNNNNNNNNNNNNNNNNNNNNNNNNNNNNNNNNNNNNNNNNNNNNNNNNNNNNNNNNNNNNNNNNNNNNNNNNNNNNNNNNNNNNNNNNNNNNNNNNNNNNNNNNNNNNNNNNNNNNNNNNNNNNNNNNNNNNNNNNNNNNNNNNNNNNNNNNNNNNNNNNNNNNNNNNNNNNNNNNNNNNNNNNNNNNNNNNNNNNNNNNNNNNNNNNNNNNNNNNNNNNNNNNNNNNNNNNNNNNNNNNNNNNNNNNNNNNNNNNNNNNNNNNNNNNNNNNNNNNNNNNNNNNNNNNNNNNNNNNNNNNNNNNNNNNNNNNNNNNNNNNNNNNNNNNNNNNNNNNNNNNNNNNNNNNNNNNNNNNNNNNNNNNNNNNNNNNNNNNNNNNNNNNNNNNNNNNNNNNNNNNNNNNNNNNNNNNNNNNNNNNNNNNNNNNNNNNNNNNNNNNNNNNNNNNNNNNNNNNNNNNNNNNNNNNNNNNNNNNNNNNNNNNNNNNNNNNNNNNNNNNNNNNNNNNNNNNNNNNNNNNNNNNNNNNNNNNNNNNNNNNNNNNNNNNNNNNNNNNNNNNNNNNNNNNNNNNNNNNNNNNNNNNNNNNNNNNNNNNNNNNNNNNNNNNNNNNNNNNNNNNNNNNNNNNNNNNNNNNNNNNNNNNNNNNNNNNNNNNNNNNNNNNNNNNNNNNNNNNNNNNNNNNNNNNNNNNNNNNNNNNNNNNNNNNNNNNNNNNNNNNNNNNNNNNNNNNNNNNNNNNNNNNNNNNNNNNNNNNNNNNNNNNNNNNNNNNNNNNNNNNNNNNNNNNNNNNNNNNNNNNNNNNNNNNNNNNNNNNNNNNNNNNNNNNNNNNNNNNNNNNNNNNNNNNNNNNNNNNNNNNNNNNNNNNNNNNNNNNNNNNNNNNNNNNNNNNNNNNNNNNNNNNNNNNNNNNNNNNNNNNNNNNNNNNNNNNNNNNNNNNNNNNNNNNNNNNNNNNNNNNNNNNNNNNNNNNNNNNNNNNNNNNNNNNNNNNNNNNNNNNNNNNNNNNNNNNNNNNNNNNNNNNNNNNNNNNNNNNNNNNNNNNNNNNNNNNNNNNNNNNNNNNNNNNNNNNNNNNNNNNNNNNNNNNNNNNNNNNNNNNNNNNNNNNNNNNNNNNNNNNNNNNNNNNNNNNNNNNNNNNNNNNNNNNNNNNNNNNNNNNNNNNNNNNNNNNNNNNNNNNNNNNNNNNNNNNNNNNNNNNNNNNNNNNNNNNNNNNNNNNNNNNNNNNNNNNNNNNNNNNNNNNNNNNNNNNNNNNNNNNNNNNNNNNNNNNNNNNNNNNNNNNNNNNNNNNNNNNNNNNNNNNNNNNNNNNNNNNNNNNNNNNNNNNNNNNNNNNNNNNNNNNNNNNNNNNNNNNNNNNNNNNNNNNNNNNNNNNNNNNNNNNNNNNNNNNNNNNNNNNNNNNNNNNNNNNNNNNNNNNNNNNNNNNNNNUCCCCUUCCAAAAAAAAAAAAAAAAAAAAAAAGAGUAGUGUUAAUGAGCUACAAUGUCACAUGGCAAGUUAUCAUGGAUUUCUCAAAUGUCUAUCUGUGGAGAUAUAAAUGAGCUCAAUUUGAUGCACGAUAAGUUUUUUACAAAAUGAUGCACCACAUUAACAAAGCAUGCAAUGUGAUCAUAGAUCAUGGAAGUAGUGAGAACAUGGUACCUAAAGCAUUAGCGAAAGGGAGCGAAAAAUAUAAUAAGGAGGUAUGUAAAAUUCUACUUUUUAUUGAAAAAUAAUGCAAAGAAGAGAUUGUGAAUGUGAUAGAAAUGAAUGGUUGUCACGAACAUGGGCAAAAUCAUGAUAUUGUGAUGUAGAUGCUACACUUAUAUCCAAAGAUAACAAUUAUGGGUUUGGUAGUGGUCCAAUAAGAAUAUUAUUUGUUGCCACUUAAGAAACUAUUUGCGAGUAUCACUCUCAGAGCAAACAAUUUACUUAGCGGAUGACAUGAUUGAAAAAGACGUUCCAAAUGACUUAGAUAUUACCAACCAUGAUAAUGCAAUAGAGGUAGAAACGUAUGUGUAAUAUGAAACCUAGAAACUUGCAAAAAGUUUUAUUUAUUGUCCCCUAUUUAGAAAGUGAACCAACAAAAGUUAAUAAGGCAUUUUUAAAAAUGAGAGACUUUAAAACCUAGAAACUGAAGCAGCAAGGGAACAAAAAUCAAUUCACUUUCCUCUCAGAUACCAUACCCACAUCACAUUUCGCACAAUUAGUAAACGAAUAAAAUCCGUAAGUUAUUUACUUCCAAAGUUCCCUAAGGGAAUGUCUUAUAAUUCAUUUGGAUCUCAACCAUUGUAACCCCAACCCAUACUUCCCACUAGCCACCCUACUUUUCAUAGGUAAGAUUGUUCCCAGGGAAAUCUCCGGAGUCAUUUCCCUUCCGUACAUGUUCCAAAGAUUUUUUUCUCCUGAACCAUCUCUACUUUUACUUAAUGUUAUCAAAUCUCAAGCUACCAACAACCAUCUCUACUUUUAUUCUAAACAAUGGCAAGCAUCACAAAAGGACGUGUGAAAUAAAGAAAAUGAGGUAUAUGUAAGUUUUAUAUCCCAUCUUUAGUAACUCCACAAAAUCAUACACGAGAAGAUUAAUAGGGUUACUUUAGACUUUCAUUAUAUUGUUCUAAUUUAUCUAAUCAUUAGUGAAGAAUCAAUGCCAAAUAUUUACCAAGCAUGAUGUUAGACCAUAUAAAAAAUGUAAAUUGUUUAAAGAUUUUCAGUUACAACAUUCAAAAAACAAAUGUUUAGUUUAUAUGUUGUUAGAUAGACCUUUAGCUAAACGGCAAAAUCAACACACACAUAAGCAUUGUGCAGUAGAAGGAAUCAUGUAGUAGGAUAACUCAUCCCACAUAUCUGAAUCUUGAGUCCACCGUACUUUACCUGCCAGUUAUAAACUUCCUGGAUGAAAUGCUAGCUUUUAGGAAUAUGUAACAGGAACCUGACUCAAGAAUCAUAACAACUACAAGGCAAUAACCCAAGGGAUGCAUGAAAUUUUCAGAAAUUAGCAGCAAAUAAUCAUUUUAUAGGAUAUCAUGUCCGGUCUUAGCAUAAAGCAUAAUAAAAUUUGAGCUCUCAUGCGAUUGUCAAGUGAUGAAAUCAACUUCGUUAUCAGCCCAUUGUGUGAGGUAGUCCUCAAAGAUAUUUCAGUUGCAAAGCAUAGAAUUUGAAAGCUGAAUGCAAAUUUAGGUAAUUACCAUAUAUAAUAUGUACGUAUAUGUUAACUACCAUAAUUAAAAGAAAUAAUUAAGGAAACUUUCCUUUUUAUUUAAUUAUACCAAAAAUCGAAAAGGUAAUUACCAUAUAUAUUAUGUACAUAUAUGUUAACUACCAUAAGUGAAGGAUUCAAUUAAGGAGACUUUCCUUUUCUUAUUCAAUCUUACCAAAAACCAAAAAGGUAAUUAACAUAUAAACGUAUAUGUUAAUUACCAUAAUUAAAAUGAUUAAUAUAUAUAUUCCAGAAAAAAAGAGAAAAAAGAAAACCCCCACACACACACACGAAUAUUUUUCAAGAAUUCUCAUACGUGCUAAUAGGAUCAUCAAAUUCGAGGUAAGUGAAAUACAUGUAUUUUCAUUGUUUAAAAUUAUAGAAGUUGAUAUUAUGAUUAUGUUAUGAAAUCAUAGAGUUUAGUAGCGCUACGCACGAAAUUAUAACCACGAAGUUGGGUUUUAUUAAUUUCGUGUCUCAUCUAACAUUUGUUCACAAAUCUCAUGGACUUUUGUUAUUCAUGUCAUGCUAUUUCACUUAUUGAGAUCAUCAUCUCAUAUGAAUCAAAAAAAAUUUUAGGUAAUAAUUAACUGUGUUUGAGAUGGAUGAAAAUUGGGCGAGCACGCAAUGGUGGAUAAUAAAACAUUUUAAUAAAGUUAUGUUAAGAUUUAUUUAUGUUUUGAUGAUCAAAUUAUUUUGGUUGUGAAGAUUUUAAGAUUUAAUAUGUUGUUUAGAAAUUUUCCUUUCCAUUUAAAAACUUUUAUGUACUAAAUAAAUGAUUGUUUAAGGAUUUUAUUCGUAUGUUUGAGAAUUAUUUUCUCAUUCUUUAUAGAGAGGAUGGUAUUGUGGGAUACCUUGACUAAAUAUAUGAAAUUCGAGACUACACCACACAAUUAUUAUUUUAUUAGACUAUAAUCUCAUUUGAGCAUAGCACCACUGUUCAUGGAUGUUCGAGGGACGGACACUUCAACUAUAUUAGAAAACUAGCCACAUAAGAGAUGCCAUGCUACCUAAUUUAAUUGAUUCUAUGUAUAGUUCUUAAUAAUGCCCCACUGCUACACAUAUCAGAUACUAUUCACUAUCAUAGCACCUUAUCAGAAGGGGUUAUUCUUAUACAUUCUGUUUUAAAUGGUUCGAAUUACACUCAAUCAUAAAAAACUGCAAUUUUAUUUUCUUGUUACUUUUGCCAUGAAGCAAUAUCGCUUUCUUGAAGUUUUAGUUUUCCUCUCGUUAUGAUUGAAUUUUGUCAAGUUUAUUGGUUUGUUAUUCACAUCUCUUCUCCCAUAUGUGGAGAAAAACUAAACUAGCUUCUAAUACAUUGGCAACCAAAAUAAGGGAAAUGAACAGAAAUCAUACCACACCAAGAAAGUGUGCUAUGAGCACAUACUCUCUGUACAGGGUUGGACGCAACUUCUUGAUGUACAUGCUACUUAAGCAUCUGAAAUUACAUAUGAACAACUUUGUGUUUCUUUCUUUUCUUUGCCAACUGGCAGGGUGAUGGGUUUUGAAUAGUAAGUUCUCAUCCUAGCAAGUUAGACAAUACAUUAGAAGGGCAAAAAUUCAAGAGUAAAAAGUAAAUAUUUUCAUUAGCAUAACAAUUAGAAGAUAUUAUUAAAUUUCUCCACCCCGACAGCACAAGAAUGACUGAUUAAUGAUAAAACUAAAAUUUUAACUGUCAAUGCAGGUUGAUAGGAAGUACUAAAAGAAAUAUGUUGAUUUGUAUUGAUUGAGGUAGCAAACAUCGACCUUUUUUGGGGUCAGUAUAGACCAAAUUGAGUAGAUUUUAAUGGGUUAGGGUCAAUGUGACUCAAUUAGUAUCGCUUCUAGUAUGGAUAGUUAAGAUAUUUACGCAAAACAAGGCCUUUUGAAUAAAGAAUCAAAAUGUAAGGCUAUUUUGCAGUUUGCACGUUGUAAGAAGGUUAAUUUAAAAUUGCUCAAAUAUCUAAUAUCCAGUUAAGUGUACAAAAACUGGACCAUAAAACAUGGGCAUCAACGCAACUUUGUGUAGUCUAAUGAGAAAAUAGAGUGACAACCAACUCUAGAAAGACCCUCAUGUCCCUUAAUAACAUUUCAAAAAUAAAAAGAUAAAACAUAAGAUCACCUUUAGACAAUGUAAACUGAAUAAAGUUCGUGUAUUACUUGCAGCUACUUCUGGAAAUUAUAAUCGAUAAAAAUGGAAUAAAUGGUUAAUGGUUUGACAAAGCUAGUCGAAUAUAGAACAUUCAAAAAACACAGUUCUGUAGGAAAAUGCAUAUCACGGGACAUGGUGAAAAUGCAAAAGCAAACAGAUUGACAACGAAGUAAAAGUCCUCGCCUACAAAGAAGGGACUUGGAGCAACAAAAUCAAACCUAUAAAUCAGGAUUUUUAAAAUGUGAUAUGGAUAUUUUUUAUAGUAAAAGAGUUUUGAUUUAAGUUAUUAAUCAGGAUAAAUUGACUUCUCCAGAAAGCAAUAUGAAAAUACCUACGAAUAUCAAGAACAAUUAUAAUGAGCCCAUCGACUGCAAGUUUUGUAAUGUAACCCGGUGCUCCAUUGGUGUUGUUAAUAUUUUGAUCAUAAGCAGGAAACAAGGAGACUCGAAAUCAUCGGAGCAUCGACUAUAUUGGGAAAGUUCGGUUUGAUUGAGAAGGAGAUUAGAUCGGGUAAAAAAUAAAAUAACCACAAUGUGGAGAACCACUAUAACUAAGAAGACCACCAAAGCCCAAAAGCGUCCACCUAACUUCACUCCUCCAAAAACCCCAAAUUUCUGCAACUGUUAUUUCUGUUCCUAGAUACUGCCAGAUUUAAAGGCAGAGUACCAGCUCCAUCAAGAUUAAUGACAGCUCGUGUAAGACUAAAUCAUUUAGAGCCAUUGAAUCGAGUGCGAAAUCAACAUAAAUAAAUCCGGUACUUCCUUCAAACUUUGGUGAUGAACAGGUGGUAAUCUCGGCAACACGAUAAAUCCUCAGCCACUUGUACUCUCUUGUUCUUAUUUGAUGAAUUGAAAAUUGAUUUAAAAAAAUGGAAGGGUGCCUGGUAAAAUUAUAUAUUUCUCUAUAUUGAGAAAAUGUUAGAUGAAAAUAAGCUUGAAAAAAAAAAAAAAAAAAAAAUUUGCAUGCAAUAAGAGGUUAGAGAAUGGGGGUAAAAUACACUCAUGGUUUCGAACUUUACCCUUAUUUGCAAUCUGGUUACUGAACUUUAGUUUAUUGCGAGCAAUUAGGUUAGGCCAUUUCAUUAGCCUUCUAUUCAACCACUUAAUAGAAAUUUUAAAAUGACAAUUAAAAGUAAUGGAAUCUCAAUUCAAAAUGUCAAUUCAACAUUUCACCCUCGAUCACUAAACUUUUAAUUUGAAUCAAUCACACUAAAUUUUUAAUUUCAAAGUUCUAAAUAAUUUCUAAUAUUAUUUUAAAUCUAUUAAAUAAAUAAAAUAAUCCAUAUCAAAUAACUAAAAUAAUAAAAACUUUAAUUACUUAAUAAUUUCUACAACUAAAAAAAUUUCAAAUUUCAUAAAUUAGUUAAUUCAAAGUUCCAACUAAACACUUCCCACUUGAUAUAACAUAAUAAAUACUAAUUGGAAUCUUUGAAAUUGUCUAAUUUGAAAAUUUAAAAAUUAUCUAAUAGUAAAAAUUAUCAAGCAAUAUGGAAUUUUUUUUUAUAAAAAAUUAAAUUGUAUGGUAUGCAUUAUUUUAUUCAUUUAAUGAUCUCAAAAUAAUUAAAAUAUUAUUAUAAAUAAAAAUUAAUACCUUAGAAUUAAAGAUCAGAGGUGUGAUUGCUCUGAAUUGAAAGUUUAAUUACUUGACUGCUUGUAAGAUUGAAGUUCACUGAUGGUAAAAUUCAUGAUGCAUUACAUACCAUGUUGGAUGUAGAAAUUUUGAAUUUAUGUUACUGGAAUUUAUAAUACUUAUAUUAUGCCCUUGUUUGGUAAGGAUUAAAAUCAGAUUUUCCGUAGAUUUUAAUAAAAUUUGAUAAAAUGUGUGAUUGAAAGGUUGUGGAUCUUAUGAAAUUUGUGGUUAAAGUUAAUUAUUGAUUUUGAUUUAGAUUAAAAUCCAAAUUUUAAUUCCUAACAAACAUGGGUUAUAUGUUAUGUUUGUAAUUUUCAUGCAGCUAUAGAUUUGAUUAAUGUAUUUGUCAAUUAUCAAAGAUUUUGGAAUAGAACAAUGAAUAUAUGGGCUUGGAGGAGGUUAGGAUUUUUGUAUUGAUUUGAUGUACAUACAUUAAUCUAGUUGAUAUUCCUUUUAAUCGGUUAAAUAUGGAUCAAAAAACAAUAGCAAUCAAAAUACAUAUUGAAUCUAGCAUAACAUGUUCCCUAACAUUCUAUUUGGAGCUCACAAGUAAGGAUCAUAAUCUAAACCAACUUCACGUAGCAUAUGAACUUCGUGAAAUAGUGCCAACUAUAGAGGUUAGAGAUAUCAUAAAAAAAGGAGCUUCAGUUCAUGGUGUAAAUAUUAUACAAAAAGGAGUGUGUGGUUGGUUGUUUAGGUUAAAAUGGACAAUAGAGUUUGGAAACUUAGUAAAAUAGGGAGGUUUUAAGUAAAGAGUGUAAAAUCAUGAACUCAUGCAGGUUGGAUUUGAUAAUGGGAGAUCAUAAGCAAGCAACAAACUAUAGAUACAAUAAAUGACAUGAUGAAUACAUUUGGUGUGUCGGGUUAUGAAAAAAAGUUGAGGUCUACAGAGCAUGAGUUUAAGACUAUAAUGAAGGAUCCUGAAGAGUUAUAUGGGAAUAUUCUAGCAUAUUUGGAUGUCUAGUGCGGGAGAAUUUGGGAUCUAUUACGAGCAUUGAGACUAAUGAAAAUUGCCAAUUCAGGCAUCUCUACAUGGAAUGGGGCAUCGGUGAAAGGUUAGGAAUCUUUUAAACCCAUAACUGUUGUUGUCCUUGAUAGGACAUUAUGGUUGGGGGGAAAAUCACGUAUAACCAAAUAAAUAAAUCUAAUUCAGUAAAUACUACACAUUAAUUUAUAAAUUAUGAAUACUGGAUUUUAAGCAAUAAUACACCAAAAUUACUUGCUCCAUAAAUUACUCUUAUUUUUAGUAACUGAAAUUCAAUAAUGGCAAAUAAUACGCCCAUCAUUCAAUACAUUCAUCAUCAUUCACUCUUUCAAAAAUAUAAAAGUUUAAAAUACAAAGUUGAAAAUGAAACACAACCCGGGUUUCUUGAACUGCAAGAUAAUGUAAUUCAUUUUUUUCUUUUGCUGCUGAAACUCAAAAUAGGCUUGCUAUAUUCUUGUUGUUAAAGAUAACAUAUAUUUGGAGAGAAGUAUAGAGCAAAUGGGACGAGAAUCGGGAAUCCUAUUGUUUCUUGGAGGGAUUCUAGGUAUAUGCAAUUUCCACCUUUACUAACGUACAAUCUUUCCAGGAGAGUGACACUGAACUGACCAAGAAGGACAGAGUGUACAGAUGCCGAUCUGAGUUCAAUUUAUUUUUUAUUUUCGAUUGAGAUAUGCAAUAUUUGCCGGCUACAUUUAAUAGACUUGAUGGGUUUCUUUCAUCAUCUUCUUCAAAUGUCAAUAUGUGAGAAGAAAUUGUUAGUUCAAAAGUGUCUAAACCAUCUUUCUCUUGAAUUAAAAUUUGCACAUGACAACCACCAAAUCAUUCAUCUACUUUUGCUGUAAAUGAUUCCUUCGCUUUGAAAUGGCCUACAAUUUUAGAAGUUUAACGUAAACUGAAAACUUCAGAUUCACGAUCAGAUGUGAUCCCGCUUGCAUUCCAUCGUUGAUCUGAAUUUCGAUUUUCACUACAAAUUUUCUAAUUUAUAGAAAAUAAAUCAAUAAGAUAACACCCAUUAGCACAUUGUCGAAAUAACUUAUGAUAUUCAGAAAUCAAGAAUCAACAUACAAACCAGUUAUAGACAAGGAACUUGCGGUCACAUAAACAAUGGUGUGUCAACUUUCUAAAAUCCCAUCCUCAUCUUAUGUAGUGAUAAUGUGUAUGUACUCUGAUAUCUUUAUCACAAAGAAACUAAUGCGAAAGGUUAGUAUAAUGGCCACACACACCAAAAACAAUAAAAAUUUUAUGUGAUAUUUGUUUACUACAAGAAGAUACAUAAAUUUCACUCUUUUGAAUUGAGAGAAUCUAUCGAAAUUUCACAAAAGUAUUGGAUUGAACAAGUUCAUGGCACGCUCAUUGUGAAAAUAAAUGGUUCAAUAUAUCAUAAACUUGUUAUAUUCUUGAACUCGACCACCACCUGAUCUAAAGUGAUUCAAACAUGCUAGCAAAUAAGCAUUAGAUCUUAGCAUGAAUCUUGUAACACUUCACUUGCUACAUCACCAACAAUUGAAUCAAGAAGCCGAUGUUAACAAAAGUAAAGCAGAUAGACGCUUAAUUCUACCGAAUCAAGAAUACUAUUCAUACUCAUUUGUAGUAUAAUACUGUCAUUCGAUUUUAUAUAUAUUACUUUUAAAUUAGUUUAUAGUAAGAACGAGUGAUAAAGUUAAAUGUAAUUUAUUUUUAUAAAAGACGUGUAUUUUCAGUUUUAUAAUUUUUGAACAUGCACAUUAGUCAAAGAGAGUAAAAUGAUUAUUUAGAAAUAUUGAUUAGGAUAUGACACAUGUAUAUAUAAACACAUGAUCUUCAAUCCUAGAAUAUUAAGUCUUAAGUUUCUCUUGUAUAAAGCAAGACAAGAUUAUGAUAUAGAAUUCUUAAAGAAGAAAAAAAUAUUUGAUAAAAAUUGAGGGUUUCACUUUCUAUUGAAUAUAAAACAGAAAUAAGAGUGCAAUAAAGGAAUGAUUUUAUGAGUUUUUCGAAACAUUUAGGGAGAUAUUAUGAAUUUUCUUUAGAUUGAAUUUUGGGGAUUGUUCCAUAAAUCAAGCUAAUUUGUGUUAUUUGGCUUUAUUAAAAAUUAAUCAUCUUUACCACAAAUUAAGAGUAACUUUAGAAAUAAUAGUGCCUGGUGUAGUGCCAACCCUUCCAUUUCCAUAUUUCCCCCAACCCAAAUCCAACCCAAGAAACUGGCUGCAAAGUGCAAACCCUUCCAUUUCCAUAUUUCCAUUUGAAGUAGAAGCGUGAAUUCAUGGCAGUGGAGCGUGUGCGAAGUCAGGGACGAGAAGCGGAAGCAUUAGCUGUGUGGUGUUGGUGAAGUGUGAAGUUCGAAUCCGUGGCGGUGGAUUUUUUCGACUUUGUGCGCAUGUAUUUUUCUUCAAAUUUGACAGACCUUUGUUAAUUUUUGUGUAUAAAGAAUUAAUUCUGCAACCAGCCCUUCUGCGUUCUACCGCCUGUGCGUAUAUGUCUUCCCUUUAAUUCAAGCCUCUACCCUUUUUCUACUAUGUACACAAAACAAAUUCGAUCCCCCGUUUUUUGCUGUGUUCCAAUCGUCUUUUCUAUGGUUCUCUCCCUUUUUCUUCAAUGUUGGCGUGUAUAUCUGUUCUCCACCAAGGCAGUCGCCUUUUUGUGUAUCCCCCCGGUAGUAUAUAUUAAUUUAAGGCAGCAAUUCUCAUCUACUUGAACUCCAAUUCCCCUCAAAAGGAGCCAACAACUUGUAGUUUAUUUCACCUCAAAUUCCCACCAGUAGCCGCAAUAUCUGUAUUGAGAGAGUUCAAAAGCAAUUGCAUUUUUUUACUACAAAACCAGUCCCUUUUGCCUCCAUUUUCUAUUGCAUAUAUAUGUUCAGCCUUUCAGUCUUUCCUCCAAUUUCAACAAUUGGCAGCCUCAAAUUGUACUUAUCAGUGGACCGUGUGUGAAGUUAGGGACAAGAAACAGAGGCAGCAGUUGCGCGGCGCCUGCAAAUUGGGAAGUACGAACAUGUUUUCAAUUAAUAGAACUCCCCCUCUUGUAAUAUAUUUACUUGGACAGCAAUACUGAUCUUAAUGAAUAUUUACUAAUUUCUUAUAGCUAGUUUUCACUCGAUGAAUGUGGGAACAAAGAAAGAGAAAGCAUUAUAUUAAUUUCCUUAUCGCCCUUACUACAAGACAUCUCAUGGUUAGAAUUUGCAGUAAUGCUCAAACUGAGUUGCAAAUCAGGCCAAUCUUGAACUUCGAUUAUCUCUUCCUUGUUCGUCUGGAAAUGGAAAUUAUGUUUAAAAGAAUAAAAGUAUUAGUAGAGAAAUAUUUAUAUGAAUUAAGAUAUAAUUUCUUACCUUAUUUUGAAAGGGAUCUCUAAAAGUUUUGCUAAAUGUUUUGAUAGAGUCCCAACUAGUGAAACUGUCAAACUCAAGCUGUGAUGAGUAAUCAACGGAAAUUGGGAUUGUAAUGUUGAAGCUAAAUGCUAGAAUUGAAUUUAGAAGUUCACACUCUAUUGAAGCAGAAUAACAAACUACAACCUCCAGGUAUUUCAAGAGACCUAGAUUCUCUCCAACUAUAAGACUCAGUCAAAUAAUUCCUCUCUUCCUCUUUCUCUCUAUCACAUUUUAUGGGCAUUUUUCCCUAUCACCAUUACUUUUUACCCCUUUACUACUGAUUUGGUGGAAUAUUCUGGAAUGUCGACUGACUUGGUUGCCUUGCUUCAUUCUUUCCUCUUCUUGUGUACGUGAAGCAUAUGGGAGGUCUAUCAUUACUUGCCCCUGAAAUCCACCUUGUCCUCAAGGUGGAAGUUGUGAUUUGAUCACUUCAUCAUACACCUACACCAUUUCCUUUGCAAUGCUCAUCAUGACCCGAGCAGAAAAGGGAUAUGUCAAUCCAAAAAAAAUUAGUAUACCCUUAACUACAAGGAGUAUCUUGUAGUACCAUAAUUGAUUAUCACCGCGACCUCCACCUCUUGUGUAAUCGGCCCUUUUUUGGCCUUUUGCGCAAUAAAUCCGAACACCAAAUUAAUUAAAACUCUCAGUUUAUUAUCAACAUAAUUCGUGGAUAUAUUUGUAUGAAUUGGGUUGCUCAUAGUUGGGCUGGACAAAGUUGGGUUACAACUGAUAAUGUUAGGUCUAUUUAGGCCGAAAUAAGAUUGGGCCCAUUUCAAUAAAUCCUUUUCAUCUUCUAUUGUUUGGGCUAGCUUUAUAAUUUGUUCUACCCUUUGGGCCUCUUUCAUUAAUUCAUCUCCAUCUUCCCAUCCUUGGGCCCAAUUCAUAAUAUGGCCCAAACCAUAAGGUUGUAGCCUUAUGUUAUUACCACGUGACAUGGGGUGUCAACCUAUUAACCAAAUUCCUCCGCAAUAGAUCCUCCGGCAGCGUUUGUAAAGGGGCAACCAGGCUACCAGCGUCACACGGGUUAUUGGAAGCUAUAAUAGCUCCGAUUUCCUUAGAUUUGGGUGAGUAGAGUUUCAUAAUCGAAGGUGGCUUCGGAUGAGGUCGCUGUCUAUCCUUUUUGAGAUGGUCGGAAUUCAUCUCCAUCUUCAAUAUUAGCUGGCUCUGAUGAAUUCUCUGCAAUCUCUUUUUCCUUUCUCUCCCUUUCCGGCUCAGCCAUGGAUUUCUUCUCCUGGUUCGGCCAAUUUACAAUGACCCAUCUCACCUCUGACCUCUUCUCCUCCUCCAAUCGACCCCACUGUUCGGCAAUUGAAGUUUCCUUGUGUACCACACUCUUGUGCUAUCCCGUAGGCACUUUUUCACUAGAGAGGUUAUUCACGCGGAAUCGAACCAACACCAUCUUCAAUUCUUCCCAAGUUUGUAUAGGACAACGAUUGUCGAUCUCUUAAAACCAUGCCCAAGCCUUUUCAACGAAACAAGCUACUGCGACCUCUACCUUUUCCUUCUUUGGUAAGCCGCGAUUCAUGUUUAUGCAUCGCUCUGCCUCAAAUAGCCACGGAAAUCUAAAUUAUCCCCAUAUAAUAUCCAUGUGUUAAGUCGGCCACAUGAAUCCAACCCUGAAUCAACGGCUCGCUGUCCUUUCUGUUGCAUCACCAUCUUCUCCAACGUACUCCCCGAGAAUCGAUCGCUCUAAUACCAAUUUGAUAGAGUCCCAACUAGUAAAACUAUCAAACUUAAGCUGUGAUGAGUAAUGAACGGAAAUUGGGAUUGUAAUGAUGAAGCUAAAUGCAAGAAUUGAAUUUAGAAGUUCACAAUCUAUUGAAGCUGAAUAACAAACUACAACCUCCAGGUGUUUCGAGAGACCUAGAUUCCCUCCACCUAUAAGACUCACUCAAACAAUGCCUACCUUCCUCUUUCUCUCUUAUCACAUUUUAUGGACAUUUUUCCCUAUCACUAUUACUCUUUUACCCCUUUUCUACUAUCUUGAUGGAAUAUUCUGGAAUGUCCACUAACUUGGUUGACUUGCUUCGUUCUUUCCUCUUCUUGUGUACUUCAAGCAUAUGGAAGGUCUAUCAUGUUUUUGAUAUAAUUCUUGACUUGUAUUGUCGAGUUGUUGUGUUAGACAUAGGAACCCUUUUGUCAUAUUGAUUCACAUUGACAAAUUGUCGUGGAGGCCAUCUUUUCUCUUCAAGAAAUUGGUUAUGUUUGAGUGGGCAAUUUGGCGUUCUGAAGAAAUUAUUGCCAUCUACACUUAUAUAAGGAUUAAGCCUGAUUUUGGGAUGUUCUUUAUUGGAUGACCAUGGCCGAUAUCUAAGCCCUCAUUAAUUUCCAUUCCAUUCCAUUUCAUUUUCCUCUCUCCAAUUUUCUACUACAUAAUCUUCCAUAAAAUAAUAUUACACGUAAAUCGAAAAUUUUUCUUUCUUUUUCAACCAAUCAUUUUUCAAAAAAAUACUAUUCUACCCAUUUUCAUUUUCACAAAAUGGGGGCCAAACGGGGGCUAUAUAUGUACACAAAUCUUUAGAAUCAAGAAAUUCUCAAACGAAUAAUUGAAAUUUAAGGGAAGACUCAAAAGUGUUGUCAACGAAGGUUGUUAGACCAUGAUUUUGAACUUUUGAGACCAGGGAAAUAAAGGUUUCAAUGAGAUGCCCUGUUGCCAACCAACACAUUUUUUGGUUUGACUGCUCCGGUCUCAUCAUUUAGAAACUGUGGUGGCAUUUUUUAAACUGCAUCAAAAGGAUAAAACGGGGAAAUGGGAAAAUAGAUUUUAGGAAUUAUAAUGUCAUAAUAAAACACUCUUCUUGUUAGGGGCAAAUUUCUAUGAGAAUGUUUAACUUUGCUUCCUUCUACAAGCAAGGCUCCUUUUUAUUCUAUGGCUUUUUUUUUUUUUUUUUUUGAAAAUUGGCUAAAAUUUUUGUUCUCUUAGCAGCGCCAAAAAAUGCAUGUUUACAACUACUUAUGUAGUAUUUCAGCUAAGCCAUACAUGCACUUAGUUUAUUAGAAUAUUUGAAUAUAAUGUUAUGACUUAUGAGGGUUGAGUAAUCAGUAUUCCAUAGCGUGCUUAUCCUUAACUUUCACAGAAGUUCCUUCAAAUAUUACAAAAUAUGAAGUGUUACUUGGGGAACAAAAAUUAGACUUUUUCAAUUGAGGUGUGUUUUCUGGAUUUAUUACAUAUACGCGUGAAUCUAUUUUCUUUUUCAAGUCACAAGGACUAGUUUUUUGAUAGAUGUAUGAGAGAUGAAAAGUAUAAACAUGCAUGUAAAAGGGAAUUUUGUGUAUUCUUCUUCUUUAGGUUGUGGUGAAGAUGCCAAAAGUUGUUUGGAGACUGCAAGAAGUUUCUAAAAUUGGUGUGUAUUUUUCUAUGUGAAUACAGAUUUGAGAAUAGGACUUGAUCUACUACCUUUUUCGUGCGUUCUUCCUGAUUUUGAUUGAAUGUCUAUGUUGCAUGGAACAACCGUGACCAUGAUAAGCCAUAGGUUGCAAGUGUGCAUGUGCAUGUAUUAACAGGUUGGCCCCUAUUUAUGUCCCGUUUUUGCCCUAUUUCACUACUUUUGUGCCCAACUUUCUGCCAAGUUUUGGGCACUCCUUUGGUCCUUUGUGGUCCAUUUGAGCGGGCAAUUUUUUUUUACAAUUUGUGUCGUGUUGAUGUGUGAUUUUCAGCUCUUCAUCUGAGCCUCGAUUAACUUUUGAGUGCAAUUGUUUGGAGCUUUUGAUUGGAAAGUUGAUUUCCAAUUUACUGUGAUUAUUUACUUUAUAUAUUGCAUAGUUAACUUAGUUUGUGUUUAUUAAUUUUUUGAUAGCAAAUUUAUCACUACAAUUGGUAUCGGAGCCCGAUUUUAGCCUACUGUAGUGGCUGAUUUUUUCAAUCUCUGUGAUGGAAUUAAUAUUAGUAAAUUGAAUAUGUAUUUUCAUGGUGCAAUUGAAGCGUGUGUUUGCUGAUUUUGCAAUAGGGACUUCAAUUCUUAAUUAAUUUUGCAACUCUUAUAAUACCUACCGACCACAGACAGUUUGCUUUGAUAAAUUGGCUAAAACUCUUUAAAUUUUUACAAUAAUAGGUCAUUGUAUGAGGUGACUAAUAGGAUUGCAGCCUUGCUUGAUAUUAGUAUUAUAGGAUUAUUUGCCUAAAUUGUGAUGUUAUCAUUUUUGUAGCUUUAAUGAUGGUUGCGAAAUUUUGUAUUGCUAUUGAACCACCAAAAAUCAAUGUGCUUUGCAUCUUUCUGAUUUUACUUUUUUUAUUAUUGCUAGAGAAUUGAAUAGUUAUGGCUGCAGAGGUGCCAAGCUGAGCAUAUUAAUGGGGUGCAGAAGGAAUUGAUGCAAUGGAAGAUGAGAAUACUAAAAGCAACAGAGAAGUGGGCACAACUGCCAUUUUAAUGUAUUGUUUAAUAGUGAAUAUACAAUGCUCAUUUCCUUUUGAAAAUCUCAUUGGUGGAACAUGUUUUGUGGUCUUGUAAUUAUAUUUUGGUGGUACAUGUUUUAAUUUUAUUUUGGAAAAUAGAAUGUGUUGAACAUUUUACAAGUUUAUUAUGCGAAUUAUUAGUUUAUUAUUUGAACUAUUGGAUCAAAGAAUAGGAUUUUCAGUAGCGUAGUAAGCAUAUAUAAAAAAUACGAAUUAAUUUGAAAAAAUAUAAAAAUGACCAAUGACAAUGUUUGCAAAAUGUUGCCACGACCUAAGAAGAAGAGAAGGCAAUGUUGAAAAAAUUUAUAGGCAAUGUUGAAAAAAUGUUGCAAAAAAGUAAACAGCAACGCUGAAAAAACAUUGCAAAAAAGUUAGGAACACUGAAAAAACGUUAAAAAAAGUAAAUGGCAACAUUGGAAAAACGUUGCAAAAAGUUAACGGCAUCGCUGCAAGUUGCAAAAAAAUUAACAGCAACGCUGAAAAAAACGUUGCAAAAAAGUUAACGCCCACGUCUAAAAACCAUUGAAAAAAAUCUUUUGCAACAAUUUUUGAACAUUACAAAAAUUGGCCUUGUGCUAUGGUGAAUAAACAUUGUUGUAUCUCUUCUCUCGAUAGCAACAUCGACUCUUGCAACACACACUAAAACGCUGCAAAUGACCUUUGAAGUGUUUUAUGACCGCUGCAAAAACCCUUUUUUGGUUUAAUGACUUCUUAUGAUAUUUAAUCUAACUAUAAAAUGCAAUCGAUACUACACGAGAAAAUUGUGGAGACUCAAACUUGAGACUCAAUACCAUGUGGCAAAUUUUCGAGCUGGUUUUUAGUUAAAACAAAGGGAUUAUGAAGAUUCAGGGACAAAAGAAGGAUUAUUGAAAUAUUAGCUAAAUUGAAGUCAUUUCAAAAUGAAAUCAUGCUAUUUUCUAGGGACCUUUUGAGAUUAUUUUUCUUCAAAUGAAAGCAAACACCAAGAAAUUAAUUGACUUUAACAUGAUAAGAUUAUAAUUUUUUUCCGAAUUCAACAAUCUCCUAUUUCUUAAGCCAGUUCUGACAGAUUGGUGAACAAAUUAGAGAUAAAUUCUCAGUAUUUAAGCUGACCGAGCUAAGAAACGAGAUUGAUAGGAACUUGAAUCCUUAGUUGCAAUAAUAAAAGUGAAAAGGGGAUGUAGAUAGAAAAAUAACUACACUUGAAAAAAUUCUAGGAGAGUAAGGUUCUCUUUCUUGUCAACUUGUAAGCUGAACUUAAUACUGAGAAAGAAGUUGUAAAUUUUCUCAUAAUUGUACCACACAUUUGGAGGUGUUUACCUUUGGAAGUACUGCCAGAUGCAAAACAACCCAUUGCCUUGCUGCAAGUUUUAGCUGUGCCCCAGCUUGAGUCAACAGUGUCACUGGAAUUCUCCUUCAGCUCUAACUAAUAUUGAAACUUCUGCAGCAUCUCUUACUAAGAUUGGAACUUUUGGUGCCUGUAACAAUAGAACUAGCUAAAGAAAAAUAUCAGGUUGGACCAGGGUAAACUAUCAGGUAAGUUCACUUCUCUUCAUAUUUUCUUCCGCUGUGGUCAGAAUGGUCAUAUUAAAUCUUAAUUGCAGAAUUUUUUAAAAUGACUCUAAAUUAUAGUCCGAACAGAUUUGCACAUAUGCCUGAGAGUUACAAUCACAUAUGGUAAGCCUUCCAUUGUUUAUAUAAAUGUUAAAACAUUCACCACAAAAAAAAUGUAAAGGAAAUUUUGAGUGUAUGGGGGAAUAUAGAAUUUUUCUCACACGAUUUCUUGUGGUGUUAAAUGCCAUACAAAAUCAAACUGUUAUGAAUUUUUAAAUAUGAAUUAAAAGCAUAUAGAACAACCUUCUAAUCUGUAUAAACAGGAGUCUAAAUUCAAAACUAAGCAAGUUGGGUUAAAAAGACUGAUUUUAAAUGUUUUAAAAGUAAAGUGAUAAUAUUGCGAAUUUAUUAAUGUGAUGAAUGAACAGAAAUUGUCGUAAAAUACAUUCCAUGACUCAUAUAGCGCGACAAUGUCUGCAACAAACAUCUUGUUGUUGCUAAAUUUCUUUUGCAACAAAAUUUCAAUUUUUGCAACAAUAUAUAUAUAUAUAUAUAUAUAUAUAUAUAUAUAUAUAUAUAUAUAUAUUUUGUUUGUCGUGAAUCAAUUAUUUUUUGUAGUGUGAUCUGUGGUGUACCCACUCAAACUAAGAACCAAUAGGCCUAUUUAAUCACUAAGAUUUAUAUACUGUCUUCCUUGAGGCUCUUAGAAAAGCUUUAGAAGUUUUCAGUGUCCAUUGUUACUUGAUUUCCAAUUGGUAGUGUAAUCUGCCUUAGGCUUUUUUAACUCGUUGAUUGCUUCAUUAAGUUCACCAUGUGUUCUUGGCUGUGAUUUUCUUUAGGGUGAACUGCAUUGAUACUUAACAUAUAAAAAAUGGAAAUGAACUUGUGAGUCUUGUGAGUUUGACAUUGGACAUGGAUGGACUGGACAUUUCUAGAACACAAUACGUCUUGUUUAAAUAAUCUCUCAUGUGGACAUCUAGAUUUGAUUUAAUUUACCUAUCUAUUGACUUGGUUUAAUUUUUGAAGUGGCACGAUCAAGCUUAUACACCCUUACUAAGCACCAACGUUACUCGACAUUACAAUGUGAUUAAGUGUUAGGCGCAAGGCCUCAAGAAGAGAGAAUUGCCAACUUAUGUGUUUAAUGCUAUAUUCUAGUAUUUAGUUAUCUCAUGGUUGUGCAAAAGCUGCUUCUAGGGUUCUAAAAGAUGGAUAUGACCUUAAUUCUAGAAAAAGUCAUCUAGCUUGACAUAAUUUGUAUUUUGUAUAUAUAAGCAACUCAGAUGUAAACUAGUUAUUAACACAGUCAGGUUCAUGAUCAUGGACUUGGAUUUAAUUGAGCUUAAUGAUCUACGUUAUGAUUAACUUGUUCAGAUUGUCCAAUCACACACUCACGUUUGAAUAUUAACUGUGUAUGUGUAUAUGUUUGUUUGACCUUGAUUGGUGACAUCUGACAAUAAAACUUGCUCAUCCAAAAUCCAUCUUUGAAAAUUCUUUUUCUUAUUUUCAUGUGUGUUUUCCACGUGUAAGAUUACAUAAAGGACCAAGUUGGACAAAUAAAUCUAGGUGUAAAUUAUUUUAGUUUGUUCGUUUUGAACAAGUUGGGUGUUGGUCCAUAAACCUUCGAAGCUCAAUUGCACAUUUAUAGUCUUAGGGAAAAUUUAACCAAUUGAUGGGCUUACGGGUAUUGAACUUAAGAAUAUGUUGCCCAAAAUCUCUACACCUUCUCUCUCUCAGCCGAUUUACCACAAACUCAAAACCCCAAAUCAAUUCAUGGGCUGUGAAAUUUCUUGAUUAAGUUAUGCUAUUUGAUCUUGAGUUUGAUGUUUUGAAAAUAUUUUCAUGAAAUGCAGAGCAAAAGGGUGGACACAAUUACCGGAAUAACACUUGUAAGUCUAAGUCAAUCUAAUGGUUCAAAUUUAAUAAGUUCUAACAGUAAGGGAUAGAAGUUGACUGCAGAUGUAGGUGAACCAAAAGGACGCGAAUUAAACUAUGAAUAGAACGGUAAACAAAAGGUUACCAAAGUUCAGAACAGAGUCAGAGCUAACAAGCACAAUUACCACCUAUCUUGAAGCAACAAUUCCUACUCCAGAAUUCUAUCUUGACAUGUAUCAACUCAAUACCCUUCUCCAAUAUCAGGUUGAGUUCUAACCCACUAGCAAUCAUAACAUCAGUCCAUAAAUUUACAUCAAUGAUAUGGUAAUCUCUCUGCUCGUUUUACAUUACUGUUGGGUUAGAUCCUAGUGAUAGCAGCCCCGGCCCAAAUGGCUUUAGUGCCAGAUUUUUUGUUCGUGCCUGGGAUAUUGUCAAAUAGGAUCUUCAGGAGGUGGCUAUAGAUCUUUCAGGAGGGGGGUUCGUUUGCCUACGGUUCUGGGUGCUACUAACACUGUGCUCAUUCCCAAGGUAGAAGCUCCAAGUAGUUUUGCCUAUCAAUCUUUGCUCUGUCUUUGCUUGUUUAAGUGUUACGUGCAAGGUCACCUGAAGAGAGAAUUGUCAACUUUUGUUCUUAAUGCUAAAUUCUAGCAUUCAGUUAAUUCAUGGUUGUGCAAAAGCUGCUUCUAAGGUUCUAAAAGAUAUGAACUUAAUUAUAGGAAAAGUCAUCUAGCUUGACAAAAUUUGUAUUCCAUAUAUAUAAGAAACUCAAAUGUCGACAGGUUAGUAGCAGAGUCAGGUUCAUGAAUAUGAACCUGGAUUUAAUUGAGCUUAAUGGUCUCUGUUAUGGUUGACUUGUUCAAAUUGUCCAAUCACACACUGAUAUCAUAAUCUUAAUUAACUUUGUUUAUGAAUAUACAUUUGUUUGACCUUGGUUGGUGAUAUUUGACUAUGAAACUUUCUCACCAAAAAAAGUCAUCUUUGAAAAUUCUCUCACAUUUUCGUGUAAUCGUGUAAGAUUUCAUAUAGAUCCAUGUUGGACAAAUAAAAUCUAGAUGUAAAUUAUCUUGGAAGCUCAAUUGCACAUGUUUAUAGUCUUAGGGACAAAUUUGACUAAUUUCGAUACUUGAUGAAUUAUAGGUAUUGAAGCUAGGAAUGUGUUGCAGAAAAUAAUCUCUACACCACCUCUAUGUCAACCGAUUAAAAAAAAACUUGAACUUCCAAAGUUAUCUAUGGGUUGUGAAUUUUCUUGACUAAUUGAUGCUAUUUGAUCUUGUGUUUGAGGUUAUGAAAACAUUUUCAUGAAAUACAGAGCAAGAAGGUGAAAACUAUUAUGGAAAUAACACAUCUAAGUCCAUAUCAAUCUAAUGGUUAAAUGUCAUUAGUUUUGACAGUGAGGGAGAGAAGUUGAAAGGAGAUGAAAGUGAAACUAAAGACCACGAAUCAAAGUAUGAAUAAAUCGGUAAACAAAAGAUUACCCAUACUUGACGAACAAUUCCUACUCCAGAAUUUUAUCUGGACAUGAAUCAACUCGGUACACUUCUUUAUGAUUGGGUUGAGUUCAAACCCACUAGCAAUGACAACAUGAAUUUCAAUUCUAAUUUGUUUAAAAUUCUGGGAACAUUAGUAGAAGCGGUGGAAGAUCCAGAAUUGUAGGUUUAUUCAUUUCUUUUACAACUAAGAAGGACUACAAACAAGAGAUGCUUCCAUGGUUGCUUUUCAAUGUGUUUUAUCUUUUGGAGUUAUGGUGUAAUUCUAAAACAAUUGAGACGUUUGUAUCAUGUUCAUAAUAAUGAAUUAUUUACUCGUGACAUGAAGGCUCUUGGAUAUUUUUCUUAAGGGUUUAUCAUGUUAUAUUGAGAGUUUGAAUUUUAUUUGCUGCAGUGGGAAAAUUUCAUGUAAUCUGAAUUCUGAACCCGAUGUGUACAAGUUAAUGAGCCAAUUAUAAUGUAUUGAUCGAUCGCAAGUUAAUUUUGAUAUACUAGUAAACGAGUAAUCUAAAAUCUUACUUUUCGUGAUUAAUUACUUUUAAUUGGUUAAUUGAUCAGAAAAUCAGUAUACUGCUAGAGAGCAUGGGUUUACUUUAUUAUAAGUGAGACCCACAAAUAAAUGUUCGGAGUUUGUUGGAGAGAUAGGCACUUCUCUUACCUUAGAUCAAUGUAAAAUUUUAAUUGAAGAUUUCUUUACAAUCCACCAAUAUGAAAGUUGGUACUAUAUUCUUUUUCAAUGGGAUGGAAUGUUCAGAUGCUAUAGAAAAUGCAACAAUACAUGCAAAGACAGAGCGUUUUCAUGAUUUUACUAUUGAAUCACACCAGACCCUACAAGAGUUUUUCAUAGUAUAACUAAAAACUAAACAAAAUCGGGGGAGAAUUGAUAAGUGUAUUUUAUACACUUAUUUGGACUUAAAAAUAUCGACAUUUAAUAGAUGUUUAAGCAAUUUUAGCCUAAUUUAUUAUAUAUUUCAUUUAUUAGGUAAAAGUCGAUGACUGGAAGUUGAAUUGAAAGAAAGAAACGAAAAUGACUAAAAAUGGCAAAGUAUAAAAUUUUUGGGAUCAAAUUGAAAAUAUCUAAUUGUUGUGGACCACAUUUGAUACUUUGAAAAUUGAUAGAAGUCAAUUGGAUGCAAUUAGAAGUAAAAAAAGAAUAGAAUAUGAUUAGACUAUUACAAUCAAUUUUAGUCACAUAAGACAUAUUCCAGAUUUUUAGUCAAAUAUUGAGACCCAUUUUUAGCAUAGUAAAUUCCAAAUUGGAAAAAUUAUAUAUGUAACAAAAUUGUAACUCUUUGAGUUAGCUUUCUGAAGUAUUUUGAAUCAAUUCAAUCGGAUAAUGGGAGACAAGGUUAUGUUCAAAAUACUGACUGUUGUGCAGAGACAAAAAUCUGCACGCAAAGGUAACUUUCCUUAUUCGAUUGUAAUUCUUUUGAAAAUCAAUUUGGACGUGAUUUUCAACGAAUUUUCGACUCCUACAAAUACCUAACAGCAGAAAACAUUAAAGGAGCUCUCAUGCAUCUCUCAUAUACAUCUGAUACUCUAAUAUUGAUCAAUUAUUACCAUCAAAGGAGGAAAUUUCAUAGUUUUGUGAGAGAAUUGAAGGAGACUUGCAAGAAUUCAAUUAAGUGAAGAUUCAAACUUGAUUUUUGGGCAAAGAAAAGAGGACGCAAGUGGAGAUUCAUAGGGAAACUAUUGAAGAGAUUCAAAAUUCAUCUUCAUCUUCCCAAUUUAUCAAAAAUUCGGGUUAUGUCUUUCCACUUAAAUAUGAUUUCUUGUAAUUUCAAUAUGUUAGGCUCAUUUUAUACAUUACUAGGAUAAGAUGAACCCUUGUUAUGAUAUUUUUAGUUGUUAAUUAAUUAUUUUGACUUUAAUUUUGUUUAAUUUGUGAAUGUUUAUUAUCGUUUUUAUCAUUCUUUUUAAUUGUUUGAUCACCAAUUAAAUUGUUAGUGAAUUUUAUUGUCAUCGAGAGAGAUAAUUGGAUUUAAGCACAAUAUAAUAAACAUUAUAAGAUUCGAUAGAGAAUGGAGAUAUACCUCUAUACUUUAUGUGGUUUAAAUAUAUGUUCUAGCACUUAUUAAUGCAUUUAUCAUGUUUGUAUCGUUUAUCAGGUAAUAAAAAUGUCACAUGAGGGGAAUAUAUUUGAUCGCUAUCGAAAGAGCCUUUCGAUUAAAUUAGGAACAUUAACCAACAUGAAUAAUUUCAAAUUGUCAAUUUGAUUGUUACACCUAAAAAUAGAAUAACAAGGGGAAUUUGACAUCUUAGUCAUACUUUCGUAUAUUUGAAAAAACUCAUUAAAUCACUUUCUAGUUUAAUUAAUAAUUUAGAUAUUAGUUAGAAAAAUUACAACAACUUGUUUGCUAUUCGAUUAAAGUUGCAAUUAAUUUUAACUCGAUCAAAUAGGGUUCAACGCUCUAUUCACUACUUUAUUACUUGUUCACGAUCCCGUUCACUUGCGCGAAGUCAAACGAUCAAGAAAUGUGAGAUUAUAAUUUUACAUUAUGGAGCAUUCAUAACAUCAGCCCUCUUAGAUUUUCCGAUGGCAUGACGCUUUAUUCGAUCAAGAACAAGUUAUCGGCUAUUGACAAGUGAGCAAGCAUUACCGCUGAUUUUAAGUAACCAUUCCAUGAAUCCAAACAAAAUAAAGGACAAUAAAAAUGAAUACUUUCAGAUUUUAGAGAGAGGGAAGUAAACGGAGAUUCUUCGUUAAGUCCGACUCUAGGUACUGGAAAAUUUCCACCGUUGAUUCAUCAGGCAAAAGACCUUUUAUCCACAUAUAAAUAUUCAGAAGUUUCCAAUUGCUAACAUAAAGUCCAUGGUUGUAAACAAACAUGAUAGGUAACGUGUGCAGAAAUUCAGUUUCGACCCCAAAAAAGGAAAUUGUAAAGGAACAUAGAAAAGUCUAUAUUAGAUGAAAGUAUUUAUCUUAUGUGAACUACAGCAAUGAGCAGUAACCAUAAUUGAUAUCUUAGAAUGCUUAAUUCGAAGUUACAAGAAUCAUGAACGGUAGGAAAUAAACUGGGUGUAACUAUAAUUUUAAAAGUUCGGGGGUUUAACUGAAAUUUAAGAAAAUCUUGUAUCCUAGAUGGAAUUUUUCAUCUCUUGCAGCCUUUAGCUUCACGUGUAAUUAAAAUUGUCUAUGUGAAGAAAUCAAUCGAGAACUCUUCAUCUGAGGCCCUUUAGCUACUAAGAUUUUGGGCUUCUGUUUAUCUACCUCAUGUAAGCCAUUGAUUAAGCCGAAUCCCAACUCCAUAUCCAUUUCUUAUCUUGUUCAAAAUCUGUCACGAAAACCGAUACUAAUGAUAACAACAAACUAAGCCUUUUUUUUUUCUUUUUUUUUUUCAAAAAUAAUUUAUUGAUUCAACAAACUCUUCUUGUAUUCUAAGGGUCCAGUUUGGAGUUUAGGGGUAUCAAUUAUGGGUUUAUUUUAAAGUAUCGAUUCUGAGCAUUUAUAAACAGAUUGAUUUUAAUUGAUUUUAGUAGCAAUUUUUAAAAUGAUACAGUUUAUUAUCAAUUGAUCCAAAAAGUUUUUAAAAGAAUAAAAUUACAUAUAUGCUUCUUUGUGUAAUUUUUAAUUUAUAAUUACUUGUGUAAAUUUUUUUAUACAUAAGUGAUAUUUUAUUUUUAAGUAAUUUUUCACAUAUAAGUUAAGAUUUUCUUAAAAUUUUAAGUUAAUGUUUUUUUACUUAUAUAAAUUUUAUAAUUAUAAGUUAAUUUUGUACUUUUAAAUAUUUUUUACACAUAAGCAAAUUUUUUACUUAUAAGCAAUUUCACAUUUUAUAUGUGAAUUUUUAUUUUAGAGGUAGGAUUUUUUCUUUAUAAUUAAACAUUGUUUACACAAAAUGAUUUCUAUAUUAUGAGUGUUUUUUACUUUUGAGUGGUUCGUUGUUUGGGUUAAAAUGGACAAUAGAGUUUUGAAACUUGGUAAAAUAGACAGGUUCAAAGUAAAGAGUAUAAAAAUAUGAACUCAUGCGGGUUGGAUUUGAUAAUGGGAGAUCAUAACCAAGCAACAAACUAUAGAUACAAUAAAUGACAUGAUGAAUACAUUUGGUGUGUAGGGUAAUGAAAAAAAUUGAGGUCUACAGAGCAUGUGUUUAAGACUAUAAUGAAGGAUCUUGAAGAGUCAUAUGGGAAGAUUCUAGCAUAUUUGGACGUGUUGUGGGGAAAAUUUUGGGAUCUAUUACGAGCAUCGAGACUAAUGAAAAUUGCCAAUUCAGGCAUCUCUACAUGGAAUUGGGGCAUCGGUGAAAGGUUAGGAAUUUUUUAAGCCUAUAAUUGUUGUUGAUGGUAUGUCCUUGAUAGGACAUUAUGGUUGGGGGAAAAAUCACAUAUAACCAAGUAAAUAAAACUAAUUUAGUAAUACUGCACAUUAAUUUAUAUAUUAUUAAUACUGAAUUUUAAGAAAUAAUACACCAAAAUUACUUGCUCCAUAAAUUACUCGUACUUUUUAGUAACUGAAAUUCAAUAAUGGCAAAUAAUAUGCCCAUCAUUCAAUACAUUCAUCAUCAUUCACUCUUUCAAAAACAGAAAUCCACGAAAAGUUUAAAAUGAAACGCAACUUGGGUUUUUUGAACUGCAAGAUAAUGGAAUUCAUUUUUUCUUCUGCUGCUGAAACUCAAAAUAGGUUUCCUAUAUUCUUGUUGUUAAAGAUAACAUAUUUUGGGGAGAAGUAUCGAGCAAAUGGGACGAGAAUCGGGAAUCCUAUUGUUUCUUGGAGGGAUUCUAGGUAUAUGCAAUUUCCACCUUUACUAACGUACAAUCUUUCUAGGAGAGUGGCACUAAACUGGCCAAAAAGGACAGAGUGUACAGAUGCUGAUCCGAGAAAUUUUUUUUUUUUUAUUUUCGAUUGAGAUAUGAAAUAUUUGCCGGCUAUGUUUAAAAGAUUUGAUGGGUUUCUUUCAUCAUCUUCUUGAAAUGUUAAUAUGUGAGAAGAAAUUGUUAGUUCAAAAAUGUCUUAAUCAUCUUUCUCUUGACUUAAAAAGUACCAAAUCAUUCAUCUACUUUUGCUAUAAAUGAUUCCUUCGCUUUGAAAUGGCCUACAAUUUUACAAGUUUAACGUAAACUGAAAAAACUCAAAAUUCACAAUCAGGUGUGAUCCUGCUUGCAUUCCAUCGUAGAUUUGAAUUUCGAUUUUCACUACAAAUUUUGAUAUAGAAUUCUCAAAGAGAACGAUUUCUUUAUUUUACUAGUUUCUCUUUUGCAAAUUAAAAUUAUUCAAUAUUUUCAUGGAUGAAGGUAUGUUUCUUGAUCAAUUAUAUUUGUAUGUGAAAAUCAUGAAAUUCUAAGAUCUUGGUAUUAGGGAUUAAUUGCUUACAGUUUCAUCAAGUAACUAGAGUUGUUAAACAUUUUGAUCAUAAGAAGACAACAAGGAGACUCGAAAACAUCAGAGCAUUGACUAUAUUAAGAAAAGUUCGGUCUGAGUGAAAAGUAAAUCUUUGGUAAACAAUUAAAUGGCUAGGAUCUAAAGAGCCAUUAUAAACCCCAAAGACCGUCCACCCCAAUUAUCACUCCUUAACAAACCCCAAAUUUCUUCAAUUGUUAUUUUUGUUCCUAGAUACGGCCAUAUUUGAAGGCCAAGUACCAGCUCUAUCAAAAUUCAUGACAGCUUGUGUGAAAUUAAAUCAUUUAGAACCAUCGAAUCGAGUGAGAAAUAACCUAUAUAAAUUCGACACUACCUUCAAAGUUUGGUGAUGAACAAGUUAAGUGGAAAUCAUUGCAACACAAGAUAAACCCUCAGCCACUUGUACCCUCUUGUUCUUGUUUGGUGAAUUGAAAAAUGACUAGAGCAUGUGGGUUAUAAAUAUGGAAGAGUUUGAGUCGUAAAAUUAUUUAUUGAGAAAAUCUUAGUUGAAAAUAAGUUUGUGAAAAAAUAAUUAUGUAGGCAACAAUUGGUUAAAGAUUUGGGUAAAAUACACAAAUGUAUUAACAGCAAAAAAACUCCCCAAAGAUUUAUCAGUAUGCGAGGUACCCGUUCCAUAUUGGAAAUCACGGAAAUCACAGAAAUCCUUCAUUUUUGAAACCUUUUAUUCAAACUACCCUCUUAUGGUCAAUGUCCUUUAGUUUAAUAGUUAAAACAGUAAAAAAAAAGUCAAAAUAAAAAAAUAAUAAUAAUUGCAAUUGUAUUUACCAAACUUUUUUAUUUUACUUUAAAUUAUACCCAAAUUUUUUGUAUGUGCUAUCCGCAACUCCUAAACAUUUAAAAAUACUCAGAUCCAAGAAUCAAAGUCAAUUUCUAAAUAAAAAAUGAUAUAUAUAUACACACUCACACACACACAUAUAUAUAUAAACAAUCCAAGUCAAUCAGGAUCAGAGUCAGGGGUCCACAAGUGUGAAAUCCGCAUGGUGGAAUUGCAUUCUCGACACGAUCGCCAAAUUAAUAGAUUAGUCAGCUUAAUUUAUCAAAUUAAUAAUUAGAACAAUGCUACGUACAUAAUUUUUUAACCUAAUCUUUAUCAAUUGCUCACAAUGCAGGAUGGGGCCACAUUUGAAAAUUUUUAUAUUCACGGGGAGUCCGCAUGCAUUGUGAGAGGGGAUAACUUUUAGUGCAUUCUAUUCAAUACAAAUAAAAUUAUUCUAAUAAUUAUGAGGUCGAGUAUUUUACAUAAAAUGAGACCCACGAGAAAAUUUAAGAGCAUUGAAGAAAAGCCCAAAAAAUGUCGGCAAUUAUCAUUGCAGUUGCUCCUUUUGCUAUUCUGUCGCCUUCACCAGAAACCCAUCUGCCAAAUCGAAUUCAAGCUUAUUGACUCAAUUCCGGUAUUUUUUAUUUAUUUAUUUAUUUUUUGUUGGGUUCUAUGUCUUUUAAUUUCUUUUUAUUGAAAUAAAAAAAUUAUGCGGGUUUUGCGUUUAGCGAAAGUCUGGAAUGAAAUCAGAAAACCAGUUUUCAGUUCAAGAUGCCAAAAAGGCUACAUUCAAUUCUUUAGCUUGUGAGAGCAAGAGCAGCUAAAACUGCCGCUGCAAAGAACAUUGAGGUUGAAGUUGACAGGCCAUUAGGCUGCCGACAAUGGGGGCAAAAAUCAGGUGCUGGAGUGAUAAUCAUUGUGAGUAAUUUUUUAUUUCCACAUUUAGAUGCACAUUUGUUCAUGAAUUUGAGAGUUUGAUGACUAUCAUUUGUAAUGAUAUUUUUUUUUCCAGGGUCGAAAAAAUAAAUUGUCAAAAUGUGGGAAGCUAAGUCAGAAGCAGCUAAUACAGUCAGCUAUGCCAACUAGAUUGAAGAGUCAGCACUGCCAAAGGGGAUUGGAAGGUUCCCGAAGAAGAUAAGCUGGAGGAAAUCUCAUGUGCUUUUCUGUUGUGAAAUUUAUUGCAAGAUUCCUUUACUUGUUGUAUAAAUAGUAGGCAGGUUGGAUUGUAUAAUAUACGACCAGAAAAUCAGAAUUAUUCAGAUGUAUCUUCUUCUACAAAUUUCUAAUUCAAUUCUUCAUAGUUGAACCGUCUUCUUCCUACAUUUCAUAUUUCUUUUAUGGUAUCAGAGCCAUUAUGACCCAAAAUGACCUUCAAAUGUCAAUGAUAAUCAAGAUCAAUCCUCAAAUGCAAACAAUCAGAGCCAACCUCCAAAUACAAAUAUAGAUCCCGUUGAUCCAUCUCAGCCAAAUAGUCCAUUCUUUAUUGGAGCAAAUGAUAAUUCUGGUGCAUUACUUGUUACUCAGAUGCUGGAUUCCAGCAACCAUUAUUCCUGGGCAAGGUCUAUGAAAAGGGCCCUUUGAAUCAAAAACAAGUUGGGAUUCAUUGAUGAUGCAACUAGCCCUUUGACAGAUCAUUGGCUUCGAUGCAAUGAUAUUGUUAUCNNNNNNNNNNNNNNNNNNNNNNNNNNNNNNNNNNNNNNNNNNNNNNNNNNNNNNNNNNNNNNNNNNNNNNNNNNNNNNNNNNNNNNNNNNNNNNNNNNNNNNNNNNNNNNNNNNNNNNNNNNNNNNNNNNNNNNNNNNNNNNNNNNNNNNNNNNNNNNNNNNNNNNNNNNNNNNNNNNNNNNNNNNNNNNNNNNNNNNNNNNNNNNNNNNNNNNNNNNNNNNNNNNNNNNNNNNNNNNNNNNNNNNNNNNNNNNNNNNNNNNNNNNNNNNNNNNNNNNNNNNNNNNNNNNNNNNNNNNNNNNNNNNNNNNNNNNNNNNNNNNNNNNNNNNNNNNNNNNNNNNNNNNNNNNNNNNNNNNNNNNNNNNNNNNNNNNNNNNNNNNNNNNNNNNNNNNNNNNNNNNNNNNNNNNNNNNNNNNNNNNNNNNNNNNNNNNNNNNNNNNNNNNNNNNNNNNNNNNNNNNNNNNNNNNNNNNNNNNNNNNNNNNNNNNNNNNNNNNNNNNNNNNNNNNNNNNNNNNNNNNNNNNNNNNNNNNNNNNNNNNNNNNNNNNNNNNNNNNNNNNNNNNNNNNNNNNNNNNNNNNNNNNNNNNNNNNNNNNNNNNNNNNNNNNNNNNNNNNNNNNNNNNNNNNNNNNNNNNNNNNNNNNNNNNNNNNNNNNNNNNNNNNNNNNNNNNNNNNNNNNNNNNNNNNNNNNNNNNNNNNNNNNNNNNNNNNNNNNNNNNNNNNNNNNNNNNNNNNNNNNNNNNNNNNNNNNNNNNNNNNNNNNNNNNNNNNNNNNNNNNNNNNNNNNNNNNNNNNNNNNNNNNNNNNNNNNNNNNNNNNNNNNNNNNNNNNNNNNNNNNNNNNNNNNNNNNNNNNNNNNNNNNNNNNNNNNNNNNNNNNNNNNNNNNNNNNNNNNNNNNNNNNNNNNNNNNNNNNNNNNNNNNNNNNNNNNNNNNNNNNNNNNNNNNNNNNNNNNNNNNNNNNNNNNNNNNNNNNNNNNNNNNNNNNNNNNNNNNNNNNNNNNNNNNNNNNNNNNNNNNNNNNNNNNNNNNNNNNNNNNNNNNNNNNNNNNNNNNNNNNNNNNNNNNNNNNNNNNNNNNNNNNNNNNNNNNNNNNNNNNNNNNNNNNNNNNNNNNNNNNNNNNNNNNNNNNNNNNNNNNNNNNNNNNNNNNNNNNNNNNNNNNNNNNNNNNNNNNNNNNNNNNNNNNNNNNNNNNNNNNNNNNNNNNNNNNNNNNNNNNNNNNNNNNNNNNNNNNNNNNNNNNNNNNNNNNNNNNNNNNNNNNNNNNNNNNNNNNNNNNNNNNNNNNNNNNNNNNNNNNNNNNNNNNNNNNNNNNNNNNNNNNNNNNNNNNNNNNNNNNNNNNNNNNNNNNNNNNNNNNNNNNNNNNNNNNNNNNNNNNNNNNNNNNNNNNNNNNNNNNNNNNNNNNNNNNNNNNNNNNNNNNNNNNNNNNNNNNNNNNNNNGACCUUGAAUCAAAUAGGAUUUUUAUUUCUAGAAAUGUUCUCUUCCAUGAAGAUAAUUUCCCUUACAAAAAUCGGAAUACAGAACCUGAUCAAAUCAUAGGGUCUAAGCACAUUCUUCCAAGCCCUAAUGAACUAGUCUAUUCUCUUCCAACAAGUGUUGAUUUGAACUACCCUGUAAAUCAAACCUCUCAGUCUUCAACAUAAUCUUCAGGAAGCAUGCAGCAGAUCAAUGAUAAUCUAAAUCCAAGUACUUCAACUGAACCAUCCGAUUCCUCCCAAAGCAUCUCGAUAACUCCUAUAACUCCUUAUCAACCUCGCAUGUCUACUAGGAACAGGAGAGCUCCUUCAUACUUGCAGGAUUUUGUGUGUCAGCAAGCCACCUCACUACCCCAUUCACAAGAGUUGGACAAGGAUAAAGGUUUUGCUACACCAGGUGCCCCUUUUCCUUUAUGUGCUACUUUGUCAUAUCAUAAACUAUCUAAACCACACAAAGCUUUUAUCACAUCUAUUUCCACACACAGAGAACCUAAUUCAUAUCAGGAGGUUGUCAAGUGUCGUGAAUGGAGAGAUGCCAUGAAUGCUGAGAUAAAGGCUCUAGAGUUGAAUGAUACUUGGGUUGUGACAGACUUGCCACCUGGAAAGGUAGCUAUAAGAUGUAAGUGGGUUUACAAAAUCAAGUUCAAUGCAGAUGGGACAGUGGAAAGGAACAAAGCUAGAAUAGUAGCAAAGGGAUAUACGCAAGUUGAAGGCCUUGACUACCAUGAAACCUUUUCACCUGUGGCGAAGAUGGUGACUGUGAGGACUCUACUUGCUGUGGCAGCAAUCAAGGGCUGGCACUUACAUCAACUAGAUGUUAACAAUGCGUUCUUACAUGGAGAUUUGGAUGAGGAAGUUUAUAUGGAGCUUCUACCGGGCUAUCUUGCAAGUGAUCAGGCAAAGGUGUGCAAACUUAACAAAAGUUUGUAUGGACCAAAACAGGCUUCUCGACAAUGGUACUCAAAGUUGUCAUCUUUUAUUCUUCAACAAGGAUUUCAACAAUCUAAGUNNNNNNNNNNNNNNNNNNNNNNNNNNNNNNNNNNNNNNNNNNNNNNNNNNNNNNNNNNNNNNNNNNNNNNNNNNNNNNNNNNNNNNNNNNNNNNNNNNNNNNNNNNNNNNNNNNNNNNNNNNNNNNNNNNNNNNNNNNNNNNNNNNNNNNNNNNNNNNNNNNNNNNNNNNNNNNNNNNNNNNNNNNNNNNNNNNNNNNNNNNNNNNNNNNNNNNNNNNNNNNNNNNNNNNNNNNNNNNNNNNNNNNNNNNNNNNNNNNNNNNNNNNNNNNNNNNNNNNNNNNNNNNNNNNNNNNNNNNNNNNNNNNNNNNNNNNNNNNNNNNNNNNNNNNNNNNNNNNNNNNNNNNNNNNNNNNNNNNNNNNNNNNNNNNNNNNNNNNNNNNNNNNNNNNNNNNNNNNNNNNNNNNNNNNNNNNNNNNNNNNNNNNNNNNNNNNNNNNNNNNNNNNNNNNNNNNNNNNNNNNNNNNNNNNNNNNNNNNNNNNNNNNNNNNNNNNNNNNNNNNNNNNNNNNNNNNNNNNNNNNNNNNNNNNNNNNNNNNNNNNNNNNNNNNNNNNNNNNNNNNNNNNNNNNNNNNNNNNNNNNNNNNNNNNNNNNNNNNNNNNNNNNNNNNNNNNNNNNNNNNNNNNNNNNNNNNNNNNNNNNNNNNNNNNNNNNNNNNNNNNNNNNNNNNNNNNNNNNNNNNNNNNNNNNNNNNNNNNNNNNNNNNNNNNNNNNNNNNNNNNNNNNNNNNNNNNNNNNNNNNNNNNNNNNNNNNNNNNNNNNNNNNNNNNNNNNNNNNNNNNNNNNNNNNNNNNNNNNNNNNNNNNNNNNNNNNNNNNNNNNNNNNNNNNNNNNNNNNNNNNNNNNNNNNNNNNNNNNNNNNNNNNNNNNNNNNNNNNNNNNNNNNNNNNNNNNNNNNNNNNNNNNNNNNNNNNNNNNNNNNNNNNNNNNNNNNNNNNNNNNNNNNNNNNNNNNNNNNNNNNNNNNNNNNNNNNNNNNNNNNNNNNNNNNNNNNNNNNNNNNNNNNNNNNNNNNNNNNNNNNNNNNNNNNNNNNNNNNNNNNNNNNNNNNNNNNNNNNNNNNNNNNNNNNNNNNNNNNNNNNNNNNNNNNNNNNNNNNNNNNNNNNNNNNNNNNNNNNNNNNNNUCAAAAUGUGGGAAGCAAAGUCAGAAACAGCCAAUACAGUCAGCUAUACCAACUAGAUUGAAGAGUCAGCACUGCCAAAGGGGAUUGGAAGGUUCCCGAAGAAGAUAAGCUGGAGGAAAUCCCAUGUGCUUUUCUGUUGUGGAAUUUGUUGCAAGAUUCCUUUACUUGUUGUAUAAAUAGUAGAUAGGUUGGAUUGUAUAAUAUACGACCAGAAAAUCAGAAUUAUUCAGAUGUAUCUUCUUCUACAAAUUUCUAAUUCAAUUCUUCAUAGUUGAACCGUCUUCUUCCUACAUUUCAUAUUUCUUUUAUAAAUAUUCAAUUGAUUUACACUCGAAAGAUUUAGACUGAAUAAAUUCAGAAUCUAGGGUAAAGAAUGAUUUUUUUCGAAGACUUAAUGAGAAGUAUUGAAAUACAAAUUUAAAACUAUGAAAAGCUGGAUAGGUUUUCUUGUUGUUGAACUGUAAAUACGAAUUUGGAAUGGUGGGUAGGGGAAGAGGAUAAAGUGGAUGGGGUGGGAUGGAAAAUAAAGGUUUAAAGGUUUGAAAUUGUGGACGGUACAUAUAAAAUAUUUUGAGUAUAAUUUGCGAAAAAAUAAAAAGUUUGGGCACUACAACUGCAAUUAUUUCAUUUUAAUUUUGACAUUUUAAACUUUUUUUAACGGUUAAACUAAUAGUUAUUAAUUUCAAACAAAAGGUUUUAAACAUGUGGGUUUUUUACGAUUUCCAAUAAACAGAGAGUAUAUUACACAUAGACAAGUUUCAGGGGACUUGGGAGUUUUGCUAUUAAUCCACCCACCCAUAGUUAUUGAAUUUCACCCUUAUUUGCAAUAUAGUUAUUGAACUUUAAUUUAUUUCAAGCAAUUAGGUUAGGCCAUUACAUUAGCCUUCUAUUAAACGACUUAACAAAACUUGUACAGUGACAAUAAAAGUAACCAAAUCUCCAUUCAAUACAUCAGGUCAACAUUUCACACUCGAUCACUAAACUUUUAAUUUGUAUCAAUCACACUGAACUUUUAAUUUCAAAGUUCUAAAAAGCGUUUGUUAAUUUUAAUAUUAUUUUAAAUCUAUUAAAUAAAAAAAUCACUACAACAGAUUUUACUUUUUACGGCAUGCAUUGCAUGCCUUAAAAAGUAGUUUACGACAUACAGUUUAUGCCGUAUAAAGUCAUAUUUAAUGCAUGCCGUAAAAAACAAGAAGCACGCCGUUAACAAACUAUUUUUGACAUGAGUCUGCAUGCCAUAAAUGCUUAACCUUUUUUGACAUGAGUCUGCAUGCCAUAAAUAAGAUAGUAUUUUUUAAGGCAAACAUUUUUGUGUCAAUUUUUCUCUUUGGACUGGAUAAUUGAAAAGCCCAAUUUUCAAUUUUACCAAAGAAAAUGAAAAUAUUGGACUGGCCCAAAAUUCCAGUACACGGCAUCUUUUACAGCAUGCAAAGAAUGUAUGCCGUAAAUAUUCGAUCUUUAAGGCGUGCAAAAAAUGUAUGCCGUAAAUAUUAUAAGUAAUUUAUCAAUUACGGCAUGCAUUUAAGGCAUGCCGUAAAUAGUCUAUUUUUACGGCAUGCGUUUUUUGCAUGCCGUAAAAAGUUCAUUUUGUUGUAGUGAAUAAUCCAUAUCAUAUAACUAAAAUAAUAAAACCUUUAAUUACUUAAUAAUUUCCACAACUAAAAAAUUUAUAGUUUUCAAAAAUUAGUUAAUUCGAAAUUCCAAUUAGACACUUUCUACUUGAUAUAACGUAAUAAAUAUUAAUUAGAAUAUUUGAAAUUGUCUAAUUUUGAAAUCUUAAAAAUUAUCUAGCUGUAAAAUUAUUAAGUAAUAUGAUUUUAUUAUUUAUUAUUGUUUUAUUAUUUUAUUGGUUGUUUGAUAUGCAUUACUUUAUUUAUUUAAUGAUCUUAAAAUAAUUAAAAUAUUAUUAAAAAUUAAAAAUAGUUUCUGAUACCUUGGAAUUAAGCUCAGUGGUGUAAUUUCUCAGAAUUAAAGUUCAGUGAUCGUUGGUAAAAUUAACUUUGCUUACUUGAUAGAACAUGUGAAGAUUGUGUUACUUCUGUCGGUCACUUUCCCUAUGUUAAGUGAUUUAAUGGAAAGUAAAAGGAGUGACUUAAUUACUCACAAAUUAAAGUAUAUUUUUAUGAUUGCUUUGAAUUAAGCCCAGUGGCCUGAUUUCAAGUAACAGUAGAGUAAAUAAAAUUUACUCAUUAUGAAUCACAAAGAAGGUAGUCAUUUAAUUGGACUUUUACCUGGCUUAUAAUCAAACACCACAUAAUGGGAUCAACUAAACUAGAGGGGGUUAUUCACUUAUUCUGAACAUAUUACUCAAAAACAAUUGUCUCUUGCUUAAUGGAAUAAGCUACUCAUUUUCAUCCCAUUGUAAGCAGAAAAUCAAACAUAAUUGUUCGCGACCCAUAGCUAAAACUGUUAACAUACAUACUAUGAUGGGUUUUUAUUUAAAUUCUUAUUAUGGGCUUCAUAUUAAGUGAUAAUUAUAUUAGGGCUAUCUAAAUUUCAUAGGGCCAAAUAAGUUAUCUAUUAAUUGGGCUCUAGAGAUAUCUGUUGAGUAUGGACUUUAAUGUGUAGAAACCCGAUACUAAUUGAAUUAGGGUUAAUGGGACUUUAAUUUGAGUUAGUAUAUAAGGAUAAUUAUUAGAGUUUGUUGGAAAAAUGGUUAUGAAAUUGGUCAACUUUAAACCCAAAUUUUAGUAGGAUCCACCUUUUAAUUAAUACGGGACCUAGCAUAUUCACGUUCUACUCCGCGAUAUGAUUAUCGUGAUAUGUUUAUUUGUCGAAAAUCAUUUAGAAUUGAAUAAAAUAUUAAGUGUUAAACUAACUCACAUAAAACUAAGUAUUAUGGAAGAAUUUGAUUUUUCGAAUACUUAUCCCACAUAGGAAAGUUAGGAAACUUUGGUGUGGUUUAUAAGGUGGGAGUUUGAGAAUUGAGUUUGAGCCUCAAUGAGUACCAAUAGUCUUUGGAAAGGGAAAGACCUAUAUCCUAUUGGGUUCGGUCAUAAACCCACACGCUCGGACUGCCGCCGUCCGACACGACACGAGCACGUGUUAGAGUCCGGUUCGAGUGGGGGUGGACCUUUGCACUAAAUUAACUUUUUGGACAAAAUUUAUUUAAAUUUUUGGGCCAAAUUGUAAAUAAUCAAAUUCUUGGGUACAUUAUGAAAUUUAAAUUAUGGCUUAUUCCGGGUUAUUUUUUGGUCUGGAUGAAAACAGUCGUCUGUUAACCGACCAAGCAGCGGACUGUUAACCGACUUAACUGACGCAACUUUAGAACAAUGUGUCUGUUUCGGGUUUUUGAGGUUUGUCUGAAAGGUGACGACUGUUCGAAUGGCCACGAACAAGUCUAUAAAUAGCCUGCCUCUCUGCCAGAAAAUUCACACCAUUUUUCAUUGCAAAUAUUCUGUGCUUUGAAUCUUAUUCUCGUCUCUCUCAUUCUAAUAUUGUUUCGAAGUCAUAUACACUUCGUUGAGUUCGUUGGAACUCCUACAGAUUGCAGUGUUGCUUCCAUAGGAGACGAAAAUUCGUUCUAUCCUGGGAAACAAUUGCUGGACGCUUUUAGCAUCAUUGAAGGCAGCAAAUUCAUUUUAAAGAAAUAUUGUGAAGUCGGUGGGCUCGAAUUACAUUUUGGAUCCUGUUGAUCAUUUCUUACAUUUUGGAUCCAAUUUUCGAAGGAGUAACUUCAAAUUCUAAAAACAACAAUCUUAAAACGAAUUUUCUAUUAUUUUGUUUCUGUUUCUACUCCUUCUUUCAGUUGAUUUUCUGAUUGUGUUUUAGAAAUGGCAAGUUCUGGUACCACACUCCCGAAUACGACCGGGGAAAAAUUAGAAAAAUUUAAUGGGUAAGAUUGCAAGCGUUGGCAACAAAAAAUGCUUUUUUUAUGUGACNNNNNNNNNNNNNNNNNNNNNNNNNNNNNNNNNNNNNNNNNNNNNNNNNNNNNNNNNNNNNNNNNNNNNNNNNNNNNNNNNNNNNNNNNNNNNNNNNNNNNNNNNNNNNNNNNNNNNNNNNNNNNNNNNNNNNNNNNNNNNNNNNNNNNNNNNNNNNNNNNNNNNNNNNNNNNNNNNNNNNNNNNNNNNNNNNNNNNNNNNNNNNNNNNNNNNNNNNNNNNNNNNNNNNNNNNNNNNNNNNNNNNNNNNNNNNNNNNNNNNNNNNNNNNNNNNNNNNNNNNNNNNNNNNNNNNNNNNNNNNNNNNNNNNNNNNNNNNNNNNNNNNNNNNNNNNNNNNNNNNNNNNNNNNNNNNNNNNNNNNNNNNNNNNNNNNNNNNNNNNNNNNNNNNNNNNNNNNNNNNNNNNNNNNNNNNNNNNNNNNNNNNNNNNNNNNNNNNNNNNNNNNNNNNNNNNNNNNNNNNNNNNNNNNNNNNNNNNNNNNNNNNNNNNNNNNNNNNNNNNNNNNNNNNNNNNNNNNNNNNNNNNNNNNNNNNNNNNNNNNNNNNNNNNNNNNNNNNNNNNNNNNNNNNNNNNNNNNNNNNNNNNNNNNNNNNNNNNNNNNNNNNNNNNNNNNNNNNNNNNNNNNNNNNNNNNNNNNNNNNNNNNNNNNNNNNNNNNNNNNNNNNNNNNNNNNNNNNNNNNNNNNNNNNNNNNNNNNNNNNNNNNNNNNNNNNNNNNNNNNNNNNNNNNNNNNNNNNNNNNNNNNNNNNNNNNNNNNNNNNNNNNNNNNNNNNNNNNNNNNNNNNNNNNNNNNNNNNNNNNNNNNNNNNNNNNNNNNNNNNNNNNNNNNNNNNNNNNNNNNNNNNNNNNNNNNNNNNNNNNNNNNNNNNNNNNNNNNNNNNNNNNNNNNNNNNNNNNNNNNNNNNNNNNNNNNNNNNNNNNNNNNNNNNNNNNNNNNNNNNNNNNNNNNNNNNNNNNNNNNNNNNNNNNNNNNNNNNNNNNNNNNNNNNNNNNNNNNNNNNNNNNNNNNNNNNNNNNNNNNNNNNNNNNNNNNNNNNNNNNNNNNNNNNNNNNNNNNNNNNNNNNNNNNNNNNNNNNNNNNNNNNNNNNNNNNNNNNNNNNNNNNNNNNNNNNNNNNNNNNNNNNNNNNNNNNNNNNNNNNNNNNNNNNNNNNNNNNNNNNNNNNNNNNNNNNNNNNNNNNNNNNNNNNNNNNNNNNNNNNNNNNNNNNNNNNNNNNNNNNNNNNNNNNNNNNNNNNNNNNNNNNNNNNNNNNNNNNNNNNNNNNNNNNNNNNNNNNNNNNNNNNNNNNNNNNNNNNNNNNNNNNNNNNNNNNNNNNNNNNNNNNNNNNNNNNNNNNNNNNNNNNNNNNNNNNNNNNNNNNNNNNNNNNNNNNNNNNNNNNNNNNNNNNNNNNNNNNNNNNNNNNNNNNNNNNNNNNNNNNNNNNNNNNNNNNNNNNNNNNNNNNNNNNNNNNNNNNNNNNNNNNNNNNNNNNNNNNNNNNNNNNNNNNNNNNNNNNNNNNNNNNNNNNNNNNNNNNNNNNNNNNNNNNNNNNNNNNNNNNNNNNNNNNNNNNNNNNNNNNNNNNNNNNNNNNNNNNNNNNNNNNNNNNNNNNNNNNNNNNNNNNNNNNNNNNNNNNNNNNNNNNNNNNNNNNNNNNNNNNNNNNNNNNNNNNNNNNNNNNNNNNNNNNNNNNNNNNNNNNNNNNNNNNNNNNNNNNNNNNNNNNNNNNNNNNNNNNNNNNNNNNNNNNNNNNNNNNNNNNNNNNNNNNNNNNNNNNNNNNNNNNNNNNNNNNNNNNNNNNNNNNNNNNNNNNNNNNNNNNNNNNNNNNNNNNNNNNNNNNNNNNNNNNNNNNNNNNNNNNNNNNNNNNNNNNNNNNNNNNNNNNNNNNNNNNNNNNNNNNNNNNNNNNNNNNNNNNNNNNNNNNNNNNNNNNNNNNNNNNNNNNNNNNNNNNNNNNNNNNNNNNNNNNNNNNNNNNNNNNNNNNNNNNNNNNNNNNNNNNNNNNNNNNNNNNNNNNNNNNNNNNNNNNNNNNNNNNNNNNNNNNNNNNNNNNNNNNNNNNNNNNNNNNNNNNNNNNNNNNNNNNNNNNNNNNNNNNNNNNNNNNNNNNNNNNNNNNNNNNNNNNNNNNNNNNNNNNNNNNNNNNNNNNNNNNNNNNNNNNNNNNNNNNNNNNNNNNNNNNNNNNNNNNNNNNNNNNNNNNNNNNNNNNNNNNNNNNNNNNNNNNNNNNNNNNNNNNNNNNNNNNNNNNNNNNNNNNNNNNNNNNNNNNNNNNNNNNNNNNNNNNNNNNNNNNNNNNNNNNNNNNNNNNNNNNNNNNNNNNNNNNNNNNNNNNNNNNNNNNNNNNNNNNNNNNNNNNNNNNNNNNNNNNNNNNNNNNNNNNNNNNNNNNNNNNNNNNNNNNNNNNNNNNNNNNNNNNNNNNNNNNNNNNNNNNNNNNNNNNNNNNNNNNNNNNNNNNNNNNNNNNNNNNNNNNNNNNNNNNNNNNNNNNNNNNNNNNNNNNNNNNNNNNNNNNNNNNNNNNNNNNNNNNNNNNNNNNNNNNNNNNNNNNNNNNNNNNNNNNNNNNNNNNNNNNNNNNNNNNNNNNNNNNNNNNNNNNNNNNNNNNNNNNNNNNNNNNNNNNNNNNNNNNNNNNNNNNNNNNNNNNNNNNNNNNNNNNNNNNNNNNNNNNNNNNNNNNNNNNNNNNNNNNNNNNNNNNNNNNNNNNNNNNNNNNNNNNNNNNNNNNNNNNNNNNNNNNNNNNNNNNNNNNNNNNNNNNNNNNNNNNNNNNNNNNNNNNNNNNNNNNNNNNNNNNNNNNNNNNNNNNNNNNNNNNNNNNNNNNNNNNNNNNNNNNNNNNNNNNNNNNNNNNNNNNNNNNNNNNNNNNNNNNNNNNNNNNNNNNNNNNNNNNNNNNNNNNNNNNNNNNNNNNNNNNNNNNNNNNNNNNNNNNNNNNNNNNNNNNNNNNNNNNNNNNNNNNNNNNNNNNNNNNNNNNNNNNNNNNNNNNNNNNNNNNNNNNNNNNNNNNNNNNNNNNNNNNNNNNNNNNNNNNNNNNNNNNNNNNNNNNNNNNNNNNNNNNNNNNNNNNNNNNNNNNNNNNNNNNNNNNNNNNNNNNNNNNNNNNNNNNNNNNNNNNNNNNNNNNNNNNNNNNNNNNNNNNNNNNNNNNNNNNNNNNNNNNNNNNNNNNNNNNNNNNNNNNNNNNNNNNNNNNNNNNNNNNNNNNNNNNNNNNNNNNNNNNNNNNNNNNNNNNNNNNNNNNNNNNNNNNNNNNNNNNNNNNNNNNNNNNNNNNNNNNNNNNNNNNNNNNNNNNNNNNNNNNNNNNNNNNNNNNNNNNNNNNNNNNNNNNNNNNNNNNNNNNNNNNNNNNNNNNNNNNNNNNNNNNNNNNNNNNNNNNNNNNNNNNNNNNNNNNNNNNNNNNNNNNNNNNNNNNNNNNNNNNNNNNNNNNNNNNNNNNNNNNNNNNNNNNNNNNNNNNNNNNNNNNNNNNNNNNNNNNNNNNNNNNNNNNNNNNNNNNNNNNNNNNNNNNNNNNNNNNNNNNNNNNNNNNNNNNNNNNNNNNNNNNNNNNNNNNNNNNNNNNNNNNNNNNNNNNNNNNNNNNNNNNNNNNNNNNNNNNNNNNNNNNNNNNNNNNNNNNNNNNNNNNNNNNNNNNNNNNNNNNNNNNNNNNNNNNNNNNNNNNNNNNNNNNNNNNNNNNNNNNNNNNNNNNNNNNNNNNNNNNNNNNNNNNNNNNNNNNNNNNNNNNNNNNNNNNNNNNNNNNNNNNNNNNNNNNNNNNNNNNNNNNNNNNNNNNNNNNNNNNNNNNNNNNNNNNNNNNNNNNNNNNNNNNNNNNNNNNNNNNNNNNNNNNNNNNNNNNNNNNNNNNNNNNNNNNNNNNNNNNNNNNNNNNNNNNNNNNNNNNNNNNNNNNNNNNNNNNNNNNNNNNNNNNNNNNNNNNNNNNNNNNNNNNNNNNNNNNNNNNNNNNNNNNNNNNNNNNNNNNNNNNNNNNNNNNNNNNNNNNNNNNNNNNNNNNNNNNNNNNNNNNNNNNNNNNNNNNNNNNNNNNNNNNNNNNNNNNNNNNNNNNNNNNNNNNNNNNNNNNNNNNNNNNNNNNNNNNNNNNNNNNNNNNNNNNNNNNNNNNNNNNNNNNNNNNNNNNNNNNNNNNNNNNNNNNNNNNNNNNNNNNNNNNNNNNNNNNNNNNNNNNNNNNNNNNNNNNNNNNNNNNNNNNNNNNNNNNNNNNNNNNNNNNNNNNNNNNNNNNNNNNNNNNNNNNNNNNNNNNNNNNNNNNNNNNNNNNNNNNNNNNNNNNNNNNNNNNNNNNNNNNNNNNNNNNNNNNNNNNNNNNNNNNNNNNNNNNNNNNNNNNNNNNNNNNNNNNNNNNNNNNNNNNNNNNNNNNNNNNNNNNNNNNNNNNNNNNNNNNNNNNNNNNNNNNNNNNNNNNNNNNNNNNNNNNNNNNNNNNNNNNNNNNNNNNNNNNNNNNNNNNNNNNNNNNNNNNNNNNNNNNNNNNNNNNNNNNNNNNNNNNNNNNNNNNNNNNNNNNNNNNNNNNNNNNNNNNNNNNNNNNNNNNNNNNNNNNNNNNNNNNNNNNNNNNNNNNNNNNNNNNNNNNNNNNNNNNNNNNNNNNNNNNNNNNNNNNNNNNNNNNNNNNNNNNNNNNNNNNNNNNNNNNNNNNNNNNNNNNNNNNNNNNNNNNNNNNNNNNNNNNNNNNNNNNNNNNNNNNNNNNNNNNNNNNNNNNNNNNNNNNNNNNNNNNNNNNNNNNNNNNNNNNNNNNNNNNNNNNNNNNNNNNNNNNNNNNNNNNNNNNNNNNNNNNNNNNNNNNNNNNNNNNNNNNNNNNNNNNNNNNNNNNNNNNNNNNNNNNNNNNNNNNNNNNNNNNNNNNNNNNNNNNNNNNNNNNNNNNNNNNNNNNNNNNNNNNNNNNNNNNNNNNNNNNNNNNNNNNNNNNNNNNNNNNNNNNNNNNNNNNNNNNNNNNNNNNNNNNNNNNNNNNNNNNNNNNNNNNNNNNNNNNNNNNNNNNNNNNNNNNNNNNNNNNNNNNNNNNNNNNNNNNNNNNNNNNNNNNNNNNNNNNNNNNNNNNNNNNNNNNNNNNNNNNNNNNNNNNNNNNNNNNNNNNNNNNNNNNNNNNNNNNNNNNNNNNNNNNNNNNNNNNNNNNNNNNNNNNNNNNNNNNNNNNNNNNNNNNNNNNNNNNNNNNNNNNNNNNNNNNNNNNNNNNNNNNNNNNNNNNNNNNNNNNNNNNNNNNNNNNNNNNNNNNNNNNNNNNNNNNNNNNNNNNNNNNNNNNNNNNNNNNNNNNNNNNNNNNNNNNNNNNNNNNNNNNNNNNNNNNNNNNNNNNNNNNNNNNNNNNNNNNNNNNNNNNNNNNNNNNNNNNNNNNNNNNNNNNNNNNNNNNNNNNNNNNNNNNNNNNNNNNNNNNNNNNNNNNNNNNNNNNNNNNNNNNNNNNNNNNNNNNNNNNNNNNNNNNNNNNNNNNNNNNNNNNNNNNNNNNNNNNNNNNNNNNNNNNNNNNNNNNNNNNNNNNNNNNNNNNNNNNNNNNNNNNNNNNNNNNNNNNNNNNNNNNNNNNNNNNNNNNNNNNNNNNNNNNNNNNNNNNNNNNNNNNNNNNNNNNNNNNNNNNNNNNNNNNNNNNNNNNNNNNNNNNNNNNNNNNNNNNNNNNNNNNNNNNNNNNNNNNNNNNNNNNNNNNNNNNNNNNNNNNNNNNNNNNNNNNNNNNNNNNNNNNNNNNNNNNNNNNNNNNNNNNNNNNNNNNNNNNNNNNNNNNNNNNNNNNNNNNNNNNNNNNNNNNNNNNNNNNNNNNNNNNNNNNNNNNNNNNNNNNNNNNNNNNNNNNNNNNNNNNNNNNNNNNNNNNNNNNNNNNNNNNNNNNNNNNNNNNNNNNNNNNNNNNNNNNNNNNNNNNNNNNNNNNNNNNNNNNNNNNNNNNNNNNNNNNNNNNNNNNNNNNNNNNNNNGGUUUUAUUUUGAUUCAGGAAAAAAAAUUUGUUGAAUCUGAUUCAUGAUUACAGCUGCCAUAUAACAGUGAAUUGAAACUGUUGAAUAUAAUUCAUAAUUGCUGCGGCCAGUUUGAUGAAUUCGUUCAAAUGGAUUCAGAUUCCAAUUUUGAUAAAUUCCAUUUGUUUAUCUAUUUGCGGAUACCACAUGAAAUUGAAUAAUUGUUGAAUCCAAUUUUUUAAUCAUGGAAGCCAUGUGACAAUGGCCUAUUUAUUGAAACCCAGUAGAGCCAUUGUGAAAUUGAUUUUGAUGGCUGCAAUACCCUUUUUGGGGGGCUUGAAUUUGAGUGCCAUUUUGUGGGUUUUUAAUAUGGGCGAGCCGAAACCCAUUUGGACGUAAAAAAUAAAAAAUAAAAAAAAGAAAAGAAAAUGAUUACUGUGUGGAUGCUGCCAGCUUCUUGAUAUGGAAAGAUGAAGCAUUUAUUACUGCAUUUGUUGGUCUUGCCGGUGCAAAGAAACUAUUUCUUGGUCAGCAUGGUUGAUAAUGAUUACAAAAACGGUGACAUCUUCGCCAUGUUUAAUAGACAGAACCAAAAUACAUUGUUGAGAACCGAAAAUCAACUGAUUUGACAUGGAAUACCUAUACAAUUAUCUUAUUUGGUGGGGAUUAAAAUUAAAUUUUUAGUAGGUUCUGAUAAAAGUUUUAAAAUGUGUUUGUUUUUAUACCAUCCAACGGCCUGUUUUUAACGCGGAUGGGACCAUCUCGAUUGACCAAACCAAUUCUACAACCUAGAUUGAUCCACAAAACAAAAUCGGAUCAAACAUCUAGGUCCGAACAUUACCGAAUUUUUAGGACUGCCCAUUUGAAUAUUUGAAGGGUUCAAGCAGAAGGCUUUUGAUCAAACUCAUGCCUGAAUUCAUCACCAAACUCAUUUAAAAAGAACAAGAAAUUGGCUAUGAAUUGAACAAUCCUGUAGGGAAUAAUUUUUUAUGCAAUACCCCGGAAUUGCUGAAGCAUUAUAAUCAAUUAGUAUCUCGAGACAAUUUCAUAGUACAAAAUCAAAUAUUCUCCGUGCAAAUUUAUGGGGUUGGAGUGGAAGCAGAGAAAGACUGAAAGUUAAUAUUCUCUAAUUGCUGGAAUUAAUUUGUGUAGUUCAUUUAUUUUUAGGGUUGAGAUUUAAUCUAGAUUGAACCCUUUUUAUGAAGUUAUUUGCGUCAAAUUCUAUUCAUAUGUUGUAUAAAUUAUCAUUAUCAUUCAUGUUGUAUACAUAGAUAUUAUUUUUCAGUUGUAUCAAUGAUUUAUAUAUGGCAUUAUAGUUAAGAAUUCUUGUGAUUUUUGAUGUGAAGAAUAGGAGCUCUUUUAUUAUUGUGUUUUAGGAAAAGAUUCUUGUGGGUUCGAAUGUUUCAAAAAAAGAAAAGUAAAGAAAACAUCUAGUGUCAUGAUAUUUUAAUACUAAUUUUAAACCCCAAUAUACCAUAUAUAAAAAGUGUUGAUAGGUUGGAAAUAUUUACGAGGUGUGUACCCUUUUGAGGUGUCUGCCAUCAUCUUCAAGAUUUUGCUAGUCAAGGUUGUGAUCUUGAAAAUCCAAAGGAAUUUGUUUGAUCAUUGACAUGCUUCCUUGAGAAAAGUAGUUGAAAGGAAUGUAGAUUUUGCAUUCACAUUAAGUAGGGCUAUUCCUAGAGCAACAUGCAAUUUGAUACUGUUAAUGAGUAUGUACGAGUGCAUGGACUUUCCAUGUCUGAUAAUAAGGAGGUUUGUACAGGCAGCAAGCAAAUUAACCAAAGUAACCAAGUUUGGCAUUUCAUUUACCUUAUACGUCUUUUUGAACGUUGUUCAAGCACUCAGAGCUCGACAGAAUGAGGCAAUUUUCAAAUAAUGCAUGAAAAAAUGCUCGUCAACCUAGUUUGCCUAAUUUCGUUCCCUAUCAUCUCAAACGUGGACACCUUUUGAGGUUGUACUGUUCUUCUCUUUUGGACAUAAUAAAUCAAUAUUAAGAUUUACUCUCCUCUCUCUUACUCUCCUAACAUUAAAUUAUUGUUGACCUUUUUUGUGUCAUUCAAGCUAUUGAAUGCAUUACAUAAAGGCCAGUAUAGUGUGAUGGGAGUAUAAUGUUUCCAAUUGGAUGGAUUGCAUUUUCUAGACUGUAACCUUAGAUGCUGUUUAGUAAGCACCUCAAAUCGUAUUUAUAACUAGAACUUUCAAAUUCUCAUGUAAUUCACUGUAUUUUCUUAUACCUCAUUUAUAUCUAGUCAUUUGCGACUUAUUAAACUAGUGGUUGUGAAACAGUCGUCCACUAAAUCUAUUUGUUAUUUUCACCUUAAUUUUUUGAAUGGUAUUACUUGUUCUUUCUCCACCCCUCGUCCCACAUACAUUUGCACACACAAAAGCAUGUAUGUUCUUGAUGCCCAAUAAACUGAAGGAUACAUGAUGAUUAAUAUGGAUCCCAAUGACUCUCAACAACUACUUAUUCCUUGCAUUUUAAUUUUGAUUUUGCAGGAUGGGGUGGGCCGGGAGGAUACGUUUAUCAAAAGGCCUACUUGGAGUUUUUCGGUUCUCCACAAAAUUUGAAUGCACUAGUUGAGAAAUGCAAAUCGCUCCCAUUCUUUACCUACAUGGCUAUUAAUAAAGAUGGAACCUGGUUUUCCAACGUCAACCAAACUGAUGUGAAUUCAAUGACAUGGGGAGUCUUUCCUGCAAAGGAGAUUAUACAACCAACUGUUGUGGAUGCUGCCAGCUUCUUGGUAUGGAAAGAUGAAGCAUUUGAAACAUGGUCAAGUGGAUGGGUGAANNNNNNNNNNNNNNNNNNNNNNNNNNNNNNNNNNNNNNNNNNNNNNNNNNNNNNNNNNNNNNNNNNNNNNNNNNNNNNNNNNNNNNNNNNNNNNNNNNNNNNNNNNNNNNNNNNNNNNNNNNNNNNNNNNNNNNNNNNNNNNNNNNNNNNNNNNNNNNNNNNNNNNNNNNNNNNNNNNNNNNNNNNNNNNNNNNNNNNNNNNNNNNNNNNNNNNNNNNNNNNNNNNNNNNNNNNNNNNNNNNNNNNNNNNNNNNNNNNNNNNNNNNNNNNNNNNNNNNNNNNNNNNNNNNNNNNNNNNNNNNNNNNNNNNNNNNNNNNNNNNNNNNNNNNNNNNNNNNNNNNNNNNNNNNNNNNNNNNNNNNNNNNNNNNNNNNNNNNNNNNNNNNNNNNNNNNNNNNNNNNNNNNNNNNNNNNNNNNNNNNNNNNNNNNNNNNNNNNNNNNNNNNNNNNNNNNNNNNNNNNNNNNNNNNNNNNNNNNNNNNNNNNNNNNNNNNNNNNNNNNNNNNNNNNNNNNNNNNNNNNNNNNNNNNNNNNNNNNNNNNNNNNNNNNNNNNNNNNNNNNNNNNNNNNNNNNNNNNNNNNNNNNNNNNNNNNNNNNNNNNNNNNNNNNNNNNNNNNNNNNNNNNNNNNNNNNNNNNNNNNNNNNNNNNNNNNNNNNNNNNNNNNNNNNNNNNNNNNNNNNNNNNNNNNNNNNNNNNNNNNNNNNNNNNNNNNNNNNNNNNNNNNNNNNNNNNNNNNNNNNNNNNNNNNNNNNNNNNNNNNNNNNNNNNNNNNNNNNNNNNNNNNNNNNNNNNNNNNNNNNNNNNNNNNNNNNNNNNNNNNNNNNNNNNNNNNNNNNNNNNNNNNNNNNNNNNNNNNNNNNNNNNNNNNNNNNNNNNNNNNNNNNNNNNNNNNNNNNNNNNNNNNNNNNNNNNNNNNNNNNNNNNNNNNNNNNNNNNNNNNNNNNNNNNNNNNNNNNNNNNNNNNNNNNNNNNNNNNNNNNNNNNNNNNNNNNNNNNNNNNNNNNNNNNNNNNNNNNNNNNNNNNNNNNNNNNNNNNNNNNNNNNNNNNNNNNNNNNNNNNNNNNNNNNNNNNNNNNNNNNNNNNNNNNNNNNNNNNNNNNNNNNNNNNNNNNNNNNNNNNNNNNNNNNNNNNNNNNNNNNNNNNNNNNNNNNNNNNNNNNNNNNNNNNNNNNNNNNNNNNNNNNNNNNNNNNNNNNNNNNNNNNNNNNNNNNNNNNNNNNNNNNNNNNNNNNNNNNNNNNNNNNNNNNNNNNNNNNNNNNNNNNNNNNNNNNNNNNNNNNNNNNNNNNNNNNNNNNNNNNNNNNNNNNNNNNNNNNNNNNNNNNNNNNNNNNNNNNNNNNNNNNNNNNNNNNNNNNNNNNNNNNNNNNNNNNNNNNNNNNNNNNNNNNNNNNNNNNNNNNNNNNNNNNNNNNNNNNNNNNNNNNNNNNNNNNNNNNNNNNNNNNNNNNNNNNNNNNNNNNNNNNNNNNNNNNNNNNNNNNNNNNNNNNNNNNNNNNNNNNNNNNNNNNNNNNNNNNNNNNNNNNNNNNNNNNNNNNNNNNNNNNNNNNNNNNNNNNNNNNNNNNNNNNNNNNNNNNNNNNNNNNNNNNNNNNNNNNNNNNNNNNNNNNNNNNNNNNNNNNNNNNNNNNNNNNNNNNNNNNNNNNNNNNNNNNNNNNNNNNNNNNNNNNNNNNNNNNNNNNNNNNNNNNNNNNNNNNNNNNNNNNNNNNNNNNNNNNNNNNNNNNNNNNNNNNNNNNNNNNNNNNNNNNNNNNNNNNNNNNNNNNNNNNNNNNNNNNNNNNNNNNNNNNNNNNNNNNNNNNNNNNNNNNNNNNNNNNNNNNNNNNNNNNNNNNNNNNNNNNNNNNNNNNNNNNNNNNNNNNNNNNNNNNNNNNNNNNNNNNNNNNNNNNNNNNNNNNNNNNNNNNNNNNNNNNNNNNNNNNNNNNNNNNNNNNNNNNNNNNNNNNNNNNNNNNNNNNNNNNNNNNNNNNNNNNNNNNNNNNNNNNNNNNNNNNNNNNNNNNNNNNNNNNNNNNNNNNNNNNNNNNNNNNNNNNNNNNNNNNNNNNNNNNNNNNNNNNNNNNNNNNNNNNNNNNNNNNNNNNNNNNNNNNNNNNNNNNNNNNNNNNNNNNNNNNNNNNNNNNNNNNNNNNNNNNNNNNNNNNNNNNNNNNNNNNNNNNNNNNNNNNNNNNNNNNNNNNNNNNNNNNNNNNNNNNNNNNNNNNNNNNNNNNNNNNNNNNNNNNNNNNNNNNNNNNNNNNNNNNNNNNNNNNNNNNNNNNNNNNNNNNNNNNNNNNNNNNNNNNNNNNNNNNNNNNNNNNNNNNNNNNNNNNNNNNNNNNNNNNNNNNNNNNNNNNNNNNNNNNNNNNNNNNNNNNNNNNNNNNNNNNNNNNNNNNNNNNNNNNNNNNNNNNNNNNNNNNNNNNNNNNNNNNNNNNNNNNNNNNNNNNNNNNNNNNNNNNNNNNNNNNNNNNNNNNNNNNNNNNNNNNNNNNNNNNNNNNNNNNNNNNNNNNNNNNNNNNNNNNNNNNNNNNNNNNNNNNNNNNNNNNNNNNNNNNNNNNNNNNNNNNNNNNNNNNNNNNNNNNNNNNNNNNNNNNNNNNNNNNNNNNNNNNNNNNNNNNNNNNNNNNNNNNNNNNNNNNNNNNNNNNNNNNNNNNNNNNNNNNNNNNNNNNNNNNNNNNUCAGAUAGUUAUCCAUUCUCAACGAGUCUUCAAUAUUUUGUUCUACAACAAAAUAUCUACGUGUUCAUUUAAGUGUCAUCACACUUUAGUUUGUGAGAUCAGCUACUUACUUCAUAAGUAAGAAAUGUCACACAUAAUAGUCUAUCCGUAAUAACGAUAUAUGUAUCUCGUUAUUACUUACGACCAUAGACGAUUUAAGAUUCAAUUAUAUGUAAUUUGUAUCUCACAAUUACAAUUCCUUGUAAUUAAUAUAUUAUCAUGAUUUGAAUCUAGGAACUCUAUUAUUCAAUUUAAUUUAACAUUAAUUAAAUAAUCUGCCAUAAAGUUGCAUCAAUUAUAUAAUAAAAGUAUUUAUGUCCAAGGUUGAUUGGACUUAGGGCAUAAAACUAACAAGAUCUUCAUCUUAGAAUAUAGGAUUAAACAAUUUUAAACUAGAUUUAAUCUAUCGUUGAUUUGUAUCAUAUUGUCCACUGUAGGAGAGCAAUUGGUUUUAAAUAACACUAUAAAUGCUAAUGCUAAUGCUAAUUCUGUUUCGGGGAAGUCAUUUGCACAUACUGUGGUCAUAUUUGGGUUACUAUGUUGCAUGAAAAGCUAGGCAUAAAGAGGUGGAUGUUAGUAUUGUUUUGCUUAAAAAUUUUACAAUUUCUUGAUGAUAUGCUUGUUUGUUACAAUUGACGAAAGUAAUUGCUUAACUAAAUUGAAGCCUAUUAAUCCUUCUAAGUCGAUUCAAAGCUGAGUUAUAUCAAUAAUUAAGAUGCCAGCUAAGACUAUUCGAAUGAAUUAUAAAGCUUUUUUUGUGUAAAUAGUAGUGCUAUUUAGUCCCUUAUUGGGAUUAUAACCUUAGUCUAUGUAAUUCCACUGAGGUUAUAAUAUAAUUUCACUAAGGCUAUAAUCUCGAUUUACGUGAUGUUAGUUAAAAUGCUAAAUAAAAAGUGAAAUUAAAUAAUUUAUUUAAUUAUAUUUAUCAUUUAACGUCACAUUAGUAUCACAUAGAUCAGAGUUAUAACCCCAGUAGGAGUAAAUGGCAUUAUUCUUGUGCAGACGGAUCUAUCCUUGGAGGUCUUGCUUAUUACAAUGCAACUUUGGGUUCAAGUUCGCAAUGCACAAACCUACAAAGAAUUAUUCUUCAAAUUGAGUUUAUGGUGGCCCACAUACUAAACUUGAUGCUUAAUGUUUGAGAAGUCAUGAUUAUGUUAAUCAUAAAUCCAUCCAACCCAUUCAUUUAUAUGUCUACUACUUGAAAUUCAUUAGUGAAUAAAGUCACUUGUACAAUAUUUUUGCACAACUUGGUUGACAACAAGUGUGUUGCAAAAUUCUGAACGUUGAUUUUAAAAAUAGCUUUUCAAAUAAAUGAAAGUGAUGUUUGUCAAUUUAUAUAUUGUAAAUCAAGUUGUAAAAUAAAUUGCACAAGUAGCAUGAUUGUUCAUUAGUACCACCAAAUUCCUCCAUGCAGCUACAGUGUAUCCUAUUUGUUAGCUAGAUCUCCUACCUCCACUUUUAUGGAAGGUUGGUUAACAACCCUCAUGGCGUAGAAAUAGACAGAACCCAAAGACAAAUGCCUCUACCAACCACUGAAUUCUUGGUCUCGAGGGCAAGCCAAGCCGUAGUAUCAAUUAAAGUGAAAGAACCCAAAUCCUUCUCUUAUGCCUUCUACGCUGCAUAAUAAACAUAAAUGAUUGAGAAUGGUAACUAUUUAAUAUGCUAGAUUUAGAGUUUUAGAUCUGUUCUCCCAUAGCUUAUGCAUUUGUAGGCAACAACUAUUUUCAUUUGCAUAUGCUAGUCGGACUUAUUUACAUCACUAGACAUCCAAUAAGAUGAUAAACAGUGGCGGAAGUCAAUAAAAUUAUAUAUAUUUUUCAUGAGCUUUGGUAAGAACAUAUAAAGAUAUCAACUUUUGAAUAACUAUACGUAAAAAUAAUAAUAAUAAAAUAAUAUUUUGUCAACUUUACCCGUCAAAAAUAUUAAUUUGUGUUUCUAACAUGAGGAAAUAUGACACUAAAGUCAAUGAAAUUAUGUAAAAGUGACGGGAUAUGGAAAAGGAAGCAAAUGUUGGGGGGACUGAAAAUCCAAUUUUAAAGGAGGACUACGAAUAUUUCCAAAAAUGCUAAAGUCCAAUUUUUCAAAAAAUGAAAAAAUAAAAAUAAUAAAAAUUGAUUGUAACCCCUCGGAUUCGAUCCCCAAUCUCCAAGGCCAAAACAAGAAACAUUUAUCAAUAAGCUUAAACCACCUUUAUGUCAGUAAACUAAGUUAUAAAAAUUGUACUUGUUUUCUGUUUCAAAAUAUACAUAAAAAUAUUAGAUGACUUCAAACCUAGUAUAAACGGAAUAUAGCAUAUUGUUGGAAUAAUAUAUUUUAAAUUAGUUUUAAAUAUUUUUGUUCAAUUCUAAUAUAAAUUAUAUUAUUCUACCUCUUUCUUCUAUAUAUUAUUCCAAAUCAGAGUUCAACCAAUUCUACAUUUACAUUUGAACAUACUUUUUAAAUAUUGACUUGAACAAAUUGACUGUUUCCAUAGCCUCCGGAAAAUUGUUGAAACUGUCUUUAUCACUUUCUACAAUUCCCUAUUGCGAAUGAUCUCUUUUAGUGUCAUUGUUUGUAUAAUUUUAAUUAUGGCAUUGAAAGAAAAUAUUCUAAAAGAUGGAACUCUAAGAAAUGAUAAAGAACUGUUUCAAAAUUUUUUGGGAGGUCAUGAAUGCGGCCAAUUUGUUAAUGCCAAUAUUAGAAAAUUCCAAUCUAGAUUCAUAAAGAUGUAAAAUUGGUUAAAAGAUGUCAUUUAUGUAGCUUUUCAAACUCUGUGGAAAUAUAUAUCAUUCAUUGCAAAUUUUAUUGAGAGUUUAAUGUAUUUAAAGAAUUGAGAAGACACCGUGCUCUAAAUCCAAGAGAAACUGGACGCAUUAAUAGUUGAAGAUUUAUAAGAUCUAACUUCGUAGUUCUUGAGUGUUGUUUAUCUUAAUUUUUUUGACUAUUUAAAAAAAAAAUUGUAGAAUUAAUGUGUUACACUUGUACGAUUUUAACCCCAUCCACAUUAAAAUUAGUUGAUCCAAAGUCCGAAAAACGAGGAUUUUUUUCAAUUUUUAAAAUUUUAAAAAAUUAAUAAUCAAAUGGGCUUGUGGGUGGCUCAACUCAACUCAUGAGUCCUAUGAGCCAAAAGACGAAAUCGAGCAAUGUUUUUGGACACUAGUCAAAUUAGACUCGUUCUAAUAAAAAUUAUCUAUAUAAAGAAUUAUACAGAAUAAUUUCAACAUUGUCAACUGAUUGUAAAAGAACAAAAUCGGGGGUACAUACUAAUACUUAGUAUGGAUUAAAAAAUAGUGAUAGAAAGAAACAACAUUCAACUUGAUCCAUUGCUACUUCUAGAUGAAAUCAAGUUUAAACCUUAGCCUUGCUUCUUUGAGAUUUAAAUUUGAAAAGUCAAAAUUGUGUUUGGUGUUUUCAAUAGGAUUAGUAUGGGCUUUAUAUUAGUCUAUUUAGGUUGGGCCAGAUUUAAGAUGUAUCCGUUUUUUAGCACCAUUCAUUUAUUUUUUAUAAUUAUAUUCACACCACAAUUUUUUUAACUGCACAAAAUUUUAAUUAAAAUGAAGAUCCUCUAAUUUUGUUCAGUUUUAGACUUAUAUCUCUUUUUCAUCAUGUUUUAUUUUAAUCUUUAAUUAAUUAAUACACGUUGUCUUAGAUAACAACUUCUGUCCAAAUAGUAUGCUCAUGUGGGAAAAAUAUAUUGUCAAGCUUUUAUAUUUAUUGUUUAUCUUUCUUGAUACAAAUCUUCAUCGUAAUGGAUUUUUUGAUUGUCAUCAAGAACUAGAUAAAAUAAGAUUAAGAUUAAAAUAUGAAAAAAAUAUAUAAAUAAAUAAAAAAUUAGAGAUGUAAGUGCCUAAAUGAGUAAAGCAAAAAUUACGACUCCAAUUGUGACUUGACGUACUUAACAAAAAAAUAAGGUGUAAAUUAUAUUUACCCUUUAUUUUUUACAAUUGGAUAAUCAGGCAAUUUAUGUUAUAAAACUAAGUUAAAAAGAGUGAACAAUAUAAGAGAAUUGAAGAUCAAGUCUCAAGUUUAGUUUCUUAUAAUGAUUGAUUUUUAUAUAUAAAAUUUCAAUGAGAAAUACAAUUUGAACAAAAUACACUUUACAGUAAGUUGAAAAGUUAUAUAAAUUCAAUAAGAGUAACUAGUCAUUCAUCAUUAUUUAUUAUUUUACAACAUUUCUCCUUCAAUGACUAUUUAUAAUAACCGUUAAAGGCCCUGCAAAAACUCAAUGGGACAAAACACCAAGUGAAGGGAAAAAUACAAAUAAUUAUCAAAAAUUUGGAAAUACUACCUCGUUAAAAUAUUGUCAGAAAAUAUAUUGGAACAAAACUUGCGCAAAAGAAAAAGAAUACAUCUAUUCCCUUGAUUUCAAUAAAUAAAAUUCCUUGUAUCGAGCCAUUUAUAUUUUGUACACCAACAUUUCGACGCCGCUGUUGUCAUACAAGAUAUUCAUAUAUCUCUCAUUGGUUAAUUGUAGUUAGUAUGACGGUCUAACUAAUAUAUAUAUAUAUCUUCUUGUUGCUCUCUUUAGUAAUUUAUGAUUUUAAUCAUGUGAUACUAAAUCAUAGAAGUAUGUUAAGGAUAAAAAUCUUGUAGAUUAUGAACAUUUAUUACAUAAAAAUUUCUCGUUAAAAUCUUUUGUACAGGCUAUGAGAAUUGUCUCAUUAAAAAUCUCGGUCAAGAAAAAACUAUAAUGUAUAUUUUCUUUUCCUCACGAUAAUAUUACUUAAAUAUAUACAUUUUAUUUAUCUUCUCAAAUGUUGUAGUAAAUAAUGCUUUUGGACAUGUUUGUCACAUAAAUCGUCACGGUAGAUGCAUGUGAAUAAUAAAUUGGUUUAUAACCUUUAUAAGUUCCAAAUAAUAACCCGCAUCUUCAUAAUCAACUGGUAUUGAAUCAUGAACUAUUCACAAGAUAUAAUAAUGCAUCUAUUGUAGAAAGAUAUGGUACUUUACGACCAAUAAGUUAUUUAUUAUAACUUCGAGAACGAAAAACAACCCUCUUUUCAUUUGAAGUGAAAAUAACUAUCACGCGUUAACGGAUGUAUCAUUUUUUGAUAUGAAAUCUUUUUAGGAUCUUUUUAUAUAAAUGCUUGACCUGCAGGCCUAGAUCAACUACCAUUGGAAGCUCUUCGGAGGUUCCAAUAAUAUUUUAAAUGAGCAACUUAUACAUAAAUAACUACAAAUUCAAGUAUUGAUAUCUUUAUAAAAUUAAAUAGAUAUAUAGUAUCAUUAUGGUGCCUAUUUUCAUCAAAUAUAUGAGCUAUGAUUUUUUCUAUAUAUGCCUAUUCUUGAAUUUCUAAUGGUUAUGAAGGCUGGUCAUCGCGGAACUUUUCACCCGUAAAAAAUUUAUGAAGUUUUGUCUUGGGAAAUUGAGAAUUAGUCCUUGUUCCGAACUACAUGGGCUUCAGCCAUACACAAAGAUCAUUAAAGAACAACUUGGUAACAUACACUUGAAAAGUUUUCUUACUAUCAAUAGUAGUUAAUGGUGCAAAGUCUGAUUCUCCAAGUGUUGGUAAAUGGAAAUAUGCUGUCUUUUGUUUUCUCUUAUUUGUGUAUAGUUGUGUUACGCCUUUACCCAUGAGACAGGUCACGUAAAGAGUCAUGCAAGGUCAGCACUACAUUUAGCUUUAUUUUUUCAAUGUCUUUUUUGAGGUGAUUGGGUCAUUCCUCUAAAUGCCUAACCUAGAAUAUUAUUCUAAUCUAAGAUGAUGCGUCACUUCUCCUCUAUAAUAAAUAAAUCUGAGGCAAUGACAUUUGCUGCAACCCUUGCCUUAGCCAAAUUGUAAGAGUACACUGCUCAAAAUGAUUGAUGCGAUACUUUGCAACAACGGUGUCCAGUCAGAUCACAACUUUCAACUCAUAUUUAGGCUAUGGAACCACAUGCAUUUGAUGACUAUGAAUUGACCCAAUUGAACGUGACAAUUGAGCACUUAAAAUAAAGUCGUGUGUCAAGCAAUCAGAGAGGGCCUCUUUUACCUAUAAAUACUCAAUCUCUCUCAUUUAAAGAUGAGUUUUUGAAUGGUUGACACACAAUAAGUACCAAAACCUAGUAACAAUAUACUUCCGUUCAUUGUGUUUUUCCCACAUUCAAAAUACUUCACCAUCUGAUUUGAGUGUCAAAGUUCAUGCGACCAUUCACCCACUGUUGGAGCUAUGGUCUAUGCAGUCUAACGUGAAUGUACAAGUGUGUUGAUAAUAUACACAUGGACAAGAGAGAAGUUGAGAUCCAUUGAUAGUUGAAUCUUGCUGUAUUGGAAGAUCAAUUAGUAUGUUGUUCAUUUCAGAGAUAAUAUAUAUGUAUGUAUAGGUAUCUAUGUGCAGAACAGAUUUAAGUAGCAAAAGAGUGCAAAAGUUGUUUGCCAUGUACUCACCCAAUAUAAGUGUGUUUUUACACACUCGUUCAAUAUCUAAAUAAGCUUAAAAUAUUAAUUAAAUAAGUGAAUUUCUACUCAAAAUUUUACAAUUAUUACUUUUGUAGGUAAAAAUCAUUCAAAAAAGAGAACAAAGUAAGAUGGAGCGAAAAGGGAUAAACAAGUACCAAAAACGUGAUGUUGGGAACCAAAGUGCACAACUUACUGAAAGUUCAAGGUCCUGUGCUUGCAAUUUUUGGGGGUUUAACAGAAAGAAAAGUCAAACUUUGAGGACAAAAUUGUACAAAAUCAAAGUUGACGGACCUUCUAUGCAAUUAUCUCAUGGACUUAACUGCAAAAAUGACAAAAAGCCUUUUUUCCGGCCUUGAAAACAGAAAUUGGGCCUAGGCGCCAUUUUUAUGAUCAAAACAAGGCCAGGGACAUUUUUGCUUUUUUAUUCAAAACUCUGGGGACUUGUGCUGCAAUUUUCUGAAAAGGGUUUUAAUUGAAUUGUAAAAAAACAACAACCAGGGCAUUUUCUGGAUUCUGCUUCUUUCGGACUGGAGCGUCCUUUUUUUUUUUUUUUUUUUUUUUUUGGCCUUUUUUUUUUUUUUUUUUUUUUUUUUUUUUCCCUCUUUUCUUUCUUCUUUAUUUUUCUCUUCUUUUUCCUUUUUAUUUCCUUGGUAUUUUGAAGGAUACAAUAAAUAGUAAAAGGAGAACAACAAGAAAAAGUGAAAAAAUAUAUGGGGAAAGCAAUAUCAAGCUCUAAAAAGGUUUCAUCUAUAACUUUGCAUUUCUUUAUUCUUUUGUCAAACUUGCAAUGUAUUGUAUGAAAUAUUCUCCUUUUUACUAUUUAUAUAACAUGGGCUACAUAUUUGUGUUGGGAUUUAUGGCAUUAACUUAACAUAAAUUUUUAAUUAAUUUUAAUAUUCGCUCUUUGAUGUUAAGUUACUUAUUUUCAUGUGUUUUUACUAUUGUUAUUAUUGCAUUUUCAUUUAUGUGGCCAAUAAACGAUUACGUUUAGUGAUUUGUACAUCGUUCGAGAGAAGACUGUGCAUUUUAUAUCAAAUAGUGGAAACCCUAGGUUUGUGUAGUGGAUCUCUAACCCUAGGUGACUUAAUGAGCUAUUUUCACAAAGAGUUAAUGUGGUUGUUUGAUUUUAAUCGACAUAGAGAUAUAGUAGGUUAAAUCAAUCAACUAGGAUUAAUUUCGUUCGAGAGAGGUAACUAACUAAAAUUGAAAGAUCGAGUCUAACAUCGUAAAUGAGUAAUUUGUCAAUUGGCUUUUAGAGAAAUUAAUCAGGCGACGGUUAAACGAAACCAUGAAUCCUAACCACGUUUGCUUCCAAAAUUUUCAAGAUUUUUAUAUUUUCUUAGUUUGCGAAAUUUUAGUUAUUUUCCAAAAUAAAAUAUUUAUUUUGUGUUUAUUUUUAUUGUUAGAAUUAAAUUAAUUAAAAUUGUGUAAUCUAAAGCAAACAUUCCUCGAGGUAUUGACAAUCCGGACUCAAAAGAUCCACUUUAUUACUUAAACGCGAUCCACACUUGCGACAUGCACUUUUAGCGAACAAGUUUUUAACGCUGUUGUCAAGAAAUGUUUUUAUUUUGAUUACCACUUUAGUUAAUUUUAGUUUUAACAAUUUCUUUUUAUUUACCUUUAAUUGCUUUUGUUUUUGUGUAUUUUGGCUAAGCCCCAUAUUGUUAAUCUACCUUGUGUUUAUUUUCUCUCCCUGUACGUUUCAAAUAUUUGCAGUAUUCUGACUUUGGAAAAGUAACAAAAUUGUUUCAAUGACAAAUCUCUAUAUGGACAGUCAAGAUAUGCUUGGAGGAUAUCCAUGUUGUGAAAAUUGUUACACGAUGCAUUGUGAUGUGAAUUGUUUGUUUUCGUAUACUAGUUUUAUACACAUCGAAACUUCUGAAGUUUAGAAAUUAUUUGAGGUGUCGAAAACAAGCCAUUGACAAAAAUGAUGAAGGGUACAUGCUCGCGGGAGAUUUGGUACCUUGCAAUUGGGAUGAAGAUGUUAAGAUUAUAGGAGAUGGCCCUCCUCUACAGAACGAAAAGGUAAUUGCAAAGUAUUUCAAAGAGCUUGCCAAAUUGGAUGAAAAUGAUAUGCUUAUGGGAGACUACAUGUACUAGGAAGGAUUUCUACAAUGAGGGUAUAAUCCGCUUAAUGCAAUCAAUGAGACCAACUUCUCACUGCCUGUGGAUCUAGACUGUGGACAUGUCAUUUAACUCGAGGAUAUAUCGACUAUGAUAGAAGAGAUUAAAAAGAGUGGAGAAUUGAUCACAAAGGAAUCAAGUAAAGAUGUGGCAAUUAAUGAGGAUGAAAUCAACAUAUAUUCUUUUAACUUUAUUGAUUGUCAAAAUAUUGAUUUUGUAAUUAAACCCCAUGUAGGGGUGGAAGUCUACAUAGUUGAAGUUGAGUCGGAUGGAAUAGAGAAGUCCUGCUACAUUGAAAAGGACAAUGUCGAUGUUUGGAGAUCAAAUGAGAAGUGGAACAAAGCCAAAUGAAGAAAAAUGGGCAAGGCAUCUAAAGCCUUCUUUAGGUGCCCAUGAUUCAAAGCCAAAGUUGAGCUAAAAAUUAUAAGAAAUUGCUUGUUGGGAGGCAACCCAAUUUCUUAAUUUUUAAUCUUUUUAUUUAAUUUUAUGUAUUUUCUUAUUUUUAUUUAAUUAGCUAUCAUUUUUUGUAGGUAAUUUUUGAAGUCCCACAUAUCUAUGGUUUCUCACAAGUUUGGAGGUAAAUUGUGUACAAGAAGGUCACUUGUUGAAACUCAUUGAAAGCAUCGCAAGUCCAAGUCAAGUAUUGGUACCUCUUCACAAAUGUUCAAUCAGGGAAGUCUCGUUAACCUCCUUCUUAUCUAGUUCUUUAUACAUUGAGGACAAUGUGUGAUUUAAGUUUGAAGGUGAUUGUGCUUAAAUUGGUGAUUUUGUGUUGACAUGUUAGAUAGCCUUCCUGGUUUAGGGUUGCUUGAUGUUUAAAAUUGUUAUUGAUUCAUGAUAUAUGACCAAAUAUGCUAUUUGUACCUUUUUUUUUUUUUUUUCAAAAAUUGCUUAUCCAUUUUAAGAUCCUGAAUUACUUUGAGCACAAUAGUCAUGUUUAAUUGUUAUCUAGAUGUGGAAAUUUUUUAACUGAUGGAGAGAAUUUUGAAUUGAUUGAACUAGGUUGUGAGUUGUUUGAAAAUUUAUAUCAACCUAUAUCCACUUCUCUUCGACUUAACCAUAUUAUAAGAUAAGUUUGAGGAUGUCGAGCGGAUGAAGGAUAUUAUCUAGAAGUGUAUUAAUUUCAUGCAUGUUGAAAAUAUUUGUGUGGAGUGUCGUUUGCCAAGUAUAAGCUAGGUAAUGAGUAAACCCCAUUUUUGUUGCGCUUUAAAAAAAAAAUGUUAUUGUACUUGUUGAAUCCUAGACCUCACUUCUUAACCUUUUUGACUCAAGUCCGUAGGGAUAUCUCCAAACCCGGUACCAAAUAGCCUAAACAAUCGGGGAGUUACCGACUUAAAGCUCGUUACAAGGGUCAAAACGAAAGUUUACGGGAGUGAAGUAAAACAUGAGAUUCGGAUUUAAAAAAAAAAAGAAAUAAAGCAAAAAAAAAAAAUAGAGAAAAAAAAAGAAGAAAAAAAUUUGUUGUUGUGCAAUUGUAUUUGAUAUUUGGGUUUAGAUAACUAGUGAGUUUGAAUUGUUUAGUAUAAACUAAAAUGUGAAAGCAUUCUUUAGUAGAGAAUCAUCCCGUGAUUAGAUAUUGAGAUUGCCGAUUAGAACCAACCAAAUUAGAGCGGGAAAAGAAAAUAGUGAUUGAUAGCAACCUUUAGAUUUACACCUUGAGAAAGAAAAGAGCACGUCUAUUUGAGGAAUGUGAAUCUCACAAACGAGAAAGAAAAUAUUUGACCACAAAAGGUCGGGUUGGAGCGAGUUUGAAAAUUUUUCCAUCGUGACAACCUUUUUAUAAUUUAGAUGAUAAUUAAAAGUGACUAUGCACACACACUGAUUAAACAUCAGAUAAGCUCAAAUUAAUUUUGCUAGUAUUACUUGGAACAUAUUUGUGAAUUGAUUAUAAAAUUUUACACUCAUUGAUAACAAGUUAUCUAAUAUGUUGAUCUUUAUCUUAUUUUACAUGAUUAUUUUAGUACAUAAUCUUGCUCAGGAUGAGCAAGAGCUUAAAUUUGAGGACAUUUGAUAAGCAUAAUUUUGCACACUCAUUUAAUACCUAGAUAAGUCUAAAUAUUGAUUAAAUGAGCGAAUUUCUAUUCACAAUUACGCAAUUAUUGCUUUUGUAGGUAAAAAUCAUCCAAGAAAAGAGAACAAAGUAAAAUGGAGCGAAAAGGGAUCAAAAGAGUACAAAAACGUGAAGUCGGUAACCAAAGUGCACAAGUAAGAAAAAUUCAAGGACAUGGGCUUGCAAUUUUGGGGGCAUAAUUGAAAGAAAAGUAAAAUUUGAGGACCAAGUUGUACAAAAUUAAAGUUUAGGGGACCUUUCAUGCAAUUAUCUCAAGGACUUAACUGCAUCAAUGACAAAAAUCAGGCCCGGCGGCGCCUAGGCGCCAUUUUUACAAUCAAAAUAAGGCUCGAGACCUUUUUGCCUUUUGUCCAAAAUUCUGGGGACUUGUAUUGCAAUUUUCUGAAAAGGGUUUUAAUGAAUUGUAAAAAGACGAGACGGGGAUUUUCUGGAUUCUGCUUCUUUCGGGCUGGAGCGCCUUCUUUUUAUAUCUUUUUCUUUUCUUUCUUCUUUAUUUUUCUCAUUUUCUUUUCUCUUGCCUUUUUAUUUCCUUGAUAUUUUGGAGGACACAAUCAAUGGAAAAAGCAGAAUAUCAAGAAAAGAGUGGAAAAAUAUUUGGGGAAAGCAAGAUCGAGCUCUAAAAUGGUUUCAUCUAUAACUUUGCGUUUUCUCCAUUAUUUUGUCAAACUUGCAAUGUAAUGUAUGAAAUUUACCAUUUAUAUAACAUGGGCUAAACAUUUGUGUUGAGAUUUAUGACAUUAACUUAAUCUAGUUUUUAAUUAAUUUUAAUAUUUGCUCUUUGAUGUUAAGUUAUUUAUUUUCAUGUGUUUUUACUAUUGUUAUUAUUGCAUUUUCAUUUACGUGGUCAAUGAGUGAUUAUAUUUUAUGAUUUGUCCAUCGUUCGAGAAAAGAUUGUGCAUUUUAAAUCAAAUAGUAGAAACCCUAAAUUUGUGCGGGAGAUAGAAACAUACUCUUAACCCUAGGUGACCCAAUGAACUAUUUUCACAUAGAGUUAAUACGGUUGUUUGGUUUUAAUCGAUAUAGAGAUAUAGUAUGUUAAACCAAUCAAUUAGAGUUAAUUUCCCUCGAGAGAGGUAAUUAACUAAAAUUGGAAGAUUGUGUCCAACAUCAUAAAUGAGUAAUUUGUUAAUUGGUUUUUAGAGAAAUUAAUUAGAUGACGGUUAAGCGAAAUCAUGAAUCUCGACCACAUUUGCUUACAAAAUUCUCAAGAUUUUUAUUAUUUUGUAGAUUUUUAGUUAUAUUCCAUAAUCAAAUAUUUAUUGUGUGUUUGUUUUAUUGAUAGAAUUAAAUUAAUUAAAGUUGUGUAAUUUAAAGUAAACAUUCCUCAAGAGAUCACAAUCCGGAUUCAAAAGGUUCACUUUAUUACUUGAAUCCGAUCCGUGCACUUGCGACAAGCACUUUUAGCGAACACUCACGUGGCCUUAUUCCCACAUUUAUGCUCCUCAAACAUAUGAAUAACUACGUGAGGUUCAUAAGUACCACCAAAUCACCAGUAAUACUCAUGGUGUAGAAAUAUUAGACACCAAAGAUAAAUGGUGUCGAGCCUUCAGCAACCACUGCAUUCUUGAUCUUGAGUGCGAGCGCAAGUAUUCGAAAAAUAUAUACAACCAUCCAAAGUUAAACAAUAGGGGACAGGAAAAGAAUAUGUUCAAUCUGAUACCUUUGGAGCCCUGCCUAACCGGGUAAAUGGGACAGGUACAGGACGAGGGUCAUUGCCCCGUUUAAAGUUAAUUUCAAAUUUAAGUUUUUAUCCAACAAAAGUAAUAGAUUUAUCAUCAUUUUUUAGAGUGAACAUAAGUUGUUUUAACAAAUUGGUAAAAAAGUAAUGAUAUUUACUAACUAAGGACAAAAAAAUAAUACCAAAAAAUAAAAAGAAAAAAAUAAAUGAGGCGAUAAAUGGGGCAGGUGACCCUCCUUGAUCCCGUCCCGCUUUAAUCGGGUAUGAAUGUAGGGUAAAAUAACAAAAUACCCAACAGAAUAGGGGUGGAAAUGACCGACUCAUACCAUACGCGCACUAUUGCAUCCCUAUUAAAGAACCAAAAUCCUUUUCUUAUGCCUUCAUGAUUGAGCAAUAAACAAGCAUUUGAACCUUAAUUCUCAUCAUGAAUCAGUAGCUAAAAAUGAGUGCAUCAUAGUCGGAAAAUAUAUUUUGGAAUAAGAAGUGUUUAUUUCUAAUCACAAUAUACAACCAAUCGGUUAGACUCAAGCCCAGACGACCUUUAGGGAUGUCCAAAUACAAGUUUUAUAAGCAUGAAUGUGAUAUGCUAAAUUUUAAUACUCAAGACUUCAAUUGUUAGCCAAAUUAUAGCAGAAUAUAAUAUAUUAUUUAUAUACUGGAAGAACAUAAUAGAAAAUUACAAACAAAAGGGAAGAAACCAGCAAACCGAGGCCUCUAACACAGUGUCAUUAAAAGUAAAAUGUGGACACUCCCAUGGGGUCAAUUUUUGGUCCGUUCGGUCCGACAUUUAUGUAAGUUGGUCAUGCUAUCACACAAGUUCAAGAUCCGAAAUUCUAAUUUAGUCCUUGAUUUGCACCCCCAUGCACGAGCACAUGAAAAGCACCUCUAUGUUACACAUGAUUAAACACUUCCAAAGUAUAGCCUUAUAUAAAGUUGUAUUUUCUUCCAUCUUUUUUCUAUGUGGGAUAAACUUUAAUUGGUUUUCCUCCUACACAUAUAUCCAUAUUCCAAUGGUCCAAUUGGAACUCCAAUUUCUCAUUCACUUGAACAUCAAUUUUGACAAGUUAAUAUAUAAUUUCGAUAUUCUCACGAAAGAGAACAUAAAUCAACUUUGAUAUUCCAAAUUGAACCAACGGAUCCCACCUAAAAUUGUGCUAAAAUUAGCUCAACAAAGUCAUUUUUUCAACAUCAAUAUCGUACAAUUCUCACUAUGGAAGUGCUAUGAUUUGUACGUAAACAUAGAAGCAUUAUCUUGCAAUAUCUUAUACUAAUAUCUCACAUUUCUUUGCCUCUUCAUUUUCUUUUGAAGAGUCGAGAAUGAUUUCAAAAAUUAGCUUAAUCAAUGCUUACAAAUUAUUAUGAAAUUAGAUCUUUAGCUAUUAAUUUUUCACUUAGUAUGUCUUAUUUAUGUCUUGAUUAAUGAGCAAUUAUCAUUUAGGGAUAAGUUUAAUGAGCAUUUAAUUAAUUAAUUUGACAAUUUAAUGUUAUCACUGUGUAAUCUCUAAUUUCUGUAGACACGUCGAAAUUUCCUUCAAGUGGAAAUAAUAGAUUUCACUCCAUGAUGUAGUGAUGGUAAUUUAUCCCGCCUCGUCGCGGGGCGGGGCGUAAAUGGUCGCCCCGUCGCGAGGCGCAGCUGCCCCGCCUUGAACUAGCCCUGUGAAGAAAAAGUAAAAAAAAAAAUUAAAAAUAAUUUUAUUUUUAGACAAUUCAUCCGUUAAAAACUCAUUUUAAAUUUGUAUUUUAUUAUCUAAUAAUAACAUAAUUCGAAACUUUGAAAAUGUAAAAAUAAUAAAUAAUAAAUAAAUAAAAUUAAACGGGGCAAAAAGUUGCCCCGUCCCUACCCCCUUGCCAGGCGGGGCGGGGUUUUGGCCAAACGCCCCGCCCGUCCCAAACUCGCCCCGUUACCAUCACUACCGUGAUGGAUGUGUAAUAAAAUUUGAAUAUAUGAGUGAGCAAUGAGUAACAAUUUAUUUUUAUUUUUUUAAAGCUCAGAUAGUAAGUAAUGACCUAUAGAGAAAUUUAAUGAGCAUUUAUUUAAUUAAUUCACAAAAAUGGCAGCAGUGGCAAAUUGUGAUUUUUUUGGUAGAGGAAAUAGGCACCAUCAAUGGUGGUGCUUUUGAGGUGGCGAUGAUGUCGAUUUUGCAGUGUUUUUGGAUGAUGGUGAUGGUGUGAUGACGACAGCGAGACGGAGUGAUGAUGAUGUGGUGAGAUGAGUUUCGAUGACGUGACUAUAGUGAAGGUGGUUGUUGGUAGAAGUGGACAUAACAUAAUAGGUUACACGUAUAUUUCAUGUAUAACAUAGUAUGCUAAGUUUUGACCCUCGGGGCAUAUCUCAGUGGUGCAAAGUAUGAGAGUGAGGUAGUUUCAGCCUUGCUGACAGCUGCAGUAUGAGGGUUCGAUUCUUGAGAUAUAAAAUUGUACUCUUUGUGGACACCAGUAUACGGACAAGCUCUUGUUCCCUAACCUGCUAAUGCACAUCCUGUGAUUUACCUCCCUUGCGAUGCUCCAAGGACGGAACAAUGAGGACUCUCAAGAUUGGGAUUCAACCUUUUUUAGUAUGCUAAGUUUUAUAUUUAUAACAUUGUAGGUUAUAAGUGUUAUAAUAAUUAAUUGUAUAACAAACUGUAAUGUACAUAUUAUAUUUUGUAGAAGUUAUUAUUAAAAGUGUAAUAUUUGGAGUAUUUAUGAAAAAUAAACGUAGUUAGUGGCAAAUAAACACUAUAAACACAAAUCAAAACAUGUUUUAAUUUAGGGGGGGGGGGGGGGGGGGAAACCAAUUUUAAGACUCUUAUAUUGUCAGAAAUAUAGAAAAUAGGAAAUAAGUUCAGUGACUAACGAGAAGCAAUGAUAAAAGUUUAGUGACCGUCGUGAUAAUUAACCUAUAACUUGCCAUCAGAGAAAGUAAUUAAGAAAUACGGGUUUCAGUUAAUUUUAAUAUAUAAUUUAUUAAACAUUUUUGUUUGGUGGUGGAACACAUUAUAAAUUUUUUAUGCUAGCAUACCAACCAAAAUUAAACCUGCCAAUGUCUUAAUUUAUCAAUUAAAUGAUCAGUAAAUAUUACUUUUAAUUAUUUUUUCUCCAAGGGCACUACUGUGUCCUUGAUAUCAUACUUUUGGUAUAUUAGUCAUUUUCUAGAUGUUUUGUGGAUUUGUAGUCGUAUUUGCCGACGAUAAUAAGUACUUAAUUAUAUUAACAUAAAUUUUGAACACUUUCGAUUACAAGAAUUUUAUGUUUUUCCUACAAAAAAAAAUUGUUGUAAAAGGUUUUUAUUUGUAGGAAAAAACUUUUGUGGACGAAAUAAAUUUGUAGAAAUAUUUGUGAGGCAAACAUCGAGGAGAUAGGUAAAAGACGAUAAAUUUUUAAAAUUUGUAGGCUAAAGAUUUUCCCUACAAAACCUUUUAAAAUUUGUAGGCUAAAGUUAAUUUUGCCCACAAAAUGAUUUCACUUUUCCCUACAAAUAAAUAGUGUGAAAAGGACAUCUAUGGGCUAAGAUAUACACAUUUUUCCUUGCAAUUAAAAAUUUGUGACAACAUGUUACAAAUUAUUUUGUAGAUUAAACCCUGUUUUUCACUAAAAAUAAUUUUUUGGAGGGAAAGAAUAUUUGUGGGCUAUUAUGAAAUAAGUCAUAGGGAAAAAAUAAAUUAUAUUACUUUAUUCAAAAUAAUAUAAAGAUACAAAAAGACAAUAAAUUAAUUAAGACAUGUCAAUAUAACAUUGAAUCCAAAGUAUUUCAUCAAAAACACAAAUAAAAAUCAUUCACCAAAUAUAAUUACAUUUAAACUUAAAAAUAGUUAGCAAAUAUGUUCUGUAUCUAUUAUUAUGUACCUAAAAAAUACAUCUCUGCGUCCUCGUGAGUUAGAUAUGCAACUGAUUUUAACCAAAUUUGUGCUCCCUAUCAAAUAGUGCACUAGACUUCCAACCCGAGACCAGGAAACCAAUGGACCAGCACAAGCACGCCAUAGCUAAAUAUAUAUAUAUAUAUAUAUAUAACAAAAUGUAUUCAAAGAUCACAAAAGUAUGAAUCAGGAACCAAAUAUAUAACUAACCAACAAAAAGGACGAGAAACAAUACAUCAAUAUUAACUUAAAUCACAAACUCCAGCAACUCUUUGAAUUCAAAUCAUAAUUAACUAAAAUUAAUUCUCCCUGCUCAACAAUAACAAAUGGCAGACAAGGAAAGGAAUUAUUAGCGUUGUUCUCCUCUAUGAAAUUGAUUGUUGAGUUAAUGACCAGAAGAGUGAUAAUCCCAAUAAAGUCCUCCCAAUCUGGUGGUUUUCCCCGUAAAGAUUAAAAAUGUAGGUAGACUGAUAAUAAGACUGAUAAUAAUGAGAUCGACGUGAGUGAUGCCUCAAGACUAAACAGAUUCCCAUAGUUCUUCAACUUUAGCUUGACUUCUCGAAGUUCUAUUGACCGCGUGAUCCUUAUUAACUAACUCAGGGAAGCCUAAUUAUUUGUUUAUUUGCAAUAUAGUUUUGCUUAAUAAUUUUUUUAUUACUCAUUCACGUAACAAGAAAUAAGCACUUUCGAAAAACCAACAGUAGUAGGUUGACUCUGGCCUCCAAUUGUCUAGGCCUAACUGUAAAGGGGGAGGGCAUAUAUAGAGGGUUAAGUUGCAACUAUAAAGCAAUUCUUUAGCUUUUUGUAUUCAAAUAAUGUCAAAUCAAUGGAAUUACAGAAAGAUUCAUCACGCCCUUUAUUUAACAAGACAAAAUUGAUAAUUGAACUUUCACUUUUCAAACUCAAUUUAUUAUCCUCAACUAAGUGAAGUACUGAGGCAAGAACAGUACUAGUAAGUCAAUUUUUGCAUAUAAUUUCCCUGAUUAAACCAUGCUUUAAGAAGAGAUUUGGUCAUAGUAUCUUUGUAAGUAAAAACUAACAGCGGGAUUCAGGCUGAAUGAGAAUUAAGACAGUUUCUUUAUUGCAGAGUUCUGAUUGAUAAGGCAAUAAAUUAAGACAGUUGAAUAAGCAUUUUAUAGUACGUGCUAUACAAUUAAUGUGGUAGAAUAAGGUUCAAUGGAAACCAGAGCCAAAAGUGGAUACACGGAACAAAGACAAAACAAAGUCAGAACAACGACUCCGUCUCAUAAAUUAGUAGAAGCACAAUAUUAAUCAGAAGUUCAGGACACAAAACAUUAUGAUGAUUUGGAAACCAUAACAUUUUCAAUCGAGUUUGAACCUCCACUUUACUGUGGAUCGCAGAUAUUCCACUUCAACCCAAUAAAUGAAUUGACUCAAAACAUUAUGAUAAUUUGGAACCCAAAACAUUUUCAAUGGAGUUUGAACCUUCAAUUUACUGUAGAUCUCAUAUAUUUCAUUGCAACCAGAUAAAUGAAUCGAUAGAAACCCAAUAAACGAAUUUGUAACCUAAUUUGAAUUUCACAUUAAUUUCCAACAAAAUAGAUAACAACCCAACAAAUAAAAACCAAUAAUGAUACCUCUAAGCUGUCUUUGGCCCUAGCUUAGAUCUUUAGGUUACUGGGCUUGACGGCUGAUGGCUGAUUCAAGGUGGCGGGACGAUAAUCUUGUGGCGGGUCAGAGCAGAGAAAAUUGAAGGGAGAAGAAGAAAAAAAAGGUUGAACCCCAACCUUAAGGGCCUCCACCGACCCUGCCCUGGGCCAUCGUGGAGGAGGUAAAUCGCAGGAUGUGCCUCCCAGGAGCCAGGGUGGAGAGCACAUGGAUAGGUCAAGACUGUUAACCCAUAUGGUAACUCCCGCUUGCAACAAAGCCAAUUCCACCUUGCGGGGAAUCGAACUCUGCAUACUGUCGCGCUGAGCCCUAUCCGCCCUCCCCUUUGCCACUAGGAGAUAUGCCCUGGGGGCAGAAGAAGAAAGAAAUCGUGGAGGGAGAAAGAACGAGGAAAAGGAAAAUGGUAAAAAGAAAGGAAAAUGGACAGAAAACGUGGGAAGAAAAAGAAAGGAAAGGGCAACAAAAAAAAAAAAAAAAGAAAAGAAAAGAAAAGGAAAUUAUCUUUUCACUUCAAAUAUAAAUUUCGUAGGGAUAAAAAAUGUAAACAAAAAUCGGAAAUUUUCCCGCUAAUUAUUAGCCUACAAACAUAUAAAAUAUUUCUGUAGGCAAAAGAUACAUCUUACCCGUCAAAUUUUUUGUCGAGUAAAAAUAUAAAAUUUUGUGAUCACAAGUCCUUAGGCUAUUGAAAAUUUUGAAACAAAUUAUAGCACUCCAAAAUGUCUUCUUUGUGGGGAAAGGUGAAUUCCGCCCACAAAUUUCAGAUUCUCUUCCAAAAUUUUGCAAGGAAAGUACAAAUUUCUUGUAGUAGGCUUCAAAUUUUAUAAUCAGCCUUACCCUUGUCAUAUGUUCAAAUUGUAACUUUUCUAUUCCUAGACUAUAGUAUUAUGCUAAUGAAAAACCACUCCAUUUUCCUCAACUACAAGAUUUAUAUUUAUGCUGGAAUACCAACAAACAACAAACCUACUCAGUGCGUUUAAUGCAACGUAUUAGACUCCGUAAGAAAUUAAGUAUAAACAUAUAGUGAAUUGUAAUAGGUAAAUAAUAUUAUGUUGGGUUAAGAUGAAUUAAUAUGAAUUUAGUUUUUAUUCUUUUGAAGCGAGUAGAUAGCAUAGUGACGACGGUGGAGAUGUGUUUAAGCCGGAUAAGAUAAGAUAUUAUUUUGUUAGUAUGAUGACAAUUAACUUAGUCUAACGAGGUCUGCAGGACACAUCUUUCAAGUGCUAAUUUAUCAGUCACAGGGUUAGUAAAGAUAAAUCAUUAUUAUCUUUUAAAAAAAAUACUAAUUUUGAUAUCAUUCAUUUGGAGUUAUCCAGUAAUAACAUUUUAUUUAUGUAUUAUCCCUAGAUGUUAAAUGGAUUCAAAGUCAAUUUUUUCAACGAUAAUCUAUAAAACUAGAGUGGAAGUUUUCUUUGAUUGGAACUGUAGUUCUUAGAUCGACAUCGACACGGUCAAAGUUGCCGGAUUUUCGCUAGCCUCUCGCCCAAUUCCUGCUCUUGCAGCAAAAACAGACUGUCGACCCCUUGUCGUUGAGCUCUCGUUCGAGCGAUAGUAUUACUCGUAAAACUCUAUUUCACGUUUUUAAGAGUUUUAUCUAGCUCAUAUUAUCUAAUUACCUCAAACUAUAAAUACCAAAACCUAACAUGAAUUUUGGUGUGGUUGUUUCAUUAUAUUUCUCCUUCAUAACAUCCUUCAAAGAUUCAAGAACACAAUCAAACCUCGAUAUUGAUCCAUUGACUCUUGAUUUCUUACAACCACAUAUAUGGAAAAAACAUCAAAUUCUUGGAAUCCUAAACACCCACUUCCUAUAUACAUAAAGGAAGGUACUUUCUUAAGAACAUUCAAAGGCUACUGAAAAAUUGAGGAAGGUUGGACCAAGAAUACAGAAAAAGUAUAAGAACGAGCCGUUCUUGGUGAUCUACAGGAGAUAGAUAAUUCCAGAGGAUUAGGAACAUAUGUGAGUGAAGCAUGUUUCCGUAGGUGUUGGAAAUUGCAGGAAGUUGAUAGUGAAUCUAGUGGAAUUUUCUAGGCUGGAUUGUACUGUAAUUUCAUCAUUGUUAAUAGUGGAGAUUACUGGCUUAUUCCCGUAAAUUUACCUAGUUGAGUUUUCUUCGUCAACAAUUUUUGUGUUCUUUAUUGCUUUCAUAUUACAAAUUGUGACAGUUCAACAUAGGAUAAUUUGACUCGUUUGAUUUAUCAUCCAUAAACAAUCAAAAAGUAAUUUGUUACUUUUAAUUGUAUAAUUCCACAUGUUGGGUCAAAAUAAAUUGGCUAACUAAAACCUUCAAGUGAUAUCUAGCAAACUUUCACAUUGAAUUAAUAAAAUGAUAAAGUCAAGUAUAAUAAGUAUCCCGAAUCAAAAUUAGGAAUGGUUUUAUGGAACAAAUUUUUUUAUUAGUAUUCAUAAAUUGUAAUCAUGAUAUUGGAUACGUUCCAAAUGAUGUUCCAAUUAAUUUUUUUUUUACUUAACUUAAAUGUGUCGUCUUGAGUAGUAAUAUGGCAAGUAAGGGUCAUUUCCCAUAGAGGAUUGAUUCAAUUAUGUCAAUUGCUCACGAAAAGGUAAAAUUAACAAUAAUAUACGAAAUAGAUUAAAUUGGGGGGGGGGGUUUGGUUCGUUGAACUAAGGAAAGCGAUAAAUUCAAAAUAGAAAGGGCUUGAAAUUUGAAAUAAACAAAGUGGUUUUUGAUUAAAUACGAGAAAAAAUGUGAUUGAGGGAUAUUUCAUCACCACGAGAAUGAUUUUCUUGUUAAUUAGCACAAUAGAUUUUUGUUCUUAAGAUUAACAACAAUUCGAGAAUAAUUACAAACUCAAUUAUCUCAAUCUUUUCUUACAUGUUAGUUGAAUAAAACAAGUUCUUUACUAACCAUAUUUAUUAAACAACCUAGAACAAGCUUCCUAGAUUUAAUUUAACAAAUGCAUGGUAAAAUCAAUUAAAUUGAUGCAGACCUAGAAGAAGCUUACAUAGAGAAGAUAGACAAAUACCACAAUAAUUGAAAAAGAAAAAGGGGCAUAAAGAUAAAGGAAGGACCAUUAUUAAAGAGUAAGGACACUUAUUAAAACAUAAAGUAAAAACAUAAGAGUGUAAAGACGAAGGAAUUUUUAUUAUGUGCAUAGAGCUAUAAAGUUAAUACUUAUACACUUGUAAAGAUAUACAAUAUUCUUUACUUUUCUGAAAUAAGUUGAUGUUAUGUACCAACAUCUACUUCUCUAUAAAAGCAAAGGGCAAGGGCUUUUCACACAAGAAGGCACACCGACCAACACAGAGUACACUAUAACACUUGUAAUAAAAAAUCUCUAUUGAUUGUUGUAAACUCGAAGAUUUCUAAUUAAAGCAAGUUCUUUCAUACUUUCUUUCAAUUCUCUUUUACUUUAUUUAUCUUUCGGGUAAGACCUAAAAGGGAAAGCAUCAAGUGAGCGAUUAAUUUUUUCAGAAGUAAUAUACAAUAUUUUAUUUUCUAUUCAAACAUAUUUCUAACGUUAUUAGCCUCUUUAUUCAAAAUUUCAUGACCAUAAGAUAAAGUAAUCAUUCGAGUUAAGUUGGUUGUGUUUUGUCCCGAUUAAGGGAGUCUGUUUUAGCCUUUUUAAACAUGAUGAAAAUCUUUUUUAUUACAGUCUUAAUUCCUUUUUAGAAGGUCCAAGUCGAUCAUGCAAAGUUAUAAACCUUUUUGGGCCAACGAACUUCUAGUUUGUGAUAAUAUUUGAUUUAACCAUUUUUAUAAUGUAUAAUAUAUGUAAGAUGGAAGUACAUAAAGUUUUUCCUUUAUCCGUUUCUAGCUAGAUAUAAAAGAAUUUAUGCAAAGAUAUUCAACAUUAUUUUCUUACGUCGUCUCAAAUUGACAUCCAUUGCAGCGGAUAUUUUUAAAACUCUGCAAAUUUUUUUCUGAAUUUGCUAGAAUAAAGUAUAUUAUCAAUAUAUAAUUUUGUAUUAUUUGGUAAAAUGACACGAUCUCUUCCGAAACUUUCAACGAUAUUUGAUGCACCUGAGAUUGUAUUAACAUAUUUUCUGUUAAUGUUAAGUACAAUAAAUAUGUUUUGUCUUGAAGAAUAUCACAAUAUCAAUUAAGUAAGUGUCUUGACAAUUCAUGAAUCUACAAAUAUAAUAAAAUAGAUAUAUUCUAAAAAACUUGAAUUUAAAUUUAAAGGAGUAAAGAUAAUUCAAUACUAUGAAAUUAACGAUGCAUAAAACGGUUUCAAAUUUUUUGUGAAAAGUAAAACAUAUUUCAAAUUGAAUUCUUAAAAUAAAGGGAAAUACUAUAAAUUAAACUAAUCUAUAUCUUCCAUUACACCACUCUCAAUCAACUGAUCAAUAUUCUUAUUUAGAUCAGUAAAGAAAUCAGAGACAUAAAAAUAAAUUGCAUCUACUGGACAAUCAUAAUUAGCAAAACUGUCUCUACUUUUUUCUAUUUCUUUGAUUGAUUUUUGGUAUAGAUUCACAAGAUGUUUUUCUGUAUUAUAGGUACAUGCUCAAUGUUCUUUCAUUCCACAUCUAAAUUAACUUUCUUCGUACUCCUUUUUGGAUGAGUUACUUUUGUUUGCUUAUUACCUUUUGAAAUUGUAGCCUUGCUGGUGAUAAUUUUGUUGAUUAUUUCGUCUAUGGUUUAUUCUACUUGCACGUUUGUGUAUACAUCCAAAUAUGUAUUCACGUCUAUAUCAUUGUCUUGAUGUUGCAUUUGUUUCAAAUAAUGCAAUGUCAUUUGAGUACUGAAUUAAGUGUAUUAUUUUUAUUAAUUUAUUUUCAUAACAAAUUGGAUUAUCAUUUCCAGAUUUCCGCACAGUGGAUGUCCCCCUCUCUUAUUGUUGUACAGUUUAUCUAUCUACCUUCACUUUUUUUUUUAAAUUUUUUUUCCCUUCAAUACAAUAAAAGAGGAAUUUUGUUUUGGCAUUGUUCAUUGGAAUCCAUCCCUGCCCUUUUUUCCUUCCUGUUUUCCUUGUCCAUCCGGACUCUUCUACGUCUUUCAAUUUAAUUUUUCCAUAUUUUCACACAUGCAACGAGCACCGUAUCUUUUUAUAGAUGUCAACACAUAAUUGGAUAGUUUGAUAUAAUGUCAUGUGGUAUUCCAUCAUUAGACAAUUUAAAGCAUGGUCAACUUUUUCAUCCAAUUGUUUAUGGACUUUGCUUGGUGUGCAUAAUGUUUUGUACAUUAAGGUAUCCCACAUUCACAUGGGAUAGGGUCCCCUUGAAUAUUACGGGCUUUACUUGGUGUACAUAAUUUUUUGUACAUCGAGGUAUUCCACAUUCACAUGGGCUGGGGGCCUGCUCGAAUAUUUAUGGGUCUCAUCACAUCUGAGUGUAUAGAUACCUUAAUUUACAAAAAAAUAUGUACAACUACUGCUAUUCACUAUUAAUUGUCACAUACAAUUAUGUCAAAUUUCUUGUCAAAGUAGCUUUAUCCAUCAAUUAUAGCCAUCCCAUCCUAUCAUCCAAUUUUUUGUCAAUAACCUUGGUCAUUACAGUGUCGGCCUUGACUAUGGGGGAUAGACGAUCGCCUAAGGUCCCACUUUUAUGUUUUAUAGAUAAGUCUAUAAAUGAAAAGGAAUUGAAGAAAAGAAGGGGAAAAUGGCAAAAAAUAGCAAAAUUCAAAGUACCGGGAUUAAAUUGGCUAUUGGAUAGAAGCCGGGUACAAAUUCCGUACUUUGAAAGCCGGGGACUUGAAGAAAAUAAUAAAUUAAAUGGGCCUAAUUUUUGGACUUAAAUUUGGAUUCAAAUCCAUUAACUAAUUAGAUUCCUAAUUCAGCAUUAAAAAGUGGGUUCGAAUUAGUGUUUGGUGGACUUUGACAUUUAAAUUGGAGACAAGAGCAUGGGCUGCUGGAAAGAAAUACCAGUAUACCACUAAUUGGACCUCUUUGCUGGGAUGAAUUUGUGGAAGAAAAAAGGGCCAACUGCUGCGUCUCUAUAUAUAUACUCAGAAAACUCACACAAAGAAACGGGAGGAGAGCUGCUUGGGAAUUUUCGGCACAAAAACGGGAGAGAAAACAUUGAGCUGCUGGAAUAUAUUACAUACAUCAAAGCUGAUUUUUGGGAUACAAGUCGGCAGCUUGUGGAGAAAAGUCGAGGGAAAUUAUACACGCGGAAAUUGGAGAAAAAGAGGCAGCCUGCAGAACACAUAAAGUGGGAAGAAAACAAGUUGGUGGCUGUUUUUAAUACAUUCAAACACACAAAAACAGAAGUAGCAGCUUUGGGAAGACAAAAAAAGGGCUGAAAUAUAUAUACAAAUUGGCGGCAUAUUACAGGAAUUAAAGAGGAACAAAGUAGACAUAUAUACACGGCUGGAAAGAAGAAUAAAAGACAUGCAGACAGAGACGAGAAAUUGCAAGAAAAAGGUGGCAGAUUCACGUUCCAUCAAUUUUUGGUGAUAUCUUUUAUCUUUUUUGUGCUUAAUUUCGACAAUAUGCUUGACUAGAUUUUUAUAUUAUUAGGAUGUGAUGAACCCUUGUUAUGAAAUUUUUGAUUUGAAUAAUUAGAUAGGCGUUAAAUUUAUCUGAAUGUUUAUUAUCGUUUUUCAUGCUUUUCAAUUAUUUGGCAACUAGUUGAAUUAUUUGUGGAUUUUGCUAUUAUUGAGAGAGAUAAUAAGAUCAUUAGCACGUAGUAAUAAAUAUUGUAAGGUUGAUAUACCUCUAUAUUUCAUAUGAAAUUUAUAAGAUGUUCUAGUUCGUUUAAUGUAUUUAUCAUGUUCACAUCUUUCAUCGAUAUAUGGGAAGGUCACAUGAGGGGAAAAAAUUUGAUAACUAUCGAGAGAGGUUUUCAAUUAAAAUGGGAACAUUAACCAACAAGCAUGCUUUCAAAUUGUCAAUUUAAAUUGUCGAACUAAAAAAUUGAUUAAUAAGGGGGGUUCUACAUCUUAUCAACAUUUCUUGUGAAGUUGAUAAAUUUUAUUUACAUUGCUUUCUAGUUAGUCGAUAGAUUUAAUAGUUUUUAGUUACCACUCAUUUUACUAUUCGAUUAAGGGUAGGGUUAACUUAAACUUGAUCAAACACAUAGUUCUCAUGGGUUCGACACUGUACACACCACUUUAUUACUUGUUCCCGAUCUCGUUCACUUGCGAAUAAUCAAACGAUAUAUAUAUAUAUAUAUAUAUAACCCCAUAUUUAAAAUUGAUCUAAGGCCCCAAAAUCUCAGGACCCGUCUUGCUGGCCAAGUAGCAUUAUUCAUCUUUUUACUCUUACUUCCCCCCACAAAAUUACCAUUCAUACGUCUCCUUCUUCUAACCUUUUGUUUUCUUUCUCCAAAAUUCUCUCUAACAAAUUCAAUUUUUGUAGAAUCAUAUGUUACUAGUGCAUUCUGUGAACUUCUUGAGAAAAACCGAGAGAACUCUGUUCAGAGGACGGAAUGAGAACAAGAAUCGCAAAUCAAGUACAAAAAUGGCAUCGAAGAUUUCCCUAAAGGCGGCGAAAGGGCAAGAGUGUAAAGAAGCUUGCGGUGGCGGCCCAAGGUGGAGUGUUGCGAAGUGGGUUAGCUACAGUUUUGAAGGAUGGUCCCCUGCAUAAAUACAGUUCAUAUGGAUUAAAGUUCGUUAGGUGAGAACUAGUCCUCGGCAUAAAUACAGUUCAUAUGGAUUAAAGUUCGUUAGGUGAGAACUAGUCCUCGGCAUAAAUACAGUUCAUAUGGAUUAAAGUUCGUUAGGUGAGAACUAGUCCUCGGCAUAAAUACAGUUCAUAUGGAUUAAAGUUCGUUAGGUGAGAACUAGUCCUCGGCAUAAAUACAGUUCAUAUGGAUUAAAGUUCGUUAAUUUUUAGCUUGUUUGCCAUUUCUCUUUUAGUUGUUUGGUAUCUUUCCCAGCCGCAUUCUACUAUUAUUUCUAUUAACUUCUCUAUGUUCUUUUCUCCUCUACAUUUGCAGUUUCAUCCAGGGAAGAAUGUGGGUCUUGGCAAGGAUCACACCCUUUUCUUUAAGAUAGAUGGCAUCAUCAAAUUUGAGAAGUUUGGGCCUGAUAAGAAAAAGGUUUAUUUCAUAUAUACGUAAACUCGUCUCUCUCUAUUUGUAUCUUGCAACCAUAUAAAUAAUUGGUUAAUAAUUUUUUCAGAGCGUAAAGAUAUAAUGAUGUAUAUGUUUAUAAUGAAUGAAAUUACUUGACUAAACAAAAUGGCUUACAAGACUCAUAGGCGGAUAUAAAUUAAUGAAGACUUGGGUUAUGUGUGUGUUGUGUUGCACAAACAUUAAAAAGAAAUGGCCUGCAGCUCGUGUGGUUGGGUCUUUGCUUUUGGAUGCUAGAUACACAGGUUCAGUUCCCUUCAAUGGCACUCCCCCUUUCGGUUCCUGUUUGGUACCUACUAAAAUCUGGAUUAUAAUUUGAGUUAAAGUUAACAAUUCAUUUUAAUCAUAUACUUUAUGAAUCUCAUAACUUUUUAACACAUUUGAUCAACUUCUGUCAAAAUUUGUUAAAAAUCUGAGUUUAAUCCACAUUAAAUAAUAACUAAAUAUUAACAUAUAAUUGAACUAACUUCAGCAAAAGGAAAGGUAGCUCAUAUGGUAGAAGGGGUCCCUAUAUAGAGGUAUGGGCUUCAAUUCCAUGCCUGCACACUUUUUUGUUUAACUUUUUGAUACAACUAGUUUGCAUCUUGUGCGUUGCACGAUUUUUGUAUUUAUUAUGUUAUUAUUAGCGUGGAAUGUGUAGAAUUUAGAAAAAGUAUUUAUGAAGUUUAAUGGAUUUUUUUGAAUUCUCUUUUGGAUUUUUAUUUUGGGUCUAUUUUUUGUGACUUUGUGUUACUUGAUUGCGCGAAAGCGAUGAAAUUAUAAGUCUCCAAAUUCAUUAUUUAAGAAAGAUCUAGUGUUUAGAUAAGCUAUAAAUCAUUUAUAAGCAUAUGUUCGACCCUCCAUUUUUUCAAAAAUUCAUUUUUAACUACACAUUACUCUAUAAAAUUAUCUUACAUGUAAAUUCAAAGUUUUUCUUUACUUUUUAACCGCACAUUUUUCAACAAAACUCCAUUCUAAAAUAAAUUUAGCGAAAAGUAAUAAUAAUAAUAAUAAUAAUAAUAAUAAUAAUAAUAAUAAUAAUAAUAAUAAUAAUAGGGGCUCAAACAAGAAUUGAGAUCUGCUGUUAAAUUUUGUUGUAUAUUCAAUUAAUUCUUGACAUAUCAUUAAUUUAAUAGGUUAGUAGUGAAGUUAAUGAAGUAAAUUUGAGAUGACAUGUUAACUAUUGAUGACAUGUUGAGAUUUAAUUUGAUGGACAGAAAAAUAGAAAACAAAAUUGAACAGAUCUCAACUCCUCAAACAAGGGCUAAAUUAUUAAAUUUCAUUUUUGACCACACAUUUCAAGAUAUCCGCAAUUACUAUCUAUUUUUUCAUCACUCAUAAAUUCUUCCAAAACAAAGGCUAAAUAAACAAAAAUCAGUGGUGAAUAAGUGAAUAAAUUUUCCGCAUCUAUUAAAACAUGUUUGAAACAAAGUUUUAUACUCUGUAAAUGAUUUAUAAAUUCUGUUAAAUGGAGGUUUGAUACAUUCUCUACUCUCUCCUUGUAAAUUCUCGAAAGAGGGUUAGGAGCUUUCUACCUCACCCAUGCCAUUGGCUCAAUACUGAAACCCUGCGCUAAAGUUUUUAUUAUUAAAACUCACAAUUGAUUCGUAAGAGUUUCUUCAAAAAAUUCUAUUUUUAACGGUAUAUUUUUUCAAUUUAGAGAACGUCUAUAAAUUUAGAAAGAAAAUUGUUUUAAAUAGCGUAACAGUCUCUUUAGCUUUAACAUUUAGCCUCUAUUUGUCACCUAUUAUUUGAAAAAUUAAAGAGUUUUGAAUAGUAUUUUUGAAGAAUAUAUAAUUAAAAAUUAAAUAAACUUUAUUGGUUUGUGUGUAAAAUAUUUUAUUAUGUGAAUGUGUGGUUGAGAAUGAUAUUAUAGUGAAUAAUUUAAAAUUUUAAAGGUUGUCAAGCAUGGGCUUAAUUUUAUUACUCACAAUAUGUAAUUAUUACUUUUUCCUGCAUUUUAUUCUUACCAUCUUCUCUCCAAAUUAUUAUAUUAGUGAUAUGUCCCUUCAUUUUUAUUAUUAUUAUUAUUAUUCUAUUUUUUUUUUUUUUUGUAUAUAGCGUUUCACUGGGUCAAUAUAUGGAGCAUAUAUUUUAAAUGCAUUCAACUAUAGAGAGUGAUUUUGGCUCUUUUAAAUAGAGAAAUAUUUUAAUUUUAAAUAACUUCUUGGAUGUUGUAGUAGUAUUAAGAAAAAAUUGUGGCAAAAAUCACUCUAAUCAAACCUAAUUUCUUCUUUGCCUGAGUUAUCCAUGUCCAUGCAAACUUCUCCACAAUACCGACUUCCAAAAAUCUUAGAAUCAUGCUCUAAAUCCAAAAUCUAAAAAAUAUAAGCAAAAAAUUGAUUGUGAUGGAAACAAUCUUUUCUUUUCCUUUUUUUUUUUAACUAAAAAAAUUCUAAAAGUUUGCUUAUUUAUGUCAUUUUACUUAUUAUCAUAAUAUUUGUAAACAGCAAAAAUGCUUAAAAUUGGAGGUGUAUCAAACAAAUAUCGUAGUGCCCAAUAUAAUUGAUCGUAUUUUAUUUUUUAUUUUUUGUUUUAAGUGAUUGGUUUGACUUUCUAAAAAUAACACAUAGAGUGCUGGUGACCAUUCAAUGUCGAUUUUCGACAGUUAUGGACAAAAAUGACCACUCUUGUAAAGGAUGUCAAAAUUGAAAGGACAUGUUCUGAAUCUUCAGAACCUAGUAGUAUAGGGACCAAAAAUGAAAAAAAAUAAAUUUUGAAAAGGUAGUAAAAGAAAAAUUUUAUGGGCAAAGAAUGAAAACCAUCAAGAAGAUAAACCCAACUUCCAUGAUAAAAUAUCAAACUUUAGUGGUGAUCUACGGUCCUACAAGCAUGCUCUAACCAUGUUCUAUGUUUCCAAACUCAUUAGCACAAAAACUCUAUGCUAAUCUACUAUGUGUUAUAUUCUUUUUUUGAAUAACGGAAAUGAUAAGCUUACAGAUUUAUUUACACACCAACAAAGAACUUGACAAUGGAUGUGUCAAUGGAAUUUUAAAUAAUUAUUCAUACUUGAGCAAGCUCCCAAACAUUAAGGAGUGGGAAUUUUGUGCACGUAGUUGUAUGAGUACUACAAAAUAUCUUCAUUGAGUACUUGUUAUUCAAAGUUUUGUAGGAUCUCUUACUACAAAAUAUCUCUCUUCCCUCAUUCAUAUAAAAUGUAUGGAUCAUCUUGUACUCAACUUUAGAAUGACAUCCUUUUAGUCCUUAUACCCAGAAUGACAUCCUUGCAGUACUUCCAUUUUCAUAGUUUCUAUGUUUUGAGAGUAAUUUUGAGGAAAUACUCACCUUCAGAAUGACAUCCUUUUACUCCUUUUGUUUUCAUAGUUCGCAUGUUUUGAGCAUAAAUCUGAGACUGUGGUAAUGCAGUUUUUUAAAAAAGCAGUUGUUUGCCUAAUAUAAAAUCUCGAUACAAGGUUCUCUGCCUUUUCCUUCAUGCAGGAACUUAUUAAAAAUCAACUACCUACAGGCUAUAAUGGACAAGACUUGUACAAUACCCUUACCGGAAGCCCAACUUAUUUGUUGGAAUUACCAUUGUCUCCAUUAUUGGGAUUUUGAUAAUGAGAAAUAAAAUGCACGUUUGGGAUUCCCAUUCCCACAUAGCAAGCUUCUAUGUAUGUACAAUAUUAUGUGUAUGAUAGAUUAGAUUUAGUGCGAACAAUUAAACAAUUUUUACAUUUAUAAUUAGAAGGGAAUUGCGAGAUCAUCUUAUUGCUUUCCUCUUGGUGCUGUAAUUUUAGAUCGGCAGAACUUAAUUUGAUCUAUGAUUUGUGUUCUCCGCAGGUUGUGCUAUCUGCUUUUGAUUCAGACGCCUCACUUGAUGUAUUGGACCAUCCAGUUCUGAACUUAAUCUACUACCAUGUAGUAGAUUAACUGAAUUUUUGUUCAGUUAUAAGAAAAUAUUUAUAAUCCAAUAGGAAAAAGAUUAGUAGAAAAAAUUUCAGAUUUUCUUUGAAAUCCUAUAGUUUAUGUACAAUUGUACUGUUCGAACACUGGACGGAGUGGUCAUUGAGUCGACAAGAGCUGAAUUAGGAGGUGAGUUCCACUCCAUGCUUCAUUAGUAGGUAUCAAUGUAGUUUGGAAGUAAGUAGUAAUAACAGAAAACCAUAAUGUAGAAGUAGAACAGGAAGAGAAAGCAAAAGAUGUGAUAGGCUGAAAUUUUACUAGUAGGAUUUGCUUAGUCGUUUUGAUUAUUUGCUUUCCAUAUUGGAUGGAUAUAAUAUUUUAAUUUCGAACAAAAAUUCAGUUAUAUUUACUUGUUCAGAACUUCGCUCCCAUUGAGUGCCGUGCACAGAGUGAAAGGACUAUUUUUUUUUUUUUCUAACAAAAUAAAUCUGAAAACAUUAAAUGAUUUAUAUUAAAAAAAAUUGAGAUUUUUUUGUCAAAAAUCCGGGUAGGAGGAGUGCAUGUGGGUUCUUUUUAUUUAUUUAUUUAUUUUUUACAUAAUUAUAAGUUAAAAAGAGUUCUUCUAUAUUUACCUCUUCCACAUAAUUUUGAUUUUAAGAUCAAUAAAUCAUUCAUCAUGGAAAAGAGAAGACCCAAUAAACUUUAGAGAGAAGAAGAAAUUACAGGUAAUUUGAGUAGUGAAAUGGACAACCAAAAGGCAGUAACGUGUAAAAAUGAAGAAGAUAUAAAAAACAUAUAUGCGAAUUGAGGAAGAAGGAAAAUGUCACUAUAGCAUGUUAGGAAAAAUAGUUGAACAGGAAACAACGUCGUUUUUACUCACGGAAAAAAAAAGGCGGCAAUGAGAUAAAAGAGAACAAUUCACUAAUUUUAAAAUCAAUAAAUCAUUCAUCAUGGAAAAAAGAAGACCCAAUAAACUUUAGAGAGAAGAAGAAAUUAAGGUAAUUUGUGUAGUGAAAUGGACAACCAAAAGGCAGUAAUGUGUAAAAAUUGAGAAGAUAUAAAAAAGAUAUAUGUGAAUUGAGGAAGAGGAAAAAUGUCACUGCAGCAUGUUAGGAAAAAUAGCUGAACGGGAAACAACGUCGUUUUUGCUCACGAAAAAAAAAGGGCUACAGUGAAAUAAAAGAGAACAAUUCACUGUUGAUUUCUACAGUAACUUCACAUUCUCCUUUUUAUAUAGUAGGGAUAGGGAUAAAUAAUAACUAAACAAUUAUAUAUUAUUAGUUUUCAUUUUCGAAAUAAUUUCUUUAAAAAAUUUAUCGACUCAAAUUAUUACUUCAUAAUAUAGAUACUUCUAUUAUUUAGUUUAAUCAAUUUAUUUUAUAAAAUUCAAAUUUGGACAAUUUAUAAAUUGCUCUUAACUCUUUAAAGAGUUCAAAAGAAAGAGUUCGAAAAAUCUUUCAGGGUUAAAAUAGUUCUAGUUCUAAAAAUCUUUGUUUCAAAAUUUUGCAUAACCUUCGUCUAAGCUUGAAGCUUGUAUUUAUCAUUCAAUUAUGCUUUACGUAUAAAUUUCAUCUUGUCUCGCUUAAGUUCAUAAAAAACUUGAAACUUGAUCAUACAUAUAUGAUUGAAAAAUGUAAUUAUAUCUUAUUAUAGUCGGUUGUAUUUAAUGUAGGAAAAUCUUAUUGUAGAUAGGGUAAAAGUUAGGUAAUUAUAAUAAGAUUUUUAUUUGUAAUAGGUUUUAUCUUUUUAUUUUAAUAUUUUGUUGAGAAUAUGAUUUCGAAUUACAUUUAGAUUAGGAUUUAUGUUAGUUUCCUUAUAUUGGGUUCCUACUAGUAGUAGUAUGGAAUAAUUUUGCCUAUAAAUAUAGAGGUAUUGUAUACUUUUCAACAACGAUCAAUUAUUAUUCAAUGCAUACAUGACAUAAUUAUUCAAAUAUCGUUUUUAUUUAUUACAUAAUUGUUAUUACAAGAAUUUCAUAAUGCUUCCGCACCAGUAUUGUAUUACAUUUUCAUUUGUAUAUGACUUUUACAUUUUUGCGCGUUUAUAUAUAAAUUAAAAAUCUUUAAUAUUAUUUAAUUAAAUAUUAAUAAACAAUCUUACUAUUGUGACGUCAACGACCACCCUGUCUCACUCAAUUUCCUGAAUUUGCCAAUGUCCAUGAGGAAUUUAACAGACUCAAUUUUGUAUUUUUUUAAGAGUUAGCAUCGAUUGGUUAUGGCGUAGACACCUAGAUGGUAUAUCUGUGAUUAUGCUGUUCAUUGAAGCAUGGUCAGGAUUCAGAUCCAAUGGUGAUAGCCUUCUGUGUGACUUCAAUUUCAUUUUCUCAGAAAUUAAUAUGAUCCCAUUUCAGAAAUUUAUUCUCUCUGUGUUUGUGUAUUAUGUCACGUUUGACUUUUAACUUUUCUUGGUCUAAGUAUUGUCUUUUAACAAUAAUUAUUUGUUGGCAGCAAACUUAUGUUUUUAAUAGAAAGCACAUUUUUGCUUUUAAGCACACCCAUACAUUGUGAUAAAUAUGAAAAUCUAAUUAUUGUGAUACUUACUUAUAUAAUUGCAUGUUAACAAUUUACUUAAUUACAUGUUAACAUUUACUUUUAAGUAAAUUUUUAAGAUUCGCCAAUCAUGAUGAGUACAUACCUCCACACAAGCACAUGCCUGUUUGUCCCAUGUUGGAUAUUGAUUAUUGGGCAGGUGGUUGCAUAGAAUUCAUAAUAAAUAGAUAACUAUAGAUAGCGAUGCUGUUACAGAUCCUGAUAAAAUUCUAAAGUUUAAUUUUUGAAAUCAUUCUCUCUAAAAAUUACUACAAUACCUAAAAUUUCAUGAACUCAAAAUUAAGCAAUAACUCGGUAAUGUUACAGUUUUCCCUUCAUUUCAUUUAGGGAGGUCUGGAGCUAAUAUAUUAUCAGCUUCCCUGAUGCCCCUCUCUUCUAAUUCUACGUGAAGAUGAUGAUGGGGCAAGUAAAUACAUCGUUCUAUCCAUGGGCGGACCCUAACUAUAAGUAUACGAAAGAACCCUUUUUUCUAAUUCCUAUGAUGCAAUUGGAGCUUAUCGACAGAAGCAAAUCAAUUUAGAUAGUCCUUUGUGACUCCGGUGGCGACUAGAUCAACGCGUUAUUGCUUCAAGAGAAAGUCUCACGAAGUUCACUAUGAAUCUUUAGGUACUUAUUAUGAGAUUUGUGGACAAUAUCUAAUAGUAAAAAGUAUAAAAAAAGAAAAUUCUUUUUAUAUACAUCCGAACCACUGUUGGUCACAUUUCUCUUUAUCGAGAAAUCGAAGAAGCCGUACAGGGGUUUCUCAGGCCGUUCAUAUGGUACCGAACUAAGUUAAUUCGUAACUUUUCGGCAUAAACCAUAUACCUUCAUGUCACUUCCUUGAACUCGUUUAAGGAAAUCCAAAGCUCUAAUCAGGGGGUCUAGGGGGGUCAAGUGACUCCCCAACUUUUGAUUUUAUUUUUUCCCCCAGUGUAUGGAUAAGUCUUGUUUGGGUAUCAAUUGAAAUCUAAAUUUUAAUCUAAAUCAAAGUUACCGAUUAAUUUUAAUAACAUAUUUCAUGGAAUCCUUAACUUUUUUACUUUUAUUAAAAUAUACUAAAAUUUUGAUUUUAAAACUCCACCAAACAGGGGUAAAAUCAAAAUAAAUUUGAAAUUUUUUCUCUUUUCUCUUACUCUAUCUUAUGCUCUCUCCCACACUUUUUAUCAAAACUUUAAUCCUUCUAAUUUUUAAAAUUCGUUCAUAAUUUUUCUACAAAUUAUCACAUCUACUAUAAAUUUUCACUUUCCAAUUAAUUAGAACCUAAAUUGGCAUUUUCUCCUAUCUUAUUUGUGUACCUAGAAUGUAUCGGAACUAAUUAUAUCCAAUUUAACGAAUUAUAUUUAUUUGAUUGAAUAUUGGUAAUAUAUUUUUCCUUUUGAUCACUUGCAUUGAUUGUUUGUAUUAAAUACACUAUAAAUUUUUUAAAUAUAAAUAUUCAUUUUUUUGUGAUGAACAAAAUAUUAAUGAAAAAAUAUUUUUUAAAUGUAAAUCUGCAUUUUCUCGUGUUGAGUAUAAAUCAUUCAAAAUCGAGAACAAAGUAUUCGAUUUAUACAAAAUUUGAUUGUGCCCCCUUAACUAAAUAUUUAUGCGUCUGCUCGUGGUUCCAUCAAAAGUUAUUCAUGUAGACAGGGGCAAAUCCAGGAGUUUCAGUCAGCAAGGAAGGCCGUUGACCAUUUACCGUCGGUCGCAACAAAAUAUUAAGAGUCUAUUUAAACCCAUUUUUUGCAAAAAUAAAAAAAAUAUAUGCAUUUUGGAAUAGGGAUUUGAUGGAGAAUGCUUGGCUAAAAAUAAAGAAAAGUUUGAAUUUGCGUGUAAUAUUAUUUUAUUGAAGAAUGUGCGGAUGAAAGAAAAGAAAAACAUGUAUUUUGAAAAAAAAAAAAAGGAAUCGAACAAGGCCUAAAGUUUAAAUAAAACAAUUAUUUUGCUCAAAUUCAACAUAUAAUUCUAUUAUAAGAAUAAAUAGGACUAAUCAAAUAACAUUGUUGCCAAGUUUUGUAUAAUUCAAAGGAAUGAUGAUAUUCGCAUCUUUACAAUUUGUUUUUGCAUUAAAACAAUUAAAAUCUAACAAAUAUUAGUUUGUUAAAUUUAGUGACACAGCUCAAGAAAAGCAGUAAUGGUUAAGUUUACAAAAACCCUUGCAAAUGGUCACAUGAAUCCCCUUUGUCCCCUUCCCUAUUGAAUUUUGAUAAAAAUUGUAGAAUAAAAAUAAAACACAACAAAUUCAUUGGUAAGUGAUUCGAACCCGAGACUUCAAAUAUGCACGUGCAAACUCUAACUAGUUGAGCUACAAGAGAAGUUUGAAAAUGAAAUGAGUUACAAGUAAUAGAACGUAUAAAUUAAAUCUAUUGUCAACAAAAAAAAAUUCUCCAGCGGUUUCGGCGAAUCCAGCUCGCCACCACCUAGAUCCGCUACUAACAAUGAUUUACAAGUUCUCAAAGGUUUAGACAAAAUAUGGAAACACUUGGAAGUAGGGGCAACCCUUUAUCAGAAAAGCUGAAGAAACUUGUUGUGAACACAACAAUGACUGCCAAUACAAAUAUCUACUCUCUGGUUCUGCCAGUCCUCGAUAUUUUGGAGGCCUUAUGCCAACUUCAAAUAUGGGGUCCUAUUGAAGAAAAAUCAUCAUAUUCUUACUUGAGCUUUCUUAUAGAGAGUUUUAAUAUAAUCAUGAAGAAUCUAACAAAGACAAUUAAGCCCCAAAAUUUGAAAAAGAAAUAAUAAAUUGUAAAAUUUCAACAUGCAAUACAAAUUAUAGGUGAAGUUUACCAUACAGGAUUAUAAUGCGAUGGCUAAUUGGUCUAUUGGUUUCCUUGAUCACACACUUUUUAUGCAUGUGUUAAAAUCUUAAAUUAUCUAUAUGCACACUUUUUAAUUAUUUUCAUAGAAUUAUCAUAUUUAGGCCAUGUUUGAGCCAUAUUUUUUGGGAGGAAAUAAAUUUUGGAAUAAUGAUUUUUUAGAGAAUGUGUAAUUGAAAAUAAGUCUUGAAAAAAGUGGAGCUCAAACAUAGGCAUCAUAAUUAAAAUCUCCUUUAAAUUUUUAAUCGCAAACAAAAGUUAAGUAUAAAUAAAUCAAUAGUUAGAUAAAUAGAUACUUGAGUUCAACUCCUAUAUAGUUUAUUGAGUGAAUUGCCCGAAUAGUCACUGAAUUUUACAAAAUGUUUCCGAGAGGUCACUGAACUUUAAAAAUCGCCUCACUCAUUACUGAACUUUUCGAUUCGUAAUAUCAUUGGUUAUGCCAAAUGGAUGAUUUGUUACACAGUUAGCAUUCUUGAACAUACAUUUUUUUUCAAAAAAAAAAAACUAAAAAGCAAAACAACGAAAAACAAAAACCAUAAUACCUCUAAACCACCUUAGAGCCACCACUUAUAGACAACCAAAACUGUACCCUCCGACCACCUUGCCACCGGAUCAACAUACCAUAUUGAAACCCUCACUUCCUUCUUCGCAACCUAUCCAAGUUUUGGCCAUAACACCAACUGAUUUGGACGAAAAUUCAAGCCAAAAUAGGCUGCACACGCAACAAAAGGUCGCCGGAAUCUUCACUUCUGGCGACACCCAUGCCUACAAAACCUCCAGAUCAAUCAAGCUUCUCAAUACAAAUAAUCCAAAUCCACAGCCAAUUUCGUCAACAGCGAACUCGAAUUAUUUACACUAGACUUCCGGCAUCGGAGGGAUGAUUCACGAUUGCGAACCACUUCCACUACCACCUCCUCAUCAAGGCGCACCUAAUGCACCCAUGAUUCAUCUCCAAUUUGACCCCCAUAUGGAAGAAAUAGUUUUGACAGUUCGCAUGCAGGGAGAAAAUCGACGACCCCCCUUUCAAUUGAUGCUUCUCUACAGCUUCAACCCACAAAUUGGACCAACCAACAUGAAAGUCAUGAGAAAUGAUUCUGGGUAAGUAUUCAAUAGCUUUACUUCAUCAAUCAAAAGAAACAAUUUUUGAUUUAGCUUCAAGAGCAGUCCAUCGGUGUUCAUCUCCAAUUUCAUGUUCAAUUUCUUUUUAAAUUUUUUUUCUUUUAUCCUUAUUAAAAAUGCCAACUGUGUAACAAUUCAUCAUUUGGCGUUCACCAUCUAAGUGGCGCACCACAUCAUCAGACACAUCAACAUUCCAUCCAAAUUUUAAACGGCCGUUAGCUCAACGAUGAAUGGUAUUACAAAUUGAAAAGUUCGGUGAAGAGUGAGGUGAUUUUUAAAGUUCAGUAACCUACCGGAAACCUUUUGUAAAGUUCGGUGACUAUUUGGGCAAUUCACUCAAGUUUAUUAGAUCAAAUAAAGAAAAAAACCACCACCAACCGAGGAUAAUAGCUCCCUAUAAGUACUUGUACAAUAGACUUCAUUCCUGCAAAAGAAAUAGCAAAAGUAAUGAGCAGAUAUACAUGAUAAUAAUACAAAACCACCGAGAAAUUAUGCACUAAAAUUGAAUAUGCGUCAAAAAUCUGUGGAAGGGAACGCAGUCAUUCAUAUUUGUGAAGCAGCAGAUAAUUAAAAGAUAAGUUAGUAAUAAUGUUAAUACAGCCUCGACUGACAACUUUUUAAAUCAACGUAUACCUCAAAUAAAUUUAUGUCGUCUAACUUAUGUUGCGUACAGGCUAUAAUGCAUGCACCAGCUUCUGAUUAAGAGUCCUCAGUUUCGUAAAAAUCAACCUUAGAUUCUGCUGGAAAAUUGGAAAUUUGGAAUAAUAAAAUUCAAUAAAGAGAGUUUAUGUUUCUUCUUUGUCCAAUUCAAUAAAAUUGACUGGAAAAUAUUCCUUUCUAUGUCCAUUGUUCAAUUUUGCGGCUAACCCUUAAGCCUAAGAGCUAUAGAUUAUGAAAGAAGACUAAAUUCGAUAUAGAGUUGUAAAUUUAAAUUGAGUGUCCGUCUAGACUUUCUUUAAUUUAUUCGGUUUCUCUUUACAAAAUUUCAACGAAGAAGAAAUCUAGACCAACAUGGGUCGUGCCUUGAAUCACAAUUUUUUGGGCCAACUGAAAUGCGGCCUGUGGGUUUUUCUACUACACGUCUAGUUUGGUGAGAUCAAACGGGUGUAAAUGUCAUGGCUACUAAAAUUUUUUAGAGAAUUUAAAAUUAGAACACUUAAAGAAUUUCUUAAAAAUAAAUGGGCAAUUUCCCUCCUAGCUACGCCUAGGGUCAAUAGGAUGGCCCAUGGGCUGGUGUCAUGCUCAGCCCAUUUAGUCCACCAGAAAAAGUUGAAAGGCUUGAAAUAGCUAUUGUGAAAAUUUUGCCGCAUAAUAGUUUUUCAAUAAAUAUUUAGAAACUCCCUUUCAAUUUGUUUAAACCAUAAAUACUGUAUUUUCAUAGUAAAAUCGAAAUACGAAAACUUAAUCGAAUAAUAAAGCCAAUUCAUAUUCUGUACCUAAAUUUACUCCAUCAAACGCGUCCUUAACUUACUCUACAACCUUAACAUGACAAUUUAAUAUCCAAAUCCGUAAAAUGGAGCCCAUUCAUUUUCCCCACAAAUCUCCUCCCAGAUCUUCUCUCACUAGAAUCAUCCAUCGAAAUAUCCACAAAACAUAAAAAUCAAAUUGAUCUUCUACAGAUCUACCGCGCCACAUUAUCCAUAUCAUUAUCACACAAAUUCACCAUUUGAUUCUCAUUUUGCAUUCAUUAGGGCAUUAUCCCAUGUAUAAAAUCCUAGUUAAAGGCGCAGUACCACCAUCCGCUUUAAAAAUUUUCUACUUAUCCACUAUAAUACACAAUGCCACUAUAAUACACAAUGGUUUAUAAGUUUUCAAAGGUUCAAAGAGAAUAUGUCAACACCCGAAAGCGGGGGCAACCUUUUUUCAGAAUAGAUGGUUGCUGAUACAAAUAUCUACUCUCUGGUUAUGUAUGGUUACAACAAAAUGUGGAAGAGACUCCAAUCAAUGGCGACCCCGAAACGCCAUUUGUCCAUGGGUUCUAUCAAGACCCAGCAAGUAUUUUUGGUACAUGACAAGUUUUGAAAAGAAACGACGAUGCGAAUGAUUUUUUUUCCCUUUUUCUCUUUAUCAAACUCGUAAUAAAAACUUAUCUUGACCAAUUGAAUUUGGAUACUUGAUUUGAUUUUUUGAUUGCUCUAUUCAGUUCAUUUUGCACUAUGGUUUACUCUGUUGGUAGAUGGUUAAGCGCUGGAUUUAUACCGGGGAUUAUGUAGUUGUGUAUGUUAAAGGUAGCCUAAUAUGAUAGUUAAUGAUACGGGUUGCUUGUUUAGGAGAAUAUAAUCUUCUGCAAUCAUUUCCACGUAUAGAUAAAUUUAUGCUCUUAUUCUUCGCUUAUGCAUUAAUAAUUUACAAUUCACUGAUUUUGUAAAAAUAUGUGAAAUUGUGGGAUGGUUACUGUUGACAUCACGAAUUGGACAUUCCACGUGGCCAACUGAAAGUCACUCCACGUGUUCCUCCCUGUGCACAACAGCAAAUGGUAAGACGCAGAUGGCUAAAAUAGCGGGGGUGUUGGCAGCCGCAUACACUCCGACGAUGAAGUUAGUGGAUAGUGUCGAAACGAUACCGAAAUUGUACAAUAAAGUAGGGAGGAGAAUAUAUUUUACUUAAGUAUGGAGUGCCAAAUAUGAGAAAGAUUAAUUACCUUUGUCUCUUUCCAAACUUUUGGUAUUUCUAGAGAAGGGGCACCGUUGGAUGUGGGACAUGUGUAUGCAUCUGACGGUAUGAGGCGUUUAUUCGUAGACAUCAAUUGGCCGCAUCUAGGGGACGGAGAAUUAAUCUUCUGAGUUAUGAGUUGAAAUAAAGCUGAGAUGCCACAUCAAUUAAUAUAUGAAGAUAAAAGAUGAUAUUGACAUAAAUAUAUAUCUUUGAAAUUGACCGCGGAGAGGCCUCUGUUGCAAAUUGCCUCAACACUCCUCACACUUCAGUAAGGAAGGACGCCUCAGUAAUUAUUUUGGAGAUGUUUGUGUUUCGCAACAUGCCAGUCUUGAGGUUUGGGCGAGGCUGGUAUCACUUCGGAUCAUCUAAGCUGGACACCUGGUACAUCAUUGAGGAAUAUCCAUGACGUGCCAUGGUGGAUUAGUGAGGAGAUAGUGAGGAGGCGUAAUAGUGGUCCCCCCAAGCUCAGGGAUGAAUAUUUAUAUUAUUCAUGGAUUUUUUGGCCGGUUGUGUAUGCUUUCCGUUUUGAGUGUAGGUUUUUGCCGUUUCUAUUGAAGCGCUGACCUACAGGGGACAACACGGGAAAAUGGGUAGAAGCUUUGUAGGCAGAUGUGCAUUUUUUAAUCGAGGCGAUGGGGGUAGGGGGUCCUUUUGGUAAGUAGUUUGUUGCUUUUGUAAAGAGCAAUGAAUAUUCGAUCGAUGCGUAAGAGCGUUGUAAAGCUAGGUGCUGAGGCGCAUCUGCGAUCAGAGCGUUGACCCACAAUGGACAACGAUUGGGAGAUGGCUCGAAGCUUUGUAAAGCUUUUACAAUGCUGCGAUCGAGGCGUUGACCCUAAGGGGACUCCAAGUCGAAAGGGUUGAAGAUUGUAAAGCUGAUGGAAGAGCUCAUCUGCGAUUGAUGCACUAACCCACAGAGGACGACGUUAGGAGAUGGCUUGAAGCUUUGUAAAGCUUUUGCAACGUUGCGACCGAGGCAAUGACACUACGAGGGCUCUGCAUCAGAAGGGUUGAAGCUUGUAAAGCUGAUGGAAGAGCUCGUAUACGAUCUUUGCGUUGACCCAUAGGGGAUGACGCUGGGAAGAUGGCUUGAAGCUUUGUAAAGCUUUUGCAACACCGCGACUAAGGCGAUGACCACAGGAGACCUCGUGUCUGGAGGUUUGAAGUUAUGUAAAACUGAUGAAGGAGCUCAUAUGCAAUCGAUGUGCUGGCCCAUAGGGAAUAACGCUUUGGAGAUGGCUUGAAGCUUUGAAAGCUUUUGCAACGCUGUGACCGAGGCGAUGACCCUAGAAGACUCUACGUCGGGAGGGUUGAGCCUGUAAAGCUGAUGGAAAAACUCAUUUGCGAUCGAUGUGCUGUCCCACAGGGGACAACACUUGGGAGAGGGCUUGAAGCUUUGUAAAGCUUUUGCAACGCUCCGAUCGAGGCGAUGACCCACAAGAGACUCCGCAUCGGAAGGGUUGAAGUUUCAUAAAGCUGAUGAAGGAGCUCAUCUAUGACAGAUGUGUUGGCCCACUGGGGACAACACUUUAGAGAUGGCUUGAAGCUUUGUAAAGCUUUUGUAACCCUGCAACUGAGGCAAUGACGCUGAGAAGACUCCGCAUUCGGAGGGUUGAAGCCUACAAAGCUAUAGAAAAGCUCAUCUGCGAUCGAUGCGCUAACCUACAGGGGACAACACUCAGGAGAUAGCUUGAAGCUUUGCAAAGCUUUUGCAAUGCUCCGACCAAGGCGAUGACCUACAGGGAACUCCGCGUCGGAAGGGUUGAAACUUUGUAAAGCUGAUGAAGGAGCUCAUCUGCGAUUGAUGCGUUGACCUACAGGGGACGAUGCUUGAAGCUUUGUAAAGCUUAGUUUCAAUCUGAGGCGUUCAGUUUGUAAUCUUAAAUGAUGUAAUGAUCGUCGCGUAUUUCCAAGGAGGAUAGUUGGAUGUGAUGCUUAUUCCCAGAAAAGACUGUUGCGGUUAAUUAUGGAAAAUGGUUGUUUAAGCUCGAGAUGACGUGUUUGAUGCUUUCGUGAAAGUCACAGCUAGAUCUUAGGCGUUGAUCAAAUCUGGCAUUUUGUUUUUACGAUCUAGAUUUGUAAUGUGAUCAACGGCCCAGAUUGAUAGCAUUUGAAUUCAACGGUGUACAUCAUCCUAAGCCUCUUAUAAAAGGCUGAUUUCUUGUCAUUCAAAAGUUUUCGCUUUGGCAAAAUUUGAAACUUCAUUUCUCCCAAUCUUUUUUUAAUGUUUGAUGAUCUUUUUGCGUUCUUCAGAGUUUUUCGACCACGAUUAGCGAGCCUUGUAACAUUUUUGGUCAUAAGACAUCAUUUUCAGUGAGUUUUUGUAAGUAUUCACAGUUUUUCACCUUUUCUUUGAGAGAAAUGGCUUUUGAGGGUAAUGGAUCUCCGGGAGGGAUUUGGAAAUUGUUAGGAUGGACGAGCCGAUGCUAGCUACUUCGCUAGAGCUGUCCAAAGCGAUAGAAGGGGGGAGAGAAUAUUUGGAAACGACCAGAUAGCCCCGUGGAUACUUCUAUGCGUUGGGAGGCAUCUAUUUAUCCCUCAAAAUUGAAAUCAUAAAACCAGGUUAGGCUUAGGGCAGAAUAUAGGAUACCAAAUAGUGUGGGUCUAAUCAUACCAGAUCCAGAUAAGCGAGCCUGCUAUCCUAGGCCGGGGUGCGUGGCGAUAAGUGAGGCCAUUCUCAGGGUGGGGCUUAGGUUACCUAUCCACCCAUUCUUUCACUACGUCCAUAGAUCUUAUGGCUUGGCCCCCAUCCAACUCAACUCGAACUUGUGGAAUCAGAUGGUGAGAUAAUGGAUGUUGUGGAAGGAGGCUUCGUACUAGAUAGAGAUGCCUUUUUUAGUUUUUCAGAUUCUUUACAUUCCCAAAAUGGUUGUGGGGUGUGAUAAAACUAGGGGUGGUACAAUCUGACCUCUUGGGGGCUCAUAUUCCAUUCAUGCUCUAUUUGUCGAACUCUAUCAAGGAAUGGAAGAUUUCGUAAUACUAGGCUUCCGAGAGAUGAGAUACGAUGGAGGAUGACCACCUAGCACCUCUAAUAGUUCCCACCAAAUAUUCCGCAUUUAAUGAGUACUAAUACUUCGGCUUAUUGUAUAUUUCUUCGGCUGGCGUACUUAAAGCUCAUAUUCUAGUGUAGGUGCUCUUCCUUGGUGCGAAUUGUCCACAGAGGAUUUCGAUAGUAUCUGCAUCAUCUAUCAGCUUCUAGUUAAGAACUGGUCUUACCAGGAGUUGAUAAGGAAAAAUAUACACUUCGUCAAUCAAGGCUUGAUGUCUUCAUAAGGUAGACUAUCUGAACUUGUCAUGUUUAUUCCGAGUCCUUUAUACUCAAGCUAAUAUUCGAAGUUUCUUGCAUACGAUUUUAAUAAGAAGAAGGCCUCUGAAGCCUAACUUCGCCACCAUCAAGCGCAUGAUGGCUGAGCGAGGGUCUUGAAGACCUCCUCCUCAGCCAAUAAAAUGCAAAUGGAGGACUUAGUGGCAACCAGCAAGAAGCUGCCUCAUACCUCGGAGGAGGGGAGCCUCUACUCAAGAAAGGAAAAAAAGCAACCGGGCCGUUCUCAAAGGCCCCAACAGUGGCGAGGCCAACCACUAGGCAAACGACGAUCCCCAUUUUGGUUGUGAUACGAAAAAGGUCUGUACAUUUAUCAUAGAUGACUCCUACUAAAGUGGCCCCAACCCCACCUCCAGUUGCCUCAACUGUUGAUCGGCCUGUCGAAGAAGGGAGGAAAAAAAGGGCCCGUCUUGACAAGGAGCAAGAUUUUUUGGGUACCAACUCCGAUGAGCCUGUGAAUGAGGUACUAGAGGCCUUGCCCUCGGAGACUGCAAUAGUAGCACUGACCCGUCACAAGUACUGGACCGAGGCUUGGAAAGAUAACACUUCCUCUUGUACUAUUGAGGAUUUUGUAGCUGCCAACAACACUUGUGUUGCCCGAGCUCUGAGUACCAGCAUCUAGCUGGAGGGCCUCGUCAAAGACUUGAGGAUGAAGAACAUCGAUCUAGCCCAAAGGUUGGAGAAGGCAGUAUUGUAUGAGGAUGAGGUACGAGUUUCUAGAAAUAACGCUACGGAGGCAGGGAAGAAUAGAGUUGAGCGAAAAGUAGGGUAGUGAAGGCUAAGACUGAGUUAAAGCAGCUGAAAAAACAGUUGUAUGAAUAGAAUGCCAAGUUGUUCUGACGAGGUGAAUUGACCAUGCCAAUAAACAUCACCGCCUCAUCGUGAAGGCCCUUGAAGCCUCAAACAAGGAAAGGGCUAAGCUGAGGUAGCGGGUGGAGGCCCAAGUCGAAGAGAUCAAAUCCCUCAAAACAGAAGAGAAAACUGUUGUGGAGUCAGCCAUGCAGCAUCUUAUUGACCACUUCGAAAAGCACGAGCUGUAAGACACUUUUACCAACUAUUGGGCUUCCUGGAACACCCAAGCUAUGUUGUAGUGUCUGAGGGAAGUGCACCCGAGUAUGGACAUUUCAGCGUUUGAGUUCGAUAGGCCUAUCGGAGGUCGCCCUGACAUCGCUGCUGUCGAGGGGGCUACAGUGGCUCCUGAAGAAAUAGAGACGGAAGAGGGGGCCAUAGUGCUAAUAGAGUGGGAUUCUCUUUGUCUUUUGCAAUGGCCUUGACCCUUAAUUGUAAUUAUUUGGGUAUUAGUGGAAUGUAAUAUUUUUUGACUUCUUCUAUUCAUGUUGAGCCGUGUAAUUACAUUAUUGUGAUUGGAUAAGUGCCUAAGUUAAAAUCAAGCGUUACUUAACAAUAAUAACCAGUGGAAGCACAUAAUGAUUAAUCCAUAGAACACUGAUGAACUGAGGUUUCAUAAGAAAUUUGAACUUAACAUUAUCAUAAGCUAAUGCGAUUUCAGCACUUAAUCUGAUAGGAAUAAGUUAUAGUAGAUCAUAUAAGAACAUGACCAAUUUAGAGCAUACAUUUAUUGAUAGUAUUUCCUCAAGUGUUCGACAUUCCACUAAUGUGGCAUCGUUUUCCCAGCCAUAUCUUCAAUCCAAUAAGUUCGGGGUUGGGAUUCUUUGACAAUGCGAUAUGGCCCUUCCCAGCUCGGCCUAAGCACUCCGAAACCUAUUGGUUUUGAUACUGGGAAGACCCUUCUACGUACCAGGUCACCCAAAUGUAGAGUUCGAUUUCUGACCUUCGAGUUGUAGUAGCUGUCAUCUUUCUCUGAUAUGUGGCUAGUUUGACUUGUGAAGAAUCAUUUUUUUCUUUCGGGAGAUGAAGCUCACAUACUUACGCUUCAUCGUUGCUAAUCUCACUGAAGUGUAUGCGAUGAUGUGAAGGGAUCCCCACCUUGACUAGGCUCAUGGCUUCAACUUCGUAAAUCAUAUAGACGGGUGUCUCUUCUGUUGCAGUUCGGCUAGUUGUACGGAUGGAUCAUAAGACAUGGGGAAGCUCAUCGACCCAUGCUCCUUUUAAGGCGUCAAGCUUCCUUUUCAGGGUGUGCUUGAUCGUCUUUUUUAUUACCUCAAUCUGCCCAUUUGCUUGGUGGUGAUAGGGUGGUGAGAAAUCCUCCCUUAUACCCAGUUUACAGCAUAGAUCCUCGCAUCUUUCUAUUGACGAACUGUAUUCCAUUGUCGGACACCAGGGAGUGGAGAAUGCCAAACCUACAAAUGAUGUGCUUCCAAAUGAACUUCGUAGUAUUCGCUUCGGUGAUUUUUGCUAGAGGUUCGGCUUUGACCCACUUAGUAAAGUAAUCUAUAGCAACAAUGGCAAAGUUGCGCUUCCUCUUCCUUUCAGGAGGAGACUAAUGAAAUCUAUCCUCCACUUGGCGAACGGCCAGGGGCUGGUGACUAUGGAGAGGCUCUGUAAAGCUGUCUUUGAAUAUUGAAAAAUCGCUGGCACUUAUCACAUCUUUGAACAAACUGGUAGGAAUCAUUUUUUGAGGUCAGCCAGAAGUAACCUUGUUGAAGCACUUUUUGUGCCAAGGCUGUUCCCCCGGAGUGUUUUCCACAUGCUCCAUCGUGAAUUUUCCUCAGUAUGUACAUAGUCUCUUCUCCCCCAACGCAUCGGAAGAGAGACGAUGCGAAGCCCCUUUUAUACAACAUGUUUUCCUGGACGAUGAAGUGAAUAGCCCUUCUUCUCAACUUCUUGGCCUCAUUCUUCGAGGCUGGCACUAUUUGAUAUUUGAGAUAAGCUAUCACGGGUUGCAUCUAAGGUAGGGUACCCUCAAUCCACAUCACCUUUUCGCCUCCGGCAAUGGAGGGCUUCAAUAGGCGCUCAAUUGGAACAAUCUUUAGUAGCUUGGAGUCUUUGCUGCUGGCCAGUUUGGAUAGGGCAUCUGCAUGAAUGUUUUCGAGGCGUGGGACCUGCACUAGUUUGAAUUUCUUGAAGUGGGGGACAAUGCUCAAAACUAGUUUCAAAUAGGCGACCAUGCCACUGUCGUUGGCUGCGAAUAACUGCUGGCUAGGAGUCUUUUGACUUGCAUUUCUUUGGCCUGUCUAAGGUCUGCUAAGAGGGACUCAUAUUCGGAAGCAUUGUUUGAAGCUUAGAAGUCGAACUUGAUUGCACAAUUUAGCUUAUGGCCUUGUGGGCUUUCUGGAACGACUCCUGUCCCGAAGGCGGUCUCUGCUGGCGAGCCGUCCACAAAGAGGUUCCAAGUAGGGGGCUCUACUGGUUCUAUGGUUGCCUCAAUUUUUGGGGCUUUAGCAAUCUCUGCGACAAAGUCUGUGAGGGCUUGUCCUUUGAUGGAGCUUCAAGGUUUGAAGAGGAGGUCGAGCUCAUCGAGUUCAAUUACCUAUUUCAGUAAACAACUAAAAGUGUCUGUCUUCUGUAGCACUUGUUUCAACGGAAAAUUGGUUAGAACUUCAAUGGAGUGGGCCUGAAAGUAUGGCCUUACUUUCCUUAAUGCAUUUACGAGGGAGAGUGCAAGCUUUUUCAUGUCUGGGAAGCAAGCCUCUGCUGGCAGUAAGGCUUUGCUGAUGUAGUACAUUGGCAGUUGGCGUGUCUUUUCUUACCUGAUGAGGACUGCACUGACUGCUUUUUCUGAAACCGCCAAAUAUAGCAGAAGUGGCUCGCGUGGUUUGGGCUUGGACAGUAAGAGUGCCUCUCCCAAGUGCUUCUUCAGCUCUUGGAAGGCUGUCUCAUAUUCUUCCUUUUGUUGGAACUUUUUUCCCUGCUUUAGAAUCUUGAAGAAGGGUAGACUUUUAUCGAUGGUCUUAGAGAUGAAGCGACGAGGGCAGCAAUCCGUCUGUUGAGGCUUUGCACCUAUUUUGGUUUCUGAUGUGACCUCAUCUCUAACAGAGCAUUUAUCUUUUUAGGGUUUGCUUCAAUCCCUCUUCGAUUAACAAUGUAGCCCAAAAAUAUAGUUAUUGAACAAAAUUAAAGUUAUCUAUUAACACUAGAUCACAAAUAUUUCCAAUAAUUUGUAGUUUGAUGAUGUUAAGAACAUGGAUAAUAAAAGAAGAGGAAAUAUUGGAAGAUGGCCAGUUGCCCUGGCCAUCUUUCCACAAUGGCCUUUGACCGAAAAAAUCUCAUUAAAAAAAAACUAAAAAUGUAAACAAUAUCCAAAUGGUCGAAAACGCCCCCAAACGGUCUGGAUCCAGACGGCAGGCCAUUUGGAUUGGCCUGUGUGCUAGCCAUUUUUUUUAAAAAAAAAUUAAAUUUAAUUGUUUAUAAAUAUUCAUGAAUUAUAUAAAUUGUUUAUUUAAGUAAAAUAAUUAAUUAUUUUUUAUUUCAUUUUCUUUAAAAGAUAAAUAAUUUGAAUAACGAAAUAAACCAUUUAAAAAAAUAUAAUAAAAAUUGAAUAUUCAAAUAAAUAAGAAAUUAAUAUAAAUAAUUCAAUGAAGUAAAUAAAUAUGAAAUAAACAAUUAUAAUAACUAAUUAAAUAGAGUUAUUAAACAUCAAACAAACAAUAUACAUAACCAAUUAAAAUAUUUAGUGAAAUAUUUAAAUAAAAUUAAAUUAAAAAUUAAAUAAAUAAUUUAAUAAUCAAUAUUUAAUUUAGUUGUUUAUUUAAAUAUUUAAGUAAUUACUUUAAUUGCUUAUGUAUAUUAUUUGUUAGAUAUAUAAUUAUUUACUUUAUACUUUAUUUGUUUAUUUAAAUAUUUCAUGAAUUAUGUUAAUUAUUUAUGUAUAUUGUUUAUUCAAGUAAAUAAUAAAUAACUAAUUGAAAUAAGUUCAAUAAACAAGUAAAUUAAAUAUUAAUUAAGAAAUAAAAAUAGUUAAUUAACAAAAAUAACAAAUAAAAUAAAUAAUAAAAAAUAGUUUAAAUAAGUAAUUAAAUAUUAAAUAAACAAUUCAAACAAACAAUUGAAAUAAAUAAUUAGCAUUCAAAUAUUAAAUAAAUAAUUUAAAUGAACAAUAAAUAAAAAUAAUAAAAAAUAAAUAAUUUAAAUAAGUAAUUAAAUAUUAAAUAAAAAAUUUAAACAAAUGAUUGGAAUAAAUAAUUAAUAUUUAAGUAUUAAAUAAAAAAUUUAAAUGAAACAUAAAUAUAAAUAAUAAAAAUAAUAAUUUAAUAUUAAAUAAACAUUUGAAAUAAAUAAUUAACAUUUAAAAUAAACAGUUAAACAUUCAAUUAACAAUUAAAAUAAAUAUUAAAUAAACAACUAAACAAUUAAAAUAAUUAAUUUAAAUACACAUUUAAAUAUUGAAUAAAUAAUUUAAAUGACAAUUUAAAUAAAUAAAUAACAAUUAAAUAUUCAAUAAACAAUUUAAAUAAGUAAAUAAAUAAUUUAAUUUUUAAAUAUUAUGCUUUAUCCAUUGUCUCUUACACAAGUUUCUAACAUUUAAAAUUUUACAGGAUGAAUUACCAUUUAGAUACCACCAUGAGACAGAUUUUCAACAAAGUUACGUCGAACUAUAACUUUGCCAACUUUAUAUUAGUCCUAGAUUUGUUGGAUGAGGAGCACGCAGACCUGUUAUACCGAUCAUUCUUACGACGAUAACUCUAGCACAGUUAGGAGACGCAUUUAGUGAAUGCGACGAUAUGUCUACAAGUUGAAGUUGGGAAUGGUAUUUAUACUGAAGAGCAUACUGAGAUGUCAUCACAAGAUGACGUCGAUCGACAUCUUUCAUUUGGAGGUUGUUGAUGAUAUUGACACAUUCAACAACUAUUCAUGGAGACAGAACUGACAGUUAUCAGCUCUUGUCAACGAUUCUGAAGUACAUAUUAUUCAUUUGUGAUUUAUGUUGCAAGUCAUUUCGAAAUCUCAAUGCAUGGUCAUUAAUUCGGUGAAAUGUUAAUAUGUCAGCUUGAAUUUGUCACUUAGCUAACACCGUUGAUCGAGGAGGAGGGUCAGAGUCAUAUCCGAUGAGAUAUAGCCUGCAGGCGAUGGGGGUCCCAAACAGUGACAGAGAGGGUGACAAAGAUGGUGACAUGGAGAGUGGCGAUGGAGGGGUAGGGAUGUACACAGAUAUUUCAUUAGAAUCGUUAUGGAUGUUAGUGGGGAUAAGAGAGGUGCCGAUGGAGAGGAUGAAAUAAUUGUAUUUAUGAAAUAAUUAUAUAUUUUCUUAUUUAUGAAAUAAUUGUACAUAUUGUAAAAUUUAUUUAAAUAAGGUAAUGAAAUAUUAAAUACAUAAUAUACACAACCAAUUAAGAUAAUUUAUAAGUGAAAUAUUUAAAUAAGAAGUUAAAUUAAAUAUUAACUUUUUUAUUUAAUUAAGUGAUUAAAUAAAUAAUUAAACAAAGUAAUUAAAUAUUAAAUAAAUAAUAUACAUAAUUAUGCCAGAGAUGACCCCCAACUUGAUAGAUAAUAUCGCGAGUUUGGAUGAAGUGACAAUUAUGCCGAAGAAGGUAAAGUAACUAACACCCUAUAAGAAACAUGUUAUUGACAUGCCAAAGCAGAUGGUUAGCAAGAUGACUAGAUCGUCGUCACAAAUACAUUGUUUCUCUGUACACAAUCGAGGCAAGAAAGAGAACAUCUGUCGACAGUACAUUGCCCAACCUCUUUCGUGAAAUCGACUCGGGGCGAUUGUGGAGUCUUCGCAUUGAAGUACAUUGAAUCUUUUUAAAUAUAAGCGUUCUUUUAUAUACAUUGUCAUCCGUAGUUAUAAUAAUUUAAAAUGUAAGCAUUUUUUUAAAACGUUUGUAAUACUUUAGUAUUUAUGUCAUUGUACAAUAAAUAACUAAUUACUCUUAAUUACAUAUAUGACACACUUCAAAUAAAGAAAAUUUAGGAAAUCAAUAACAUACUAUAAAUAGAGAGUAUAUACGAUUUAAGUAGAUAUUACAUAUCCGUCGGGUCAAAUUUCAUGGAAUCAAUAACACACUAUAAAUAAAGAAAUUUAAGGAAAUCAGUAACAUACUAUAAAUAGAAAGUACAUACGAUUUAAAUAGAUAUUACACAUCCGUUGGACAGAGAUUAACAUGCUAUAAUCGGGAACUUCCCACUCAACUUCAUUUGAUAAAAAAAAUAUAGUUUCAACAUUCUUGAAUAAUGUUCGAUAUCUUGAAAAUAUAACCGUGCCCAAUGUUCAACUCUCAUCUAUGUUAGAUAUUCUCAUGCAUCGUGUGAUUUAUGUCCUAAUUAAUUAUUAAAUAAAAAAUAUACAUAACCAAUUAAAAUAAUUAAUUAAUGAAAUAUUUAAAGAAUAAAUUAAAUUAAAUAUUAAUUUUCUAUUCGAAUAAGUGAUUAAAAUAAUAAUUAAAUAAGGUAAUGAAAUAUUAAAUACAUAAUAUACACAAUCAAUUAAGAUAAUUUAUAAAUGAAAUAUCUAAAUAAGAAAUUAAUUAAAUAUUAAUUUUUUAUUUAAUUAAGUGAUUAAAUAAAUAAUUAAACAAAGUAAUUAAAUAUUAAAAAAAGAAUAUACAUAAUUAACUAAUGAAAUAUUUAAAUAAGAAAUUAAAAUAAAUAUUAAUUCUUUUAUUUAAAUAAGUGAUUAAAUAAAUAAUUAAAUAACGUAAUUAAAUUUUAAAUGCAUAAUAUACAUAACCAAUUAAGAUAAUUAAUUAAUGAAAUAUCUAAAUAAGAAACUAAAUGAAAUAUUAAUUUUUUAUUUAAUUAAGUGAUUAAAUAAAAAGUUAAAAAAAGUAAUUACAUAAUAAAUAAAUAAUAUACAUAACUAAUUAAGACAAUUAAUUAAAGAAAUUAAAAUAAAUAUUAAUUUUUUAUUUAAAUAAGUGAUUAAAUAAAUAAUUAAAUAAAGUAAUUAAAUAUAAAGUGAAAAGUCUUUGAUUUUUUAAUUUGUAACUUAAGGGUAUUUUCAUCUUUUUAAACAAAAUUAUAUCUUUGUAAUUGUAUGAACUAUUUAAGGAUAUUUUUGUCUUUAAAUCAGCAAAAGAUCAUUUUGAUGAUUGACAAAUUUCUUUCAUCAAAGUGAAAAAUGUAAUUUUGACUUGGCCCUUCUUAAAAGUACCCUAGAAAAGAAUAUGGCCUUAAAAAUGACCCAAAUGCAGUUUCCACUUAUGAUGCAAUUCACAUUUCAAUUAGCAAUUCAUCAAAUUCUUUUCGUAUGGGUCUUAUCACUUGUAGAGCACUGCACAUUGUAAUUAUAAAUGAACAUGAAAUGAGCUUUCUGCACAAGAGAUUCAGGUUAUCCCUUUCUCUGUGUUGUUGCAAUUCUUACAGAAGAAAAUGACUAAUUACAGAAAACAUCUAAUAGACCAAAAUAAUUUCUACAACGUUUUAGAAAAAAUUAAUUAAUUUGAAAAUAAUUAGGGACAGAAAUCUACUCAGGGAUUCGAAACAGAGAAGAAAAAACGAUUUAAUUGAGCCAAAUCAAAAGAAAAUAAAAAAACAGGUCACAAGUAUCUAAUAUUCUUGAAAUGUCAAAACAAUUUAUUUAUUUAUUUAUUUCGGUAUAAUGGCCAAGUACGAUCACUGCUUGAAAUGUCAUCAAAUUUGUUGUUUAUAACAACGGAAUGAGAUGUAGUGACUAAUGUUAUGUAAGUAUCAAUAUUUGAUAAUUUAAAUUUAAAAAUUAUUUGCGAGUAACUAGGUAAGUUGGGGCCCUUUCUAAUUGAGUUGAUAUCAAUUUUUUUUUAAUUUUUAAUUUAUUUAUUAUUAUUAUUAUUAUUAUUAUUUUUUUUUUUUGCAAGACGUUGGAGCCAUUUCUAAUUGAAAGUUAGUGCACCAGAAAAAUACAUAUCAAUAAUUGAGUUGGGAUCAAAUUAUUGCUUGUGAGACAUUGGGGCCCUUUUUAAUUGAAAAUUAUUGCACGUGUAAAUGACUUUGACUGAAAAGAUGAAAAAGUAAAACGAUUACAUCUGAUUGGUGGCAGAUAGAAUUGACAAAUCCCACAAAAAUCCGCUAUAUUCGUUCUUGGGGAAAUUUAAUGAAUAUUGGUCGGAAAAAAAAAAAAAAAAUCUACUGUUUAGAAUUUCAACGAAAAUGUUAGAAAUAAUAGGAUAAAAGUUUAAGUUGUCCUUUUUAAAAAAACUGACCACAUUUUUGAACGGCUCAAACAUCAUUCACGAUUGAGUUAGGGAUACUUCUGGGUAGUUAAGAUUUUAUGUAUUGUGGUGGAUUAUGCAUUCAAUUCAUGUCUUUUUUCUCGCGAGUGUACUCUAUUAGGUGGAGAAAAUACAAAAUUUAAAAUAAUUGAGUUGGAAUCAAAUUGUCCUUAGUGAGACAUUGGGACCCUUUGUAAUUGGAAGUUAGUGCACGAGUAAAUAACUCUGACAAAAAAAAUUGAAAAAGCAUAAAGAUUACACGUGAUUGCUGAUGGUUGAAUUGAAAAGUGGCACAAAAUAAUAGCAUAUAUAUAUAUAUAUAUAUAUAUAUAUAUAUAUAUAUAUUUUACAAGGUGUCCAAUUCUUGACUAAUCCUUGGAUCUGUAAUCCGACCCCUCUUCACAUAGUCCAGUUAAAUAAUAGCAUAUUCUUUCAUGGGGAAUGUUGAUGUAUUGACGAAAAAUGUUUGAAACAUUAUACGAAAAGUUUAAGGAAUAUUUUUUUUUUUUUUUUGUAGAAACGUACAUAUUAUUGGGCAGUCUUGAUAUCAUCCACAAUGAAGAUAUGAACACUAUUGCGCGACUGAGAUUUCAUGUAUAUUGGUGUCGUGUGCAUAUAGUUCAAGGACUGUACACUUUAGAAUGAAGAAAAUGCAACCAAAUUCAUUGCAACAGAGUACUUCGAUCCAUGCUCUUUUGGGGACAGAUCUAGAGUAAUGGCUUCGGUUUCAUUUUAACAUGAUGAUCCACACUUGGAAGCUUUCGAAGUCUAACGAGCUAUGUGUUCCAUUUUGUGUCCUUCAAAAGAACAAUUUAACUUUCUUUGAACUUACCAAAAAUGUAAAAAAUAAAAAAUAAAAAAAUUCUAAGGGAUGAAUUUUUAUUCCAACAAAAUACUUAUUUUCCUUUACACACCUAUUGCCCACGGUAAAACAGUGAGAGAAAUCUAUGAGGGAAAAAUUCCAUUUAAUGGAGUCAAAUCAGAAGAAAAUAAGAAAACGUGAAAUAUAAUUGUGUCGAAAUUGAAGCUUAGCAUAAACAUAUUUUGAUGAAUUAAACACUGCUAUUUACAUUUAUGAUUUACCACUGUAUUGACAUUAUUAUAUUCAUAUUUGGUGCAAUCUCUUUUGAUUGCUGAAUGUUCAACGCAGGUGUGGACUGCUGGGAAAUAAUUAUACUCAUACGCCUAAGCAUAAUUUUUUUUUCUUAUUUUUAUUAUGAUUUUUAUUAUUUUUAAGUUCAUUAAAUAAAUAAAACAAUGCAUACCAGUCUUACAACUAGAUAAUUGAAAAUUAAAAGCACGUGCCACUUUUUGAGGUAAAUGGGCCUAAGAAAUCAUAUAUACUAAUUUAGUGAUUAAGCCAACAUUAGCCAUUAGGUUCAAAGAAAGACUCCAAAAAGAUUGAGAAAAUAAAAAAUAAAAGGUGCAUUCUAUUACUUGGAUGGAAGGAAAUCGAUGACAUGAUAGUCAGUAAACUUAUUUCAGUAAAAUUCCACUUGUUCCAUGUUAGUAAUUAACAACCACAUGUGACGACCAUCAUUUGAUGGCGAUCAUGUCAUUGAUUACCUUAAUUAAAAAUCAAACUAUAAUUUAGUUACUAAAUUAAUUUUAGAAUAAAGUAUAGUUACCUGGUUAAAUAAAAUUUAAAGGUUAUUAUUGAACAAAAUUAAAGUUAUCUAUUGACACUAGAUCACAAAGAUUUCCAUUAAUUUGUAGUCUGGUGAUGUUGAAGAUGUGGACAAGAAAAGAUGGCCUUACAAAUAACCCAAACGCAGCUUCCUCUUAUGAUGCAAUUCACAUUUCAAUUAGCAAUUCAUCAAAUUCUUUUCAUCUGGGUCUUAUCGCCCGCACAGCACUGGACAUUGUAAUUAUAAAUGAACAUGAAAUGAGCUUUCUGCACAAGGGCUUCAGUUUAUCCCUUUCUCUGCGUUGUUGCAAUUCUUACAGAAUAAAAUGGCAAAUUGUAGAAAAUAUUUGGUAGACCAAAAUAAUUUCUACAACGUUUUAGAAAAUUUUAAUUAAUUUGAAAAUAAUUAGGGAGAAAAAUCUACUCAGGAUCCUAAAUAGAGGAGAAGAAAUCGAUUUAAUUGAGCCAAAUCAAAAGAAAAUAAAAACACAAGUCACUAGUAUUGUUGACACAUAAAAAUUCAGCCCAAAUCGAACAGCCCAAGAAGUGAAGCCCAAUUGGAGGAUCCCCAAAUCAGAUAGCCCAAAGAACGAAGCCCAAUCGAACAAAUCAAGAUGAAGGCCCAAAUAAGGAGGCCCAAGAACGCGGUAACGCCAUCACCCAAGCUUGCAAGUCGCCCAGAAUCUGAGCGAAUGAAGUGGCAUAUAGUCGCCCAGAGCUGUUACUCUAUUCUCGCCCAAACCUUCAAGUCGCCCAAGGUCUUAACAAACAUAAAGCGUCGUGGUUAUCAAGAAGUGCAGUUAUCAAAGCGAUUAUUAAAGCAGCCCUAUCACGUUCCACGAUUCAAGGAACUCAAUCGAAAGCGGUUGAACGAUGAAGAGUAAUGGCAGCAGUUAAAAAAUGCAGUUUUCAUGACAAGUUGGCCAUUAUGAAGAAAGUGGUCAGUUAUAGGACGAUCAAGCAGUUUUUAGGGCGGUUGAUCACAAAUAGAUCGUCCAUGAAGUAUAAAAGGGAGAAAGGACAUAGAAGCAAAGGACCGAAUCCAAAACUCUCGAACAGAGAACAUGUAAUUUUCAUUUCCUUAGUUUUUACACUUAAACACUUUUCUUUCAGUAACUCGUGUGCUUGCGCCCCUUGGAGGCACAUUGUUUUUCAUUUCCAAUUGUAAAGUCAUCGCCAAUAAAAGAACACCCCUUUUUGGGACUUUGUCUCAAGAGGUUUGUCCCUUACACAAUCGUCUGAUCCUUUUUAAUUGUUAGCGACUAACCCGCGCGAAACAAUUUGGCACGCCCAGUGGGACAGUGGUGUUAGGUGUUGAAAGUACAAAAGGGGAAACAAUAUGCCUCAGAGAUCCGAUAAGGAAGCAGCAAGUCAGGGAGGAAUCCAGUCUGUGAUCGAGCGAUAUGAGGAGCAGCAUGCCUCUCUACGAACAGAUGGACAGAAUCAGAGCAGUAACAGUCGUUAUAAACCAAUGACGGAGUUGAGUCCUCGAACCAUGCGUGCAUUACUUGGAGAACUCACGCAAGACGUCGUUGAACAGGUAAAUCUUCGAAGUAUUCAUAAUAUGGAAAGAUUUACGCAAAAUGGGAAUGUACACUAUGACAACAUGGCCAAACAACUAAAGACGUUGAACGAAACAAUGAAUAAGUUAGUAGGCCAAAUAUGUCAACCGGUUAUACCUCUUACAAACCACUUUCAAAUUAGGACAAUUGUGGGACAUAAUCCCUCGGUCCUAAAUCCGAAUCAAGGGAUAGAACCGCUUUCUGGUCCCUCCACUUCAAACCAAGGGGGUACUACAGUGCCAAAUCAAAAUAAUGGUAGUAGUAUGCCUAACUUGGGGGGUAAUCCAAACGUGAGAGAUAAUGUCCUAAACAAUGGACAGAAUAUUCCACGUGUUAAUGAGGGAACAGAUGUUCAGGCUAAUGGUAAUGGCCCUAAUCAUGGUAAUUUUGUUGCCAAUCAAGGACCAAACAUCAGGUCUCAUGCAAAUCAACCGGUUAACCAACCUAUAGGAAUUCCAUAUGACCCCAAUGUCAUGUUGAGGAACCAGAUUAUGGAAAUCGUACAGGAUCAGAUAGCUUUUGGGGUGCAUCCCGUCAUUAGGCCGACAUACACAAAGCCAUAUCCUGAUUGGGUAGACCAAGCAUAUCCAUGGCCUAGAGGGUACAAAGUGCCAGAAUUCUCACUGUUUACCGGUUUAGGAAAGGUGUCUACUCUAGAACACAUAGGGCGAUUCACAUUGCAAAGUGGUGAUGUAACCGAUUACCAUAAAAUGAAGCUUUUCCCUAGUUCGUUAACAGGAGUAGCUUUCUCCUGGUUCAUCAACUUGCCAGCAAACUCUGUUCAAACAUGGCAACAAUUGGAACAGUUGUUUCACGCUCAGUUUUAUAAAACUGAGUCUGAAGUCACUUUGGCUGAUUUGGCGAAUCUACGUCAAAUGCCAAAUGAAUGGGCAGAAAGUUUUCUCCAAAGGUUCAAGACAGUAAGAAGCAAGUGUUUUGUACCUCUGUCCAAAAAGAAUUUGUCAAGAUCGCUCAGGGCUGCUUGAGCUUUGAUUUAAAGAAGAAAUUCCAGGACAAGGAAUUUCCUGACCUUUUCCUGUUGAGUGCGAAUGUGAUUAGGUAUGAGCGACUGAUAAGAGAGGAAGAACAAAUGAAAAAUUCUAGUAAAGGGACUUAUUACAAAGACCCAAAUUUUGACGUUCAUACCAUCGACGACGAGUCAUACGAUCAGGCCGAAAUGUGUUUGGCCGAAUUGGUCAAAGGGGAUACAUAUACUUGUCCCAUAAUGGCCAAGCCUAGACCAUCGGGCAAAGAUGAGCCCACAAAAGAUGGAAACAUAAAAGCUAGAACGUUCUCGUUCGACGUGACCAAAGCUGACCUUAUAUUCGAUAAAUUAUAUAGGGAUAAGCAGAUAAAGUUGAGCGAUAAGCACAAAUUGCCAAGCCCUUAACAAAUUAAGGGUAAAAAAUAUUAUAAGUGGCAUAAUGUAUGGUCACAUUUGACUAACAAUUGCUUGGUUUUCCGUCAUGUACUGCAGGAUACCAUUGAAUCGGGACGAAUUACGUUCGAUGAUAAGAAAAAGAUGGCAGUAGACGAAAAUCCUUUCCCACAGCCACUUGGAGUAAACAUGGUGACAUCUAGAUUUAAAAACAAGUUGCCAAAAUUCAAGUUGGUCGUAGAUGAUGGAGAAGAAGAUCCUAGACCACAUCCCAGCGUCUUUGAACGAAUCAAAGGGAAAGAACCAAAAAAGGACGAAGACGUCCUAUGUGCAAGGUGUAAAAGAGAAGUGAAUGGAAACGCGGAGAAACCAGGGACAUGGCAGCAUCCUCAUCGCCCUACCUUCUUCCCAAACAUUCAGCCUGGUAGAGGGCGAGGUACAUCAUUCUAUAGAGGACCGCCUUUUGAGAGGCAGUUCAGGCCACCAGAUAAUGGAAGAACAUUCAGCCGCAACCUCGCCGGCCAAAUAUAUGGCAUUCAUUCCAGUACAAUGCAGGAAGGGCAGUACCCUUCGAUGAGAUGACUAGGACCCAACGAAGGCGUUUCCAACAAAACUAUGGACGGAUGAUGAGGCAGCAACAGGGAAUGCCACAUCUUAAAGCGCCUAAACUACUCAAGGUAGCAAAUCAAAAUGUCCUCAAAAAUAGUGAAGAGACCGGUACAAAUGAAUCAAUGAAGGAACUGCCAGAAACUUCUUCUGGGAGAUCAAGGUUUGAGCGAGACAAAAGGGAUGAAGAAGAUCCAGAUCAGCCCCUUGCGAUCCAAUUCGGUACGUUGCCUCCUGUAGUGGCCAAUAAUUACCUACUGGCCAAUGAAUUCAAGAAUAAAGAAAAAGAAGAAGAGAGGGAGGACAACGAAGAAGGAGCCUGCGUGCUGGUAUGUGAAGAAGGCCAGACUUCUAGAGAGGCCUACAACGAUGAAGAGGACGACGGGAUGACAGACAUUGAAGAAGAAAUCGACUUAGAAGCAGAAAGAAAAAAGAGAGGAGUAUCGCGCAAUACUCUGUUUAAGCGACUACAUCAAGAGGGAGUUCGCGAAGUAGACUUGUUGGGGGAACCAUCUGGGCGUCCUUUCGAUUUCUGCGUAUUAUACGGGACACCCAAAAGGAAGAAGAGAGUGCCUCGCUCUGAAAAGUAUGGGUCACCUCCAAGAAUAAUGCCCCCUCCAACAGGUUGGGUAACUGAUGAGGAAGCAUUAGAAAGAAGUAGGAAGGAAGUUCAGGAGACAGAGGAUCAGCGUGAUAUACUGCACGUCGAUUUGUCAUAGGGGGAUAAUUCAACAGAAAACAAGCAGGAAGUAGAAAUAGAGGCUGCCGAAAAGGUUAUUUUUAAACGGCCAGCCAUGAAAUUGACAAAACACUUGAGGCCAUUAUACGUUAAAGCUCUAGUUAACGGCGUCCCAGUGGCAAAAGUGCUUGUCGACAAUGGAGCAGCUAUAAACACUAUUCCAUCUAGGAUGAUGAGGAAGUUCGCAAAGACAGAGGGUGACAUGAUUCCUACAGAAGUCAUCCUCACUAGCUUCAAUGGAGGGGCAACUUCAACUAAGGGAGUUAUGCCAUUGGACAUAACUAUAGGGACGACUACUAGGACCACUGUCUUCUUUAUAAUAGAUGGUCCUACUAGUUACAACGUGUUACUAGGAAGAGAUUGGAUACACGGAAGUCACUGUAUACCCUCAUCCCUCCAUCAAUGCCUGAUCUUUUGGAAUGAUAAAGGCGAGGCUGAGGUGGUACAGGGCGAUCAUAGGCCUUUUGUUGCAGAAGCAAACUCAGUGGAAAAAUUCAUGUACGAAGGAAACUAUGGACCUGUCAGAGUAGUACAAGACGGGGAAGAAACUCAGGUUGUCGUACAAAGCGAGGAACCAUUCUCAGUGGACGCACUCACUGAGAUGUUCAAACAGAUGAGGCCAAAUAUAGUGGCCUUGGAAGAGCCAGUAAUUGGCAAAAGAAUAAUUAAGGAGUCUUGAAUGGACUUUAAGUUACAAAAGCAAAUGGCCGACAUUCAGGCCUUCAAAGCCAGACUGAUGGCUUUCAAUAAGGAAUGCAAUGACAAGGCGAAAGAAGAGACAACCCUAAAAGCGCUGAAGGAUAAGUUGGCAGUAUUCGAGUUAAAGCAAAGCAUUGGCCGAGAAGUCAAUAAGGUGGACUGUUUAGAAGAGAAAGUACUUACAAGGGAACUGGUAAUGCGGAUUGCCAAACCUGGAUACGCUCAAGCACAAGACCCUCUGAUCAAAGUAAAUAUUGGCAAUGAAGGAGAAGAUCGUCCAACGUUCAUCAGCCAAAUGCUCGACCAAGAGGUUAGUAACAAAUUAAUCGCUUUGUUAAAAGAGUACAAAGAUUGUUUUGCUUGGGAAUAUGAACAAAUGCCUGGUUUAGAUAGAGACUUGGUGGAACAUAGGUUACCAACUAAGCCUAACUUUAUACCUCAUAGGCAGCCUCCUAGACGUUUUGCUCCCAAUGUACUCCAUGAAAUCAAGAAAGAGAUAGAGCGAUUAUUAAAAGCAGGUUUCAUUAGAACAGUCAGAUAUGUCGAAUGGUUGUCCAAUGUCGUGCCAGUACUAAAAAAGAAUGGUAAACUAAGGGUGUGUAUAGACUUUAGAAAUUUAAACAUAGCCACGCCCAAAGAUGAGUAUCCAAUGCCCACGGUGGAUUCUUUAGUAGAUUCAACUGCCGGACAUGACAUGUAUUUUUUCAUGGAUGGGUAUUUAGGAUACAAUCAAAUUUAUAUAGCUGAAGAAGACAUACACAAAACUGCCUUUAAAUGCCCUGGGUCUCUAGGAUGUUUUGAAUGGGUGGUUAUGCCUUUCAGCCUAAAAAAUGCAGGGGCAACUUAUCAAAGGGCAAUGAAUUUAAUCUUUCAUGAUAUGAUAGGCAAGUUUGUUGAGGUGUAUGUAGACGACAUAGUAGUCAAGUCCAUUAAAAAAGAGGACCAUUUCGAACAGUUAAGAUGUUCGUUUGAACGAAUGAAGCAAUAUAAGCUAAAGUUGAAUCCCUUGAAGUGUGCAUUUGGUGUUAAUGCAGGGAACUUUCUUGGUUUCUUAGUACACAAGAGAGGGAUUGAACUUGAUAAAAAUAAAGCGAAGGCCAUUUUAGAGGCCAAACCACCUAGCAACAAAAAAGAAUUGCAAAGGUUUCUAGGUCAAGUAAACUUUUUAAGACGCUUUAUUUCUAACUGUGCAGGGCGAACUAAAGUCUUUUCGCUGCUAUUAAAGCUGAAAAAUCAGGAUGAAUUCGUCUGAAAAGAAGAACAUCAAAAGGCUUUUGAAAGCCUGAAGACAUAUCUAUCAAGUCCACCAGUGUUGGUGUUACCAAUCCAAGGACGGCCAAUGAAAGUGUAUGUAUCGGCUGAAAAAAUCAAUAGCUGGAAUGGUCGCACAGGAAGACCAAUUUGGUGAAGAAAGGGCAAUUUACUACUUAAGUAGACGGUUAACGAAAUGUGAAUGUAAUUACUCUGCUAUUGAAAAAUUUUGUCUUGCAUUGUAUUUCACAUGUACAAAAUUAAGGGGUUAUUUACGGCCCGUAAUCGUUUAUUUAGUUUCUAAAGUAAAUUUAGUCAAGUAUAUGUUCUCGCGCCUUAUUUUACACCAAAGGAUAGGCCUUUGGACACUUGCUUUAUCAGAAUUCGAAAUACAAUAUAUACCUCAAAAGGUAGUCAAAAAUCAGGCUUUGGCUAACUUUCUAGCUGAUCAUCCAUGCCUUGACAUGCCUGAAGAAAUCGAACUAGAAAUCAAUUCGUUCGAGUCAAAACCUUGGGUGUUGUAUUUCGAUGGAUCAAAAACUUCUAAAGGUGCAGGAGUAGGAGUAGCGUUGAUUAAUCCUUUAGGGAUUUGCUACAAGUUGGCAUUUACUUUAGACAGAAUGUACACCAACAAUCAAGCCGAAUAUGAAGCCUUAAUUGUAGGCCUAGAACUAAUGAUAGAUAUGGGAAUAAGAAAUGUGAUCGUUAGGGGUGAUUCUCAAUUGGUGAUCCAUCAAUUGAUCGGCGAUUUUAAAUGCCAAAGUAAUUUCAUUAUAAGUCAAUACGAGAUCGCCCAAGAAUUAUUAGAAGAAUUCGAUCAAGUAGAACUCCAAUGCGUUAAUAGGAUAUUUAACGACGUGGCAAAUGAGUUAGCCCAAAUGGCCUCAGGGUACUCAAAGGUCUUGAAUUGGAAGUCUACUUGUGAGUAUCGAACCAUAUUGCCCGUGACUCAAAGAAGGGCGAGAAAAAUUGAACUUUACUGCAUACAAGAUGGAGAUGCAGUGGAUUGGAGAACAGAGAUUAAAGGGUUCCUUAAAGAACCUAAUGAAGGGAUUAGUAGGAAAAUGAAGCUAUGUUUGCUGAAUUACACACUAAUAGAUGAAGAGUUGUUGAAGAAACGCUCUGAUGGUGUAUUACUAAAGUGUGUAAGUUUGCAAGAAGCCAAGACGAUCAUGGCUGAAGUGCACGAAGGGAUAUGUGGAGCUCAUCAAGCUGGCCAAAGGAUGAGAUUGUUAAUUAUUAGGAGUGGAUAUUUUUGGCCAGAGAUGGGAGAACUAUGCGUUCAGUAUGCAAAGAGUUGUUUAGCAUGCCAAAAGCAUGGUCCAAUACAAAGGGCGCCAGCACGAGAAAUGGCACCUAUUAUUAAACCUUGGUCGUUCAAGGGUUGGGCGAUAGAUUUGAUAGGGAAGAUUUAUCCCCCAUCGUCCAAGCAACAUAUUUUUGUUAUAGUUGCAACCGACUAUUUCACCAAAUGGGUAGAAGUGGUACCUUUGAAAGAGAUUACCCAGAAAAAUGUUAUAGAGUUCAUCCGUGAUCACAUUAUUUAUAGGUUUGGAAUUCCACAAACGUUAAUGGUAGAUCACGGAACAUCUUUGAAUGGGGAUCAAGUGAACAAAUUUUUGAGCGAGUUUGGGGUUAAAUUAGUAAACUCCACACCAUACUACGCUCAAUCCAACGGACAAGCGGAAUCUUCUAAUAAGAUUCUAAAAAAUAUCAUCAGAAAGAUGAUAGAUGAAAACGUCAGAAAUUGGCACGAAUGUCUGAACAAGACCUUAUGGGCUUAUAGAACAUCACCUCGGUCAAGUACCAAAAUUACUCCUUUCCAACUUGUUUAUGGACAGGAGGCCGUUUUGCCUAUGGAAAUCAACGUGCAAUUGAUUAGAGUGUGCUUGCAACAUAAGUUGAAUGAUGAUGAGUAUGCCGAAUCGCUAGUUCAAAAUUUAUUGAGUUUAGACGAAUUAAAGUUGGACGUCUUAGAUAGAUUGCAAGUUCAAAAGCAAAGAAUGGCUAAGUUUUAUAAUAAAAAAGUCAUAACCAAGUCGUUCAGCCUGGGUGAACUAGUUUGGAAGACGAUACUCCCUUUAGAUAGCAAGGAUCCAAAGUACGGGAAGUGGUCACCCAAUUGGGAAAGACCAUACAAAGUAAACAGUGUGUUGUCCAAUGGAGCGUACCACUUGGAAGAUUUAGACGACACCAAGUACGUGAGAUUCAUUAACGGCAAAUAUUUGAAAAAAUAUGUUCCUUCUUUAUGGGAAUGUGAACAGAUAAAAACAUAAUCAAACAUUUUGAACGAUUAAAAGAUAACAAGGUCAGAGCGAAAUACGUUCAAAUGAAGUCCUUUAUUAUCAAACGUUCAUUACAAGAAUACAAAAAAUACAAAUAAUGGAUGUUCUACAAAAUACAACUAAAGUAAGACAAUCUCCCGGUUGAUCGCUGAGUAAGCUUCACACUGCCUUCCUAAAUGCAUCGCUGCAAUGGUGGGAUCGCCGAGUAAGAGGGUGUACUGGCCUCACCACCUUCCUAAAUGCAUCGCUGUAAUGGCGAGCAAAGAGGCUGAGAAACACUCUCAGCAGGCAAGCUGAGAAGCACUCUCAGCAAGCAGAGUGGCCUACAAGCAACCCAAAAAUUGCCUUCCAUCAUCGACUCCUUGUGAAGAACAAAGAGACGAUGGGAAGAAUUUUGAAGGUAGAAACUUCGCUGCUGGCCAGAAAAUAUUUCCUAUAUCUCCCAUACCAAAGGUGACAUCAAGGCAAAUAGUAAAUGGGCGGACUAAACAGUCCAUUUUGGAUCGGAUUGAGUGUCAGAAUGCCAAGCAAUGGCAACAGAUUAGUUUCAAAGAAGGAAAUGAAGAUGAAGACGAAAGAUGGAAAACGCGAAGCAUUUAUAGGGGGGUGGAGACAAAGAGACAGAAUAUGAACAGCCACAUUUUUGUCUAAUAAACGGAAUUAAAUAGCCCAAAGUCUUGGGAAAAGUGGUGGAAAUAUCAAAAGAAAAUGGACAAGAUUUUUAGUACAAAGCAGUUAAAAAAUUGACGACUAAAAAACAAACGUCAAAUAAAUGCACAAGAAGUUAAUGUUCAUUAAUGAUGAACAAAGUUACAAGAGAAAAAAUCAAAUUACAAAAGAAAAAAGACAUCAUAUGUCUUAAUUACAAUCCACCCCAUACUGAACGAAUUCGUUCCCUAAGUUUUUCCCAAUCCUCGUUCUGUCGAGAGGAAGUGAUGUUCAAUUCAGCCGCGACCUCAUCAUCAACUUCCAACUUCUUGUACUGCUCGACCAAGGACCUAGUUCGUUCAAUUCCCUGGGAGGCGUUGCGCUUUUUAGCAGCCAUUCUCACCCUGCAAUCAUCCAUUUUGGCUUGAAGUUCCUUCAUCUGAGCAGCCAAAUUAACCAUCAAAGAGUCUUCAACCAUGACUUCGGAAGAGAUUUCUUUCAACUCGUCCUCAGCCUUAUUAAUCUCCAUGCGCAAAGACUCUUUCUCAGCUACGGUUCGAAGAUAUUGAGUACGUUUGGCCUUUAGUUCAGCAUUCUUGGCCAGCAAAGAAAGGACCUCGGAGUGGAUAACCUUCAACGUCGCUUUAAAAUCGGCAGAAAGAUUGAGCGACGGAAGCGUCAAUGCUUGCUCCAACUUCGCACUCAAGUGCUCAAGUUUAUUCUUGUGUCUGGCGGCACUAGCCCUUCCAAUAUCCAUAUCUAUGAAGGAUACGUACUCAAGUAUCGACUCCUUGAGGAACUUCAAAUCUUCCUUUGAAGAAACAGCAGGAUGAUCAGAUGGAGCAAGGCGAGACGUCUGGACUUGCCCCCAGGAAGCGAAUAAGUUUUGGAUAGAACGCACAAUUUUGUCAGCAUCCUGUAAAGAAAAUUGCCAAUAUUAAAGAUCCUCACUACAACGAACAAGAUGGAAAUAGGAGUGAAGCAAAGACCACCUCAUCAACAAUCGUAGAAGAUGGCAUGCCCUCAGCCAAGCUUGCCACCAACGACUCCUCCAUUCGUGAGGACUUCCCCUUAUCUGAGUGAGAAGAUGUUGUCACAGCGGGUAGACUCACAGGAGUAUCUGCAAAACUCAAGAGCAACAAAUCAGGAACCAACAGCACAAGCAAAGGUAAGACAUCAAAAGACUGAAUUACCUUCUGCUUCAAUGUUUGGGGGGUUGACGCCCUGGUAAGAAGGUAGCUCAUCCAUGGGUUGUGAUGAGGACUCUGGGACUGAAGAUGUCUCUUUAAGCGUAGCCCCCUCAUCAACCGGUUUGGAUGAAGUAGCCUUAGCAGAGGAUGAUGGAACAGGAGCUGUCGAUGCCAAAGCCUUUGAAGGAGAGGCUGAGCUUUUCUGAGAAGUCCAAAAGAUCAUUAGCACACAGAAAAGUUUCAAAUGUGGAAAAGUAUAAUUGUACGUAAACCAAUUUAAUUACCUUCCUCCUGACGAUAAGAGGGGCAUCAUCAUCAUCAUCAACAUCAUCCUCCAGAAUGGGAGAUGCUGAGGCUGGCCGUUUGCAGUUUGGAGCACUCUUGGCUGUAGUAGGCUUGACAGGGAGAGAAGAAGAUGGACGAGCAGACUGUUUAGUGCGACGAGUAGGAGAGGGACUCCGAACGGACAAAGGAGUGACCAAAACAGGAGGAGGAGAAGAAAUGAUCGGUUGGUCUAAUGAAUGAAAGGCACUAUUGGCAUCAGUCGCAAAUAAUCAGCGCUUCACCGACGGCCAGAGUUGUUCAAAAAGAGGGUGAAUGGCGUGGCUAGAAUUGAAAGGGGCUAAUGAAAAAUGGCUGGUUAAAAGAAGAUUAAGAGCAUCUAUAGCCUCUGCCUCUGCCUUCGCCUUAGUAAUGGUAAAAAAACAGUCAACUAAGUUCCUUGAAUAGUAAGGAGGAACAGGCCAAGUUUGGCCAAAACCAAGCUGACGAGCAAAAAAUUGGGGAGCAUAAAUCUCUACCACCGCUUUGGCAUUGGUCCCAGUUAGAAUAUCAUGAAAUAGCUCCCUCCCGGUUAAAAACUGGAUCCAAAUGAGCAGGGAGGUGCUCGCACUAUUUAUAGUGGAAGGGGGAUGUACAUAGUUUGGAGUCAAAAAAGGAGGAAAAGGAAAAAAGGAAGGGAUUGAAUCCAAAGAAUAAAAGAAUGAAAAAAUGUCCUUUCUGGACAUAUUUACAGGAGCUAAGGGCUCCAUGGCUAGCCCAUAACAGCUAGCAGAGGAGCGAGAGAUGGAUAGAGCACCAAGCGAUGGAAAAUAGGAUUUCAACCACAGUUGAGUGAACCAAAGAGGUCCACUGCCAGUGGGAGAUGCACCAUUCUUCAAUUGAGCUUGAAGAGAGGCCAUGCCUCUAUAAAGGGCAGCCAAAAACAAAGAACAUAAAUUCAAAGGCCUGCCACGCGCCAAUUCGUGCGCUAUAGGUAAAUAACUCAGGGAGGGCUUUAUGCUUGGCACACACAAAACAUAUUUACAAAGCCAAACUAGAAGGAAGGCCACUCGCUCAGCAUGGGAAGGUUCAGCGCUCGGAUGAUUGUGAAGGGUUUGCAGGCUUGAAUAAGAAUCGGUGUAGUUUUUACCAAACUUUGGGGCGCUACCAGAAACCAAGAUACCAGGAAAAAUGGUAUCGCCCAAAGGUGGUAGAUUCACCAGGGCCCCAACAUCCCUUAAGGUAAUAGACAUGGGGCCAAGAGGGAAAAUAAAUGUGUUAUACUCAGGAGACCAAAAACUCAAAGCAAUCGAAAAGAGUGAUGAAUCAAAAGUAGGGGGGCGAAUAGAGAUUUCUAACAAAUCAGAAAUCCUAGUGCUAUCAAAAAGUGCCUUAGUAGGACCAUGACCUACAAGGCGAGCAUGCCACCUAUGGAAUGCUACAUCAGAUUUAGGCCAAGUGCGAAUACCUCUUUCGCGAAGUGGCCCCAGCGGUAGAGAGUUCAUAAAUGGUGGGCCUUGAGUGCAAGGAAACAGCUGACCCACCGCCACCUGUUCAACUGCCUCUGCAUUGUUGAAGAAAGGACCCAAGUAGAACUCAUUACGUUCAACGUCGGCGGGCGCGAGGAAACUCGGAGUUAUGUAUGGACGACUCAGGAGUUUCUGAAAGUCAUUGAAACUAAAGGAGUCGUCAGCUUGAGAUUGUGAAGUAGCCAUUUGAGAUGGAACGAAGUUUUUCAGGGUUACGUAGCAGGGAAGCAAAGGAUGAACAAAUCUUGAGAGAGACGCGAAAAAUUUGAGGCGUGAUUUAGUGGUGCAGUGAAAUGACGUGUUUGGGGGUUAUAAGGGUUUGCAAAACGACGCACCUUUUCAAGUUAUAAAAGAAAAUAAUGAUUGAAAUUUUUGGGAAUUUCGAAUGUUGCUGGAAACACAAAGUGAAUAUGGCAAAAUUUAAUAAUUAUUAUUAAUUCUGCCAUAUUGGAGGGUAAUUGUUGACACAUAAAAAUUCAGCCCAAAUCGAACAGCCCAAGAAGUGAAGCCCAAUUGGAGGAUCCCCAAAUCAGAUAGCCCAAAGAACGAAGCCCAAUCGAACAAAUCAAGAUGAAGGCCUAAAUAAGAAGGCCCAAGAACAUGGUAACGCCAUCGCCCAAGCUUGCAAGUCGCCCAGAAUCUGAGCGAAUGGAGUGUCAUACAGUCGCCCAAAGCUGUUACUCUAUUCUCGCCCAAACCUUCAAGUCGUCCAAGGUCUUAACAAACAUAAAGCGUCGUGGUUAUCAAGAAGUGCAUUUAUCAAAGCGGUUAUUAAAGCAGCCCUAUCACGUUCCACGAUUUAAGGAACUCAAUCGAAAGCGGUUGAACGAUGAAGAGUAAUGGCAGCAGUUAAAAAAGGCAGUUUUCAUGACAAGUUGGCCAUUACGAAGAAAGUGGGCAGUUAUAGGACGAUCAAACAGUUUUUAGGGCGGUUGAUCACAAAUAGAUCGUCCAUGAAAUAUAAAAGGGAGAAAGGACAUAGAAGCAAAGAACCGAAUCCAAAACUUUUGAACAGAGAACAUGUAAUUUUCAUUUCCUUACUUUUUAGACUUAAACACUUUUCUUUCAGUAACUCGUGUGCUUGCGCCCCUUGGAGGCACGUUGUUUUUCAUUUCCAAUUGUAAAGUCAUCGCCAAUAAAAGAACACCCCUUUUUGGGACUUUGUCUCAAGAGGUUUGUCCCUUACACAAUCGUCUGAUCCUUUUUAAUUGUUAGCGACUAACCCGCGCGAAACAAGUAUCUAAAGCAUGUUCGGUAGUGAUUAUGAGAAUUAAUUUUUUGACCGUUAGAGAGAAAAGUAGGCCUCAUCUGUAAGUGAAGAAGUAAAAAAUGACGACAAGAAUAGUGAAACAACGGUUAAAAAUUAAUUUUUUUGGGUGAAAAAUUGCUACCAAACGAGGCCUAAUAUUGUUGAAAUGUCACAACAAUUUUUUUUUUUAAUUUCUUUCAGUAUAAUGGCCACGUACGAUCGUUGUUUGAAAUGUCAUCAAAUUUGUUGUUUAUAACAAUGGAUGAGAUGUCGUGACUAAUGCUGUGUAAAUAUCAAUAUUCGAUAAUUUAAAUUUAAAAAUCAUUUGCAAGUAACCAGGUAAGUCGGGGCCCUUUCUAAUUGAGUUGGUAAAGAAUACGCAUUGGAGCCAUUUCUAAUUGAAAGUUAGUGCACGAGAAAAAUAGGUAUCAAUAUUUGAGUUGGAAUCAAAUUAUUACUUGUGAGACAUUGGGGCCCUUUCUAUUAAAAGUUAUUGCACGCGUAAAUAACUUUGGCUAAAAGAGUCAAAAAGUAUAACAAUCACAUGUGAUUGCUGGUGGAUUGAAUUGACAAGUCCUACAAAAAUCAGCUAUAUUCUUCCCCAGGGAAAUUUCAUGAAUAUUGAUGAAAAAAAUUGUCUACUAUUUAGAAUUCAACAAAAAUAUUAGGAAAAAAAUGCUCAAACUUUAAGCUGUCCUUUUUACAAAAAUGACCACAUUUUUUAACGGGUCAGACAUCAUUCAUGAUGGAGUUAGGGACACUAUUGGGUGAUUAAGAUUUGACGUGUUGAGGUGGCUUAUGCAUUCAAUUCAUGUCUUUUUUACUUCAAUGGAAUAAGGGAUUUCAAAACUAUAAAAGUAUAUAUCAUCUAUAAGAAAUAUUAGAAUAUCAUUUAAGUUGUAUUUUAAACAAUUUGAUUAAAUUUUGAUGGUAAUGAUUCUUGAUCUUGUUGAUCAAAUAUUCUUGGGCGUUCUUUUAAUUUUAAUAGAUAUGUCACAAAUGUUUUCAAUUUAUUUUGGUAUAGCAGUGUACGAUCACUGCUUGCAACAUCGAAUUUGUUUGUUGAUACAAACCGAAUGAGAUGUAGUGACUAAUGGUGUGUAAAUAUCAAUAUCAAUAAUUUAAAAUUAUGUUGUGUGAGUGUAAUUUGAAUUAAAUGUUUCAUUAUCCACCGAACUUAGUACCAUGUCAUGGACUGGCCACUGAACUUCCAAAGUUGUCCCACUAGCCACCGAACUUCACUCCAUCCAACUCCAUCAAUCACCCAUUUAAAAUCGUUAACAGACACGCCUACGUGGAUGACAGUAAGUUGAGUUGGCAGUUAAAUACUUCCAAAUACGAACUUAAUUGCCAAGUCAGGUCCAAAUCACCAUUGCCAAACACGCCUUUCAUAAUAUAAUUACACACUUUGAUUUAAUAGAACAACAUGCGUCUCUUACCAUUUCUUUGAACAAACCAGAGAUUUAUGAAAGGACGUCCCCAAAUCUACUUCAAGGGACAUUCGAAACCCUAAGCCCCAAAUCAAGAAUAUCAAUUACCCAACCAUUGUUGAUCACUCGACGAGCCAAGCCAAAGAGUGGAGAAACAACACCCAUUUCAUUUCAUUACAUUUACGUCGGAGCAGUUGAUGUGCAGAUGGAAGGUAAUUCCAAACCUUUUUUUUUUUUUUUUUAAAAUUUAGGUAUGAAGAGGUCAUUGUCUAAAGAUUUUGUAGUUGAUUCUAUGUGUAUUUUGUUGUUUCCCAUUACGCAUAAUCUGUCUUCGUAUCGUGUGGGGUUCUGAUUGUUAUAUACGGGUUAAUUUUUGUUCCAAAAUUUGUCAUAUUGAAAUCCAUCUGUGAGAUUGACUUUUCCCACACUUAUAUUGGCUGGAAAAAUUGCAAGAUGUUCAUUUUAAGACAGCACAAUGAAGCCACAUGUUGUCAUUUCGAGUAAUGCUAUUUAUCAUUAUGAUGAUAAAUCAGCUGGCAAUAUAGAUGGAGUAAUGGGAUUGGGUGGUUUAAUUUACAUGAGAGAAAGAUUUAAACCACCCAAUCCCAUUACUUCAAAUAUAUCGCCACAUCACCACUGAUUUAUCAUCAUGAUGAUAAACAACAUUAUUCAUUUCAAAUUGAUUAUCUAAAAGGCUUAAGAAAAGGAAAAUGGAGAAAAACUUAACAAAUGAAAAAGGGUUAAGUCAAUCGGUCAAGACCCCUCUUCCCCAUAACCUCCAUGUUCCCCUUCCAGCCAUCCUAAAAAAAAGUCAAUUGAACCAUCAGCUCCAAUACUAGAGAAUAAUGGCACUGUAAAUGCUGCAGAUAUUCUAGCUGAGUGGCUGUUGAAGAUUUCAUUUCAGAUCCAAACAUAAAUUAAAAUGUGGAUGAAAUUGAUGGUGGGUUGUGGUUGUAACUUGACAUUGUGAGAUGAUGUGUCUUAGAUGGUGUCUUGGGUUCUGACUUUUGAGGAAUGCUUUUGGAGGUGGGUGGUAUUGGUGUCGCAAGUAAAUGGGUAAAAUGAGUUUGACAGCCCAGGCCUUUAGCGGCUUGGUCCUUAUUUGCAUGAAUUGGUUGGCCCCUCUAGAACCUGAGCAAUGCUAGGCUUCCUUUUAAAUUUAUUUUUAUUUUUAAAGUUUGAGAGUUAAAUGUAUUGUUGCUUACUGUGGGCAUGUGGCUUAAUUGUAUGACAUAUUUUGAGGAAGAUCCCGACUUCGUAGAAUCCGACCAUGACUUUGAGUCCGAACAAGAUGACAACGAAUAUGAUAGACAUGUAGCUAAUGGAUUGAAAUAGGAUUGGACUACCAUCAAGAUGAAGUUCAGGACCAACGAGAAGAGGGUGGUGAUAACGAGUUGGAUGAAUUGGAACUACCGUAGUCAAAGGAACUGCUCUCCCAACGUUCAUUGCAUUUAAGGAGCAGAUUUUUCAGGGGAUCUAUAUAUGCUUCAAUGACUAUAAGAUAGGAUUCAAGGAUGGUUGUCGGAAGGUUGUAGGUGUUGAUUGUAAUUGUGUGUACAAAGCUUGUAAUCGUGAAGUGUUAAAGUAUGCCCCUAUAUGUAUCUAUUAACAAGUUUGAACAAUUGAGAAAUUUAUGUUUUUGGUUUUGGAAAGUUUCAUCUUGUUUUAUUGUUUCACACCCUCUUCUGAAUUUGAUGUGUCCUUGUAUUGGAAUGUUUGCGAUUAAAGUUGGUUUGAGAAUAUUCCCAAGUUUCUGGUGCAGUUUCCAGGUCUACCUUUGCAGAUCCAUAAUUUCCUUCAGAUUUGCUGUUUCUAGUUUCUUCAAACUGCACUACAAAGUGAAUAAAAGGCAUUGAACAGAAGCUGAAAUUGCAUUACAAAGUGAACUAAAUCUGUUCUACUACAUAGCACUGAACUGAAGCUGCAAAGUGGACUAUGUUGCAUUACAAAUGAACUAUAGCAGUGAAAGCGAGCUGCCGAUUGCCAAAUUCUAGUAUCCAUUCCACAUCCAUCCACAUACAUACAAAAGUAAUUACCGGAUACAUACAAAAGCAAAAUUCCAAGGACCAAAUGUUUGAUUUUAUUUGGACAAAAAGAAGACGAUAAGAAUCUAUGCCCACAUAAUUUCCAACAUUACCAAAAAACCAAAAACACCUAACUGAUAUCACAUAAUUUAUCGUGGCUGUGCAUCUUUCAAUUCGGCAGAUUUCGCUCGUUGUUGUGGUCAUGCCCUUGUCGAUCUCAAAUUGUCGGUGCACCACUUGGCUCACCCUCAAAUUGCACAUUUUCUUCGUGGUAAGUAACUUCGCUCCACUUGAAACGCUGCAACCUAUGUUUUCGUUCACAUAUCCCUUGCCGCCAUGUGUGAGCCACAAGUUAGAAAACACAUCUACAACACAAAAGGAUCACACAUUUUAAUUUAACCACAACCCAAAUGCAAAUUAGCAAAUCCAAACAGUAUAAUAUGAAAGUAAACAUCCCCCUUUCGAGGGGUUACGCAAACUAAGGCAUUAAAACUGCAUGCGGGAACUCUAAUUAGUUGAAUGUCACACAAUUCCAGGUAGUUCUGCAGUGAGGCUGCACCCGUCCCAAAACAUUUGUAAAAUCUUUAUUUUCAGUGAGGCUGAUCCUAAUGCCCAUAAGAUACUAUGAGAUCAGAAUAACUAUGUUCUUGGCUGCGUAUGAAAAUUUUUAUUUUCAGUCAAAAAAUAAAAAAUAAAAACAAAAACAAAAGAUCAGAAACAUAUGAAUGAUGAACAACAAAAUAAUCAUAAAAGCAUAAAAUCACAGAAGUGAAAUGGGUACGGCUUCAGCAAAAAAAUAAAAUAAAAUAAAAUAAAAUCUAUGUGAUUUUCAGCACGUUUCUAAACUUAUCGCACCCAAAAAAACACAAAAAGAGUUGGGAAAUUACCUUCGCGUCGUCCGUCCAUUAGCUCGUACUGUAGUGAAAUGGAUACGGCUUCUUCACGUUCGGUUGGGCUCUUUCAACAAUCAACAAAGGCAGGAAGAACCUUGGCUGAGUAAAAUUCUUUCGAGCUCAGUAGAUUUAGUGGCUUCGAUUUCGAUUGUUGGCUUUGUUUCGAUUUGGGGGAUUUAGGGCUUCGAUCUCGUAUUGGGUGGGGGAAGAUUGCAGGAGAGGGGAUGAAAUGAUUUGGGGUUCAGUGAAAGUGAAAGGCGUGAAUGAAUAUGGCAAAGACGUGUUUGUAUCGGCUGAUGUGGAGCUGAUGAAAAAACACUUAACACUUGGACUGAUUUAACCGGCCAGCUAGACUUUCCAUCUACCACGUUGGUACGUCACUUAACAGAUUUCAGCCGAUGAGUAAUGGGCAGUAACAUAUUGAAGUUCAGUGGCCAGUGGGACAAGUUUGGAAGUUCAGUGGCCAAUUCGUGACAUGGUACUAAAUUCAGUGGCUAAUGAAACAUCUCGUGUAAUUAGGCUCGUAGAAGCUUAAAGCUUGUCCUAUCACCUAGACCCUGGCGAUGAUUUACAUUUUUAGAGCACCGCACCAUAUUUAAAUUGAAAUGUUGUUCCUCAUCUUUUGCAUUUUUAUGGUUAUGUCCCCAUAUAUUUCCAUUGAAUUUUACUCCUCAACUUUUUAUUAAUUAGCACACUUUGUUUAUGUUGAUUGCCAAAAUAUUCGUUAGAAAGGAAUAAAUAUAAUAGUUCGACAAAAUAUUUCUCUCAUGCUAAUAGAAUAUUUAGACAAGUUCUAUCAUGAAAGAAGAUAUAUGCAAGAACGAAAAAAAUUCGAGAACACAAGUACGAAAAUGAGCAAAUUUGAAACCUUUCAUUACAAUUAAAAUAUAGUGCAGUUAACUAUAAAUGGGCGUAUAUAUAAUUAUGAUCCAUUAAGAAAUUUAAAAGUAGUGGACACAAUUAUUUAAAUAACUCUUUAACCAUACUUUUAUAUUAUCACCCAUUAAGAAAUCCAAAAGUAGGGGAUACAAUUAUUUUCAUUACCCUUUAAUCAUACCUUUUCCCCCUAUUUUUUAAUCAAAUGGAAAACCUCUUUUUGCAAUGUCAUCAAAUUCGAUAGUUUAUGCUAAUGGAAAUGGAUGUAAUUACUAACGGUUCAAGUAUCAAAAUUCAUUAAAGUUGGGUAAUUAAUUUAGUAAUAAAAAAGAACAUGAUUUUAGACUAACUUCUCCACAGGCAUGGGCAUUUCAUAGACAUUUUUCUUGCUUCGGAAUUGGAAUUGGAAUUGGAAUUAUGUGGCGUGUGAUUUAGUCAGUAGAGAGAGAAAUGUAGAAUUCAAUUAUCAAUGAAUAAGUAGGUAUGAAAUUGCCCUUAGUUAGAAAGUUGACAUCUUCAAUUGCUCACUAAACUUUAAAAUAUUGGAUUUUGAUCACUAAACAUUUCAAAAUAUUGGAGUUACUCACUGAAAUCUCACAACAUUAAUGGCAUCGGCAAUUUGAAAAAAUGUUAUCUUUUCAGUAUUCUAUGAAACUCGAAAUAUAAACUAGUACGAAAAUGAGCAAAAUUUCAAAACCUUCUUUGCAAUUAAAAUAUGGUGCAAUUAACGAUAAAUGUGGGAUGUAUAUAAUUACUCAUUUAGAAAUAGUGAACACAAUUAUUUUCCUCUCUUUAAUCGUACCCCCCCCCCCCUUUUUUUGGUCAAAUGGGACGCUAACGUUAAAAUUGUUAAAAUCUGAGCUUGCAAUGUCAUCAAAUUCGUUAUUUUGUUCUGAUGAAAGUGGAUGUAUUCACUAAUGGUUUACGUAUCAUGAGUCAUAAUGUUGGGUAACUAAUUUAGUAUUAAAAAAUCAUGAUUUUAGACUAACUUCUCAACUACAAGCUGGAAAGUAGCUGGAACCGUAAGCAUAUCAAUUAUCAUCCAUUUUUCUUGCUUUGGAAUUGGAAUUUGAAUUAUGUGAUAGAGAGAAAAAUGUAGAAUUCAAUCAAUUAUCAAUAAGCUUUUGUUUGAUGGGAUUAAAAAUAGAUUUUUAAUAGAAUUUGAUAAAAUUUAUGAAAUGCAUGGUUGAAAAAUUGAUGACGCAUGAAAUAUAUGGUUAAUAUUGAUUGUUAACUUUGAGAUUAAAAUUAGAAUUUUAAUCAAUAUCAAAUAUUAUCCUUAGCUAGACAAUUGGGCCCUUCUCUAAUUGAAGGUUGCAACAAAGACUUUGACUGAAAGAUUGAUCAAUAAUUCAGUGUACCCUUCUGAAGCAGAGAAAAAAAAAAUUACACCACAAACUCCAAUUUGAAAUCUCUCUCUCCCCCAAGCCCCGCCCACCCCCUAAAAUCAAUCGAUCCCACACACCAAAUUUCUGACGCAAGAAAAACUGGAAAAAAAUGGCUACUGACGCUGGAAAAAUCAUACUGGAGAAGUUGUUUCCGAUAGCCGUUGAAGAAUUCAAACUUGUGCAGGGUUUUGAGAAAGACUUGGCAAUCCUAAGAAAUUAUAUCAAAAAGAUCUACGAAGUUUUGGAAGAUGCCGAAAAGCGCGAAAUCACUGAGAGGGCGGUUGAAAGCUGGCUCAAGGACCUCAAAGAUGCCGCCGAUGAUGCCAAAAUUGUUUUGGACGAGAUCAAAUAUGAAGAUUUGCGUCGUACAAUAGAGACAGAGGACGAGAUUGGGUGCUUGUACUUCCCUUGCAUUAUGACAUUUCUACGAAAGAUGGCUCACAAAAUCACUUUUCAUUGGAAGAUGUCUCACAAGAUCAAGGGCAUAAAUGAAAAUUUCAAAAGGAUAAACAACGAAGCUGAUAGCCUUGGCCUCAACAGAGAUUUCACUAAUUAUCCUCGUUCGAAGCCUCUGGUCAAGGAAAUUACCAAGCCUCUGGUCACGGAAACUACCAGCUUCACCGUUGAUCCAAUUGUCAUUGGAAGAGUUAUAGAUAUUAGAAAAAUUCUGGGGACAGUCCUCAACUCAGGCGAUAAUGUCCUUUCUGUCCUUCCCAUAGUCGGAAUGGGAGGUCUUGGCAAGACGACUUUAGCACGCCAGAUCUACAAUGACCCUUGUAUAGAAACUGAUUUCCAAAAAAUGAUUUGGGUUUGUGUAUCAAAAAAUUUUGAUCAGACGACGCUUUUCAAAAGGAUCCUGGAAUUAUUAUUGGGCAAAGAUUUUGGUGGAGGUAGCAAGCAAGCUGUUGUUAAAAAGAUUGCAGAGGAAUUAAAAUACAAAAGAUACUUGCUAGUUCUCGAUGAUUUACGGAAUGAAGAAACAGAAGAUUGGGAUGAAUUCAAAAAUACACUUGAGGGAGCUAGCUCUAGAAAAGGAAAUUUCAUCAUCGUCACCACACGUGAGGAAAAGGUGGCAUCUAUUGUGAACACUUGCAAUUGCCCAUGUAGAUUGAGGUCAUUAACAGAUGAUGAAUGCUGGCUCAUAAUCAGAUCAAUGGUAUUUCAAGAUAAAGAAGUAACGAAAGAAUUUGCGAUCACCGGAUUGAAGAUUGCCGGCAAAUGUAGAGGUUUACCUCUAGCAGCAAAUGUGAUUGGAAGAGUUUUACGAGGAAAGAAAAUAGGAGAGUGGGACUCAAUCCUACGGAUUGGGCUUUCAAAUCUUGAAGCGGGUGAAAAGGGCAUCUUGCAAGUCCUAAAGGUGGGAAAAUACUUAUCAAUGUGCACCACCUCGGCGGGUGGGCCAUCACACACCCACAAAGUGUGUGGGUCAUCCAUCGAGGUGGCACCUUGAGGUUGGGAUGGUGCGACCGUCCCACCCAAGCCUAAAGGUGAGCGCCUAGUGUCUUUGUCAAUGAAAGGAUUUGGUCAUAAAUAGAGAAGAUUUAGUCCAGCUCUGAAUGGUGGAAGGAUUUCUUCCGAAUAAUCAAGAAAGUGAGAUGGAGGUUGUAUGGAUUGAAAAUUUUUAUAUUUAAAUGAUAAAUUUUCUCAAAAUUUUUAUAAAAAAGAUAUUUGCGUCGUUGCAAAUAUUUCCCAAUUUAUGUACGAAAUCAAUAAGUAAAAGGGAAGAAAUGAUACAAACGAUGUAAUUGUGGAGGUUCGAUCCCAACCAAUAAUCUACAUCCUCCGUUAUCAUGCUCUUCGGCACGAGCAAUGCCUUUUCACUAUAUUGAUUGACUUAUAGUACAAUCCAACUCUUUACAACACUUUCGAUAACUUACAAACAAGGACCAUCGAUCCUUAUACAAUAUUGAGCUUUACAAGACCUCAAUAUGACCUAAAAAUUUAAAAAGUAAUGAUUUAACAAUUUGAAACUUUUCUCUUAAUAAGUAUUAUCACAAAUUAAGUACAAGAGAGAAAUAGGUUAACACUUAAAUAAAUAGCAAUGAAUGAGGCUCAAGUGUUAGAUGAGAAAACUUUGAUGAAAAAGAUGAUUUUCAAAAUUUGAUUCAAUCAAUCAAAAGUUUUCAAGAAAAUGUUUGAAGAAUAAGAUGUAAGCUCAAAGAAUUUUGCUCAAAUAUUUCACUUUAAUGCUCUUUAAGAAUGUUAUGAUGAAUGCAAGAAAUAUGGGGUAUUUAUAGAGUUCAAAACGUCAAAAAAUUUGUAAGUGCGGGUGACUCAUGCGGUCGACCGCCUUUUAUUCGGAUGACCAAUAUAUCCGUUUUUUCAAUAAAAAUUAGAGAUCAGAACGGUCAAAUUUUGAACUAUUGGAAAAUUUCGGUUGACCUCCUCUUCUCGCCGGUCAAUUGCCUCUUCCGAUCGGUCAACGAGCAAUUUCGAUAAAUUUAUGUUUUGACCUCGUUUGAUCUGAUUUGAAGAUUUUGAAAGGUAUGGAUAUUUGGAAAAUAUUUUCAACUAACUUUCAUGAUAAAAGAUAUUUUUCAAGUCAAAUAUCAUUUUAAAAGUCAUUUUUAUAUUUGAUCAAAUCAUUGCAUUAGAAUGACUUUUAAUGCAAAAUAAUAAUAAUAAUAAUAAUAAUAAUAAUAAUAAUAAUAAUAAUAAUAAAUAAAUAAAUAAAUAAAUAAAUAAAUAAAAUUCAAUUUUGAUGCCUAGAGAGAUUUUUGAGGAGCUUAAGCGUUCAUUGCCAAAUAUUAAAGUGUUAGUAUCUUUACAUUUUAUCUAAGAAAUCAAGUCUUUGAUCUUGCUUCGAAGUUUGGCUCUUAAAUUUUUGAAUGUGUGAUUUCGAACUUGACCUCCAUCAUGAGUACGAUUUGUGAUCAUAGCUUUUGUAGCGACCCGAAAAAAAAAAUAUUUUGUGUCAUUUUAAAAUAAAUUUUUUUUGUACUACUCGAAAGUAAUUUGAGUUAUAUUAUUACGUCCUGCGACCAUUCCUAAGAGUUUAAAUUAAAGUUUUGGUCACGAUAGUAAUGUUGCGUGCACUUGUUUUAAAAUUUUGUAAAGUGUUGAAAUCUCUUUUAAACGACAAAAUUUUAAUAUCAUUUGGUUAUACUAUUUUUUUUGACGACACACAUUAUGUUAAAUUGCUACCAUUUGGAUUUAGAGGUCAUGCACGUUCAACUCACAAACCCCACUUACUACCAUUUUGAUUUCCAUUUUGUUUGGUGCACGUUCACCCACAUUUACACACAUGAACUGCCUAUUUACAUCAAUUCUGUAAACUGCCAUGCCGAAUGUGUUCUACUCUAUGAGUAGAUUAAUAUGGUAUAUUUAUUUUCUCAAAACCAAUUUAGGGUGAAUGAGAAAUUAAGGUCAAAAGAUGCCCACUUGAUGUUGAAAUAAAAUAGGUGGAAAAUUGGAAAAUACCAAUCCCACAUAGGAAAACUAGAAGAAUAUAAACCACCUUAUAUAGCUCAAGUUUGGGACUUGGGUUUGGGCCUCAAGGGGUACCAAUAGUUUUUAAGGGGGAGAGAACCUACAUGCUAGUAGGUUAAGCCAAAGCCUACACGUAGAAUUUCAUAUCAAAGCAAUAUCAAGCAGUAACAGUAGCAUGCUUGUCGAUUGCAGCCUGCAAUUUUCCUUCCUUGCACCGACGACCCUACCACUUCUUUCCCAUCCUUGAGGAACAAGAAUGUUGGCAUGGCCUUCACGUUAAAUUCUUCAGCAGCAUCCCUUAGUUCAUCCACAUCCACCUUCAAGAAUAUAACAUGUGGAGUCUUCUUUGCAAUUUCAGCAAAAAUUGGGGCAAUAACUCGGCAGGCCCAGACCACAAAGCAGUGAAAUCGACCACCGCCAAUUCCGUGGUUUCGAUGCCCUUUCUGAAGUUCUCCUUCCACUGAUCAAUGGAGUGGCAGCUGAUAACCUGUCCUUCUUCUACCAUUUUUUUCCCUCACAAAAACCCAAAUUUUAAAUUGUGUGAAAAAUUGGAAAAUACCAAUCCCACAUAGGAAAACUAGAAGAAUAUAAACCACCUUAUAUAACUCAAGUUUGGGACUUGGGUUUGGGCCCCAAGGGGUACCAAUAGUCUUUGAGGGGGAGAGAACCUACAUGCUAGUAGGUUAAACCAAAGCCCAUACGCGCGCGUCGCCGUCGCCGUUGCCGUCCGUCCGACUGGCCGACACGGUCAUGGGUCGUGGGUCUUAGGCUUGGGCUUGGGCCAAGCUGAUAUAUAUUUUUUGGUAAAAUAACAUUUAAUUAUAUUAUUUUAUUAUUAUAAUAAUAAUAUAUUUUAUGUUAUUAAUUUUUUUUCUUCCCCAAAUUUUGACUGUCCAAAAUAGCGGUUGACUGUCCAAACUGUUUGUGUCUUUUGGACACAACUUUUCGGCAGUUAUGACUGUUGGGACACAACCUUUCAACAUCUAUAAAUAAGCCCCAUACCCCGAUUUUUAUUCAUUCCAAAAAUCAGAAUUGAUUUUCUACUCUCCCGAAAUUAUCCCUUUCUCCCUGUAUAAUUUCUGUUCUUAUAAUUCAGUCCUCGAAAAUUACUUUUCGUGCAUUUCACUCAUCCAGUGUGUGGAGAGAUCUAAACUUUACGGGUUCGUCGGGUCUUGUAAUUUUGAGUACUACUAUUACAAGACGAGGUCGUUGUAUCUUGGGAAACGAGUGCUGCAAUACCGUUAGUACCAGUGCGGGGCAUUAUCGUUUUAAGGAGAAAUAGUCGAACUCUUGCCUCGACCAUUCAAAACCAUUCAAACAUCGUUACUCUGCCCAAAUAUAAAUUACGGUAACACUAUUAUUUGCCAAUAUCUUAUUCAACAAUCUUAAAACGAUAAUGGCAAGUAGUAGUACGUCUGUUGUACCCCCUAGUACGUCUGUCGUACCCCCUAACAAUGCUCACGGGGAGAAAUCGAAAAAAUUCACGGGAGUGGAUUUUAAGAUAUGGCAACAGAAAAUGUUGUUCUAUCUCACGACUCUGAAUCUGGUCAAAAUCUUGAAAGAGGAUGCUCCAACUGUUGAGGAGAAGGAAACAGAUUCUCAAAAAUGAGCAGCAUUCGAUGCUUAGAGUCAUAGUGACUUCUUGUGUAGAAAUUACAUCCUCAAUUGCCUUGACAACACACUAUACAACGUAUAUUGUUUCGUCAAAACGGCUAAAUUAUUAUGGGAGUCAUUGGAAAAGAAGUACAAAACAGAAGAUGCCGGAUUGAAGAAAUUCGUUGUAGGCAAAUUCCUGGACUUCAAAAUGGUAGAUUCUAAAACAGUAAUGACUCAAGUCCAAGAGAUACAACUUAUCUUGCACGAUAUACAUGCAGAAGGCAUGAAGCUCUGUGAACCAUUUCAGGUAGCUGCAAUUAUUGAAAAAUUACCACCAAUGUAGAAAGAUUUCAAGAACUACCUGAAACAUAAACACAAGGAAAUGAGACUUGAAGAUUUGAUUGUUAGAUCAAGAAUUGAGGAAGACAAUCGAAAUGCUAAAAAGAAGUCUGGAAAGCAGCAAAUGGAGGCUAAAGUCAACUUGGUGGAGCCAAAUACUAGCAAGAAAAGGAAGCACCCAAAUAAUAGCAAGCAAAAGAGCAAGGCCAAGAAAUUUAAAGGAGAUUGCUAUAACUGCGGUAAGCCUGGUCAUAUUGCAAAGGACUGCCGGCAGAAAAAGCAAAACAAAAACGACCAAGUGCACUUGACUGAAAAAGACAGACUAUCUAACGGAGUGUUUGAACUAAUGCUCUCGACUGUUGUAUUUGAAGCAAACAUGGUGGAUAAUCCGAGAGAAUGGUUCAUUGAUACUGGCGCUACUCGUCACGUUUGUGCGGAUAAGGAGAUGUUUUCAUCUUACACUCCUAUCAAUGGACGACAACUCUUCAUGGGCAAUUCAGCAACAUCAAAAGUUAUUGGUCUAGGUAAAGUAGUGCUAAAGAUGACAUCAGGGAAAGAAGUAACACUCAUCAAUGUGCUGCAUGUUCCUGAUAUUCGAAAAAACUUGGUAUCCGGAGCUCUUUUAAGCAAGAAUGGGUUUAGGCUGGUAUUUGAAUCUGACAAUUUUGUACUCACCAAAAAUGCUAUGUUUGUAGGCAAAGGGUACUUAGCCAAUGGGCUAUUCAAAUUGAAUGUAAUGCCUGUACUCCGUGAUUUUGAUAUUAAUAAAAAUAAAUCUUCUACUUACUUGAUUGAGUCUUCUAACUUAUGGCAUGAUAGGUUAGAGCAUGUAAAUGUUAAUACAUUAUGAAGAUUAGUAAGUUUAGAUUUAUUGCUUUCAAUGUCCUUUGAUCAAAAUCAUCGAUGCGAAACAUGUGUAGAGGCUAAAUUAGCAAAAACACAGUUUCAUUCAGUUGAAAGGAACUCGAAUCCUCUAGAACUAAUUCACAGUGAUAUUUGUGAUUUGAAGUUUGUGCAAACUAGAGGAGGUAAAAAGUAUUUUAUUACUUUUAUAGAUGAUUGCACAAGGUAUUGUUAUAUCUUUUUGUUAAGGAGUAAAGACGAGGCUUUAGAAGUAUUUAAACAGUACAAGAAUGAGGUUGAGAAUCAACUAAGCAAACGAAUAAAAAUUGUUCGUAGUGAUAGAGGUGGGGAAUAUGGAGCACCGUUUGAUGAAUUUUGUUCAGAUUCUGGGAUUAUUCAUCAAACUACAGCUCCUUAUUCACCUCAAUCAAACGGUACCGCGGAACGCAAAAAUCGCAAUCUAAAAGAGAUGAUGAACGCUAUAUUGGUUAGUUCUGGUUUACCACAGAAUUUGUGGGGGGGGGGGAAGCAAUUCUCUCAGCUAACCACAUUCUAAAUAAAGUACCACACAAAGGUAGGAACGAAACUCCUUAUGAGAUAUGGAAAGGUCAUAAACCUUCGUACAAAUACUUAAAAGUGUAGGGGUGUUUGAUUAAGGUACAAAUACCAAAGCCUAAACAAAUUAAAAUAGGGCCUAAAACUAUUGAUUGCAUAUUCAUUGGAUAUGCUAAUAACAGUAGUGCUUAUCGGUUCCUCGUACAUAAGUCUGACAUUCCGGAUAUACAUGAAAAUACUAUCAUUGAAUCUAGGAAUGUUGUAUUUUUUGAGGACAAGUUUCCUUGUAAAAAUAGGAAAGAAAUAAGCCCGCAAAAAUGAACUUAUGAUUCUGCAAUUAGUAAUCGUCAAAGUGAUGAAGAACCAAGACGCAGCAAAAGAACCAAAACAUCUACAUCUUUUGGUCCAGAUUUUUUAACUUAUAUGUUAGAAAAUGAGCCCAGGACAUUCAAUGAAGCAAUGUCUAGUCCAGAAACUCCAUUCUGGGAAGAGGCUAUCAAUAGUGAAAUUGAUUCUAUUAUGCAGAAUCAUACCUGGUAAUUGGUAGAUCUCCCACCUGGUAAUAAACCAUUAGGUUGUAAAUGGAUUUUCAAAAGAAAAUUAAAGACUGAUGGAUCAGUUGAUAAAUACAAGGCCAGAUUGGUAGCUAAAGGAUUCAAACAAAGGGAAAGCCUUGAUUUUUUUGAUACAUACUCACCUGUGACAAGGAUAACAUCAAUUAGAGUAUUAAUUGCAAUUGCAGCAUUGCAUAAUUUGGAAAUCCAUCAGAUAGACGUCAAAACAGCUUUCUUAAAUGGAGAGCUAGAAGAAGAAAUUUACAUGGAACAACCCGAAGGGUUCAUCUCUCCUAGACAGGAGAAAAAGGGGUGUAGACUCGUCAAGUCAUUAUAUGGACUAAAACAAGCGCCAAAACAAUGGCAUGCAAAAUUUGACAAAACUAUGUUGUCAAAUGAUUUUAAGAUUAACGAAUGUGAUAAAUGUGUUAUAUUAAAACCACACCUAAUGCAUAUGUAAUUGUAUGUCUAUACAUUGAUGACAUGCUAAUUGUGGAUAGUAGUUAUGAUAUGAUAACAAAUACCAAGAAAAUGUUGACAAAACAUUUUGACAUGAAAGAUAUGGGUAUUGCAGAUGUAAUAUUAGAAAUUAAAAUUCUUAAAACAUCUGAGGGACUUGUAAUGUCUCAAUCUCACUCUACUGAGACUGUACUUAAAAGGUUUAAUAUGUAUAAUGAAAGUCCAGUUAAAACACCAGUAGAUUUAAGUCUACAUUUGGCCAAACAUAAAGGCGAACCCGUAUCUCAAUUAGAAUACUCUCGGAUAAUAGGCAGUCUAAUGUAUAUUACGAACUGCACUUGUCCCGAUAUUGCAUAUGUAGUAAACAAACUUAGUAGAUAUACAAGUAACCCAAAUAAUGACCAUUGGAAAGCACUGGUAAGGGUUCUAAGAUAUCUACAAUACACCUCAAAUGUUGGAUUACAUUAUACGAGAUAUCCAGCUGUAUUAGAAGGAUAUAGUGAUGCUAAUUGGAUAUCAGAUACAAAAUACUCAAAAUCCACUAGUGGGUAUAUUUUUACCAUUAGUGGUGCGGCUGUAUCUUGAAAAUCCUCUAAACAAACAUGUAUAGCUUGAUCCACAAUAGAAUCUGAAUUCAUAGCUUUAGAUAAAACUGGAGAGGAAGCAGAAUGGCUUCGAAAUUUUUUAGAAGAUAUUCCAUGUUGGCCUAAGCCUGUGCCUGCAAUUAGUAUACAUUGUGAUAGUCAGUCGGCUAUCGGUAGAGCACAAAGUAGUAUGUAUAAUGGUAAGUCUCGACAUAUACGUCGAAGACAUAAUACAGUUAAGCAGUUAAUCUCAAAUGGUAUUAUUUCCAUAGAUUAUGUAAAGUCUAGAGAAAAUAUGGCGGAUCCGCUUACCAAAGGCUUACCAAGAGAUCAAGUAUACUGCCUAUUAAGGAGAAUGAGCUUAAAGCUUACUGCAUAAGAAUCUUUGUAAUGGUAACCCAACCUUACUGACUGGAGAUCCCAAAAUCUUGGUUCAAUGGGACAACUAAGUUAUGAAGAUUCAAUAAGCACUUCGGAGUUAACUCCUACCCAUUCCUCUGAUAAGGAAGUGCAAUCUGCAAAAAGUUUUAGGUUAAGUUAUACUUUUAAUGAUUCCUAUAUCUUGGACUACCUAAGUGGAGUACGACAGGUACUCUUAAUAGGAGAUCACCUAUACAAGUGUGAAGUGUGGCCGCUUCUAUGAGAAUGUUUCAAAGGUUAGAAUUCUCUAAAGCACUUAUGAAAUCCAAGAGUUGUUCAGGGCCAAAAUGAACACAACAGUGAGAACUCGAAAAUGUUAGGAAGGUUAUUGUGUUGAUACUAUUGUCUUGAUUUACAAAAAUGGCUGACAGUUUAAGACACCGCGUUCACUGAUUAGUCAAGUAAAUCCGAUAGUAUUCUACUACAGAAGGUUCAAACCCAUAAGGUACCUAUCCAGAUGCGAUAACAUUCCGCCUGAUCUCUCUAUAGGGUCUGCAUAGUCUACUGCAUUAAUUUCUAUUCAUGUGGGGGAUUGUUGGAAAAAUUGGUUUUAAUUAGUUGGUUUGACCAACUUUUGACCAAUUAAUUUAGUGGGUCCCGUUAAUCGGAAAUAAGAUUUCUUUGGCUGAAUGUGUUCUACUCCAUGAGUAGAUUAAUGUGGUAUAUUUAUUUUCUCAAAACCAAUUUAGGGUGAAUGAGAAAUUAAGGCCAAAAGAUGCCCACUUGAUGUUGAAAUAAAAUAGGUGAGAAAUUGGAAAAUACCAAUCCCACAUAGGAAAACUAGAAGAAUAUAAACCACCUUAUAUAGCUUAAAUUUGGGACUUGGGUUUGGGCCCCAAGGGAUACCAAUAGUCUUUGAGGGGGAGAGAACCUACAUGCUAGUAGGUUAAGCUAAAGUCCACACGCACGCGCUGCCGAAGGUUAAGCUAAAGCCCACACGCACGCGCUGCCGCCGCCGUCCGUCCGACCGGCCGGCUCGGCACGGCACGAUCACUGUCGCGAGUCGUGGGUCUUGGGUUUGGGCCAAGCUGAUAUAUAUUUUUUGGUAAAAUAACAUUUAAUUAUAUUAUUUUAUUAUUAUAAUAAUAUAUUUUAUGUUAUUAAUUUUUUUCUUCCCCGAAUUUUCUAUGUGUGACACGUGGUACGGUGCUUCUAGAAUUUAGCGGGUUGUGGCGGUUGACUGUCCAAGUGGCGUUUGACUGUCCAAAGUGGUGGUUGACUGUCCAAGUGGCGUUUGACUGUCCAAAGUGGCGGUUGAAAACCAUUUGUGUCAUUUGGACACAACUUUUCGGCAGUUGUGUCUGUUGGGACACAACCUUUCAACAUCUAUAAAUAGGCCCCCAUACCUCGAUUUUUAUUCAUUCCAAAAAUCAGAAUUGAUUUUCUACUCUCUCGAAAUUAUCCCUUUCUCCCUGCAAAAUUUCUGUUCUUAUAAUUCAAUCCUCGAAAAUUACUUUUCGUGCAUUUCACUCAUCCAGUGUGUGGAGAGAUCUAAAUUUUACGGGUUCGUCGGGUCUUGUAAUUUGGAGUACUACUAUUACAAGACGAAGUUGUUGUAUCUUGGGAAACGAGUGCUGCAAUACCGUUAGUAACAGUGUGGGGCAUUAUCAUUUUAAGGAGAAAGAGUCGAACUCUUGCCUCGACCAUUCAAAACCAUCCAAACGUCGUUACUCUACCCAAAUAUAAAUUACAGUAACACUAUUAUUUGCCAAUAGCUUAUUCAACAUAAGCACUCCACGGAUACCUCAUUGAUCUGAUAAAAAAGAAUGUAUGAAAGAAAAAUUCCAGAAUCUAAUAUUACACGCUACAUGUAUAUGCUGCUUAAGGGUCUCUCCUAAGUUCAUGAGAUCGGGUCAACAAAGUCAUUCAACCCUUUGAUCCUGUAGAAAAGGAAGAUUUUAGUGAAAAUAAAUGAGUGGAUGAAUUUAGAAUGAUAUAUUUUUAUAUAUGCCUAUUUAGGUAAAUUUACAUAAAAUUAAAAAUGUAAUAUUAUUAUCAUUUUAAAGGUGGAUAUAUAUAUAAAAAUCGUGGAUGUAAAUAGCGCCACCCUAUUUUUUUUUGGCAUUAGGAUAAACCAUUUUUUUUCCCAAAAGAAGUCCAAUGCUGUUGAAAUUCCUCGUGCACACAUUUUUACUCACUCCAUCUUCAUAAUUUUAGUGUUCCAUUCCCAUUUUCCCUUGAUAACAUAGCAACAAGAAUAUAUACAUAUAGAUCAUACUGCGAGGAAGUAAAUCUCAAGUAAAAGGACAUGUUGCUCAUAACUUCACAUUUUUUUCAAAAGAGGUAGACUCAAACCCCAUUUUAUUUCAAUUCAUGUUAUAUUUCAGCAUGUAUAAAUGUGGUUAUAUGUUAUAGAUGACUCCUUAUGGGGUAUAGAAAUAAGUUGGUGGUGAAAUGGUACACCAAAAAUGUAAACUUGGUGGCGUAGUAGUGCACCAAAUGUUGGUAUGUCACCUGAUCAUCGGUAUGCUUGCUUAUUAAAAGUUUGAAUGACAUUAAUAUAUGCUUAAAGUAUAAUAUGUUUGGAUUUAACGUGUGUAUGAGUCUAUUGAGUGUUUCUAUGAAAUAUUAAUCCCACUAACAAUUUCAGAUUAAAGCGAUCAAUGACAGUGUGGAGGAGAGCGGUGUUGCUUUGAUGUGAACUCCAAAGGACAUCAUUUGAGUUAUGUUUUGUUCAAAUAAUAUUUAAAUUUGGAAUAUUUUAAGUUAGUAUUUCUUGAAAGCUUGAUGAUUGAAUUGUUGAUGAAAUUUUUUCAUGGUUGAUAGAAUAUUUUUAUGGUGGUUUAUUUAGUUCAUUUGAGUUGCAACAAUAAGGUUUAAAUAUUUUAGUUUCUGCCCCCAAGUUUAAAAAAUUCACCCAGACCAAGACACUUGGAAUUUUGAGGUGAUUCCAGUUGGAGAAGAUAACCAUAUAAGUUAUCUACCUCUCAGAUUUAGAAUCAUGAAUUUUGGUUGUGUAAAAGUCAAGUUAUGGACGUUUCUCGAUGGCUGCAAAAAUGUACCCGACAACAAAUAGAUCCGAUUUGAAAACAAAUUUAACUCACCUAUCGAUUGAAUUUGUAUACGAAAUUUAAAUAUGUAAUUCUUCUAUGUGUAAGAUGUCUACACUUUAAAUUUUGUAAAUUUUGGAUUUUAUUUAUUUGUCGAACGAAAUUUAUUUCAAAUGUACAAGCUAAAAAUCUAAACUUUUCGAAAGAAAAAUUCUUUAGCUUUGUAACGGGUCCUUUGAAGCCUUAAUGUUUUUGGUCCAAGUUAAUUUCUGCAUUUUAUGAACAAUCUAGGUAGAAUUUUACAAGUUUAAGAUCUUAGUAAUGUCACGAGUCCAUAGAGCUCGGGGCGUUAAAAAGACUAAAGGCAAUAAAUUUGUAAUAUUUUGUUGCAAAAAUUCUUCUUCCAAGAGCCGUAAAAGCACAGUUAUGGCAAUAUCAUAAGCUACAAGAUACACGAUCUUGUCCAUGAUCUUGCAUGUUUAGUUUCGAAAUCAGAAAGUUUCAUGAAUAUGGAGGGUAGCAAUGCUACUAACAUUCUUCAAGUUAGAUACCUUGCAAUAGAAUCAAUUGGAGAGGAAACAUUCAAGGACAUAAAAGAGGUGGCAGUUAUCUCCGCACAUUGUUCUUAAGCAGCAGCGUACCAGAUGAAAUAUUGCCGUACUUUAAGCAUUUGCAUGUUCCAAAGCUAUGUUGUGCAGAUCUUAAAGAAUUGCCAACAUCAAUUGGCACGUUGAAACAUUUGAGAUAUCUUGACGUGUCCUACAAUCACGAUCUCACUACUCUGUCAGAAUCUGUUUGCAAGCUCUACAAUUUGCGAACCUGGACGAUUCUACACAGCUACAUAUUUCCAUCACUUCAAAGGCUUCCGAGAGAUCUGCAAUUCUUGAUUCAUUUAAAGCAUCUCCGUUUUAAUGAUGUUAGCGGAGAAUUCGAGAUGCCACCUAAAAUUGAAAGUUUAUCCUGCCUUCAAACAUUACCAUUAUUUUGUAUGAGCAACAAGGAAGGUUGUCGAAUCGAUGAGCUAGGAAGGUUGAAGAAUUUAAAGGGUAAACUACAAAUAUGGAAUCUAGAAUUGGUGUGUUGCAAAACAGAAGCUGAGCAUGCAAAUAUGGCUAGAAAGCUAAACAUUUAUAAGUUAUACUUCCAUUGGAAAGUCAACGGAUUCCACAGAAAGUAACAUCAAUGACAAGAGUAUACUUGAAGGGUUGCAACCUCAUGAAAGCUAAAAACCCUAAUAAUUGAAGGAUUCUGAGGUAAUAACUUUCCAUUUUGGACUAGCAAUAUGGGAAUAUGUAAAGACAUUGGUGGCCGUCUGGUGAUAUUUAAUAGAUUGAUCAAGAUCAAGUUUAAUUCUUGUGACAAAUGCGAAGAAAUCACAAUGCUCAGCCACCUACCACUCUUCAAGUAUCUAAAGCUCUAUGAUCUGAGAAACGUAAGAUCGAUAAGACCAUCAUUCUAUGGAAAGAGUGAUUGCAGCUCAACUAGAAAACGAUGGCUAGGAGACAAGAGUAUCUUUCCCAUCGCUUAAGUAUCUUACAAUAUGGGAUAUGCCAAACCUUACAGAGCGGGAAGAAGCACAAAUGAGGAGAAUGUAGGUAUUUCUUUGCCUUGAAUAUUUGGAAAUUCAUUUUUGUGAUAAGUUGGCUCGUGUUCUCCACUUUCGGGGCAGUGGAGCAUCUCUUAAAGAGAUGAAAAUUUCGUAUUGUGAUGAAUUGAGGGAAUUACCCUAUGACCUAGGUCGCUUCCAAUUUCUUGAGACAUUGGAAAUAUAUGAUUGUAGAAAUCUGCAAUUAAUUUCAUAUUAAAAUGGACAAAAAAGGCCCAAUUUCCCUUCAGAAUUUGGAAAUUCGUAAUUGCUAUGAGUUGAGCAACCUGCCAAAUGAAAUGCUAGAGUAUAGUAAGUCUCCACAGCAUCUAUCUGUGUGCGGAUGCCUGAAUCUCACUUCGCUUCCCAAAUUGAGGGGGAUGGGAUCUCUACGGCAUUUAGUUGCUAUAAUCUCACAUCACUACCUAAAAUGAGUGGAACGGAAUCCCUACAGGAGCUAAUUGUGAUUGGAUGGGAUAAUCUCACUUCGUUUCUUGAAUUGAGUGGGAUCAGAUGCCUUAACAGCUUAAUAGAACUGGAGAUUGGAAAAUUCUCCAAUUCAGUACACUUCAAUUCAUUUCAAAAUUUUCUCGAAGGUAUUGAACGCAUAAAAUCCCUUGAGAAAUUAAACUUACAAGGUCAAGAGGAUUGGUUUUGUUGCGACCCGUCCCGAAUCACUCUAAUAGAUCCGACACGUGUUGUGCACUAAUGGUAAAUACCAAUUAAGUGCCGAACCCACCAAUAAGGCAAUCUUGACCUACUUUGACUAUGACGAAUUUUAAAAAGAAAUUUGAUAGAACUUCUUUUGAAAUAUGGACUAAAAGCACCUGAAUAAAAAUCAACUUUCUCAAACAUGUUUAUACAAUUUAAAAUAGGGCACACUAGUCUCUCAAAAUAAUAAAAUGCUGGCAAAUCAAUAUUUACUAUACUUUACAAACAAAAGUCCCCGAAAGCAUUAAUGAUACCAAAUAUACAGUGAGCACAUGAUAUGGACACAUGAUUUACUAAUUAACUUUUCCAACAAAACAUACAUAUAUCUCAAAAGAAAUAUAAACUAUGGAGACCGACAAAAUAGGUCAUACAACUAACAAAAAUGUGUGGCUCAACUCGGUAGAUCUACAUGCUCCAAUAUUGCUCAACUCUGCUGCUAUCUGAUAAGAAAAAGUGUAACAAAAUAUGAGCUUGUAGCUCAGUGAAUGGAUAAUUUGCGCAUAAGUAUAUUUUUCCGUCUAUGCAUAUUUUCUAAAAAUUCUUAUCAAUUAAAACUUUGAGAAAUACUGAAAUCUGAUAACACUUUUUAAAACUAAAACAUUCUUGCAUCGUAAAAUUCAUUAUUCUUUGUUCUAGAUAGUAACUAUUAGGUAUAAUGAAUAUAAAUAAUCUGAUAUAAGUAGACAUAAGUGAAAAUUUUCUUUCACAAUACUAUAAGCUAAAAUCAUUACUCUGUAAACUAAAUAAACUAAAUUCUAUAAUGUAAAUUCUGAUAAACUAUAUAAUACUGAAAAAUCGCAAUAAAAAGGUACUCGAAAUAACCUUACUCAUGUAUGAGUUAGUACUCAUAUACAAAGCAAAGCUAUUCAAUUCUGAAAUUUUGGUCAUACACAGAGCUGCCUAAAAGCUAUAAUCUGGUCAUGCACCGUGGAAACACAUUCAUAAUAGUACAGAGCAGGUAAAAUAAUCAUAACUGAUCAUGCACUUUGUAAACACAUUCACACCAGUGCAAAGUGGGUAAAAUAACCAUAUGAGGUCAUAAACUGUGGAAACACAUUCAUAUAAGUGCAAACUAUGGUAAAAUCAUCUAGUACUUUCUGGUGGUUUUAAAAAAAUAACUUUAGAUGUGCUGAAAUAUGUAGUAUUCAUAUAACAUGCUAAUAAAAUGAUUUAACCGAACUGAAUUUAACUUUAAAGGAGCUUAUUAAAAAAUUCACUUUAUUCUGAAAAUCAUGCCGUCAAACCAACUUAUAUGAUUUACUAUAAGAAUUCUAAUGAACAAUUAUUUCAUAUGAGCUUGAGUAUAAUUUAAAACAAUGCUUAAUUUUGAAAAGUAGAUAUCCACUCACAUAAUACAAGUUACAGCCUAGGAUGGUCGGUAGACUUUUCCAAUCUCCUCGUCACCACCUGAAAUACGAUAUAAGAUAACCAACCUUUUAUAUCUAUUAAUGAAAUACUUAACUAAAUUUCUCAAGACUUGAAUAAAUUUCCCAAUUUUUUCUUUAAUCAAUUGAAGCUAAUUCCACUUUUUAGUCCUUUUACUAAUAAUUAAUUCAUCAAAAUAACCUUCACCUCAAGCGUAAGAAUAAUUAUCCCAUCUUCCAUCUAGUGAAACUUGAAAUCACACUUGCCUUAAUUUAUUUUACAUCUUGUUCCAUAAAUUAUUCUUUCAAGAAAAUAAUUCACUUAACAUAAUCAUUUUCACUAAUAAUCCUUAAUCAAGCAUCCAAUUUAAAAUCUAGGGUUUGCCAAAAAUGGUAUUCCUUACCUUAAUAUAAGUUGAAAUUAAAGAAUCAAGAAACUUGAGCUCCAAUUUGUACUUUUAUCCUCCUAAAUCUGAAAUUUAUACCACAAGUUAAAACCCUAGAAAUUUAACGUCAUAAUACCAUAAAUAAUUUAUUUCUUAAUCUCUCAAAGAAAUGAAGUAAUUGAAACCAAGCAUGAAGAAAUCAGCAUUCACUUACUUCAUUCUUUCUUUUUCUUUUUCUUUUUCUUUCUUCUUUUCUUCUUUCCUUUUUUUCUUUCUAUUUUCUCGGAUUUUAUCUUCUUUGGGCGAUCCCAGCUUCCUCUAUGUGUUUGUAUCAAAUGACAAAUGAAAACAAUGGAUAUAGAUGUGCCACUUUUAGUCCACUGCCCAACAAUUGCAAAGGAAGCCCUCCAACUAAUUCAUAUAAAAUCACAUUAAAUCCUUAACUUCCCAAAAUAUAUAAGUAGAUCCCCAAAAUUAGAUUUUAUCCAUCUUAAACCCUUAAGAAUUCUCAAUUAGUAAAAUAAAACUAAAUAGAAUAAUUUGUUUCAUUUUAGUCCUUAUUUGACUUUGACUUUGACUUUGAUCAAUUGAAUUUUGGACUUUGACUAAAUACUUUUCUUGACUUUGACUAUGAACGAGUGGGCUAUAACAGGUUCUCUCUACCAUAUCAGCUUCAACAUCUCACUUCUCUAAAAUAAUUGACAAUACAUCAUUUUGGAAUGGAAGAAUUGCAUGUUUGGUUUGGGAAUCAUCUCUUGAAGUACUAAAACCAUGGUCUUGUGAAAAGCUUAGGCAUCUGCCAUCUAAAGAAGCUAUGCAACGACUCACUAAAUACAAACACAAACUAAUUUAUUUAAUUUCUUGUGAAAUUUUACAGGUGCAACAUGGGUAUCAGUUUGUCAAGUAUUAAAGAUAAAUGACAUGACAUGCAUUUGACAUUUAGUUGAAAAUUGAGCCACAUGAAAUUUCGACCAAACAAGGAAACUCUCGAAGUUGGUAACUGUUUAUGAAAACAAUUAGUAAAACAAUUCUAAUUUUAUGUCUUAGUAUUUAAUUUUUGAAAAGUUUCCUUAGGUGCCCAUUAUAGAUAUUCCAAUGUUAGAAACACGGAAAGUAGUAUAUCAAGAAUGAUUCACGGCAUUACCCAAAUAGCAACAUAGAUUUAUCAAUAAAAUCCUAUUACUUGAUAAUACAACUUUUCCAUUAGACGAUUGAAGCGAAGUAAAGAAACGAUGGUUUAGAAAGUUAAAUAACGAUGAUGUAUUAUUUAAUAUCUUUUAUAGUGCUAAUUGAUUUAUGUAAUAUGAGCAGUCUCAAGACAUUACCUUGCUUUACUCGGCCAUAUGUACAAAUGGGCAAAUGGUAAAACGACCUAAUAAUUAAGAAUCACUAUGUACAUAGUAGAAAAACGGACACCCACUAAUGUACAAUUAAAUAAAGUCUUUCAAUUAAAAAUGGGGGAGAAGUCAUUGCAGAAAAUAUAUGCUCUCAACCAAAAAAAUGGAGCUGCAUAUUUUAGAAAAGCACACCUGCGUGAAGUUAAUAACUUUGGAUGGCAAGCAACUCAGAACUUACUACCUACAAUCAGUUUCUAAUAAUUCCUAAAACUUCUGGUCGAAAUAUUUAAUCACCAUUCGGUCAGUCAGUAUCAUUAAGCAAACCAAUAAAUAAAAUUUGUAAAAAUAUGACACAUUUUUUCAACUAUCUCCCCUUUGACUUUGCUUAAUUUCAAAAACUAAUUUUAGAUUUUUAAUAUCGCGUGUACGAUGAAUGUGAUCAACCAAGUCACAUGGAAUACUCCCCUGUAAUCAGUUAUCAUCAUAUACAUCAUACUUCCCCUAACUCAAAAACCCUAAAACAUUAUGAAAGAAGAAAAAACAUGAGUGAUAAAACCUCAAACACGGCUAUAUGAAAUCAGUUAAUUCAACUAACAAACAAAAACAUAAGAAUAUAAAAAUGGUGAAUUCAAUUAACAGCCGUUUAUGUUUUCCAUCAUUUGUUCACCACUUCACCAUCAGUUCACAACAUCAUGAAAAAUCUAACCUACUCCAACUUUUUUGAGAUUAAAAGAGCACCACAUAACGCGGAGGAGAAAUCCAAUCAACCAAAUAGUGUUGCAUGUAUCAUCCAUUCAUAACACAAUUAUCCAUAAAAUGUGUCAAUGAAAUGGUUAGGAGCAAAUAGUCAUAUCAGAGUAGGAGUCAAAGAGUUAUGACCUGUGGCAUGGGGCCAUUGGAUUGAAAGCCCGAGAAUAACUAAUCAAGAGGGAGGUGAAUUGGUUAUUUGAAACUUUUUCGAAAAUAAUUGCAAAUCUAAACAAAUAACAAAUAAACAAUUGCUCAAGUAAGAUAGCACAAAUAAAAAAGUAAUAAGUAAAAGGGAAGAAAAUGCGUAAAUGGUGUAAUUAUGGAGGUUCGAUCCAAUCUACGUCCCUCGUUACCAAAGCUCUCCGUCACGAGCAAGGCCUUUUUCACAAUUGUUGAUUGACUUAUGGAGCAAUCCAACCUUACAAAGCUUCCUGUGACUUACAACCAAGGAGCACCGAUCAUUUUACAACGUUGAAAUUUCCAUGACUUCAAAUCGACGCACAAUCAAAUGAGAAAAGAACAAAUUACAAGUAAAAGCUUCUCUCGUAAUAACUGAUAUGAUCACAAUUAAAUAUCAAGAGAGAAGUAGGCUAACACUUCAAUAAGUAUAGCUCUAAUAUUAGUUGUUGAAAAACUUUAAUGAGAUAAAUGAUUUUCACAAAAUUGAUCACUCAAACAGCUUUUCAAGAAAUGAAUUUUUUUAUCUUCUAAAGAUUGAAAAACAAAGUAGUUGAGAUCAAUAAAAGCCUCUCUUAAAUGCUUAAAGAAGGUUGUUGCAAAUGAGGAAGAGAUGUGGUAUUUAUAGCACUCAAACGAUCAAAAAAUCUGUCCAUCCUGACACAUGAUUUGGACGUCUGGUUUGUAAAGACUUGGGGUUCCAUCUUAAAAGGUCAACCUUGUUAAGAGGAGUAGCCCAAUUUUUUAUAAAUCGAUCUAUGUUUUCAUCUUUAUUCGAUGUGGGAUUUCAUUCCUUAACAUGCCCCCGCAAUAUGGUGGCUCAUUUGAGCAGACCAAUCUUGAAAUCCGUAUGCUCAUUUAUUGAGUCUUAAUCGGAUCGAGUCGCUCGUUAGAGCUUAAUGGACUCUGAUACUAUGUAAAGAUUUAGGUUCCAUCUUAAUAAGGUUAACCUUGUUAAGAGGAGUAGCCCAAUUCUUUAUAAAUCGGUCUAUAUUUUCAUUUUUAAUCGAUGUAGAAUUUCAUCCAUUAACAUGGUUGGGGUCCGAACAGUUAAAAAAACUAGCCUUUGAUUCAGAGGCAGAACGGUCAAGAAAGUGAUCGUUGGGCAUCUAGAUGUCCGGAUGGUGAUCCAAACGUCCAGAUGGACAGAAAUGCCCUCGGACAUUUUCCUUCGUGAUGAAAUUGAUUAAUGCAGGUUCUUGAAGGACUUUCACAUUUAUUUUGUAAAGAUAAGUAUUUUAUAAAUAUUUGAUCUUGAAGUCAAAAUACUUAUCUUUUGAAAAUAAUUUUUAUGCAAGUAUUCUUUUGUGAAAUGAAAUUGCUAUAGUGCAUAAAAAUUCUUUUUAGCUAUUGUCGAUGCUAAUAAUUGAAGUGUUUUACCUUUACAUAUAAAUUCAAACGCAUCUACAUCUAUUGUCUUGAAUUUGAUUAUCAAUCUUUUCUCCAAUGUGAUUUUUGACAUGAAGGCUCGAUUUUCGUCUCUAUGUUCCUCAAUCGCCAAAUUUUUUUUCCAUGUUGAUCGUUAAGCGUCAAAAUCACUUUUCCAUGUGCAUGUCUCUUGAUCUCAAUUUUAUCAUCUUCAUUUUGUUGAUUUUGCAAUAAUCACUAUCAACACUCAAAUUCAACUUGUUAGAAAUAAGCGCAAUUUGUUUGUGAUAAUCAAAUCGAGAAGUCAACCAUUUAAGUCAACAAUUUCUCCCUUUUUGAUUUUGACAAAUAAGAUGAUUUGCAAUACAAACAUCAAACAAAUUGAAGAGGCACAAAUUAAUACGCAUAAAUUUUGCAUAUUCCCCUUAUCGUUUUCACUUAUAUUUCCCCUAUCAACAUGCAUAAAAAUUUAUAAGUUCCCCCUUACAAUGUCCCCCCCUAUUUUGCAUAAUUAUCUACCUAUCUUCUUCCUUUUGGCAUAAACAAAAAGAAGUAGUAGGACAAAUUAAACUUGCAAAGAAGUCAACCAUAAGAAAUUUAAUUCAUAAUGUACCAUGCAUUGAAAUAACUCGAAAGUACAAUAAUGGAAAGUUAUAGUACGACAAUAAAAGAAACAUCUAGCAAAUGAAAAUAUUUCAAAUUGAAAGUAAACUAAGGCGCCAGAGGCGGUUGUGACGGUGGGAAGUAAGCAUAGAAGUUGGCAAAAAAUUCAUUCUACUGUGCCUACAUCUCAGCCUGUCGAUCUUCUAUAGCGUUCUACUGUGCCUAAAUCUGAAGGAGUAGGCUACCUAGGCUGUCGAUGGUUGAGGUGAGAGAAUCAAUGCGCCCGUGAAAGAGAUUAAACUGUGUCUCAGUAAAUGUAAAAUGGCAUCCUGAUGGAUGAGGUGCGCUGGAUUCGAUAAUGUCAGAAGCGAGAGCUAGGGCUUUAGGCUUGUCUUCGUGCUCAUCUUCGACUUUCUCUUCGAAAGCUAAAGUGGAAAGAUUGGAGGUAGGGUAGAAUCCAUUCGUGUACGCCAACCAUAGCCCAUUUUCUUUUAGUAUUUUCAUCCAUUUUAGGGUUUGGAUGUUGAUAGUAUCAGCGGAGCGUAACUUAACAAGGGUUUCACUGUUGAGUGAAAUGUGAUGAAUGCACAAGUUUCUUAAGCCCCAAUGCAAUGGUGGGAAAUAAAUUUUGCACCCUACUAAAUGUGAAUUUAAAAUGAAGAGAUCGGAGUGAUUAAAUUUGUCUCAGUGGCCCUUACGGGGAAAAAUAACAUGGGAAAUAAUGUUUUGCAAAACUUUGUAUGGAAGAGUAAACCCCUAUUUGGCCCCCCAGUCUCUUUCAUUUUUUUUCUCUUAUUUUUAACCACAAAAUCUUCCAUAAAAAAAUAUUACACGUAAAUAAAAAACUUUUCGUUCUUUUUCAACCACACAUUCUUCAUAAAAAUACUAUUCCAAUCAUUAAAAUUUGAAAAGACAAAUGGGGGCCCAAUGGGGACUAAAUUGAUUAGCACUCAAUUUUGUAAUAUUCUCGAAAUCCUUCUCGAUGACUCGACGACAUGCCUCGGAAGGAUCGUAGCCUUCCACGGUAGGUGGAGAUUAAUGUAGAAAAAUUUUCAAGUCACAGGGCUAGUUUGAGAAUAUCACAAAUUAGUACUUUUGUAACCGUAAUGCGUACAUUUUUUAUCAAACAUGUAAUCUCGUCGGAAUGAGGUGCAACAUGCAUUUUUUGAUAAAAUUCUUUCAUGAGGCAUGGGUAUGCGUGCUCUACCAUGGUAGCCACUGAUAAGCAUCCCAUUCUUUUAAAACGUUCUUUGAUAUUAAAAGCGGGAGCUUCUAUAGUAAAAUCCGCAAAAUCAACCUAAUUACAAAUAAGAAUGGGUAAUUUUUCAAAAGGAUUCACCUGUACCUCUAGCUCCAAGUCCAUAUCUUCAUCAGAUGAUGAUGGAGGAGGUCGUCUCGUUGUUCAUUUUACCCAGUUGCCUCAUUGCAUUCCCGACAUUGUGAAGGAGUGAUGGAAUAUCCAAAAAGCCCCAAAAUUUGAAUUCUAGGGUUUGAGAUUAUCACCCCAAAAGUUAAAUUUUGGAAGGAGAUUUCGAAUAUAUAGGUAAGUAGUGUGUGGUGGUAUGAUUUUCUACAAUCUAAUAUGAAGAAUUUCUGCGAAAAACACCAAGUUUGAUGUAGGUUGGUGUAAAAUUUGGUAUUUUGAAGUUGAAAUUUUCGAGCUUGUGAGAGAUUGAUUUUCUAAAUCUCUUGGGUUUUUGAAUUAAAAACAAAAUUGAGAAGAUUGAAUCAACGUCCAGAUCAACAAAACAUUCAAUGCUUUGAAAGUUUCUAUCAAUCUGGACACUCUUGUUCGGACUGUCCGGAUAGAUAAAAGUGUGUCCGGAUUUUUUUUAUGUGUGACAUGGUUAUUUUCAAAAUGAAAUUAUCAUUUAUAAAAGGCUAUGCAUGCAAAAACUUACGUGAUAGGAAAAUUUAAACUCAUUCUACUUCAUUUUCAUCAAUAAUUUCUAAACCUCUUUGAAUAUGUGAAAAUCAGUCGUGCGCUAGAUGUUUGGUGAAAAUAUUCGCUAAUUGGUUCUUUGAUUUUUAUGAAUUCUAACACGAUAUCUCCCUUUUGUGCAUAAUCUCUAAGAAAGUGGUAUCGAAUUUUAAUGUGUUUAGUUCGAAAGUACAAAACGGGAUUUUUAGACAAGUUGAUGGUACCGGUGUUAUCACACUUGAUAAGCACGUGAUCGUAAGACAGGUGAUAAUCACUAAGGGAUUGUUUCAUCCAAAGUGCUUGUGCACAAUAAUUUGCGAUCAAAAUAUAUUACGCCUCAGCAGUAGAAAGUGCAACGAAAUUUUGUUUCUUACUAGACCAUGACAAAAAUGCAAAGCCUGGAAAGUGACAAUUUUCGCUAGUGCUUUUACGAUCAAUGCCCAAUCGGCAUCCGAGUAACUAAUCAAGUCAAUGUGACUGCCCUUAUGAUAACAAAGUCCUAAUGUUCUAGUUCCACUAAGAUAUCAAAAAAUUCCUUUCACGGCACGUAAAUGUGAUUCCUUAGGAUUAGAUUGAAAUCUAGCAUAUAAACACAUUGAACAUAAUAUCAAGUCUACUAGCACUUAAACAAAGGAAUAGGAUCAUACCUCGAUAUUUUGUGACAUCAAUGGGAGUGCCUUGCUCAUCAUUAUCUAGCUUUAAGGAUGUACUCAUCGGGGUGUUCAUUGGCUUUAGGUCGUCCAUAUCAAAGCUUUUGAGAAUAUGUACUUGUUUUGAUUUAUGAAAAUUUCGUCAUUUGUUUAUUUAAUAUGAAGACCAAGGAAGAAUUUUAGUUUUCCCAUCAUGCUCAUUUCAAAUUCUUUACUCAUGCAUUUUGAAAAUUCUUCACAAAGAUGGAUAUUUGUAGCACCAAAAAUAAUAUCAUCAACAUAAAUUUGAACAACAAGCAUAUCUCCCUUAUGAGUUGACAAAAAGUGUAGUAUCCAUUUUUUCAAUUGAGAAACCAUUUGAUAGUAGGAAUUUGCUCAAACAUUCGUACCAAGCUCUUGGAACUUGCUUCAAACCAUAUAGAGCUUUUCUAAGUUUAAAAAAUGAUCUGGAUACUUAUGAUCUUUAAAACCUGGAGGUUGCUCAACAAAACUUCUUCUUAAAUAAAUCCAUUUAAGAAAGCACUUUUUACAUCCAUUUGAUAAAGUGUAAAACCUUUAUAGCCUGCAAAUGCAAGAAGCAUAUGGAUGGAUUCUAAUCUAGCUACCGAUACAAAUGUUUCUUCAAAACGAUACUUUCUUCUUGAUUGUAACCUUGGGCCACUAAUCUAACCUUGUUACGAACAAAAAUCCCAUUUUCAUGCUUUUUAUUUCUAAAAACCCAUUUUCUACCGAUUACGAUUUAAUCAUUUGCUCUAGCAACUAAAUCCCAAACAUAAUUUCUUUCGAAUUGAUUUAAUUCUUCUUGCAUUGUUAGAAUCCAAAAUUCAUCAUAUUCGGCUUUUUAAAAAUUUUUAAGCUCAAUUUGUGAAUUGAAUGCACAACUACCAAGAUGAUUUCUAAAAGAGGUUCUAGUAGUGAUACCUUUGGAUGGAUCGCCUAUUAUAAGUUCUUUGGGAUGCGAUGGAACAAAACUCCAUUCUUUUGGUAGUGGAGGAUUACUUUGAGCUUCAGUUGAUUUCUCUUCACUUUCUUGAACAUUAGGCUCCUCCUUUUGUUCUUCUCUGGGAGUUUCCUUGUGUUGCUCUUGAAUAUUCAUUUGUUCGAAUGGGGUUUCUAAACCUACAUCAUCACCAAUACCUUUCUCGCGAUCAAGUGAGUUAGUUUCAUCAAAUGUUAUAUACAUGGAUUCUUCAAUGACUAGAGUUCGUAUGUUAAAUACUUUAUGAGCUUUGCUAGUCGAUGAAUAUACUAGGAAAAUUUCAACAUUGAAUUUUGAAUCAAAUUUUUCCAAAUUAUCUUUUGUGUUUAAAAUGAAACAUUUACAACCGAAAACUUUAAAAUAACUAAUAUUGAGAAUUCUAUUUUUCCAAAUCUCGUAAGGAGUUUUAGUUUUCUUUUGACUUAAACUCUAUUAACAAUGUAGCAAGUGGUGUUAACGGCUUUGGCCCAAAAAUAUUUUGGCAAGUUAUUUUCAUUUAACAUGGUCCUAGCCAUUUCUUGCAAUGUACGAUUCUUCCUCUCUGCUACAUGUACCAUUAUGUUGAGCAGUUCUAGGAGACGAAAAAUUAUGUUCAUAUCCAUUUUCAUUACAAAAAUCAUUAUAGCCGACAUUAUCAAAUUCUCCACCAGUAUUUUUUUUUAAAACUCCAGAUUUUAUAGAUCAGCCCUCACAUAUGGUGGAGGAAUACCAUGAAAAUGAACUCCACAUUACAAAUAGACUUUAAAGACAAACUUUUAUUAACGUUGUGCAUAUGGAAAAUGAUUUCUAUUUGAUAUAAAUAACUUGGUAACGGCCCCAGGAAGAUCUGCCAUAUCAGAAAUGUUGCCGUGCUUCCAUUUCCACCUAUUUUAGAUAAUGCGUCUGCAACUUGGUUUGCUUCCUGGAAAACAUGUCUGAACACCACUUCUCUUCCAAUCAUGAGAUCAUUUAUCUCCUCCCAUGCUUUCCAAAAUUUCCAUCAUGUACAUUAUUUAUUGAGGAACCAGUUCACAACGACUUGAGAAUCACUUUCGAUUAUAAUCUUUAGGAAAUUUCGUUCUACACCUAUGUGGAUGCCUUAAAAAGAUUGUUAGCCAUUGCUCAAGAUUGUGAGAUCUUAAAAAGAAUGAGCACCUCGCUCUAAUACCAAUUGGAAGCCCAAGAAUAACAAACUAAGAGGGGCUGAAUUGGUUAUUUGAAACUUUUUCGAAAAUAAUUGCAAGCUUAAACAAAUAGCAAAUAAAUAAUUGUUCAAGUAAGAUGGCACAAAUAAGAAAGUAAUAAGUAAAAGGGAAGAAAAUGUGCAAACAAUAUUAUUAUGGACGUUCGAUCUAAUCAACAAUCUACGUUCCCCAUUACGAAACUCUCUGUCACAAGUAAGGCCUUUUUCAUUAUGGUUGAUUGACUUAUGGCGCAAUCCAACCCUUACAAAGCUUCCGGUGGCUUACAACCAAGGAGCACUGAUCCUUUUACAAGGUUGAAAUUUUCGGGACUUCAACACAACCCACAAUCAAAUGAGAAAAGAAGAAAUUACAAGUAAAAGCUUCUAUCUUAAUAAAUGAUAUGAUCACAAUUAAGUACCAAGAAAGAAAUAGGCUAACACUUCAAUAAGUAUAGCUCAAAUGUUAGUUGUUGAAAAUUUGCAAUGAGAUAAAAGAUUUUCUCAAAAUUUAUCACUAAAAAGGACAAGCUUUUCAAGAAAUUAAUAUUUUGAUCAUCUAAAGAUUGAAAAACAAAGUAGUUGAGAUCCAUAAAAGCCUCUCUUAAAUGCUCAAAGAAGGUUUUUGCAAAUGAGGAAGAGAAGUGGUAUUUAUAGCACUCAAACGGUCAAAAAAUAUGUCUAUCUGGACACAUGAUCUGGACAUCCGGUUGGGGUCCGGAUAGUUAAAAAAUUGACCGUUUGAGACAGAGGUCAGAACAGUAAAAAAAUGACCAUUGGGCACCUAGAUGUCCGGAUGGGUAGAAAUGCCUCCGGAUAUUUUCCUUCAUGAUGAAAUUGAUCAAUGUAGGUUCUUGAAGGACUUUCUCACUUAUUUUGCAAAGAUAAGUAUUUUGUAAAUAUUUGAUCUUGAAGUCAAGAUAUUUAUCUUUUGAAAAUAAUUUUUAUGCAAGUAUAAAAUAUUCUUUGUGACGUGAAAUUGUUCUCAUGCAUAAAAAUUAUUUUGAGCUAUAGUCAAUGCUAAGAAUUGAAGUGUUUACCUUUACAUAUAAAUUCAAACGCGUCUAUAUCUAAUGUCUUGAAUUUGAUGAUCAAUCUUUUCUCCAAUGUAUUUUUGACGCGAAGGCUCAAUUUUUGUCUCUACGUUCGUCAAUCUCUAAUUUUUGUUUCCAUGUUGAUCGUCAAGAGCCCAAAUCAUUUGUCCAUGUGCAUGUCUCUUGAUCUCAAUUUUCGCGUCUUCAUUUUGUUGAUUUUGCAAUAAUCACUAACAACAUUUGAAUUCAAUUUGUUAGAAAUAAACGCAAUUUCUUUGUGAUAAUCAAAAUGAGAAGUCAACCAUUUAGAUCAGCAUGGAUGUUUUCCUUCGAGGUUUACCAUGUUACAACUUGUGUCCAUACUUUUAAUCCAUAAAUUAAAUUUAGCGCUCAAUUAAAAUUGCAGGAACAUAUUAUCAACCUGCACAUCAAUUAAAAUCAUUAGAAACUGAUAGUAAGAAGUUCUAACUAUCGAUUGUUUAGAUUUGUAUUAGUUAGAUUACAAUUUAUUUUUAAUUUAUUGGGGUUUUAGAAUUUACACAAACAAUUUGUAAUAAUGAGUGAAAAUAAUAACUAAAACAAACUAUUAAAAACAACUUUGAAAGUACAUAUAUUAUUUGUAAAAUUAAAAAAUACAAAAAUAAAAAAGAGGGUCCAACAACUAUUAGAAAAUCCCUUUUAAAGUGUGCUUAUCAUCCAGAAAAGUUCAAAGUUCAAUGAUAACUAGAAAAUAAUGUUGAUAGUAGAAUGACCACUGAGAUUUCUAUCCUUAGGUUGAUCGAGAAAAUUGAAAACAGACAAAAUUUCUUAUUUAUAUAGAAAAAAUAUAUAUUUUUAUUUAAUGUCUACCAUCGAUUCCGAUAUAAGACUUUCAAUCAUUUAUCUUAUAGAACCAAUACGCGCUCGAGAUUUUAAAAUAAAAAUAAAUAAGAAGAAAAAUUAAUUAUUAACCAAUCUAUUGAUAUAUCUCCAUGCAUGUAUAUAUUUGCAUGCACUACACCAAAAACUGCCUUUAACAAUGGUCGAAAAACAUUUCCAUUAACAUUUUGCAGUGUUCCAGCGUAUGUUGCAGUCUUUGACGUUGCUGUAAAGUGGAAGGUUUUCGUAAUGUUCAAUGCGUGUUGUCUUAAGGUUUUUUGCAAAGUUCUUUGAAUGUUGUGUUAAAGUUUUUUCAACAUUUGAUGAGUGUUGUCUUUCUGUUUUUCACAACGGUCAUUGAAUGUUCUGUUAAGGUUCUUUACAAUGUUCAUUGACUGUUGUGUUUCUUUUUUUUGCAAUGUUCUUUGAAUGUUGUGUACAGGUUUUUUGCAACGUUCGAUGACUUUUGUCUUUCCUUUUUUCACAACGGUCGUUGAAUGUUGUGUUAAAGUUUUUUGCAACGUUAGUUGGCUGUUGUCAUUCUCUCUCUCUCUCUCUCUCUCUUUUUUUUUUUUUUUUUAAAUUUUUUUAAAUUUUUGUUUAAAUUUUUUUUAAAUUUUUUUUUUUUUUUUUUUUUAACGUUCUUUAAAUGUUGUGUUAAGAUUUUUUGCAAUAUUCUUUGAUUGUUAUCUCUCUCUUUUUCACAACGUUCUUUGACUGUUGUGCUAAGUUUUUUGCAAUGUUUUUUUUAUUAUUGUCUUUUUCUUUUUCACAACGUUCUUUGAACAUUUUCUUGACUUUUUAGUUCAAUUAUGGCAACAUUUUUGGCCCGUUGUCAUUUCUUUUCUUCUUUUCUUUUGGCAAUGUUGCCAUUGCCAUAGUCCUUCCCUGAUUAUUUUCCCUUUUUUUCUAUUUCUAUAUACCAACAAAAUUAAAAACAAACAUCACCUAUUUACGAACAAGUAUUUUAAGACUGUGAAAUUAAAGUUAUAACUUCGUUAGGAAACAUUUAAUCCGUACACAAUAAACAUAGUAAUUCACUAAAAUGCUUCUAUUCUACCUUGAAGUAACCAAAACCUUUCAUUUUGGAUUGGGUUGAUUACUUUGUCAAGGUUAGAUGACCAAAAAAUAGCUCUCAUUGGCUUCAAGUUGGCUAUGGGGUAUCUACUGAAAUGGACUUCAAACAGACAGCCAUUGAUAAAAUACCAAUGAUAGCUUUCUUGUUAAACCAGUGGGGCCUAAACAUUAAAAUUAGACUUAAAACUUCCUAUCAAUUAUAGUUUGAUCAGGUACAUGUAACCAUGGAAACACAAGUAUAGCAAGUAAGCAAACUCCCAAAAUGUUGAAAUGGCAUUAUUGGAAUUUCACAACACUAUAAUAUCUCAUUAGCGUAGACUAAUUGUUAGAUUAAACCUAGAUACAGCUUUCCUUAUUUGGCUAUAAAAGCAAACAACGAGGCAGGCUGUUGUUCAAAUUAAGAAAAUUCUCAAAAACCAAUCUAUGGAUGUCUAUAAUGGAAGAAAAUAACAUGGAGGGGAGGAAAAUAGUAGUGGCAGUUGAUGAAAGUGAAGAGAGCAUGUAUGCCUUAUCUUGGUGACUUGGUGUCUCGGCAACCUCUUGUCCCAAAACCAUAAACCAACAAGUAGCUUAAUUCUCCUCUACAUCAAACCUCCCCUGGAUUUCACAGGGCAAUACUAUAAUCAAUUCACAAUGCAAUUCACAGGGCAAUAUACUAUUUCCUAAUUCUAGUGACAGAGUAAGCAACUCAUAGUCACAGAGGGCGCCUCUACCGCAAUAGGCUUCGAGCAAUGUGUAGGCAGUGCCGCAGUAGGCUUCGAGCAAUUGAAGAGCAAAGUGCUAAUUUCAUAUUUUAAAAAGAAAAAAACCAAAAAUUAUUGCAAGUUACACAAAUAAAAAUAACAAAAAAUAAGGGAAAAAAAAAGCUUGGGUUGUGAGAAAUUCAGACAUUGGAGCUUUACCUUAUCUUUUGCUGCAGCGGUGCCACCGGCUGUUGAAGAAUAACCACCUCGAACUGCUGAACAAACAGGGACGACCGCUGGCGGAGUCAUGGACACGGAGAGUCGGAGAGCUGAGAGCAGGCAGGGCCGUAGGAGGCAGCAACAAAAUAUGAAUGGCGGAUAAGUAGAGGAUCGGAGAAGUAGGCGGAGACUAAGCGGAGCCGAGUGCCGGGAUGGGUGGGAGUAGCGGGCGGGCGGAGGUGGAGCGGAGGGAGUAGAAGAAGAAGUGGGUGUGCCGUGUGGGUUGGAUUAAAUUGAAAUGAAAAUGGAUUUUGAUUUGAAUGGGUAAUGGGUAUGGGUUGUAAGUUGUAACUAGAAGUGGGUGUUAAUGUGUUGAUUGGGCUAAUGGCUAUUGGUCAUACGGUGAAACUAAACAAAGGUUAAUAGCAACGUUCAAGAGCGCGUUGCUAAAAUAUCUAAUGGCAACUCACAUUGUCUAUUGCUAAAAUUAAAUAAUGGCAACACGUACCGCACGUUGCUAAAACAUUAAGAACAACGUACAUUGCACGUUGCAAAAAGAAAUUUCACGACAACGGAUUUCGAACAUUAUAAAACGGUGUAUUAGUAACAUUCUUUAUAAAAAUAUUGUCAAAACUCAAUUUAGUCAAUCAAUAGCAAUAUACACUUGUUGAAUGUUACGAUAGACCACUUUUAGGGACAUAUAAUUGGUGAAUGUAGCCUUUUGUAUAUUGCAAAAUUCCUUUUUUCUUGUAGUGGUAUCUUUCUUUAUCUUUAAAAUAUAGAUGUUUAAUGAAUGAAUAUUGAUAUAAUUAUUUAUUAAGCCACCUAACAUCAUGAAUUUAUAUCCAAAUCUCAUCUUAACCAGGAAACAUUGGUAUUCGGCUUCUUCACAUAAAGAAAAAUAUCAUGCUGACAGCUCGGUGUACAUUAUACUCAUAUGGGAGGGUCCAUGCAUUUUUUUUAUCGGGCGCAUCAGGCUCGGCUGUACAAAUGCAUUAAUCCUAAAGAAAAAGCGAAAAACUGCGAGGUCAACUAAUCACACCAGUCCGCCAACACAUCUUAGGUAUUAAUGGCUUGGAUAGUGAGGUUCAUGGGCUGGCCCACACGGGGUCUAAGAGACCCCAUAAAAUUUUAUUUUUUAACUUUUUAAAAAAAAAUCUGUAUUCAUUUUUGCCCAUGUAAAUAGCAAGAUACAAAUUUUCUCAAAUUUAUAUAUUAUGUGAAAAAUCAUGUAGUUACCUUUUACGACCUACUUCGAUGCGCUCAUUACGGAAUAGCAAACGAAGUCGAAAUAUAACAUUCUUAAUAUCAUUUUGAAGUAGUCAUAGCCUAGUUUUUUCCAGGGCUAAAAGCAAAAAUCACCAAACCAAAAAAUUGAACCGAAACCCCAUUUCAGAAACCAUCGGUUUGGUGCCACGUAGACCUGAUCAACAAAAUGAUUUUGAACCAAACCAAACCAGUCAAAAUGGUUUGGUUUAGGUUUGAGAAUUUUAAUUGCGGUUUAAAAUCAAACCAGACCACAGAAAAAAUAUAAAAAAAUAAAAAAAUAAAAAAAUGAAAUUUUUUGAAAAUCCAUCCAAAUAUGUAAAAUUCAAUAUUUUUGUCAUUUGUGGGUUUUUUUUUUUAUCAAUUUCUAAUUUUCUAUUACAGAUAUGUUAUUAUUAUCCAAUAAUCAUAAUUUAUAUCUAAUAAUCUCAAGACUAACAUAAUCUAUCCAAAGCCCUUUUUCUCUUUAGAAUUUAGAUCAACUCCAACCGACACCCAACACAGUCUUGAGUUGAGCCAACGGCACCACACACUAAUUUUUUUAGAUUUUUCAUACAUCUUCAAAUUUGAAUUGAAGUCCAUUAUACCAAAUUGGAGACAAAAAAAAUCCUACACCUUUGGUAAUAAUAUUUGCCACGAAUAAAGUUUCAGAUCAAUAAUUUUGUUGAGCAAACUAAGAUAAGAGUUUGAAAUUAAAUGUAUUUCGUAACAUCAUGCAAGCGUAAACUUGUGUAAUUGUUAUGUUUAGAUUUUAUAAACAAUUAUUUUAUUAUUGUAGUUGGUUAUUCUCUUUGUCUAGUCAGCAUCCUUUUUUCAGAUAUGAUGAUCACGAGAUCUUAUUGGACGUAAUUAUAUUUUUUAGGUCUUAUAUCUAAUUUAGUAGACUUGUAUUGUAACGUUAUUGUAUCGUCAUUAGCCUAAAAAAUGUGAACAAAAAUGAAAAAAAAUAUAUACUUUAGUUUAUUGUGAUUUCAAUUUGAUUUAAUUGGUAUUUAAAUUUAUAGUAGAUAUAUUUAGUCCCUGUUUGAGCCAUAUUUUCUAUAUCAUCAUAAUGAGAAAAUUGAUAGUUGAAGAUGAGGCUGGGUCCCACACAUGAAAUAGCAGGUCAACAAAGGCGUUUGGACUUAUGGGAUAACAGUCCAAAAUUUCAUUUUUUUGUCCAAAAAAUUUGGUUCAAACAGGGGCUUAGUUUAUUUUAUAUUUAUUGCUAGUAAGAUAUAAAUAUAUAUUGAAUUCAAAGAAUUAAUGACAUAAAAGUAGAUAGGCAAAAAAAAAAAUGACGAAACAGGCUAUUUAAAAUCGGACCAAACCGUUAGGUUUAGGUUUGAAUUUUUUUCAAACCAUUCAAAAUGGUUUGGUUUAGGUUUGAGCUUUUCUCAAACCGAUUUAAACGAUUUGGUUUGAAAAUCUAUCAAAAAUUGAUAAAAUUGGACCGCUUACACCCCUAAGUUUUUGGUUUGUUAAUGGCGCACGAAAUGGCCAACCGCGGCAAAAGUUAUAGCACGUCAAAGUACAUCAUUCCAAACUACUAUUUUGAGAAUUUCGAUAAUAUGCUAACUUUAUAAAUUCGUCGGUGAUUAUAAGCUAGCCAAAUUCACAAAUCACCUAUGUAUUUAGAAGAUCAUUUCGAGAAUUACAUCGUAGUCAUAUUGAAUGGUGCAGGUCAAAAUCAAAAAUGGUCAAAAGUGCGUCAAGUGUAAGUCUCAAAAAGAGGCAUUUAACUCGUCUUUUCCUUAACAAUUUUCAAUUAUUUCAUUUACAUUUAUUAUUUUCGCACGAUAAAUUUCUCAAUGUAGUUUACAUCAUUUUAGUAAGAAAUUUUACUUGGAGCAUGAUGUAAAAAAAUUGAGGAUUGUUAUACAUUAAAUGUAAUUUGAAUUACUUUUGAAUUAUAUUUGCAUUAAAUUUGAAUUUCAUUUACCUCCUAAAUUAAGUUUGAAUUCUCUUUCAAUUCAUUUACUUACCUUCAGUUUGAUUUACUUGUUGUCAAUUCAGCAUUUCUCAACGAGUUGGUAAACAAAAAUAUGCAAAUAAUAAAAUUUAUUUGACAAUAUUGAUAAUGAUAUAAUUAUAAAACGGUUUCAAAGUAUCAAGAUGCAUAGGCUAUAGUUACAGUAGUGUAUAUUGACUUAUUUUCAUUAAUAAUUUUUUGCUUUAAAAAAAUUGCAUUUUAAUUUUUUAUCCUCCAAUACAAAAAAUUUGCUUCGCCUCAGUGAGGUUGAAUGGAAUAAUAUGGAGUGGAAAGAACCAAAAAGAUAAAUAAAUAGGAUAAGACUUGAUAUUUUAAAAGUUUUUAGUAUGUUGUAACAUGCAUUAAUAAUGUUACACAUUUCACAUUAGUAGUAUAGUAUAUUGUAACUUUCGAAUUUCAUGUUAUGAUAUUUUAUUUUGUUGUUUUAGAUAUAAUAACGUUCUACUUUGUCUUAAGAGCGAGGAUGACAACUAAGCAGAUUGUUGUCAGGGUAGCCAUUACCUUAUUGGUCUAUUAGGUAUCUUCGAGAGGUAGGGACUAGUUGGGAGCAAGGAUAUAUAUAUAUAUAUAUUAUUUUCAAGAACCAUCCCACUUUUUUUAUGUUGAAAAAAAAUUUUGGAGGUCGGUAUCUUGAAUUUUACCUAUUCUUCCCCUUGAAAAAAUCAGGGGUUCUCUUAUUUUAAAAAAAAAUUUUGGAGGGUCGGUACCUUGAACUUUACCUGCUCUUCCCCUGCCUCUUGGACAAACUCUAGGGUUUCUCUUAUGUUAGUUUUUUUUUUUUUUUUUUUCACUCAAAUAUUUUUAUUCCAAGUUUGAGAAGUUCUUGGAUUUUUGGUUUGAUAUAUGCCUUUGCUGCGAUUUUUUUUGUUGAAUGCUUCCCCUCAAGUACUUGGAGUUUAUUCUACGUCAUCUUCGAACAUUUAAUUGGAUCAAACUCAAUAUUUUACACCAUAGUGAGUUUGAGGGGAGAGUGUUAAAAUAUGGAAAGAUAGGAAAAUGUUGUUUAGAAUAAUUUUCAAUAUAUUUUUCCAAUUAUGUAGGAUUACUUUGCCUUAGUAGUUGAUUGUGUAAUUAUUAAGCAAUCUUUCUUUUUAGGUUUAUUUCCUUUUAGAAUUAUUUGUAGCCCUAUAAAUAGAGUUCUCUACUUUGUAAUAUUCUCUCUAGAAUAUUACAAUAUAGAAGACCCUAUUUAUAGAGUUAUGAAUUAUUCUAAAAGGAAAUAAACCUAAAAGGAAAGAUUGUGUAAUUCCUUAAAUUUAAAAGGAAAGAUUAUUUAAUAAUUACAUAAUCAACUACUAAGGAAAAUAAUCUUAAAUAAUUAGAAAAAUAUAAUGGAGAUUAUUCUAAACAAUAUUUUCAUAUCUUUAACACCCUCCCCUCAAACUCAAUAUGGGGUAGUGACAAUCAUAUUGCGUUUGAAAACUAAAUUGACCAAAUAAAAAAUUUGGAAUAAAAACAUUUUAGGUGAAAAAAAUAAAAAAUAAAAAGGAAGAAAAAUUGGGAUUUGAAUUUUCUUCUUCUCCUCCCUAAAGUUUUAGGUUUAGCAAAAUAUUUGACGUUGCUAAAUCAAUAGAAAAAUAUACCAUGUUAAGAAAAUUGUAAAUUGUAUUAUUAUGAAUUCUUGUAAAAAUUACAAAGUAGAGAACCCUAUAUAUAGGGUUACAAAUAAUUCUAAAAUGAAAGAUUGUGUAAUAAUUACAAAAUCAACUAUUAAAGAAAAUAAUCCUACGUUACUGAAAAAAUAAAAUAGAUAUUAUUCUUAAUAAUAUUUCCGUAUUCUUCAUUAGGGAGAGGAAUUACCAGCUUCAUUUGGGAAGGGAUGGGAAGGGAGGGACGGUUCGGGGACUGCCAUCCCUAUAAUAAGAACAUAUGUUUCAAUUUUUCCGUAAAUAAAAAGCAUGUUAUUAACAUUUUACUUGUGUUUGUAAUCGAAUUACAACUCUAACUAAAUUUGUAUGAUGUCUUCAAACAUGUUUCAUUUAGUCGAUGUUCUAUUUUUAUCUAUAUUAAAAGUGUUAUUGUUUUUAAAAUAUAGAGCACGGUAUAACAACACUCCAUUCAUGUUAGAGUGUGUUGGAUUGCGAGUAUGGAAUUUGCAUGUAAAGAAAAAAAAUUAUAGGCACAACCACAAGGAUGAUUUUGACAUUUCAACUUAAAAUUUUAGUGAAAAGACUAUGAUGUCCCUACAUUUUUUAAAUUUCACACAACCACAAGGAUAAUUUUGACAUUUCAACUAAUAUGUAAAUGACGGUUGCAGUUUUGUCCCUGAUUUUGCCAGUUUUCUUGCAGAUGUGGGGCCCAUUCACUUUGUGUCAAUGGUCAAAUUUCUGCUUAUGAUUUGGAAAUAAUCCGUGCCAGACAGCCCCUAAAUAUGUUGAUUGAUUAGUUUUUAACCUGGAAAAUGUUAUAUACUUGUCCAUUCUUUAUUAAUGAGUGGACGAGAGAGGGGGAAUAAAUGAGAGAGAAAAAGAGUAAAUAACCUAGAAAAUGAAAAUCACUCUUCACUAAAAAAUUGUUUUCCUUAUUUUUGAGAAAAAUACGAUCACAUGAAUAGAGAUGGGAAAUGUUUUCAUGGAAAAAAAUAUCAAUUAAACACAUCAAAAGUAGGAAUUUGGGUGAAAAAUGAUAUUUUUCAGAAAAAUUUCAUGGAAAAUAAAGUCAAUCAAACUGCUAGGUCUAAAAUUGCAAUUGGUGAUUUUGUGGACAAAAGGACUAAAUUGUAAAUUUGUAAAAGUCAGGGACUCAACUGUGCAAUGCUAUAAAAGUCAGGGAGUAGGGUACAAUUUAGUAAAGUUAGAUGGUAGGGACUAGGGUUUGAGUAUUAGGUCAAAAUCAAGGUCACGGCAUCGAAAGUUCGCUAGUUGUCCGCCCUGCCACCGCUCGAGCGAGAAGAAGCAGAAUACACGUCGCUCGCUCUUCGCCUAGACUUCGCUCGAGCGAAGUACUGUCACUCACUUUCCGCUCGAGCGACAGUGGUAUAUGGGAAAUCGUAUUUUUGGUUUCUCGAAAGUUUUACACGGCCUAGGACACUUAAUUGCCUCCAACUAUAAAUACAAAGGCCAGUGGACGUGAAAUAGAAAUUGCUAGAUUGUGCCCACAUAGAUAUCAUUCUUCCAAUAUUCUUUGAAGUGAUCCAAGGCAAAAUUGAACGAGGAAUUCAUCCAUAAACACCUUGUGAUCCGGGCAAUCCAUUAUUGGGGAAAAACAUCAACCUUGUGAAGACAAAACACCUGGAUUUCUUCAUAUGUUGAGGAAGGGACUCUCUCAUUGGAGGAUUGAGAGAGGUGGACGACAAGCGCAGGAACUAGACAAGAAUAGGAGGUUCUUGGAAUUCCACUUGGUGAUACAAUUAGCUAGAGAUCAGGAGGCUAUAUUGGGUAACAGAUUGGGCUGCAGGAGGUAGAUCGUGAAACUAGUAAGAGACUAGCAGUAUCUAUGGUAGUAGAUCGUGAGAUUGGAACAGUGGAUCUGGCUUGGUACGGAGUUUGAAGAACUUGUACUUGCUGAAUUGGUAUAGUGGAAACUAUUAGCUUGGUCCCGGAGUUUUACCCACGUUGGGGUUUCUCUGUUAUCACAUCGUGAGUUGUUUUGUGUUAAUUGAUUGAUUUACUUUACUCAUUACAAAUCGACAGUUCAACUUAGGAUAAACUGGAUUGUAUGUUUAAUCAUCUAGAUAACAAUUAAUCUGUGACUUGUUACAAUUAAUUGUGUUAAUUCCGCACGUAAGGUCAAACGAUAAAUUGGAACGUAAACUUGAUAGCGACAAAAUUUUAAUUGGACAUAGUAUAGUGUUCUCGCGAACUUUCAAGUGUAGUAGUGCGUUCCUAGAGCGAUUUUUUCAAGUGGUAUCAGAGCCUAAGUAUGAAUCAUGACCUUACAUUAGUCUAGAUGAGUAUGUCGUUGAAUGUGCCACCCCACUUUGAUGGAAAUAAUUAUGCGUAUCGGAAAGUGAGAAUGAGGGUGUUUUUGAAAUCCUUGGAUGAGCGUGUUUGGCAGCUUGUGGUAAAUGGUUGGUCAGCCCCUAGUACCACAAUAGAUGGUGUAGUCACUCCCACCCUUGUCGAGAACUAGUCUAGAGCUCAAUUGGAUAGCUGUAAUUUAAAUCGCAAGGCCCUACAUGCCCUAUUAAUGGUAGUUUUCCCCAAAGAGUUUAGGAGAGUUUCCAUGUGUAAGGUAGCAAAAGAAGUUUGGGAUAUUUUAGAAACCACACAUGAGGGAACACAGACAGUUAAAAACUCUAAACUGUGGAUGUUGGCCACUAGGUUUGAAGAGAUAAGAAUGAGAGACAAUGUGAUGUUUGAUAUCUUUUAUGCUAGCUUAAAUGACAUAGUCAAUUCAUCCUUCAACCUAGGUGAGAAAGUCCCCGAGCCUAAGAUAGUGAGAAAGAUUCUUAGAUCCUUACCUGAGCGUUUUAGGCCUAAAGUUACGGCAAUUGAGGAGAGUAAGGACAUAGACACUAUCAAGGUAGAUGAGUUAGUUGGAUCCCUCCAGACCUAUUAAUUGACCUUAGACAAUCUAGCUAAGGAAAAAUCCAUAGCCUUAAAAAUCGCUAGGAAUAUCCAAAUGGAAUCUUCUGAUUCUGAUUCACCCAAUGAUGAGGAGAUGGCCUACCUAAGUAAAAAAUUUUGAAAAAUGGUUGGAAUAAGAAGAAGCCUCAAGAGAGACAAAGAGGUGGCCCGAGUGAAUCUAGGAAGAAAUCCCAAUCCGUGAGAUGCCAUAACUGUCGCGAUUUUGGUCAUGUGAAGAAUGAGUGCCCUAGUGCUAAAAGAUUUGAAGAGAAGGCUAUGAAAACUACUCUCACUGAUGACGAGUCUAGCUCGAACAAUCAGAGUGAGAAAUCCACCCGUGAAGAGAGUGGAAAAUAUGUGGCCUUCGUUGCUAGGGGUAAAAGUGGAUCCGAUCAGUGGAGUGAAAGGAUAGAGGACCUAGAUAGUAGUGAAGAAUCUAGUGAUGAGAGUAGAAGUGAGGAAGAUCUAGAAACAGCUUAUGAUAGGAUGUAUGAGGAGAGCCUCAAUAUCUUAGCAACUAACCAGGCUUUGAGCAAGAAAGUGAAAGAGCUUGACUAGAGAAGGAACAGUUAGAGGCCCGGGUUAGUGAUCUCACUAGUAAAAAUGAGAUGUCCUCUAGGAAAUUAAGUGAGCUGACCAUUGUGAAUGAAACCUUAGCUAUUCAGGUUAAGCACCUUGAGAAUGAGCUAGAGUUGUCUAGGUCUCAGUUACUUGCCUUUUCUAGCAGUUCUAAAAAGCUAGAUAAUAUUCUAGGAAUAGGCAAGCUGGCUAGUGAUAAGAGAGGUCUAGGUUUUGAUCUGAAUGCUGCUAGUACAUCAAAGACCACCUUUGUUCGUGCUACUGACCAACCAAACAUUGUGACUAAACCUAUACCAAAUGUUGUGGGAUCUUCAGGACGUAGGUCUACCAGACAUCGUAGGACCCGUCGACCUGGGAAUAGAAAUCAGCGUAAGCAUAUCACAGGUCCUACGUUGUGAAGCGAGGCAAGAAAGUUGCUGCCAAGGAGGAGCAACUGAAGAGCAAGCAAGCUCGCUAGCGUGAUUUUGAAUCUCACUUUAAUAAACUUCACCAAGCUCGUGGAUUGUAAAGUGGCUCAAGCCCAGCCCAGUCCUCGGAGCUAUCCAUGGCAACCCAAACUAUAUUGUCAGUUGAACCCUCCAAAUUUGAUUCCGACUCUAAGCGCAAAUUUUUUUUUGAAAUGAUCAAAAUUUUUUAUCCAAUUAAAAUCAAAAGAGGAAAAGAGGACAAGAAGAAAUGGAAAUUUAGUGGUUAUAACCCCAAGAAGAAGAUAAGGAAGAGUUAGUGAAAGUCAACAUGAGGAUGAAAAGUAUAAGUUUGGGGUAUGUGGAAAUCUUAUUAUUAUUUUUUUUGAAUUAGGAAUAUAAUUGUAAAUUUAAUGUGGUGUAUUUAUUAAACACAUAUUUUAAUUGUGGUGUGAUUAUACUGUGGUGUGGUAAAUAUAUUUUGUAGUGGUAAUAUAAUAACCCAGGGCCAGAAACCACAAAAAUCCAUCCUAGAUUUUAGCAGAUCCAUGGAGAUUUCUCUUCCAUGGACUUUUAUGAACCAACGAGAAGAAACUCUCACUUGGUUUCCUUGCGAACCUUUGUUUGUAGGGAAAAUGUUCACUUCCAUGGUUUGUGUAGAACAAAGUGAUGUUUUUCCCACAUUUAAUUAUUUCGCAACUAAGAGGCUGAGAGAGAAAUUUUUUAUAACUAUAUAGGUCUCUUGUCCAAACCGUUAUAUCAUAUAUAUGGUCCACUUUGGAAUGACAUUUGUUCACUUACUUUCCCAUGACUUUAAGUCUUGUAUACUAAGAUUCGGACCUAAGACAUCUUUUAUUGAGAGACUUAAGUUGAAUCUUGGUAGGAUUCGAGUCCCGUGCUCAAGUAAUUAACUUACGUAUUAUCCACUUUAAGAAAGUUUAGACCAUCUUACCUCUCACGGAUUUCUAUCGCGUCCCUAUUAUUCAAACUCAAAAUAUCUGGUUUAUAAGAGAUGUAAGCUAAAUCAUGGUACAGAUUGGACAACUCCUUGAUGUGGCAGCAUGGUGGUUGAGUUGUGGUGGGAUGGGUUUAGUAUAGAAUUUUAUUUGUUUAUUUUUUUGCUAUUUUUCAUUUUCAUUUACUUUUAUACUUCAAUUAAGAAUAAUGAAUGAAAAUUUUCUCUUUCUAAUAUUUGAAUGUAUGGGUCAAUUAGGUUAACUAAGGGAAAAAUGGUUCUAACUAGAUAGAUUAUAGCUUGCUUUUCAAAAUUUGGGAACCUCUUCGUUUAGAACAAUUGGUUGGGGAUAGAAAUGUAAAUGACCCUAAACAUUGGAGAUGUAUCGAGUAGUUUACCUAAAAAUAGAGUAUAUAGAAUGCUAUCGAUCAAAAAUGCAUUUCAUAGUAUAUACUAUACUCGAGUGUAACGCCUAUUAAGAAGUGUUGUUCAAAUUAAUAAAGGAAGAGUUGGAAUGAAAAAAGGAAUGGUAGCCUUAAGUAUGGUCCAUGCGACUGCAUAGGCCAUAUGGCCAUGCAGUUGCAUGGUCAUAUACUGAGAGUUUGAGGUUCGGCUACAAAUACACCAUGCGAUCGCAUGGAGUUGUACCAUGCGGUUGCAUGGUAAAUUAUUUUCAAUUGUUAUGUGGCCAUUUUUGACCGUUGUGAAGUCAAAUUUGGUAGCCUUUCUUAUGUCUUUUGGCACCAUUUCAAGCAUAUGGUCGAGGUCUAUAUAUAUGAGAUCAAUAUUCAAGCCAUUGAGCAUCGAAAACAGUUGAGAUUCAUUCCUUAUUCCACAAACAAAGAUCAAACCGUGGUUUUUAUUCAUAUUCAAUUUCUCUUAUUGUGUUCUUCAAGUUUUGGAGGAUUUCACUUUGUGCUUUGGUGAAAAAUCCUUUACAAUUCUUGUUAUAAUUCUUCAAAUUGUUUGCCAUAAUACCUUUAAGCAUCUCAUUCAAUUAGGAGAUGGAGCAAAUAUUGUUUGAGGAUAAUGAUAUCGUGUUCGGGCCUUCGAUUUUAUUCUUACAAGUUUCUGGUUUUGAUUCAUAUAUUGCUGUUUUUUUUUUUUUUUGGUUUCUUCCCUAUCACUCUAUUGUUUCCAACAAUCUCAAAUGAUAUUCCUAGAAACAUUGAUGGCGACAAUCAAACUAACGAAUCAAGACAUGGUGCAGUUGGAUCGAUUCGACGGGACUAACUUCACAUGAUGGCAAGACAAAUUAAAGUUUCUCCGAAUGGUGUUGAAAAUCUUCUAUAUUCUUGAUCCAGAUUUGGCACCAUUACUAAAACCACGAAUGGAGAGCCAGAAGCAAUUAACGUCGAAAGACAAAAUCGUUAAGAGGAUGAAUUAAUUUGCCGCAGUCAUAUACUCAACGCGCUAUCGAACCCCUUGUAUGAUUUAUGGACCUUUCUUUGGUGAAAGAAAUUUGGAAUGCUUUGGAGAGUAAGUAUAAAGAGAAAGAGGAAGGUACCAAGAAAUUUUUGAUAUCUAAAUAUUUCGACUUUAAAUUUCUUGAAAAUGUUCUCCUACUUCCCAAAGUGCAUGAACUUCAAAUUAUUGUCAACAAACUAAAGACAGUAAAGAUUGAAAUCCCGAAGAUUUUUCAAGUAGGGGCUAUAAUUGCUAAACUCCUGGGGACUUAGAAAGGAUAUCGGAAGAAAAUCAUGCAUAGUUCUGAAGAUUAUUCUUUGGAACAAUUACAAAGGCAUAUUCGGAUUAAGAGUCUAGAAUGCAUGAUAAGAGUGAAAACUCUCAUGAAGGAACCUCCAAAGCAAACACAGUGGAGAAAACUGAACCGUCUGCCGAAUCCAACAAGAGAAAGCCUUCAAGGAACUUCAAUAUGUCCAAGAAGAUGACCCAAAGGUGAAUGUUUCGUAUGUGGAAAGCCUGGAAACUACGUAAAGGAGUGUAGGCACCGAAUGAAACAACUCUAAGGGUAAAGUGAAUUCUAUCCAAGAGGAUAAAAUUGUGACCACUGUAAACGAAAUAAGUGCAAUCAAGGGAAAGGUUCCCGAGUGGUGGUAUUAUACUUGUGCUACUGUACAUUUAUCAUAUGAUAAAUCCUUAUUCAAAAUAUAUCAUGAGGUGGAUGGAGAGCAAGAGAUACAAAUGGGUAACGAGGUUUGGUCCAAGGUGAUUGGAAAGGAAAAUGUUGAUAUGAUCUCCACUUCUAUGAAAACAAUUGAUAAGUGUGUUUUUGCACACUUAUUUAGGUCACAAACAUGACUUAAUUACGAAUAAAAUGAUUGAAUUGUGACUUAAUUUCGUUGCAUUUGUGAAUUGUAGGUAACACCGAUGAACAUGGUGAAAUACAUGAGAAAAGACGCAAAAAAGGACUAAAAUGACACAAAGUGAAAGUUCAAGGACCAAGGUGCAAUUACCCAAAAGUUUACCUGAUGAACAAAUCAAGGAAUCGGCUGAACCAAAUGCCAAUUGAUAAUGCCUUGGGAUGAUGGAAUGGAAAGAGUGAAGAAAAGAGCCUAGAAGUGAAAGAUUCAAGUAAAGGGACUAAAUUGAAGUUUUUGGAAGUUAAAGUCUACCAUGCGGUCGCAUGGUAGAACUCUCAUGCGGCCGCACGAAGGGAUGCAGGGAAUUCAAUUGGAAAUAUGGAAUAACCAUGCGGCCACACGGAUUAAAACCAUGCGGUCGCAUGGCUAUUUGUCUGAUACGAAAUUUUCUUUCCUUAUACGAUUAAAACUCUUUUGGUAACCUAAUAUUGACGGGAUAUAAAUAUCAAAAACAUUUCAGAGACGACCAGAAUGCAAUUGGAGGCCGAAAAACACUUCUUGGAGAGGAUUUGAGCGCAAGAACAAAGAUUGGCACGAAGAACUUCAAGAUUUCUUCAAGAUUUCAUAACUCGGUGAUGUCUUUUAUUCAAAACAUGAUGUAUUUUGUUAUUUUAAUCAUGCUAGGCUAGAUUCUUAUUAUGCUAGGAGAUCGAUGAACCAUGUUAUUUGAAUUUUAAUAUCCUCGUUUUGCAAUUUGAUGUUAAGACACAAUUUUUAUUGUUUUGAAUGAUUUAUAUGCAAUUAAUGUUUCCGCAAUUAAGGGCUCGUAAUUGUGUGAAUUUAAGUGAUUUAUUCUUGCAUUCGAGAGAAUUGGAAUAGAUUUGACAUAAGAUAAAUCAUCGUAGGGUCCGAUAGUGGAUAGAAUUAUACCGCUAUGCCCUACGUGAAUCUUUAAGUGUUCAUAAAACUACAUGCAUUUUUUACAUAUGCUCUUGUCAUAGAAAUAUAGACCGGUGGUAUGUAGAAAUAAGUUUGAUAUAUCUCGAGAGAGAGUAUUGGAUAGACUUAGGAACAUUGAUUCGUCACAAUUGAAGUGUGUUGUCAUAUUGUGAAACUAGGGUUUAACGUGAUAAUUGCAUGGGAAAUCGUGAUCCUAGCGUAUUUAAUUUUAAAUAAUUAUAACAAUGUGCGUUCUCAACUUUUAGUUUUAUUCUAGAGUGUUAAAAUAUUAUUUUGAGUUUUAAUUUCAAUUUACUCAUUUAAUUUGCAUAAUUAGGGUUUCUUUUUGAAAUUAGAGUUUUUAAUUAGGUCCAUAUCCACUUUAACAAUCCAGUUUCGGUUAAGGCUACGUUAGAUAAAAUUUGAACUAAUCAAUCUCUGUGGGACGAUAUUCAAACUCAUUGAAUCCACUUUAUUACUUGUUAACGAACCGUACACUUGCGGUAGUUUUAAAUCGAAAGAAAUAAUUUCGCGAACAACCAUUACUUUGACAAAUAUAUUACACGUUCCAAAUAUAAAUCCGGUAAACUUGUAUUAUCCCUUAACGGAAAAUUUGUUGAAAAUAGAUAUUCUUGUGAAGGAAUCGUCAAAUUAUGUACCAUUAACAAAAAAAUUAAUAAAAUUGAUUUUGCUUAUUCUGUUGAUUCAUUUUUAUUGUGGCAUGCUAGAUUAUGUCAUAUUGGUAGAAGUACUAUGAAACAUAUGAAAAAAUGUGAGUUGAUUUCUUGUGAUGAAAAUAAUGAAUAUAAAUGCAAGACAUGUUUAGAAUAUAAGAUGAUUAAAAAAACCUUAUCAAAGUGUGAAAAAGGACAAUGGCUUGUUGACUAGCGGUAGAAAUAGGUAUUUCAUUGCCUUCACUGAUGAUUGCACCAUGUACACGUAUGUUUACUUGAUGAAACGUAAAAAUGAUGCCUUUGAUAUGUUUAAGGUAUAUAAAAGUGAAGCUGAAAAUUAUCUAAGAAAGAAAAUUAAAACCUUAAGAAGUGAUAGAGGCAAUGAGUAUUUUAUAGUGAAUUCAACUUGUUUUGUGAACAAUAUGGCAUAAUUUACCAAUAUUCUGCACUUAGGAGACUCGAAAAAAAUGGUUCAGUUGAAAGGAAAAAUAGGACCUUAGUUGAAAUGAUUAAUGCUAUACUUAUCUAUCCUAUGUUAUUAUUUAACUCGUGGGGUAAAGCAUUAUUAAGUGCAUGUAGGAUACUUGAUAGGAUUUCUUCAAAACAUAUAAAGGUUUCUCCUUACGAAUUGUAGAAAGGAAGGAAACCAAAUAUUAGAUACUUCAAAGUAUGGGGAUGUCUUGUUUAUUGUAAGAACACAAAUCCUAAUAGGAUCAAAUUGGGCUAAGAGGCAUUAAAUGUGCCUUUUUUUAAGAUAUUCUAGCAAUAGCAAAUCUUAUAGGUUGUUAAAUUUGGAGACCAAUGUGAUUAUCAAAUCCAAUGAUGUGGAGUUCUUUGAAGAUUCGUUAUCUUCGAACAAUGAAUUGAGAGAAAAUCUUAAAGAUAUCCCCAGCUCAAGUGAAAUACAAGAAGAGACAUCUUUGAAAGAUGUUAAUGAUCUAGUGAGCCACAAAGAAGUAAAAGAACUUGGGUUGAGAAGUCUUUGGGACCAGAUGAAAUUGAUUAUCAACUUAUCUCCUUUUAUUUAGCAGAGGGAAAUGAGUUGAAUGUUGUAAGAACAAUUCCUUUUGUAUUACAAAUGGAAACUGAUCCUAUGACUUACAAUGAAGCUAUGGCUUCUCAUGAUAGUAUUUUCUGGAAAGAUUCAAUUAAAGAUGAAAUUGAUUCGAUAAUGUAUAACAAUACGUGGGAACUUAUUGAUUUAUCACCCGGAUCCAAAUUAUUGGAUGUAAAUGGGUAUUUAGGAGAAAAUAUAACGUUGACAACUCCUAAAUACUUUAAGGCUAGAUUAGUAGCCAAAGAAUAUCGACAAAAGGAAGGAAUCAAUUAUUUUGAAACCUAUGCACCAAUAGCUAGAAUAACAUUGAUUAUGAUAUUAUUCACAUUAGUUUCAAUACAUGACUUGCAUGUUCAUCAAAUGGAUGUCAAGACGAAAUUUAAAUAGGGAUCUAGAUGAGGAGAUCUAUAUGUAAUAAUUCAAAGGGUUUACCCUACCUAGAAAUGAACAUAAGGUAUGUAAGUUGGUGAAAUCGCAAUAUGGUUUAAAGCAGGCACAUAAGAAAUGGCACGAGAAAUUCGAUUUAGCAAUCAUAUCAUUUGGUUUUUAAGCAUAAUAGUGUAGAUAAAUGCAUAUAUUCUAAGUUAUGUGAUAAUUAUUUGACAUUUAUUUACUUUUAUAUUGAUGAUAUGUUGAUUAUGAGUAAUCACAUGGACGAAAUAGUAGAAAUGAAGAGGUUUCUAUCUUCCACAUUUAAGAUGAAAAAUCUUGGAUAGGUAGAUACCAUUUUAGGUAUCAAAGUCACAAAAACUAGUAGGGGUUACUAUCUAAGUCAAUCACAUUAUAUCGAGAAUAUGAUGAACAAGUUCAAACAUUUGAACGUAAAAGAAUGUAGUACCCCAAUUGAUCCAAGUUCUAAGUUAAUGAAGAAUGAUGAAAGGGCAAUUGCUCAAUUGGAAUGUGCAAGUGCUAUACAGAGUCUUAUGUAUGUAGUACAAUGCACAAGACCGAACAUAGCCUAUGUGAUAAGUAAACUUAGUAGACUUACUAGCAAUUCGAGCAAUGAUCAUUGGAAGGCCAUUGAGAGAGUUCUUAGAUAUUUAAAGAAAACCAAGAACUUAGGCCUACAAUAUAAUAAAUUCCAGGUUGUAUUGGAAAGAUUUACUGAUGCUAGUUAGAUAUCUAGCACGGGAGAAAGUAAGUCCAUUUCGAGUUGGGUGCUCACCUAGGAGGAGGUGCUAUUUCUUGAAAAUAAAAAAAACAAACAUGUAUAACACGACAUGGAAUCCGAAUUUGGCACUAUCGAAAAUCGAGAAAGAGGCCAAGUGGCUUAAGGAUCUCUUUUAUGAGAUACCUUUGGGAUCGAAGAACAUCUCUUUAAUACAUAUCAUGUGCAAUAGUCAAGCCACAUUAGCAAAGGCAUACAACGAGUUAUACAAUGAAAAGUCUAGACAUAUGAAUUUUAGACAUGCCACAUAAGAAAAUUAAUCUAGGAUGGAAUAAUUUCCCUAAAUUAUGUAUGGUCAAUUGAGAAUUUAGCGGAUCUUUUAACUAAACAACUAAAUAGAGAUUUAGUAGCGUCUACUUCAAAUAGGACGGGGUUGAAAUUUCGAAACUGAAAAGGCCCACCAAUGAUGGCAGCCGUACCUGAUAUUACUUAAAAGGUAAUCCACAGGCUCAAAGAGUAACAUCAAGUCAUUCGAUAUGUGGAUAGCUGCAGCAUUAUUUAAAUCUGCUAUAAACCUAUCCUAAUUAAAUAAUGCUGGUUGUUAUUGAAGUGGAGGUUGAGCUUAAAGCUCUUAAUGAAGCUCAGUACUAAAACAUAAGUACCUCCAAAAGUAAUAAAGGUACUAGAAGAACUUCACCUAAACUAACUUUUAGGUGGUGCCGCCUCAAUAGAGAGUUGGAGUCUCUCUUUUAAAAGUUUGUGAGAAGGAUGAGCACAAGGCCAUAAUUACGCUAAGCGAGCUAUGAGAAACUUGAGAACACGUGAUACUCGUGUGUGUGUGUGUGUGUUCUUACCAGUAUAGUCACAUAGAAUAACUCGUUUAAAACUUCAUGCUACCUUUGAUUCUGACUUUACCUUGUUUGAAUUACACUAUGGUUAGAUUCAAAUUGGAAAAUAUCUAAUCCUUAUGCAUGAGUAUCAUAUACUUUGAAUAUGAGACUUUAUUGAAAUUGAACAAGUGGGGGAUUGUUAAGAAAUGUUGUUCAAAUCAACAAAGGAAAAGUUGGAAUGGAAAAAGGGAAUGGUAGCCAUGAGUAUUGUCCAUGCAACCGUAUAGGCCAUAUGGCCGUGUGGUCGCAUAGCCAUAUGCCGAGAGUUUGAGGCUCGGCUACAAAUAUACCACACAACCGCAUGAAGUUGUACCAUGCGGUCGCAUGGUAUAUUAUUUUUGAUCGUUAUGUGGCCAUUUUUAGCCAUUAUGAAUUCAAAUUAUAAUGGAGAUAUAUAUAUAUAUAUAUAUAUAUAUAUAUAUAUAUAUAUAUAUAUAUAUGAGAUCAAUAUACAAGCUAUUGAGUAUCAAAAACACUUGAGAUUCAUUCCUCAUUCCACAAUCAAAGAUCAAACACUAGUUUUAAUUCAUAUUCAAUUUAUCUUAUUGUGUUCUUUAAGUUUUGGAGGAUUUCACUUUGUGCUUUAGUGAAAAAUCCUUUACAAGGCUUGUUAUAAUCCUUCAAACCAUUUUUCGGAAUACCUUUAAGCAUCUCAUUCAAUUAGGAGAGGAGAAAAAUAUUGUUUGAGGCCAACGAUAUUGUGUUCGGGCCUUCGAUUUUAUCUUUACAAAUUUCUUGGUUUGAUUCAUAACCUACUGUAUUUUUUUUUUCUUUUUUUGGUUUCUUCCCCAUCACUCCAUUGUUCUAACAACGCCAGCAAAAGUAUAGAGUGGAGAAGAUUGCGAAAAUGGCUCCUGGUGUUUCAUUCAGCAACUACUUUCUUCUUAUCCAUUCUUCUUCCCUAUUUCAAAUCAUCAUCCACCCAUUUCUUUCCUAUAUUAACCCAAAAAAUUUCCAACAACAUUCAUAGAUGCUACUUCACUCUCCUUAUCCUUCUGCCAACAAGGUUUGUGUUCUCUAAUUCCUUCUAAUUCUAAUCAUUACUUAUUCUAGCUCAAAAUCAGUGCUCGUCCUGUGAUUUUAGGGGCCUGAGACAAACUUCAUAAAUUAGGUCUCCAAAAUUGUAUUAUACGUGCAAAAUUUAUAAGCGUAUCAUGUAACCAUUUGUUAACUUCUUAACUUAAAAUGUAACAGUAAAACCAAAAAAAAAAAAAAAUGUGUUAUAAAUUUUUUAUUAUAAUCAACUAACAGAGCAGACAAUGUUCCAAAAGAUCAACUAAAUACUAUUCGCCUUGCAGUUUUAUAGGGUCCUCCAAAUUUUUACAUUGAACAUUAUCUUCUUCCUUUUCAUCUAUUUCAUUUACACUGACAAGUUGAAUCACUUCUUCACUCUCAGCAAAUUCAUUCACAUUAUUUCUUUUAAAAUACUUGUCAAUAUUUCCUGCUUGACUUUGAAUUAAUGCCAUCUCAUUUUAUUUCCUUUUUCUUUUUUGAGCUCCAGACUCAUAUUUAGGAGGCAUGGUAUACGAAUGUUUUCAAGUGAUUAAGCUAAAAUUGAUAAUAAUAAAAUAUUUCAAUCAUCUCACAAUUAAAAUAUUCAACAUAAUCACUAUGUGCGCCUGUGCAAUUGGUCCUAUGAUUAAACGCUAAUAAAAGUCAAUAUAACCCAACAAUGUUACAAUACCUCAAUGUAAUCACAUAAACCGAAAAAGCCAAAAUGAUAUAAGCAAACAUUUCUUAAUAAAAAAGCAAGUGCAAGUCAUUGCUUACAUGAGAAGUAUGACUUGAGCAAAAAUUAUGAAAUGAAACAAUUCGAUACUUUGAGAGUUCCACCAUCGCAACUCACAAUCCUAAAAUUAAAAUUUAACAACAACCAUAACAACCGAUUAGAAUAAUUUUCUAAAAAUUAACGGAAGUCAUUGUUCGAAAAUUAAAAUCCAAGUUCGCACUUUAGAUAGCAUUCAUGUAAAGGUAAUUGAGACGCUUCUACUUGAAUUCGACAAGAAAUUUCAAAGGCGAACUCAUACCAAAAUGUCGGGCCAAUCGAACAGAAUAAUGAAAGAAAUAAAAAAUAAAUAUGACCUUCAUUAUUUAGAGGGAAAAAAACUAAAAAGCCUAAAUGAGAAGGGAUCAUAGUUUUUCAUAUGAUAAAUUUAACAACAUUAAAGAACAAGAUUAUUAAAAUCUUAAGUUUCUGGAAGAAAAAAUUAGUUGCAAAGUGAACAACAUUAAACAGCAAAUGAACUUGAUGAUUUCUCCAAUAGUUGAAAAGUGUAGUAUGGCUAUGGAAACGUCAACAAACAGAUAUAUCAUUCCCGGUUCCUGUAUAAUUUUGCAGAGGAAUUAUCUUUGAAAUUAGUUUGACACAUAUGAAAUCGGGAAUUCUGACUUCUGAGGCAAGAGAACAAGAAACACAUAUAAAUUCAAAGUCUAAUGACUGAUUAUUUAUUCCUCCACAAAAUUUUGAGAAACAAAGGCCAAUUAUCUAUUCCAAGGUUUUAUUUAUUACUGAUGUUCAUGUAAUCACCAUCAUACUAAGAAUUAAUUCAGAAACAACAACUAAGAAUCAAUUAAAUCACUCAAAAGGAAAACCCCAUAAUUCUUAUGCACAGAAUGUCAAAAACCACAAACCCGACAACACAAAUCCGAUUAACGUAGGUAGGGAAGGUUGGACGGCGCUCGGAGAAGUAAGAAGAUCGCCUUAUGUCCUUGUAAUGCCGUUUGGCAGUUUGGGUUGUUCAAUAAUUUGGAUUUUGAUUUGCAAGAGACCAGGGGCCGAACGACAAUGGAUACCAAUGCCAAGAAAUUUGUUAUUCCCUUUUUUAGGGGAAAAAAAGAAUUCAAAGGCCCCUUAAAUUAUUGGGCCUCAUGUGCCUCAUAAUAGGAUCAGGCCUGCUCAAAAUCUCCCAGCCAAGAUUGUUUCUUGGCACUUAUGUACCUUGCUCUAUUUGUGCCAAUUCUAAAUCGAGCUAAGUACAGGAAGCAUUGGUCUUUAUCUGUGAAGGGAUUUUUGUGUUAAAUGAUAUAUGUGAAAUAACUAUUGAUUGUAUUCUAUUUUUUUGUUGUUGAUUUGAUAUCAUGGCUAUUUCAGGAUUUUGGUUUUCACUUGAGAGGAAGCCCUACAAAGACCUUAAUGCACAUAUGUGAGCUGUUUGAUAGUUAAUUGGCUCGAUUACUGCUGCUGAGGGGCUACGCUUUGUUAUUAUCUGCACUGCCAUCUAGAUAUUUGAUCUAGUUAAUUAUGUCUAUUACAUUGAUAUUGGGUGUUUGUUUUUAUUUUUAGCUAUUGAAUUUAAGGCCCAAUUUCUAUUUUUCUUCCACCCCCACUCCCCCAAUGGAGGAUUGGUGUUCAUUUUGCUUGUUCCAAAUUCUGGCUUCUUCUUGGUCUGUAAAAGGUGGUGGCACGUUACAAUGAAAUUAUCACAAAGCCUCUACUAGAGGGAGCUUUGGAAACUUUCAAGAAACACUCAGUUAAAGAAGAAGAUUGUGUUGGGUUGUGUGCUCGUAUAGUAUAGUUUUACUGAUGUAAAAAUAACAAGAUUUUUUAUCUUUAAUAAAAUUUUGUUUACUUUAUUUAUUGCAUUUAUUUAUUAUUAAGUAUGCAAAAUUAAAGUGCCUAUGAUCAGUUGUGAAACGAGUUGGGUACUUGAGUUGAGAAGUACAGUGUGACACAACUUAUAUUUUGAUCAUAAAUAAUUGUUCACAACCAAUGUAUAAGGGUUGGAACCUUGUAUUGGAAGAUUGUAGUGUUGACCGAUUCACUAUUCAGGUUUGUGAUUUGCCCUUAUCACAGAAAUAGUUAAAGGUGACACUAGUACACUUGGAGUGUAUUGAACGGACCGCGUGUUGAAUUUAAUUCCAUAGCAUGACCGUGCGGAGAAUUAAAUUUCACUUGACGGUUGUGUAUUUCAUCUAAAUCCCUUACAGAAUUAUGUAUAUCUUUCGUGAUUUUUAAUGGUUCUUUGAUUCAUCAAUGGGUGAGAUCAAUUUGAUUGAUCAAAUAUCUCGAUGAGAUGGAAACUUGAGAAUGAGCGGAGUAGAGAACAUGAAUUCUUGUCGAGAACCGUCACCUUGAAAAUGGGUAGAGUGACUACUUAAGUACUUUCUAUUGAACGGUUAAAAUCUGAUCUUAGUAUUUAGCAACGGCUAAACUUCGACAUCCGUGAUUUGUUCACAGGACCGUUGAAAAAAAUGAAACUUAAGUUAGUGAGAAUAACUAGAGGAGCAAAAAGGUCAUUUUUACUUGUUCCUAAUUAUCAUAUCUCAGACGGGGAUAAAAUACAUAUACGGCAGGUCAAAGGAAAGUAUUAUAGAUUUAUUGGGUAGUCUAGGGUCGGCUAGACAGGAUUUAAUUAUUGGAGCUUGAAAAAUAUAUGCCUAAGUCCCUGUGGUAGGUUCAUAAAGUAAUGGAGCUUAAUUACGGUAAUUAUAAUAGUUUUGAGCUUAAUUGUAAUUACAAUAAAGUUUUGUACUUGAUUGUAAUUUCUAAGAAAAUUAUAAACUUAAUUGUAAUAGUAAUUAAAGUUCUAGGACUACACAUGCAAUUAAAUGUAAACUAAUUAGAAUUGGACUUAAAUUAGAACUCCUACUUGAGUUUUAAUUAGAACUCUUGUUUGAAUGUGGAAUUAUAAUUGUACUAGAAUUGUAUCAUCUUUUUCUCUAUAAAUAGAGACUAGAUGGACAAAAAAAUACUACAACAUUCAUAAUUCCAUAAGAUUCAGAUUUAGAGAGAGAAAAAGAGAGGGAAAAUAAUUUAUUUUCUUGUUAUCCAAAAUUCAAGAAUUAGUUUCUGGAUUAAUUGAAAGAAGGUGCCCACACACCGGUGUUGUCUUUGCGUUGAAGAAUACCAUAGAAGGCUUGAAGAUCUGAAACACCAAGAUUCUUGCAAUUAAAGGAGAUGGAAGUUCGCGGAUCAAAGUUAAUUCAAGGUUGAUCAUUGAACUUAAGCAAAUUAUUCGAAUCCUUUAAUUUUGAUAUAACAUACACGUGAACAUCUAGACGAUCUUGCUUAUUGAAUUAAAGAAAAUUUUAAUUCUGGAUAAUUACGCUUCCGCAUUCCAACGACUGGUAUCAGAGCAAUCUAGAUCAUUCACGUCCUUGUUAUUUAUGAAUCUUGAUUGCAUGUUCUAGUUGAGCAAUGUCUAGGAAUAAUUUAUUAUAUGUUGAUUGAAUGAUUGGAUUAUUUUAAAUUGUGAACUAAUUAUUUGUGGCCAGUUCUUGAUUGUAAUUCGUUAUUUCGAGUCUGUAACAAUAUAGGUGGAUUACGACUCCAUCAUCUUGAUAUAAUUUUCUGUUCAAUUAGAUUCAAAAUUUGUGAGCCUACGGGAUAUAGGAAUUUAUGUAAUUCUUGUAAUUUUUGAAUCUUGCGAAUUGAUUGAAGACAAAGACGAAGAUUGAAGACGCAGGAUGAAAAAUUCAAAAAAAAAAAAAAGGAUGGUAGUUUCAAUUGCACAAAGUGAUCGUCCAUGGUCCGUUCGUAAAAAGGCUGGAAUAUUACAUGUUGGACAACAAACCAAUAUAGUUAAUUGCCUUGGUUCUAGAAAUGUGGGCCACCAUCAACAAAUAAAUAUUCUGAACGGCACAAUUGGGUUAUUAAUUCUCCAAAGGGUAACAUUGAUGACAAACAAGCUUUGCAAAAAAAAAAAAGAAUUAAAUAAUGGAAUAAAUUGCUGUUGAUGGGGAACUGCCAUGAUAGAUGCAUCGAAUUGCGGCAGAAGGAUUAGAAGCAGCAUCUAUAUUUACGCAAUGGGUCAAUUGGAAUUUUGUUUUGGACAGUGUCUUAUUGUUGUUAGAAUUGCUACACUGGAUCCUUGAAUAUUUUGGACUGAAGAUUUAGAUUAGAUAUUGGGCUUGGAUCCAAUUAGGUUUUAAUUUAUUUCUUGAGUCGUGUUUGGGCCACAAAUAAUUACUAAUUUAUCGCUUUAUGAAUGCUUUAAAUUAUUGUUUGAAAUACUGUCAUUCUAGAUAUCAUGACAUAUAUAUUUAUUUGUGACAUCGUUCGUGAUACUAUGAAUAGGAUGUAUAGCAUUAAACACGGAUUUUUCUUUGAUUAAUUUAAUUUAAAUUAAAUUUUUCUGAAUAGAAAAAUUGUAAUAAUUAAACUGUAUAUUAAUUUAAUUAAUAUGAAUAGUUGGUAAUUAUUUCAAUUAAUAUCCAUUAUUCUAAAAGAUUGAGUGGGAGAGGGUGUUUAUUUAAAUAAAAACCCACGGUCUCAUUUGGUCAAUCCAUAAGCAAAGUAACACGCUUGCCUCGUGCCGGUAAUGCAAUGGAUUCCCUAUAGGAGGGUCUCGUGGUUCAAGUUGUUUGAUUGGAUUUCUUUAUGAUAAAGUUGUCUAAAUAGAAUAUAAUUUGUGAUCAUCCUAUAGAUGGGGAAAUUAUUUUCAAGUGUUUAGAGAUUCAGACAAAGGUUUGUACACUCAAAUCAAAAUUAUCUACGAACCUCCUAUAGAGGCUCUCGUUUAUAAUUUUGGUGACCAAAUAAAAUGAUGCUAGGCUUAAUAUAGACAUUUGUCGUCAGAUAUAUUUUGUUUAGUGGGAGGGUCUCAGCUUGAUCAGUGGACACAUUGACCUUUCCUAUAGAGAGGCAUGUUGGAUCACAGGGAUCAAGUCAUCGUUGCAUUAUUGUAGUUAGAUGGAUCUACACAUGCAUUCAUGCAUCAUAUGCUAAAUUAUCAUUCACUGCUCAAUUUUUAAUAUGUAAUAAAUUAUUAUUUUUCAGCAAGAUGUCUCUCAGCGCUUUUUUCGUUAUUCUAAAAAAAACCAACUUGUCGGGGAUAAUUAUGUGGAUUGGAAACGUAAUUUGAUGUUUGUGCUUAUUGCCGAAAAACUUGACUCUAUGCUCGAAGAAGAAUGUCUCGAGGUACGUACCGAGACUACGGGCAAGUCCAAGAGGGCUGCAUAUGAUAAGUGGAUCGCUCCUGACAGGAUGGCUCGCUAUUACAUUUUGGCAUCCAUAUCAAACGUGUUACAGCAAAAGCUUGAAAGUGAGGAGAUCUCUUAUGAUAUACUAGAAAACCUGAAUGUAGGUUGUCAACGAGCCGAGCCGAGCCAAAACUCGAGGCUCAAGCUCGGCUCAAGUAAAAUGGGAAGAACUUUUUACGGCCAGAGCCGAGCAGAGCAAAAGCUCGGUCAAAAAAAUUGGGCUCGACCCAAGCUUUCGGCUCGGGCCUUAGCACUUGGCUCGAUUUUUUUUUAUUUUUUUUAACAAAUCUAACAUUUUUUAAAAGAAUUUAAAAAUUGUGCAACUUAUACGAACUAUAUAUUAAAUAAAAGUUACAACUUACAACUCUUUUUUUUUUCAGUUUGAAAAAUCCAUCUAUAACUAUUAUAAUAAAAGAUAAUGAAUAUUAGAACAAAGAAAUUGAAGUUGAAACUACAAUAUUUCAAGUUGAAAACAAUUAAAGCAAAUUGAUAGAAAAUUCAAAAUUUUGUCCCUAUUUUUUAGCAAAAGAAAAAAAAUUUUAACUUAACCAAAUUUAAAUUUCGCAUUUAUUCAAAAAUUUGGACGCUAACUACUUGUAUAUUCGUUGCCCUAACAGGCAGUUUAUAUAGCUGCCUGUUUCAAGGCAGCUACACAUUUUUUUAAUAAAUAAUUUUUUUAUUUUAUGGCCUUAGUUAGUCUAUACGUAAUUUUUUUAUAUUUUCACGGGCUGGCCCAAGCUCGAGCUGAUGCCCCAAAAUGGGGCUCGGCCUGAGCCUUUGCUUGAUUUCUUCAAGCCACGAGUUGGGCCGGCUCGGGCUUUUCUCGAGUCGAGCCACCCGAGCCGAUGAGCCUUUUUGACAUCCCUACCUGAAGGGCAUGUUUGGACAUCAAAGUAGGAGGGCUCGCUUUGAGGCCAUUCGUACCUUACAGAACAUCAGCAUGAAACCCGGAAUGCCUCUAAAGGAUCAUAUGUUGACUAUGAUUUUAUACUUCAACGUGGCGGAGAAUCUGGGUACAACUAUUGAUCAAGAAACUCAAGUUGAUAUGGGGUUGAAUUCUUUAUCUGAUAUGAUUUCACAGUUUACUGUGGACUAUCACUUGCACAAAAUGAAUAUGCCAUUAGCUGAGUUGAUGAAUGAGCUGCAAAAUGUGGAAAGUGGUCUCAAGGGUAAGGCUGGCCAUGCUCAUGUGGCAAUUGCUAGCUCCUCUAGCUCCAAGCUAAAAGGAGAAAUUGGAAAGAAGAGGAAGAGAUCUAACAAGAAGCUAAGAAGCAACAAAAAGCCCAAAUCAGAUGGAACACCGAAAGGCAAGUGUUUCCACUGUAGUUGCAAAGGACACUGGAAGAAAGACUGCCAUGAUGCACUAGCUAAAAAGCUGGGCGUUGUGAGUUUUUUAUUGCUGAGUCAUGUUUGGUGGUUGAUUCUACAAAUUCUUGGGUUGUAGACUCUGGAGCCACUAAUCAUAUAUGCAUGUCUAUGCAGGUGCUUCAAGAGAGCAGAAGAAUCAGUGAGGGCCAGUUUAAAAUUACUUUCGGCACAGGAGCUAUAGUUUCAGCAAGAGCAAUAGGAGUAGUUUACUUUUAUUUCAAUAGUGGUAGGGUUUAAUUCUUAAAGACUGUUAUUAUGUCCCAUAGAUGAAGCAGAAUUUGAUUUCUAUUUCUUGUUUAAUAGGACAAGGUUAUUCUGUAAACUCUGUGCAUGAUGCGCUUUAUAUUCUAAAUAAUAAAGCCCCUAUUUGUCCUGGAUAUUUGGUGAAUGGUCUUUAUAUUUUAAAUUGUGCCACAAAUGAAAUAAAUGUUACUUCUGCAAACCAUGAAUGAACAUCUAACCGUACCAGUGAUACUCAUUUAUGGCAUCUUAGACUUGGACAUAUUAACGUUAACAGGAUACAAAGAUUGGCUAAAGAUGGUCCACUUAACACAUUUAAGGUUAAACCAUUGCAAGUUUGUGAUUCUUGUUUGGAGGGUAAAAUGACCAAGAGAUCUUUUCUAGCAAAAGGACAUAGAGCCAAAGCAGUAUUAGAACUAGUUCAUUCUGAUGUAUGUGGACCCAUGAAUACACCCGCGAGUGGGGGUUAUGAGUAUUUUAUCACUUUUAUCAAUGAUUACUCUAGAUUUGGAUACAUCUACCUAAUGACUCGAAAGUCAGAUGCUUUUGAAAAAUUCAAAGAGUAUCAGGCUAAGGUCGAGAAAUAUUUGGGUAAUAGUAUUAAGACACUUCAAUCAGAUCGAGGUGGCGAAUAUCUCUCGGGAGAAUUCAGGGACUACUUGACAGAAAAUGGUAUUGUUUCUCAACUGAGUACGUCGGGUACACCCUAACAGAAUGGCGUUUUAGAAAGGAGAAACAUGACAUUGUUAGAUAUGGUUAGGUCAAUGAUGAGUUUCGCAACUCUACCUACCUCAUUUUAGGGAUAUGUACUGAAAACAACAGCAUAUGAUCUUAACUUAGUUUCUUCUAAAUCGGUUCCCAAGACUCCCCUAGAAUUAUGGAAUGGACGCAAGUCUAGCUUUCAUUAUAUUCGAAUUUGGGGAUGUCCGGCUCAUGUGCUGAAAGGGAAGUCAGAGAAGUUGGAGUCUAGAUCAGAGAUAUGUCUAUUUGUGGGAUACCCUAAAGGUACCAAGGGAUAUUAUUUUUAUAGUCCUCUAGAUAGGAAAUCUUUGUUAGCACAAAUGCUACUUUCCUAGAGGAUAAGUAUAUUAAUGAACGUUAGUCCAAAAGUAAGGUUGUGUUGGAAGAAAUGAGUGGGAGCAGUUCCACCACAUCGAUUCCUGAAACACAAUCUCAUGACAGACAACCCUUGGUGUUAGAUAUACCUAAACAAUGUGUUUUGAGUGGGAGAGAUGAGUCAUCCAAUCCCAUGGAUCAAGUAAAUGUUCAAGGUAUUGAGGAGAUAAUGGAACCACCUAAUGGUGAUACCAACAUUGAUACAAAUGUUACAAUUCCAAAUGAUGCCACAGUUCAGGAUCUACCGUCCCUUAGAUAAAGUCAGAGGGUUAUCAGACCACCUUCUAGGUACUUGUUGGUUGGAGAGUCCAAUCAGGCGAUCUCCACAACACAAGUUGAUGACGUGACAUCAUCUAAGAAGGCCAUGAAUGAUGUGGAUGCAGAUUUAUGGCAACAAGCUAUGAAUACUGAAAUGGAAUCUAUGCAUUCUAAUUAGGUUUGGAAACUUGUAGAUGCACCAGAAGGGAUAAAACCCAUUGGGUGCAAGUGGGUCUAUAAGAGAAAGAGAGGAGGAGAUAGGAAAGUGGAAACUUUCAAAGCAAGGCUAGUGGCUAAGGGUUUUACCCAACGAGAAGGCAUCGAUUACGAGGAGACCUUUUCGCCUAUGGCUAUGCUUAAGUCUAUCUGGAUUCUUUUAUCCAUUGUAGCUCAUUCUGAUUAUGAGGUGUGGUAGAUGGAUGUCAAGAAGGCAUUUUUGAAUGGCUAUCUUGAGGAAUGUAUCUAUAUGAUGCAACCAGACAGAUUCAUAGAACCUGGUCAUGAAGACAAAGUCUGCAAGCUUCAGUGGUCCAUUUAUGGGUUGAAGCAAGCAUCAAGAUCUUGAAACAAGAGAUUUGGCGAAGUGAUUAAGACAAAUGGUUUUGAUCGGAACUUUGACAAACCCUGUGUCUAUAAAAAGAUACAGGAGAAAAUUGUAAUUUUUCUCGUGCUAUAUGUGGAUGAUAUUAUGUUCAUUGGAAAUGAUGUUGGAGCAUUAUCGUCUAUGAAAGUGUGGCUAGCCCAACAGUUUUAUAUGAAGGACUUAGGAAAAGCUAGCUAUAUUAUAGGUGUUUAGAUCUUAAGAGAUCGAAAGAACAAGCAGAUAGCUCUAUCCCAACUUCAUACAUUGAAUAAAUACUUGUCAGAUUUGCCAUGCAAGAUUCCAAGAAAGGUAAUUUACCUUUCAAACAUGGAAUACAACUCUCUAAGGAUCAGUCCCUUAAGACUCCUAAAGAGGUAGAACGCAUGAGUAGGAUACCUUAUGCAUCGACAGUUGGUAUUCUCGUGUAUGCUAUGAUGUGCACUAGACCUAACAUUUGUUAUGCUGUUGGUAUGGUGAGUCGAUAUCAAUCUAACCCUGGACCGGAACACUGGGUGGCUGUAAAACGUAUCUUGUAGUACCUUCGAAGGACCAGGAAUCACAUGCUAGUUUACUCAUCACCAGAUCUUGUUGCAGUGGGUUAUACAGAUUUAGACUUCCAGGCUGAUAAGGAUUCCCGCAAGUCUAUAUCAAGAUCACUGUUUACACUUGGUGGUGGGGCCAUUAUUUGGAGAAGUAUCAAACAAUCAUGUAUUACUAAUUCCACCAUAGAGGCUGAAUAUGUGGCAGCUUGUGAAUCCGCUAAGGAAGCGGUGUGACUCAAAAAGUUCCUAACGGAUAUCGAGGUGGUCCCUGCAUCUGCACAACCCCUGAUGCUGUACUGUGAUAACAAUGGGGCAAUGGCAAAUGCUAAAGAACCAAUGAGUCAUCAAAGGGGUAAACAUAUUGAAUGGAAAUAUCAUCUCUUGAGAGAGAUAGUUAAUAGAGGAGAUGUGAUUGUCAAUAAAAUUGCUAUUGGGGAUAACCUCGCAGAUCCAUUUACAAAGAGUCUAUCGGCUAAGGUUUUUAAUGGACAUGUACGAGGCAUGGGGUUACAGGACAUGACACAUAUACUCUCGGGCAAGUGGGAGAUUUGUUGGGUUGUGUGCCCAUAUAGUAUAGUUUUGCUAAUGUAAAAAUAACAAUAUUUUUUUAUAUUGAAUAAAAUUAUGUUCACUUUAUUUAUUGAAUUUAUUUAUUAUUGAGCAUGAGAAAUUAAAGUGUCUAUGAUCACUUGUGAAAUGAGUUGAGUACUUGCGCUGAGAAGUACAGUGUGACACAACUUAUAUUUUGAUCAUAAAUAAUUUUUUCACAACCAAUGUAUAAGGGUUGGCACCUUGUACUGGAAGGUUGUAGUGUUGACCGAUUUACUAUUCAGGUUUAUGAUUUGUCCUUAUCACAGAAAUUGUUAAAGGUGAUACUAGUACACUUGGAGUGUAUUGAACGGAUCGCGUGUUGAAUUUAAUUCUAUAGCAUGACUAUGUGGAGAAUUAAAUUCCACUUGACGGGUGUGUAUUUCAUCUAAAUCUCUUGAUAGAAAUAUGUAUAUCUUUUUGUGAUUUUUAUUGGAUAUUUGAUUCAUCAAUGGUUGAGAUUCAUCAAUAGUUGAGAUCAAUUUGAUUGGUUAAAUAGCUCGAUGAGUUGGGAACUUGAGAAUGAGCGGAGUAGAGAUCAUGAAUUCGUGUCGGAAACCAUCACCUUGAAAAUGGGUAGAGUGACUACUUAAAUACUUUCUGUUGAAUUGUUAAAAUCUGAACUCAGCGUUUAGCAACAGCUAAACUUCGACAUCUGUGAUUUGUUCACAGGACCGUUGAAGAAAAUGACUUAAGUUAAUGAGAAUAAUUAGAGGGGAAAAAUGGUCAUUUAUGCUCAUACCUAAUUAUUGAAUCUCAGAUGGGGAUAAAAUACAUAUACGACAGGUCAGAGGAAGGUAUUACAGAUUUAUUGGCUUCUGUGAUCUUAUAUAUUCCGAGAGUUUAGUCUUUUGCCUUUAGUGGAAAAAACAAAGACUAAUAAUUAGAUUGGGUGGUCUAGGAUGGGCUAGACAUGAUCUAAUUAUUGGAGCUUGAAAAAUAUAUGUCCGAUCAGGUCCCUGUGGUAGCUCCAUAAAGUAUUGGAACUUAAUUACGGUAAUUAUAAUAAUUUGGGCCUAAUAUUCAUUAGAAUAAAGUUUUGUACUUGGUUGUAAUUACUAUGAAAGUUAUAAACUUAAUUGUAAUUGUAAUUAAAGUUCUAGGACUACACAUGCAAUUAAAUAUAAACUAAUUAGAAUUGGACUUAAAUUAGAACUCCUACUUGAGUUUUAAUUAGAACUCUUGUUUGAAUGUUGAAUUAUAAUUGUACUAGAAUUGUAUCAUCUUUCUCUAUAAAUAGAGGCUAGAUGGACAGAAAAAUAUUAAAACAUUCAUAAUUCCUUAAGAUUCAAAUUUAAAGAGAGAAAAUAGUUUAUUUUCUUGUUGUCCAAAAUUCAAGAAUUAAUUUUUGGAUUAAUUGAAAGAAGGUGCCCACACAUCGGUGUAGUCUUUGCAUUGGAGAAUACCAUAGAAGGCUUGAAAGUUUGAAGCACCAAGAUUGAUAUGAUCCAGGAGUCGAGCCCGACGAAGGCAAGUGCGAGACGAGAUCCGUUGAUAGUCGAUGGCGGACCAAUAACGCGAUCAAGGGCAAAGCAAAUGAAACAAGCGAUGGGAUUGCUCGUUCAAGAAACCAUUGAUGGAACCAUGUUCGAGACUCAAAAUAGAGCAACUUUCAUGUUCGGGUCGAAGGCCGAAUCAACUUGGAUCAAUUUGUUAUCAAGCGACGAAACCAGAGGCUGGAAAUAAGCCUGUGCAACCGCACAGCAAAAACACCAUGCGGCCGCAUGGUGGCAUACCGAAAUUUAAAUUGGGAUUUUUGUUGAACCAUGCGACCGCAUGGAAAUAUACCAUGCGGCCGCACAGGCAAAAAAUUUGGCGAAUUUUCCAAUUUUGGUAAUUUUUCAUAAUUUGUUAGAUUUUGAUUCUUUUCCAUAUUUUGGAGAUUAUGCUCGACUUUUGCACGAUUUUUACCUAGUUUUUAGGUUUAGUAUAAGGAGGAGUUUCCAUUUAAUUGUUGAAAACCUUUUUGACAUUAUUGAUAUUGAAUUAAAGUGAGGCGUAUUGUCUUCUCUUCAUCUUUUUUCAUUGAACAACUUCGAACUUAUCAAGUGUUAACUUGUGGCGUUCAAAUAACUGGAUUUAAUUCUUGGAUUGCAUGAUCAAGGGGUCUUUCAAGCGUCGUUCUUGUUGGAUUUUUUGGUUCGACUUUCUUUUGGGUUAAUCCUAAACUUUGGAUUAAUUUGGCUUUCUUGUGUUCAUCAAUCUCGUUGUGGGUUUCGUAGUCAACGUUGCUACGAUGUUCGCAUCAAAGAUUCUUUCAAUUAAAGGAGAUGAAAGUUCGCAGAUCAGAGUUAAUUCGAGGUUGAUCAUUGAACUUAGGUAAAAUAUUCGAAUCCUUUAAUUUUGAUAUAAUAUACACGUGAACAUUUAGACGAUCUUGCUCAUUGAAUUAAAGAAAAUUUAAAUUUCUGGAUAAUUCCGCUUCCGCAUUACAACAGAUUGAUGUGAGUAACCAACUGCUAACAAUUUUUGCUUCUUCAUUUGUUUCCAUCUCAGAACGCUAAUGCAAUUUUAUUAUUGUGUUUGGCUGUAGUCUCAGAUCUUUUGCAUGCUAUUACUUGUCAUUGGUAGAGUUUAUGAACAUAAAUUAAGCGAGCUAUAUGGAUGAUUAGAAUGCUGAGAUAACCUGUUUAUAUGUCUUUAUCUAUGACGGAAAUGUUAUCUUUGUCACUAUACGCAUGUUCCUGUUUCUUGAAGACUGAAGUUAUUUGACAUCGCUCAGUUGGCCCCUAUCUUGCCAAUUACCAGCUUCUAUUUAGCUCGGUCUUGCAGCAUUAAUUUUACGUAGUUGAUAACUUUUCCGUACCAUGAUAAAUGCGGGUUUAUUGCACUCAUUCAGACUAUUAAACUUAGAUACUUGCGCGUUUUAUUAGCGAUUUAUUACUUAUUUUUCUUAUUUUUAUUUUGUAGGUAAAAACCAGAGAUUAAACGAUGAAUUGAAGGAAUUUAUGUGACAAACGAGCUAAAGAUGAUGGCAAACAAAGAAAGACGACCAAAGACGCCACCGAAAGAAGAUUUUAAAAAAAUUAAAAACAGUAAAUGGGGCAGUGAACUGGGCGUCUGCCCAGUUUUGGGUAGAAGGCGCCAGCCGGGUCACUUUAAUUAUUCCCUUAAAUUUUAGGGACCAAAAGCUGCAAUUCCCUUAGGUUUUACUUCAAAGCCCACUGAAUUGCCAGAGGCUAGGGGCUUUUCUUUUUCUGCAAUUUUUGGGAAGCGGCUGGAGCAUUUUGUUUUAUUUUCUUUCCUUUUUUUAUUUUUUCUUUUUCUUCCAUCUUUUAGCUUGGUUUCCUUGGAUAUUUUGGAGAAAAUUUGGGGGAUGAUUAUGGUGAAGUAGCUUGGAGAAGAAGAUGAUUUGAUAUUGAAGAAACCCUCAACUAUUUUUCAAUUAUCAAUAAGCUUUUCUUUCCCUAUUUUCCAUUAUUGUGUUGUAAGAAUUUGAUGCUUAUUUGUGAAUAUUUCAUGGGUAACUAAAUAUAUAUGUGAUUGGGGAUUAUUUCAAACCCUACUUAUGAUUUUUAAUUAAUUUGUGCUUUAUAGUUCUCUUGAUUGAUGUGUUUAAUUCAUCGUGUUAAAUAUUUAUUUUGUUCUUCUUGGUUGUUUAGUUGUACAACUAAAUGAUUAAGUUGUUUCGAUAAAUGCUAUUUUGAGAUUAGCAGUACAUAAUAGCUAUUGAUUCUAAAACCUAGUAGUAAUUACAUUUCGAUGGAUUAUGAAGAAUUUUCAAUUGAAUGUAUGUGGAUUAACACUUAAAUUAGUAAACUGAGCUUGCGAGUUUACCCUUAAUUCAAUUAAUCUCUUUUGUCGUAAUGUGUUUGUUAAAUUAAAUCUAGAGAGCUUGUUCUAGGUUGUUUAAUGAAUAGGGUCGAGUAAAGAGCUUGUUUUAUUCGACUAACAUGUAAGGAGAGAUUGAGAUAAUUGAGCUUGUAAUUAUUUUCGAAUUGUUGUUAAUCUUGAAAUCGAAAAUCUAUUGUGGUAAUUGACAUGAAAGUCAUUCUCGUGGUGACGAAAUAUCCCCCAAUCACAUUUUCUAGUAUUCAAUAGACAACCACUUUGUUUAUUUCAAGUUUCAAAUAUUCUCUAUUUCGAAUUUAUCGCUUUACUUAGUUAAACGAACCAAACCCCCCCACCCAUUUAAUCAAUUUUGUAUAUAAUCGCUAGUUUUACUUUUUAGUGUGCAAUUGACAAAAUUGAACCAAUCCUCUAUGGGAAAUGACCCUUAUUUACCAUUUUACUAUUUAAGAAGACACUUUUAAGUUAAGUAAGGAAAAGUAAUUGGAACGUGAUUUGCAACGUAUCAAUUUUGGCGUCGUGUCGCCAGGGAUCGUUCUAUCAAUUUGUUAAUUGCAAUAUUUUUUCUUUUUGUUGUUUUUCUAUAUAUUUUGGUUAUUUUCUUUAUCAUUUAGGUUGUGAAUGAGCAAAAAGCCUAUAACACACUGCAACCUAAGAUCAAGAAAGAGGCCGACACAUCGGAAAGUGAAGAAACCAUUUUUCCAACUAGACAUCUAAGGCGACUAAGCAUUGAAUCCUCAAGUGAGUCCGAACACAUAGAAUCUGAAAUGGCGGAUAAAUUUUGUUCAAUAACCUCUAUGCAUUCAAUAUCCUCAAGUGGAGGUGGGAUUUGAACUAAAGUUCGGAAUGAUUCAUCUACUCCCCACAUUUCAUGGAUUCGCUGGAGAGGAUCCAAAUAAGCAUUUGAAGAAGUUUCAUUAGUUCGCUCAAGCAUGAAACCUGUGGGUAUAUCGGAAGAGCAAGUGAAAUUACGGCCAUUCCCUUUCUCUCUUACAGACAUUGCUAAGGAAUGGCUCUAUUAUUUGCCAGCCGGUCUUUUUACCACGUGGAAUGAAAUGCAAAAACUCUUUGUAGAGAUGUGUUUCCUAGCUUCAAAGGCUACAAACAUCAGGAAAAAAAUAUGUAGCAUUCGACAAUCUCAAAGGGAAAAUCUCUAUGAGUAUUGGGUGAGAUUCAAAAGGCCAUGUGCUAGUUGCCUAAACCACCAAAUUAGCGAGCAAUUACUUCGACAAUACUUCUAUGAAGAAUUACUCCAAAUGGAGAGAAGUAUGAAUGAUGCGGCGAGUGUAGGAGCUUUAAUGGAUAAAAUACCAGCAAUUGCUAGGGAUUUGAUAGCCAACAUGGCCGCUAACUCACAAUAAUUUGGUAGUAGAGAAGCGACACCGGUUAAACAAGCAAGUGAGGUAAGAACAACCUCUCAAAUUGAAUGACAACUAGCCGGUCUUACAUCUAUUGUACAACAAAUGGUACUUGAGGCAAUGCAACAAGCAAAAGUGUGCGGGAUUUGUUCUAUUGUGGGACACCCUACUAAGGCAUGCCCGACACUACAAGAAAAAGCCUCAGAGAAAGCAAAUGCCAUUGGGGUAUGUCCAAUACAAUAGAGAUAGAGAUAUGAUCCAUAUGCUAACACAUAUAAUCCUGGAUUUAGAGAUCAUCCUAAUCUCAGUUAUGGAGGAAAUCAUUUCAUAUCUCCACAAUCACAAUUCAAUCAUCCCCCGAGGUUCAAUCAACAAAGGCAACCACAACACUCUCAACCUCUUCAACAAACUCCGUCUCAAAGUUCAAAGAUGUCUCUUGAGGAUAUGGUUAUGUCCUUGGCUUCUAGUAUAAUACAAUUUCAACAAAAGACAAAGAACUCAAUUAAGAAUUUGGAGACACAAGUGAGUCAAUUGACCAACACAGUGGGUAAAUUGAAGGCUCAAGGAUCCGAAAAACUUCUUUCUCAAGCAAUCAACCCAAGAGAAAAUGCUAGUACUAUGACACUAAGAAAUGGAAACAUUUUGGAAGAGGCACCAAGGAAAACGAAAGAUGAAGUUGAGGAGUCAACACAAGAGAAAAACUUAGCAUGUGAAAAAGACGAAGCAAAGACUCCAACUGUGGGAUCUAAGGUAGAGUCUAAAAGUUCUAUUCCUACUUAUGUUCCCUCCCAUCCAUUUCCUUGCAGGUUUGCAAAGUCUAAAAGGGAUGAACAUGAAAAGGAAAUAUUUGAGACUUUUCGCGAGGUUCAAGUGAACAUACCACUUUUGGAUACCAUUUAUCAAGUGCCCCGUUAUGUGAAGUUCCUCAAGGAAUUGUGUACUAAAAAGCAUAUACUGAAAGGUAAUGAAGUGGUAAGCAUAGGGAAAAAUGUCUCGGCGGUUUUGCAAAAGAAACUUCCACCAAAAUGUAAGGAUCCAAGAAGUUUUACCAUCCCUUGCAUUAUUAGUAACACUAGGUUUGAAAAAGCAAUGCUAGAUUUUGGAGCAUCUAUUAAUUUCAUGCCAUAUUCUAUUUAUGCUUCUUUAAAUUUGGGAUCACUUAAGAAAAUCGGUGUUAUUAUUUAAUUUGCUGAUAGAUCUAAUGCAUUUCCAAAGGGUACGAUGGAGGAUGUUUUGAUCCCAUAGAUUUUUGUGUUAUUGACAUGAUGGUAUGUUGACAAUGGAGUUUGAUGGUGAGAUUAUUCACUUCAACAUCUUUGAAGCAAUGAGGUAUCCUAGUGAUGUUUACGCUUAUUUUUCAAUUGAUAUAAUGGAUUCAUUAGUACAAAAAUAUUUUGAAUUAUCAAAUGAAGAUGCAUUGGAUACCACUCUGAUUAAAAGCAUUGAUGCUAACAAUCUCAUCGGGUUGAGCAAGAAUUUAAUAGUGUGCAAGGAUGUUGUUGAAACCGUGGCAUCACUUGAGUCACUACCAAGUAUUCCACCAAGAUAUGAUCUCUCCUAUAUUACUUUUCCAAUAUCUAAAGAGAAACUUUUGCCUUUAGUGAUAUAGGCCCCGACAUUAGAACUCAAACCUCUCUCCAAGCAUUUGAAGUAUGUAUAUUUGGGAGAGGGAAAAACACUACCUAUGAUCAUUGCAAAGAAUCUCACAACACUUCAAGAGGCUUAUCCGUGUGCUCAAGGAACACAAAAUAGCUAUUUUUUGGACAAUAGCCGAUAUUAAGGGGAUAAGCACUUCCAUAUUCAUGCACCAGAUAUUAGUUGAAGAUGGAGCAAAGCAAUCAAGAGAAGCACAACGUUGCUUGAAUCCUCCCAUGAUGGAGGUGGUCAAGAAAGAAAUUUUAAAAUUGCUAGACGUUGGUGUCAUCUUUCCCAUCUUUGAUAGCAAGUGGGUAAGCUCGGUCCAAGUUGUUCCCAAAAAGUCUGGAAUCACAGUGGUGACGAAUAAAGAAAAUGAGCUUGUACCAACUCGGGUCCAAACGGGUUGGAGGGUUUGUAUUGAUUAUAGAAAACUUAAUUGUGCAACCCGAAAAGAUCACUUUCCUUUAACCUUUAUUGAUCAAAUGUUGGAAAGGUUAGCAGGUCAUUCUCAUUAUUGUUUUCUUGAUGGUUAUUUAGGUUAUAACCAAAUUGUGAUUGCUCCGGAGGACCAAGAGAAAAAAAAUUCACUUGCUCAUUUGGCACCUUUGCUUACCGACGCAUAGCUUUGCUUAUCAGCACAUGCCCUUCGGCCUUUGCAAUGCUUCCGCAACCUUUCAAAUAUGCAUGAUAAGUAUAUUCUACGAUUAUAUUGAAAGCAUCAAUGAGGUCUUUGUGGAUGAUUUUAGUGUUUAUGGUAAUACCUUUGAUAGUUGCCUGGAAAAUCUCACACUUGUGCUUAAGAGAUGUGUGGAUGCUAACCUAGUACUUAAUUAGGAAAAAUGCCAUUUUAUGGUUGGUCAAAGCAUAGUGUUAGGCCAUGUCAUUUCUUCCAAGGGGAUAGAAGUUGAUAAAUCUAAAAUUGAUCUAAUUCGUUCUUUACUUUCUCCAACAAGUGUGAGAGAGGUUCAUUCUUUUCUUGGACAUGCAGGAUUUUAUCGAAGGUUUAUCAAGGAUUUUUCCAAAUGUGCAAGACCACUAUGCAGGCUGUUGCAAAAGGAGAUGCCAUUUCAUUUUGAUGAAGAUUGUACAAAAGGCAUUCAAAAGAUUGAACUUUUGACAUCGGUACGCAUCAUUCAACCACCAGAUUGGAACAGGCCAUUUGAGUUGAUGUGUAAUGCAAGUGAGUUUGCAUUGGGAACCGUUUUAGGGCAAAGAGUUGGAAAGACACCUCAUGUUAUAUAUUAUGCAUCAAGAACUUUGAAUGAUGCCCAACUGAAUUACUCUACCACUAAGAAAGAGCUUUUAGCAGUUAUUUUUACCUUAGAGAAAUUUCGUUCAUAUCUUAUUGGCACUAAAGUAACGGUCUUUUCUGAUCACGCAGCUCUUAGGUACUUGCUUGCCAAGAAAGAGGCAAAACCAAGGCUCAUUAGAUGGAUACUCCUCUUACAAGAGUUCAACCUUGAGAUUAAAGACAAAAAAGGGAGUGAAAAUUCUGUGGCCGUUCACCUCAGUCGCCUUAUCCAUGAGAGAAACUCUCCCAUUGCAAUAAAGCUAUCCCGAUGAACAAUUACUUCUCGUCAUGGAUACAUGUCCUUAGUUUACGGAUAUAGUGAACUAUUUAGUCGCUAGGAAAAUUCCAAGUCACUUGACCACCGCUCAAAGGCGAAAACUCAAGACAAUGGGCGAGUAUUUUUUGUGGGAUGAGCAGUAGUUGUGGAAACAUUGUCCGGGUCAAUUGACAAGAAGGUGUGUGCAUAAAAAUAAAUUUCAUUCAAUACUUACCUUUUGUCACUCCUAUGUAUGUGGUGGACAUUUUGGAGCAAAGAGGACGGCUCUCAAUGUGCUUGAAAGUGGAUUCUAUUAACCCAACUUAUUCAAAGAUGCAUUUCUCUUUUGUAAAUCUUGUGAUCGAUGUCAAAGAGUAGGUACGUUGGGAUCCCGAAAUCAAAUGCCACAAACACCCAUACUUUUUGUUGAAAUUUUUUAUGUUUGGGGCAUUGAUUUCAUGGGACCUUUCCUUUCAUCUUAUGGUAACCUUUACAUCAUUCUUGCCGUUGAUUAUGCGUCAAAAUGGGUGGAACCAAGAGCCACUCGAACUAAUGAUUCUAAAGUGGUUGUAGAUUUUGUUGAAUCCAACAUUUUUGCAAGGUUUAGAACACCAAGAGCUAUUAUUAGUGAUGGGGGACUUCAUUUUUGCAACCGCUCCUUUUGGGCCUUAUUGAAAAGAUACAACAUCACCCAUAAAGUGGCUACACCUUACCAUCCCCAAACUAGUGCGCAAGUCGAAGUGUCCAACCGAGAGGUCAAAUCCAUCCUCGAAAAAACUGUGAAUCCCAAAAGAAAGGAUUGGAAUCUUCGCCUCAAUCAUGCACUUUGGGCUGAUAGGACGGCAUACAAAACACCGAUUGGCAUGUCGCCUUAUCAGUUAGUUUAUGGUAAGCCUUGUCAUCUCCUGGUUGAACUAUAACACAAGGUAUUUUGGGCAGCCAAGCAAGGAAACAUGGACCUAGGUGCAAUGGGUAAGCUUCAACUCAAUGAACUUGAGGAAAUUCGAAAUGACGCCUAUGAAAAUUCAAGAAUUUAAAAGGAAAAAAACUAAGGCGUACCAUGAUAAAAUGAUGUUAAGAAAAACUUUUGUUGUUGGACAAAAAGUUCUUCUUUUCUACUGGCGCCUCAAGUUAUUUCCAGGUAAAUUACGUUCUUGAUGGAUUGACUCUUUUGUUGUUACUAAUGUCUUUCCUCAUGGUGCAGUAGAAAUCAAAAGCCUACAGACUGAGAAAGAGUUUAAGGUAAAUGGGCAUUGAUUAAAGACAUAUUUUGAACCCUUCGUACCACAAAACAUGGAGGAAAUGCGAUUGGAGGAUCCAAUCGAAGAAGCAUGAGAGAUGACACUUAUUUUUGUUUUUGUGAAUUUUUGUCGCCAAUGGUCCCCAACCAUCUUCACAGCCAUCACCGUCAACACCACUAGGGGAGUAUUUGAACCUCUAGCGCUUUUUUUUUUUUUGUUUUUUGUUUUUACAUUAAGGACAAUGUGCAAUUUAAGUUUGGGGGUGAGGUGGUAUGUGCUAAAUUUUUUGUCGUAAUAUUUUGCUCUGGCUAAAAUUUCGAGGUUAAACACUUUACUUUCGUGCUUGUUUGUGUUGUUUGAUAGUUUUGCCAAUUGCAUUUUGAGUUGUUACAUUGCAUUGAUUUAUAAAUUAUGGACAUUAAUGCUAAGUGUUGUUUAUUUUCAUCCACGUAUUCCAUGAUUGACUCUUUAUGGAGCACUUGGGUCAUGAGAUUCAUUACACGCACUUGUAGGUUGUUAAACGAAUUUAAAUGACCAUGGUGUUAGAAAUUCUUCAAUCACUCUACCAAUGAAAGGAUAAGUUUAGGGGUGGUUGAACCGGUGAAAGAAGUUGUUUAUAAUUGUAUUAAUUUUCGACUCAGUGAUUGAUUUUGUGGAGUGUUCUUAGAUUUCAAAUGAAAGUUAGAUGUUGUUUUCUAUCUAUUGAUAUUUCAUAAAAAAAAUAAUAAUAAAUAAAUAAAUAAUAACUGUAGGAAAAAGUUGCCUACCCUAAGGAGUGUGAGUCAACAUUGAGUAAUCUGGCCUUAUGUAUCACUAAUGUGUAGGAAACGAUCUACAAAUGAAGAAUGCUACCCUUAGGGAUCAGAGCAAGAACUACCUACAUUGGAAAAAUGAAGAAAAAGAAAANNNNNNNNNNNNNNNNNNNNNNNNNNNNNNNNNNNNNNNNNNNNNNNNNNNNNNNNNNNNNNNNNNNNNNNNNNNNNNNNNNNNNNNNNNNNNNNNNNNNNNNNNNNNNNNNNNNNNNNNNNNNNNNNNNNNNNNNNNAAAAACUAAAAAAAAAAAAAAAAAAAAAUCUUUAGGAAAAAGUUGCCUACCCUAAGGAGUGUGAGUCAGUAUUGAGUAAUCUAGCCUUAUGCAUCACCAAUAUAUAGGAGACGAUCUACGAAUGAAGAAGGCUAUCCUUAGGAACCAGAGCGAGAACUACCUACAUUGGAAAAAUGAAGAAAAAGAAAAUGGGAUGUUAUAAGCAUCUAGGGGAGAUUUUGCUGAAAAUUUGAUGGAUUGUGAGUAAUUUGCCUAAUAUAAGUUUGUGGUUUCAGCACUUAAAAUUUUUUUGGCUAAUUAAUACAUGACUAGAUGAUCUAUUUUAUCGGUUCAACGCAACCAAAUUUAAGAGGGAAAGAUUGAGUGAUUUGAGAACAACCUUAAGUUUUUGACACCAUGGCUAGAGUGAAAAUAUCAAGUUUGAGGGAGUGUGCAUUCCACGAGUGAGAAACAAAAAUUUGACCAUUGAGGGUCUGCAAAACCACCAACUUGUGUAUUACGAUGAAUUGGAAUGACCACACACAUACACUCGAGUCAAGCAUGGCGUAAGUUAAAAAGUGUCUGUUGUAGCAUAUUUGUAAACAAUUCAUAAGUUAUUUGCAUAAUGUAAGACUCGAAGCAAAGUGGCAAAAUAUCGAACAUUUGGAGUGUUUGUUAUUAUAGUAUUAUCGUUUUGUUUUAAUUUGUGUGUUUGUGUGCCUGUUUGUAAUGCUUUUUUUGUGGACUAACAAAGAUUUAAGUUUGGGGGUGUGAUAAAUGUCGGUUUAUUACGCUUAUUUGGACCAUUAAACUUAGAUACUUGCGAGUUUUAUUAGCAAUUUAUUACUUAAUUUUCUUAUUUUUAUUUUGUAGGUGAAAACCCGAGAUGAAACGAUGAAUUGAAGGAAUUUAUGCGAGAACCAAGCUAAAGAUGAAGGCAAACAAAGAAGACGACCAAAGACGCCGCCGAAAGAAGAUUUAAAAAAAAUUAAGAACAAUAAAUAGGGCAGUAAACUGGGCGCUGCAGAGCCCAAUUAUUCUGCCCAGUUUUGGGCUGAAUGGCGCCAGUAGGGUCACUUUAAUUAUUCCCUUAAAUUUUAGGGACCAAAAGCUGCAAUUAUCCUUAGGUUUUACUUAAAAAUCCACUGAAUUGCCAGAGGCUAGGGGCUUUUCUUUUUCUGCAAUUUUUGGGCAGCGGCUAGAUCUUCUUCACUGCCGUUUAUUUUGUUUUAUUUUCUUUCCCUUUUUUAUUUUCUUUUUCUUCCAUCUUUUAGCUUGGUUUCCUUGUAUAUUUUGGAGAAAAUUUGGCGCAUGAUUAUGAUGAAAUAGCUUGGAGAAGAAGAUGAUUUGAUAUUGAAGAAACCCUCAACUAUUUCUCCAUUAUGAAUAAGCUUUUCUUUCCCUAUUUUCCAUUAUUGUGUUGUAGGAAUUUGACGGUUAUUUGUGAAUAUUUCAUGGGUAACUAAAUAUAUAUGUGAUUGGGGAUUAUUUCAAACUCGAGUUAUGAUUUUCAAUUAAUUUGUGCUUUAUAGUUCUCUUGAUUGACGUAUUUAAUUCCUCGAGUUAAAUGUUUAUUUUGUUCUUCUUGAUUGUUUAGGUGUACAACUAAAUGAUUAAGUUGUUACGAUAAAUGCUAUUUUGAGAUUAGUAGUACGUAAUAGCUAUUGAUUUUAAAACAUAAUAGCAAUCACAUUUCGAUAGAUUAUGAAGAAUUUUCAAUUGAAUGUAUGUGGAUUAACACUUAAGUUAGUAAACUGAGCUUGCGAGUUUACUCUUAAUUCAAUUCAUCUCUUUUGUCGUAAUGCGUUUGUUAAAUUAAAUCUAGAGAGCUUGUUCUAGGUUGUUUAAUGCAUAGGGUCGAGUAAAGAGCUUGUUUUAUUCGACUAACAUGUAAUAAGAGGUUGAGAUAAUUUAGCUUGUAAUUAUUCUCGAAUUGUUAUUAAUCUUGAGAAUGAAAAUCUAUUGUGGUAAUUGACAUGAAAAUCAUUCUUGUGGUGAUGAAAUAUCCCCCAAUCACAUUUUCUCGUAUUCAAUCGAAACCACUUUGUUUAUUUCAAGUUUCAAAUAUUCUCUAUUUCGAAUUUAUCACUUUACUUAAUUAAAUGAACCAACCCCCCCCCCCCCCCAUUUAAUCAAUUUCGUAUAUAAUCGCUAAUUUUACUUUUUAGUACGCAAUUGACAAAAUUGAACCAAUCCUCUGCGAGAAAUGACCCUUACUUACCAUUUUACUAUUUAAGACGACACUUUUAAGUUAAAGUAAGGAAAAGUAAUUGGAACAUGAUUUGCAACGUAUCAUACCACUAAGAAGGCCCAUCUGUGUCUCUUGUUCCUCAAAAUACCAGAUUAGUAAGAUUGACGGAGAGAUUUUCAGAAACUAUAAUUGAUAAGUGUAAAAAAUUUUCAGGUGACUCAAGAGUGCUGCGAGCUCAUUGGUAACAUAAACUACACAUACAUUGAACACCACCUGCGGGUUGUGUUUCUAAUACUUAUGGGGUAGAGAAAUUUAUGUUGAUAAUAAGGAUUAUGUUAGUGCAAAGGAUGUUUAUCAUUUUUAUCACAUGAGUGAGAAAUAGUUUGCAGUGACCUUUUCAUUUGCCUUGAUAUUCUGGAUGCUUUUCCUAUUGCCACUGAUGUAUAAGGGGUUAACUUUUUAAUGUUGGCCGGUCUGUCAAAAAACUUAUAUUCUUCAACAGAUACAUAUAUACCAUUAUUCUAAUCUCUUUGCAUUAGGUUAUGUGGGUUCCCGAUAGUUUUGAAAUUGGCAUGGUAGCUGAGAAGCUUGGAAAGUCACGAAAAUAUCAAGCAGUUUUGUGUAUUGGAGCUUUGGUAUGCUUUUCUUUCACAAGUUCCAAAUGUGCUGAUGUUUUAUAUUCUUUUAUUUUGCACGUCUCCCGCAAUUUGCAUUCAUAGUUAUUGUUUGCAUGUUCUGCCAUAGCUUAAGGUCAUCAUUUUUUUGCUUCAAUUACCCACUUAUCACAUUUGUUUGUUAGGAAUCUACUUAACAUGUACUGUAGAAAAUUAAAACAGAUUUCGAUUCCCACUAGGAGUCUCUUUGUGUUUAGAUAGAAAUUGUAAAAAAGAUCGUACAUUUUUCUAGAUCUGCAAACUCCUGUACUUUUCUAGCAUUCCAACAAUCUUGAUCUGUCAACCACAGUUGUCCAAUUGUCCAGCCUCCAUCGGUGAUCCACACAGAGAACAAGAUUGUAGGAUUAGGAUUUUCAUCUUGUUCUAGCAAGAAUAAUGAAGAAUAAUAAAUUCAUUACAAAAUUGUAAACUUAUUUAUAUAAGUCCAAACGGGAUUGGCCUAAUCCGGUCCAAUAUUUAAUCAAUCCAUUAAUUAAAUCUGGUCCGUGAAUUAAUUAAUCCAAUUAAUUAAUUCGGGCCUAUAAAUAACCAUCCCAAUUAAUUAAUUUAUCUAACGAUUGUUAAAUUAAUUAAUCGACAAAUUACAAUCUUCCAAUUCUCUUUUGUAUACGACCCAUCAGGUUUCCGAUCACGAUAUCUAACGACAUGAAAUAUUAUUUUGAUCUAAUCAAAAUUGAUAAAUCAAAACAGCAUUUUAAUUUAUGACAAAUUCACACUCGUCGUCCCAGAUUGACAUCUAGCAAUGUGUCAGGGCAAUACAUGUGACGGAAAAUGUCACGUGAUAUGACAAAAUCAAACUCGUUCGUUUACCGUGAAACUAUAAUCCCUUUGUCAAUAUGAUCCGAUCAAUUACAAAAUAUAGAAACGUGUCAAUCCCGAUUAUCGAUCAUAUCCUUCACUUCACUAUUAAGUCAGUGUAAGUCGAAAACUCCUUUUCGACUUAUGAGUACACCUUGACCAAUGAUUUCGUUAUCGAUUUAAUUGAGUAAAACGCAGAUCAUAAUUUCUUACUAUCUAAGAGUGACGAAUCCUCUAUUGAUCAUUAAUAACCUUCAUAUGAUUCUUGACAUACCCGAAUGAUGCCGUAUUAACGACCCUUGGCAAAGCAACAUCCAACACCGCCAACUGACCUCAUGCAAGGUAUCAUGACGACCUCAAGUCAAAGGACCAAUUCCACUAUCGAAUGUUAGAGAUUAACCACUGACACUCAGAUAGUUAUCCAUGUGAAAUCUCUCGGUGGGUGUCCAAUUUUUUGUUUUAUAAUAAAAUAUCCACAUGUUCAUUCAAGUGUCACCACACUUUAACUUGUGAGAUCAGCUGCUUAUUUUACAAGUAAGAAAUGCCACACGUGAUAGUCUAUCCGUAAUAACGAUAUCCGUAUGUCGUUAUUACUUACAAUCACAGACGAUUUAAGAUUCAAUCAUAUAUAAUUUGUAUCUCACAAUCACAACUCCUUGUGAUUAACAAAUUACGGAGAUUUGAAUCUACGGACUCUAUUACUGUAUAUUAAUUAAAUAAUAGAUCUGCCAUUAAAUUGCAUUAAAUAUAUAUUAAAAGUAUUUAUGUCUAAGGUUGAUUGAACAUAGGGCAUAACACUUACAUUGUUGAGGCCAUUGAGUUCCAUAAAUCUUUUGCUGCUUGUUAUUGUCUUUAUUGUGCUUAUCAUUAUUCUCAAUUACUAAAUGAUCUUUUUCUUCUUAAACCUUUCUGACCAGUAGAUUUGAAGUGAUACUUCCCACUUUGAUGAUGUGGCCAAUUCAGCUGCAUCUGGAGUACUCUCAGCAGGCCUAAAUUCAAGUGGGUUGAUUUGACAUUAGAAGUAUAUCUAUUUUCCAAUAUCUACUGCCGCGUAAAUCUAUCCAUGCUUUAACAUACUAAAACGUACAAUCUACUAUGUCUUUUGGCAAUAGGGCAUGUUUAUAAUGUUACUAUCAGUUAACUUAUUAGUGCAACUGUUGAAUUUGUACGGUGUCAUUGGUGGUGAACACAAGCAACUAAACAAUGAGAAAUUAAACAAGAAGAGAAAGAGGGAUAAAUAGGAGAAGAAAGAGGGAAGAAUGAGAGAAGAGACAGAAUUGCUGGAAGACUUUGUAAUUUUAUUCAACGAUCAAAGUUGGUUAUUACAAAGUAAGAUCCUCCUUAUAUAUAGUCUAAACUAAAAUAAAUAAGAAAAAAUAGGUUUCCACAUAAGGAAACAAACUAAAUUCUUUUAACUAACAAUGACUGAUAUUAAGGAAAAUAAAGUAAACCCUGAUUAUUUUAAUUUGUUCUACGUCUGGAAUAUACUUUUAAUAUUGUACUAUUUCUCCCCAGCUGACAAGAACUCAACUUUGAUGAGUAAUAGUGAAGAUAGGCAUCCAAUAACCUUGUAUCUUGUUGGCAAAACUCAUCUUCAUUAAUUCAAGUAGAAUCACUUGGCUGACGAUCUUUCCAAUGUAGCAUAAAUUUAUGAAAUUCACCAUUUUUCGUAUCAACAACUUGAUCUUUGAGCACUUCAUCAUUGAUAUCAGAAGGGGGAUACGUGGUGACAAGAAGAGUCCAAAGGGGUGGGCAAGAAUCAUAGGCUUGAAUGUGCCUCUAUAUAAGGAUAUACAUACACUAUAUUGAAAAUCAGACUAAUAUUUUAAUGCGCUGACAAAUCAAGCAAAUAUGAAUUAGUUCCCUACCUUAUAAUAAUGGAUAGAGACCAAGAGAUUCAGCACAUAUUUUUUUAGUAGCAUGUUUGGGAAAACGUUCUAGGACUUUUCAAAUCAUUACUUAAUCAUCAACAUUAAAUUCUUUAUGCCUAUGGCAUGAAUCGACUGCAAGUAUAUAGUGGUAAUUACUUAAAGCAUUUUUUGUUUAAUUUUAUAUGUAAUUGAUUAACAUGGUCAACAAAAGCUUGAGCAGAACUAGUUGGAUUAAAAUCAGUUAGUAAAGGAACAAGAUCAAGUAGGUUUGGAAGGUGAUUGCCACAACCACAAGCCGUAACAUGUGUGUAAACAGUGAUUUGGUCAGAGGAAAACGUCUGGUGAACUAAAGCAACUAAACCAUGAGCAAUUAAAGAAGAGGAUGAGGGAGAAAUCGGAGAAGAGGUAAGAAUAAGAGAAAAUAUCAAGAGAGGAAAGAGAAUUUGAUGUGAUUCGAGGUAGGCACCAAACUAUUGAGAACUUGUUGAUUGUCGACUAGGAGCUGGGACUAAGAUUUGAACCUAAUUCGAGCCAAUGAGACCAUGCAAUUGUUUGUUCGAGUUUUGAGUACGCCAUGUUGGAGUUAAUGAGCCAAAGAUCAAGUUCCAUGUUGGGGUCAAAGGCCAGAAACAAUUAGAUCAACUCAAUACACGUGGACAGAAUCAGAGGCCGAGGCUUAAAUAUGCGACCGCACAAGCUAAACCAGAAAAUCAGCUAGGCCAUUUUUUUGACUUGUGCGAUCACACAAGUUAUAACCAUGCGGUCACAUGGUUAAGUAACAAACCAAAAUUUUUUUUUUUUUUUUUUUUCGCGAGUAGUUUAUUUUAGUUGGAACUCUUAAUUUUGACAACUUUCUAUAGCCUAGGAGCCUUAAUUCCCUUUUUUACACUAUUUUCUAGGGUUUUAUAGUUCUAAUAUAAAUAGCCAUUAUUUCUUUUGUUGUAAAAGAAAUGAAUAACUAAAUAAAGACAUUGAAUAUUGAAUUUAAUUUCAGAGGCUAUUUGCACUACACCAAAAACUGCCUUUUGCAAUGUUCGAAAAACGUUGCCAUAGACCUUUUGCAGCAUUUUUGUGUAUGUUGCAAAUCUCGAUGUUGUCGUAGAGUAGUAGGAUACGACAACGAUCUUUGAACGUUGUAAAUAACCUUUUGGCAGUGUUCUUUGAAUGUUGUGAAUAACCUUUUUGCAGCGUUCAAGAAACAUUGCUAAUAAUUCUUUUGCAACAUUUUUUGUCUAUAACCUAUACUAAUAUCCUUAGUUUUUGCAACUUAUUUUGACCAGUGCCGCAAGUCUCUCUCUCUCUCUUUAAGAUAAUAUUGUUUGACCGUUGCAUAGAUAACGUACACAAGUUCAUCCAGAAAUCAGUCUAUUCAUCAAAUAAUAAGAACAAAAUUUAUUGAUAAACUAGCAAAGUCAUGAUAGGAUCUUACAUGCAAAGUCAUGGGCAUCUUACAUGUAAAUUUAUUAAUAAACUUGCAAAGUCCUGGGCAUCUUACAUGUUUGAAAAAUAGCAACUUUUAGAUCACUGUAGCAAAAAUGCAACCAACAAACAAAAAAGAGCACAUAAAAAAGGGAUAAAUACCAUAAGGAAGAAGUUACACCAUAUAUUAUUCAAGCCUCAAGAGGUUACAUUUCAUAGGACAUACCUAUUUUCCACAUCAUUUCCUCCAACUGGAAGGGCAAAGGGCUGCAAAACUUGUGGGAGGGCAAUAUCUUUGUGUGGAAUAAAUCCAACAGCAUAGCUUGGAGAGCAAAUGAAACAAAUUGACUUCUUUACGAGGAAUGGAAGUCCUUCAGUGGCCCUCACACCAACAUCAUGACAAGUAACAAAAAAGUGAUAUGUACCCACAGUUCUAUUCCAGUAAGGAUACUUGGACAUCAAGUUCUCCACAUAGUUCGGUACAAUUACAGUCAUGUUCUCAUAUUACAUUCCUUGCACGUUAUGAUAACAGAAUCAUUUAGCAGAAUGGAGCGGCUCAAACUAUGGUGUAAAUAUAACAACAAUAUUACGGGGCUAAGACCAUUUACACCAUUAGUAUCAGAAAAAUCCAAUAAAUUUAAUCAGCAAACUGUUAAAAGAUGCAAGACCCAAGUUAAUGCUCAUUGGUUUAUGAAUCGUAGCAAGUAAUAAAGUGGACCUAAGAGUCCAAGUUGUCGAUCCCACGAGGACUAGACUUGAGCAAUUCAUUCAAUUUUCUUUAACCUCUAUUUGAUGAAAAUAUAAAAAAAACGAUGAUCGAUUGUGAUUUUUUGAUCUAACUACUUAAAAUGUGAAUGGAUGCAAUAAAAAGUGAUUUGGAAUUCAAACAAUAAUUGGAUGUUAGGGAGGAACAACUUCACCUAUUGGUCACCUUUAUUUCUAAUAUCGAGAUUCAUAAAAUCUAAAGUAACGUUCGGUCAAAUUCUUCUAUUGUAUUCAAUUUACCCCUCUUGAGUUCUCAUUGAGCCUAUUUAACUGUUUCAAUUCCAUAUUUCUAUGUGAAUCAAACUUAGUUAAACGCACUAAUAGUUCUAAGAAUUCAUUUAUGACUGCAGUAAUUAAUAUAGGUAUCUCUACACGUUAUAUUAAUUUAUCGGAUUUUAAUAUAUGGUUUAAACAAGAAUUCGCAUCUCUACGCAAUUACUGUUCAUGAAAUCGUUGAAUAAUUGACCAGAAAAUUCAAAGCAUUGAGAACAUGAAUAAAAUCCACACGUAUAAUCAUAACAAUAAGAAUCUGAAAUUAAAAAAAUAAAGGAUUCCAAAUAGGUUACAUUGUUUGUCCUAAAAUUAGAUUUAGCUACUCUUAGUUUCCAAAGUAAAAGUCUCAUUUUAAUUGUGAUAUUCAAUGUGCAUUCAAAAGGUCGAGAGCGCGCACGAUUUCAAAUCCAAGAGCAAGGCGGCGGAGGAAGUUCGGCUGGGUUACGUUACGGCCUCCGACAAGCAAAAGCAGGAGGUUUCGGAUCUGUCGAAGACCGAGUAAUGAAAGAAAAAAUAAAACGUUAUUAUGGAAGACAUCAUCGGGCUUUAAAUAAGAUGUAGAAGAAAAAUUAGAAUUCUUGCACCAAGAUCUCCUUCCUCUUCCAAUCAAUACGUUAAGCCUUCAAUUACAUGAUGUUUUCAUCAUUUGAAUUCUUCUUUUGAUUAUCCAAUUAUGUUCUCUUGCCUCUCAAUGUGUGAAUCCCCUCUCCAACUGUCUUUCUCUCAGGUUGUAUUUUUGUCUUUUUCAAGUAUUGGAAGAGUUUUGAUUGAGUUGGGCUUUUAAAAAGAUGAAUUUCACUUGAAACCCCUAUUUUACGGUAGUGAGGCACCUAGGUGCUACAAUUGGGCACCUGAGCGCUGAAUUUCGUGAAAAAAAAUCAGAAACAUGGCACCUGGGUACUAUGGGAUAGUGCUUGGGCGCUACCGUCAGCUUCGAUUGCACUGCACAAUAUACAGUCUUUUUAUCAUAACUUUUACUUCUGAUAUUCGAUUGAGAUGAUUCAAAAUGCGUUCGAAAAGCAUUACUUAAAGGGCUAAAACUUUGUUUCAGAUACCAUUUUCAAAUUCGAUCAUUUUCUAUGUCAAAAAUGGGUCUCAAUAUGAGUCUGAAAAUGGUGCAUAAAUUUUUUCGGUUAGAACUUGAUGUAUGAUCAUACUUUGAUUAUAUUUCAUCCCUUCGAUGUUGCUUUUUCCAAUUGACUUCGAGCACUCUUGAAUCUUCAUCGUGAUGUCUGAAACAAUUUUCGAGUAUUUGCACUUUAGUCCUCGAGCUUUGUAUUUCUUGCAACUUAGCCAUUUGCUCUAAUUUUGUCAACUUUUCCUUAUUUCCUUCAAUAUCUUGUACCAUUAUCGAAUUUUACCUAUUCAACAUCAAAUAAAACAAUUUAGACUAUAAUUCAUCCGAUGAGCAACUAAAUAUCAUCGUUUUAAAGCCUUGAAUAAGUGUAUAAAAUAUACUUAUUAAAUACCUCCAAACAUAAACAUUUGUUUGUCCUCACACAACACUAUCAUCUAAAUAACUACGAACACAUAAGCAUGCAAAAGAUAAUGGUUGGACAAUCAGACUUUUUACCUCAAGAUUCGAGAUUUUGAUGUUUAUUCCACAAACAUACUUCAAAGUUGCAAUACCAAACCAAUAUCUACUCUUCCAGUGCAAAAUCGAUGUAUAUGUGUGUAGAACUAAGAAAUCAACCAUGAUUGCACAAGUUAUUUCAAUUCUCGACCCUCUGUUGUCAAAUAUAUCCUUACAUUUCUCUUGUGAUUCACACACUCCCAAACUUACAAUUUUUCACUCAUUCCUAGUGUACAACCUAAGGUUGAAUAUUUCAUUACUAUCCUCACCCUCUUGAGUUUAGAGGACGUUACUAGUUAUAAGUCAACACUUCAAUGAACAAGGAUUCUCCAAUUAUUUGAUUGCUUUGACUGCCACGACUCAAUUGGCUAAUUAUCCUUUAUAGAAAGUCAAAUUUCCUCAAAUAAGUGUUGGGGCUUAACCAAUGUAUUUAGUGCUUUUGCUCUUUUCAUACACGUGCUUUUUUUUUCGUAAGUUUUUUUUUUUAAUUUAUGCAUUCUCUCCUUCAAGCUUUCUAGAUGACCAUUGUAACAGGAUUUGGGUAGACGACUCCAAAAUCAGAUGAUUUUAGGACACCAGGUUUUAAACAUAUUUACAGGCUUAUUGACCAGAGUAAAAAAGGCUUUGAAGAGAACCAAUUUUUGUUUUAAGUGCAACUUCAUCUUUGAUUGCCUUCUAAAUGACCCCUAUAGCGAGCUUUAGGUUGAUGACUCUCAAAUCAGACGACUUUGGGGCACCAUGUUUUAAGAUACCCUUGCAGGCUUAAUUACUCGAAUCAUGAAGACAUCAAAGAGAAGUUUUUAGAUUUCAAAUGUAUAAGCCUUGAUUAGUGCAAUGCCUCGUCCACACAUUUAUUCAAAUAAACCAACCUCCAACUUAAAACUUUCGCUCGUUUUAUCAUAUUAGUCUAAGACAAUUCACACAUAAGUUUUCAUGCAUGGAAUUCAAAUUCACAUCCGCAUCUUCCUACAGCUGUAAAGUCACCCCCAAACUGUGAUAAAUUAGUUCUAAGGAUAAAUAAUUUACUAUAGUUUAGGUAAAACAUCUAUGUCCAAAUAAAUCAACCUAUCUAACAAAUGAAUCAACACGCUUCAUCGUAGUGUCAGACUCAAUUCUACAAGGUUAAGCUUCAAUCAAUCUGGCAUGCAUCCUAUCCACAGUUCAUAAAUUAACACCAAAUCUCAUAGUAAAACGUAAUUGUAAGCCGAAAUGUCCAACUGACACAAAAAAAUUUAGGUAGGCAAUUAGGUAAUUAAUAAUAAUACAUCCCCUAAACUUAAACUAAACAUUGUCCUUAAUGUAAAAUUUAAAAGAAAAGGUGAUAUGAAUCAAGGCGCGUCAACAACCAAGACAACUCAAGCGUCAAGUCACGGGAAGGAUCCGUUGAUCGUCGAAGGUGGACCGAUGACGCGAUCGAGGAUGAAGCAAGUGAAAGAAGUGAUGGGAUUGCUCGUCAACCAAGUCAAUGAAGACAAAAUGUUCGGGGCGCAAAAUGGAGCAAGUUUCAUGUUGGAGUCGAGAGCCGAAAGGACUUGGAUCAACGUGAUAAAGACGGAAGAAAAUGAAGCCGAAGAUUGUUCCAUGCGAUUGCAUGGUUAAACAACCUAUGCGGUCGCAUAGAUGGCCUCAGGGAUAAUAUUGGGGGCAGGGACUUGUUCUAUGCGGCCACAUAGAUUAACACUAUGCGGCCGCAUAGAACAAAAAAAUGAAAAAAAUUCAUUUUUUUUAUUUUUUUUCUGAAUUUCCUAGUUUCGAUAGAAUUCUUAUGAAAUCAAAUUAUUACCAUAAUUUGAUGGGGUUUGGACGUUUUUUACUCAUUACUAUAAAUAGGAAAAUAUUUUUCAUUGUAAGGACUUUUGCUUGAAUAAUAUUAUAGAGAGAGAAUUUGUUCUUUCAAUUUCUUGUUCUUCUUGAACAAUCUUGAGAAAUUAGGACUAGCAUUGUUAAGACACCCUAGGCCUUAUAAGUUGCAAUGGUUGAAUGAAAGUGGGGAAGUUAGGGUGAAUAGAAGAGUUUUAAUUAAUUUCUCAAUUGGGAGUUAUAGUGACAAAGUAGUAUGUGAUGUGGUGCCUAUGCAUGUGGGUCAUAUCUUAUUAGGAAGACCAUGGCAAUAUGAUAGAAGGGUCACACAUGAUGGAUAUAGGAAUCGUUAUAGCUUUGUCAAGGAUGGGAAAACUAUUACUCUUGCGCCAUUAACACCAGCACAAGUGUAUGGAGAUCAAAUCAAGCUGAAAAGUGAGGAAGACGAGAGAAUAAGAGAGUCCAAAAAAAGGAGAGGCAAUAGUGAAACCAAAAAUAAGAGAGAAAAUAGUGAGGUGGCUGAGAGUGGAGAAAAGAGAGAGAAGCCACAUGAGCGGAGAGAAAAUGAGUCAGUUGAGAGGAGAGAAAAUGAGUCAGCUGAGCGGAGAGAAAAGCCCAAGGUCAACUUCUAUGCAAAAGAGAGUAAGUUGAAAAAGGCUAUUAGCGAAAAUAGGCAAAUGAUAUUGUUAGUGUACAAGGAGUCCUUCCUCAAUUUUGAGGAUUCUAACACAUCCGUCCCUAGUUUGGUUAAGUCUUUAUUGCAGGAGUUCGAUGAUGUGUUUCCUGAGGAGAUGCCAAGUGGAUUGCCACCAAUCAGAGGCAUCGAGCACCAGAUUGACUUUGUACCCGGAGCUGUCAUAUCGAAUCGACCGGCUUACUGAAGCAAUCCCGAGGAGAUGAAGGAGCUUCAAAGCAAGUGGAGGAGUUGAUGAGCAAAGGUUAUGUCAGGGAGAGCAUGAGUCCAUGUGCUAUACUUGUUUUGCUGGUGCCUAAGAAGGACGGGACUUGGAGAAUGUACGAGGAUUGCCGAGCUAUCAAUAAUAUCACGGUAAAGUAUCGUCACCUAAUACCUAAGCUAGAUGAUAUGCUUGAUGAGUUGCAUGGUGCUUGCAUUUUUAGUAUGAUUGAUCUUAAGAGUGGGUAUCAUAAAAUUCGCAUGCGGGAGGGUGAUGAAUGGAAAACGGCGUUUAAGACUAAGUAUGGAUUGUAUGAAUGGUUAGUUAUGCCGUUUGGACUCACUAAUGCACCGAGUACUUUUAUGCGUUUAAUGAACCAUGUUUUGCGUACUUUUAUUGGGAAAUUUAUUGUAGUUUAUUUUAAUGACAUCUUAAUCUAUAGCAAAAACCUAGAUGAGCAUUUAGAACAUUUAAAUUGUGUGCUUGUUGUGUUCUAAAAGGAACAACUGUAUGCUAAUUUCAAAAAGUGCACAUUUUGCAUGGAUAGAGUUGUUUUCCUAGGAUUUGUGGUUAGUGCUAACGGGGUGGAAGUCGAUGAAGAAAAGAUAAAAGCUAUAAAAGAAUGGCCAACACCUAAGACUAUAACUGAAGUUAGGAGUUUUCAUGGAUUGGCUAGUUUUUAUAGGUGAUUUGUAAGAGAUUUUAGCACCAUCACCACACCGUUGAUUGAAAUAGUAAAGAAGUGUGUAGGUUUCCAUUGGGGAGAAUCUCAAAAAAUUGCAUUUAACACAAUUAAGGAUAAGCUAUGUAAAGUACCUGUUUUGGCAUUACCAAAUUUUGAUAAAACAUUCGAGGUUGAGUGUGAUGCAUCAGGAAUAGGUAUAGGAGCAGUGUUAAUGCAGGAAAAGAGACCUAUUGCUUACUUUAGCGAAAAAUUGAAUGGGGCAGCAUUGAAUUAUCCGACAUAUGACAAGGAGCUGUAUUCACUUGUUCGAGCAUUGGAGACUUGGCAGCACUACUUAUGACCAAAGGAGUUCGUGAUACACACCAAUCAUGAAUCUUUAAAGCAUUUGCGAGGUCAAGGUAAGUUGAACAAAAGACAUGCGAGAUGGGUGGAGUUUAUCGAGACAUUUCCCUACGUCAUCAAGUACAAACAAGGUAACGAAAAUAUAGUUGCUGAUGCGUUGUCUCGAAAGUACGUGCCUUUAAAUUCAUUAAGUACUAAUUUACUUGGUUUCGAGCAUAUUAAGGGCAUGUAUGAAUCUGAUUGUGAUUUUUCUACUAUUUAUACUUCAUGUGACAAAGGUGCAUUUGAUAAAUUCUAUAGGCAUGAAGGAUAUUUGUUUAUGGAAGAUAAGUUGUGCAUUCCUAAUUGUUCUUUGCGUGAAUUAUUGGUAAGGGAAGCACAUGGAGGGUGGUUUAAUGGGACACUUCGGGGUUCAAAAGAAUUUAGACAUGUUAGGGGAACAUUUUUAUUGGCCUAAAAUGUGACAUGACGUAGAACAAAUAUGUGGAAAGUGCAUAACUUGUAAAAAGGCUAAGUCUGAGGUUCAACCCCAUAGUUUGUAUACUUCUUUGUCUGUACCUAGUGAACCUUGGGUAGACAAAUCUAUGGACUUUGUAUCAGGUUUGCCUAGGACAAAAAGGGGUCGGGAUUCAAUAUUUGUAGUGGUCGAUAGGUUUAGUAAGAUGGCAUACUUCAUACCAUGUCAUAAAACUAAUGAUGCUACUAAUAUUGCAGACUUAUUCUUUAGGGAAAUAGUACCUUUACAUGGAGUACCUAAAAGUAUAGUAUCUGAUAGGGACGUGAAGUUUUUGAGUCACUUUUGGCGUGUUCUGUGGAGUAAGUUAGGAACUAAGUUAUUAUUUUCUACAACUUGUCACCCACAAACAGAUGGACAAACUGAGGUAGUUAAUCGAACUAUGACUCAACUACUUAGGACAGUGAUCAAUAAAAAUCUGAAAUCAUGGGAAGAGUGUUUACCAUUUAUAGAGUUUGCAUAUAAUCGAGCUACACAUUCUACUACUUCGUUUUCUCCUUUUGAAAUUGUUUAUGGUUUUAAUCCACUAACACCUAUGGAUUUAAUGCCUUUGCCUAUGCAUGAACGAGGUAGCUUGGAUGGGAAACGAAAAGCCGAAAUGGUGAAAACACUCCAUGAAAAGGUCAAGAUGCAGAUCGAAGAGAAAGGAAAGCUGAUUGCAUCAAAAGCAAAUAAAGGAAAAAGACGCGUUACAUUUGAGCCUGGAGAUUGGGUCUGGGUGCAUUUCAGAAAAGAGCGUUUUCCAGAACAGAGGAAGUCAAAAUUGCAACCACGAGACGAUGGACCUUUUCAAAUCAUCGAGAGGAUCAAUGACAAUGCAUACAAAGUGGAUUUACCAGGUGAGUACAAUAUUUCGGCUACUUUUAAUGUAUCUGAUCUCUCUCUGUUUGAUGGAGGUUCAGAUUCAAGGAUGAAUCCUUUUGAAGAGGGAGGAGAUGAUAUGAUCCAGGAGUCGAACCCGACGAAGGCAAGUGCGAGACGAGACCCGUUGAUAGUCGAUGGCGGGCCAAUGACGCUAUCAAAGGCAAAGGAAGUGAAACAAGCGAUGGGAUUGCUCGUUCAAGAAUCCAUUGAUGGAACCAUGUUCGGGACUCAAAAUGGAGCAACUUUCAUGUUCGGGUCGAAGGCCGAAUCAACUUGGAUCAAUUUGUUAUCAAGCGACGAAAGCGAAGGCUGAAGACAACACCAUGCGGCCGCACAGGGAAAGCCACAUGUGGCCACACACAUGCAUACCGAAAACCAAAAGACUAAUUCCUGUUGAACCAUGCGACCGCAUGGAUUUACACCAUGCGGCCGCACCAACCAAAAAAAUUGGCGAAUUUUCUAAUUUUGGCCGAAUUUCCUAGUUUCGAUAGAAUUCUUAUGAAAUCAAAUUAUUACCAUAAUUUGAUGGUUUUGGACGCUUUUUAUUCAUUAGUAUAAAUAGGAGAUUACUUUUCAUUGUAACAACUUUUGAACUUUUGACUUUUGAAUUAAUAUUAUAGAGAGAGAAAUUUCUUCUUUCAAUUUAUUGUUCUUCUUGAACAAUCUUAGAACUUAUCAAGAUUCAACUUCUUGUGGCGUUCUAUCAAUAGGAUUGUGGGUUCUUUUAAUUGUAAUCAAGGGGUUUUAGGUUCUUCGCUAAUCUAGGGUUUCUUGGUUCAAUUCUUGGGGUUCGAGAUCCAAAACCGGGUUAGUAUUGGCGUUCUUGGGUUCCGCGUCAAUCUCGUUGUGGGUUUCAUAGUUUCCAUUGCUACGGGGUUCGCAUCAGUUGGUAUCAGAGAUUUGGCUCCAAUUUAAUCAGGUUAUAUCUUUUUUUUUUCAAUUCCUUGUGUUCUUGUGUCCAGAAGGUUUUCUUGAUCUUUUGAUCCAAAAGUUUCAUCAAAAAUCUUCAAAUUCCGUUUCUGGGCUCAAUUUUCGCCCAAAUCAGUUUUCGUUUUCUUUGUUGGUUUUGUUAUUGAUUUCCGGAUCUGAAAAAAAUUACUGUUCAUCCGUACAGUAAAAAAAACUUAAAUAUUAUUGAUCCGUCAAAUACCAACUUUUAUUAUUCAUUAUCGUUUCUAAAUUACUUGGACACAUUAAAUCAUUCCAUUCCUUCAAUUCAAGUCAAGCUUUAAAAGUUUUCUUUGAGUCCUUUGUUAUAAUUAUUGAGUCACAUCUGGUUUGGGGAAUUCUACAGGAUUUGAUUGAUUGAUUGAUUGAUUGAGUUCAUUGAUUGUUCCUAAAAGCAAUUGUUGAAAGAACUAAAUGGUAAAAGGCAGAGAGGUGAGCUUAAUAGAGGGUAAAAGCCUUGUGUGUGUUCCGAGUGACUUUUGGUGAGGCAGUAAAAUAAAACUUUAGUGUUAGGAUGUCAGAAAGGGCAGAAUCAAACUCAAGCCGAUAGGGCAAUAAUAGCAAUGCAUUGGAGGAUUUAGUGCAAAGGUUUAAGAGGGCGUUUGGAGAUGUGAGAGAUAGGUUGGAGAUGUAGGAGGCUUGGAUGAAUAGAUUAGAUACAUCAGUGGCUAAUCUUAGUCGGGGGCAUCGAGUGAAUGUAUCCAAUGCCAGAUGACCGGAUAGACGGGAGCCUAGGAGGGAAAGCGAGAGGAGUAUGGAUAUGGGAGUGACAUGGGUGAAGAUGAAUUUCACGGUGUUGAGAUGGGAAGGAUGAGGAAUAGAGACGAUAGGUUCGACAGACGGGGUCGGAAUGAUCGCGAGGAGGAGUUGGAUGGAAACUUGGGAAAUAUAAAAAUGACAGUUCUUUCAUUCAAAGGAAGGAGUGAUCCCGAGGCAUACCUGGAGUGGGAAAGGAAGGUUGAAAUGAUCUUCAAGUGUUAUAACUAUUUGGAGGAGAAAAAGGUGAAGUUAACAGUUUUGGAGUUCAGUGACUAUGCAAUUUCAUGGUGGGAUCAGGUGAUUACUUCACAACGUAGGAGUGGGGGAAGACCAAUCAGCACUUGGGAGGAAUUGAAGUCAUUGAAGAGAAAGAGGUUUGUUCCUAGCCACUAUUACCGAGAGAUCCAUCAAAAACUGCAAGGUCUAUAUCAAGGGUCGAAAAGUGUAGAGGACUAUCAUAAGGAGAUGGAAAUACUCAUGAUUAGAGCCAAUGUGGUGGAGGAUCGGGAGGCUACCAUGGCACGAUUCUUGAAUGGGUUGAAUAGGGAAAUUGCCAAUGUAGUGGAGUUGCAACAUUAUGUGGAGUUGGAAGACAUGUUGCAUGUGGCUAUGAAAGUAGAGAUACAGCUGAAGAGGAAAGGGGCAGCUAGGCAGCCGUUAGGAACUUCGAGCGUUAAUCCAUCUUGGAAGCCAAGGUGGAACAACAACAACAAAGGUGAUAAAGCCGUACCUAAAGGUAGGAAUGAGUGGCAGAAGGGGAAAGAAGAAAGUGCUAGCAAAAUAGCACCUAAAACAGAUUCACAACCAUCAAGGAAUCGAGACGUCAAGUGUUUCAGAUGCUUGGGGUCAGGGCACAUUGCUUCUCAAUGCCUAAAUAAACGAGUAAUGGGUUUGUUGGAUAAUGGAGAGGUGGUGAGUGAAAGUGAAGGAGAGUUUGAGGACAUGCCUGCAUUGGAGGACGUUGAAGAAGAAGAAAAAUUGGAGUUUGCUGUUGGGGAAUCGUUGGUGUCAAGGAGAGCUCUUAACACUCAAGUCAAAGUGGAUGAUUCGGAGCAGCAGCAAGAAAAUAUAUUCCACACACGUUGUUACGUCAACAAUAAGGUAUGUAGUAUGAUUAUUGAUGGUGGGAGUUGGACGAAUGUAGCUAGCACAACUUUAGUUGAGAAAUUAGGACUAACAUUGUUAAGACACCCUAGGCCUUAUAAGUUGCAAUGGUUGAAUGAAAGUGGGGAAGUUAGGGUGAAUAGAAGAGUUUUAAUUGAUUUCUCAAUUGGGAGUUAUAGUGAUAAAGUAGUAUGUGAUAUGGUGCCUAUGCAUGUGGGUCAUAUCUUGUUAGGAAGACCAUGGCAAUAUGAUAGAAGGGUCACACAUGAUGGAUAUAGGAAUCGUUAUAACUUUGUCAAGGAUGGGAAGACUAUUACUCUUGCGCCAUUAACACCGGCACAAGUGUAUGGAGAUCAAAUCAAGCUGAAAAGUGAGGAAGACGAGAGAAUAAGAGAGUCAGGAAAAAGGAGAGGCAAUAGUGAAAUCAUCAAUAAGAGAGAAAAUAGUGAGGCGGCUGAGAGUGGAGAAAAGAGAGAGAAUCCACAUGAGCGGAGAGAAAAAGAGUCAGUUGAGAGGAGAGAAAAGGCAAAUGAUAUUGUUAGUGUACAAGGAGUCCCUUCUCAAUUUCGAGGAUUCCAACACAUCCCUCCCUAGUUUGGUUAAGUCUUUAUUGCAGGAGUUCGACGAUGUGUUUCCUGAGGAGAUGCCAAGUGGAUUGUCACCAAUCAAAGGCAUCGAGCACCAGAUUGACUUUAUACCCGGAGCUGUCAUACCAAAUCGACCAGCUUACCGAAGCAAUCCCGAGGAGACGAAGGAGCUUCAAAAGCAAGUGGAGGAGUUGAUGAGCAAAGGUUUUGUCAGGGAGAGCAUGAGUCCAUGUGCUGUACCUGUUUUGUUGGUGCCUAAAAUGUGCGUGGAUUGCCGAACUAUCAACAAUAUCACGGUAAAGUAUCGUCACCCAAUACCUAGGUUAGAUGAUAUGCUUGAUGAGUUGCAUGGUGCUUGCAUUUUUAGUAAAAUUGAUCUUAAGAGUGGGUAUCAUCAAAUUCGCAUGCGGGAGGGUGAUAAAUGGAAAACGGCGUUUAAGACUAAGUAUGGAUUGUAUGAAUGGUAAGUUAUGACGUUUGGACUCACUAAUGCACCGAGCACUUUUAUGCAUUUAAUGAACCAUGUUUUGCGUGUUUUUAUUGGGAAAUUUGUUGUAGUUUAUUUUGAUGACAUCUUAAUCUAUAGCAAAAACCUAGAUGAGCAUUUAGAACAUUUAAAUUGUGUGCUUGUUGUGUUGUGAAAGGGACAACUAUAUGCUAAUUUCAAAAAGUGCACAUUUUGCAUGGACAGAGUUGUUUUCCUAGGAUUUGUGGUUAGUGCUAAUGGGGUGGAAGUCGAUGAAGAAAAGAUAAAAGCUAUAAAAGAAUGGCCAACACCUAAGACUAUAACUGAAGUUAGGAGUUUUCAUGGAUUCGCUAGUUUUUAUAGGCGAUUUGUAAGAGAUUUUAGCACCAUCACCACACCGUUGACUGAAAUAGUAAAGAAGAGUGUAGGUUUUCAUUGGGGAGAAUCUCAAGAAAUUGUAUUUAACACAAUUAAGGAUAAGCUAUGUAAAGCACCUGUUUUGGCAUUACCAAAUUUUGAUAAAACAUUCGAGGUUGAGUGUGAUGCAUCAGGAAUAGGUAUAGGAGCAGUGUUAAUGCAGGAAAGGGGACCUAUUGCUUACUUUAGCGAAAAGUUGAGUGGGGCAGCAAUGAAUUAUCCAACAUAUGACAAGGAGCUGUAUUCGCUUGUUCGAGCAUUAGAGACUUGGCAGCACUACUUAUGACCAAAGGAGUUCGUGAUACACACCAAUCAUGAAUCUUUAAAGCAUUUGCGAGGUCAAGGUAAAUUGAACAAAAGACAUACGAGAUGGGUGGAGUUUAUCGAGACAUUUCCCUACGUCAUCAAGUACAAACAAGGUAACGAAAAUAUAGUUGCUGAUGCGUUGUCUCGAAAGUACGUGCCUUUAAAUUCAUUAAGUACUAAUUUACUUGGUUUCGAGCAUAUUAAGGGCAUGUAUGAAUCUGAUUGUGAUUUUUCUACUAUUUAUACUUCAUGUGACAAAGGUGCAUUUGAUAAAUUCUAUAGGCAUGAAGGAUAUUUGUUUAGGGAAAAUAAGUUGUGCAUUCCUAAUUGUUCUUUGCGUGAAUUAUUGGUAAGGGAAGCACAAGGGAGUGGUUUAAUGGGACACUUCGGGGUUCAAAAGACUUUAGACAUAUUAGGGGAACAUUUUUAUUGGCCUAAAAUGCGACAUGACGUAGAACAAAUAUGUAAAAAGUGCAUAACUUGUAAAAAGACUAAGUCUAAGGUUCAACCCCAUGGUUUGUAUACUCAUUUGCCUAUACCUAGUGAACCUUGGGUAGACAUAUCUAUGGACUUUGUGUUAGGUUUGCCUAGGACAAAAAAGGGUCGGGAUUCAAUAUUUGUAGUGGUCGAUAGGUUUAAUAAGAUGGCGCACUUCAUACCAUGUCAUGAAACUGACGAUGCUACUAAUAUUGCGGACUUAUUCUUUAGGGAAAUAGUACGUUUACAUGGAGUACCUAAAAGUAUAGUGUCUGAUAGGGACGUGAAGUUUUUGAGUCAUUUUUGGCGUGUUCUGUGGAGUAAGUUAGGAACUAAGUUAUUGUUUUCUACAACUUGUCACCCACAAACAGAUGGACAAACUGAGGUAGUUAAUCGAACUAUGACUCAACUACUUAGGACAGUGAUCAAUAAAAAUCUGAAAUCAUGGGAAGAGUGUUUACCGUUUAUAGAGUUUGCAUAUAAUCGAGCUACACAUUCUACUACUUCGUUUUCUCCUUUUGAAAUUGUUUAUGGUUUUAAUCCACUAACACCUAUGGAUUUAAUGCCUUUGCCUAUGCAUGAACGAGGUAGCUUGGAUGGGAAACGAAAAGCCGAAAUGGUGAAAACACUCCAUGAAAAGGUCAGGAUGCAGAUCGAAGAGAAAGGAAAGCUGAUUGCAUCAAAAGCAAAUAAAGGAAAAAGACGCGUUACAUUUGAGCCUGGAGAUUGGGUCUGGGUGCAUUUCAGAAAAGAGCGUUUUCCAAAACAGAGGAAGUCAAAAUUGCAACCACGAGGCGAUGGACCUUUUCAAAUCAUCGAGAGGAUCAAUGACAAUGCAUACAAAGUGGAUUUACCAGGUGAGUACACUAUUUUGGCUACUUUUAAUGUAUCUGAUCUCUCUCUGUUUGAUGGAGGUUCAGAUUCGAGGACGAAUCCUUUUGAAGAGGGAGGAGAUGAUAUGAUCCAGGAGUCGAACCCGACGAAGGCAAGUGCGAGACAAGACCCGUUGAUUGUCGACGGCGGGCCAAUGACGCGAUCAAGGGCAAAGCAAGUGAAACAAGCGAUGGGAUUGCUCGUUCAAGAAACCAUGGAUGGAACCAUGUUCGGGACUCAAAAUUGAGCAACUUUCAUGUUCGGGUCGAAGGCCCAAUCAACUUGGAUCAAUUUGUUAUCAAGCGACGAAAGCGAAGGCUGAAGACAACACCAUGCGGCCGCACAGGAAAAACCACAUGCGGCCGCACACGUGCAUACCGAAAACCAAAAGACUAAUUCCCGUUGAACCAUGCGACCACAUGGAUUUACACCAUGCGGCUGCACCAGCCAAAAAAAUUGACGAAUUUUCUAAUUUUGGCCGAAUUUCCUAGUUUCGAUAGAAUUCUUAUGAAAUCAAAUUAUUACCAUAAUUUGAUGGUUUUGGACGUUUUUUAUUCAUUAGUAUAAAUAGGAGAUUACUUUUCAUUGUAACAACUUUUGAACUUUUGACUUUUGAAUUAAUAUUAUAUAGAGAGAAAUUUCUUCUUUCAAUUUAUUAUUCUUCUUGAACAAUCUUGGAACUUAUCAAGAUUCAACUUCUUGUGGCGUUCUAUCAAUCGGAUUGUGGGUUCUUUUAAAUGUAAUCAAGGGGUUUUAGGUUCUUCGCUAAUCUAGGGUUUCUUGGUUCAAUUCUUGGGGUUCGAGAUCCAAAAUCGGGUUAGUAUUGGCGUUCUUGGGUUCCGCAUCAAUCUCGUUGUGGGUUUCGUAGUUUCCAUUGCUACGGGGUUCGCAUCACUUUGUGGUGAUGCGUGCACUCAACACACAAGUCAAGGUGAAAGAAGAUGAACAACAAUGGGAGAACAUUUUUCAUACUUGAUGCCAUGUGCAGAACAAGGUAUGUAGCUUAAUAAUCGAUGGAGGUUACUAUUCCAAUAUAGUUAGUACUACACUUGUAGAGAAGCUAGGAUAACUACUAAAAAACACCUAAACUUUAUAAAUUGCAAUGGUUGGAUGAUUGUGGAGAGGUUAAGGUAAAUGAGAGAGUACUAGUGGACCUUUCAAUCGGGCAGUAUAAGGAUGAAGUAUUGUGUGAUGUUGUGCCUAUGCAUGCGGGUCAUAUAUUGUUGGGUAGACUGUGGUAGUAUGAUAGGAAGGUGAAGCAUGAUUGGUUUAGAAAUAGAUACAGUUUUGACAAGGAUGGAAAAUCAAUCACACUUGUACCUUUAACAUCGCAGAAGGUAUACGAUGACCAAAUGAAGUUGAAAAGUGAGGAAGAGAGGAAAGUCAAUGAGAGACAAAAGGAGAGCUCGAGAGAAAAUGGUGAGGUGACUAAGUGAUAGACAAACAGAGUAGAGACACAAGAGGGAAAAGAAAGAGAGUCUUUUAAGCUGAGAGAAAAAUGACAGGUGAGUUUCUAUGAAAAGAAGAGUCAGCUUGAGAGUGAGUCGGUGAGGACUAACAAAUACCUCCCCAGUUCGAAUAUCUCUUCGAUGCAGGAAUGUGAAAACUUAUUGCAUGAACACUUUUUUUAAAGGAGUAUCACUGUUUGAAUAUCCAAUGGAUGCAGUACAACUAGAAUAUUUGUGGAGCAUUGAAGAAGAAUUAUAUAACCAUGGCCUUGCGGGGUUUCAAAAUCCAAAACAGAGGUUGGAUAUGGUUUGACACAUGACAAACCGGAAAUGGAGUUGUGCUCAUUCCAAGGCAGUGACUGGAAGAGGGGUAACAUAUUCAGAUACGGUAAUUGGACUUGGAAGAAUCAACCAAAAGGGCGUGAUCGUUUGCAAAGGAGUUCAAAGCUUUACCCAAGAGGAGACGGUCCGUCCCAUGGCAUCAUAAAGCUUGAGGUCCAUGGAAACAAUCAUGAUCUUGAAGUUCUGUAUUCGAGGACAAAUCAUUUCAAAGAGGGAGGGAAUGAUGUGAUCCGAGGUAGGUGCCAAACUAUUAAGAACUUGUUGAUUGUUGACAAGGGGCAGGGACCAAGAUUCGAACCUAAUUCAAGCCAACAAGAGUAUGCAAUUGUUUGUUCGAGCUUUAGAGUAUGCAAUGUUGGAGUUAAUAAGCCAAAUAUCAAAUUUCAUGUUGGGGUCGUAGGCCAGAAUCAAUUAGAUCAACUCAAUACACGUGGACGAAAUCGGAGGCCGAGGGUUAAACUGUACGAUCGCACAUGCUAAACCACCAUACAGUCGCAUGUUGGUCAACAGAAAAUCAGCUGGGCCAUUUUUUUGACUUGUGCGACCGCACAAGUUACAACCAUGUGGUUGCAUGGUUAAGUAAGGGACCAAAAAUUUUCCUUUUUUUGGGAGUAGUUUAUUUUAGUUAGAACUCUUAAUUUUGGCAACUUUUUAUAGCCUAGGAGUCUUAAUUCUAUUUUUUACAAUAUUUUCUAGGGUUUUAUAGUUCUAGUAUAAAUAGCCAUUAUUUCUUUCAUUGUAAAAAACAAACAAGACUUUGAAUAUUGAAUUUAAUUCGAGAGGCUAUUUUGCUUCCAAUUCUUUUGUUCUUACUGAAUAAUUCGAACUUAUCAAGAAAUUAAUUUUCUUGUGGCGUUCACAAAUUCAAUUGAUAUUCAUAAAUCGUGUAAUCAAGAGGUUGGUAAUUUCUUCAAUUAUUGGUUGCUUGAUUCAUCUUUUGGGGUCCAAUCCAAAACCUUGCCUAUUGGCUUUCUUGGAAUUUGGUGUUAAUCUAGUUGUGGGUUCCGUAGUUUUCGUUGCUUCGCAGAUUCACAUUAGAAUUGGAGGAAGACUGCAAUUUUAUUCAAUGAUCGAAGGUUAUUUAUUACGAAGCAAGAUCCUCUUUAUAGCAUUGCAUCAGUUAUGUUAAUCGUAAAAUUGUAUUCCAAGUUCUAUAGAAUAUCUAAUUCAGAUUGUUGUUGUUGGAGAAUCUGUUAUCUUAGCAUUUUCAACUUUUUUCAGCAAAAUUUGGGAUUUGGGGGUCACUGAAAAGGUAAGGUUUGAUGGAGAUGUGCAAGUCACUAUUACUUGGUCACUCUGGAAGGAGCCGAAUGCUAACAUUCUUCCAAAUAAGUAUUAACCAUCACUGCUUGCCAGAUUGAGUAAUUUCUUGUCAUCCAUGUUGGUCAAGGAGCUAAUACUUUUGCUGGAUUCACUUAAUUGGAUAUGCAACAUGGACGAAAUGAUGCUUAUUAUUAUUUUUUUUAUUUUUUUUUUCAAAAUUUUUUUGUUGAUUCUUGACUCUCUACUGUGAUCCCUUAUUAUCUUUUCAUUGGAAAAAAGCUGAGAUGAUUCACUAUUCGUCACCUUUUUUUUUCGAAUAUUAACUUUUCCCUAGAUAUGAUGUUUGGUUCCCUCAAUUACUUCAUUAUUUGAUCUCUCUAUGAACAUUGAAUCAUUUCUGCAAAAUUGACAAGCAAGUUCGUCUCCAUAGAUUUGGUACCAUCCCGAAAUUGAAAUCACCUAGGAGCAGAAGUGCUCUUAUCCAUGUAUGUGGGUCCAGGAAAGUAUAAAGACCAAAAAUAUUUGAGGCAAAAAUCAAGUAUAAACGCAGAUAUGUAGAAAACAGUAACGGAACACAAGAUUUUUCGGCCAAAGUCCCGAGGUUCAGUGAUUUAUCAAAUCGCCUAGUCCCCGUUGAGCAUCCAUAAAGGAAUAGGCUCAAAUCCAUUAAAAUCACCGGCCAAAUACCACAAACUUCGAUUACAACCGAAACACACAGUUCCAACCACAGCAACUAUCAAAACCCUCAACACCGAGUUGAACUCACACAAGAGUUCAUAAGGAUUCAAUCCCUUUACAGAAAAUCUACACAAAGAUCUAAGAGAGAUUCACCCAAAUUACGAAGAGAAUAACAUGAAAAAUAUAGAAGCUGCGCGAGAGAGGGCAACACUCAAACCCUAGACUCUCCUUUUAUAAGAGAGAUGCCCCAUUUUGAUCCAACGGCCUUUAUUUAGCCAAGUGUUGAAAUCUAGUAUAAGUUGUUAUUUAAAAAACUGAAAACGCGUUUUCUCAAAACCAAUUUUUGAGCUUCGAGAUUCUUCUUCAUUCUGGGUCAUUGGACCGAGUAUGGGCUGAGUCCUUAAAUUUGGGCUGGGCUUCCACAUAAAACAGCAACCCAUUUCUACAAUGUAAUUAAGGAACUGAUAAAUGUGGGCAUAGAUAGCUACACCCAUCCUCCUAAGGGAAGUGGAAACAGUAGUUGUGUGGAUAGAUAGUUUGGGGCAAGCAGUUGUGGAAGCAACUUCCCUAUGAUAUUAUCUUCUAUUAAAUCGAAAUUACACUUGCCUACAACGACAAGCACCGUAAAGUCGUACACACACACACACACUACUCGAAAUCAGUCAAGCUUUCUUAGCCCCUGUUGGGCUCCAUUUUAACUUCAAUACAUUUUUCUCUUCCUUUUUUUUUUAACUACACAUUCUUCAGUAAAAUAAUAUUACAUGUAAACCCAAAAUUUUUUCCUUCUUUUUUAACCAUAAAUUCUUCAAAAAAUUACUAUUCCAAAAUACAUUUUUUCCAAAACCUAGGUAAAAUGGAGCCCAAAGUUCCGUCUUUGUGAUACUCUUUUGAUUGCAAUCACAUUGACUGAAAUUUAAUGGCUGAUGAUCCUCUAUUGACAAUAGUUCACAUGAGUUCCUUGCAUAUUUGGUGUUUUGACAUGUGAUGGUAUGGAGCAGGUAAAAGUGUGGAACAAUUUUUUCUGUUCUGUGAGCAGAAAGACUAGUGCUUAUUCAAGCUGCAAUGUUUUGUAUUACAAAAUGGACCUUUUCUACUCUGUCGAUUCUAAGAUUUAUGCAUCUGUAAAAAUGCUAUUAUAUUUUCUUUUGGUAAAGUCGUAUAUCUAAAAACGUGUUAUUGAAAAUUCAGGCUUUGAAUAGAGCUAGUGGAAAGGCGGGAAAUAAAGACGCUGAAGCAGCUUUGACAGCUGUAAGUCGAUAACUUCAUGUAAUGAUAUUUUUCUUGCUGCCUUGCUUUUCCUUUUGGGGGUUAGUGUUACGGUUUUGCAAAUCCCACAAUUUCUGCAAAAAUGAGUCUGUUACUAUUGCCUCUGAAAGCUGUAUUUUGACUUCAUUUAAGAUGGGAUCAAUUUCAAGUUAAAAUCCAUCUACGAGGAUUUAACUUGGAAGAAGUCUAAUUUUAAUAUUAAUGAUUUAGGCCGUCUGCUUAGUUGUUUUGUUGUUUUCCUUGGACACGUUUUUCAUGGAAACGCUCCAUUAAAUUCUAAUCCUGAUCAGCAUGACAACUUCUACCUACUUUUCUCUUAAUGAAUAAUGCUAUGUAACUCCAAUGGGGAUGGAUCCCUAGUCUAGGUUGCAUUAGAUGAUAGGUUAAAUGAUUGGUGAAAUUAAGUGACUUAUUUAAUUUCACCAAUCAUUUAAUAACACAUUAAAGCCACCUAAACUGGGGAUGCACCCCAGCGAAGCUAAAUAGCAUUACUUUCUCUUAAUCUAUUUCUUCCCCUCUAUGGGUUUGUUUUGCAACAUCACUUAUAUAGACAGUAUGUUUUGCACACAAAACGAGAUCACUCAAGAAGCUUGGAUUCUUUGUAAAGCUUUAUAUAAUGCCUGGUAGUCAUGAUGGAGUAACCUGUCAGUAUUUGCUUAAUUCUUUGUACCUUCGUGGAUAUGGUUUUUGUCCUUGUGUGAAAUCUUGGAAAUAUGUGUUUCAAUUACCUGUUAUUAUUUAUUAAUCUUUUAUUUUAGUCUCGUCUUUGAUUUCAUGAAAAGAUUAUUUCGUUCUUCCUUUUUCCAUUUUGGAGGCUAGACUAGCAUCUAGCUUGUAGACAUAUGUACACCUCAACAGAGAACCUCUUCUCCCUCUCUUUUCAUGUGCAAAAUGACACGCACCUGCACGAUGAUGCACCUUUCGGAACUUGUUUUUCCACUUCAUUUGUUGCAGCCCUUUUUCUUUUUUUUUUUAACGCCACAGAUCAUUUGUAUAACUGUUUACCUCCAUAUAUCUGGAGGACUAACCAUCCUGUCACGAAUAAAAGGUGUUCGGUGGAAGACAUAAUUUUAAUAAAUAAAAUUGUCCAUUCUUUAUCAGAUGAAGCUUUUAGAAAAGAUGAUUCAAAGUCGUAUCAAAGCAGGUAGAGCUCCCGAGUUCAUGUUUUACGGCUACCCACCUACGAAAAUGUUAGGGAAUAUUUUCACAAGGGGAAGGAGAAAAAACAAAGAACCAAGAAUGAAGAAAGGAUAAACACGAAAAUCUUUGUCCUCAAACGAUGUUUGUCCCCUCUAGGAUUGAAUUAGACGCUUAAAGGAACUCUUGGCAAAUGGUUUGAAGGAUUAAUCAAGCAUUGUAAUAGAUAAACAUUUAAACACUUAGUGUUUUCUACCAAAACUUCAAGAACACAAAAGGGUUUUGAAUAUAAGAGGUUUUGAUCUUCACACGUCAUUGGUGGACCUUUUAGUUUAGGAGUUUUAAUCUCAUCCUACUUGAAAUAGACACUACUAAAUCUCUAUUUAGUGGUUUGGUUAAAGAUCCGCUAAGUUCUCGGUUGACUUUACAUAAUUCAGGGAAAUAAUUCCAUCUUUGUCUAAUUUCCUUAUGAAGUCAUGUCUACAGCUUAUACAUCUAGACUUUCCAUUAUAUGUGACUUGGUAUCUUAUUAAAUGUAGCUAGCCAACGAUCGAUUCAUUUAAUAGAUACAACUUAUCAUCACCAAGAAAUCCUCUUAUGAAGCUACAUGCUUCUCACUAAAUUUAUCUAAAGCUUUAUAAAUUUCCAAACACUGUUCGAUGAUUUCUAUCAAAUCAUUACACUAUUCAAUCACUUUUACUAGUGGAUUUCAUACAGGGUAUUCAAUUCUCAUAAUUGAAUCAUUACAAUGAUCUUCAAUUUUAUGAAUAUUUUUCAAAUAUUCCAAUUGUUUUUGCAGACACCAAAAUAGGCUUUUAUCCCAUUUCAUCUACUUUAGACUUAGUGUAUAUUAUCCUUAUAAUUGUAUGAGGAUUUCUACAUUUUCUCCUUCAUAGAUAUCUUUCUAUAAUUAAAAGUUAUAAGUAAUUUUUAAACUAAAUUACCCUCACAAUUCCUCAAUUAGGAAUCCAUAUGCAAUUUAGUAAUAUUGCAUCCAUAAGUUUUGAACUUUUCAUAGAAGUUCAAAAGCAUUAAUGUUAACCCCCACAUUUUAGGUUAUACUUGAACUUGAAGUUCAUCAACUCUUGCAGUUCAAUACACUUAUCACUUGGAUAAUAUUCGUGAAAAUCUACGUACUUUCUGAUAGUUGUCCUUAAGUCACAAUGUACUUCAAUCCAACUAUUUUUAAUUUUGAUCACACACAAUUUGAUCAAGGUCAUCUCAUAGACCAACAAUGCUUUUCAAGUAUAAGCCUACUCAAUUGGUUCCACGAUUGAAGUCAAAUUCAAUCAAUGAAGAAGACUAUGCAUCUUGAUUCACAAGAAUUGCAACUUCUUCAAGCAUGUGUAGCCCAUCACUUUUGUGACAUGUCAUUAGAUAGUGUCAUGUCAAAUUAUAAAGUACAUGUUCACCUUAUUCACAUUUGAUCAAAAUUACAUUUUGUCAUAUUCAUAUGCAAAUAUAAUUUUGCAUAAUUCAUCUUACUUAAUUGAGGCUAUCAUUAUGAACUAAAGUUAAUGAAAUCAAUCAACAAAUUUACAAUGUCGUUUUCAUAUUUCAAUAAAAAGUAUAGUCAUGAAAGUUCAUAUUCGAUCAACAAAUAGUUGGCAUUCCUCCAACACUACUAUCCCAUGCAUAUGGAUCAUUGCCAAUUGCCAUGAUAAAGCAAGAAUAAUAAAAUUAUUUCAUUUCCGCAUGUAGUAACAUUCAUCAAAAUUGAAUAAGCCAAACUUUGGAAAUUCACAUCCUUUCAUCUUUCUCAUUAUGUUUAUACUUCUUUUAAGUAUUCUAUUUAUCACAAUUUGUAAAUCAUCAAUCACAAAGAUCGAAAGAUAUGUUCUACCAUUUUAUCCUGGUUUUAGUUAACCAAUUUUCGGUUUCAACUUAAACCAAAAAGGAAAUAAUACAUUGCUUAACAACUUUCGGCAUAUGAUCAUGUACAUAUGUAGUUUUGAAUUGAGAAAACACAAAUCAGAAUAUGCGAAUUAGGACAAAAGGUCAUGCAUAAAUUCACCUUUUCACAUUAAAAGCAAUGUAGCCAUUCAUAUAUUCUUAUCCAUCAUUUGAUCAUUAAACUAUAAUGCACAACAUUAAUAUCCAGUCGUUUCCCAUUAACACAUAUCAAAAUCAGAUUUAAACAAAUGUUCAAUCUGUUUUAUGCAUAUAAAGUCAGAUUUCAUAUGUAGUCAAAACCCACGAAGAUCGAACAUAAUUUCGACUUACCAAAAUAGAAAUUGAGAAGGCGAAAUGAUAAUUACCGAAGUUGAAUACUUGACGACGAAUUUAAUCCUUCAUUCUUCAACAUUUCUUUUCAAAUCAAUCUAGAUUUCUUUGUAGAAGAAGUGUAGAUUCCGUAACGAUACCAAUUCCGGAUCAAAUGUGUAAAAGCUCUUCAACGCUAUUCCAAACGAACAAAACUUGAUUGUCACCAUAGCGGUUCCUUUCUCUAUUGCAAAAAAAUCAUUUGAAAUUGUUUGGGAAUAUUUUCACAAGGGGAAGGAGAAGAAACAAAGAACCAACAAUGAAGAAAAGAUAAAGAAAUCACCCGAAUCGCAAUGAAGGCUCAAACACGAAAAUCGUUGUCCUCAAACGAUAUCUGCCCCCUCUAGGAUUGAAUCAGAUGCUUAAAGGGACUCUUGGCAAAUGGUUUGAAUGAUUAAUCAAGCCUGUAAUAGAGAAAAUUUAAGCACUUAAUGUUUUCUACCAAAACUUCAAGAACACAAAAGGAUUUUAAAUAUAAGAGGUUUUGAUCUUCACAAUGAAAUGAAUUUAAUCUUCAAUAUGUUUUUCAUAUGUUUGUAUUACUUAUUCAUCACCUAUUUAUAGGCUUCAAUUAAUACAUCACGAAAUCGUGCCAAACCAUGAUGAAAAGUGGCAACUUUUUCAUUCAAAAUGGUCAUCGAGUUUCAAAUUGAAAAACCAGUCAAUGGCUAUUUUUUAACACUAUGCAUACACAUAGUAUAAAUCUUGCGUACCCAUAAUGGAAGCAAAUUUGAUUCUGAUUUGAUCAAAACACAUUUCAUGUAUGCACAAAAUUAAGUCUAUGCAUAUGCAUAGGCAAAAAUCAAAGUUUCUAUUUUUCAAUUUCUUUUGAUUCCAUUGAUUUCACAAUUGAGCCCAAUAAUCAGCCCAUUAUCAGUCCAUUGAUUUUGAACAAAUAUUCAACAAUAUGUGCUUGCACCUGGCCUUUGAUAUGGGUGUUUUCAAGAGACAAAGUUAAAUAAAUAAAUUUGUUCCAUUUUAGAUGAGGCUGCUCAAGAAUAGAUCGCUGCUUUGGUGACGCUGAAAUUUUAUGCUUUUAUAUUGUUAAUUUGUUUACUUAAACGUGGGAUCCUAAUAUUGAUUUUGCAGAUUGAGAUGGCAAUCUUGUUUGAGCAUCCUCUGAAGUUUUGAACACCGAUCGAGCUCCUUUUUCCACCUACAUCCUAUUAGCAGGUUGUGCUGUAAUUUUCUAUGAGAAACCACAAGUCUCUUGUUUAUUACAACCCGAAUUACCAUACUUUUUAUGAGAUGCGCAAGUGUGAUAUCAUCCUAGUUAUCUAUUCGAUAUAUUGAAAAAUGAUUUAAUAAACAUUUUUUUUGUUACACUAUUCAUUACGUUGAAAAAAAUGAUGGAAAUGAUAUGAUGUUCUCUAUUUUUAUAUCUUUGCCUAUGCCUGUCUAUAUAGAUCAUUUAGCCCCUCUCUCUAGGAGAUUGGAAUGCAAAUAGAGAAUAGCCCUGGGAAGUCGAUGUUACAAUAAUGACAUAUCGAUAAAUAUCACAAUCUAUUUACUAGGAUUGUAAUAGAUUAUCACGCAUGCAUUUCAUGAUGGAAAUAAUUUCCAAAAAAUUGCGGAGGAGCAGGAUUCGGUGGAGGGUUAAGUUAUUUUUUAACUAUUCUUUAUUAUUGGUUGAGUUUUAUAUUUUCGUGUUGCAUUCAUCAAUUUCCACUGGUAAAUUAAAUUUUAAAGCAAUUUUAUUAAUAAAAAUGAUAUUUUUUUCUAAUAUAAAAAUUCCUAAUUUAAUUAGAAGAUCAAAGGAAAAAUGUAAAAAAAAAAUUAGUCAAGUACCUUCAAAUUUGGAGUCUUAAAUGUAAGAAUUUGAAACUUCGACUCACUUACCAAAAUGUGCAAGUAUUAUUCCCUAGGUUCAAUUAAACAUUGCUUGUCCCUUGAUGCUGUGUUUGCCCGUGUGCAUUUGGGUAUUAGGCAUGUGUUGAAUUUAAAAUGACUCUCGACAAUGGAUAUCUCAACUCUUGCAUUGAUAAGAACGCAUCAAAAUACAAUACUUGGUGUGAAUUGUAGAAUCCAAUGAAUCAUCAAAAUUUUGAACUCAUGUUAAUUACACCCAAAGCCAUUAUGCUAAGGGCAUGUUUGUCAAGACAUCAUGCAUUGUGUCGCCUUACCUCCAGAUGGAAAUUGUCUCGUCACUACCAACCCAAACAAGAUUUACUAUUGUAUGGUUACAAGGAUUAUGCUACUUGUACAUAAAAAUGGUACAUGAGAGAUUAGAUAAAAUUAUGUGGAUGGAGAAAAUUGAUUGAAAAAGUUGAUUGUAUUUUAAACUUUCAAAUGAUAGAGUAACAAAUAGCAUAAUGUAAAACUUGAUAUACAUGCAGCAAUGUACUUGCCACAAUUGAUUUUAAUUUUUUUUUGAAAUCAUAAAUACAUUGAAAUUGAGUAAAUAUCACGUAGGUGACAUCUUGACCUCCUAGCCACUUGGUUGCAUAUAAGUUUGUUUCGCAAUUAAAAAAUAUUCUAUAAAAUGAAUCUUGAUCCCUACUCGAGUUUAGCUCGAAUAGACUAUAAGAAACAUUUAUUUAUGCAAUGUUUAUCUCAAUCACUAUAUCAAACAUGUCAUCUCUCUCUUUUUCUUUUUCUUUUUUAUUUUUAUUUUUAAUUUUAUUUUUAUUUUUUUAUGCAUUUCAAAUGAAAUUAUUGACUUGUUUCUUUCCUCUUGUUCGAGAGUUAUUUGCAUCAUUGACCGAAAAUUCGAGGUGAUUAAUAUUACCGAAUAAAUCGUAUUUGGAGUAAUGCAAAGUGGCAGGCUUGAAUGCUUUGCUCACUUAACAUUAUUUACAACAAUUCAAACUUUACCACUGUUCUUGUUCAUAUCUCAACCACUAGAAUCAUGUACAAUGACUAUAUUGAUAAAAAGAAACUUUUUUACUGAUACUAAUUACGAUAAAUGAGCUAUAAAAAUGCCCAAAAUGUGUGAACUACUCAAGUGACAUAGAAGCACCAUUCUGUUGAUCCCAAAGGUGAUGCAAGAUUGAGAUUUAAUGACAAUAAUGAAAUAUUCAAGAUCGCACCACGAAAAAUAAGAUUAAAGUCAAGUAGAAAAAGAGAAACUAAGCAAAGUAACGAUGAAUUCCAUUAAACUUGACAAUAUGGAGAGAAUAAUACAGGAUAACAAUAAUGUUUCAUCUAAGAUUGAUAAAGGAUUCUCUAAUUUAUAGGCCACAUUCAUAAACCUAAUGGAGUCCUAAAAGGUAAGAAAAUAUUUUAGAAUUAGAUUAAACCGCGUAGAAGGAAAAAAAUCUUGGAUUUAAUUUGAUUUCUUUCCAAAUUCAAGCCAAACGUGAUCUUCCAAGAUUUCAACCCAAUUUUGAGGCAUUAAACCUAACAAUCUCCACCUUGACUCAAAAUUUCAAUGUAACGAACGAAACUCCAAAAUUUCAAAUCUGUCUCCUUCAAAAUGAACUGACCAAUAUUCUCAACACAGUAACUAAAAUCUCUAUCACCAAACCAGCAUCCUCUUCACAGCAUCUACAAGCGACACCUGAACCCAAAUCCUGGAUUCCCAAAAUUCCACCAAGGAAUUACUAUUGACCAAACAGGGUCGAAGCACACCGUAUAGCAGAAACCAUACCAUGUGUUGGAUCAGAAAGCCCCUUGCUAGAACUGUCACUUUCAACUUCCCCUAAAGCAUUACAAACAUUAUUAACACUACCGUACCUACGCUCCAUGAGUCCAACCCUAGCAACUGAACAUAAUAUAUCCACUGAAAUUGGUGGCAAAGCGGAAUCACCAACACUCUCCCUAGCAGUGUUCUUAACCAACUCAGAGUUCGUCAUAAGAGGUAUUGUACCAAACUUAACUUCUACCAUGGUGCUGAAUUUAUCCAAAUGUCUCUUAACUAGUUUUGCGUUUCCUUACAAGAUGUACAACUGAAACUUAUUCCGUCCCUCCAUUAUCACCCUGAUACCCCUUCGAACCUUCAAGACUCCACCUCCACCAGAGAAUUUAUACCCUUUUGCAUCUAGGGUACUCAGCUAUAUGAGAUUCUUUGUCAAGUCUGGAACAUGGCAAACCUGAUCAAGUGUCCACACUAUUCCAUCUUGUAGCCUCAAUUUCACUCGAUUGAUUCCUGCAACCCAACAAGAUUGGUUGUUUUCCCACCUUGCUUUACCAUCUCAUAUGUCUGAAACAAAAUCCUAUUAGGACGCAUAUGAUACGAACAUGUAGAUUCCAAAAUCCACUCCCCAGGUUUGGAUUUCCCAUCAGAUACAGCCAACAUUACAUCUCCAUCAUCCGAAAAAUUCUCAACAAUGUUAGUCUCGUUACCUGAUUGCCCCGCAUGAUUUGCAUGUAAAUUACCUUUACCCUGCAACUUGUCGUAAUAUUGCUUAAUGUGUCCUUUCUUCUUGCAGUAAUAGCAAUACACAUUGCUGUAUCUCACCUUCGAUCUAUCCCUCCAUUGAUCACCAUGAGUAACUAGAGCAUCCCCACCUAUAGAUGUAAGAUCUCCAACCAACAGCUCCAUCUUUUCCUUUGAGAACAAGGCAUCAUAUACCUCCUCAAUGGCCAGCUUGUCACAUCUAUACAAUAUAGUAUCACAAAACGGCGAAAAAGAACUGGGUAGCGAAUACAUCAGGAUCAAGGCCAGAUCAUUUUCAUUAUAUUUUAUCUCCAACGUCUCCAAAUCUCCAAUAAUCUCCUUGAACACAACAAGAUAGUCCUGCAGUGACCCUCCUUCCGCCAUACGAUGGGAAUACAGUUUCUACUUUAGAGUCAGUUUGCUCGUCAGACUCUUUGUCAUGCACACCUGCUUUAAUAACCUUUCGAUCCCUCCGUUGUUUCUCCUCCAUAAACAAAUUUACUAGCAUCCUCUCAAAGCCCAACAAAGCAUCGUUAAGAUCCAUCUGCAUCAACACAACCCUCACCUUUACUUACCAAAGUGAAAAUCUUAUAUUGCGAUCCAGCAACGGAAUUUCAUACUUCAACGAAUUCAUCCUUAAAAAAAUCUCAACCAAAUUACGAAGAACUUGCAACCUGUGCUCUGAUACCACUUUUUGAUCCCAAAGGCGAUGCACGAUUGAGAUUUAAUGACAAUAUUGAAAUAUUCAAGAUCGCACCACGAAAAACAAGAUUAAAAAUAAAAUAGAAAAAGAAAAACUAAGCAGCGGAACGAUGAAUUUUAUUAAACCCGACAAUAUGGAGAGAGUAAUAUAGGACAAUAAUAAUGCUUCAUCUAAAAUUGAGUCUCUAAUUUAUAGGCUACAUCCAUAAACCUAAUGUAGUCCUAAAAUGUAAGAAAAUAUACUAGAAUUAGGUUAAACCGCGUAAAAGGAAAAACUUUGGAUGUAAUUUGAUUUUUUUCCAAAUUCAAGCCAAACGUGAUCUUCCAAGAUUUCAACCCAAUUUUGAGACAUUAAACCUAACACAUUCGGUACAUAAAUGAAGUCGAACAAAUUUCUAGCAAUAUCAAGCCUACCAGUUUAAAUUUCUCAUAGUUUAAUUAACACAGCCAAUCCAUAUCAAGCCUAACUUUCUCAUAGACGUUUAUUAAAAUAGCUAUACACGAUUCAUGACCCAUUUUAUCAAAAUCCUGAGAAUUAGCCUACCCAGUUAGAGCUAAAACCAAUGAUACUCUUUAAGCACUGAUCAUGAAACACUUCUAGUGCUUCACUAAUCAAAUCAAACUUCAAGUAGCAAUGCACCAAGAACUAGUGAUGAACAAAUCUAACAAUAACCCAAGUUUAAACAUUGAAAUGAGAAUUUCAUUUUUUAAAUUUACACCGUUUCCAAGAACUAUUCACUAUUUAAGUUACUCUAUAAAGAGUUUAGCUCGAGAAAUGAUAAUUUUAUGAUAAAUGAAUGAAGACGCAGUUGGAUUCAGGUUUGAUGCAUUUAUAGAAAUAUUUACGCUCCUCAUCCACACUCCCAUUGUAAAAUUCACAAAUUACCAUACUUCGAGUUUCAAAUAUCUAAAAAUAUUUGCAUGUUAAUCAUUCAAGAAAAGAAGUAUGUCCAUGAAAAUGCAACACUCGCAAGAGACUAAAAGAGGAAAAAUUAUUGACGUCCAAUUAAUUCUCACCACAAUUCUAGAUAUUUCCUUCAAACUCUGCUUGAAGCCUCUUUUGUUGCAAAGAGCAAAAAUUAAAUGAGAGAAACACUCUGUUACAAACAAAUAUUAGACAAACAAAUAUUAGACGAAACCAAACAUAUUAAGGUAAAGAAAAUUUAUCAAACUUGAUAUAAUUCUUAGAAUAGAAAGACAAGAGUAUUGAAAUCUUGACGUCAAUCACAUCUCCUCGUUUUAUUCUCUCUACCUCUCACUCUUUCCUCCUACCAAACUGUUUUAAUCUUAAAUCUGUAAUAGUUAUAUAGAACAGUCCGUAUCUUAAUUACUUCAAGUAUGUAUCUCAAAGAUGCUUUAUUAGAGAUGUCAAAUUGGACAGGGCCUCAGUGAUGCCUGGACGCCAUGCAUCACAGCCUUUUAACGACCUUGACUGGAUUGUCUAGUCCUUUUUUACAAAAGGUUUUAGUGAAAAAAAAUUUUAAAAAUAAACAUUGAGAAACAAAAGCCACCCACCGGUCGGGGCUUCACAAGUAGGCCGACCUGCCUGCCUGUCUAGACACCACUAGCCUUGACCAAAUUACUUCUAAUCGCGGCAUCUGCAGAAAAUGAAUUUCAAGUUAUUUCUUUACUAAUUACACAACCAUGUCAACUUGAUAAUACAACAGUUAAAUAUAUCAUUCCACGGCUUUUUUCUUAGCAAGAGUUCUCAUCUCGAUUUCUCAUACCUCAAAAAAGAAAUGCUACGAAUUUAUUUCUAGAUUUGGUUUAAAUCUUCAAAUUCAAUACUUCGGAUUGGCUUCACAUCUGAAAAUCAAAACCAAGUCAAUUCCUGAAAUUGUACAAGAUGAGAUGGAAGUAACCAUCCAACUAUUGCUGUCUUUGAGGAUUACGGUCCAUGGUAUAAAAAUUAUACCACAUAAGAAGGAAAUGUCAAAUUCUCAAGCCCAUAGUCCAUAUUUCAUGAGCUGUUUGGGCAAAACAUUGGUAGAACAAUAGAAGUCACAUAAGGCAUUAUGAUUUCCCAAACUUAAACAUUCAAUUUGUGGUAGGAAAUGUUUACCUCUCAAAAGAAAAGUUAAUUACAAUUGCCUGAAGAUAAUCCAAUUUUACAACAUCAACAGAUAUGUUUCUAUUUUCUAGAAGUUCUCGAAAACAACCUAAACUUGUGAUGGUUUUAUGACCCAAAGAGGAAGAGAAAGAUAGAUUUUUCGAAGUGGAAAAUAAAUUCUACUUUGCACUAAAAACCGGCUGCAUUACGUAUAUUUUUCAAAAGACUUCUACCAUACUUCUGGUCACCAACUUUCUGCCAACUACCACCUUACAUGAUGAUAGAUCACACCAUGCUGUGAAAAACAUUACAAGCAAUUAAAAUAACUAUAACAUGAUCUGAUCUUAAUAUAUACAAUGCUACAAAAAAAAAAAGUGACAACAAAAGUGGCAAACAACUAUCAACACUCCUCCUUCACACUUUUGUUGGAAACACCAAGGCAUUUCCUUAGUGUUUCAAACCUUUCUUUGGACAAACUUUUCGUGAGAAUGUCUACAAAUUGAACCUCAGAAUUGCAAUGCACAAGUUUCACUUCAAGGUUCUCCUGAGCUUCUCUAAUUGCAUGAUACCUUAUUUUGAUAUGUUUUGUCCUUCCAUGAAAUACCGGGUUUUUAACCAUAGCAACAGCAAAUUGAUUAUCAAAAUGAAUCACAGUUGCAUUAGUUUUCUUAUGGUUUAGAUCCUCAAGACUUUCCUUAACCAGAUUGCCUAGUUUGUAGCCUCAGAUGCAGCCACAUACUCUGCUUCAGCUGUUGAUUAAGCCACAAUUUUCUAUUUCAUCGAGUGCCAAUAGAUUGGACUUGAUACUAGAUAGAAUACAUACCCUGAUGUGCUCUUCAUAUAUCACAUGAUCUGGCCCAAUCACUAUCAGUGUAGCCUAUUAGAACAUAAUUUUCAGACCUCCUAAACCAGAUUCCAAGCUCUGUAUUUCCUUUGUUAUACCUUAGAACUCUCUUUGCAGGCUGAAAAUGAAGAUCGAUUGACUCCUGUCUAAAUCUAGAAAAUAUUUUGGCAUCAAAUGUGAGGUCUGGCCUUGACAUGACCCGUCCUGAAUCACCCUAGUGGACCCAAAACGUGACGUGCGCCGAUAAUAGAUGCUGACUAGAUGCCAAAUCUAUCACCAAGGCUGACUAUGAGUUAUUUCAAAAAUGCAAUAAAAUCAAAUGCUUAUAUAAAAUAUAAUGCGAUGGGCCCAAAGUAUUUACUUCAUGCUUCAUCAAUAUGAGUUAUAAUAUUCAACAUGUCGUGUGGCUCUUAUUCCGAAAUCAUUAGGCUCUUCCAACUAAGAAGGAUCAAUUUCCACCGCCUCCCUAUAUUUGUUUUUUAAUUCUUUUAAUUUUUUUUUUGUAUGACAUGUUUGACUUUUCCUCCUUUUUUUAUUUACGAAAUUAAUGUAUUACAAAACUCACCCCCUUAAAAGAAUUUCAUCCUCGAAAUUCAAUUAAUUAAGUACGAAAAAGCUCGAUAUUGAGAACACAUUUGCUCUUCACCUUCCUAUGUCGCUUCUUCUAUAACAUGAUUCAUCCAUAAGAUUUUAACCAAAGAAAUAGUCUUACUUCGCAAGACCUAUUUCUUUCUGUCCAAUAUUUGAAUAGGUUCUUCCUCAUCUGUAAGAUUUUCAUUUUUAUUCAACUCCACUAUUAAUCUUAUAGCUUAAGUAAAAUAUGACGUCUAUUUACUAACAACCCUCGAACAUAUGGAAUACAUGUAGAACCGAUACCUUAAAUAUCAUCCUAAUGGUCAAUAUAUGAUAUUUUAGCUUUUCAUUUUAUCACAUAACGAUAAUAUAUACACGGCUUCAAGUUCGGCUUUUUUCGAAUACAAAUUUACCUUAACCUCAUGUGAUCAGUAAGUAUUAAUCUUCCCACCAUGUGAUGACACCACAAUUCCUAAAUAUCAAUCCAAAUAUAACUAACCAUAUAUCAUGAUUUAAUUAUAUCUCUUUAUCAAUCUAUAACAUAAUCCAUAUUUUAUCAUUCCACUUAGAGAACAUUUUCUAAACCAUAACAUAAAUCAUUAUCGUGAAUCAAUCACUUAUCAUCUUUAGAUAUAAGAGCAAGUAUUUUCUCUGUAUUUCCUGAUAGUAAAACUUUUGACAUUUCUAUACCCACAUAAAUUUUGUUCUUUCUUUCUGUAAAGAGACAAUAAUAACAUUUAAUCUAUGAAAAUCUAUACUCUUAUUCCAUAAAUAGAUCGUUGACCUAUUACUAAUGCAUAAGCCUUUUUUUAUGUCACAUAAAGACCUGUAUUGAAGAUAAUGUAACCUAGAGAUAUCAGUCCACAAUGUAUAAAAUUUACACCUGAUGAUCAUCUUAGACUUUAAACUAUCUAACAUAUCAUCCAUUUAUUCCAUAGCAAAUACAUCUCGAUAAAAGUGGAAUACUUUAUUCAUGACAUCCAAAAAUAAAAUUGAGAAUAAUCUAAAAAUUACGUUACCAAAAUUUCAAUAACUUCACCUUAACUUCAAAAGUUAACUCAACGCUUCCAAAUUGUAUGGAAUAUAACACAAUAAUCCAACAAAUGCCUUAACAAAAUUAAUUAACUUAAUAACCAUAUCAAUCAUCACAUUAUUUUGCUAUAGGACAACUAUUACGUUCAUUUACAUACUCACUAUAUUAUGUUGUAAUCAUAUAACUUCAUCACAUACUUAUGGCCAUACCAUAUGCCUUCUAACUUUUAAUUGUAUCAAUUUUCCUUAAGAUCACAAAAUAAUAACUUUCAUAUUUAUCAUGUGAACCUUUCACACAUCAAUAUACCAUCAAGAUUUCGUAUGUUAAUUUUCUAAUCUAAAUAAAUUCCAACUCUACCAUUCUCUACUCCUUUUUGUUUUUCACAUUAACAUACCUGAAUACACAUAUCCAUUGAAUUCUAGUUCUUGAAAAAUAAAUUAUUCCAAAAUAAGUAAUCAUGAUGAAGUUCAUCCCAAUUAUUCUCACAUUCCUUAUAAUCAAACAACUCAUAAAUAGUCGAAAUAAUUGGAAUUACCAUUAAUUUUCUCAAUGCCUAAAAUACUCGAUAACAAAUUGUUAUCUAUCAAUCCACAAAUCACAAUUUUGUCUUCCACAAUUUCUUAUCAUAUAGCAUGAAUAUACACUUUAUGAUUUCUAUUAUCAUCCCAUAUAAGUGGCCACAAAUCACCACAAUAUUUUGAUAACACUGAUGACCAUUUGGCUCCAAAAUAAUUAAAAUUCCAUGCUAGUUGUAAAAUCUAUAACUUCGAAUGCCCCGCAAAAUCAUCAAAAUCAGUUCAAAUCUUAAUAGGUUACAUAUACACAUAGUUCCAACCCAAUAACUAAUAACAUUUCCAACCAUCGGAUCAUUGCAACUAUCAUACUUACAUACUAGUCUUUUCUGGAUCUGUUAAAAAUAUCUUUCUAUCAGUUUCGGUUCCAUACAUUUGAGUUAGAGAGCCUGUGAUUUCGGCUACCACGACAUGUGAUUAUAUCAACUGAACAUGCAUGAACCAUAAAAAUUUUCAAAACAAUGCUCUGAUACUACUUUGACACGACCCAUCCCAAAUCACCCUAAUGCACCCGAAACGUGAUGUGCGUCGAUGAUAGAUGCUGACUAGAUGUCAAAUCUAUCACCAAGGCUGACUAUGAGUUAUUUCGAAAAUGCAAUAAAAUCAAAUGCUUAUAUAAAAUAUAAUGCGAUGGAUCCAAAAUAUUUACUUCGUGCUUCAUCAAUAUAAGUUAUAAUAUUCAACAUGUCGUGUGACUCUUAUUCCGAAAUCAUUAGGCUCUUCCAGCUAAGAAGGAUCAAUUUCCACCUGUAGGAAAAAUCGUGGGAAAAUAUAUGAGUUGAUAACUCAGUGAGUGGAGCAGUUCGAAAAUAAUUAUACUUUUUCAAUUUUACAUUUCUAUCGAAAAUGGAGUUCAUAUUAUUUAAUAAUUCACAAGAUAACAUCAUGUAAUUAUAACCAAAAGUGAAAUAUUCACAUAAGGUCGUAAAAUGUCAUCUUAAAAGCAUAAUAUGAACAUCAGCUGAUAACCAUGCUAUAAUCUCAUCACAUCAAAUGUGCUGAAAAAUCCACCAAAAAUAUACCCUCUGAUUGAAGUAUAUAAUCCGCUCCUCGGGCUAAGAACUUUCGCUAGGGGCUUUUGGCCCCUCCGUGAAUGAAAGUCGGUCUCAAAGACCUCUCAUAAUCAAUUCUAGAACAUGGCCAAGGCCCCAUUAGUGAACUAUAUGUACACGAUCGAGACCCCUUCAACCCCGGUUCAAGACCCCUCAGUGUAGUAUAGAGCACGGUCAAGGUCCCUCAGUGAAUUAGAAGAAAUAUAUAAUUACAGGUACUUUUCUGGUCAAUCUCAAAAUCAUAUCUCAAAUCCAAAUUCACAAUGUACCGUAUACAAUUUUUAAAAUCCACAUGUAUCUUAAUAAAAGAUAUUUCCAUAAUAACCAUAUGAUUCAAACACAUAAUUGCAUAUAGUUGCACAUACUUUAACAAUAUACUUAAUUUAUAAAUACUUUAAAAAUAUUUAUAUUUUUCCACCCACAGUACUAUGUUCGCAAAAUCAAUGCGGUUGGUAAGCUAUUCUGAUGUUAGUAUCGUCGCUUGAAAUACGAUAUAAUUUUUAAAUAAACAAUUAAUUAUUUUAGAUAAUUUCAAUAAUUAAAUAGGCAAUACCCAAAUUUAAUGAUUUCACGCUUAAGCAAUUUCUACGCUCUCUUUAAUCACUAAAACUAGUUUUUCUUUCACUUUACUCAAUUUCAUAGUUUAUUAUACUUAACCCAUUCAAUAAGAUUGAAUUUAGUCUAACAAUAUAACAACUAUAAAAUCAAACAUAACUUGACAAAAAGUAACUCUUUACUUACCUUUUAAAAUUGAGGAAUUCAAGCCUAAUAAUGUAGACCAUUUAAUUACUAACACGUUGGCAAAAAAUUUCUAUUUUUUUUCUUCUUCUUCUUCCCUUUUUUUUCUCCUUUCUCUUUUCUCUUUCUUUCUCCCUGUUCAUUUUUUUUACUGUGUAUUUGUAUGUGUUUUAAUGUGGAAUUGGAACUUUGGUGGAUUAAUAUAAUCAAUCCACCGCCUCCCUAUAUUUGUUAAUUAAUUCUUUUUUUUUGUGACAUGUUUGACUUUUCCUCUUUUUUUUUAUUUACGAAAUUGAUGUAUUACAGGUCUUGUGAUGGUUAAGUACAAAAGACUUCCCGCCAAGCUUCUAUACACAUUUUCAUCAUAUCUGUUGCUUCCAUCUUCUUUCAUCAGUUUCAAAUUUUGAACAAGUGGAGUGCUAACUAGUUUACAAUUUUCCAUGCUGAACUUCUUCAAAAUUUCUUCAGCAUACCUCCCUUGAUUGACAAAAAUUCCAUCCUUUGUUUGAUUUAUUUCCAUUCCAGGAAAAUACUUCAUUCUUCCAAAAUCAGUCAUCUCAAAUGCCUCAUUCUUUUCAUUUUUCAAACUAUCAAUUGAGUUCUGAUUGCUGCCCAUUACUAAUAGAUCAUCAACAUAUAGUGAAAUGACAAUAGCAACUUCCUCCAUUUGCUUUAUAUAGAGUGUUUGUUCAUUAACACUUUUGAUAAAAUCGUAGCAGCUUAGAUGUUCAUCUAUUCAGCUGUACCAGGCUCUUGGAGCCUGCCUCAAACCAUACAAGGCCUUCCUCAAUAAAUACACUUUAUUUUCUUCUCCAGCAACAAGAAAACCAUCUGGUUGUUCAGCAUAAAUCUCUUCAUUUAGCCAACCAUUUAAGAAGGCAGAUUUGAUGUCUAAAUGAUGAAUGUUCUAGCCUAUUUGUACAUCAAUUGCCAAUAGAAGUAUGAUUAUUUCAUACCUUGCAACAGGAACAAAUGUAUCGGUAUAAUCAACACCAUAUUGCUAUGCAUAACCCUUCAAAACCUGCAUUCCUUUAAGUUUGUUGAUUGAAUCGUCAGAGUUUAGUUUGGUCUUAAACACCCACUUAACUCCUAUUACAUUAUUGUGCUUUGGUCUGUCAACCAACAACCAAGUUCCAUUCUUCUCAAUCAUCCCUAUCUCAUCCUUCAUUGCAGCCAUCUAGCCAAGUGAAUUCAUUGCUUUAUUGAAGUUUGAAGGUUCUAGUUCAGCUGCAUUGCACUUGGCAUAUAUAUCAGCAAGAGAUCUGGUUCUCAACACCUCAUUUUUUGAAUCUGAGUCAUCAUUUGGUUCAGGUUCAUUUGGUUCAACUUCAUUGUUAAAUGACAUCUUCAUUUCCUUGAUCCACCAACCUUGGAGUUUGAGGUUUAUCCAAGAAGUUUUCUUCCUAGUUCCAUGAAGAGUUUUCAUCAACCUUGAUAUCCCUGCUGGACAUCACCUUUCUGGUGUGUGGAUCAUAGACUCUAUAACCUUUAACAUUAUCACAAUAACCAACUAAGACUCCAAGUUUUGCCUUAGGACUUAGAUUAUCCCUCUUAACAUUAGGUAUAUGGGUGCAGCCAAUGCUCCCAAAUACCUUCAAAUGUGUGAUAUUUGAUUUAACUCCAUUCUAAGCUUCAAAGGAAGUUAAUUUCUUUAAAGCCUUUGUUGGCAAUCUAUUGAGCAAGUACACAGCUGUAUUCACAGCUCCUGUCCAGAAUUCAUGUAGGAAUUUUAUUUUCAAUCAUCAGGCAUCUUGCCAUUUCUAUCACGGUUUUAUUUUUCCUUUCACACAAUCCAUUUUGUUGAGGAAAAUAUAGAAUGGUUAAUUGAUGUUUGAUUUCCACAUCAUUGCAGAAUUUGUCAAACUAGUCACACUUGUACUCAGUUCCAUUAUCAAUUCUUAUGGCUUUUAUCCUGCAAUCACUUUCAUUUUCCACCUGUUUCUUUAACCUCUGAAAUACACCAACAACCUCAAAUUUAAUUUUUGGAAGAAACCCCCAACACAUCCUUGUUAAAUCAUCAAUGAAAAGUACAAAAUAGUGGUUGCUAUUUGAAGUUUUUGUUCUCAUUGGACCACACACAUCUAAGUGGACCAAUUGCAAUUUAAUUGAUGCUCUCUUCGAUUGAUUUUUAGGGAAAGGCAUUCUAGUUUGCUUUUCAAGUUGGCAUACCUUACAAAAAUAGCUUUCAUAACAAAUGUUAGGUAAGUUUUCAACCAAUUCCAGUUGGUGUAAUUGCUUGAGUGAGGUAUAAUUAACUGUCCAAAAGUUUUGUGCCAAAGUGAAGACAUAACUUCAGUACUGGUGAAUGCAUGAGAUGUCAUAUUCUUCCAUUCUAAUGGAAAACUUCUUUGCCUCAUCUCAGCUGACGUUAACUCCUUUCCAGUAGGAUUAAAUAUGGUGCAAUCACUAUCUCUAAAUAUCAAUGCGUAGUGCUUCUCAAUUAAUUGUCCUACACUUAGUAAGUUUUGAUCAAUAUCUGAUACAUAAAGAAUGGCAGAGAUACGCUUAAUACCUAUAGGAGUUUGUACAGCAAUCACUCCAAUGCCCUCCAUUUUCACAUAGUCUUGAUUGUCUACUUUUACCUUUGAUUUGUAUGAAUCGUUUAAUCCAACAAAGAUACUGGAAUCAAAAUACAUAUGGUGUGUACAACCACUGUCUAAUAACCAUGUUUUAGCAAUGCUGCAGGCCUUAAAAUUGAUGACAGUGAAGAGAUGCUCCUCCUGAUGUUGCAAUUGAUCCUCUGCCACUUGUGCCUAUUGCUGGUUCUAUUUUUCAUUCUAAUUUUUGCACACUUUUUACACAUGUCCAAAUUGCUUGCAAUUCCUACAUUGGAUACCUAGUCUAUACCAAUACCAUUUAGGUGAAUGACAGGUCUUUUUACAAUGAGGACAGGAUGGAUAUGUGGUGUUUUUAUUAGCAGCCUUGGUGCCUUCAUACUUCUUUGUUUUAGGUCCAGUCUUCUUCACAUCAAAGCUUGUUUGAGCUUUGUAUUUUCCUUUAACAAAUAAGGCUCCUUCUACUUGAUUUUCUUGCCUCAACAAUCUCUUUUAUUCAGUAGCAUGAAGGGAAUUCACAAGUUCAGAUAGAGAUAUGGUAGAUAGGUCCCUUGUAUCCUCAAGUGAUGAUAUCUUUGCCUCAAAUAUUUCUGGCAAGCAUAUCAGGACCUUUUCCACAAUCCUCUUGUCAGGGUAAUCAUCCCCCAACAACCUUAUUUUGUUCACAACUUUCAUCAGCCGGUCAAAAAAUUCUUUAACUGAUUCUGCCUCCUUUGUCUUCAAGCCCUCAUACUCCCUUCUCAAAUUCAAGACCUGCAUUUGUCUUAUCCUGGUAUUUUUCCUGAAUUCCUCUUGCAAUUUGUCCCAGGCUUCCUUGGAAGUUUCACUGUGAUUAUCCUAGUAAAAUUACAUCAGAAAUGGCUGACUGAAUGUAGGAAAGAGCCUUGAAUUUCUUUGCAACUUCUUCACUGUGCUGCUUGAGUUGAGCUAUGGUGGGAUUUGCUCUGGGUGGAAGAGGUUCAGUUCAGUUUCUGUGAUUUCCCAUAGAUCAUAGGCUUUCAGGUAAGCCUUCAUUUUAGCAACCUAGAAGUCAUAGUUUUCUCCUGUGAAAACUUAAGGUAAUGGAGCUGAAAAACCAAUUGAAGCCAUCCUCUUUUGCCUUUGAAAACACACGGCUGAUAUGGUUAAGGUUGUGGUGGAAGUUACCUUACUUGUUUUCUCUCUUUCUAUCUUUCUACUUUGCUUCUCCUCUAAGAUCACUAAAGCUCUGAUAUCACUGAUGGUUUUAUGACCAAAAAGGAAAAGAAAGAUAGAUUUUCUGAAGAGGAAAGUAAAUUCUACUUUGCACUAAAAACUGGCUGCAUUACAUAUAUUUUUCAAAAGACUUCUACCAUACUUCUGGUCACCAACUUUCUGCCAACUACUACCUUACCCGAUGACAGAUUACACCAUGCUGUGAAACACAUUACAAGCAAUUAAAAUAACUGUAACAUGGACUGAUCUCAAUAUAUACAAUGCUACAAAAAAAAAUGUGACAACGAAAGUGGCAAACAACUAUCAACAACUUGAUACGUCCUUCACAUUAGUAUGGCUGGAUAAAGAGUACAAGACUACAGCAUUUCAUCUUUGAUACGGCCUUGGGUAGAAAACUUCAGAAUCAAACUUAGAUAUUCUAAAUAAUUUGUAUCUUGGGUUAAAAUCUCUAUAACUGAAGAUACCAUGAGUUCAUCUAGGGAGAUAUUUCUCUCUUCCAUUUUGUGAAGAAAUUCAACCACUUUUGUGCGUCAUUAUAAUUGCAAAACUUCCUAGAAUUGCUUGGCAAGCAAGCAAAAAUAGUAAUUAAAAAUUUAAAAAUUAGAAUUUUCUAGAAUACAUUGACAAACAAGUAAAAUAAAUAAUAAAAUAAUUAAAAAAUAGCAUUUUCUAAAAUAGUUUCCACCACCAUUUUAUGUGUAUAAAUAUGGGCUACCACCUUUAAUAUAUUGUAACAAAAAUUGGAAAGAGCAUCUAGACUCUUGCAUGUAAAACAAAAGCCCACUUUGUAAUAAAAUUACUUUCUUCCUCCUCAAUUAUAUUGUUUAAUUAAAUUACUCCAUAUCAUUGCUAUCCCUAAAAUCCAUCCCAUCUAAAAUCUACUUUAUCACUUUUAUUUAAACCCUACUCAAAAUAAAAUUCAUCAGUGGUAUUAGAGCUUUAUUCGAUUGAUAGUGAGCGUAAGUAUAUACUCCGGCAGACGCUUUCCAUUCAUCUAUUCCUAUUCCAACAUUUAAUUGAAACAACUAUGAUUUUUGGUCUAUCAAAAUGAAGACCUAGUUUUGUGCGCAAAACUUAUGGGAUGUCGUCAAUGAUGUUUAUACUAACCUAGAUGACAUUUCUACUCUAACUACUGCACAAAAGAAGGAACUUAAAGAUAAUCAAAAAAGAUUCUCUAGCAUUACUCGCUCUAUAAAUAAGCUUGACAAACACUUAUUUUCUAAGAAUCAUGGGAGUUAAAACAACAAAAGAAGCUUGGGAUAAGUUGAAGGAGGAGUUCUAUGAUGACGACAACGCACGUACUUGGCAUCUUCAAACUUUAAGAAGAAAUUUUGAAAAUUUAAAAUGAAAGAUUCUGAAAUUGCAAAAGAUUAUUAUCCAAGAAUAGAUAAAAUAGUAAAUCAACUAAGAUCUUAUGGAGAUGAUGUUCCUAAAAAGAAAGUUGUUGGAAAUAUUUUAAUUAUCUGUACAGAAAAAGAUGACCCAAUUAUUGCAGUUAUUGAGGAAUCUAAAGAUAUAGAUAAAUUAACAACUACAAACUAGAAGCACAUGAAAAAAAGAUUAGAAAUGCAUUAUGAAAUUGACACAUAAAACGCUUUUCAAUCUAAAGAUAAUAUGCAAUUUUAGAAAUCCAAAGAAAGUUGGAGAAAAUUUAAAGAAAAUUCUAAAAUAAAGAAAUUCAAGGAAAGGAAAUUGAAAAAAGUGGCAAGUAUCCUUCAUGUUGCAUUUGUAAAAUAAAAAGUCAUUUGGAGAAGGAUUAUUGGUUUAAAGAAAAAUCACAGUGCCAUAGUUAUAAAAAAAUUUGAUCACAAAGAAAAAUUUUGUCGCUUUAAACAAAAUCAUCAAGUUAAUUUCUUUGAAGAAAAUAUAUAGAAAGAAGCCUAUUUUAUGCCUCCAGCAAGGAAGUGUCUGAAGAAAAAUUGGAUACGUGGUACCUAGACGGUGGCUGUAAUAAUUACAUGACAAAAGAUGAAAGUAUUUUCUGCAUUCUUGAUAAAACCAAUGCCAAAAUCAAAAUUGGUAAUGAAAAUUUCAUAGAGGCAACAGGCAAAGACACUAUUGCCGUUGAUACAAAAAAGGGCAAAAGAUACAUUAAUGAAGUUAAAACUAUAUUAUAAGAGAUAAAAGGUAAGUUAGAUGAAACGCCGGAGAAAUGAAUCUUCCUAGGUUAUAAUACUCAAUCAAAAGGCUAUCAAGUCUAUAACCUAAGAACAAAGAAACUAAUUAUAAGUCGGGAUGUUAAGUUUGAUGAAGAUGCCACCUAAAAUUAGCAUAUUGGUCAAGUUGAAAUAAAAGCUAUCAGCAUCCGAUCACAACCACAAAAAUAGGAGGGUGACGUUGAGGAGAACAAUCAACUAGAGUCUCCACAACAGGCAACAAUAGAAAAACCAGUUGACUCACUAGAAUCGUUACCAAGAAAAACACGAAGAUUAUCAGAAAUAUACCAAAGCUGCAACUUGGUGAUCGUAGAACCUGAAAGUUAUGAAGCAGCUUCAAAACAACCAAAAUGGAGGAAAGCUAUGGAUGAAGAAAUAAAAAUGAUCAAGGAAAAUAACACUUGAGAGCUUGUAGAUCUUCUUCAAGAUAUAGAAGUCAUAGGAGCUAAGUGGGUAUACAAGAUGAAGCUUAAUGUUGAUAUUUCAAUCCAAAAAUAUAAAGCAAGACUAAUCGUCAAAGGAUACUCACAGUAGUUUGGCAUCGACUACAAUGAAACAUUUGUUCCAGUUGCUCGAUUUGUUCUAUAAGGGCGCUGAGUAGAAGUUAGAAAGGUGAAAUCUUAACUUAAUAAGGAGUUUGAAAUGAAGGAUUUGGGUGCAACAAAAGAAAAUUCUUGGAAUGGAAAUUUUAAGGGAUGGAAAGGCUCGAAGAUUGUAUUUGAGUUAGAAGGGGUACAUUGUAAAGGUGCUUCAAAGGUUCAAUAUGCUGGAUGCUAAGGCUGUCGGUACUCCAUUGGGUGCUCACUUUUAAUUAUCAUCUGGGUUGUGUCCUCAAUCAGAUGAAAACGUUGAUUAUAUGUCUUGGCUUCCUUAUUCUAGUAUAGUUGGUUUACUAAUGUAUACUAUGGUUUGUACAAGACCAGAGAUAUAUGGCAAAUUCUGACAAUGAAUAUUGAAAAGCAGUGCAAUGGAUAUUCAUAUUAUUGAAAGGCUCAACUAAUGCUUGUUUGCAUUUUGGGAGAAAUAAAAAUCGAGUCAUUGGGUAUGUGGAUUCAGAUUACACAGGGGAUUUUGAAAAAAUGAGAUCACUUACAGGUAUGUGUUUUCCCUUGGAGGCUGUGCUAUCAGCUGGAAAGCUACUUUGCAAAAAUUAGCAGUUUUGUCUACAUCAGAGGCAGAAUACAUGGGCAUUACAAAGGAAUGUAAGGUGGCUAUGUGGUUAAGAGGAUUAAUUGGUGAAAUCAGUGAAGACUUGCAAAUUUCUGCAAUAUACUAUGAUAGUCAGAGUGCUAUAUUUCUGACUAAGGACCAGAUGUUCCACGAGAGAACUAAGCACAUUGAUGUGAGAUACCUUUUUUUAUGUGAAGUGAUUGCUUGUGGUGAUAUUGUAGUGAGCAAGGUUGAUACCAAGUAUAAUCCAACAGAUGCCUGCUGUCAUAGGCACUCCAAAUUAUAACCUAGACUUCUUAAAUUUAAUGUAGUAGUGGAAGUAAGAGUCGAUCCCAAGAAGAGUGAUUAAUUUACUUUUUAUACGAAAUUAACUAAAAUGAGGGUUUUUAGUUUUGAAACAAGAAAUUAUUAAGAAAACCAAUUAAUAUCAAUGCAAAUUAUCGAAUUAAAUGAAAUCAAUGGAACGAAUCUUGGUCUAAGUCAACAUCCACCAUUCGAAAUUCAUAACAAGUCAUUGAUCCACAAAUAAUCAUCAUUUCAUAAUUGUAGCAUUUAUUGUGAAAAAUAAAUGUCCCAUUCGAAACAAUUUUUCCAUUACUCCUUAGUUUUAAUUAAUUAGAAACAAGUGAUCCAAUUAAUCCUCAUUAUCAAACAAUCCUAGAAAAUGCGAGAAUUUAAUUUAAUAAUGACUUUGCGAAUUAGAGAAAUCAAUGAACUAGAUAUAUAACACAAGCCAAGCAUUUGCAUUUAACCUAGAUAAAUCUUCUACCUAAGAUUUAAUAAUUUCCAACCAGCAAAUUAUCAAUCCUAGUUACCUCACAAGUUAAACCAAUCAACAAUUAUAGUUUUGAAAUUCAACUUAGCUAUAGAUUGUAGAGAUUAAUAAACUAGCGUACACUCUAGAAAUUAAACACAACAAUCAUAAAAAUAAGUGCAGCAGAAGAUUUAAUACUAAAUAUAUGAAUUAAUCAAUAAAAAUCAGGUGAAUCUCACAGUUAUAAUUGUUCCAAAGCUUCUGACUCCUUCGAUCAAGCAAAAGAAAUGAGUUGCAUAUUAUAGAUCUUGAGCACAAAGAGAGAAAAAUAGGGUUGGGGGCGUUCUCCUAUGUUCUAGGGUACGUGUUUGAACGGAAAAAGGAAACAAAAAAAAUCACAUCUUGGAUUCUACCAUGCGACCGUAUGGUAUAUUUCCAUGCUACUGCAUGGUUAUGUCAAAAAACCAUCUUGAAGUCGCUGAAAUAGGCUGUGUGACCGCAUGGAAAAUGAACCAUGCAAUCGCAUUUGCAGUUUUUCUACUGGACAGCUUUCAGUAUUUUGGUCAUAACUUUCUCUUUCAAUAUCUGAUUGAGGUAAUUCAAGAUGUGUUGGAAAGAUAACUCAAAGGGACACAACUUUUCUUCAGAUGUCAUCUUUCAAUUCAAUUGCAUACCAUGUCAAAAAUGGUCCCAAGAUAAUGCUAAGAACCGGUGUAUAGUUUUUUUCGAUCGAAAAUUGAUGUGCUAUUAUACUUUGAUUGUAUUUCAUCCAUUUGACUUAUUUCUGUAUCCACUUGACCUCUAAUACUCUUGAUUCUUUAUUUCAUUGCUCAUCUCAUCUAUGAAUUAUUAGCAACUUGGUCCCUGAACUUUCAUCUUAUAUUUUCUUGGCUUCUUUUUCUUCAUUUCCUUCUCCAAUGCUUUAAGUCUUCCAUCAAUUGACCUUCAAAUCUUUCACUCCUUCAUUUCACCUUCCGAUUCAAUUUUUGGAUAUUUGCAUUGUAGUCCUUCAACUUUUAAUUUCUUUCACUUUAGUCCUUUUUCACUCUUUUCUUCUAAUUUAUGCCAUCAUCAUCUAAUUGCGACCUAGAUCAAAAUAUAAGGACACUCAGUACAUUUAGGUAUCAAUUAAUCACAAAAUACCAACAUUAAUGGAUGAAAAACGUGACAUUUUAUGUUCUAUCACACCUGCUGAUUUGGUGACAAAACCACUUUCCAUUGCUAAGUUUGAGCAUUGCCUGAAUUUAGUUAGUGUUUGUCAUUGAUUUAAUCGAUUGGGGCUUGUUUGGAAGAGGUAGAGUGGUGUUUACUCGGGAGUUCUUUGUUUUGAAAUUUGGCUCAAGGUAGAGAUUUGUUGUAGUAUGAUCCAAAUUCUAGUUGGUAUUGGAGUUAUAGUUGAAGUAGUCUUAGAAAUAUCAAAAUUAUAGACCGGGAAGAAUCAUGCUGCAAUUUCACCAACUUAGCAUUAGCUGACCGCUGAGUAAAAGACAGUAGAAAGUUUUCGCCCGCCAUUCGCUCGAGCGAUGAAGCUGUCGCUUGCUCCUUGCUCAACGUUGUUUGAGCGGUAGUACAUUUCUGGAAUUCGUGUUUUAAUGCGUUUUGGAUUUCUACUCAUCUACAACUUAUUUUCUAGGUUUCAUAUAUGUAUAUGUUCUGAUUUGUAAUGUCUUAUUAUCAUUCAUACAACAUCUUGAAAGGGUAGAUCUUAGUUGAGAGCAUUGAGAUCUUGUUGUAAACACGGUUGCUAUUGAUUAUAGUGGAUUCUCCUCAUUUGCCUGUGAUUUUUUUCCAUCUUGGGUUUCCCCAUAAAUCUUGGUAUUCUUUAUUUUAUGCUUAUUUAUUUCAUUAUAUUCAUAAUCUUCUGGUCAAUUCAUAACACUUAUAAAUUUGGCAUUUUGCUGUAUCUGAAACACAAAUUAUGGAAAUUUUUCUUCUCUAGUUUGUUACCUAAGGGAAUAAGUUUUUUUUUUUUUUUGGUUGCUUGAAUACCUAAACUAGCUCUGUAAUUAACUUUUCUUCCAUGUCAAUUUCCAAUAAUAUAAGAACCUAUUGUUAUACUCUCCAUUAAUGCUCAUUUAUCUCUGAAACUGAAAGUGAGAAAGGUUAUCAUCUUAUUUAGCAUCCUUGUCCGUUGCCAACUUCAUGAUUACUUCGCGCUCGCACUAUCAUAGUAGUUAGUUGAUCUACUUUGUUGACAUAUCUAUUGGUGUCCGGGUUGGUCAAUCUCCAUCAGUUGCCUCAACUAGAAUACAUACUGACCUGAUUCCUAGAGCUUGUCUAAUUCACUAUUAACGUGCAAUCUAAAACUGCCAUGUAUUCACUGCUGCUACCUGUGGAGGAAACUGAUUGUCGCCUCCAUCAUUCUUCUCAGCCUUUCUCUUUAUCACCACCAAUACACCAUAAUUUGGUAGUCCUAAAAUGUCCAAUAGCUGCAUCAACAAGCUACUAAGCUGUCGUAGUUACACCUUCUCAUUCUAUGAUAUCACUCUGUCUAUGGUUUUAUCACAUAAAUUUAGUUGACUUCUUGGCAUCAUCUUGACAAGGAUUGAUAUUGUGCUAUAAUACCAAAAUAAUGCAGCUGAAAAUACGUAUGAGAAUAAACACGAUAUUUACUACUGCUGUUGAUUCAUAAAGAAUUCUGAAAGUGGAUCAAAUGUUGAAGAAACCCUCAAGUUCUUAUUAUUUCAUAAAACCUGGUGCUAACUGUUAGGUCUAAAAGUGUAAUUGGCAAUUAUGUAGAAAAAAUGGGCGCAAUUAUGUAUUUGUAAAAGUCAGGGACUCAAUUGAACAUUAUUGUAAAAAUCAGAGACUUAAGGUGCAACAAUUUUGUAUGGUUGGAUAGGAUGGACUAGGGUUUGAGCUAGCUGUGGAAAUUAAGAACACGGCACUGGAAUUUCACAAGUUUCUCGCCCUGCUAUUGCUCGAGCAUAAAAAUCAGAAGCCCUGUCACUAGCUUUUUGCCCCUAUAUCGCUCGAGUGAAACAUACGUUGCUCGCUUUUUGCUUGAGUGACAGUGUAACUUGAAAAACCUUAACUUGCAUUUUUCGAGAUUUUUAUACGGCCUAAGACACCUUUUGCCCCCAAGUAUAAAUAGAACAAGUAUGGGAUGUGAAAGAUGAGAUUGCCACAAUGUGCCUUCAUUGCUAAACACAUUCUUACAUUCAUUAAAGAGAUCCAAGGCAAAAUUCAUUAAGGAAUUCAUCCAUGUCAUCUUGUGAUCCAGGCAAUCUACCUUUGGGAAAACAUCAAGGUUUGUGAAGACAAAACACUUGUUUCCUUAAUCGUGUAAGGAAUGGACUCUCUGAUGCGAACCGGUGAGCAACGAACACUCACAAACCCACAACGAGAUUGACAUAAUGGAUCCCAAAAAAGCCAAUGAAUUGAUGGUUUUGGACUAACGCGUAAACAAAGACUCAAACAACCAAUAAUAUAUGAAAUUAUUGACCUUUUGAAUACACGAUUUACAAAUCUCACUCGAAUAAUUGCGACACUCUCUCAUUGGGAGAUUGAGAGAGGUAGAUUGAAGCGUAGUUACAAUCACAAGAACAUGCAGUUCUCGAUGUUCCACAUGAAAAGUCGUUCAGCAUAGACCAGAAGGCUAUAGGAGACAGCAGAUUGGAUUGCAGGAGGUAGACUUGGAGUCUUACAGGAGGUUAGAGAAUUCUACGGCAGUAAGAGGCUGCAGAAGAUAGAUAAGGAGUUCUAGAGUUAGAGGUGUCUACGGCAGUAGAUCAUAAGGCUGUGAUAGUGAUCUUAACGGGUAUAAGGACAGGCUUAUCAUUGUAUGCUCUGAACAAUCGAGAGUGGAGGUAAUUGGCUUGGUCCCAAAAUUUUUUGCCACGUUAGAUUUCUCCAUCAUCAAAUUGUUGUUAUUUAUUGCUUUUCAUAUUAUACAAAUUGUGGCAUUCAAACUUAGGGAAUUGGACUUGAAUGAUUAAUCACCUAGAUAACUAUUAAAAGUGACUUGUUGCUUUGAUUAGUGUAAUUUCGCUGCAAGUAAGGUCGAAUUGGUUAAAUUGUACUCUAGAACGUAAACUUGGUAAUCAUAAGAUCUGAAUUGGUAGUGUAACUUGUUAGCAUGACCUUUAAAGUGGUAUUAGAGCCUGAGUGCUUGUCCUGACCUUAUAUAGUCUAGAUGAGUACUUCAUUGAAUGUACCGCCUCAUUUUGAUGGGAAUAAUUAUGCAUAUUGGAAAGUGAGAAUAAGGGCAUUUUUUAAAUCAAUGGAUGAGAGGAUUUGGUUGAGUGUUACGAAUGGUUGGUCUACCCCCAUGUCCACUGUAGAUGGUAUUGUCAUUCCCACUCCCAUAGAGAAUUAGACUAAGGCUAAAUUGGAUAGAUGCAAUUGGAAUAAUAAAGCUUUACAUACCCUGUUUAUGGCUAUUUCUCCUGAACAAAUUAGGAAUGUGUCCAUGUGUGAGGUAGCAAAGAGGUUUGGGACAUUCUAGAAACCACAUAUGAGGGAACACAGGUGGUUAAGAACUCUAAACUGCAGAUGCUGACCACUAGGUUUGAAGAGAUAAGAAUGAGAGAUGAUGAGAUGUUUGAUGUAUUCUAUAUGAGUUUAAAUGGCAUAGUAAAUUCGUCCUUUAACCUAGGAGAGAAAAUCCCAGAGUCUAAGAUAGUGAGAAAGAUUCUUAAAUCCUUACUCAAGCGUUUCAGGCCUAAAAUCACCGCAAUUGAAGAAAGUAACGACAUAGACACUAUCAAGGUAAAAGAGUUAGUUGGAUCCAUUUAGAUCUAUAAGUUGACCUUAGACAACCCAACCGAGGAAAAGUCCAUUGCCUUGAAAUCUGUGAGGAAUAACAGGGAAAAAUCAUCUGGCUCAAAUUCACCUAAUGAUGAAGAAAUGGCCUAGCUAGCUAAGAAGCUUCGAAAGAUGUUUAGGAAGAAGAAGAAACUGUAAGAGAAACCGAGAGUGGCCCGAGUAAAUCUAGGAUAAAAUUUAACUUGGUGAGAUGCCAUAAUUGUCAACGUACAGGUCAUGUGAAGGAGGAGUGCCCUAGUGCUAAGAGAGUCAAAGAGAAGGCCAUGAAUUCUAUUCUCACUGAUGACGAGCCUAGCUCGGACAAUCAAUGUGAGAAAUCCAUAUGUGAGGAAGGUGGAAGAUAUGUUGCCUUCAUCGCUAGGAUUAAGAGUAGAUUCAAAUAAGGGCGUGAAAGAGAUGAGGACAUAGAUAGUGGUGAGGAUUCUGGAGAUGAGUCUAUGAGUCAUGAAGAUAUUGAAGAGGCUUAUGAGAAAAUGUAUUAAAAAACCCAAAAAUUCUCAAAAAAAAUAAGGCCCUAAGUACGAACGUUCAUGAGCUUCAACUAGAAAAGGCUAAGUUAGAGGUGUACGUUAAGAAAUCUUCCACAAUCCUGGGUGAGCUUAAGUCGAUGAAUAAAGCCUUAGAAUCUCAGGUUAAGAAUUCACCGAUGAGCUUGAGAGGUCCUCUAGGAAAGUCAAUGAGUUGACCACCAUGAAUGAGACUUUACAAAGCUAGGUAGUGAACCUUGUGAGUGAAUUAGAGCAUUCUAAGUCUUAACUUCUUGCCUUCACUAGUGGUUUGUCCAAGCUAGAUAAUCUUCAAGGAAUAGGCAAGCCGGCUGAAAAUAAGGGAGGUCUAGGAUACAAAGGUAAAGCCCAGGAUGUUGCUAGCAUGUCUUAGACCAUGUUUGUCCCUGCUUCUGACUAGCCUAAACAUGUGCCUAACCUGGACCUAAGAUUAAGGGAUAUGUAGGAUAGAAGUCUACCAGACAGCGUAGAACCCAUCAACGUAGGAAUAGACAUCAGCAUCCACAUAACACAGGUCCUAGGUUUAUCUCGACAUGCUUUCAUUGUGGAGAGUUUGGUCACAUCUGCCCUAAAUAUCAUCAGUACCUGAAAAAUAGGAAAAACUUAAACUUGAAAAAGAACAAAAAUUAGGUGUCUGCUGGUUAGAUUGGAUUCCUUACUGAUCAAGUAAAUCGUUUGACUAAGUUGAUGACAGAACUAUUUGGGAAUUGUUCUCCCACUAGACAGGUUUGAGUGAAGAAGAGUGAUCAGCCAAAUUAGGUAGUAGAUCACGGUGCUCUUAAGGGAAAGAGCACUCAUAUACCUAUUUGAUUAGAUAAUUAUUAUACAUGCCUAGCUCUUAGAUGACAUAUGAUUGUUUGCAUGCAUCUUCAUUUUUUUUUUUUUUUUUUUUUUUUGUUUAAUGCAUGUGCAUUUUUCUUCUGUUUGUUUUGGCGCAUUCAUAUUUAGUUUUGUUUUUGUGUGCUUGGUUUUAUUUUCUUUUGUGUGUGGAACCCAAAAAAAUUGAAAAAGAAAAAAAAGUUUGUUAUGGAAAUGUCUACAGCAUGACAUAUGAUUCUUGAACUUGCACGUUGUGAUCAUGUAUGAGCUAAAAUUGAUAAAUUGUAAAAUAAUUUUCAUUGCUUGGGUAGGUCUUUUUGGAUUACUUAGUAUAAGUGUCUUCAUGUACCAUUUGCAUUGCACACACUAUGAAUUUGUUAGUGAGACUCUAACAUGUGUGUGAGAUUUGGGAUGUGGAGCAUGUUGAUAGGGUGACUUUGAAAAUGAAUUGAUCAUUAUUUAAUAGACUUAAACCUGAAAAUAAUCCCCCAUUAAAAUAAGCUCAUAUCUUAAUGUUCUUCUUGAAGGCCUAUUUGACUCGAGCAAUUAAGCCUGUGGGGCCUCCUAAAACCUAGUGCCUAUGGUCAACUGACUUGGAUUAAUUGGUAUAAAGCUCACUAUAGAGGUCAUUUCAGUCGUCUAAUGGAGAAGAACCUGCAUUUAAGAUGAAAAAUAAGUUAGCUUGAAAAAUAUGAAAAAUGUGAAAAAUAUGUUGAGCUAGAAAAAUGUGAAAAUUGAAAAAUAUAAAUGCUCAAAGUAAGGGAGAGAAAAUUAAAAAUAAUAAGUAUAGGUCCUAAUGCACACUAUAUGGUUUGACUUUCAUAAGUAGGAAAAUAUUCUUAUUGGUAGUGAUUGGUAUGUCCCAUCUCACAAAAUUAAGGUUUGGAGUCUUGCUUGCAUUGUAAUAGUGACACUUUAUACAUAUGAGUCAUUUGUACUUUUUACUUCAUUCAGGCUUGAACUGAGUAUGUGGGGAGGCCUAUGACUUGUUAAUUGUACUUUUGGAUGCUAUUAGCUGCAUUUUUGAGUUAUUAUGUGUUAUUGCUCAAAUUGUUCUUAAUAUGAUUCCCUUCAGCAUUUGUGACAAAAAGGGGGAGAGAAAAGUGUAACUGAGGAGGAGAAAAAUAUGUAAAAGAGCAUACACAUCGGAGAGUGACUGCAUUUGCAUGUGCACAUGAUUUCACUGAUUGACAUUACUUGCAUUUUGCAUUAAUAUGUCUAGGGGUCGUUGGGAAGAGAUAUAGAUACAUUGAUUUACUAUAUUAUAUUCAUGAGAGUUUGCAGUAAGGAGGAGCGUGUAUUACAUUCUACAUCACAUCCAUCUGUUUAAGUUUUGAUAUUUAGUGAUGUUGGUGUUUUGAUUGGCAUCAAUAUCAUGUCUCAAACUGGCAUGUUGAUUUAAGAUUAAGUGCUUUAAUUUUAUAUUUCCUAUAUCACGUGUUUCUACACUGGGUGUAUAGAAGGCUGCAGGAGGUAGAUUAGGAGUUCUAGUGCUAGAGGUGUCGACAAUAGUAGAUCAUAAGACUGUGGUAGCAGUCUUAACGGGUACAAGAACAUGCUUAUUAUUGUAUGCUCUGAACAGUCAAUAGUGGAGCUAACUAGCUUAGUCUCAGAGUUGUUUCCACUUUGGGUUUGUCUGUCAUCAAAUUGUUGUUAUUUAUUGAUUUCCUUAUUAUACAAAUUGCGGCAUUCAAACUUAGGGAACUGGAGUUAAAUGAUUAAUCACCUAAACAACUAAUUAAAAGUGACUUGUUGCUUUGAUUAAUGUAAUUUCGCAAGUAAGGUCGAAUUGCUUAAAUUGUACUUUAGUGGUAAUCAUAAAAUUUGAAUUGGUAGUGUAACUUGUUAGCAUGAUCUUUCAAGUGGUAUCAGAGCGUUCUAGGUUUUUCACUUACAAUGAUGAAUUUCAUCCAUGCAAUUGGCCAAUCCAUUGAUCCAAGGUAAGAAAAUGAAUAAAAAGAGAAUAAAACACUACAAAGAAUUCAUAAAGAAUUCUGAAAGUGGAUCUAAUAUCGAAGAAACCCUCAAUUCUUAUUAUUUUAUAAAACACGGUGCUUACGAUGAUGGAUUUUAUACAUGCUAUUGAGCCAUCCAUGUUGUACUAUAUAAGGUAAACAAAAUUUUCAAAAAGGAAUAAACCAAAAAAGGAAAUAGUAGGCAAUAAAGAGGAUAAAUGAAGGAUUCCGUGUGCAUAUAAUCAACCACUAAAUUGGUGAAAAUAUUGAGGGAAUCAGCUAGCAUUUGUGCAUUUCAUCAGUAUGUGAUGAUAAGGUAUGUGGCAAACGACUAAGUUCAAUACAUUAAAAUAUUUUAACCACUUUCACUACUUGAUUCGUUUGGCAUCUUUCCAAUGCUUGCAGAAUCAUUUUUGUAGCUAUAAUUUUAAUGAAAUGUAAUUUAUUUUUAAGGGAAUCUAUAAUUAAUUUGACGAUAUGUAUUGUAGACUGUUUAUUUGCACAAGUCAUCAUUUUCACGUUCUCAUCUCUAAAUUAAAGUUUCUAUCUUUCAUUAUACAGCUAUAACUAUUGAAAGUUCUAGAGUAAUUUGUAAUCUUCAUCUAGUCCAAAUCCAAAUUAGAAACUUUAACAACAAAAGAAGAUUCAAAGAGUUCAAAUCCAAAUUGAACACUUUAACCAACAAAAGCCUCAUUCAUUGAAUGGUCAAAGGAUAAGAUUUUCAAUUCAAGUUAUAUGCUCAACUUAUGCAAGUUGGAAAUUAACAUAGACAACAAUAUGAUGUUCACUAACAAUUGGAAUCUGGGAAUUACAUCAGGCAGCAGCCAUUUGACACUUCUUAUAUUCAAAUACAGAUGUAAUUGAAGACAUAACUGCUGCAAAUGAUGAAGAAAAAUAGCUAAUAUCUAGUGUAAUUGUACAGGAUUAGUAAGACUAGUUUACUCAAUGUUCUCUAUAAAUAGGAAGGCAUCUAUCUAGUUUUAUGUAUGUAGAAAGAAGUGAGAAAAAUCUCUUAAAAAAUAGAGAGAGUGUGUGUGUUGUAGCAACUCCUUUGUAAUCUCCCAAAUUUCAUUAGUAAAAUCUCAUAUUUCUCACAAUUAUCUUCUUCUACAGCCAACAAAUUUUGGUAUUAGAGCCAGGUUGAAUAGAUGACCAAAUCCUACCAAAAGUUGAGACAAAAUCAGCCUAAAAACAUACCACAGCACUAGCAAAUUUUUUUAACAAAAACAGGGCAAUUAUGACAACAAAUUCAGCAGUCUCCUUGUUCACUUAUUCACCAAGUCAAGUACCAAUCUUUGAAGGUGAGCACUAUGAAUAUUGGAGUAGUCAAAUGCAAACUUUCUUCACCUCUUUAGAUUUAUGGAAAGUCAUUGAAGAUGAUGAGGUGGUAGAAGAUUCGACUGAAGGAGUUGAAGAAGAUUCAAAGUUACAAAAGGAAUACAAAAAGAAAGAUGUAAUGGCGUUGCGAUAUAUUCAACAAGGAGUUAGAAAAUCAAAUUUUCCUCGCAUAUUUGGUGUUAAAAAAGCCAAAGAUGCAUGGAAAAUUUUAAAUCAAGAAUUUCAAGGUUCCAAGAAAACUAUCGCCUUGAAACUUCAAUCUUUAUGGAAAGAUUUUGACAAUCUCAAAAUGGAAGAUGGGAGUCAGUUCGUGAUUUCUCUUCACAAGUUUCGGAGAUUGUAAAUCAAAUCAAAAGUUGCCGAGAUACGAUUAAAGACAAAAUAGUUGUUGAAAAUUUCUUCGAUGUCUCCCUUCAAAAUUUGAUCAUGUAGCCGCUGCAAUUGAAGAAUCAAAUGAUUUGUCUAAAAUGACUAUGUCCUAGUUGACUGGAUCACUUCUUGCACAUGAGCAAAGAAUCAAUCAUUCGGCUAGUCAAUUAACCGAGCAAGCCUUCCAAUCAAAGCAAGCAUUAAAAAUAAGUUUAAACAAUCAUGGAGGUUCAAACAACAAAAAGGAAAAGUUUAGCAAGUGGAGUCAAAAUGAAAAGCAAAGCAACUGGAAAGCCAAGGCACUACAAUAAUCUGGUAAGGCUCAAUCUUGCAUUAUUUGCAAAAAGAACAAUCAUGAAUCAAAAGAUUGUUAUUUUAAAUGUAAAAGAUGCAGAGUUCCUAAUCAUUCUCAAAAGGAUUGUUGGUUUCAAAAUAAGGAGAAAAAUGAAGAUGCGGCAAAUUUUUUGAAAGAAAGUGAAGAUGAAAUUCUAUUUUAUGCUUAUCAAAAUGGUGACUUUGAAUCCAAGAAUAAAUGGUAUUUGGAUAACAGUGCUAGCAAUCACAUGAUAUGAAAUAAAGAUAUCUUUGUAGAGAUCAAUCCAAAUGUCACUUCUCAAAUUAUUCUCGGAGAUGGAACACAAAGAAGAGCAAAAGGAAAAGGCAUCAUUGCGGUCCAAACUAAGGGAGGUAUCAGACAACUCAUUAAUAAUAUUCUUUAUGUGCCAAAUCUUUCAUAUAAUCUCUUAAAUAUUGGACAACUCUUACAAAAGAAUUUUUUGAUGCGCUUAGAUAAUGAAAGAUGCAAGAUCUUUGAUAAAAAAAAAUGUCAUAGUGGCAAAUGUUGAAAUGAAAAACAAAACUUUUUAUCUCAUGUUACCACUAGACAACAAUUGUGCACUCAAAGUUCAAAAUGCAGAUUUGUCACAUCUAUGGCAUUUACAAUAUGACCAUUUAAAUGGCAGAGGACUUCAACUGCUUAAAGAGAAAAAUAUGGUGAUCGGGCUUCGUAAAAUUCAAAGGAUAGACAAAGUUUGUGAAGGCUAUAUCUAUGGAAAAAUGCAUACGGUUCCAUUUCCUAAAACUUCAUGGCGAGCAAAAUGCCAUUGGAGCUUAUUCAUUCAGAUAUUUGUGGACCAAUGCAAACUCCUACUCUUGGAAAUAAGAGAUAUUUCAUUCUCUUUGUUGAUGAUUACACAAGGAUGAUGUGAAUUUUCUUUCUCAAUCAAAAAUAUGAGGCAUUCUCUACAUUUCUAAAGUUCAAAGCACUUGCAGAAAGACAAAGUGGAUUUCUAAUAAAGACGUUGAGGACGGAUCGUGGAGAAGAAUUUCUCUAUAAUCCCUUCAUUGAAUAUUGCAAAGUUAAUGGCAUUCAAAGGCAACUGACAGUUAGCAGAUCUCCACAACAAAAUGAAGUAGCUGAUAAAAGAAUCGUACCAUUGUUGAAAUGACAAGAAGCAUGCUAAAAGGCAAAGGAAUUCCAAGUAUUUAUUGGGCAAAAGCUGUAAACACAGCAGUUUAUAUUCUCAAUCGAUCUUCUAUAAAAGUUGUCAGAAAUAAAACUCCGUUCGAGGCAUGGUACAGUAAGAAGCCAAAGGUAGACAACUUUAAAAUUUUUGUUAGCAUUGCCUAUACCUUCAUUCCAUCACAAAACAUAGAAAAGUUCGAUGAGAAAGGACAAAAACAUCUAUUCAUUGGAUAAAGUGACGAGUCUAAAGGAUAUCGUUUACUAAAUUUAGAGACAAAUAAAAUAACAGUUUCUCGAGAAGUUGUGUUCCAUGAAAGCGCAACUUAUGAUUGGAAAGGAAAGCAAGUCAUGGAUUCUAGACCCUAUCAAUUUGAUGAUCCAUCGACGUCUCAAAUCUCCAAAACUGAACAACUUACAGCUCCAAAUAUUCCAACAAUUGAAGAAGAAUCAGAAACCCCUCCAAGAAAAACACGUUCACUAAGAGAAAUAUAUGAAUCGCAAAAACUCGGAUUAUUCUCUUGUGAACCUCAAUCAUAUGAAGAAGCUUCAAAAGAAAAAUGUUGGACAAAAGCAAUGAAUGAAGAAAUAUCUACCAUUGAGAAAAAAUAAAACUUGGGAGUUCGUUGAGCUACCAGAAGGAAAGAAGACUAUUGGUUUGAAAUGGAUCUAUAAAAUCAAAUACAAUGAAGAUGGGUCAAUUCAAAAAUAUAAAGCUCGGCUCAUGGCCAAAGGAUAUUCUCAACAACCAGGAGUCGACUUCACAAAGACAUUUGCUCCAGUUACAAGAAUGGAGACAAUACGUACAGUUCUGGCAUUAGCAGCUCAAUUGGAGUUAAAAGUCUUUCAAGUUGACGUAAAACCAGCAUUCUUAAAUGGCGAAAUUCAAGAAGAAGUGUAUGUUGAACAACCUGAAGGUUUCAAAAUCAAAGGCAAAGAAGACAAAGCUUAUCGUUUUCAAAAAGCAUUAUAUCGGUUAAAGCAAGCACCCCGAGUAUGGAAUACGAAAAAUCAAUGGCUAUUUCAUUCAAAAUGGCUUCAAUCGAAGUUCAAGUGGAUCAUCCCUCUAUGUGAAAAAUGUAGAAUUUUUUCUCAUCGUUUGCCUCUACGUGGAUGGUCUUAUCUACUUUGGUGCAAAUGAACACAUGAUGGGCGAAUUCAAGAAUAAAAUGAUGAAAGAUUUCGAAAUGUCUGACUUGGGACUCAUGAGUUAUUUUCUCGGGAUUCAAGUAAAACAAAGGCCAUGAAGAAUUUUUCUUUCUCAGGAAAAGUAUAUUGAUAAUCUUCUCAAAAAAUUCAAGAUAAGUGAGUGUAAGUUAGUCUCUACUCCAAUGGCCUUAAAUGAAAAAUUGCAAGUCUAUGAUGAUGCAGAAAAAGUUAAUGCCAUACUCUAUAGAAAAUUGAUUGGUUCAUUGAUUUAUCUUAAUACAAGGCUAGAUAUUACAUAUUUAGUCAGCUUAUUAUCCAGAUUUAUGAAUGAACGAAGUAAACUACAUUUUGCAGCAGCAAAAAGAAUUUUGAGAUUCCUUAAAGGAACUAAGAACCAUGGCAUGAAGUUUAAAAAGGAGAAAAAAGGAGAAUAAUUGCAAACUUGUUAGCUAUACAGAUAGUGAUUGGGCUAGAUCAGUUGAUGAUCGAAAGAGCACUUCUGGAUACAUCUUUCGCCUUGGAUCAAAUGUGAUUUCGUAGAGCUCAAAAAAAUAGAAAUCCAUUGCUUUAUCAUCAACUAAAGCAGAGUACAUUGCAGCUACAGAUUCAGCUUGCGAAGCUAGUUGGCUUAGAAGAAUUUUGAAAGAUUUAAAAUUUGAGCAGGAAGGACCAACAACAAUUUAUUGCAACAACAUAUCGACAAUUGCGAUGACAAAAAAUCCAGUCUUCCAUGCUAGGUCAAAGCAUAUUGAACUUUGACAUCACUUUAUAAGAGAUUUGGUAAAUCAAGAAGAAAUUUGCAUUGAGUUUAUAAAUACCAACGAUCAACCGGUUGAUAUGAUGACGAAGUCAAUGAUAAUUGAUAAGUUUGAGAAAUUCAAGAAGCAUUUGAAGAUUACAAAUUAAGAGGGGUUGUUGAAGUUCUAGAGUAAUUUGUAAUCUUCAUCUAGUCCAUAUCCAAAUUGAAAACUUCAACAACAAAAGAAGAUUCAAAGAAUUCAAAUCCAAAUUGAACACUUCAACCGACAAAAGCUUCAUUCAUUGAAUGGUCAAAGGAUAAGAUUUUCAAUUCAAGUUGUAUACUAAACUUAUGCAAGCUGAAAAUUAACAUAUACCGCAAUCUAAUGUUCACUAACAGCUGGAAUCUGGAAAUUACAUCAGGCAGCAGCCAUUUGACACUUCUCAUGUUCAAACACAGCUGUAAUUAAAAACAUAACAGCUGCAAAUGAUGAAUAAAAACAUCUAAUAGCUAAUUGUAAUUGUAGACAAUUAGUAAGACUAGUUUACUCAAUGUUCUCUGUAAAUAGGAAGGCAUCUAUCUAGUGUUAUGUAUGUAGAAAGAAGUGAGAAAAAUCUCUCAGAAAAUAGAGAGAAAAAGUGUGUUGUAGCAACUCAUUUGUAAUCCCCCAAAUUUCAUUAGUAAAAUCUCAUAUUUCUCACAAUUAUCUUCUUCUACACCCAACAAUAACGAAGGUGUCCACAGAAUAGUACCUCAAAAUAUACUUAUAAUAUGUUCAAUAAUAUCUUUAUUGGUGAUCUAUUGAACAUCUCAACCAAGGGAUUUCCUUGAAAAUAUUAUUCUCGCACUUAAUCUCCAGUCUCAGCUCCCACUCGUGCUUUGCACUUCACAUAUUUGCAUCAAAGAUUAAAUGUGUGUGACUUUUGGAAGCUAUAGAUAGUUAAUUUUGUAGAAGUUGAGGGCAGUGCCCUAAUGGAAGAGCAUUGGCAAGUUGAAGUAUUACUAAUAAUUUUGCAAGCUAUGCCUGUUAGCAUCCUCUGUAACUAUACAGAGGAACUCAAACCCUAGCCUUGAGUUGAUAUUAUCCAAAUGUGGUGUAGUGUUGCACUAUGGUCUAAUUUUGUUUCGUGCUUGAAUCCCACUAAAAUAUUAAGAUGUAUUAGAUAGGUUCUUUGAUUUAUAUAUAACUAGGUUGUUUGCUCAAGUUCACAAGUACCCCUCAUGUCUUUCAAUUUUUUAGGAGGGGCACUAAAGGUCUAGUAAGGAGAUUGAAUCCAAAUUUAGUAAUGAAACAUAAUUAUUUAAUUGAGUUGAAAUAGAAACAAGGGUCUCAAUCAUGAAAGAAAAUAUCCAUAUUUGUCGAAGAACAAAUAUCACUCCAAGAGGAGAGUCGUAAUUGAUAAUAAUUUGAACAAUGCCGGUCUGGUCACUUUAUAGUGCGACUGUGGGUUCAGUUAGUAGAAUCACAAGAGUUUGUGAAAAAUAAAAGUUUUUGCUGUCAUGCAAUGUCACACAUAUCUUUUAUAUAUAUAUAGAAUUAAGUGACUCAAACUACGCGCCGGCUCCCCUCCAAUAGGGGGCCACGUCAGCGCCCUGUCUCCAUCCUUGUCACUCCAGUAGGGUUGGUGUCUAUAUAUUCUUCAAUAUUUUAUCGCUUUCACAGGUUUCCUCUUCAACACCCCUGACCUUUCCCUUAAACUUAACAUUUUAAGGGCUUAUUUUUUCCUAUUUUACUAUUUUUUUUGAUUUUGUGAAAUUCCAUGAAUUAUUAAGUUUAAGAAUAAUUGAGGUUGAUCUUCAGAUCAGAAUUUGAUUUAAUAAUUGUUGGUUAAUGCAUUCAGGUAGAAUCGGAUUUCAAAAUUUUUUGGCACAAUUAAAGUAUUAUUUUUCAGAUUCAGUCCCUAUCCGUUUUAAAUUUUUGAGGAGCAGAAUUUCAUUUGCCUUUUAGGCAUCUGCCAUUUUGGAUCUUUCUUUUAAUGGAUACAGAUUCGAAAUUUCAACUACUUUUUAGCUACAGCCACAAUUUUUGACUUUAAUGGAUUGAGGACAUAACUUUUCUUUUAUAAUUGCAUAAUGGAUAUAGCAUCUUGAUUGUAUAAAGGAUUCAGCCGUAAUUUUUGACCAUUGUCUCAUAUGAUGGAUUCAAUGUUGAAUACUAAAUAGUAUAUGAUGUGUGCUUUUUUCUCUUUUUUUUUUUUUUUUUUUUUUGGCAAGCUAGAUUUCUAGUUUCGUUGAUUUGAUCUCAUUAUCGACUUUUAAUACAUGCAUCUAUAGUUUCUAUGCUCAUAAUGUCAUGGGAAUAAUAGAAGUAUCGACACUUAGUUCGAUUUUAAGCAUUUAGUUUAAAUAAUAGAACUAAUAGUUUAAGAAAUCAAGCAAAUGAUUGUUUGGGCACGGAAGCUCAAAUCCAACUUUGUUGAUUCCAACGGAUUAUAAUGAAUGAGAUUCGAUGACAAUAUUAUGAAGUAAACAAAAUCACACCACAAAAACAAAGUUUAAAUUGUAAAGAAGAACAAGAAGAAUUAAUCAUAGAGGAACGAUGUUUAUUACUCAACAAUAUGGAGAGAAUAAUACAGAACAAUAAUAAUGCUUAUAAUUGUUACUACGAUCUAAACUGACGGAUGAACCUUUAAUUUAUAGGCCAACCAUAGAAGAGUUCUAAAAGGCAAGAAAAUAUAUUACAAUUAGGAGAACUAAUUUCAAUAGGAUUUUGUUUCCUUUUGUUAGAUGCAAUUACAUUUCUCUUCCAAGUACAAGUCGAAUACGUAUCUUCAAAAGACUCCUAACCAAUUUUUAGGAUUCCACUUGAUCAAAUUCCAAAUCAACAAGAAUCUUAACACAUUUGAGUCACCAACUCAAAAAUGAUAUAUUAUCAAUCGUCCCUCGACAUCUUGCUUUCCGGUCCUUGUAGCCAUAGGAGCAUAUAUUUACAAUAUUGAUGAUAUGUCUUGGAGAGGCAUGGCAACUCAAUGAAUUAAUCUUCUGCCAGUUAUCAUAAAAUGUAUGUGCAUGGUAGUUCUAAUAAUAUUACCUUUAUUACAAUAAGUUGUUCAGAUAUUUAUUUGGAAUGGGAUUUCAAAUGUAUAUUUUUUUUUUUUAUCAUAUGAUUCAUUUUCUAACGUCUUAAGUUGCAACUAAUUUAUUUGAAUUGUUUUGUUGCCGGCUUGCUUUUGGUGUUAACAGCAAAGGGUAAUGUGGCCUUACGAUUUUGUAAAUGACAUUGUCAUUAUAUUUUCUUUUGGAAUGCUUUCUAUAUUAUUUUGAAUCUUAAAAUUAUUAUUUUUGCUGAUGUCCUCUAAAGAGGCAAAGGGCUAAUGCCAGGCCACGACAUCGGAAUGGCCGACCAAGAAGAAACAGAAAAAGGACGAGGCCUUAAAGAAAAAAACCCCCGCUGCUUCUGUCCAUUUUGUGCCGUAUCCUUCGUUGCUGAAUGCUACUCCUCUUGUUCAUGAGGUUUCUCAACAGGACAAGGCAAUGCGUUUGGCUGACCAUGAGAUCUUUUUCUUUCAAGGGCAAAUUGCAGCAAUGAAAUGGGUGAAACCCCAGGCUUAUUUGGACUUCAUUGGGAAGGAAUUGCUGGAGGACGAUGCUGUUGCCCAACUUCUUCUCAACAUCUGUUCUUUAACCCAAGCUGAAGCUGCCAAUAAGAGCUGGCAGGAAAAAACAUAAUUGCUAUCUUUCUUCCAUGGAUGCUCAGUAUGCUAGCUUGAUGGCUGCAAUCUAAAAUGCUCAUGCUACAAUAUGUUCCAUAAAAGCUGAAAGAGAAACCAAGCAGGAAACGUUUGCAUGUGAAAAUGCCAGAGAAGUUGUGGAGUGUUGAAGAUACAAAUGCAUUGUGGGCACAUGAUAGUCUCAGUAAUAUAGUGGAGUGCACAUGGGUAUUGUAAGCUGGUAGUGUGCAAUUGUGGGAGCAUAGCUAGUUGCUGUAACUGUAUUUUAUUCCUACGUGUAUAGUGUAGGUUGAGUUAGUUUUUUUCUUUUUCUUGCUCAACACUCCAAGUGAGUGUAUAUAUACUAUAUUCUCUUCACUGUAAAUUGCAUCAAAAACUUUUCAUAAGUCUUUCUAUUUUCUAACUUGGUAUCAGAGCUUCAAUGGCUAACACUAGAUCCAGCGACAAUGUACAAUCAGCUCAGCCAGCUUCUAGCACAUUGAUACCUCCAAUGUUGGGAAGAAAGCAGAUGUCAACGUUUGGGAUAAGCCUUACUGAUGUGAUAUGGAUUAGGCCCGAAAUGAACGAGAAUUUGUUGGUUUUGAAUCAAGGCGUCGGGACGAGAAUUGGAGUUGAUUCAGGCCACAUAAUUAUUAAUUUGAGCAUUGGAGUUCAAUAUGAUGGGGUUGACAUGUCAAGUGACAUUAAAUGAAGGGGGUCGAAGACUGGAACCAAUUGGAACAAGUGUCACGAGCGGCUAAAGUUUGGGCCAAAACCGAGAAGCUAUGCGGUCGCAGGUGCGACAUGGGUUGCGACCACAAGGACACCUACAGGGAAACUAAGGGUAGCGUUCGGGAGAACCAUGCGACCGUACAUGGAAAUACCAUGCGGUCGCACAGUUGAUUGGCGAGGCAGAAAUUUCCUUUACGCGCAAGAGAGUUUUAUUUUAGUUAAAUUUCUUGUUUUUGGAAAUUUUAUUAUUCUAGGACUCUAUAGCACGUUUUUUAUAUUAUUUCCUAGGAUUUUAUUCCUUUUAAAAUUAGCUUUAUAUUUCUAGUAGAAAUAGGAUUAUUUCUCAUUGUAAUUUAGAACUUUGAUUAUGAAUUGAAUGAGAAUUCUCUCUUUCGAAGCUUUUGCUUCAAACCUUUGUUCUUCGGGACUUUGAACUUAUCAAGGGAUUCGUUUGGGAUUUCUUGUGGCGUUCGCAACCUUGGGCGAGGUUCUUAAAUUGUGUAAUUAGGAGGUCUUCGAUUUAAUAAAUCAUUGGUUGUCUAAUUCAUCGUUUAGGAACUAAAUCCGUAAAUUUCGAAUCAAAUUGGCGUUCUUGGGAUUGGUGUUACUCUCGUGUGGGUUCGAUAGUGUUCGUUGCUAUCCGGGUUCACAUCACUUACCCAAAUACCACCAAUGAAGCUUGAUAGGACCAACUUCCUGCUAUGGAAGAAUAUGGUUAUGCCCAUCAUUAAGGUUUAUAACCUUGAAGGAUUCAUCCUAGGAACAAGAAAAUGGCCACCAAAAUUCAUGGGAACACAAACCACAGAUACCACUGAUGUAACUGUUGAAUUGACACCAAAUGUUGAGUAUGGAAGGUGGAUGUCUACUAAUCGACUACUGAUGGGUUGGCUUUAUUCAUCAAUGACACCUGAGAUUGCCAUGAGAGUAAUGGUGUCUUCAAGCUCCUGCGAUCUAAGGAAUGCAGUCCAGGAAAGUUUUGGAAUUAUGAACAAGUCAAGAGUAACAUUCCUUAUUGGAGAACUUCAGAGAACAAGGAAAGGAUCAAUGAGUAUUGAUGAAUAUCUCAACACAAUCAAGCAGUUAGCAGAUAAUCUCGAGAUUGCUGAAAAAAGUGUUCCUCACAAUGAUCUUGUAACCCAAGUAUUAGCUGGCUUGGAUGAGGAUUACACUCCUAUUGUGGUCCAGAUCAACAGUAGAGUUCAUCUCCUGGCAUGAGUUGUAAUCUACACUUAUGACAUAUAAAAGCAGGAUUGAACAUCUUAAUGCUGUGAAAAACAGCAUGGCCUCAGUAAACUUAAGUCGCAGUAAACUUUUUUCACAAGCCAAACAUGAACAGAUGAGGUAGGUCUAACUUUGGUGGAAGAAAUAGUAACUACAGAGGAGGAAGAAGCAGAGGAAUAGGAGGCAAGCAACCUAGUAGAAAAGGGUCAUGUCAAAUAUGUGAAGUGGGAAAUCACUCAGUCGAGAGGUGCUUCAAUCAGGUACAUGGGUACAAAACUUGACCAAAAGUAUCAAAACAAUCUCUAGACCAGCUACCUUUGUAGCUUCCCCAAGUAUUGUUACAGACCUAGCCUGGUAUGCAGAUUUAGGAGCAAACAAUCACGUCGCUACUAAGAAAGGAAGUCUGACUGAAGCACGUGAGUAUGGUGGUAAGGAAAAUCUUAUUGUUGGAAAUGGAAAUAAACUUCAUAUCUCACAUAUUGGCACCAAGCACUGAAUGACAAGUCAAUGAUACUCAGUAACACAUUACUGGUGCCAUCAAUUAAGAAAAUUGAGGAAGUGGGGGAACAAUCUGGAGACAAUUUAAGGGGAUUCAGUUGGUCAAUUGAGGAAGAAAAAAGAAGAAAAUUCAGCCGCCAAAGAUAAAACCUUGAGGAAGUCGGCCAAACACAUAAUCUGGUAUAAGAGCAAGUGGGUGGCUGGGAGUGGGACCUAUUUUUGAAGGAGAUGGCCCACCCAUAAAUUUCAAGAAAUAAAUCGAGAGGCGUGGAAAUAUUAAGGGAAGAAUCGAUUAACACUUCAAUUUUUCUUUCCUUCUUUAUUAUGUUUUCCAUCAUAAUUUGUAUGAAUUUCACGUUUUAUAUUAUGAGCUAAAUAAAUUUUCUAGGGUUUGAGAUAGCCGAACUCGAUAUUAUGGUUUGAUGAAUUUAUUAAUUAUUUUGUUUGAUUUUCUCACGUAAAUUUAAUUGUAUAAUGAUUUUAAUGCUUUCAAUUGUCUGAUAAACAAUUGGAUAAUUUGAUGCUAGUCAAUUCUGGCACUCGAGAGGGAGCAUUUAGGCGUGAUUGUAAGAUUGAUACAACAUAGAUUUUAUAGGUUUCGAGAGAAAGUAUAAAAUCUGUGAAGUUUACUCCACAAAAGGAUCAGAACUUUUAUAAAUUCUUGAUUUUCAAUUUCGAACAGAGAUGUUGGAAUUGGGAUCUAAGAUUAAUUUCUAGCCGGUGCUCGAGAGAGAGGAUGAAAAACGUAUUAGGAUUCUUGCCUUUAAAUAUGGAAAAAUUAAUCGGAAUAAUUGAAAAUCUUUGAAUCGUAAUCAAGAGUUAGGUGAAAUCAAUCCCUAGGCUUUCUCAUUUGAUAAUUUGUAUUCUCCAAAUUUGUCGAUCCAAUCACGUUAGAUUAGUUUAAUUCAUUCACUCAUAAAGCAUUCAAACAUUCAACCAUUCAUUUGUCUGAAUAAAGUAGAAAUUACAUAAUUAUAGUACUUAGUGAAAAUUAAAUUACAAUCCUAUGGGUUCGACAUCCUAGCUUCAAAAUUAUAUUACAAAACUUGACACCGUACACUUGCAGUUAAAUCACAUUGUAUAAAUCGGUGGCACUAAGCAUGUGGAUAAAACAAUAGAAUAGAAUCUUAAUAGUUUAAGAAAUAUUCAAUAAAUGAGACAUUAUUAAUUGUCCCUUGACAUCUUUCUUUUUAGUCCUUGUAGCCGUAAGAGCAUAUAUUCACAGACACAGUAUUUGACAUGGUGACGUGUCUUGGAGAGGCACCGCAUCUCAAUGAAUUAAUCUUGUGCUUGUUAUCAUAACAUUUAUGUGCAUGGAGUUCUAUUAAAAUGAUCCUUUUUGAUAUUUCUUCGAAGAGCUAUGCUACAAUGACAAAGAAAGAUGACAAAAUUAGGUUACAAAAUCAAAUCUACACCAAUCAUUUCAAAAAUAGAUUUUUAAAUCAUUUGAAAUCAAAGGUUCAGAUUUUGCCAACACACUUUGACACUCCACUUUUGUACACCAACUUUGUAGGAGUAGAAUUAUUCUAAAUUUAUUUGAAUCAUUUUGUUUCCUACAUGCUUCAGGUCUUAAUGGCAAAGGGUAGAUCUUGCUAUUUGUACAUAGAGGUUUACACUUUGGUUGACACGGUCCCACCACUUCUCUCACAUGGGGAGGUCAGCCCCACACAUUUGGGAGUGGGACCCAACCUCUCCCAUGUGAGAGGUCGGAUGGGGCUGUGUCAACCAAAGUGUAAGACAUCAUGUACAAGUAGAUUAAUCAUUUUUCUGAUUUCCUUUACAGAGGCAAAGGGCCAAUUCCGGGCCACGGACUUGGAAUCGCUGACCAAGAAGAAGCAGAGAAAGGACAAGGCCCUGAAUCUCUAAUAUUUUUUUGUCUUCGGUUUCAAAAUUUUCUUUAUUUCUCUGUUUCUUAUCAAGGACAAGGCCCUGAAGGAAAAAACUCGUGCUGCUUCUGUCCAUUCUGUGCCCAAUCCUCCCGUGCUGAACACUACCCCUCUUGUUCCUGAGAUUCCUCAUCAGGACAAGAGGAAGUGUUGGCCGAACAUGAGAUCUCUUUCUUUCAGAAGCAAACUGAAGCAAUGAAAGGGGAGAAACCCCAGGCUUACUUAGACUUCAUUGAGAAGGCACCGCUGAGGACAAUGUUGUUAAACCAGCUCCCUUCCUACCUCUGCCCAAUAGCCCAAGUUGCCAAUAAGAGCUGGCAGGCAAAACAUAACCACUAUCUUUCUUCCAUGGAUGCUCAGGAUGCUAGCCUGAUGGCUGCAAUCUACAAUGCUCGUGCUACAAUAUGUUCCAUAAAAGUAGGGAUGGCAGUUUUCCCCACCCUGCCCCGCCGAGUCCCUGCCCCGAUGGGUUGAUGGGGCGGGGCGGGGAGUGUUGCCCCGUCUCGGGUCACGAGGCGGGGCGGGGCGGGGCGGUCUUGCCCCGAAUCCGCCCCGUCAAGUUUUAAAAAAAAAAUCCUAAUUACAAGUUUUGCAACCCUAACCUAACGUAACAUUCUUCUCAUUUCUCCAUCCAGAGUAGCUCUCCGCCAGUCCGACUUGCAAUAUUCUUUUGUUUUUCAGGAUCCAUCUUAUGUGAUCUCUACUUCUGUUGAUGAAAGAAGUCAUGAAAUCUGAAAAAUGACAAAUUUUGAAUCAAAAAAUGAAUUUUAGUACAAUGACAAUGUAAUUUUAAUUGCAAUUGUUCUUUUUUUUUUGACAGUGUUUGUUUCGACUUUCGAAUGUUUAUUUUAGACAUUAACUUUAUUAAAAAAAAAUUAUACGAGACAAGAAACGAGGCGAGGUGCGGGGCGGGGCCCCCGCCCCACUGCCAUCCCUACAUAAAAGCUGCAAGAGAAACCAAGCAGGAAAGGUUUGCAAGUGAAAAUGCCAAUAAAAGCUGCAAGAGAAACCAAGCAGGAAAAGUUUGCAAGUGAAAAUGCCAGAAAUGUUGCACAGCGCGCUUUUGAAGAGGAAAGGGCUAGCCAUAGCCGCUCCGUGAUAAACCUUACGUCAACUCUUGAACAAGCGAAGAAAUAUUGGGAAGCGCUGGGAGAGAAGCGUGCGAGGAUUAAGGAUCUGGGGCUGAAGCUUGCAUCUACGGAGGCUAGGCUAAGGGGCCUAAGCUUGGAGGUGUUGGUGGCAAGCGUUAUAACUUCACUUUUCUGUUUUAGAUGCGACAGCAUCUAAAAUACUGAGAAAUUAACGCUUCCAGCACCACGUCCAAAGCUUAGGAUCCUUGGGUAUAGCACCCUUGGGCACAUUGCUCUUAGAGGCCUUCUGUGACUUGGACAUCAACUCUGCUUUCUUCAACCACAUAGGAGACUGAGCGAAUAAAUCUGAUACCCUUCCCUGGUUAUAUCUUGGCACCACUAAAUCGGCAAAGCUCUGUCCUGACAACCCAUAAUUAACAGGUGAGACAAACAAAAGAAAAUUAACUCCAAAAUUGAACGUAAAAUCGAUAUGGAGUAGAAGCAAAACUUAUACAAAGCAAGACAGCGCGCGCGCGCACACACACACACAUAACAAAGCAAUAGACGUUUGCGUCCUAUAUUUAUCUAUUUGACAGCAUCUUCUAAUUUUCAAACUAAAACAAAAGAAUUCUAGAUUGAAACUAUAAUAUCCCGAAAUUUUAUAGAAUAUAAUUUAAUUUUAUUUAUGCUAUAUUUUUAAUGUUUUGAAAGUUUAGGGACUAAAGUGUAUAUAAAGUAAACUUUAAUAAUAUUUAGAUUAAAAUAUAAAUAUUGACGGGACGAUGAUAAGAAUACGGAUAUUGGGCUCAUUGGAUAGAUAAUAAUUAAAGACGCAUUUUAGACUCGAGAAAAAAUUAAUUUGGGUUAGUCGAGCCCAAGUUAUCGAAGUCGGAAGAUAUAACAUUAAAAUAUUAUUUUUAUUACUUUUGUUUGGAAGAAUUUACUUGGAGAGAGAGAUGAAAGUUGUUGAGAUAUUUUAUUGUUUUAUUAUUAAUAAUAAUAUUUUAUUAAGUGUGUUUUGCAUUGGGAGGUCUCACGUGAAGUACUAGGAUUCUAAGUAGGUGGUAGGUAAGUGAUAAUUGAUUUGUUUAUUAAAUGAAAUAAAGUAGAGAGAGAGAGAAUUAUGGGAAGCCACGUUCCUAAUGGUUAAAACAAAUUCCCUUGUAUAUAUAUGGUGCACUGCCACGUGUAAGAUAUAAAUUAUUUUUUUAAAUUGUGGGCAGUUGGCAAGAUUUGGGUCAAGUUUCUAUUUCAACUAUUUUGAUCCAUAUCUCUUUCCCCACUCCCACACGUUUCCUCAUUUUUUUUUAUAUAGAUAUUUUUAUUAUAUCAUAUGAAAACAAUAGCUUUCAUUCACUUCACUGUAAUAUUAUUGCACGAUAAGGCAGAAAGAAAAGAAAAGAUAGUUGCAACGUGAUUUUGGGUUUUCUUAUUCCAAGAAAUUGUUGGAGCGUGAACCUUGUUUUGACUUCCAAAAUUUAAGCAAUUUAACAAAGUAGGAUAUGAGGUGCAGUAUUUUUUUAAUUUCCCGUUUAAUUAUUUUGGCUACAUGUGGACGAAUUUCAUAUUUAUGAAAGUUAAAGUUAUGAUAUUAAUGCUAUGAUAUGAAUGAUAUGGCCAUUCCGGUACAAUGAAAUGAAAUGAUAUGAUAUGAUGUGAGCUCUUACCGGAUUUAAAGUUAUGCGACGGUAUGGUAUUCUGACACCUGUGUUAAAAUUAUUUUUCGGGAUCGCACCAUUAAUGUGAUAUCCCACUGAGUAUUCCCAUGUACUCACCCUUUUUCUACACCUCACAGGUUAGAUCGGGUCCUGUUGGAGCGUGGUGGUUCGAUGCGUGGUUGUGCCUCAUUUGCUGGACGAGAAUUUAUAAUUUUAACAAGUAAUUUUAGUUCAUUGCCAUAGACAUCCUAUUUUAAAGAUUAAGUUAUCAUUUAUGUUUAUUUGCUACAUGGAUGUUUUUUUUUUAAAUUCAUUUUAAAUAGAGCUCGAACUAUAUGUUACUACUUUUAUCGAUUUUAAUGGUUAAAAUAAAAUUGAUUAACUGUCAAGUUCACAUCAAAGACUUUUGCAUUUUUCUAAGGCAUCUACAGCCUUUUCAAGAUUUAUAACAUGCAUGGCCAAAACAAUGAUUCUGUACUUCACACCAAAUUUUCAAUUGUCUUCCUACCACAGUUAACUUUAUGCAGUGGAGUUGUAUUAUUCAUUUGUACUUUGAAUUGGAUUUUAUAAUAAAAAUAUUCAUAACCCGUAUUCACUAAUCAUGCUAGUAUAAAAGAUGUUAAAUACGGUCAAAUGUCAUCUCAUUUUAAGAUGAUAAUUUAAAAUUUAUUAAUCAUGUGGUUUCCAAUAAAUUUGAUCCUUUUAUAAUAAAGUUGGUAGCGACUAAAAUAAUUUUAAAAAAAUAAAAAUAAUAAUAAAAGAAAAUAAAAAUUUGGGUCGUUACAGUUUGGUAUCAGAGCAUAGGUUUAAUUUCCUGUAGAUCCACAUGGAUUCUCGUAAUUUGUUUUUAAAAAAAAAAUAUUUGGGACGUGAAAAGUGACGGGUCACUGUUCACGCACUGUUCAUGUGAACAGUGCAUUAAAUGGCAAAAAAAAAAAAAAAAAUAGGUAAGAAACGUGUAUUAUAAUGCCACCACCUUUUUCAUCAUAUGGUAUCUUUAAGUUUUCAAAAUUUCAAGAUUGCCCUUAUAAUUUUGUGAAUGCAUGCAAAUAUGUAUUAUUUUUUCCUUAAAAAAAAAAAAUGUGUGAUGUCAUAUAAAUUUUGAAUUUUCUUUUUUGUUACAUGUUAUAAAAGGCUUAUUUGCUUACUUGUUUUCCUAGAUAAUAUUUGUUUAAGGUUAAUAUUUUUUUUAUUUAUUUAAGAAUUUAACGAUAAUAUUAAAUUAAAAGUUAUGAAAUAUGUGAAUGAUCUUUGGCACUCAACGACCACCAAUCGACCACCCUUGAACGACUCUAAGGUAUGUAAAAAGGGUAAGAAGAUAAAUGUACUUAAAGCUUUUUGCGAGAUUUAAAUGCUUUAAAUUUCCUAUCUUUAAAUGUUAAGACAUGCACGUUUAUUUUUCCCACUAAAUUAUGAUAUAUAUUGUCAUAGAUAAUUAUAACUUAUUAGACUUAGUACUAAGUGUGAUUGGUGACUUCAUAUUAAAUUUUAGGAAAUGGCACCACCUACUCAUGCGAAUUUGAUGCGCAAUUUACUACGAGCGGUACAAGAGUUGAGCAGGCAAAGUCAAGCACCUCCACCACAAAAUGCACCGCCACAGCAGAAUGCACCGCAUUUUGCCGCCGGAGCUGUCUCAGUGGUUGAGCAGUUUCGUAGGUACAAGCCUUCCACUUUCGACGGUAAUUCUGAACCACUAGUUGUCGAAGAGUGGAUAAGAGGCCUGGAGCACAUAUUUCGACACAUUGCUUGUAUGGAUGCACAGAAAGUAUUAUGUGCAGAAUUUAUGUUGAUUGGAGCAGCUGGUCACUGGUGGGAAUCUAUUUCACGUACAAGGACGGAAGAGCAGCAACGUAAUCUGAAUUGGGAGCAGUUUAAAGAUGAAGUGAUGGCAAAAUAUUUCCCACAGGCUUUGAGAGACUUCAAGGAAUCAGAAUUUUUGCAGCUCAGACAAGGGAGUAUGUCACUUACUGAUUAUGAAAGACAGUUUGAGCAGCUCUCAAGGUAUGCCACACACUUGGUGGAUGCAGAAGUUAAGAAGAUUAGGAGGUUCGAGAAUGGACUGCGCCCUGAGAUCGGCAUGAUCAUUAUGUCCCAUCGUUUCACCUCAUAUCGUGAAAUGUUGGAGAGGACUCAUGCUAUUUCAUAUCAGAGGACCUCAUUUGAACAGUAUGCCCAGCAGAGCAAAGAGUCAUCGGGAAAAAGAAAGUGGAAUGAUCCAAACAAGGACAGACGUAAUUGGCAGAGUAAAAGGCCAAACACAGGAGUUCGUAUUGGUGGAGCGAGUGGGAAUAUUACACCGUGUCCUAAGUGUAAUAAACUCCACAGGGGUGAAUGCUUACUCGGGAAGAACAUGUGUUUUCGAUGUGGUAAGCCAGGGCACAUUGCUCUCAACUGUACAGAGCCACCAAAAAGGAAGGAUGAUGAUCAGGACAAGAACAAGAAAGGAAAGGCCCGAGUUUUCGCACUAAAUCAGCAUGAGGCGGAGCAGGAUCCGAAUGUGAUAGCAGGUACUAAAUUAUUUAAUAUUUUAACACACUUGCUUAUGUUCUUUUUACUGAAUCGGCAUGAGGCGGAGCAGGAUCCGAAUGUGAUAGCAGGUACUAAAUUAUUUAUAAUUUUAAAACACUUGUUUAUGUUCCUUUUUUUUUACCUAGGACUACACAUUUUUCCAAAUCCGUCCCUUGGUUGUUAGUCUAACACUAUAAAUUAUGCAAACAGGUAUUCUGUUAUUAUCUGAUGUACCCGCUUACAUACUUUUUGAUUCUGGGGCUACCAAUUCUUUUAUCUCUACAUCCUUCGUCGCUAGGUCAAACCUUGCAUGUGUGAAAACGAAUUAUGAAUUAGAGGUUAGCAUCCCUUCAGGAAGAACUCUUUGUACAAAUCUGAUGACUAAGGCUAUGAAGUUAGAGAUUGAUGGGAAAAUAUUACAAGCAGACUUAUACCUUUUGGAGAUGAAAGAUUUCGAUGUUAUUUUGGGCAUGGAUUGGUUGGGACUUAAUCAUGCGACCAUUCGAUGUCAUGAGAAAGAAGUAUUGUUUCACAAACCGGGAGAGGAAGAGUUUCGUUUCUUAGGAGCAAAGUUCAAGUCUUUACCGCGCCUAACAUCAGCUAUACAAGCAGAAAAGAUGUUAAGGAAGGAGCCAUGCCAGGGAUUCUUAGUUAACAUCAAUAGUUCUCAACAUACAGAAAUGACUGUUAACGAUAUUAACAUCGUCCGAGACUUUGCAGAUGUAUUCCCAGAAGAUUUGCCAGGCAUUCCACCAGAUAGACAAGUGGAAUUUACAAUUGAUUUAGUUCCUGGAGCGGCAACAGUUUCUAAGGCCCCGUACCGAAUGGCACCGAAAGAACUACAAGAAUUGAAGUUGCAAUUAGAGGAGUUACUGGAGAAAGGUUUCAUACGACCAAGUGCAUCUCCUUGGGGAGCACCUGUACUUUUUGUCAAGAAGAAGGAUGGGAGUAUGAGGAUGUGUAUUGACUAUCGGGAAUUGAACCAUCUGACCAUCAAAAAUAGGCACCCACUGCCAAGAAUAGAAGAUUUGUUUGACCAGUUAAGGGGUGCUGUAGUAUUUUCAAAGAUCGAUUUGAGGUCAGGGUAUCACCAGCUAAAAAUCAGGGCAAGCGAUAUACCGAAAACUGCUUUCAGGACUCGUUAUGGGCAUUAUGAAUUUACUGUCAUGCCUUUUGGUUUGACCAAUGCUCCAGCUGUAUUUAUGGAUCUCAUGAAUAGAGUAUUCCAUCAGCAUUUAGAUCAGUUCGUCAUAGUGUUUAUUGAUGACAUACUUGUGUACUCAAAAGACAAGAAGCAACAUGAGGAACAACUUCGAAUUGUACUUGAAACUUUGAGGAAUGAGAAAUUAUAUGCCAAAUUCAAGAAGUGUGAAUUUUGGCUUGACCGUGUAGGUUUUCUUGGUCACGUGGUUACCGCCCAAGGAAUCGAAGUAGACCCCGCUAAAGUGGAAGCAGUAACAAAUUGGCCAAGGCCGAGUGGUGUGGGUGAAGUCCGCAGUUUCUUGGGAUUGGCUGGUUAUUAUAGAAGAUUCAUUGAAGGCUUCUCAAAAAUAGCAGGGCCAAUGACUCAGUUGACAAGAAAGGGUGUAAAGUUUCAGUGGACAGAAAAAUGUGAAAAAUGUUUUCAAGAACUCAAGCAGAGGCUAGUCUCAGCUUCUGUAUUGACGAUAGCUGAAGGUUCAGAGGGAUUUGUGAUUUACAGCGAUGCCUCUAAGCAGGGUUUAGGCUGUGUACUGAUGCAGCAUGGAAAAGUGGUUGCUUAUGCCUCGAGACAGUUGAAGCAGUAUGAGCAAAACUAUCCAACGCAUGACUUGGAGCUUGCAGCAGUUGUUCACGCCUUAAAGAUAUGGCGUCAUUAUCUUUACGGUGGGAAGUGUGAAAUUUAUACGGACCACAAGAGUCUCAAAUACUUUUUCACACAGAAGGAACUAAAUAUGAGACAGAGGAGAUGGUUGGAGUUAGUGAAGGAUUAUGAAUGCACAAUUCAUUACCAUCUGGGUAAGGCUAAUGUAGUUGCAGAUGCCCUAAGCAGAAAGACAGGAACACAGUUAGCAGUUUUACCCACAGUACAGGAACACUUGAUAAAGGAGUUUGAUAAAUUGAGAUUGGAAGUUAUCACGCCGCCAACUCAGAUUUCAGGGAGAAUAAGAUUAGAUAUAUAAGUGAUUAGAUCUAGUGCAAGUCGAAGUUUGUAAGUGUUAUAGCCUAGAUCCAAUUAACCUUGGAUAGAGACACUUUUAAUAUAAAAUUGACACAAUUUUAUGGCAGGUCUAUUAUUUAUUUAAUAUUGAAUAUUAAAUUAAAUAAUAUAGUCCGUAUAUUCAAGUCUCAAUAAUUUGUUAAUCACAAGGAAUUGUGAUUGUGAUAUAUAAAUUACAUAUGAUUGAAUCUUAAAUCAUCUGUGGUCAUAAAUAAUAAUGAGAUACGGACAUUGUUAUUAUAGAUACACCAUCACAUGUGGGGUUUCUUACUUGUGAAGUAAGUAGUUGAUCUCACAAGCUAAAGUGUGGUGAAACUUAAAUAAAAACGUGGUUAUUUUGUUAUAGAAUAAAACAUUGAAGACCUGCUGGGAGAUUCCACAUUGAUAACUAUCUGAGUAUCAAUAUUUGAUCUCUAACGUUCGAUAGUGGAAUUGGUCCUUCGACUUGAGAUCAUCAUAAUACCUUAUAUGAGGACAGUCAUACUUUGGCAGUGUUAGAUGUUGCUCUGCCAAAGGUCACUAAUACGGUAUCGUUCAGGUAUGUCAAGAAUCAUAUGAAGCUUGUGAAUGAUCAAUCGAGGAUUCGUCACUCUUAAAUAGUAAGAGAUUAUGAUUUGCAUUUCAUCCAGUUGGGUCGAUAACAAAAUCCUUGGCCAAGGUUUACCCAUAAAUCGAAAAUGAGUUUUCGAUUUGUAUUUACUUAAUAGUUGAGUGAAAGAUAUGAUUGAUAAUCGAGAUUAACACAUUUUCAUAUCUUGUAAUUAAUUGGAUCAUACUGAUGAAUGUAUUAUAGUUUCAUGAUAAACGAAUAAGUUUGGUUAUGUCAACCACAUGACAGUUUUCGUCACAUGUAUUGUCCUAAUACAUUGCUAGAUGUCAAUUUGGGAAAGUGUGUGUGAAUUUGUGAUAAAUUAAAAAUGGUGUUUUAAUUUAUCGAUUUUGAUUUGAUCAAAAUAAUAAUUCACGUCGUUAGGUAUCGUGAUUGGGAACCUGAUGGGUUAUACACAAAAGGAGAACUAAAAGAUUGUAUUUUACCAAUUAAUUAAUUUAACAAGCGUUGGAUAAAUUUAUUAAUUGGGUUACUUAUUUAUUGACCCGAAUUAAUUGGAUUAAUUAGUUCAUGGACUUGAUUUAAUUAAGUAGGUUAAUUAAAUCUUGAACCAAUUUAGGAGACGGGCCAAGUCUGUUUGGGUUUGUAUAAAUAAGUGGCUAGUGUUUUGGAUCUGUAGAGGUUUUAUUAUUCUAGCUAGCAGAAGAAAACCCUAGUUCUCACAAUUUGUUUCUCUAUGUGGAUUUCCAUUAGAAGUUAUACAAUUGGACAGAUGUGGGAGGCAAAUCAAGAUUGUUGGAACAAAAGGAAAAGCAAAAGUUUGUAGAAUUCUUCAAACGUAUAAUCUCUAUCACAAUUUCUAUUUAAACACAAAGAGAUCCUUGGUAAGAAUUGAAAUCUGUAUUAAUUUUCGCCGUGCAUGUUUAAGUAAAUUCCCAACAUUAUGUUCCAGCAAGCAUGUGUUGACAAUAAUUUUUUCGGAACUAAUUCUGGCAAACAUCUAGGCCACAAUAAUCUUUUCUCCAAUUGCAGUCAACACAGAAUUUUGGUUCACAAUUGGAACAUGAUCUUACUCUCACCAAUUUUAUCAGGCUUGGAAUUUUUCCUAGCACUUGAACUAUACGUCUACUCUUACAAACAUAAAACUAAUUUACGUAAAAAACAUAUCUUCAUAAACAUAAUUGCAAGAUUCUACUGUACUAUAUCAUUUCCAAUAAGUCAGCAUAGAUUAUUUAUUUAUUUUGGUAAAUAGCUUGUUUUCAUUUCUACUACCCUAUUGGUCAUCAUCAAUUUCAUACACGAUUCUUAUUGUUGCUUCACAAACUAAUUAAGUCAUCCAGCAAUUCAAUUAAAUUAGGGUUGAGAUGCUCUUAAUUAUGAUAACUUUGCAUCAAAUAGGACUUCCCUAACAAAAUUUGUAACUUAGGGGUAGGCAGAACCCAUUCGUUCGAUUUUCCUCAUUAUCAAAUCAAACCAAACCAAACUUAUUUUACACAAGGAACCACUUGGUGGUUCCAUAAAACAGGAAUUAUACUUUUGAUUUCGUCUUUUAAUUGUAAGAAAUUCAUUACUUUCAUAAUCAUCAGAUCUUUCAUUUGGAUGAUCAAGAAAUUCAAGAUCUAUAGCUGAAUCAAACAUGGUUAUUGUAAUAAUCAAAUCAUGUGGCUUAGUCUUCCAAAUCAACACGUAGUCUCCUUUUCUCUCUGUGAUGGGAUGUAGAAGAGAACGAACAAAAUAAAAUCUCUCUAUGUGUGAUUCGGGGACCAUAAUUGUACUUAUAUACUAAUCUCUUUUGACCUAAUUCGGCCCAUCAUAAAAUUAGGAACUUGGGCCUAGUCUAUACACAUAUAGAACCCACACUUUAAUUGGACGCAUUACAGUCCAAAAUCGAAGCCUUAUUAAAUAACUUUAAAUGGCAUCAACCAAAUUCGAUAGCCUUUAAUUUAAUACACAACAUUUCACACAUAUGCCGAAUUAAUUAAUUCACGGAUCGGAUUUAGUUAAAUUGAUUAAUUAAAUAUUGGACCAAGUCAGACCAAACCCGUUUGGGCUUAUAUAAAUAACUUAUUAGAGUUUACAAUUGUAGGGAAUUCAUUACUCUUGCUAGUACAAGAAGAAAAUCAUAAUCAUGCAAUCUUGUUCUCUGCAUGGAUUAUCAUUGGAGGCUGGAUAAUUGGAAAACUGUGGUUGGCAGAUCAAGAUCGUUGGAACGCAAGAAAAGCAAAUGAGUUUGCAGAUCUAGAAAAAUGUACGAUUUUUUUCACAAUUUCUAUCUAAACACAAAGAGAUUCCUGAUAGGAAUCGAAAUUUGUUUUAAUUUUUCUGCGCAUGUUAGGUAGAUUCCCAACAUAAGACAUUAUCAAGUUUAAGGCAAACGAAAACAUAUAAAUCUUACAUCACUUACAAUAGUGUCGAAACACCCCUACCUUAAUGCUUGGAGUCUGAAAUAUCCUUUCGUGUCCAAAGAAUAAAAUACAGCGUCCUUCUUGGCCUUUUCUUUAGAAAUUUCAGAUUCAAAGUACUUCAUGUUAAUGAAAGAAAAAAAAAAAGGCGAAAUAACUUUAUGUAGGAGUAUAAUAGUUUGGGCGAUAAAACAUGGCUAAAGGAGGUGAAAUUCGGUUUUCACAAUACCAUAAUAUGGCUUGUAAAACAUAAAGGGACGGGUUUCUUUCUUUCUUCCUAGGGAGUGGCCGUGUAGUUUCUUUUCAAGAAAUGGUAGCAAUUUCUUUUAUCAAGAAAUGGCAGCAGUUAUUGUUUUUAAAUUUUAAAUCAAAGUGACUGUUGGCAUGGAACUUGUAAAUUGAUUUUCAAAUGGAAGUUCACAGAAAAGGUAUUGGUUUGUGGAUAAUUAAACACUAAUGGCAGUUUUAAUUUAAAUUCUAAGUGAAGUGGCGAUGAUAGUAGUAUUAAAAAAUUGGAGGUUACACUUGAGGAAAUGGGGGUGGUUGUUGUAUUUAAAAAUUGGAGGUUAUACAAGUGAGUGGAGAGGUAAAAAUUUUAAAAUGUUAACUUUCAAAUGGAUAUUGAGAAGAACGUACAGCAACUUCCAAAUCUCAAUAGCAAUUGAUGAUUAUGGUGGUCACAAUUAACUUUCAUCCGACAAAAUGGGCAGUUGACAAAAAUGGAAUUUAAAAUGGUAAGUUGAAUAUUAUGUGUAGAAAUGUGGAUGACGUAGUGGAGAAAACUGAAAAUAAAAGAAAUCGAGAUAGUAGGAUUGAAUUUGGGGUUAUUUGGUAUAGUAUAAAAAGUGUAUCUAAUUUUAAAAUUUAAGAACUUUAUAGAAGUAGCAAAAUAAUAUAAAGUGUCGUCAAAAAACAAUGUAACAAAUAAAAAUUUGUCGUUUAAAAGCGAUUUUAACACCUUGUAAAAUUUAAAAAAAUCAAUUACGCGAAACUUUACUUUCGUGACCAAAGUUUAAUUCCGCAUAGCUCUUUUGACGAUCUUGGGCAGUUUUAAUUCUUGAUCUAAUUUUAUAUAUAGCCUCCACAGUCUUCUCGACCAAUUCUGGACCCAAAAAUUCUUCUUUCACCAACUUCAUCCCAAUAUAAUGGAGAACGACAACGUCUACCAUAUAAAGUUUCAUAUGGUGCCAUGUCAAUAGUGGGCUGAAAGCUAUUAUUGUAUGCAACUUCAACCAACGACAAAUGAUCUUCCCAUUUACCACCCAAAUCUAGGACACAAGCUCUCAACAUAUCUUCAAGAACUUGGAUAGUUCGUUCAAUUGUCCAUUAGCCUGAGGAUGGUAGGUAGUACUAGAUGUUAACAUGGUACCCAUAACUUUCUGAAGACUCAUCCAAAACUUUGAAGUAUACCUCGAGUCUCGAUCUGAUACAAUAUAAGUUGGAACACCAUGAGGCUGCAUAAUCUCUCUGACAUAAAUUUGUGCGAGCUAUUCUAAGCUAUAGGUUGUCCAAACUGGAAAGAAAUGAGCAGAAUUCAUAAGUCUAUCCACAGUCACCCAAAUCGCAUCAUGACCUCUCUCUGAUCUAGGAAAACCAAUGAUAAAAUCCAUUGCAAUCUUUACCCACUUCCAUUCAAGUAUGUCUAUGGGGUUCAACGGCCUCGAUGGCCUCUGAUGUUUAGCAUCACCUGACCUUACAUUUGCACACAAACAAGGCUAUCUUUCCCUUCAUAUUUUUCCACCAAAAUGUAUCACACAAAUCUCGAUACAUUUUAGUUCCACCUGGGUGUGCAGCAUAAGGAGUUGAGUGAGCCUCAGUCAUAAUUUCAUUCUUCAACACUUCAUCCUUCAGCACGCACAUUUGACCUUUAAAUAUCAAGGCUUUGUCUUUGGCUAUUUCAAAUCCUUUCCUCUUCUUAAUUCCCACAUCAACCUUGAUCUUUUCCAAAAAGGGAUCAUCUUUCUGAGCAGCUACUAUUCUAUCCCUGAGUGUCAGUUUCACAGUAAAAUUUGCUAACAUCGCUGAUGUCCUUACUGGUGACGUUAAUACUUCAAUUCUCACGUUCUCAAAAUCUCUUAUUAAAUGAUCAUGUCUUGUACACAGUGCUGACAACUGUCCCGUGUUCUUUCUACUCAGCAUUAUCAGCGACUACAUUAGCCUUACUCGGAUGGUACAAGAUAAUGCAGUCGUAGUCCUUCACUAAUUCUAACCACCAUCACUGUCUCAUAUUCAACUCCUUCUAGGUAAAGAAGUAUUUAAGACUCUUAUGAUCGAUGUAGAUCUCACAUUUGCUUCCAUAUAGGUAAUGGCGCCAAAUCUUCAAAGCUUGCACUACUGCUGCUAGUUUGAGAUCAUGUGUGGGAUAAUUCUGCUCAUAUUGCUUUAAUUGCCUCGAAGCAUAAGCUACCACUUUCUCGUGUUACAUCAAAACACAUCCCAAACCAAGUUCGGAUGCAUCACUGUAAAUUACAAGACUUUUCGAACCAUCACGAGUAGUCAAAACCCAUGCAGAUUCGAGCAUGUCCCUUAACUCUUGAAAACUCAUUCCUCCGUCCAUACGAACUUAGUAAUCUUUCAAGUCAAUUGUGUCAUAGGACCUACAAUCUUAGAAAAUCCUUCUAUAAAUCGGCAACAAUAGCUGGCUAACCCUAGAAAGCUCCACACUUCUCCAACAUUUGUAGGUUUCGGCUAGUUGGUUAUGGCCUCAACUUUAGAUUGAUCCAUAGCAAUUCCUUGUGCUGAAAUAGUAUGUCUUAGAAAUCCCACUUAAUCGGGCCAAAAUUUACAUUUCUUGAAUUUGGCAUAUAACUUAUCCUCACUCAGGGUUUCCAACACUAUCCUCAAAUGUUCUUCAUGUUACUAAGAAUCUUUUAAGUAUAUCAGUAUGUCGUCAAUAAAUACAAUGACAAACAUAUCCAAAUACUGAUGGAAUACUCUAUUCAUCAAAUUCAUAAACACCACAAGGGCGUUCGUCAAGCCAAAGGGCAUCAUCAUAAACUCAUAAUGCUCAUCCCGAGUCCUAAAUGCCAUCUUUCAUAUAUCAACUGACUUAAUCUUCAGUUGAUGGCAUCCCGACCUUAAAUCAAUUUUCGAGAACACAGAUGCACCCUUCAAUAGAUCAAAUAGGUCCUCAAUCCUAAGAAGAGGAUACUUAUUCUUGAUCGUCAAUUUAUUUAGUUCGCGAUAGUCGAACACAUCCUCAUAGUACUAUCUUUCUUCUUUAUAAAGAGUACCGAAACUCCCCAUAGAGAUAUAAUCGGUCUAUUGAACCCUUUGUCUAGAAGUUCUUCAAGCUGCAUCUUCAGCUCUGGUAAUUCCUUUGGUACCAUUUGAUAUGGAGCUUUGGACACAGGAGUAGCUCCAGGUAUCAAAUCUAUCGUGAAAUCCACUUGUCUAUCAUGUGGAAUACCCAAUAGAUCAUCUGAAAACACAUCGACAUAUUCUCGUAUUAUUGGCGCAUCAUCUAAUACUUUCUCUCGAGUGGAGGUGCUUGUAUGACUAAUAAGAUAUCCUUGAAAAUCAGGCUUCCUCAACAUGCUCUCUACCUUUAAAGCUGAGGUGACGCGAGGAAGUGCCUUAACCUUCGAUCAAUAAAAUUUGAACUCCUGUUCUCCUGGUCUUCAAAAAUUACCUCUUUCUCAAAACAUACUAUAAUGGCUCGAUAAUUACCUAAUCAAUCCAUAACUAAAAUAAUAUCGAAAUAUUUCAUCUCCAUAACAUACAAAUUCAUCUCUAAUAACAUACAAGUCGGCCUCUAAAAUCAGUCCAUCAAGAUUUAUCAUGCCCCCUUAACUCCCUAAUUGUCCUAACUUGCCCAUAUUCCUAUUUACCAUAAUAGUUGCAAUCUCAUUUAGAGAAGUCAAUGAUACUUGUGCAACAUAGGAAAAAGAUUUACAGCUCAACUUCUCUUAUUAUUACCUCAAAUAAUCCUUCAAGAGGAAUACAAAGUAAUAAAAUGGCAUCUGACGAUAAUCAAUAUGAAAGUAAAAGGAACCCUACUAGACAUCAACAAUAAUUAAACCUAAUAAAAUCAACUAAAACUCCACUCUUCUAUUCAUCACUACCAUCAUUGUCGCUAGUCAAGAAUUCAUGAAUCCUAGAUUUCUUAGAGGAUACGCCCCAUCGUCUGAAAUAGGUGGAUGUGCAUCUUCAUGAAUUUAUAUCUUAAUAGGUACACUAUCGUACUCGAGGAUCGCAAGUCAGGCAUCUCCCACUACUUAAUCAACUUCAUGCAAAAGGCCUCAUGGUCAAUCUCUGGAGAUAAGGUAGGCACAACAAUUCCCCAUAAAUAAUCAUAAAUCAAUUUAACAGUCUCUAACCACUCUUGUGGCAAAGUAUCAAUAAGAAAGUGGGUGGGUCGACGACCAGUGACCAUAUGGCCUAGUUGUCUCACCUCUCUCUACCUUUCUAACAUCUCCCCAAUGUGCUGGUCUAUAUUGUGCACUGGAUUCGAUACUCUUCAUAUUGUCUCACGAUCUCAUAUCAACGAGACACCAAUGAAUGCGUCUUCCUAUAAGUUUUCUUAGUUCGUACCAUCUAAAUCAUACCAAUUAUUCAAAGUCCAAUCAGUGUGGUAUCUAAUAAGUUUAGGUUAAUUUUCGAGGACUUAAUUAAACAUUUAAUGUGGUCACAUUUCUCAAAAUACUUGAUGCAAUAAUGAUUAUCCACAAAAGGUAUUCAACUCAAGCAUAUAUUGAUAUUCAUACAUACAUUUCAAAUGUUGUAUCUAAAAUAAACUUUCUCAUAAUCAUCACAUAGAUACAAGCAUACUCAUAAAACUUUCUUUACUUCAAAAUCGGCGAGUCGCGACUAUGGCGAGCACAGUGUUCAGGAUCCUCAUUAAAAAAAAUUUGAUUGACUUUAUAUGUGACACAAUACACUAACGAUAGAGUGUUUAAUGCAAGUCUGCAGGAAACAAAACCAUGAUCUAAUACCAAGUUGUAACGCCCCGAAUUUUCGAAACCCGAAGCGUUAAAAGUAAAUCAUUUUUUUUUUGUUUCGACCCCUUUGAUGUAUCCAAAAUAAUUUGUAAAUUAAAAGUUUUUGGAUUUUUGAAACAUAUGGAAAAUAAUGAGAGAAUUUUGUCCAUGUACACUUAGACAAUUAUGGUAAAAUUUGAUUUUUGGGAAAAUAGUUGGGAAAAAUAUAGUAAAUACGGGUUGCACAAUAGUAGAAAGAAAAAUAUGUUUGGUCUAAUAAACGAUGACUAAAAAUUAUGAAAUUUUAACAGAGGUCUAAGAAUUCAUAUAUGUAUCACACAUAAAAAUUUGGGGGUCUCGAAGAUAACGUUUGAAGCACGAAAAUAUUGCUCGAUUAUGCUGGAUAGAAAACUCGGAUUCGACACGAUGCAGUUUACUAAAACGGGCAUAACUUUACAAUAUUUUUGAAAAAUUCCAAAGUCCACCAUUAGAGGACUUAUAGACCUUUCAAACCCAACUAAUUUCACUUUAAAACAUGCACUAUAUCCCAAGUUAUACUAUUUUCAAAUGCAAAGGCAGAAUCUGAAAUUUUAUCCCAGCAUAAAAUAAAACUUCAUACAAAUCAAUCCAACACUUUUAAAUUCUGGUUAACAUGCAUUCUCAAAAAAGGGGGAUGAAGUAAACAUUAAAAAAAGCACUUCUAAAAGUGUCAUCUAAGUUUCCAUAAAAUAUCUACAAAAUGGAAAUUUUUACGAGAAAGUGAAAGCAUUUCAGAUCAUCGAACACUUGCCACUAUGCCAACCACUGCCAUGCCUCGAUCUUAACCUGUAAAAUUUUUAGAAGGGGUGAGUGCUAUAAAUAAUACUCAGUAGGUUACACUUAAGUAAAUGGUAAAAACAUAUAUUUUCAGAAAUGCAAACUUUAAUUGAUUGUGUCACCGUCAAUUUCAAGGGAAUUGGUGAUCAAUCAAGUCGUUUACUUGUAGGUUUUGAUAACCCCAUUUCAUUUGUCAUAAUCAUCUCUUUAUAUAAACCACCAAAUGGUGAUUCCAUUUUUUUGAGCAGUCCAUUUCUUGUGUAAACCACCAAACGGUGAUUCUAUCAUGAGUAACACAAUAUCAAGUUUAACACAAACGAAAACAUAUAAAUCUUACAUCAUUUACAAAAGUGUCGAAACACCCCUACCUUAAUGCUUGGAGUCUGAAAUAUCCUUUCGUGUCCAAAGAAUAAAAUCCAGCGUACUUCUUGUCCUUUUCUUUAAAAAUUUCAGAUUCAAAGUACUUCAUGUUAAUGAAAGAAAAAAUAAAAGGCAAAAUAACUUUAUGUAGGAGUAUAAUAGUUUGGGCGAUAAAACAUGGCUAAAGGAGGUGAAAUUCGGUUUUCACAAUACCAUAAUAUGGCUUGUAAAACAUAAAGGGACGGGUUUCUUUCUUUCUUCCUAGGGAGUGGCCGUGUAGUUUCUUUUCAAGAAUGGUAGCAAUUUCUUUUAUCAAGAAAUGGAAGCGGUUAUUGUUUUUAAAUUUUAAAUGAAAGUGACGGUUGGCAUGGAACUUGUAAAUUGAUUUUCAAAUGGAAGUUCACAGAAAAGGUAUUGGUUUGUGGAUAAUUAAACACUAAUGGCAGUUUUAAUUUAAAUUCUAAGUGAAGUGGCAGUGGUAGUAGUAUUAAAAAAAAUGGAGGUUACACUUGAGGAAAUGGGGGUAGAUGUUGUAUUUAAAAAUUGGAGGUUAUACAAGUGAGCGGGGAGGUAAAAAUUUUAAAAUGUUAACUUUCAAAUGGAUGUUGAGAAGAACGUACAGCAGCUUCCAAAUCUCAGUAGCAAUUGAUGAUUAUGGUGGUUACAAUUAAUUUUCAUCCGAAAAAAUGGGCAGUUGACAAAAAUGGAAUUUAAAAUGGUAAGUUGAAUAUUAUGUGUAGAAAUGUGGAUGACGUAGUGGAGAAAACUGAAAAUAAAAGAAAUCGAGAUAGUAGGAUUGAAUUUGGGAUUAUUUGGUAUAGUAUAACAAGUGUAUCUAAUUUUAAAAUUUAAGAACUUAAUAGAGGUAGCAAUAUAAUAUAAAGUGUCGUCAAAAAAUAAUGUAACAAAUAAAAAUUUGUCGUUUAAAAGCGAUUUUAACAUGAUGUAAAAUUUAAGAAAAUCAAGUACACGAAACUUUACUUUCGUGACCAAAGUUUAAUUUGAACUAUUAGAAAGUGUCGUAGCGACAUAAUAAUAUAACCCAACUUAUUUUUGACUUCUACAAGAAAAAUUUUAUUUUAAAACCAAACAAAACAUUUUUUUUUCGGUCGCUACAACAUCAAUAUCUAGUCUUUGGACGAAAAUAUUGACUUGUAAGUUAUACUCUUAGUGUGGUAAUCAAGCAAAAACGAUAAAUACUUGUCAAUCAAUAAAUCUUUCUUUGGACCAAUUUAUUGAUUACACGUUAAACAAAAUAAUCACCAUAUGUUUAUCACCAAAAAUGUAUGUGAAAUUCGGCCAAAUAUUGAUCUUCCUUUGGGCCGAUCAAUAUUCGCAUGAAUAACACACACAAACACAUUUUAACAUUCUAAGUUAAUUAAUUUUCAUAAGAGAUGUUGCCUUUGGCGACAUGUUGCUUCAAUUAAUUGAUUUUCAAUUACUAUAUCUCUUAAAAGGGUCUUUAGUACCAAAAUUUGAGAAAGAAAAUCACCAAUUUUGUAUAUUAGAUGCCUUUUGAAACUUCAGGGACCUAAGGGUUAAUAAUUCAAAACAUAGUGGUUAAAUUUUGUAAAUUUCAAACCUUGAGGGGCCAAUUUAAAUUAAUUAUGAACUUUAAGGGCUUUAAUUAUAAAAUUCAGAACUUUAAUGGAUCGAAUUAAAUAAUUUUCAAACUUUAGGGACUGAAUUACUAAACCCAUAACCUUAAAGGUCCAACUUGGAUAGAUUUUAAACCUUAGGGGCUGAAACUUAAAAUUAUAUUUUAAAAUUUGCAAAACCCUAACCCUAAUAUUAAUUGCAAGCAAGGGCCUGAAAUCACCAAAAUUGCGACUCAAGCUCCCACCCCCAAAAUCCAUCCCUAACCUUCUCUUCAACGGUGCUGGCGGAUCUGCAAACAAAUCGAGCGGUGUUGUGAAAAUCAAGUCCAAAUGGCUUGAUCCAAUUACAAGGUAUAAAAAAUGAAACCAUGAUCCAUAAUAAAAUUGAAUUCAAUUGUUUCUGAAUCCAAUUUCAUAUCAACAUGCGGCGGUCGAAAUUAUACUUCGCUAAACAGAUUCGUUUGGCAGCCACAUUAAACAAUUCAUUCACAAUUGAAAUCCAAAAUAAGAACGAAUUCAUCAAAAGUCGGUGGUCGCAAUCAUGAAUCAUAUUCAAUUGUUUUAAUUUCUCUCACACGGCAGCUAUGAUUAAUUGUUUUCUUCCCAAAUAGUAAACAAAUGCAGAGAAAGCCACCAUUUGAUUCAAACGCAAUUUGUCUUUAAUAAUCUAACAUGAGUACUUGACACAUCCCACGGGUCCCACAUAAAAAUAUUUCCAAAUAGGAUAAUUCUUCUUGUACAUAAUGGGAGCCAUAUGGUAUAUGUACACCCGACGACCUCCUAUUAGAGGGUCUUACUACUUGUACUUGCUUCUUUAUCCUUUGGUUGACACGAUCCCAUCUCUUUUUCUCACAUGGGGUCGGGCCCAUACAUCAUGGCUCCCACGUGGGACUUGACCUCAUGUGAGAGGAGGGGUGGGAUCAAUUCAUCCAAAUGGUAAACUAGCAAGUACAAAUAGCAUAUUUCUUCUUGUAAUCAUAAGAAAAAGGAAUUUCCAUGGUUCCAUGACAAACUUCUCACACAAAAACAGGUUGCUUGAUCUCGAUCCAUAUAAACAUAUUUCUUGAAUCAAAAACUUGACACCAACAAUCCAAAAAUGUAAAAUUUUAGGGUUAAAAUUCAUAUCUCAAAAUUGAGAAAUUUAAACCAUAAAUUAUAAAAGAUUUUAAUCCAAAUCUAGGAAUACAACCAGGAAUAACAUGCUGAAGAGUUUUCAAAUUCACCAAAACUAGAUCCGAAAUUGUCAAAUCUGAAAACUUUCAAAAUAUUGUAAGAACCAAAUCACAAAACUUUGAUUCACAAUGAUUCAACAUGAAAAGGCUCUGAUACCACUUGUAAGAAAUUUGUUAGAGGAAAUUACAUGCAUCUAGGUGUUUUAAAUGCACAAUUCAAAAAUCUGAUGCAUGUUUAUUUAUGCAAAUGUCAGGUUUCCACCCCCAAUUAAAACCAUAUUCCCUUCCACCCAAUUAAAACCUAAAUAAUUUUUCUCUCAUCUUUCUUUAUAUCCUCUCCCCACACAUCGUCACCGUUGCCAAGCACCGUCGUCGGAGCACCUCCCCGAAGCCAACUUUAUUCUACUCCGAAUCCAUCUUCGUCUCUACCUCCUUAUCCUCUCUCGGUACUUCAUCCAUCUUUCAUUUCUUCUUCAAAUGGAGCUUCGCCUAAAGAUUUAGCCUACCAGCAAGUCCAAUGUGCGGUGCUCUCAGUUCAGCAGCACACGACCCUGCGGAGGCCGCUCACGGCUCCUCGCCACUGGUGGCACUCUGAGAUUGGCGUAGAUCGAUGCUGCUGUAGCCGGUGGUGAUUACCUCUACUCCAGCAGUACUUCUCCCAUGCCACCGCUUCCAACGAUACCUAAACUUCUACGCUGUGCGGUGGCAUCCACUCCCUAGACAUCCGAUUUCGAUAAUCCAAAAGGACUGUAAUUUUUGUUGGUGUUGAUGGUGGUGGUUUUUUAGUUGAAAAUCUUGGUUUGUUGGUGGUUUAAAAUGGUAGUGAUUAUGGUUGUUUUGCCAAUGGCGUCGGCGACGGUGAUGGUAGUAACGGUGCUCGUGUUGGCAAUGGUGAUUUGGGUGGUGGUGUUGAGGUUGGGAGGAAAUUGUAUUGUUGGGUGUGUUCGAUGGUUGUUUCUGGCUGUGAUUGUGCCCUAGUCAUUGUGAUGGUUUUCUGGCAGUGGUCAUGUUGGCGAUGGAGACGGUGGUUAUGCUGGUGUGUUUGGUGGUGGCAGUCAUGGUGGAUUCUAGCUACGGUGGAGGCGGUGUAGGACACAGUGGUCGUUUUUGUUGGUGGUUUGGUUGUGGUCAGCGUUUGUUGGUGGUUGUGUUGUUGUUGAUGAUGAUGGAGGCGGUGACGGGUGAGUAUUUGUGACCAAUUAUAUUUGGUGUUUGUGACCAAUUAUUUGGUCCUCUGUGAGUGAGUGUUAAUUUGUGACCUUGAAAUUCAUCAUUUUGUGACUAAAAAAGUAAUCUGUGACCAUCAAAUUUGAAAAUACGUGACCUGCGUUCUAUAAUUUUUUGGAUUUGUGACCAAUGACAUAAAAUGUGGCCCGUAAUUUUUUGAUCCGUGACCAAAUUUUUUGAUAUGUGACCUUGAAAUAAUUUGUGACCUAUCAAAAUUUUGAUUUGUGGCAUCGAAAAAAUAUGUGACCAAUUAAUUUGAUCAUAUGUGAUUGGUGAAUAAGUCUGUGAGCUAUAAUUAUGUAACUGUGACUUUAUUAUCAUUAUUUAAUAAAUAUUUUUAAUUAAUUAGUUAAAACUUGAAUUUGCAUUAAUCAAACUUGUAACUUGUAACUUGAAUUUUGAAUUAUGUAUACUUAAAACCUGGUUUAUGUACUCUUCCCAAUUUGUUACCUUCAUAAUCACCGGAUCUUUCAUGUUAGAUCAACAAUAAAUAUCAAGAUCUAUAGUGGAAUCGCACCUGAAUCAAACAUGAUUAUUGCAAUAAUCGAAUCAUGUGGCUAGUCUUCCAAAUCAACAUGUAGUCUCAUUUUCUUUCUGUGAUGGGAUGCAAAAGAGAACUAACAAAAUAAAAUCUCCCGUUGUGUGAUUCAGGGACCACAACCGUAUUUAUAUAUUGAUGCCAUUUUGGCCUAAUUCAGCCUAUAAUGGAAUUAGGAACUUGGGUCCGGUUUUUACACAUAUAGAACCCACACUUUGAUUGGAUGCAUUAAAGCCCAAAAUCGAAGUCUUAUUAUGUAAUACUCCGAAUUUUGUGCUCAUUUAAUUUUUAGGAUAGCAAUUUAACUUUUCAAAAUUUAUUAUGGCCAAAAUUAUUUAUGGUUGCCAAAUUUUGCAUUGAUUGAUUUAUUAAAAAGUUUUCCAAAUAAUUUGUUAAUUAGGGGUUUGGGAUAAAUGUCCAUUUUACACCUAAUUGCCAAGGUAAACAUUUUUUUUCUCCUCUUGGCCGUGAGUGGGGUGGCUAAGGUAAUGCAUGAAUUGUUUAAAUUUAAGCAUGAAGUGGCUAAGGCAUGCAUGAGGUGUUUUAACUUAAGCAUGUGGUGGCUAAAGGCAUAUAUAGGUGUUUAAUCGAAAUUAAGAUUUUCUUUCAUGCUGCCCACGUGUAGAAUUGGUUGAAGACUCACCUUAAUUAAUCAUUUUUUUCUUACCUAUAAAUAGUAAUGUUGCUGCCAUUUAUUUCCUUGCAAGAAAAAUCAGAAUAUCACUUGUUUUAAAGGGCAGUUGACGUGAGAAAGAAAGGAUAAAGUCUAGCAUUCUCAAUUCAUCUUUCAACCAAGAUUUCUUCAAAUUUUAUUGUAAGAUAUUUUCUAUGCUUAAGUGGUAGGAUUUCAUGGUAAUAUUUAUGUUUAAGUUAUGCAUGAAAACCAUAAUAUGAAAGACGUGGACAAGUCCACAAAGUUAGAUAUCUAUUUAUGCCUUAGGACAAGUCCGAAGGGCACCGGCAAGCCAGAAUGUGCAAGUAUGUGUUUGAAUGCUUUCUUUUGUGUAGUAUUAACAUGUUAAAUCCAAGCAUGGUAUUUUACUGAGUAUUCUUUAUACUCAUAGUAUUUCAUAUUAAAUUUUCAGAUUCAUAAUUGUGGAGUUGGUGGAAGUCAGUCGGCAAAAUCUAUGAUGGAUCAAGGACAAAAUUAUUUUACAUCGAAGUUUCUGUUUUGUAUGUUUUGUUUGACUGCUUUCCAUAUGUUUUGCUUUUGUUCUUAUAUAAAAACAUGUAUAAGACAUGAUGGAAUAUGGUACUGGAAGUAAAUUAUGUAAUUAUAUCUACCAAGUUAUAUUAAGAGACGUUUUUUUUUUUUUUUACUUUCCCUUGCAAGUGAUAAAAAGGCAGAAACAGGACAGUUUUUGGGUCAACUUCAAAAUGUUAUUUUUGACUCCAUAAAUGUCCAUUUGAGACUCUGAAAAUAUUGCUGAGUUCCUCAUUGAGUUUUCUUAAUAUGGGCACUAGAAUCACUCAAUUUGGAUAUCUAUAGCCUGAGAUAUGAAUUUUCAAACGUUGAAGGGUCAAUCUGAAAUUUCUAUGCAAUACCUCACUGUUUUCAGUAAAACGCCCAUAUCAUAUGAUCUUGGAUCUUUUUCAUAUUUUAACCUAGAAAACUACUUGAAAAUAUCUUUCUAAUGUCAUAAAUUUCAUAGAAAACGGAGUUGGGAUGAAUUUUAUAAAAAUAGUCUAACUUGCUGCCCCAACUAAUCGUGGCAGUGCCGAGUCCGUAUAUGUAAAGUAUAAUUUCAUGUCGACAUGCACUUCUACCGACCUUUAAAUUUUAUGAGAGAUAUUUUACCAAAUUGAAAAUAAGUUUCUAACAUGUAAUACUUCUAUUUAAGAGUAUUUACAUGUACCAAAGACAGAAGCUAUUAUGUUUAGUAUGUGACCCUCGAAGCUUAAGUUUGGGGCGUCACAUAUUCGAUAACUUUAAAUGGACUCAACCGAAUUCGAUAGCCUUUAAUUGAAGUGAAAAUUACACAGCACUAGGCAUUUAAAGAUCACAUUUCAAAAAUCAGAUAUGAAGUUUGUUUAAUCAUAAAUCAGGUCUCAAUUCAAUUAUUGAUAUUGUUAAAUUAAUUAAUUUAUCCAACCCCACCCUAUCUCGGUACACAACAUCCCAGAUUUCCAAUUCAAUCUAAACCUAUUUUCAUUCUCCUUCCCCUUUUCUCUAUCUUCACAAUGCUCUCUCUACAGUGCCUCUCCACCAUAUUUUCUUUCUUUCACUGGAGCGUUGCCUCUGUUAGAUAGCCCCUACUCUGACCAUUGGAGUAGCACCUUGUAUGUACAUCAUUUUCUCUUUUUCCAUCGGAGCGGCGCUUGUGUGAAAAUGGAGCAGUGAUGCUCAAAUCGGAGUUUGAGCCACGACGCUUGGCUCACUCGGCACUCUAUGUGCCACUAAUCUAAUCUAAAUCACGACGCAGUACGCAGCGAUAGGCUCGUCACCGCUGUAGCAGUUUUGUGUUCUUCUAUAGCGGUUUGUGGUGAUUUUUCUUGCGAUUUUUGAGUUAGAAUGCGGUGUGGUAAUGGUAGCGGCCGACGACGAUGGUAGUGGUGUACCAAUGUGGCUAAUCGACCUAUUGUACUUUUAUUGUUCGAUCCCUGUCAUUGUUGGUAGUUGGGUAGCCUAAUGACGAGGUAUUUUAGUUAGGUUUGUCGGUUUUUGGAGUGGUGGUGUUUUUCAUGGUAGUGGCGGUGUUGUUGGCGGUGGCUGUGAUGGUAUUGUUGCCGAGAUAGUAUUUGUGACCAAGAUUGUGAUGGACCGGGAUUGGGUGUCUGGUAUUUGUGACCAACUAUUUGGUUUGCUGUGAUUGACUAUUAGUUUGUGACCUUCAAAUUCGAUCAUUUUGUGACUAGAAAAUUCGAUCAUUUUGUGACUAGAUUACACAACGUGAUUUAUACCGCAAGUGUACGGUGUCAAAUUUUAUAAUAUAGUAUUAACAUAGAGUGUCGAACCCAUAGGGAUUGUAAUUUAAUUUUCACUAAUUACUAUAAUUGUGUAAUCUCUACUUUAGUCAGAUGAAUGUAUGAUUGAAUGGAUGAAUGUUUUAUGAAUGAAUGAUUUAAACUGAUUUAACGUGAUUAGAUGCGACAAAUUGGGAUAAUGCAAAUUAUCAAAUGAGAGGGCCUAGGGAUUGAUUUCACCUAACUCUUAAUUAUGUUUCAAUGAUUUUCAAUUUUUCCAAUUAAUUUUUCCAUAUUUAAAAGCAAGAAUCGUAAUAUAUUUCUAACCCCCUCUCUUAAGCACUGAUUAGAAACUAACCCUAGAUCCCAAUUACAACAUCUCUGCUCAAAAUUGAAAAUCUAGAAUGUAAUAAAAGUUUUGAUUUUUUUUUUUUUUUUUUUUUUUUUUUGUGGAGUAAGCUUCACAGAUUUAUAAUUUCUCUCGAAACCUAUAAAACCUAUAACAUCUAAAUUCCUCCUCUCUCGAGCAUUGAAAUUGACUAGAAUCAUCAGACAAUUGAAAGAAUUAAAAUCAUGACACGAUUAAAUAUAUGUGGGAAAUCAAACGAAAUAAUUAAUAAGUUCAUCAAACCAUAAUUUUGAUUUGGCUACAUCAAACCCUAGGUAAGUUGUUUAGCUCAUGAUAAAAUCUAUAAAAUUCAUACAAAUUAUAAUGAAAAACGUAAAGGAGAAAGAAAAGAAAUUAAACUCUUUUGGAGUGUAAUCGAUUCUUCCCUUGUUCCACGCCUUCCAAUUAAAUUCUGCCCUUUGACUCUUUCAAAUUUAUCCAGCCGUCCACUUUUUUCUCUUCUUCCAGAUUGUAAGUUGGUUGUCUGCUUGAAGUUCCCUCUGGUUCGUUCCUUCUACAAUUUUCGGUUGGCUGAAGCUUUUCCAGUUAAGCUCUGUAUUUGGGGUCUUGUGUUAGGCGGCUGAAAUCUAUGUAAUUCUCUCUAGAUUCUCCCCAAUUCUUGAAUUUGGGCGGCUGCCUUCUCUCUCCAAUUUGUCUAUCGAUUGUUCGCAAAUUUUGCCCACUCCAACCCCUCUUCAUUAGGUCUUGUAAGUGGUAUUUAUAAUUCCUUGGAGUUGCACUACAAUUUGGAAGUGGGCUGGGCUGUGAAAGAAUCCAGAAAUUGGUGAAGUUACUUCCCCGCAAAGUGGCGCCCAAACUGGGCACUAUAGUGCCACUACUUCUGUUUCUUCUACUUUAAUCUGGCACUAUGGCGCCUGUUACAGGGCGCUGCGGCGCCAUCUCUUCUACCGCCUUCAGUUCUUGUAUUUCGUCUUCCUUCUUCAUUUCUUUCGCUUAGCCUCAUUUAUUCCCUCUUUUCAACCCUUUAUCCAACCUGUAAAACAACAUGAAGAUCACAUGUUUACACAUCUAAAACACUCUCAAGAAUGGCAUAAUAAUGGGUUAAGUGAUCCACAAAAUCAGAGUGCAGAACAUUCAUCAAAUAGUCAAAUUUUUCCUUUGAAAUUCGAAAAAAGUCCAACUUUGGCCACCAAACUUUUAAAAACGUCUUACAAUGCUCAUUAUAAAUUUAGAUUUAAUCACACAUCUAUAAAAUAAAAUAUUGGAAAAAUUACAACACCGGUCCCUAAUCUUUUCAAUUUUUAUAAACUUUAUUUGAAUCUUCAUUUUGUGCCAACAAAGGUCCCUAACCUUUCAGAAAUAUGCAUUUGAAGUCCAAUAGAUGGAAUCCGUCCACUUUUUUCGUUAGUUAACCAAGAAAAUGAUUUUGACCACAUUACUCAUUAUUUCUAUAAGAGUAAAAUGAUAAUCUUACCUCUUUCCAUAUAAAAACAAUUUAAAUAAUUAAAUAAAAAACCAUCAUCUUCCACAACUACCCCACCCCAUCCAUAUACCCCACCCUAACCCAAACCAAAAUCACUGUACCCACGCACUUCGUGCCGUAUAACAUUUCGUACACCACUUGUCGAAGGAAAAAACAUGGUUGUUGCCUAAUAUGAUCAGUCAGAUCAGACAGUCCUCCGUCCCGACCAAAGAAUUGGAUUUCUAUACCGAGUCGAACUCGUAACUCAUUGAGUCUCCACCGAGUUCGACCGAAUUAACUGAGUCCUCCGGCCUGAGUCACAGCACUUGGAGAAAUGGGAAUUCCACAGCUCCAUUUUAGGCAUAGAUUUUGUGGAAGAAUAAUCUUCUACAGAUUUUGGAGAAGUUAUGUUGAUAAAUUAAAAUCUACUAACAUUAAAUAGCCGUUUUCUUGAAUCGACACAUUUCUGGCUUCAAAUCUCUGUAAACCAAUGCCCAAUCAAUGAAGAUAUUCCAAUGUCAUUAUGCCAACACCAAUUCUGCAACAUAAAAUCUAAAACAACCCCCCCCCCUCCCCAAAACCAAAAAAAAGUUGAAUCUUAAUAAUCCCCCAUUCUCUAUUUUUUCCAAGAUAACCACACCUUUUACCCCACGGCCCAAGACGAAUGUACAUUGAGGUUCUUCAGGUCUAAGGCAUUGUGGUGGUCGCCAUCGUGCAUAGCGAAGAUGACUGAUAACUAACCACAAGCUUAAGAAGAUGAUGCAUAAACUUCGACUGUGGGCAGAGUGAUUUUGGUUUGCGUAGGGGUGUGGAUGGAGAUGGAGAUGGAGAUGGAGAUGGAGAGAGGGAUGGGGUACCUAUGGAAGAUGGUGGUUUUUUAUUUUUUUUAUUUAAUUAUUUAAAUUGUUUUUAUAUGGAAAAGGGUAGGGUUACCAUUCUACCCUUAUAUAAACAAUUAAUAAUGUAGUCAAAAUUAUUUUCUUGGUCAACUAAAAGAAAAAAUGGAUGAAUUCCAUCCAUUGGACUUCAAGUGCAUAUUUUCGAAAGGUUAGGGACCUUCGUUGACACAAAAUGAAAGUUAAGAUAAAAUCUGCAAAAAUUGAAAAGGUUAGCGACUACUCCUGCAAUUUUCCCUAAAAUAUUUUACAUAUAAACUCAACAUUUUUCCUUACUUUUUAAUCACAUAUUCUCCAAAAAAAUCACUUUUUAAGAACUCGAUCAUCUCAAAUUUUAGUGGUCAAAAUUCAACUAUUUUAAAGUUCAGUAGCCAAAAUUCGACCACUUCAAAGUUUAGUGAGUACGAUCGAGUUUUUCCCCAAAACUUUGAACAACGUCUUCUAUGGCUCACAAUAAAUUUGGAUUUAAUUAAAAUUCAUUGUUAAAAUUUAGAUUUAAUUUAAUUUUACAACAAAAAAAUUCAUUGUAUGUGUGUCGUUAUAAAAUUCAAAUAUUAUGAUGAAAUAGCUUCAAAUUUUAAAAAAAUAAAUUAAAUUUAAAUUUAACUACUGUGUAAAUGAGUAAUCAUUUCUAGUGGUAUAGACAAUGCUUGCAAAAUUGUGCAAAUGAAGUGAUUGCUAAUUGCAAUGAAAUAUACAAUAUAUUUAUGGUAAAAAUUAAAUUAAAUUCGAAUUUUUUUAACAACAAAUUUUAGCCCUUGCUUGAUAGCCAUUAUUAAAAAAAAAAAAAAAGGAGUUUUGAAAAUAAUGAUUUUUUGGAGAAUGUAUGAUUUAAAAGUUAAAAAAAUAAAAUAAAAUUGAGUUUGAGUGUAAAAUAUUUUAUUGUAUAGAUGUGUAGUUAAAUCCAAAUUUAUAGUGAGUAAUAGAAUACGUUUUUUAAAGUUUAGUGAUCAAAGUUCGACCAUCUCAAAGUUCAGUGAGUAAUAGAAGACAUUUUUCAAAGUUUAGUGACGAAAGUUUGACAAUCUCAAAGUUUAACUGUGUGACGAGACGCCACGUGUGCAUUUCGUCAGCUACAUCUCCAAUUCUAUUAGGAGUUUGAGACGAAAGUUAUGCUAGUAAAUAACGUACAAUAUUUUCCAAAGUUUAGUGGUCAAAAUUCAACAUUUUAAACUUUUGUGAGUAAUUGAAGAUAUGGACCUAAGUUUUGUGAACAAAACUUGGCAUUUUAAAUUUCAGUGAACAAUCGAAGACAUUGACCUAAAUUCAAUGACCGUUGGAACAAUUAGCUUGAAACUUAGAAAAAAAUCCUCAAAUAUUAGACGUCUUUUGAAAAAGCAUAAAAGUAUAUUGAAAUUAAAAAAUAUUAUGUAAAGUUAGAUGUCUCUUUUCAAAGUUAAAAGUGACACAUGAUAUGUUUGUCACUAACAAAGUUGACACAAAUUUUAAAAAAAAAAGGAAAAAUCAAUUAAAAAAAGUAACGGAAGAAAGUGACAAGCACUAUUCAAUAAUGUCAAAAAAAAAAAAAAAAAAGUGAUACACUCAAAAAAGUGAUAAAAUACCAAUCAAAACUUAUGUUUGUCACUGAAAAGGUGACAAAAUUUUUAAAAAAUAACAAAAAAAAAAAAAAAAAAAAGUGAUACACUCAAAAAAGUGAUAAAAUACCAAUCAAAACUUAUGUUUGUCACUGAAAAGGUGACAAAAUUUUUAAAAAAUAACAAACAAUAAAAAAAAAAAAAGGUGACAUAAAUUUUGAAAAAUGUGACAGAAAAAAAUGACAAGAAGUAAAAAUACUAUAUAUAUAUAUAUAUAUAUAACCACUCCUCCAAUUUACAAACUUGUUUCAUAUUUAUUUUCGUACACAAAUUUUAAUUUUCCAAAAGAAAACAAACUACCAAAUCUCCACCCUCAAAUUUCUCGGGAGUGCAUUUUAACUUUUCUUUUCUUAGUCGCAUUCCUCCCCAAAAGAGAUAAUUCAAUCAAUUUUAUGGAGAAAUCCUCUUUGACUCAUUUAUUUUACUUUACAAUACAAAGGUGAACCUUCUUCUUUCUUUGGUAGUCUAUUUUUUGUUGUUAAUUUUCAAUUUAAUGAUUGAUUACUGAUUAGUUUUCAAUUAUUGAUGCAUUGAGGAAUGAAUCUUUCUUUUAUUUUUAAAUUUGAGUUUUAUGAUUGAUUUGUUUCUUGUUAAUUGAUGAAGGACGAGGUGGUGGAAUACUGAUAGAGAAGAUGACGCCAAGUCAAGGAGUAUUGUCGUUGAGGCAUGUCAUUGGAUAACUCAAUUCUCCAGGAAGAAAUUUUUCGCAAAGAACAGUGGAGAAGGACUAUAGUGACAUUUAUGGUCUCUUUAAUCAGUUAUGAGAUUCGGGGAUUUUGGUUUUGGGGGUAUGUUUUAUUUUAAGACUUAAUUAAUACAAGAUUUUAUGUGAUGUUUAGUUAAUUUAGUAUAUUAAUCUAAUUGGGUAACUUUUUAGAGCAUUUGGUCUAAUUUUCUCUUAUUUUAUCAAAAUCUAAAGUGGAAUCAAGAAUUCUUAGGCCUUAAAGCUCAUUAUAGCCUAUUUGAGCCUAUCUUUCCCAAAAUUCAUUUCAAUCAUGCAUUCUCCCAUCAAAUAAUUUUUCACAUAAAUUUAAAAUUUUUUUCAAUUUUUUUAACCAUGCAUUCUCCAAAAAAUUACGAUUUCAAAGUAUUUUUUUAGUUAAAAGAGGACGGUACCUCCUAGAUAUUAUUAAUAUGCCAUCACUUGUGGCAGAGGAAUACCAUGGUUAGAUGAGAAAAUAAUGAAAGCAAUAAACAAGGAAGUACUACUUUCCUUACAAUGAGAAUAAACGAUAAAGAACAAACUUAAAGUUGUAAGAGAGGAAGUACUACUUUCCUUAUAAUGAAGAUAAAUGAUAAAGAACAAACGUAAAGCUGUAAAAGAUGAAGCACUACUUUCCUUACAAUAAGAAUUACAAGUCAUUACAAAAAGAAGAAGAAUAAUAAUAAAUAAAUAAAAAAUCAUAUUCUAAUGUUGGGCAGUCCAUGUCUAUCGAUCUGUACCAGUGCCCUAAUGUGUUGUGGUAAGUCACCUGCUCUAUAUAUCUGGUAUCGUCGAUGAUCCCAACCCUCUACAGUAAGAGCAUUUGCAACUUGCUUUCCCUCUCUGUAGAUGUGGACAAGUGUAGCUCUGUCGAUGGAUACGAUGUCUGUGAUUUGUCUAAGAAUACCCUAAAUAGCCCAUGGUCCUCCUCCUUUAGUGAUGCAGUGAAUAGUCACUUUAGAAUCUGACUUAAUCCAAAUGUCAGAAAGACCGAGUCCUUUAGCUAAUAGAAUCCUAUCAAGAAUAGCCCUUAGCUCUGACUCUAAUAUCAUGCAUGUUCCAUAUGUAGUUGAAAAAGCCCUGAUAAAGGAUCCUGCGUGAUCUUUGAUGAUACCUCUCCAACUCGCAAUACCAUCCUUGACGCAUCCAUCAGUAUUAAUCUUGAUAGAUCCAACUGAUGGAGUACGCUACCAAACCAGAAUUGGAGGAGAUGGGAGAGGGGGAAUCAAAGAAAUACCAAAGAUGGGUACAAGAGUCGAAUCUCUUUUCCAAUGCAUAGCUUGAAAAAUUCCUCCAAUAUGUAGAAAAGAGAUCAUGCAAUAGACCCUCCAUAUGAUAUGUCCGACCACCAUACGGAUCCCCCUAUGCUUUGCAUCAUUCAUCUCGGUUCAAAGAAACUAAAAUACCAAUAGAGGAAUGAUAGUGAGAAUGUGUCCACAGCGAACAUACUGUCCAGAAUACCUCCAUCUCUAGAACCUCUGUCUAACUCCCUUUCUUGAACUCAUAGGUAUCUGAAAAAUAUUCCCAAAAUGUUGCCACCUGAUCAAAGAUGCUAUUGCUGUUGAAAAUAUGGCUAAUAGUCUCGAUCUCAGAACAACAUUAGCAGCGGGAAGCUAAUUGACAGCCAAUCCUCCUCUGGAUAACCACAUCUACUGGAAUGAGGUCAUGCAUAGUCUCCAACAGAAAAAUGCGACAGUGAUUGGCAAAAUGGUGCUCCACAGUAAUCGAUAUGAAUCCUGAUACUGGCAUCUUAAACGUACGAGCUGCCAAGCCGACUUGGUAGCAAAGCUACCAUCCAAUGUAUCCUGCCAAACAAUACGAUCUGGGGCAUCACACAUAAAUGUAUAGCCCCUAUCUUCUCUACCAUAAAAGGAGGGAGAACCUACAAUAAACGUCCAAUGUCCCACCUAGUAUCAUCAAAAAAUGCCUACACCCUCGUAGAUGUGUCCUGCCUGCGCGGUAAUAAUGAGGGCAAAGUGGUGUCACCCAUCCAACAAUCAUGCCAAAAGUUGUGAGUAGCAAAUCAACCGUUAGGAGCAACAUUGAGGUCCAACAAGCUAUUUGACGAUGGAUGAAUUCGACCUGGUCCUUUCUUUCUAGCAUGAAAAUGAGAGCAACAUUGAGUUCCAACAAGCUAUUUGAUGAUGGAUGAACUGGACUUGGUCCUUUUUUCUAGCAUGAAAAUGAACUUGUGAUAACAAUUCCUACCUAUUAAUACGUUUUAUAUUAAUAACACUCUUUUUUAAAAAAAAAACAAAAAAAAAAAAAAAAAAAUCUAACUUGCUCCAAGGUGCCAUACAAUGUGCGGCUCUAUCUGGGGACCAAAUAAUUUUAGCCUUUUCCAGGUAAGAGAAGCUGAGUGGGGGACUACAGUAAGUAAAUUAUGUGUUCCCAUACAAUACUUGCCUAGUGAAAAUUGGGUCCAAUAUGAUCUCUAAGAAUGGAACAACCACCAGAGCUUUAUGGGGAAGGUGUCUACCAUAUCCUGUCAUCCCCUAAAAUCUAGACCACCAUCAUCAGUAGAAAGGUAAAUCUCCUUCCAGUUCCACCAAUGUAACCAUCGCGCCUGUUUCUUGGAAAGGCAAAGAUGCUCUCAAGUUUUGAUAAGAGUGUAAAAUAUAAUAUUUUUCCCUCUUAAUUGUUGCAUUCAUGUGAUUAUAUUAUGCCAAAAUGCACUCAUUACCCCUAUGUUUGGGUUUAGGUUGCAUAUUGGUGAAAAAGAUGAAAUUUGGAAGAAACGAGUGGAAAAGGACCAAAGUGAAAGAGAAUGAAAGUUCAAGGACCAAGUUGCAAAUAAUACAUAGAUGAGACGGGCGAUGGAAUGAUGAUUCAAGGAUGCUAGGUGUCAAUUGGGUGCAAUCAGAAGUCAAAGGAAGUGAAAUAUGAUUAGAACAUCUUCACAAAUAAAUUCCCAAUCGAAAAAGUUACGCACCGAUUUUCAGCUUCAUAUCGGGACCAAUUUUUGACAUUGAAAACGAUCGAAUUGGAAGAUGACAUCUGAAUCGAAUUUGGAAUCAUUUUAGUUAGCUUUCCAAUACAUUUUGAAUCACCUCAAUCAAACAUUGGGAAAGAAAGUUAUGGCCAAAAUACUGAAAGCUAUCCGGCAAAGGGAAUUGCAAUAACCAUGCGGCCGCAUGGUUAUAAAGUCAUGUGGUCUCACAAGCACCUCCAGGGAAUUCUGGAGGCCAAAUUUUUUCUACUAUGCAGCUGUAAAACUUAUAACCAUACGACCGCAUGGUUAUUUUCCAAAGGUGAAGUCCAAAAUUCCUAUUUUGACGCGACACUUAUGGAAACUUGUCUGGCACACGUUUUAAAACCCUAAUCUCAUCUCAAAAUGUCACCAUUUAACUUCUAUCACUUUUCUUUGGUUUUUGGCUCAAAAAAUCCAUGGAGAACUAAACCUAUUGGUAAAGCCACGAAGGACCUCGGUUAGAUUUGGGAAUUUUCAUGUCUUUUCGUGCAUAAAUGUGCUCUUUCAUUGUAAAACAAUUCUAGAUUUAGAUUUCUUAUUCUUAUGGACAUGUUUUGAGAUUGGUUUAAUUUGUAUUAAAUUUUCAUGGAUUCAAUCACCUUUUUUCAUCGAAUAAUUGAAGUACUUAUUGAAUUUCAAUCUUAAAUGUCCUAUUGGUGUGAUUCUUUACCCUAUUGGUGUGAUUCUUUACCAUUAUGUGCUUGAUGUAUAUAAUUGCUUUUGGAUCUAAUUUCAAUAGAUUAUUGUGGAAUGAUAUUGUGAAAGAAAUCUAGGUUUGGGAAUCAUUGUGGAAUUGAAUAGGUUUGAAUGUUAAAUCUUUCAAUUAAAGUGUUAGAAUAAAAACCUUUAAUUGAGUAAAUUCAUGCAUAAUUGACAUUGAUUAACCCAAUCUAAUCGAGGGAAUUUCGGUGCUUCAUUACUUCAUAUAUUGAUUCAAACUUCAUUAAUUUAAAUAUUGAGACUUAAAAAUUACUCCAAUUGAAAACUUACUUCGCAAAUCACGAAAACCCUAGUUUGUUUGAUCCUUUAAAUAAUUUUCCAUCUCUUUGUGGAUAUGACACCCCAAACCUGUACUACAAUUACCGCGUUAUUCUUUGGGCAUAAUCAAAUUUUAGCGUCGUUGCCAGGGAGGCAGUGCAAAUAAUUAAAGGAUUUUCUAGCAAGAGGGUGACUUCGUUCCUUUUUUUUCUUUUUAGUUUGCCGUUUAUUUCUAGUUUAUUUUUUUAUUUCUCAUUUAGUUUCUUUUUUGUGCGUUUUAUGAACAGACUUCGAGAAGAGCGAGGGCGAUUUAUUGCGAGGCCUUAACCAGUGUUUGAAUCACUUUGUAACCCUCUUUUUGAUUAUGCAUCCAACACUACACCAUAUAACAACAUGUCCGUUAGUGAGCACGACGAUGCGCCCUAUAGGACUUCACAAGGCUACCUUCAUCCCACGCGCACAUCUACAUCGUCAUGCAUCAUGUUUUCGCCAAUAUGCUGCACAUGGAUCUCAAACCAAGAAUGAUUGAACUUCUUCCCACUUUUCAUGAUCUUGAAAACGAGAGUCCAUACGUGCAUAUUCUAGAAUUUGAGGAGGUGGUUGCAACCUUCCAUAAUCAACAUGGUACAAUGGACAUAGUCAGGCUUAAAUUUUUCCCAUUUCCACUUAAAGAACGAGCAAAAAGUUGGUUGUAUUCAUUGAGACCAUGUUUUUAUUGGGACUUGGGCUGAAAUGACCCAAGCUUUCUUUGGCAAUUAUUAUCCCUAUCAUAAACCGCUGCCCUUAAGAAGAAAAUCUCUUCAUUUGUCCAAAAGGAUAGUGAAAUUUUAUACCAAGCCUGUGAAAGAUAUGAAGAGUUCCAAGCCCUUUGUCCCCACCAUGGUUAUGAGAGUUGGCGUGUGGUGAGUUAAUUCUAUGAAGGAUUAACACCUAGGGAGCGUCAAUUUGUUGAGAUAAUGUGUAACGGUGACUUUUUUACAAAAAGAUCCAGACGAGGCCAUAGAAUACCUAGAUGAUUUAACUUAAAGGCUCACACAUAGACUGGACCUAAUGCCUCCAAUAAUAACAAUAGGUCAUGACCAAUAGGAAAUCCAACUAGCACAGGCAUUUACCACCUUAGAGAGGAGGACAACCUUAGAGCUAAGGUAGAAUCUCUUGCUAGAGAAAUUGAAGCUCUACGUGCUAAGGAUUUAAAAAUAACCCGACUUGUUUCCCGUGUUGAGUUUUUAGAGCCUUGUUUUGCGUGUGGAUGGAGUGAUCACCUAGCACAAGAUUGUACCACUUAUGCUGAGAUGAGGGGACUUUAUGAGGGACACUGUAAUGCUUUAGGCAUAUAUCAAAAACCCUAUAUUCCCUAUUCUGAAUCCUAUAAUCCAGGGUGGCGGAAUCACCAUAGUCACAGUUGGAAAUCUGAAAACCAACCUAUCCAAUCUAAUAGAGCCUACACUAUUCCUCCAUAUCAAAUCACAUCCUCUAGGAACUCUUUGGAAGAUACCUUACAUUAAUUCAUAGAGGCACAAAGUAAAACAAAUCAGAAAUUUGAGACUAUGAUUACCUAGAUUGUUGAGGAAAACAAGGAAAUCAAAACUCAUAUGUCCAAACUAACUAACGCCUUAGCUAUAGGGGAACGUGGGAAGUUUCCAACUUAACCUCAAGCAAACCCUAAGGGACAACACAUGGCACAAACCUCAGGCUUAAGAGAAAACAACCUUAAGGAAGUUAAUGUUAUAACCACUCAGUCUGGUAAGGUCAUAGAACCAAUUCUCAAACCUAAGGAAAUUGAAAUGGUACCUAGCAAUUCAGAAGAAAAUACCUCUAAUGAGGAGGUAGUGAAAAAUCCACCUUGAGUACCCUUUCCUCAAGCUCUUAAAUCCACCUCGAAAUCCGUUGGUCAACAUUGUGAAAUUCUAGAGCACCUUAACCAAGUAAAGAUCAAUUUACCUCUCUUACAUGUGAUCUCCUAGGUUCCCACGUAUGCUAAAGUCUUAAAAGACUUAUGCACCGUGAAGAGGAAACACCAUGUUAAGAAAACUGCUUUCUUGAGUGAACAUGUGAGCGCUGUAAUUGAGCAAAAGAUCUCUCCAAAGUAUAAGGACCCUGGUUGUCCUACUGUUUCUUGUGUCAUAGGGAACCAUGAGAUUUCAUAAGUUCUUCUUGACCUAGGGGCUAGUGUUAACAUCAUACCUUACUCUAUUUACUUGUCAUUAGGCCUAGGAGAAAUAAAACCUACAUCCGUAAGUUUACAACUGACUUAUCGAUCUACCAUACGACCAAGGGGAUAGUCGAGAAUAUGCUAGUACAAAUUGAUAAAUUUUGCUACCCCAUUGAUUUCUUGGUUUUGGAUUUAAAAGAAGAUGUGAAUGUUAACUCCAAGAUUCCCAUUAUUCUUGGUAGGCCUUUUCUUGUCACAGCUAAUGCUCUUAUCAAUUGCAGGAACGGUCUAAUGAAACUAUCAUUUGGGAACAUGACAUUCAACGCCAACAUUUUUCACAUCACAAAAUAGCCUGAGGAAGAUGAUGAGUGUCAUCAAACAUACAUGAUUGAUGCACUUGUCGAGGAGGAAGCACAUGCGCUUAUUGACCCCGAUCGUUUAAAUUCUUUCCUUUUAAAUUUUGAAAUUCCACUCGAGUAUGAUGAGGGGGAAUGUGCUAAUAUUUAUGCUGCCUUUAACGAUUUUCAGGAUUAUGGGACACCAUCAGUGACUGCUUCCAAUGAGUUUGAUGCAAUACACCAAAAGCUGACAAUGCCCUGGCUAGAUGCAGGCUAAAGAAAGCAAUAUUGGGUCGAGCCAAUAAUAAUAAACAAAGGCGCUAUUUGGGAGGCAACUCAAGGGGAGUUCUUUUUCCCUUUCUUUCUUUUCUUAUUUUUACAUUGUUUUUAGGUUUAGUUUCAUCACAUGCAUUAUUCACUGCAUUUUAGUUUAUUUUCAUUUUCUGCAUCACCCUUAAAUAUGAGUACUUUCAAGCUUAUUACACUUCAGCUUAUGUUGAUUCACUUCGGUAUUCAGGUGACAUCUUUCAUUUUUUUCUUUAGGCGGAUAUAUUUUUGCAUUGAGGACAAUGCAAUAUUUAGUUGGGGGGAGAGUUAACUUGAAUUUUGUUGUGAAUUGCAUACUUUCACGGGAAUUUGGUCUAAUUUUUUUUUAGGUCCCUACUUCGCUACUAUGCCACUAGGAAUUAAUAUUGUUCAUGAAAGUUUGGAUAUUGAGACAUUUGUUGAUUUAACACGUGUAGUUAGAGAAGUCUCUUGUUGAAAUUUUCUUAUGUGAGAGUUGGUGAGGAUUGAGAGCUAUCACAUAUUAAAAAUGGCAAUAAGCGCUCAUUAGUUUUGUGAACUGGACACUUCUUUUGAGAAUAACAUUACAUGGUUUGUGGUAUGAUGGUUGAUUAUAUUUGGGAAAUGAUAACAGUCAAUUUAGAAUUGAAAUUAAGCCUUCAGACUAGUUUUUUUCUUUUCAUAAUUAUAAUCCCUAGUAGCCACUUUGAGCUAAUACACAUAUAUAACCAUUUCUUUUCAUGCACUUAUGUUAUCCAUACCUCUUCACAUUGGAAUAAAGUCUAUGAAUAUUCAUUUUUUCUACCUUUAUGGUUCCAAGUGUAUAGUAGGUAUUAAAUGUCCAUUUGAGAAGCAAAGUAAUGAGGAAAGUGAUAAGAGAUGAUAAGUGCUCAGGUGCAACAGGAAAACACAAAAGAAAUGAAAAUUGGAAAAAAAAAAAAAAAAAACAAACAAACAAACAAAAGAAAAGAAAUGAAAAAAAGGUGGAUUGUUGUUGGGAAUUGAAAGGUUGAGGAAUUCGUUGAUACAAAGAUUGAUAUGUUGAAAUACUUAUUAAGAUGCCUAGUUAGAUACCUGAAAGUCCUUAAAUUCAUUUUGCCCUACUUUUUAUAUAACCCAACUUAACCCUUUUCACACCUUUUGCAUUGACUGUUUUGAUCUCAAGUCGGUUUGUGGUAAGAGUUGAAUUCUCAUUUGAAAGUAUGCCUAUCACAAGAUCAAAGUUUGUUUGUUGCUUAUUCCUAAAUAUUUAAGCCUCCAAGUUGUGAGUGUAUACCCUUUCUCAACUUCAUAGGGAGAAAAUCAUACUAAACACUUUGAUACCCAUGAGUUAUGGGGCUGAUCCUUUAGCUUGAGACAUACUUGAUGCUAUAUGCUUGAGACAUACUUGAUGCUAUAUGUGUUAGGGUUGGCAGUAAGAUGGUUAUUGGCUUAACACCCACUCACCCAUUUAGCAAGUGUUUUUGAUAUCUUGAUGAUAAUAACAUUGCUAAUUUCUUGUAGUGUUGAGUUUGAAAAGAUAAUGAACUGCAGUUGAAUUGGAACUCAACAACUUCACUUGUAAUAUGGAUCAAUCACUCAUUUAUUUUGUUCUGCAUUAAAUUGCUAGGGACUAGCAAUAAAAAAGUUGGGGGUAUGAUAAGAGUGUAAAAUAUGAUAUUUUCCCCCUCUUAAUUGUUGCAUUCAUGUGAUUUCGAGACAUAAACCCUUUAGGUUGUUUCAUGUAUAUCUCCUCUUUUAACUCACCAUUUAGAAAUGUUGUUUACACAUCCAUUUCAUGAAUCUCAAGGUUAUGUAUUGUAGCAAUUGCAAUUAGCAACCUUAUCGAAAUGAUUCUAGUUACUGGUGAGUAGGUAUCAAAGAAAUAAUGUCCUUCUUUCUGCCUAUACCAUUUAGCAACCAAUCUAGCAUUAUAUUUGUCAAUGGAUCCAUUCGAUUUCAAUUUGUUUUUGAAUAUCCAUUUGCAUUCUAAAGACUUAUUCCCCGAGAGGCAAAACUAGCAGCUAUCGCUAUUAGUUUAGAACGAGAUUUAUCGCCAAACAGAAAUUAUGAAUUUUAAAUAAAUACACGACAUUUUUUUACACAUUAAAUUCCCAGUACAUAGUUUAAAUCCAAAGCAAGUAAACAUUCACAUAAGCCAAAUAAAUUACAUCACAUGGUAUAACUUCAACCAUUACAAUAAUAUUAAAUAGUACCUCAUCAAGGGGUCCAGAAAGUAAUCAAGCGAGAUGUAUCAACAAUAUAAUCAAAAUAUUUUUCUUAAAGUUGAAAAGUCCCUUUUUUUUUUUACAUUACUGAAUAUCAGACUGUUAUACUCCGUGUGUGUGUGUCAUUUGUUGUGCUCGUGAAGAAAAGAAUUGAUAUUUAACAUAUUCAAUUGCUGAUAAUUUAUAGACGAAAAAAUGCAUUAUUCCAUCAAAUCAGCCAAUUAUUUCAUUAAAUCAGUCUACAAUUUUUGACUUCAACACUCUAAGGUGAGCCCAGUAACGGUCAACAAAAUUCUACAAAUUCCUCAAAAUGUGCAACGAAUAGGGACAAUAAAAGCAAUUUUUUUCCCAAAUGUUACAAAUACAUUGACACAUACAAUUUAGCAAUAAUUUAAAAUCCCUUUUUUUUUUUUGUUAUCCGUUAAUUCUAAGUACCAAAUACGUGCAAAAAUCACAGAAGAUAGAAAAAAAUUAUUAUUUUUUGUAACAAAUACAACGUGAUGUUAGACUAAACAAUUUUGCAUUUAUUUCACGUAACGGUUUAUAAAAAAUUUUGAAUAACUAAUUAGGUAACUAUAUUGCUACAUUCAUUAUACAAUAGAGUAUAAUCCCACAUGUCAGAAUAAAAUUUUACGCUGCCAUGAAUAUUCUUAAACUCAAUAAUGAUAAAUUAAACUAAAUUUAUGGUAGUGGCCCCACUAUUCAUGUGAACAGUGUUGUACAUUGUUCACGUGAACAGUGUCACUGUACCAAACAAAAUCAAACUAACAGUGACACUAUUCGGGUGAAUAGUGCAGGUGUCACUGUUCGAGAUUUUUUUUUAAAGUCUACAUAAACAUAGACCCGUUCUGAUACCAUUAUGUAACGACCCAAAAUUUACAAUAAAAUAAGUAAGAGAGUCGUUACCAAAAACUUCAUUUUAUUUAAUAUGAGCUAUUCCAAAUAAAAAUAGAUUUUAUCUCAUAUCAUAGUCUACAAACAAGAUAUCGACUCAUUAAUAAAUGCAUCUAAAUUAAAUACUAAAAAUAAAAUUUGAUUCACGUUACACCGAAUUUAAUGUGUUUAUUCCAAAUAAAAUAAUCUCGGCACCAUGACCGCACCUCAUCGCCUACCAACUAACGACCAGUUCAAUCUUGUAAGAGUGGGGAAAAUGGUGAGUAUAUGAAAAUACUCGGUAGGAUACGAUUAUUGGUGCAAUCCCGAUUAAAAGUGUUAGAUCAUGCGUGAAAAUAUCAUACCGUCAUAUCAUAUAUCUAAAAUCGGUAAGAGCUCAUAUCAUAUCAUAUCUUUGGUACCGGAUGGCCAUUUCAUAUCAUAUCAUAUCAUAACUUUCAUGAGCAUAAUAUUUAUCAACAUGAAGAAAUAAUUUAAAUGGGAAGAACCACUUCCACCGCAUAAUCCUACCUCGAUAGAUAAAACAGUUUUGCUUGGAAGCAAAAAACAAGAGGUUCGCAUUCCCAAAAAUCAUUAUUCUCUGUUUGUGGUGUUGCAGCCACUGUAUGCAAAUAUAUAAAUUUUUCUAGGAUAAAUAAUAAAAACCCUUGUAUGGUAUUUAUAGUUGAGAGGGAAUAUUAAAAGCCUAAAAAUGUGUCAACUGGCUUGCCCAUUUUCCGUAAAAAUUCUUAGUCAAUUGUCACUCCUUAAGAAACGUGUGGCACGUCCAUAUCACUCCUCCCAAAACCAAGGUAAUUAUCCCUUUUCAAUCUCUAAAAUCAAGGUAAAUAAAUAUUAAAAUAAACCAAUCCUUCUUAUCAUUUCUACAAGUGUCCACAAGUCAAAAACAUGAUAAUCUCAUACAUGUGGCAGCAUCACCUUUUUCAUUCUAAUCAUCAUUUUUUUAUUUGUAAAAAUGUAAUGUACAAAAUAAAUACAUUUUUAUUCUAAAAUUUGCGGGGCGCUACAAAAGCGGUGCUUCCAGGGUAGACAUUGCUUCUUCAAAAAUUAUUGGGUCAUUUUCUACCAUGUAGGUUAGAAAAUUCAGACCAAAUGAUGUGGAUAUUCUAGCCCGCUUAUUAAGCCUUGGUUCUUCCUUAUUUGAAGAUCCAUUUGCAAUUUCAUAAUUUCGUUUAUUUGAACUUACCGUUUCCUUAUCUUUGCAAGGGAACACGUUUUCAAAGAAUACUGCAUUCUUUGAUUCAAUUGUGGUGCCCUCGUGAACAUCUUGAACUUCAGAUCUGCGUACAAGGAAGCGAUAUGCACUACUAUUAUUGGCGUAUUCAAUAAAUAUGCAAUCAAUCAUCUUAGGACCAAUUUUAAUUCGCUUAGGUUUAGGAACUUCAACUUUGCCAAACACUCUCACACUUUUAAGUGUUGGUAAGAAGGAUGAUGACAUUUUCAUAACUCAAAUAAAGUCUUUUCCAUUUUCUUAAACGGUAUCUGAUUGAGAAGACUUUUUGCCCUUAAAAUAGCUUCCCUCCACAAGUUCUGAAGUAAAUCCAAACUUAUCAAUAUUGCAUUCAUCAACUCUUUAGGAGUUCGAUUUUUGCGUUUUGCAACACCAUUCAAUUGAGGAAAGUAUGGUGCCGUUGUUUGAUUAAUAAUUCCAUGUUCAGAAUAGAAUUCUUCAAAUGGUGCCCCAUAUUCCCAUCCUUGAUCACUACAAAUAUUCUAAAUUCGUUUGUCAAGUUGGGUUUCAACUUCAGCCUUAUAUAGUUUAAAUGCAUCCAAGGUUUCGUCUUUACUUUUCAAAAGAAAGACAUAACAGUACUUUUUACAAUCAUCAAUAAAAGCUAGAAAGUAUUUCUUACCACCUCUAGUUUGAACGAAUUUCAAAUCACAUAUAUCGUUAUGGAUUAAUUCUAGAGGUACCAUGUUUCUUUGAACCGAAUGGAAUGGUGCCUUAGCCAAUUUUGCUUCAACACACACUUCACAUUUGUGAUUAGGAUCAAUUUCAAGUGUCGGAAUUAAAUUUUGACUUAAUAAGUUUGCGCAAUGAAUUGUAAUUCGUAUGUUCUAAUCAAUUAUGUCACAAACAAAACUCAAGCAAGUAAAUAGAAUUUGUAACUUGAUUCAUAAUGCCUUGUUUCGGUACAACAGCUAGAACGUUCAUUUUGAACAUUCCAUCACACGUGUAUCUUUUUCCUAUAUACAUCUUAUUCUUAGACAACACAAAUUUAUUGGAUACAAAUACAAGUUUAAAAACCAUUUUUACCAAGGAGAGACCCGGACACAAGAUUCUUGCGGAUAUUCGGCACAUGUAGGACAUUAUUGAGGACGAGUUCUUUUUCGGAUGUCAUAUUCAAAGUGACUUUACCUUAUCCUUCAAUUUUGGAACUUGCAGAGUUCCCCAUGAACAGUUGCUCACGUUACAGUUCUUAAUAGUUGGAGAACAUCGACUUAACAGCACAUACAUGACGGGUUGCACGGGUAUCGACCCACCAUUCCCUCAAAUUUCCAACCACGUUGCAUUCAGACACAACCACAGAUACACUCAUCUCUUGCAUUCCUUCAGAAAUGUUGUCUUUUACCACCAUGUUGGCUUGUGCAUUCUUCCUUGGCUUUCCACAAUCCCUUGAACGAUAUCUGGCCUUUCCACAUUAUAACAUUUUCCUUUGAACUUUUUCACAUUCUUGGAGUUGUAUCUAUGCUGUGCAUCAUAGGAGAACUCGUUUCUUGUUUAAAGGCCUUUGUUCUGUUUCUGCAAAGUUUGCUCCAAGUUAAUCAACGCGUUUCCUUUCAUUUUUCUUAUUGUCUUCCUCAAUUCUCAAGCAGACUUUGAAAUCUCUCUACAAAGGAGGGGGUUUCUCGAUGAUGGCAGUCACUUGAAAUGAUUCGCUUAGUUCCAUCUUUUCAGCAUGUAUAUCGUGCAAGAAAACUUGUGUUUCUUGCACUUGGCUUAUCAGAGUUUUAGUAUCUACCAUUUUAUAGUCCAAAAACUUGCAACAAUGAACUAUUUGGUUUCAAAGUCCUCGAUUUUGUAUUUCUUUUCCAAUAAGUCCUAUAGUUCCUUGGCCGAGUCCUUUGAACUAUACACUGUAUUGUCCAACCCACUCAAAAUGUAGUUUUUGCAUAGAAAAUUCAAGUGCUUCCAUGCAUCCAACGCAAUAAUCGACUCACGAUUAUUUUCUCCCUCUUGUACGAUUAGCGCUGUUUCCUUUAGAAAUUUGGCUAGAUUUAAGGUAGCGAGAUAAAACAACAUCUUUUAUUGCCAUCUCUUAAAAUCCACGCCAUUGAAAAUUUUCAAUUUUUCACCAUACGGGAUAGUGAUGUUUUGCAGUGGUACAGCCAUUGGUGGAACCACCUGUGGAACCACGUUGUUCGUAACAUUUUGACUUGAAGUAACCACUAUAGUACUCAUUUUUGUUACACAAAUAGAAGAUUAUCAAAAUGCAAAGUAGGGGAAGGAAUAGUGCACUAAGACUAUUCCAAACAAAAGAACAAAGUUCAAUUUAAGAAUACCAAACAAUCACCGACAAAUAUUGUCUUAAGAUUGUUGGAACCGGGUUUAUUUGUGAGUGGUCAGAUGGUCGUUUACGUAUAUAAUAAAAAAAACACAAUCUAAUCCCCAAGACGGUGAUUAAACCACAUAUGUAUAAGAAAUGAAAAUUUUAGUAGAAAACCACAAUACCAAGGUAACAAAAUAAAAGAAGAAGGAAAAGGAAAAGGAAAAGAGAUCAAAUCAGAUGCAAGUGAUGGUACUUUCUCUUUAAGACAAUAUUACCCCGCUACGGUGCUCAUGGUUGACGGCACUUGUCUUUCAAGAUACAACAAAUUUGUAAUUUUGUGGUAGUAGCAUUCAAACCAUAAGAAUCAACGAACCCACGGAAUUUCCUCUUUACAAAGGAAUUUUAUACAAGAAGAAGAGAGAUUUUAUAAGGGAAGAAAAGUGCUCAAUGCAAAAUAUGAGAUGAUAUACCCUUAAGGACGUCCAAGGGGUCCUAUUUAUAGACGAAGAAGGGGUGUGGAUGAAGUCGUCCGAGCCAAAUUGUGCAAUCUUUGGAAUAGAAGCAAUACUUCAUUUUCACUAGCUUUUCGCUCGAGCAACACUGCAAAAAUUUGAACAGAGACUUUUUCGCUCAAUUUUUGCCCAGACAUCGCUCGAGCAAUAACACCGUAGCUCAAGCGACGGUGUUAUUUGGCCCACCAUAUUUUUAUUCAUUUUUUUCGUUUACUUCCUCCAACUUUUGAACUGCAAUUUUUCAUUCAUCCGAAGUAGUUUCUAGUGUCCAUAUAUACUACUAUCAUCUACUCGAUGAGUAGAACAAGUUGGCCUAUUGCCUUUCGUAAUUUGACCAUAGGAUCAAGUCCGAAUAUUCGGUCGAAUUUAACACGUUAGUCACACUUUCCAAUUUUAUAUUUAACCAAUUUCCGUCAAUUUAGAAACCAAUUUCCAACAAAAACAUAGUGAUUUAAUGGAUUCAAAAUGGAAAUAAUGGGCUUAAUAAUAAAAGAAAAUAUCCAUAAUUGUCAAAAGAACAAAUAUCACACCAAGAGGAGAACCAGGACUGACAAUAGAUUGAACAAUAUCGGUCCGGUGACUUCAUAGUGCGACUGUGGUCCAAAUGGUAGAAUCUCUCACGCACUCACGAAAAAAGAUAAUUUCUGCGUCCAUGCGAUGUCACACAGCUCAUAGUUUCUCUUUUUAAUAUUUUGUCACUUUCUCAGGUUUCUUCGGACACCCUUGACCUUUCCCUCGAAGUUUAUGUUUUGAAAGCUUAUUUUUUCCUACUUUGUUUAUUUAUUUUAUGUUUUUUCGCAAGUUAGAUUUUUAAUUUUAUACUGGACUUUUAAGAUGGUUUAUUAUGACAAUAUUUGUAUUGCAUAUUUGUAUUAUCUUUCGAAGUAUUUUAUUGAUUUCUUUUGAGGCUUACAUCUUAAAAUGCCAAUUAAGCUUUUUCAACAUUGUAUCAUCAAGUUUAUGUUGUACAUGAUUCAAUAGUAUAAAGAUUUGGUAUUGUAUCGAAGACACAAAUUGUUAGAGAUUGUAGUAUGUCUACCAGAGAUUGAUCAUCUUGUGACUAGAUGAGGUUUUGGGUUUUAAAUCCCAACGAGUUCAGUGAUCUGAGAUACAUAUAUUUUUGGCGUCAUCAAUUUCAUUGGAAUAAUAGAAGUUUUGUUGAAACUAGGUUGAUUAUAAGCAUAUGGUUAAAACAAUAGAAUAGAAUCUUAAUAGUUUAAGAAAUAUUCAAUAAAUGACACGUUAUUAAUUGUCCCUCGACAUCUUUCUUUUUAGUCCUUGUAGCCGUAAGAGCAUAUUCACAGACAGUAUUGACAUCGUGACAUGUCUUGGAGAGGCACCGCAUCUCAAUGAAUUAAUCUUAUGCUUGUUAUCAUAACAUUUAUGUGCAUGGAGUUCUAUUAAAAUAAUCCUUUUUGAUAUUUCUUCGAAAUGUUAUUUCGAAUGUAAAUGUUUUGUUGAUCAUGAGGUUCAUUUUCCAACGCCGCAAGUGGUAAUAAAUUUAUUUGAAUCGUUUUGUUUCCUGCAUGCUUCAGGUCUUAAUGGCAAAGGGUAACGUAGUGGCCUUAUAAUUUAUAUUGUUUAUUGUUAUUAUAUUUUCUUCUAGAAUUCCACUGUAACAUUUUAAACCUUAAAAUUGUUAUUUUUCUGAUUUCCUCUGCAGAGGCAAAGGGCCAAUUCCGGGCCACGGACUUGGAAUCGCUGACCAAGAAGAAGCAGAGAGAGGACGAGGCCCUGAAUCUCUAAUAUUUUUUUUUCUUCGGUUUCAAAAUUUUCUCUCUGUUUCUUAUCAAGGACGAGGCCCUGAAGGAAAAAACUCGUGCUGCUUCUGUCCAUUCUGUGCCCAAUCCGUGCCCAAUCCUCCCGUGCUGAAAACUACCCCUCUUGUUCCUGAGAUUCCUCAUCAGGACAAGAGGAAGUGUUGGCCGAACAUGAGAUCUCUUUCUUUCAGAAGCAAACUGAAGCAAUGAAAGGGGUAGAAACCCCAGGCUUACUUAGACUUCAUUGAGGAGGCACACUUGGAGGACAAUGUUGUUAAACCAGCUCCCUUCCUACCGCUGCCCAAUAGCCCAAGUUGCCAAUAAGAGCUGGCAGGCAAAACAUAACCACUAUCUUUCUUCCAUGGAUGCUCAGGAUGCUAGCUUGAUGGCUGCAAUCUACAAUGCUCGUGCUACAAUAUGUUCCAUAAAAGCUGCAAGAGAAACCAAGCAGGAAAGGUUUGCAAGUGAAAAUGCCAAUAAAAGCUGCAAGAGAAACCAAGCAGGAAAAGUUUCCAAGUGAAAAUGCCAGAAAUGUUGCAGAGCGCGCUUUUGAAGAGGAAAGGGCUAGCCAUAGCCGCUCCGUGAUAAACCUUACGUCAACUCUUGAACAAGCGAAGAAAUAUUGGGAAGCGCUGGGAGAGAAGAAUGCGAGGAUUAAGAAUCUGGGGGUGAAGCUUGCAUCUACGGAGGCUAGGCUAAGGGGCCUAAGCUCGGAGGUGGUGGCGGCAAGCGUUAUAACUUCACUUUUCUGUUUUAGAUGCGACAGCAUCUAAAAUACUGAGAAAUUAACGCUUCCAGCACCACCUCCAGAGCUUAGGACCCUUGGGUAUAGCACCCUUGGGCACAUUGCUCUUAGAGGCCUUCUGUGACUUGGACAUCAACUCUGCCUUCUUCUCCUUCUUCAACCACCUAGGAGACUGAGCGAAUAAAUCUGAUACCCUUCCCUGGUUAUAUCUUGGCACCACUAAAUCGGCAAAGCUCUGUCCUGACAACCCAUAAUUAACAGGUGAGACAAACAAAAGAAAAUUAACUCCGAAAUUGAACGUAAAAUCUAUAUGGAGUAGAAGCAAAACUUAUUCAAAGCAAGACAGCAUACACACACACACACACACACACACACAUAACAAAGCAAUAGACAUUUGCGUCCUAUAUUUAUCUAUUUGACAGCAUCUUCUAAUUUUCAAAGUAAAACAAAAGAAUUCUAGAUUGAAACACCAUAUGCUACUGUCUAGCCACAGUAAAAUAUUAAAUCCCCCAUUAAAUCUAAAAUCAUACUAAAUUAACAGCCCAUCUUUUUAAAAUUGUUGUUGCUACCUUUUUAAAUACCAAUAUGUCCUCCAUCUAAUAAAUAUUUUACACUCAACCUGUACGCGAAUUUCACCCCCACCCUCCACCACCAUUUCUACCCUAAAGUAGAAAAAAGUUCAAAAUAGUCAAACAGAUCCUUAUGUGCAACAGAUGACAUAUUACAUAUACACUAAAAAUCUGAAUUGAGCAUUGGAUUACGCAUCUCAUUACAGAGAGGGAUGGCAGAACUCACUUGAGAACCAUUGUUACAGUUGCCGAGCUCGCAUCGCUUGGUUUACUCCCUGAAAUGCAGGAACCCUAAGUGCACAUUAUAUGGCCCCUGUUUGCCCCCAUUAUUUCAAAUAUUAAUAGGUGGAAUAGUAUUUUUCUGAAAAACAAGUGAUUGAAAAAGAUAAAAAAAAAUUCGAUUUACGUGUAAUAUUAUUUUAUGAAAUAUUGUGUGGUUAAAAGAAAAAAAUAAGAUUUAAUUUAAUAGGAGCCAAACGAGGGCAUAGGACUCCAUUCUUGUCAAAAAUACAUUUUUGAAUAGUAUAUUGACGAAAAAAUAUGUGAUUAAAAUAAAAAAAAGUUUUAACUUUGCAUUGGAGUUGCUUUUAAUAUUCCCAAGUUCCCAACUUCUUAUUUUCCACGUCGGAUACUCACUAGAAUAUCAUAAAAUUUACUAUCUAUAAAUAGGUGGGCCAAAAGUUGGGUAAAAAGCUAUAUGGGUCUUUUAACUUUAGGAUUUAGAAGUUGACUAAUAUAAAAAUUUUAUCUUUCUAAUUUUUUCAAUUUUUGAUCGGGUUAUCAGAUAUCUGAUAACAUAGCAAAUCGAAUAUGUAUAUAACAAUCAAGUAUCCGUUGGAUCGGAUCGUAUAAGAUAAUUAUUCUUAAAAGUAUCGGAUCAAAUUUGGAUAGAUCCGGUCAAUUUACAGCCCUAAUCACAAAUAGGCAAAUAGCCUUGAUAAUGGAGAAUAUAAGUGGAAAAACUAAUGUCAUGUUUGGUAUAUUGUUUGGAUAUGAGGUAUUAUGAUUGGACGAAAUUAAAGAAAAAGAGAAACAUAUUCUAACGACAUAUUUAGUAGAGUAAUGAUAUUCGUAGCCAACGACUGCAUUAGUCAUUCUACAUGACAAUUUGUUACUUAAGACUUUAAUUUCUUAUAAUUCUAUUGCCUCAAUUAACAAGUAAAUGUCUCAAAUAAUAAGCUGUUACAUAGAAUAAUUAUUGCAGUCACUAACUAUGAAUAACAUUAUUAUGUUUAGUUCUAUAAAUUAAAUAUUGAUAUGCGUAUCGAGACGUUUAUAUAAAGUAAAAUUGGUUUGCAUUAAACUCUUUUGGUGGGCUCAGCAGUCCAAUAAUUUAUGUUGGAUUUGGAAAGAGGUAUAGCCAUUGCUAAUACUAUUCAAUCUGUUCCACCAACACCUUUGUCCGUUCAGACACCAAUUUAAGCAAAUGUGAUAUGACAAGAAAUAUUUAGCAUGCCACGCUAUUUGAUUGGACAACACUACAAAAAAAAAAAAGCACUUGAAAAAUAAUAAUAGAAAUAAUAAUAAUUAUCUGUUUUAAGUUUAGAAAAUUAAAUAAAUAAAAAAAGAGGGUGGCCCUAAAUCAAUUUUCCUUCACCAACGCCAGCUGCCUCAAUUCCUGGAAAGGAAAACUUUGCAUAGGAAAAGGAGAAAAAUCAUCGAAUAAAACUGGACGUCCAGGGCCCUGGACGUCCAGCACGUCUCAAAAUCAUCAAUCAUCACAAGACAGAGAAAAAAGGUGCUUUUCCAUUUUCAUGCAAGAGCUUACAUCAAUAUAAAUAGGUGGUGGUUAUUGAAAAGUUGAAAAAGAAAGGAUAUUUUUGUUGAUUAAAAAAAAAAAAAGGUUGAAUGUGGAGUACUUCUAGUUUGACAUGAGGUAAAAUUUCAAUAUUGCCCUUGUUAAGCUCCAAUCAUUGUGUCAAUUUUGUAUUCGAGUAUGGAAGUUAACAAAGUAAUGACCAUUUUUGCCAUUUUGAAAGCUUAAGAAAAAAGAUGAUACCAACACAUCUCGUCCAUAUAUUGUCGAUAACCAUAGGAGAGAAUUAAUUAUUAUUAUUCCUACUGUUCAAAUAUUUAAUAAAAAAUCAAGGCACAACAAAUUUCUCGUCCUUGCAAUUGAUUCUCUCAUAUCCCUUUAUAUAGUUUAGUAAUUUCUCGAGAAUGAAGAUGCUUAACAAAGGCUAUUAUGGUCUCUCGAAAGUCUAAUGAAAGACAUCCUCUUCUUUCUUAAGAGGCCGAAUAGAUUCUAGGAUAAGUGACCAAUAAAAAUCCAACAAAUAAUUGUUUGUAACCUACCUGUUGGGGCACAUCCCGCGAUUUACCUCCCUCACAAAACUCUAGGGGCGGGACAGUGAAGACCCUCAAUGUUGGAGUUCAACCUUUAAUAAUUGUUUGUAACCAAUCAAAAGAUCUUCACAAAAUCAAAAGAAUCGAGAAAGAAAGUGACUAUUCAUAUACAAUUAACUUUUCCAUGAUAAAUCAAUGUCCCAUGUAGGAGUAGGACCAAAUCGUCCUUAAAGACAGCAAAACCUUGCUCCUACCACGUGCUUCUUGUCCACCUCCUAUGUAUAUAUUGAUUGCCCAUUCAGAAUCCUCAGACACCAUUGUAAGGCCUUAAAAAUGUUAAAAGAAGUUCUCUUGUUUUUGUUAAGGGGCCCCAAUGAUAUGCAUGCAAUGGAGUGAUACGCCCUUAUGAGCAGGGAAGAGGAGAGUGUCCUCUCAUUUGUUGGCAACACAUACAUGUAGGGUUAUUAAUGGAUUGGAUUUUGAUUUGAAUUCGAUCUGAAUUCGAUGAAAUUAAUAGAAGAUGGAUUUAGGGUCUCAAUCAGAUAGUCCGUUGACUAAAUGAAGCAAAUAUGGAUGUAAGUAAAUCCGAUCCGAUUUAUUAUAAUAAUAUAAUAUAUUUUGUAUAUUAAAGCAUAAUUUAUUACAAUUUUUUUUUUAAAAUUGAUCUUAUAUACUUUAUGAAUUUUAAUGAAGGACGUCAAAAUUAUUAAAUUCCAAUAACAUUAAUAUAUAUUAUUGUAAAUUGUGUAUUCAGAAAAAAAAUAAAGAAAUUAAUGUUGAAACAUGAUAAUGGGCUUGACACUUUCGUCCCAAUCCAUAUGCCAAUCUGACAAAUGAUAAAGAUUAAUAAUGGGCGUGACACUAUAUCAUCUCUUUCGGCCACGUUUAACGUUUUGGUUCUUGAACAUUCUUCUUUCUUUCUAAUUAAUUCAAAAAACCUUUCCUAUUCUCCACCGUAGCUGAAUCAGAUUCAAUCAGAUGGAAACCCAUGGUAUUCUCCAUCUUUAAUUCAUUUUUACGUCUCGACUCUUCAUCUCUACACAGCAGGGAUGAUAUUCUUCCAAAAAUUACGGUUCCUUCUUUUUUUAUUUUUCUUUGUAUGUCAUCUCCAACACUAAGAUUUCAUCAGCAUUUCAAUUUCUUGAAAUGAUAUUUGUUUUGUACAACCUUUAUUCUUAAACAUCUUUUUUUGUAGGCGUGGUGGACUUGUGGUAAUAUGAUAUGGAGAUAGAGCUCAAACUUCAAAAGCUGCUCUUGAGAAUUUUUUCAUUCGUUUUUGUUGCUCACUUGAACGUUUGUUGGAUAUGUAGUCAUUGCAAUAUUUCAUAUCUUGGUUCUUUUUGGUAUCAUCAUGUGGAUUUUUAUUGAAAUUGACAAUAGGUUAAUAUGGUUAUUUUCUUUUAUUGCAAUAAAAAAAUGUGUAAAAUAUUUCGGAUCGGAUAUCCGAUAAUUUAGUAAAUUGGAUAUGAAUUUAACAAUCUAAUAUCCGUUGGAUUAUUGGAUCAAAUCGGAUAGAAUAAUUAUUCUUAUCGAAUCGGAUCGAAUAUGGGCAGAUCCGAUCCAUUGACAGUCCUACCCACAUGCCUCUUAAUGUAUUAUGUGAUUGUCGACAUUAGGCCAUGAACUUGUUUUUCAAGCAAAAGUGAUUUGAAUCCAAGAAAUUUAUCAGAUGGAUGACAUCAUAUUAAGUUUCAACCAAAUAGUGCUAAAUUAUGAUUUCUAAUAUAAAAAGCGAAAAUAAUCAAGGGGAAAGCCAAAUGUGUAAAUAAUCAAGGGGAGACCCAAAUGUUUCAACCAGAUGUUGGUAUAUAAGGCAUAUAACUGAGGACUAUGACACGCAGACUGACGAAAUAGCACAACUAGCACUUAGGUUACCUAGUGGAAGCUCCUCAACAUUCAAGUCGCUCGAAUAUUUUGAGAUAUACCUCAACAGUGAGUAGUCCUAAAUGAAUGUUUACCAAAACAAAAACAAGUUUUUACAAUGUUGUAACACCAUGUAUAGGUGCAAACACCUGCCAAGUGCUGAAAGGUCAAGGAAGUUAGAGACCUAAUGACCUUGAUGUAGGUGAUUGAAGGACGUGAAGGAUGACCGUAACUACAACGGUCUAAGGUAGCACAAUUUCUAGUCAGUUAUGUUUCGAGCAUGAAGCAAUCACUUGGAUGUAAUUAUAGGCACAUCAGUUACCCUCCUUAUUUGGUGCAGAAUGUUAUGCCCAUUUGGACGAAAUUUCACUUAGUAGGGUGAAAGGGAAAUUCAUCCUCAACAAAAAUGAUAAUGUUUACAUCUUGCCAUUUAAACUGUUCCUUCAAGAGGGUUCAAACGCCAAGUUAUGAAAUUUCAAUCUCAAAUCAUUUUUUCAUAGCUUAGCCACUGAAAGUAAUAGAGCAUCGUCUUGCCUGAUCAACGUAGUAUAAAUAUGCAUAUGGACUCCGUUUAUUUCGAAAACUGUUAAAUGAGCCACAGCAGAAUAAAUAAAACCAGGAGAGUUGAUAUGAUUUUGGAUGGGCAGCCGAGUUUUCAAGGGUAGUUUAAUUAUGGUAGACUUCUAUUAUAUUUGGUAUUUUUAUUAUUUUCAAUUUUUUCUAGGAUUUUAGAGUUUUAUUCCAUUUUAAUUACUCUCUAGGGUUUUAGUAUAAAUAGGCUUUUGUUUCUUUCAUUGUAUUUCAAGACUUUUACAAUGAAUUAAUCGAGAUUUCUCUUUCGAAGCUUUUGAUUCAAAAUAUGAACUUAUCAAGAUUUAAUAUCUUGUGGCGUUCAAACAAAAUAUCGGGUUGAUUUCUCUAGAUUGCGUAAUCAAAAGGUCCUUCGCGUCGCCGUUACCAUUGGGUUGUUUGAUUCAUUAAUUCUUUGGGUCAAAUCUACAAAUCCGGAGAAGAUUUCAAGAUUGUGUGAUUAAGAUGUCGUUCGUUUCAUAUACGUGCGGCUGCUUAGUUCACUUUUGCGGGUUGAUUCCUAAACCUUGGUCGUAUUUGGGCAUUAUUGGGAUCCGGUGUCAAUUCCUGUGGGUUCGAUUGUAACCUUGCUAACUGGGUUUGCAUCAUUCGGUAUUAGAGCUAAGGCACCAAGAUCAAGGUUAUAUCCCUUUUAAUUCUUGUUGAGUCAGUUGUUCUUUUCUUAUUGUUCUUCGAGUCAGUCCAUAGUUUCAAGUCUUUAAUUCAAAAAGUUACCAAAAAAAAUUCGAAAGUUGGCUUUGAAUUCCAUUUGCUUCCAAAUCAACUUUCGUUCGUAAAGAAAGGAAUGAAUUCCCACAAUUGAUACUAUUGCAGAUCCACCGACGAAGAGUUGUCACAGUAUAAACAUGAUCGGCAUGUAGAUUCUUAUGAUAUUAGAUACAUAAGUGAUUAGAUCUAGUGCAAGUGGAAGUUUGUAAGUGUUAUAGCUUAGAUCCAAUUAACCUUGGAUAAAGACACUUUUAAUAUAAAAUUGACACAAUUUUAUGGCAAGUCUAUUAUUUAUUUAAUAUUGAAUAUUAAAUUAAAUAAUAUAGUUCGUAUAUUCAAAUCUCAAUAAUUUGUUAAUCACAAGGAGUUGUGAUUAUAAUAUACAAAUUACAUAUGAUUGAAUUUUAAAUCAUCAGUGGUCGUAAAUAAUAAUGAGAUACAGACAUUAUUAUUAUAGAUACACCAUCACAUGUGGCAUUUCUUACUUGUGAAGUAAGUUGUUGAUCUCACAAGCUAAAAAGUGGUGAAACUUAAAUAAACACGUGGAUAUUUUGUUAUAGAACAAAACAUUAGAGACCCGUUGGGAUAUUCCACAUUGAUAACUAUCUGAAUAUCAGUAUUUAAUCUCUAACGUUCGAUAGUGGAAUUGGUCCUUCGACUUGAGGUUAUCAUAGUACCUUAUAUGAGGACAGUCAUACUUUGACAAUGUUAGAUGUUGCUAUGCCAAAGGUCACUAAUACGGUAACGUUCAGGUAUGUUAAGAAUCAUAUGAAACUUGUGAAUGACCGAUCGAGGAUUCGUCACUCUUAAAUAGUAAGAGAUUAUGAUUUGCAUUUCAUCCAAUUGGGUCGAUAACAAAAUCAUUGGCCAAGGUUUACUCAUAAAUCGAAAAUGAGUUUUCGACUUGUAUUGACUUAAUAGUUGAGUGAAAGAUAUGAUUGAUAAUCGAGAUUGACACAUUUUCAUAUCUUGUAAUUAAUCGGAUCAUAUUGACAAAUGGAUUAUAGUUUCAUGAUAAACGAAUAAGUUUGGUUAUGUCAACCACAUGAUAGUUUUCGUCACAUGUAUUGUCCUAAUACAUUGCUAGAUGUCACUUUGGGAAAGUGUGUGUGAAUUUGUGAUAAAUUAAAAAUGGUGUUUUAAUUUAUCGAUUUUGAUUUGAUCAAAAUAAUAAUUCACGUCGUUAGGCGUCGUGAUUGGGAACCUGAUGGGUUAUACACAAAAGGAGAACUGAAAGAUUGUAUUUUACCAAUUAAUUAAUUUAACAAGCGUUGGAUAAAUUUAUUAAUUGGGUUACUUAUUUAUUGGUCCGAAUUAAUUGGAUUAAUUAGUUCAUGGACCUGAUUUAAUUAAGUGGGUUAAUUAAAUCUUGAACCAAUUUAGGAGACGGGCUAAGCCUGUUUGGGCUUGUAUAAAUAAGUGGAUAGGGUUUUGGAUCUGUAGAGAUUUUAUUAUUCUUGCUAACACAAGAAAACCCUAGUUCUCACAAUCUGUUUCUCUAUGUGGAUUUCCAUUAGAGGUUGUACAAUUGGACAGCAGUGGGAGGCAAAUCAAGAUUGUUGGAACAAAAGGAAAAGCAAAAGUUUGUAGAAUUCUUCAAACUUAUAAUUUCUAUCACAAUUUCUAUCUAAAUACAAAGAGAUCCUUGAUAAAAAUUGAAAUCUAUAUUAAUUUCUGCCGUGCAUAUUUAAGUAAAUUCCCAACAUUAUGUUCUGGCAAGCAUGUGUUGACAAUAAUUUUUUCGCAACUAAUUUUGGCAAACAUCUGGACCACAGCAAUUGCAGUCAACGCAGAAUUUUGGUUCACAAUUGGAACAUGAUCUUACUCUCACCAAUUUUAUCAGGCUUGGAAUUUUUCCUAGCACUUGAACUAUACAUCUACUCUUACAAACUUAAAACUAAUUUACGUAAAAAACAUAUCUUCAUAAACAUAAUUGCAAGAGAUCACUGUAGAUUCUACUGUACUAAAUCAUUUCCAAUAAGUCGGCAUAGAUUAUUUAUUUAUUUUGGUAAAUAGCUUGUUUUCAUUUCUACUGCCCUAUUGGUCAUCAUCAAUUUCAUACACGAUUCUUAUUGUUGCUUCACAAACUCAUUAAGUCGUCCAGCAAUUCAAUUAAAUUAGGGUUGAGAUGCUCUUAAUUAUGAUAACUUUGCAUCAAAUAGGACUUCCCUAACAAAAUUUGUAACUUAGGGGUAGGCAGAACCCAUUCGUUCGAUUUUCCUCAUUAUCAAAUCAAACCAAACCAAACUUAUUUUACACAAGGAACCACUUGGUGGUUCCAUAAAACAGGAAUUAUACUUUUGAUUUUGUCUUUUAAUUCUAAGAAAUUCGUUACCUUCAUAAUCAUCAGAUCUUUCAUUUGGUUGAUCAAGAAAUUCAAGAUCUAUAGAUGAAUCAAAUAUGGUUAUUGCAAUAAUCAAAUCAUGUGGCUUAGUCUUCCAAAUCAGCACGUAAUCUCCUUUUCUCUCUGUGAUGGGAUGUAGAAGAGAACGAACAAAAUAAAAUCUCUCUAUGUGUGAUUCGGGGACCAUAAUUGUACUUAUAUACUAAUCUCUUUUGACCUAAUUCGGCCCAUCAUAAAAUUAGGAACUUGGGCCUAGUCUAUACACAUAUAGAACCCACACUUUAAUUGGACGCAUUACAGUCCAAAAUCGAAGCCUUAUUAAAUAACUUUAAAUGGCCUAAACCAAAUUCGAUAGCCUUUAAUUUAAUACGCCCUUUUCUUUAGAAAUUUCAGAUUCAAAGUACUUCAUGUUAAUGAAAGAAAAAAAAAGGCGAAGUAACUUUAUGUAGGAGUAUAAUAGUUUGGGCGAUAAAACAUGGCUAAAGGAGGUGAAAUUCGGUUUUCACAAUACCAUAAUAUGGUUUGUAAAACAUAAAGGGACGGUUUCUUUAUUUCUCCUAGGGAGUGGCCGUGUAGUUUCAUUUCAAGAAAUGGUAGCAAUUUCUUUUAUCAAGAAAUGGUAGCAGUUAUUGUUUUUAAAUUUUAAAUGAAAGUGACGGUUGGCAUGGAACUUGUAAAUUGAUUUUCAAAUGGAAGUUCACAAAAAAGGUAUUGGUUUGUGGAUAAUUACACACUAAUGGCAGUUUUAAUUUAAAUUCUAAGUGAAGUGGCGGUGGUAGUAGUAUUAAAAAAAAUGGAGGUUACACUUGAGGAAAUGGGAGUGGUUGUUGUAUUUCAAAAUUGGAGGUUAUACAAGUGAGUGGGGAGGUAAAAAUUUUAAAAUGUUUACUUUCAAAUGGAUGUUGAGAAGAACGUACAGCAGCUUCCAAAUCUCAAUAGCAAUUGAUGAUUAUGGUGGUUACAAUUAACUUUCAUCCGACAAAAUGGGCAGUUGACGAAAAUGGAAUUUAAAAUGGUAAGUUGAAUAUUAUGUGUAGAAAUGUGGAAGCUCCUCAACAUUCAAGUCGCUCGAAUAUUUUGAGAUAUACCUCAACAGUGAGUAGUCCUAAAUGAAUGUUUACCAAAACAAAAACACAAGUUUUUGCAAUGUUGUAACACCAUGUAUAGGGGCAAACACCUGCCAAGUGCUGAAAGGUCAAGGAAAUUAGUGACCUAAUGACCUUGAAGCAGGUGAUUGAAGGACGUGAAGGAUGACCGUAACUACAACGGUCUAAGGUAGCACAAUUUCUAGUCAGUUAUGUUUCGAGCAUGAAGCAAUCACUUGGAUGCAAUUAUAGACACAUCAGUUACCCUCCUUAUUUGGUGCAGAAUGUUACGCCUAUUUGGACGAAAUUUCACUUAGUAGGGUGAAAGGGAAAUUCAUCCUCAACAAAAAUGAUAAUGUUUACUUCUUGCCAUUUAAACUGUUCCUUCAAGAGGGUUCAAACGCCAAGUUAUGAAAUUUCAAUCUCAAAUCAUUUUUUCAUAGCUUAGCCACUGAAAGUAAUAGAGCAUCGUCUUGCCUGAUCAACGUAGUAUAAAUAUGCAUAUGGACUCCGUUUAUUUCGAAAACUGUUAAAUGAGCCACAGCAGAAUAAAUAAAACCAGGAGAGUGGUUCUGAUGAACAAGUACCAAAGAUCUCUAACAACUGCCAUUCCAACAAAUGAGAAGUAAAAGCCCAAUAUAAAGGUAUACAGCUCAACAAAUUUUGUAUCAAGACAAGCAACCUAAUCACUUUAUCUCUAUGAAAGCAAUCCUCUACAAUGUAACCCAAAUCUCUUAUCAAAUAUUUUUAAGAAUCUGUUUGACCACCGCCAGCCAUGCAGGCUGACCGAGCUUGCUGUUUUACAGCUUCUUGGUUGAGCGAGGCCUCUGGAAAAUUAACUAAAAAUUGUGAUGCCGGUUCAAUUUUCAAUCCUUCACAACUGAAUAAUAUUCUCAGCAAACAAUUGAAUAGCUUAAACAAAUGCAUCAUUAACAAAAUUCUGAAGAAUUUCAUCUAGAUUAAUAGGUCUAAACUACAUUUUCAUAUCUAGCAUAAUACAGAUGCAUAUUUUCCAUUGAAAGAAUCAUAAUGAUGCAUGUUUAAGUAAAUUGGACAAUUUGAUAGCUGUAGGCAGGAGUUGAUCCAAUGUGGGGGUAGUGAGGUCAGCUGCCCCCACACUAAAUAUGGAAAAUCAAAUUUUACCCCGUAGGUUUUUCAAAUUUUCCAAAAAAGUCCUUGUAUUAUUUAAUUUUUGACCCCACAAUUAUUAUUAUUAUUUUUUUUUUAUUUUUUUUUUGUAAUUUGCUCCCACAUGACUUCUCGGCUGGCUCCGUCUCUGUAUCAAGGUUGCUGAAAUAAAAGGAAAAGCAAAGUGGGAGGUGGCAGCAAGGCAAAGCUGCUGGGUGUUUCCACGGAUGGUGAACGUCGUCGCUACGGGGCAGUGCAUGCUGCUGUAAAAUAGUAGCGUGAGGCACUGCUUGUGUGCGAUCGGAAGCCGCGGCUUUAUGACGGCGACGAUGCCUUGACUUGCGAUGUCAGAAAUGGCACCGAUUGAUGCCGAUGCCUCUCAAAAGGUGAAAUAGUUUUAGGGAAGUUCUUCUGGGGUUUCUUCAGAGUCGGGUGAGAGAAUAUUUGGGGACGGGGGCUCUUGAUGUAAUUUCAUAGAUCCGGGCCCCUAUGUGCAAUUUUUAUUCAAGGUCCAUGUGGAAAUUUUAAAUAGAUGGUUGCCUUGCAAUUUGUGAAAUUGAGGGGCCAGUUAAUAAUUUUUAAGUGGGUCAAAUCGCAAUUUUCAAAAUGAAUUUUGAAUUUUAAGUAUUAAAAUGGUUUUAAAUUUAUUGCCAAAUGGGUUUUGACCUAUAUUAUCAAUUUUGACCCAAAUUAAAAUUUUAUUUAAAAAUUGACGACUUUUUAUAUUUUCGUUAAAAUAUAAUUUUUUUUAAAAUUGAAUUUGAUCCUAAAUUGAUUUUUUUUUUAAUUUGGGAGUUUUAUCCUGAAUUAAAAUAUUAAUUCAAUUUUAAUUAGAGUUGAACUCUAAUUUUGUAUUUGAUUUUAAUCAAUUAUUCACCAUGAUAUAUUCUUGAAGUUAGAAUUGGAUUCUAAUUUGUCAUUUAAUUAAAUUUUGAUUUUAAUUAAAUUGCCUUACCCUAAUUUUUUUUUUAAAAAUUAGAGUUGGAUUCUAAUAUGGUGUAUAAUUAAAAUUUGAUUUUAAUUAAAUAAUUUUUCCCUAAAAUCUUGGAAUUAGAGUUGGACUCUAAUUUUGAUAUUUAAUUAAAAUUUGAUUUUAAUUAAAUUCAACUGCCUUAAGUUUUGAAAUUAGAGUUGGACUCUAAUUUGUAAAAUAUUUUGCACAUAAGGUCCUUAAAAAAUGUAUGGCCACGUGUUUCGAUCCUUAAGUUUGAAUUAGAAUCAUUUUGGUACCUGAAGUGACCAUUUGUGAAAGUUUUAAAAACUUCAAUGACCAUUAGUGAAACCGCCCGAAACUUAAGUGACCGUUUAUGAAAAUUUUAAAUUUCAGUGAUCGUUUUGUAAUUUUUUGUUAAGUUCAGUGACCGUUUGUGAAAUUAACCCAUUAAAUAAUCCCCCACCCUAUAACUGUGGAAUUGACUCUAAUUCGAUAUUUAAAUAAAAUUUGAUUUUAAUUAAAUAUACUCGCUAAUUAAAGUAAUUGAUUAAUAUGAUUAAUUAAUUAUUUAAUUGUUCCGAUUCAUUUGUCUAAAUAGUUUAGACGACCUUAAUUACUAGAAACUUGAAACACGUUCGCAUAUAAUAUUAGAUAUUAUAUAGGAAUACAUUUAUGUGAUAAAUGUAUUAUUAGUGAAUGAUUAUGGAUUUGACUAUGUAAAUGUGUUGAAUGGUUAAUUUUAUUCUUGUCAUUUUAUGGGCAUGCGAGCUUUUAAUUAUUUUGGACCUGCAAGUCCGUUAUUAUUGUUAUUAUUAUGGGUCUGCGAGCUUUUGAUUAUUUUGGACUUGGGAGUCCAAUUACAUUUAGGCCUGCGUGCCAACUAGUUUUCGUUAUGAUUCAAAAAGACUAGAUAGUAAAAGUCCAUAAUCGUCCACACCAUUAUAAAAUAUAUAUGUUUAUUUACAUGAUAGAUAUAUAAUAAAAUAUAUAUGAUUGUUACAAUGAGACAUUUGAAUGUAAAACCCCUCAAUAAAAUAUUAAGUCACAUUUAUAUUCGCCUUCCAUCAUUAUAAUGAAAAAUCCGAGUCCUCAAUCGAUCACAAGGCCGGUCUAUUAUGAAUAUGUUUGACACUAUGAAUUAUUAGAUAUUUUUGAAUGAUGGGUUCGACUUAACGAAGAUUUAUCUUUUGUAGAGUACACUCAAGGAGAUAAAUUGUAAAGACAUGUUAAGCUAAUACAUAAGAUGUGUGAAGACAAUGAGUUGUCAGCUUAAUAAUUUGGGAGUUGCAUGGAGAUACAAUUGAUAAUAGUAUCUACCCAAAUUUAUAUUAAGAUUUAUUGAGUACACUCAAGGUGUCAAGGACCGCAGCUUUACUUAGCCCCUUGACACUAUCGCAGCCGCAGUUUGCCCAACUUCGGCCGCACAUUGUAAAUAUUACUUCAAGUUUGAGUUGUAAUUUUCGUUUCAUUGUAAUAGUUAUUUUAAUUGUAAAAUAGCUCUGAUAUUGGUAAAAGAUUAGUAUGAUUCCUCGGCUUUUAAACGUCUACUCCCGUCACUUGGGUUUUUGUUCAGAAUGCUAUUAUAGGGGGUAUUAGUCAUUCAAAAAUCUUUCAAGCUCACUGGUGUCCGCCCCCUGCACCAGCAUUUGUAAUUUUCUGUUUUCAUCAAUUGUAAUGUUCAGUUUUCAGCAAUCAAUGUUCAAUUUACUUUCAAUGUAUUCAAAUUCUCAAUUGUAAGCUUUCUACAAAAUUGCAAUCAAAUUUUCUUUCGUCCCGACGCGACCGAGAAAAGGCGGAAGGUAGUCUAGCGGAGCAGACUACUGCCGCACGGUGUCCCUUUCUGUGCCAAGAAGAAAGGCACCCCGUGAAAGUUGGUAUCAGAGCUGCGGCUCAAGACCCUCGAUAAGAAAGCUAUGGAUCCAAUUACAUCACACACCACUGAAGUGGUAGAGCCUCACAAGAAGGGUACUACGAAACAGCGCGUGGAUGCGCUUGAUGAGACAGCUACUAGGUUGUGCUAUGCUGUGGAAGGUCUCGAGGAAAAAGUCGAGAUGGCCGAAUCUGAGAUUCGUGGAUUACACAUCCAAUUGGAUGAAAGCCAAAGAGCUUGCGCAGUAAUGACGGAAGCUGCUGCAAUCAUUCCUGAUCUGCAGGAUGAAAUGGAAGCGUUGAGAGCUCAAUUGCGAGUACUCCAACGUGCGGUGGGCAAUGGGCAAGCUCCCGCACACGAGUAUGCUCCUAGACUCAGAAUUCCUGAACCGUGUANNNNNNNNNNNNNNNNNNNNNNNNNNNNNNNNNNNNNNNNNNNNNNNNNNNNNNNNNNNNNNNNNNNNNNNNNNNNNNNNNNNNNNNNNNNNNNNNNNNNNNNNNNNNNNNNNNNNNNNNNNNNNNNNNNNNNNNNNNNNNNNNNNNNNNNNNNNNNNNNNNNNNNNNNNNNNNNNNNNNNNNNNNNNNNNNNNNNNNNNNNNNNNNNNNNNNNNNNNNNNNNNNNNNNNNNNNNNNNNNNNNNNNNNNNNNNNNNNNNNNNNNNNNNNNNNNNNNNNNNNNNNNNNNNNNNNNNNNNNNNNNNNNNNNNNNNNNNNNNNNNNNNNNNNNNNNNNNNNNNNNNNNNNNNNNNNNNNNNNNNNNNNNNNNNNNNNNNNNNNNNNNNNNNNNNNNNNNNNNNNNNNNNNNNNNNNNNNNNNNNNNNNNNNNNNNNNNNNNNNNNNNNNNNNNNNNNNNNNNNNNNNNNNNNNNNNNNNNNNNNNNNNNNNNNNNNNNNNNNNNNNNNNNNNNNNNNNNNNNNNNNNNNNNNNNNNNNNNNNNNNNNNNNNNNNNNNNNNNNNNNNNNNNNNNNNNNNNNNNNNNNNNNNNNNNNNNNNNNNNNNNNNNNNNNNNNNNNNNNNNNNNNNNNNNNNNNNNNNNNNNNNNNNNNNNNNNNNNNNNNNNNNNNNNNNNNNNNNNNNNNNNNNNNNNNNNNNNNNNNNNNNNNNNNNNNNNNNNNNNNNNNNNNNNNNNNNNNNNNNNNNNNNNNNNNNNNNNNNNNNNNNNNNNNNNNNNNNNNNNNNNNNNNNNNNNNNNNNNNNNNNNNNNNNNNNNNNNNNNNNNNNNNNNNNNNNNNNNNNNNNNNNNNNNNNNNNNNNNNNNNNNNNNNNNNNNNNNNNNNNNNNNNNNNNNNNNNNNNNNNNNNNNNNNNNNNNNNNNNNNNNNNNNNNNNNNNNNNNNNNNNNNNNNNNNNNNNNNNNNNNNNNNNNNNNNNNNNNNNNNNNNNNNNNNNNNNNNNNNNNNNNNNNNNNNNNNNNNNNNNNNNNNNNNNNNNNNNNNNNNNNNNNNNNNNNNNNNNNNNNNNNNNNNNNNNNNNNNNNNNNNNNNNNNNNNNNNNNNNNNNNNNNNNNNNNNNNNNNNNNNNNNNNNNNNNNNNNNNNNNNNNNNNNNNNNNNNNNNNNNNNNNNNNNNNNNNNNNNNNNNNNNNNNNNNNNNNNNNNNNNNNNNNNNNNNNNNNNNNNNNNNNNNNNNNNNNNNNNNNNNNNNNNNNNNNNNNNNNNNNNNNNNNNNNNNNNNNNNNNNNNNNNNNNNNNNNNNNNNNNNNNNNNNNNNNNNNNNNNNNNNNNNNNNNNNNNNNNNNNNNNNNNNNNNNNNNNNNNNNNNNNNNNNNNNNNNNNNNNNNNNNNNNNNNNNNNNNNNNNNNNNNNNNNNNNNNNNNNNNNNNNNNNNNNNNNNNNNNNNNNNNNNNNNNNNNNNNNNNNNNNNNNNNNNNNNNNNNNNNNNNNNNNNNNNNNNNNNNNNNNNNNNNNNNNNNNNNNNNNNNNNNNNNNNNNNNNNNNNNNNNNNNNNNNNNNNNNNNNNNNNNNNNNNNNNNNNNNNNNNNNNNNNNNNNNNNNNNNNNNNNNNNNNNNNNNNNNNNNNNNNNNNNNNNNNNNNNNNNNNNNNNNNNNNNNNNNNNNNNNNNNNNNNNNNNNNNNNNNNNNNNNNNNNNNNNNNNNNNNNNNNNNNNNNNNNNNNNNNNNNNNNNNNNNNNNNNNNNNNNNNNNNNNNNNNNNNNNNNNNNNNNNNNNNNNNNNNNNNNNNNNNNNNNNNNNNNNNNNNNNNNNNNNNNNNNNNNNNNNNNNNNNNNNNNNNNNNNNNNNNNNNNNNNNNNNNNNNNNNNNNNNNNNNNNNNNNNNNNNNNNNNNNNNNNNNNNNNNNNNNNNNNNNNNNNNNNNNNNNNNNNNNNNNNNNNNNNNNNNNNNNNNNNNNNNNNNNNNNNNNNNNNNNNNNNNNNNNNNNNNNNNNNNNNNNNNNNNNNNNNNNNNNNNNNNNNNNNNNNNNNNNNNNNNNNNNNNNNNNNNNNNNNNNNNNNNNNNNNNNNNNNNNNNNNNNNNNNNNNNNNNNNNNNNNNNNNNNNNNNNNNNNNNNNNNNNNNNNNNNNNNNNNNNNNNNNNNNNNNNNNNNNNNNNNNNNNNNNNNNNNNNNNNNNNNNNNNNNNNNNNNNNNNNNNNNNNNNNNNNNNNNNNNNNNNNNNNNNNNNNNNNNNNNNNNNNNNNNNNNNNNNNNNNNNNNNNNNNNNNNNNNNNNNNNNNNNNNNNNNNNNNNNNNNNNNNNNNNNNNNNNNNNNNNNNNNNNNNNNNNNNNNNNNNNNNNNNNNNNNNNNNNNNNNNNNNNNNNNNNNNNNNNNNNNNNNNNNNNNNNNNNNNNNNNNNNNNNNNNNNNNNNNNNNNNNNNNNNNNNNNNNNNNNNNNNNNNNNNNNNNNNNNNNNNNNNNNNNNNNNNNNNNNNNNNNNNNNNNNNNNNNNNNNNNNNNNNNNNNNNNNNNNNNNNNNNNNNNNNNNNNNNNNNNNNNNNNNNNNNNNNNNNNNNNNNNNNNNNNNNNNNNNNNNNNNNNNNNNNNNNNNNNNNNNNNNNNNNNNNNNNNNNNNNNNNNNNNNNNNNNNNNNNNNNNNNNNNNNNNNNNNNNNNNNNNNNNNNNNNNNNNNNNNNNNNNNNNNNNNNNNNNNNNNNNNNNNNNNNNNNNNNNNNNNNNNNNNNNNNNNNNNNNNNNNNNNGUGCACUACUACAACGUGCAUACUACUGGCCUCAAAUGCGGGAUGACAUUGCAACAUAUGUAAAAACUUGUCUUAUUUGUCAGCAAGAUAAGGCAGAUCAUCAGAAAAAGGCGGGCUUGCUGGAGCCCCUUUCCGUUCCAUCCCGGCCAUUUGAAAGUGUAUCGAUGGACUACAUUAUUGGGUUGCCAAAAGUUGAGGAUUUUGGCACUAUCAUUGUCGUGGUGGACCGUCUAUCAAAAUAUGCAACUUUCAUUGCAGCGCCUAAGUAUGUAUCUGCGGAAGAGACAGCUCAACUCUUCUUCAAACAUAUUGUCAAAUACUGGGGGCUGCCUAAGGACAUCGUCAGUGAUCGAGAUCCUCGUUUCACUGGCAUAUUUUGGACUGAGUUGUUCAAACUUCUUGGUUCAACUUUGAGCAUGAGUUCCAGUUUUCACCCACAAUCUGACGGACAGACGGAAGCGCUUCAAUUCUAUGCUAGAAGAAUAUCUUCGGCACUUUAUCUCUACUUCGCAGAAAAACUGGGUAAAACUUUUGGAUGCGGCCCAAAUUUGCUUCAAUGCCCAAAAGAGCUCUUCCACCAAUAAGAGUCCUUUUGAGAUUGUUACUGGCCAGCAACCGCUACUCCCUCAUACAGUGGAUAUUGAACGAAGUACCAAGUCCCCUCAAGCAAAGAGUUUUUUCUCAAGAGUGGAAACGAAAUAUUGAAAUUGCUCGGAGUUAUCUUUUCUCAAAAACGGUAUAAAAAGGCUGCAGAUCUAAAGCGUCGUUUUAUUGAAUUCAAUGUUGGAGAUCUGGUAAUGGUUAAGCUUUUCGACAGAAUUGUUUACAAGCCAACAAGAGGGAAGGACUCAAGGUUGUCACCAAAAUACAUUGGACCAUUACCCAUUGUGAAGAGGAUUGGAAGAGUUGCAUACAGAGUUGAACUCCCUUCAUGGUGUAAAAUCCACAAGGUCCUUCAUGUUAGUGUGUUGAAGCCAUACUUUUCAGAUAAGGAGGACGCAUCUAGAAAUGAGCCAAAGCGACCUGUAUUUGAACUGAAGAAAGCUGGAAAGAAGGUUGCUGAAGCUAUUCUUGACCAUCGAAUCACUCGGGCUUCUAGAAAAGAUCAUCAGGAGUACUUGGUCAAAUGGAUGGGAUGCAGCAGCGAGGAGAAUACUUGGGAAAGAGAAAAAGAUCUCGGGGCCUUCAAAUCAUUAAUUGAAGAGUAUCAUGCAUUGAUGGCACCGAGGACGUCGCCAAAACAAAUGGGGGAGAAUGUCAAGGACCGCAGCUUUACUUAGCCCCUUGACACUAUCGCAGCCGCAGUUUGCCCAACUUCGGCCGCACAUUGUAAAUAUUACUUCAAGUUUGAGUUGUAAUUUUCGUUUCAUUGUAAUAGUUAUUUUAAUUGUAAAAUAGCUUUGAUAUUGGUAAAAGAUUAGUAUGAUUCCUCGGCUUUUAAACGUCUACUCCCGUCACUUGGGUUUUUGUUCAGAAUGCUAUUAUAGGGGGUAUUAGUCAUUCAAAAAUCUUUCAAGCUCACUGGUGUCCGCCCCCUGCACCAGCAUUUGUAAUUUUCUGCUUUCAUCAAUUGUAAUGUUCAGUUUUCAGCAAUCAAUGUUCAAUUUACUUUCAAUGUAUUCAAAUUCUCAAUUGUAAGCUUUCUACAAAAUUGCAAUCAAAUUUUCUUUCGUCCCGACGCGACCGAGAAAAGGCGGAAGGUAGUCUAGCGGAGCAGACUACUGCCGCACGGUGUCCCUUUCUGUGCCAAGAAGAAAGGCACCCCGUGAAACAAGGUCUUGAUAUAACAGAUGGAAUCCAAGCCCGUUGAGAAUCAAGUAUAGAUUCCAUAAAUUUAUGCGAGAGGGUCAUAAAUUUGAGUUAAAUAGUGGGAGUAUAAUUAAUUUAAUAAAAGUUCAUAUUAAAUUAUUUGAUGCAUUUUUAUAUAUUAUUCAUUUUCUUUUCAUCAUUUAUAUUGAAUAUUGAGUAACCAUAUAUAUUUAAGAGGCAUAUGGAUGCCAACAACCAAACCAAAAUUUAUUGAUUGGCACCGCAAUCUGAGAAUUAUUCUCAGGCAUGAGAAAAUUGGCUAUGUCCUUGAGUAGCCAUUUUCAGAAACAUCUACUGAUUGACUCGAUUAAGAAAGAGCUGGCUGCUAUAAUAAAUACAAUGAUGACACUAGUACUGAUUAUGCCCAAAGAAUAAUACGGUGAAUGUAGUACAGUUUUGGGGUGUCGAUUCCAAAGAGAGAUGGAAAAAUCACUCAAAGGAUAAAAAAAAAAAAAAAGGUUGAUUGUCCUCUUGAAAUAUGUAGGAGAAUUAUAGUCUGAAUGAAUUUUAAGAUCAAAGGAUUAAAUGAUAAAAUUGAAGCCAAUAUUUAGGAUAGUGAAGCGCCGGAAUUUCCUCAAUUGGAUUGGCUCAAUCAAUAUCAAUAAUUCAUGCUUUUUACUCAAUUAGAGGUUUUCUUCCCAACUCUUUAAUCAGAAGAUUUAACAAUAAAGUCCAAUUUAAUUCCAAUUGUAUUUCUAGAAUUUAGAUUUUCUAUAACACAUUCGUACAUUUUUAUUGGAACAAGAUCAAAGAUCGACCAUAUACAUCAAGCAUAAGGCAGUAAUCAAUCCACCAAUAAAAUAAUAUUAAGAUUAAAAUUUAACAAUUAUUUCAAUCAUUCGAUAGAAAGAGCAUGACUAGAUCUAUGAAGGAUUUGAUAAAAGUUAAAACAAUCUCAACAAUAAGUAAUUGAAAUUGAAACUCAACAAAUAGUUUAAUUUAACAAUGGAAAAAGCAUGACUAAAUUCAUGAAAAAUCCAGUAAAAGUUAAACCAAUUUCAAUACCAAUUCAUAAAGAGAACAUCCAAAUCUAGAAACUACUAAGCAAAGAAAGUUCGAAUUACAUGAAAUCUCAAAAUCCAAUGAGUUCUUUCGUGACUUCACCAAAGAUUUCAGUUCUUCAUAGAGUUUCUUGUGCCCAAAAUGAGAGAAAAGUGUAUGGAGGCCUUUUCUGGUAUUUUAGGGUGAUUUAGGGCUUAAAAAUCAUGAGAUAUUAAAUUACCAUAAGGGUGGGAUCAAUUUUGGAAACUAGAAGAUUCGGCCAAAAUUUGUUUUGUGCAACUACUUUCGGUAUUUUGGUAUUAACUUUCUCUCCCGAUGUCCAAUUAAGAUGAUUCAAAGUGUUUUGGAAAGCUAACACAAAGGGAUACAAUUUUACUGAAUAGCUCUUUCCAAACUUGAAAUUUUAAUAAGUCGAAAGUGGAUCCCAAUCUCCAGUUGAAAAUCUGGAAAAUCCUUAUGCGACUGGAUUUUGAUUUGUAAAAAUAUUAUUGUCAUAUUUAACUUCUUUUGACUUCUAAUUGUACCCAAUGUACUCUUAACUUUCUCAAAUCAUCAUUCCAUCGCAGUCUCAUCUUUGGAUUAUUUGUAGCUUGGUCCUGAACUUUCACUUUCUUCUAUUUUAGUCCUUUUUUGUUCUUUUCUUCUAAAUUCCGCCAUAUUCUUCCAUUUGCACCCUAAAUCAAAAUAUAAGGGUACUUAGUGCAUUUAGGCGUCAAUAUGUCAUGCAAAUAAAAGUAUAAAUGGAUGAGAACAUGACAAAUUUUGCUAUUAUCAAGUAUUGCAACGUAUGUAAUACUUGUAUCUACGUCACUUGAGUUACAGAAGCAACAUGAGAGUGUAGAUGCUAGCACAUAAUUUUUCAUUUCAAAAGAGUUGUGUGAUAAUAAUUAUGUGUGGAAGGAUAUGAGACUUCCAAGCAACUACACUGGCUCAAAAUGAUGGAGGAAUUUUCAGUGAGUGCUCAUAUAUCGAAGAUAAUUGACAUUGAGAAGUUGUAUCAAUUGAGUUCAAUCAUGAACUAUGAACUAAGUAUUGACUUGAUUCUGCAAACUUUGUCGGAAAGUUAUUCAUACUAAUUAUGAAUUAUGAUAUGAAUAAGCUCGAAUGCACACUCAUUGAGUUGCUUAACAUGCUUAAGGCUGUUAAGCCCAGUAUCAAAGUUAGUAAUGGGCAAGCCAUUGAUUCCUCUAAAGGUAUUAAAAAGAAGUCUAAAGAGGCUUUGAGAAAGAACUCAAUAUAGUUAAGACUAUCAAAGCGAAGGAUAAUACCAAAUCUAAUGACUCUUGUCUUCAUUAUAGAAUGAAAGGUCAUUGGAAGAAAUAUUGCAAGGCUUAUGUCUACUUCAUUAGCUUCUCAGGUAUUAGUUACUAGAUGUACAUCUCAUAUAUAUACAAAUAUGGAGAAACUAAAUGGAAGUAUACCACUGUAAAGGAAGAAGUUAACUUGUAUUGUCUGUAGGAGCAUACUUCUUACCAUUGUCUCUAAGUUUAGUAUUGAAUUUAGAGAAAUGUUACCUUGUACCCACCAUAACUGGAACAUUAAGUAAAUUUCAUGUUCAUACAUGAAUUAUUUUAAUGUUAAGGGUAAUUGUUGUUCUGGUUUAUCUUGAUAAAGAUGUUAAUGGUUAUGGUAAAUCACAAAAUGACGUUUAUAUUCUUAAUACUAAGCAUUCUAUAGAAAUUAUAAGGCAUAAAUGCGAUAAUCUAAUUAUUACCUAAAUCUGACAUUGCAGACUUAGUCAUAUCGAUGAAAUGCUAUUCCAAAGUUACAUAGAUAUGUAUACUUGGGGUCAAUUGAUUUUGAAUCAUUUGACGAAUGUGAAUCAUGCCUGUUAGGCACAAUGACCAAAUCUCCUUUCACUUGAAAAUGAGAAAUGUAUGCAUAAUUACUGGCCUAAUACAUAGUGAAGUAUAUGGACGAUUAUUAAUUAAUGACAUAUGAGAUUUCUCUUAUUUCAUUAAAAUUACUGAUGACUAUUUCAGAAAGAGCAAUGCUAUUUGUCCCCACUGGGGCUGAAUCCCCAAUCUAGAUGGCCAGUGGGGAUUGGUUAAAUGAAAGGUGGAAGUAAAUAAGUCAACUUCCACCUUUCAUUUAACAAAUCCAGUCUAGCCACCUAGACUAGGGAUGAAUAUUAUUUUUCUUUCAGAAAUAUUCAUGUAUACUUGACGAAAUUCCAUUGUGAAGCUAUUGAAAGGUUCAAGGGAUUCGAGCUAAAGUAGAGAAACAAUUAGGUAAAGAGAUUCUCACACUAAGAUCCAAUUGAGUGGGAAUAUUUUAAAGAUAAAAUUUUAGAUUAUCUAAAAGAGAAUGAGAUUCUCUUGCCAUGGACUCCUCUACAUACACUGCAACAUAAUGGUGUAUCUGAAAUGAGGAGUUGUAAAUAGAUAUAUUGCGAUUAAUAACAAGUCAUGCAAACCUCCCAAAAUCGUUUUACGGUCAUGCACUGAUUACAGUGCGCUGCACACUAAAUCAUGUCACAUCUAAGUUGGUUAACAAAACUUCAUAUGAGGUAUGGAAAGACAGUGGUCCAAAUUUAUCUCAUGUGAAAAUUUGGAGCUGUGACACUUAAGUGAAGCGUAUUGAAUCGGAUAAGCUUGAGACUGAAUCCAAUAAAUGCAUGUCUAUGGGAUAUCCAAAACAAAUAUUUGGAAAUCAAUUCUAUUAACCUAUUGAGAAGAAAGACUUUGUCUCACGAUAUAUCUUUUUCUUAAAGAAAAUGUUUACUCUAGGAGAGGACAGUGAGAGCAAAAUAGAAUUUGAAAGAGUUCAAGAGUCCACGGAUAUAGUUGAUCAAGUAGAUGAAUCUGAGUUUGAUCCCACAUCUGAUGAGGGACACACUUUUGAUCAGGAAGUAGAGACUCUUGAGGACAUGAAAGCUCCAUUUAAAUCUAAUAAGAUCAUUCGACCUUCAAGAAUGUGCAAAUCCACGAUUACUAAUCAAGCAUUAUUAAUCGAGGAUGAUGAACCUACUAACUACGCAGAAGCAAAGUCAAGUGUUGACUUAAAGAAAUAGCAAGAUGCCAUGUAAUUUGAGAUAAAAUCAAUGCCUGUAAACAAGGUUUGGACCUUGGUCGACCCUCCUGAUGGGAUAAGACCCACAGUUUGUAAAUGGGUUUACAAUAAAAUGGUCAACAUGGAUGAAAAUAUCCAAACAUACGAAGCAAUGCUACUUGAUUAAUUCUUAUAUGGAUUGAGGCAAGCCUCUUGGAGCUGAAAUUUUCAAUUUGAUUGAAAAAUCAAAAGGUUUGAUUUUAUCAAAUAUGAAGAUGAAUUAUGUGUUUACAAGAAAAUAGUGGGAGUAUUAUCACAUUUCUGAUAUUAUAUGUAUAAGACACAUUAUUAAUAGAAAAUGACAUCCCUACAUGUCAAUCAUUGAAAUUAUAGUUGUUAAAGAAUUUUUCAUGAAAGAUAUGGGAUAAGUAACUUGAUCUACAGAGAUAGAUUUAGAAGAUUGUUUAUCUCAUCCCAAUUUACAUAAAUAAAAUCUUGAAAAGAUUUUAUAUAGAGAAAUUGGUUUGCUAUUAAGAGAUGUAUUGGAAAUAUUCCAAACACAAAACAACAGUUGAUUUCAAUGCCGAAAACCUAAUACAUGAAUGUUUCAGAAGUAGCAAAAAGUUGUGGUAUGGAUCAGGAUGUUCAUUAAUGAACUUGAAGUAGUUCAUAACAUUGUUGAUCACAUGCCAUUGUAUUGUGUUAACAAUAAAGUCAUCGCUCAAGUGAAGGAACUAAGAUCUCAUCAAUAAUCCAAAUAUGUAUUAAGAUAGUAUUAUCACAUCAGAGAGAUAAUAUAAAGAAAUGACGUAAAGAAAGGAACGAAUUUUCACAAUUGAUAAUAUUACAGAUCCACCAAUGAAGAGUUGUCGCAAUAUAAACAUGAUCGUCAUGUAGAUGCUUAUGAUAUUAGAUACAUAAGUGAUUGGAUCUAGUGGAAGUGGGAGUUUGUAAGUGUUAUGGUCUAAGUUCAAUCAACAUUGGAUAUAGACGCUUUUAAUAUAAAAUUGAUACAAUUCUAUGCCAGAUCUAUUAUUUAUUUAAUAUUGAAUAUUAAAUUAAAUAAUGUAGUCCGUAGAUUCAAAUCUCAAUAAUUUGUUAAUCAAAAGAAGUUGUGAUUGUGAUAUACAAAUUACAUAUGAUUGAAUCUUUAAUCAUCCGUGGUCGUAAAUAAUAACGAGAUACGAUAUUACGGAUACACCAUCACAUGUGGCAUUUCUUACUUGUGAUGUAAGUAACUGAUCUCACAAGUUAAAGUGUGGUGACACUUAAAUAAACACGUGGAUACUUUGUUAUAGAACAAAACAUUGGAGAUCUGCUGGAAAAUUCCACAUUGAUAACUAUUUGAGUGUUAGUAGCUAAUCUCUAACGUUUGGUAGUGGAAUUGGUAUUUUGAUUUGAAGUUAUCAUAGUGCCUUAUAUGAGGAUAGUCAUACUUUGACGAUGUUGGAUGUUGUUUUGUCAAGGGUAGCUAAUACGGUAUCGUUCGGGUAAGCCAAGAAUCUUAUGAAGAUUGUGAAUGACCAAUAGAUGAUUCAUCACUCUUAGAUAGUAAGAGAUUAUAAUCUGUAUUUCAUCCAGUUGAGUCGAUAACGAAAUCUUUGGCCAAGGUGUACUCAUAAAUCAAAAAGGAGUUUUCGACUUGUAUUGACUUAAUAGUGGAGUGAAACAUAUAAUCGAUAAUUGAGAUUGACAAAUUUUCAUAUCUCAUCGACACGGAUGGGAAUAUCUAUACAUACAAAGGAGGCUACUUGAUCAAUUCUUAUAUGGAUUGCUGAAAUCUUCAAUUUAAUCAAAAAAUCAAAAGGUUUGAUUUUUAUCAAAUAUGAAGACGAAUUAUGUGUUUACAAGAAGAUAGAGGAAGCAUUGUCGUAUUCCUAAUAUUAUAUGUACAAGACAUAUUAUUAAUAGUAAAUGACAUCCCUACAUUUCAAUCGUUAAAAUUAUAGUUGUUAAAGAUUUUUUAUGGAAGAUAUGGGAGAAAUAACUUGAUCUAUAGAGAUAGAUCUAGAAGAUUGAUUAUCCCAUCCCAAUCUACAUAGAUUUUAUAUGGAGAAAUUGGUUUACUCUUAAACGAUGUGUUAGAAAUGUUCCAAACACGAAAUAAACGUUGAUUUAAUAGCGGAAACCUAAUACAUGAAUGCUUCAAAAACAGCAAAAAGUUGCGGUAUGGAUUAGGAUGUUCAUUAAUGAACAUGUCAUCGUAUUGUGUUAACAAUAGAGCUAUCGCGCAAGCGAAGAAACUAAGAUUUCAUCAAUAUUCCAAACAUGUAUUAAGGAAGUAUCAUCACAUCAGAGAGAUAAUACAAAGAAAUGACAUAAAGAAAGGAACGAAUUCCCACAAUUGAUAAUAUUGCAGAACUACCGACGAAGAGUUGUCGCAUUAUAAAUAUGAUUGUCAUGUAGAUGCUUAUGAUAUUAGAUACAUAAGUGAUUAGAUUUAGUGUAAGUGGGAGUUUGUAAGUGUUAUGGUCUAGAUCCAAUCAACCUUGGAUAUAGACACUUUUAAUAUAAAAUUGAUGUAAUUUUAUGACAGAUCUAUUAUUUAUUUAAUAUUGAAUAUUAAAUUAAAUAAUAUAGUCCGUAGAUUCAAAUCUCAAUAAUUUGUUAAUCACAAGGAGUUGUGAUUGUGAUAUAUAAAUUAUAUAUAAUUGAAUCUUAAAUCAUCUGUGAUCGUAAAUAAUAACAAGACACGGAUAUCGUUAUUACAGAUACACCAUCACAUGUAGCAUUUCUUACUUAUGAAGUAGGUAGCUGAUCUCAUAAGUUAAAGUGUAGUGACACUUAAAUAAACAUGUGAAUAUUUUGUUAUAGAACAAAAUAUUAGAGACUUGCUGGGAGAUUCCAUAUUGAUAACUAUCUAAGUAUUAGUGAUUAAUCUAUAACGUUCGGAAGUGAAAUUGGUUUUUUGACUUGAGGUCAUAAUAGUGCCUUAUAUGAGGACAGUCAUGCUUUGACAGUGUUAGAUGUUGCUCUAUCAAGGGCAGCUAAUACUAUAUCGUUAGAGUAUGUCAAGAAUCAUAUGAAGGUUAUAAAUGACCAAUAGAGGACUUGUCACUCUUAGAUAGAUGAGAUUAUGAUCUGCAUUUCAUCCAGUUAGGUCGAUAACGAAAUUUUUGGCCAAAGUGUACUCAUAAAUCGAAAAUGAGUUUUCGAUUUGCAUUGACUUAAUAAUAAAGUGAAAGAUAUGAUCGAUAAUCGAGAUUGACACAUUUUCAUAUCUCGGAAUUGAUCAAAUCAUAUUUAUAAAUGGAUUAUAGUUUCAUGAUAAACAAACAAGUUUGGUUAUGUCAUAUCACGUGACGUUUCUUGUCAUAUGUAUUGUCUGAAACAUUGCUAGAUGUUAAUUUGAGACGGCAAGUGUGAAUUGGUGAUAAAUUAAAAAGGGUGUUAUAAUUUAUCGAUUUUGAUUAGAUCAAAAUAAUAAUUCACGUCGUUAAGUAUCGUGAUUAGGAACUUAAUGGGUCACAUACAAAAGAAGAAUUGGAAUAUUUUGUUUGACCAAUUAAUUAAUUUAACAAGCGUUGGAUAAAUUAAUUAAUUGGGUUACUUAUUUAUUGGCCCGAAUUAAUUGAAUUAAUUAGUUCAUAGACUGGGUUUAAUUAAAUAGGUUAAUUAAAUCUUGGACCGGGGUAGGAGAUGGGCCAAGCUUGUUUGGGCUUAUAUAAAUAGGUGGCUAGGGUUUUGGAUCUGUAGAAAUUUUAUUAUUCUUACUAGCACAAUAAAAUCCACUCACAAUCUGUUUCUCUGUGUGAAUUUUCAUUGGAGACUGGACAAUUGGACAGUUGUAGGAGGUAGAUCAAGGUUGCUGCCUUGCUGGAACAAAAGGAAAAGCAAAAGUUUGUAGAAUUCUUCAAAUGUAUAAUUUUCUAUCACAAUUUCUAUCAAAACACAAAGAGAUCCUUGGUGAGAAUUGAAAUCUAUAUUAAUUUUCACGGUACAUGUUUAAGUAUAUUCCCAACAUUAUGUUCUAGCAAGCAUGUGUUGACAAUAAUUUAUUUGCAACUUAGUCUGGCAAACAUCUGGACCACAAUAAUUUUUUUCUCCAAUUGCAAUCAACAUAGAAUUUUGGUUCACAAUUGGAGCAUGAUCCUACUCUCACCGAUUUUAUCAGGCUUGGAUUUUUUCCUAGCACUUGAGCUAUACAUCUACUCUUACAAACUUAAAACUAAUUUAUGUAAAAAAACAUAUCUUCAUAAACAUUUGCCAGAGAUCACUGUAGAUUCCAUUGUACUAUAUCGUUUCCAAUAAGUCGACAUAGAUUAUUUUUAUGUAUUUUGGUAAAUAGCUCGUUUUCAUUUCUACUGCCAUAUAGGUCAUCAUCAAUUUCAUACACAACUCUUAUUGUUGCUUCGCAAAUUCAUUAAGUCAUCCAACAAUUCAAUUAGAUUAUGGUUGAGAUGCUCUUAAUUAUGAUAACUUCGCUUCAAAUAGGACUUCCCUAACAAUUUGUAACUUAGAGGUGGGCAAUACCCGUUCGUUCGAUUUUCUUCAUUAUCAUACCAAACCAAACCAAACCAAACUUGUUUUACAUAAGGAAUCGCUUGGUGGUUCCAUAAAACAGGAAUUAAACUUCCGAUUUCAUCUUUUAAUUGUAAGAAAUUUGUUACCUUCAUAAUCAUCGGAUCUUUCAUGUUGGAUCAUCAAGGAAUUCAAGAUCUAUAGUGAAAGUAUACCUGAAUCAAACAUGAUUAUUGCAAUAAUCGAAUCGUGUGAUUUAAUCUUUUAAAUCAACACGUAGUCUCCUUUUCUCUCUGUGAUGGGAUGCUGAAGAGAAUGAGCAAAAUAAAAUCUCUCUACGUGUGAUUCGAGGACCAUAAAAAUACUGAUGCCCUUUUGACCUAAUUUGACCCAUCAUGGAAUUCGGAACUUGGGCCAGGUCUCUACACAUAUAGAACCUACACUUUAAUUGGAUACAUUAAAGUCCAAAAUCGAAGCCUUAUUAGAUCACUUUAAAUGGACUCAAUCAAAUUCGAUAGCCUUUAAUUUAAUACACAACAUUUCAUACAUAUAAGCCCACACGAUCGUUUAAAAUUCCUUACAGUCUCCUACUUGGGCUAUAUGUGUCAUCUUUUAAUUGUGCAUUAAAUAUAACCUUAUGAGUAAUUAGAAUUUCGCUAUCAUUACUAAAUGCAUUUCCAAGCAAUCCGGUCCAUCAAUCAUAUCAACAUAGGAUCAAAGCAACUUUCGAUACUUUUAUUGUAAUUAAACCCAUCAAUGAUCACGUAUAUCGAUAUAACUGAAUGACGUGGAUCGAGCAUGAAUAUGUAGCAUGAAAAUUUCAUGGAAUGUGAUCUUAGCAUGCUUAUUUCCAACUGGUCCACCUUAAUUAUUUAGUAAGAUAAUUUUCAAAAAAAGUUCAAAGAGAAUAAACCAAAACUUUAUAACCAAAAAUAACUUUAACUAUAUUCAAAAUGAUAGUAUAUGUGUCUAGCACAAAAAUGCAAACUUCCACUGAAACUUAUCCUCAAGAGACAUUAUAACAAUAUGAGCAGUAUGUUCAUGAAAGACCUUGGGUAUCAAUUCCUUAGUGAGCGGACCGCAAUCAUGGAGUUUUUCCCGAUGUGCUUUAUUGACACCUGUCUACUCUGAACUCUUUCUUUAACAUCCAGGAACUGAUCUCUAUAUCUUUCGACUUCAUCAAGCUCAUGCUAUUAUUGGAAUAUAGCACUGCUGAUUUAUUGUCACAAAAUAUCUUAAGCGGUCUUUCUAUACUUUCCAUAAUGCGCAGCCCAAUGACCAAAUUUCAUAGUCAUAUUCCAUUGUUUGAUGCCUCAUAGCAGUGGAUCUCUUAUUAUCUUGGCAUCCCGCGAAAUCAAAAUUGGAAUAACUGAUGAUUUCCAACUGAUCCGAUCUCCUGUAUGUGAGCAUGCAGUCUUUUAUUCUUUGAAAAUACCAUAUAACCCAUUUGGCUGCUUUCCAAUGAUCCAUUUUCGAAUUACUUAAAUAUUUCUCUAGCAUUCCAACAAUGUACAUUAUAUCCGAACGCAUACAAACCUGAGCAUAUAUUAGACUUCCGAUAGCUGAAGAAUAGAUAAUCUUUUGCAUUUCUUUAAUUUCUAAGUCAUUUUUGGGGCAUUGACUUAAGUUGAAUUUGUUUCCUUUAACCACAGAGGUGUUAGCUGGUUUACAAUCUUGCAUGCCAUAUUUUUUAAGUAUCUUUUUGAUAUAGCUCUUUUAUGAUAACCCAAGAAUAUCCCGAGACCGAUCUCAAUGUAUCUGAAUUCCUAAUACAAAAGAGACAUUACCAAGAUCUUUCAUCUCAAAAUUCCUUACUAGAAAUUACUUGGUUUCAUGCAAUAGUCUUAUGCCGUUGUUGGCAAGUAAUAUGUCAUCGACAUAUAAAACCAGAAAAAUAAACUUGUUCCCAUCGAACUUCUGGUAUAUACAAUCAUUGGCCAUAUUCAUCUCAAAAUCAAAUGAGAUGAUCACUUGAUUAAACUUGUAAUACAAUUGACGAGACCCUUGCUUGAGUCUAUAGAUGGAUUUCUUUAAUUUGUAAAUUAUUUUCUUUGCAUUAUCCGAUAUAAGGUUUUCCAGUUGCGCCAUAUAAAUCAUUUCAUCAAUGUCACCAUUGAGAAAUGCUAUCUUAACAUCCAUCUGUAGUAACUCAAGAUCAAAAUAUGCUACCAAUGCCAUUAUAGUCCUAAAGAGUCUUUCGAAAAAUCGGAGAGAAAGUCUCUUUUAUAAUCGAUGCAUUCUUUCUGUGUAAAACUCUUUGCGAUAAUACGAGCUUUAUACCUCUCAACAUCACCCUUCGAAUCCCUCUUGGUCUUAAAUAUUCAUUCACAACCAAUGAGUUUCGGAACUUCAGGUAAUGGAAUAAGGUCACAUACAGCAUUGUCCUUUAUGGACUUUAUCUAUUCAUUCAUGGCAUCGAGCCACUUUUGAGAUUUAAAACCUUCUAUGGCUUGAUGGAAGUUGAUUAGAUCAUUUUCCACCACUCCAAUGUCAACUUCAUGUUCUUGGAGAAAUACGAUGUAAUCAUCCAGAACCACACCUCUUCUCUCUUUAGUGGAUCUUCUUAAUGGCAUUGGUUCUUAAGGUUGUAGAGUUUGUUCUUCUGGAAUGAUUUGUUAACCUUGAGAGAGAGAUACAAAAACAUUGUCUUGAUCCGGAGUUGCUUCUUGAACAAUAUCAGAGAGACUUGAUCAUUGUCAAUGGAAAUUAGAGGAAAUUUCAACGUAGUCCUUCUCAAAGACAAAGUUGUAACCUUUUCUCCCCCGCAAACUCGACAGUCGACAUCCUCAAAGAAUCGAGCAUUUCCUAUCUCAAAACUUACUUUAAUUGUGGGAUCAUAAAACUUGAAACCCUCAUAGACCUUUUAGAAUAUCCAAUAAAAUAGCAAUUGAUAGUCCUUCUGUCCAGUUUCUUUCCAUUGGCAUAUAAGGUCUUGCCUCAGUUGGGCAUCCCCAAAUGUGUAUGUACCUCAAACUAGGCUUCUUUCCCGUUCCAUUCAAAGUUUAUAAUGGAUUUUAUCUGUAAUACUCCGAAAUUUUAUGCUGAUUUAAAUUUCUUUAAGAUGGCGAUUUAACUUUCAAUACUAUUUUUGGCCAUAAGAAAAGGGGACACCACCUUUGUAGUGGUUAAUGUUAGAGAUAGCUAAUGACUACAAGCAUGAGGUGUUAAAUGUUGCGUAUACAUGAAGUGAUUAUUAGUUAGUCGAAACUUAAGUCAAGUUUGAAAUUGAAUGUGGUCGAUUAUUUUGUUAGGACUUCAAUUAACCAAAUGAUUAAAUUAAUUUACGAUCUACAAUUUUUGGAUAUGUAAGUUGGAUAUAAGUUUAGAUUUGGGAUACAUUUGCUAAUAAUGAAAGAUAGAGGGUUGGAUUAUAUUAGUUGGAAGAUUAGAGAUUUCCUUUGCAAAUAUAGGUCUUUAGGCUACUAAUUACUCAUAAUCAACCCCACUUGUUAUCCAUCACCACCAUACAUUUGGAUCAUAGAUUAAACAAGUGUACAAGUAUAAAAAAAAAAAAAAAAAAGAAGGUCAAAGUCGGCCACAACAAUUAAUAAAAAAUAAAAAUAUCUUUUUAUACUUAUCCUCUUAUACAAGUAUAAAUAUAACCCUAUCCAUGCCAUAGAGAAAGAGAUUUCUUUCAUUUCUACAAAACACUUAUACAUUUGAAAAGAGAGCCAAAAACCGAAAUUUAAGGAAGGAAGAAAAAGAAGUGAGCUUAACACUUUCAACUUACUUUUCAAACAAAGAUCAUCAAGUUUUACGGUAAGAUGCCUUCCAUGCUUAAGAGUUAUGAUUUUCAUGGUAAUAUUUAUGUUUAAACUAUGCAUGAAAAACCACAAUAUGAUUAUGGUGGACAAGUCCACAAAGUUAGAUAUCUAUUUAUGCCUUAGGACAAGUCCGAAGGGCACCGGCAAGCCGGAAUGUGCAAGUAUGGGUUUGAUUGCAUUCUUUGGUAUAGUAUUAUCAUGAUAAAAAUACAAGCAUGGUAUCUUACUGAGUAUUUCUUAUACUCAUAGUAUGUUAUGCUAAAUUUUCAGAUCCAUGAUCGUUGGAUUGAUGGAAGUUAGUUGACAAAACCGAUGAUGGAUUAAGGACAAGGAUGUUUUGGAUCUAAAGUUUCUUUUGUGUAUUUUUGUUCAAUGACUGUUUUCCACCUAUUUCCCUUAAAGUAUUAUGUAAAAUUUUGUACAUGACAUGAUGUAAUAUGGUAUUAAAAGUAAAUUUUGUGAUUAUAUCUUUCAUAUUACAAUAAGAGACGUUUUUAAAAGUUUAUUUUCCUUACGAAAGACAAAAGACAGAAACAGGGCAGUUUCUGGAGUCAAUUUCAAAAUGAUGUUUCUAACUCUAUAAACGUCCAUUUGAGAUUCUAAAAUAUUUCUGUUUUCCUCUUUGAGUUUUCUAAAUAUGGCCGAAGGAAUCACUCAAUUUGGAUAUCUACGACCGGAGUUAUCAAGGUUUUAACGUCAAGGGGUCAAUCUGGAUUUUCUGUGCAACACUUCACUGUUUUCAGUAAAACGUUUAUAUCAUAUAAUCUUGGAAACUUUUCAUAUUUUAACCUAGAAAAAUAAUUGAAAUUAUCUUUCUAAUGCCACAAAUUUCAUGUAAAACGGAUUUGGGGUGAAUUUUAUAAAAAUUGUCAAACUUGUUGCCCCAACUAAUCGUAAUAGUGUUGAGGCCGUAUAUGUAAUAUAUAAUUUCAUGUUGACAUGCACUUUUAUCGGCCAUCAAACUUUAUAAGAAUUGUUUUAUCAAAUUGAAAAAUAAGUUUCUAACAUGUAAUACUUCUAUUUAAGAGUAUUUACAUGUACCAAAGACUGAAGUUAUUAUGUAAAGUACGUGGCCCUCGAAGCUUAAGUCCGGGGCGCUACAUUAUCAGUGGCUUUAGUUGGAACUAUGUUGAGUAUAUACACUGCGGUCUUUAAUACUUCACCCUAGAGAGAUUUUGGUAAGGUAGAAUUCUCACUGGUUAAUUUUUACUUUACCUUACCCCUCGAGUACUUACAUGCAAUGAUUCAUUAAAAGAAGCAAUUGUAUCAAUUAAAUAAAGAUUAUCGGAACCUGACAAAGAACCAGAACCAACCAAUUUUGAAUCAUGAAACAAACUAAAUAUUCGAUUCCCAAAUGAACAACAAUAACCAGAUUUGUCCAAAGCAGAAAUGGAAAUAAAAUUCUGUCUAAAAGGCGGUACAAUAAAUGUUUCAUCAAGAUCCAAAUAAAAUCUAGUCUUUAACAAUAAUCUAAAUUUUUCUAUUGUCUCUAUUUUCAUCGUUUUGUCGUCACCAUCAUAGAUGUAUCUUUCAUCAUCACUUGGUUUUCAACAACUUAGGCAACCUUGCAUAGACACACUGAUGUGAGUUGUUGCACCAGAAUCUGUCUACCAUGUGUGUUUAGGUACUGAUGUUAAAUUAACCUCAGAACAAACCAAAUGAAGAAGAGUACCUUUCUUAGCACGCCAUGCCUGGUAGUUGGUACAAUUCUUCCUCUUAUGACACGCAACCCCACAGAAGAAACAACCACCAUCAGUUUGUUUCUUAUGCUGUUUCUUUUGUGGUGCUGUACCCGUAGCUUCCUUAUUAGUUUUCCAUUUUUGUUCCUUUUAUCAUUAGAGAUGGUGGCUAUUUGAGCACUUUUGUUUUGUCUUAGUUCAGUCUUUCCUCUUCUUUUACACAGUGAGAAAUGAGCUCAUUAAGGGAUCAUGAGUCCUUUUGUCAGUUAUAGCUCAUUUUGAAUUGAUUGAACUGUGCCGGAAGAGAUAUCAAAACCAAGUGCACUAACAAAUCUUUAGAUAAAUUCAACUUGAGUACCCUUAGUUUUGAAGUAAUGUGAGACAUUUCCAUAAUGUACUCUCGUAUGGUUCUUUUUUCGUUAUUCUUCAUUGAGGUAAGGUUUGUCAAAAGUGUACUAGGUUCAGCCUUUUCACUAUUGGCUAACAUCUUCUCAAGAUCCUUAAGGAAACCUUUAGCUGUGGUCACCUCAUCAAACACAGUGCCCCGAAAUGCUGUUGGAAUAGCACGAUUCAUGACCAUUAAGUUUAUGCGGUUCGAUCGUUCCCUUUUUGCAUCUCUCUCUUAUCAUCAGAGGUACUCUCAUCAAUAAGUUUAGCAAGUUGAUUGCCCCGUAAAGUAAGGUCCAAGCCCAUGACUUCGAGAAUGUUCAAUACAUUCUCUUGCCAUACUUUGAAGUUCAUGCCAUUAAAAAUUGGAACUGAAUUAAUGCUAGCAGAGAUAUUAGUAUCAGAACUUGAAGCUGAAUUAAGAACACAUAAAUAUCCUCAAUAUGCAAAUAAUAAUAUUCUCAAAUAAAGGUAGGACCCAUCACAAGAUACCUAGCACAACAUCAAUAUCUAGUCUUUGGACGAAAAUAUUGACUUGUAAGUAAUACUCUUGGUGCAGUGAUCAAACACUAACAAUAAAUACUUGUCAAUCAAUAAACCUUUCUUUAGACUGAUUUAUUGAUUAUACGUUAAACAAAAUAAUCACCACAUGUUCAUCACCACAGGUAUAUGUGAAAUUCGGCCAAAUAUUGACUUUUCUUUGGGCCGUCAAUAUUCGCAUGAAUAACACACACAAACAUCUUUUAACAUUCCAAGUUAAUUAAUUUCCACAAAAGAGGUUGCUUUGACAACAUGUUGCUUCAAUUAAUUGACUUUCAAAUAUUAUAUCUUUUAAAAGAGUCCUUAGUACCAAAAUUUGAGAAAGGAAAUCACCAAUUUUGUAUAUUAGAUGUCUUUUGAAACUUUGGGGACUAAGGGUUAAUAAUUCAAAACUUAGGGGUCAAAUUUUGAAAAUUUGAAACUUCGGGGCCAAUUUGAAUUAAUUAUGAACUUUAAGGGCUUUAAUUAUAAAUUUUAGAACUUUUAUGGCCCAAAUUAAAUAAUUUUCAAACUUUAGGGACUGAAUUAUUAAACCCAUAACCUUAAAGGUCCAACUUGGAUGGAUUUUAAACCUUAGGGGCAGAAACUUAAAAUUAUAUUUUAAAAUUUGCAACCCUAACCCUAAUAUUAAUGAAUUGCAAGCAAAUGCCUGAAAUCACCAAAAUUGUGACUCAAGCCCCCGCCCCCAAAAUCCAUCCCUAACCCACUCUCUAGCAGUGUUGACGGAUCUGCAAACAACCUAGCUGUGCCGUGAAAAUCAAGUCCACAUGGCUUGAUCGAAUUACAAGGUAUAAAAAAUGAGAAUCCAUAAUAAAAAUGAAUUCAAUUGUUUCUGAAUCCAAUUUCAUAUCAAAAUGUGGCUGUAGAAAUUACCAAUGUUUUGAAAACCGACUUGGCCAUCGACCCAAAAAAGAGAAAGGAUCAAGGGUCAAAGGGCUAUAUACCACAAAAAUGACAAAAUUAAGUUAAUUUUUCAUCUUAAUUAAUAUAUAUAGACAAAAGCACCAACUAAUGAUUAAAUUUGGGUACAAUUAAUUUUUGUUUGUCAUAUGGUGAAUUAUUUAGUAUUUUUAUAGUAUUUUAUUGUGUCAACAUAAUAAAAUUAAAUGAAAGAUCACGUAAAAUGGAUUGAAAAUGAAAAAUUAAUUUAAAGAGAUAAAUAAUUUACACCAAGAUAAUUAUGUCUUUUUUUUUCUUUUUUUUUUAAUAAAACUACUAAUUUCUAAUUUAUAUUCAACUUUUAAUCUUUUACAUGAAACAUCAUUUACAAGAAUGGACGUGGACCGGAGUGGGAUUUUUGUCCAUUUACUGUGCACUUCUCCAAAUCCCACAUCGGAAUCUCAGUGAAAAGGUUUGAUUUUAUACAUUAUAAAUAUAUGGGCACAGAUGAAGGUAAAUGUCUUGGGUCAGAUGUAUCUUUAAACGGUAUGCGCAAAAAGAUGAAUAAAUAAAAUAUUGGGAAAAAAUCAUAAUUACCGUACAUGUAUAUUGAAAUUCAGAUUUUACUACUAUAAUAGAAAAAAAAUAUAUAUAUAUACUACUACACUACAAAACAAAUCCACGUUUACUGGAUCCUGAACUUACCAAAUCUUCUCACGUAACUCACUGAUCUUAAGGCCUUACCUUAAGCAGUAACGUUUGCAUUUAAUUGAGAUUGCUCAAUACGUGGGAAUUCAAAUUUCAAAAACGGAGGUAUAGAUUAUACAAUACUUGCAAUGACUAUGACAUUGAUCAAUUGCAGAUCUGUGUCCAAGCCAUUUCGAUUCGGUAAUCCUCUAAUAGAAAUCAACACUUAAUUAGUAUAUAUAAUUUCAUGAAACUAUUUAAUCGAUCCAUUGUAUUCCUAUUUGUAAUCCAUAAGCAAGAGUUCAUAUUUUCAAUUACAAAAGGUGUUUCACGUUGUUGUAUUCGAUAUGAAUAUACAUCCAUUUACAAUAUUUUAUUUUUCUUAUCGAUUUUUUCCCUUUUCAUACAAGAAAAUAAAUUUAUGUGAAAUCAUGGUCAAUGACUCAAUGGGAUGUCAUAAUAAAAUAGAUUGCAUGCAUCUGAUUUCAAACUGAUCUUUAUAUUUUUGGAUAGACAUUAUCUGAUUGUACAUAUAGCAGAUUAUUCAUCUCUUAAUUUGCUCCCUUUUUAUCCUUUUUUUUUUGUUUCAAACAGGAAUGCGUUAACGUGUUCGCAACAUUCAAUUCCAUGACGUCCGGUAUUCUACUACCUAGUGGAUACAAGUAUGCCGAUAUACUUUUAUUAUAGAUGUGGUUAUGACUUAUGAUUUUGCUAUAUAUGAUGAAAUGUAUGCUAAGGUUGGAUUCCAUAAAUGGCCAAGGGCUCACAUGCAAACAAACAGGUUUACAGCGAUGACAUCUAACAUCAUGGAGUCGGUUAAAUGCAAGUCGUGAAACAUUGCACGAUUGACUACUUGUUCGGAACAUGGUUUUCAAAGAACAAGAGUAUCGUAGAAGGAACUUUCACCCUCCUAGCAUCGAAACCAGAAAAGCAGGCUCAGCUAAAAACCAAGCGGUCACUGAAGCUUAAGGUAAUUAUGAUGAAUUAAUAUUGUAAUUCGGAUAAUAUGUAUUGACUUCUAAGUUUUGGUAUAUAUUACAGCUGUUCUGUGAUGACUGAUGGAAAAUAGGUUACAUAUAAAAUGUGGUUAAUAAAAAUGUUGUUCAUUUAUAUUAGGUAUCUGAAUCGAAUGAAUUCCUCUACCAAGUGUCGGAUGAGAACAAACGGCACGUAGUUUAUUUGAAUAUGCUGACUUGCACUUGCUGUCAUUCCAUGUGGAUGGGAUUCAUUGUCAGCACGGUUUAGCUGUGAUUGGGGAAAUAGAUGGGCAACCAGAUAGGUAUUAUUUUGAUUACCACACUGGGGAGUCCUAUAUGGGUUCGUACGCUGCCUACAUCGUCCCACUAGAAGAUCGUGCACAAUGGAAGGUGGAUAAAUUCAGAUGUGGAGAUAAAAUUUUACUCCUAAUCGAAGAGACCACCAGGAAGGUCGAAGAAGACGAGGAGAAGGCCAAGGAUUGAGAUGUUACAAACAACGAGAUGUGGAACAUGUGGAAGUACGAGACACAAUAGGAGAACAUGCAGGCAACCUCAACCCAUGAAUAAUAUUAAAAAGUGGAAAAUGGAUUUGGAAGAAUAAUGGAGCCGCUUCUCACUUGCCAUUGAAUUGUCAAUCCCACAUUGACAAAUGAUUAGAACAAUUUAGGAUACAAAUUGGAAUAUGAUGUAAAAUUAUCAAUUUUCAUAAGUUUGAAUAAAAAGUGGGCAUUGAGAUUUCUUGAUUAAAUUAAUCAAUCUGCUUGCAUUAUUUUUGUUUGAUUAAAAAAUGAAAUGUAAUAAACGUGGGUAUGUUUGAAGUAUUAGUUGAAGGGUUGAUUUUGGGAUUAUGAUUCAUUCAGUUAAUCACAUACAACCACUUGUGUAUUGCACAAGUGAUUAAUUAGUGAAACGUUUCAAAUUGGAAGGCAUAAAGUGAAGGACAAUGAGCAUUCUAAUUUGAACACAAGCAACAAUCAAAUUUGAUCAGUUUAGAACACUAAAAUACCAAAUUAAAAAAAAAAUGAAUUUCUCUAAAAUUUGCUGAAUAAUACGCGAAUUAACAAAAACUUGGUCAAUCCCACAACAAUACGCACUCGGGAAAAUCACACUCUCUAAACAAUCAAUACAAUGAAUUUGGACAUUAUUGGGUUUCGUAAAUGAUAGAUAUCGCAUGAACAAAAAAACUAAUCCACUAUAUAACUGUACAAUGAUAAAAAUUAAUGUAUCAUCAUGACAGAUAUUCCUGCUUCGAUACUAUAACAUGUAGAGAAAGAAAAUAAAUCUAAAUAUGAAAUCGUAAAAUGCUAGAUUAUGGGACAAUCACACUCAUAUUAUUAUAUAACGAUAACUAGUUUGGACAAGAAUAUUACUGUAAGGAGUUGAUGUCCAUAGCAUCUAGACUAGAGGAAUGAAUGUGUGAUCCAUAACAAACUAAAAGAUAAACAAUUGAAUGUACAUAAUAGUACUUCACAAAAAAGUUACUUCGGUUCUGGAACUAUAAACUAGAUGACUACUCAAAAGAAAGCUAAUUUAUUAAAACGGCUGUCAAACAAUAAUCACACCGUUCAUCUUCUCGUCCCCCAUUCACAGACUGUGGAACCACGUCAAAGUCAGUCUCGUAUUCUUCUAUUUGGUUCUCGUACCCAUGCUUGAAGAGUUGAGCAGCCAGGUAUAACCUUGAUAAUAUCGGAUCAAAAAUUUUAGCCAUCCCAUCAAUCUUUCCCUAUAUGAUACAUUCUGCAUACUUAAUAACAUACAAUCCACAGUCAUGCCUAUAUAGUUUUUGAAAAAAUAUAUAAAAAAAUGUAAGCAAGUAGAGCCGGGCAUGUGAGAAAGAGUAAAUAUUGUGAAAUGUGUAUAUAUAACAUUUAAUGUGACGUAUAAUCAACAUCCUUACACGUAAGUUAACAUUGCAAUAUAAAUUAUAAUUAUUAUUUACUCACCCAUACUAAUCCUGCAGUAUGCUUGUAGCUAUCUUGACAAUGAGAGGGUUAACGCGUUAUGCUUCAUCAAUGAUCUUGGGCUGCUAGGUUUCAAUCUUAACCAUCAAGCAUGGCAUGACACAUGCAAAAGCCUCCACACCGGCUGUUGACACGCUAAAAGUGCAGCCCAAAUCGAGUAGCCCAAAGAAUGAAAUCCAACUGGGCAAUUCAGGAUAAAGGCCCAAAUAGGGUUAUUAACGAAUGCAGUGGAAGCCCACGAACACGGUAACACCAUCGCCCAAACUUGCAAGACGCCUAAGAUCUGAGCGAAUGAAGUGUCUUGCAGUCGCCCAGGGUUAUGACCCUGUUCUCGCCCAAACUUUCGAAUCGCCCAGAAUCUUAGCAAAUAUAAGAUGUUAUGUUUAUCCAAAAGUGCAGUUAUCGAAGCAGUUAUUAAGCAAUCUUAUCACGUUCCACGAUUCAAGAAGUUCAGUUGAAGACGGUUGAAUGACAAAGAGUAGUGACAGUAGUUAGAGACGGCAGUUCCACGAUAAGUUGGCCACCAUGAAGAAAGUGGGCAGUUAUAAAGCAAUUAAGCAGUUCCUAACGAAGAGAUCAUCAAGGGAAUAUAAAAGGAAGAAAAGACAUAGAGCAUAGGAGCCCGAAUAAAAAACUCUCAAACAGAGAAUAUGUAAUUUCAAUUUCUUAGUUUAGACUAAAACAUUUCUUUUCAGUACUCGUGUACUUACGCCCCUUGGAGGCAUUUUGUUUAAAGUUCCAAUUGUAAAGUCAUCGCCAAUAAAACAUCCCUUUUUGGGACUUUGUCUCAAGAGGUUUGUUUCUUACACAAUCGUCUGAUCCCUUUUUUAAUUGUAAGCGACUACCCGUGCGAAACAAUUUGGCACGCCCGGUGAGACAUUGGUGUUUGGUGUUGAAGAUACAAAAGGUAAAAUAAUAUGCCUCAGAAAUCAACCGAUCAACCAACCUGUAGGAAUUCCAUAUGACCCCAACGUCAUGUUGAGGAAUCAGAUUAUGGAAAUCGUACAGGACCAGAUGGCUUUUGGAGUACGUCCUGUCAUUAGGCCAACUUACACAAAGCCAUAUCCUGAUUGGGUAGACCAAGCAUAUUCAUGGCCUAGAGGGUACAAAGUGCCAGAAUUCUCAUUAUUUACCGGUUUAGGAAAGGUGUCUACUCUAGAACACAUAGGGCGAUUCACAUUGCAAAGUGGUGACGUAACUGAUUACCAUAAAAUGAGAUUGUUCCCUAGUUCGUUAACAUGAGUAGCCUUCUCCUGGUUCAUCAAUUUGCCAGCAAACUCUGUUCAAACAUGGUAACAAUUGGAGCAAUUGUUCCAUGCUCAGUUUUAUAAGACUGAGUCUGAAGUUACUUUGGCCGAUUUGGCGAAUCUACGUCAAAUGCCAUACGAAUGGGCCGAAGGUUUCCUUCAAAGGUUCAAGACAGCAAGAAGUAAAUGUUUUGUACCUUUGCCCGAAAAAGAGUUUGUCAAAAUUGUUCAAGGUUGUCUAAGCUUUGAUCUGAAGAAGAAGUUCCAAGAUAAGCAAUUUCCUGAUCUUUUCCAAUUGAGCGCGAACGCGAUUAGGUAUGAACGAUUAAUAAGAGAAGAAGAACAAAUGAAAAAUUCUAGCAAGGGGACUUAUUAUAGAGACCCAAAUUUUGAUGUUCAUACCAUUAAUGACGAGUACUACGAUCAAACCGAAAUGUGUUUGGCCGAAUUAGUUAAAGGAGACACAUAUACUUGUCCUAUAAUGGCUAAGCCUAGACCGUCGGGUAAGGAUGAGCCUAUAAAAAAUGAAAACAUAAAGACUAGAACGUUCUCGUUCGAUGUAACCAAAGCUGACCUUAUAUUUGAUAAAUUAUAUAAGGAUAAGCAGAUAAAGCUGAGUGAUAAGCACAAAUUGCCAAGCCCUGAACAAGUUAAGGGUAAAAAAUAUUGUCAGUGGCAUAAUUCAUGGCCACAUUUGACUAACAACUGUUUGGUUUUUCGCCAUGUUUAUAGGAUGCCAUUGAAUCAGGACGAAUUACGUUUGAGGAUAAGAGGAAGGUGGCAGUGGAUGAAAAUCCUUUUCGACAGCCACUUGGAGUGAACAUAGUGACGUCUGGUUUCAAAAACAAGUUGCCAAAAUUCAAGUUGGUUAUAGAUGAUGGAGAAGAAAAAGUUGGACCACAUCCCAGCGUCUUUGAACGUAUUAAAGGAAAGGAGCCCAAAAAGGACGAAGACGCCCUAUGUGCAAGAUGCAAAAAAGAAGUGAGUGCAGGUGCAGAGAAACCAGGGAUAUGGCAGCAUCACCAUCGUCCUAGUUUUUUCCCAAACGCUCAGCCUGGUAGAGGGCGGGGUGCAUCGUUCUAUAAGGGAUAGCCUUUUGAGAGGCAAUUCAGGCUAGUAAAUAAUGGGAGAACAUUCAGACCGCAACCUCGCCAACCAAAUGUAUGGCAUUCGUUCCAGAAUAAGGCUGGAAGGGCGAUACCUUUCAACAAGAUGACUAGAACCCAACAAAGGUAUUUCAACAGAACUAUGGGCGAAUGAUGAGGCAACAACAGGGAAUGCUAUGUCCAAAGGCACCUAGACUACUCGAGGUAGCCAAUCAAAAUGUUCUCAAAGACAGUGAAGAGACUGGUACGGGUGAACCUAUGGAAGAAUUGCCAGAGACUUCUUCUGGGAGGUUGAAGUUUGAGCAAGACAGAAGAGAAGGAGAAGAUCCAGAUUAGCCCCUAACUAUUCAGUUUGGUACGUUACGUCCUGUCGUGGCUAAUAACUAUUUAUUAGCCAAUGAGUUCAAGAAUAAAUGGAAGGAAGAAGAAGAAAAGGACGAUAACGAAGAGGAAGAAUGUAUGUUGGAAUAUGAAGAAGGCCAAACUUCUAGAGAGGCCUACAAUAGUGAAGAAGAUGAUGGUAUGACAGACAUCGAAGAGGAAAUCGAUCUGGAGGUAGAAAGAAUAAAAAGAGGAGUAUCGUACAACACUCUGUUGAAGCAACUACAUCGAGUGGGAGUUCGUGAAGUAGACUUAUUGGGAGAACCAUCUGGGUGUUCUUUCGAUUUUUACGUGCUGUACGAGACGCCCAAAAGGAAGAAGAGAGUGCCUCGCUCUGAAAAGUAUGGAUUACCUCCAAGAAUAAUACCUCCUCCCACAGGUUGGGUAACCAAAGAAGAAUUAGAAAACAGUAAAAGGGAAAUUCAGGAGGUAGAGGCUCAGUGCGAUAUGCUGCACGUUGACUUAUCACAAAAGGGUACUUCGACAGAGGACAAGCAGAAAGUGGAAAUAGAUGCUGCUGAAAAGGUUAUUUUUAAGCAGCCAGCCAUGAAGUUAACUAAACACUUGAGGCCAUUGUACGUUAAAGCUCUAGUUAACAGCAUACCUAUGGCAAAAGUGCUUGUCGAUAAUGGAGUAGCUAUAAACACCAUUCCAUCUAGGAUGAUGAGGAAAUUCGCAAAGACAGAAGGUGAUAUGAUCCCAACGGAAGUCAUCCUGACAAGUUUCAAUGGAGGAGCAACUUCAGCUAAAAGGGUUAUGCCAUUAGACAUAACUAUAGGAAUAACUACUAGGACCACAGUCUUCUUUGUAAUAGAUGGUCCCACUAGUUACAAUGUGUUAUUGGGAAGAGAUUGGAUACACGAAAGUCGCUGUAUACCUUCAUCGCUCCAUCAGUGCCUAGUUUUUUGGAAUGACAAGGGCGAAGCAGAGGUGGUGCAGGCCGAUCAUAGGCCUUUUGUCGCAGAAGCAAAUUUAGUGGAAAGGUUCAUGUAUGAAGGAAAUUAUGGACCUGUCAGAGUAAUCUAAGAUGGAGAAGAAACUCAGAUUAUCGCGCAGAGUGAAGAGUCGUUUUCGAUGGAUGCACUCACUGAAAUGUUCAGUCAGAUGAGGCCAAACAUAGUGGCCCUAGAGGAGCCAGUAAUUGGCAAAAGAAUAAUCAAAGAGUUUUAAAUAAGUUGUAAGAAAUAAAGACAAAUGCCCGAUAUUCAGGCCUUCAAAGCCAAAUUAAUGGCUUUCAAUAAAGAAUGCAAGGACAAGACGAAAGAAGCAGCAUCCUUGAAAGCAUUGAAAGACAAAUUGACAGUGUUCGAGUGAACAAAGUAUUGGCCGAGAAGUCAAUAAGGUGGAUUGUUUAGAAGAAGAAGUGCCUAUAAGGGAACUGGACGACGAAGUGAUAAGGAUCGCCAAGCCUGGAUACGCUCAAGCACAAGAUCCCCUGAUUAAAGUGAAUAUUGGCAAUGAAGGAUAAGAUCGCCCAACGUUCAUCAGCCAAAUGCUCAAUCAAGAGGUUAGUGAUAAAUUAAUCGCUUUAUUAAAGGAGUACAAAGAUUGUUUUGCUUGGGAAUAUGAACAUAUACCUGGUUUAGAUAGAGAUUUGGUGGAACAUAAAUUACCAACCAAGCCUAAUUUUAAACCUCAUAGGCAACCUUCUAGGCAUUUCACUCCUAAUGUACUCCCUGAAAUUAAGGAAGAGAUAGAAUGAUUAUUAAAAGCAGGCUUUAUUAGAACGGCCAGAUAUGUUGAAUGGUUGUCCAAUAUCGUGUCGGUAUUAAAAAAGAAUGGUAAACUAAGGGUGUGCAUAGACUUUAGGAAUCUAAACAUAGCCACACCUAAAGAUGAAUAUCCAAUGCCCAUGGUAGAUUCUUUAGUAGACUCGACUACCAGACAUGUAAUGUAUUCCUUCAUGGAUGGGUAUUCAGGAUACAAUCAAAUUUAUAUAGCUGAGGAAGAUAUAUACAAAGCUGCCUUUAGAUGCCCUGGGUCUCUAGGAUGUUUUGAAUGGGUAGUUAUGCCUUUUGGCCUGAAAAAUGCAGGAGCAACUUAUCAAAGGGCAAUGAAUUUGAUUUUUCAUGAUAUGAUAGGCAAGUUUGUUGAAGUGAAUGUAGAUGAUAUAGUGGUCAAAUCCCUUAAAGAAGAGGACCAUUUUGAACAAUUAAGAUGUUCAUUUGAGUGAAUGAAGCAAUAUAAACUAAAAUUGAAUCCCUUGAAAUGUGCAUUUGGUGUUAAUGCAGGGAAUUUUCUUGGUUUCUUAGUACACAAAAGGGGGAUUGAACUUGAUAAAAAUAAAGCGAAGGCCAUUUUAGAGGCCAAACCACCUAGCAACAAAAAAGAAUUGCAAAUGUUUCUAGGCCAAGUAAACUUUUUAAAACGCUUUAUUUCUAACUGUGCAGGGCGAACUAAAGCUUUUUCGUCGCUUUUAAAGUUGAAAAAUCAGGACGUCUGGAAAGAAGAGCAUCAAAAGGCUUUUGAGAGCCUAAAGACAUACUUAUCAAGUCCACCAGUGUUGGUGUCACCAAUCCAAGGACGACCAAUGAAAGUGUAUGUAUCGGCUAAAGAAGAAUCAAUAUCUGGAAUGGUCGCGCAGGAAGACCAAUUUGGUGAAGAAAGGGUGAUUUACUACUUGAGUAGACGGUUAACAAAAUGUGAAUGUAAUUAUUCUGCCAUUGAAAAAUUAUGUCUUGCAUUGUAUUUCACAUGUACAAAAUUGAGGGCUUAUUUACGGCCCGUAACUGUUUAUUUAGUUUCUAAAGUAAAUUUGGUUAAGUAUAUGUUCUCUCGUCCUAUUUUGCACCAAAUGGUAGGCCUUUGUACAUUAGCUAUAUUAGAAUUCGACAUACAAUACAUACCCCAAAAGGUAGUAAAAAAUUAGGCUUUGGCUAACUUUCUGGCGGAUCAUCCAUGCCUUGAUAUGCCUGAGGAAAUUGAGUUAGAGAUCAAUUCAUACGAAUUAAAACCUUGGGUUUUAUAUUUCAAUGGAUCGAAAACCUCUAAAUGUGCAGGAGUAGGAGUAGCAUUGAUAAAUCCUUUAGGGAUUUGUUACAAGUUUGCAUUCACUUUGGACAGGAUGUGCACCAACAAUCAGGCCGAAUACAAAGCCUUAAUCGUGGCCCUAGAAUUAAUGAUAGAUAUGGGGGUAAAGAAUGUGAUUAUUAGAGGCGAUUCUCAAUUGGUAAUUUACCAAUUGAUUGGUGAUUUUAAAUGCCAAAGUGAUUCCAUUAUAAGUCAGUAUGAAAUCGCCCAAGAGUUGUUGGAAGAAUUCGACCAAAUAGAGCUUCAAUGUGUUAAUAGGAUAUAUAAUAACGUAGCAAACGAAUUGGCCCAGAUGGCCUCAGAGUACUCUAAGGUUUUAAAUUGGAAGUCUACUUGUGAAUAUGGAACAAUAUUGCCUGUGAUCCAAAGAAGGGCGAGAACGAUUGAAAUUCAUUGCAUACAAGAUGGAGAUGCACUAGAUUGGAGGGCAGAGAUUAAAAGGUUCUUUAAAGAACCUAAUAAAGGAGAUAGUAGAAAAAUGAAGUUGCGUUUGCUAAACUAUACUCUGAUAGAUGAAGAGUUAUUUAAAAAAAGCUCUGAUGGUAUAUUGCUAAAAUGCAUAAGUUUGAAAGAAGCCAGGACGAUCAUGGUUGAAGUGCAUGAAGGAAUAUGUGGAGCUCAUCAAGCAGGCCAAACGAUGAGAUGGUUAAUUAUUAGGAAUGGAUAUUUUUGGCCCAAGAUGGAAGAAUCAUGCGUUCAGUAUGCAAAGAGUUGUCUAGCAUGCCAAAAGCAUGGCCCAAUACAAAGGGCGCCAGCACGAGGAAUAGCACCUAUUAUCAGACCUUGGCCGUUUAAGGGUUGGGCGAUGGACCUGAUAGGGAAGAUUUAUCCCCCAUCGUCCAAGCAACAUACCUUUAUUAUAGUUGCAACUGAUUAUUUUACUAAGUGGGUAGAAGCCAUACCUUUAAAGGAGAUCACUCAAAAGAAUGUCAUAGAAUUUAUCCGUGAUCAUAUUAUUUAUAGAUUUGAAAUUCCACAAACUUUGAUGGUAGAUCACGAAACAUCUUUAAAUGGGGAUCAAGUGAAUAAAUUCUUGACCGAGUUUGGAGUUAAAUUAAUAAACUCCACACCAUAUUACGCUCAAUCCAACGGACAAGCAGAAUCUUCUAAUAAGAUUCUAAAAAAUAUCAUAAGGAAAAUAAUAGAUGAAAAUGCCAGAAAUUGGCACGAAUGUCUAAACAAGGCCUUAUGGGCUUAUAGGACGUUGCUUCGAUCAAGUACCAAAAUUACUCCUUUCCAACUUACUUAUGGACAGGAGGCCGUUUUACCUAUGGAAAUUAACGUGCAAUCGAUCAGAGUGUAUUUGCAACAUAAGUUAAGUAGUGAUGAGCAUACCAAAUCACUAGUUCAAAACUUAUUGGAGUUGGACGAAUUAAAGUUGGACGUCCUAGAUAGAUUGCAAGUUCAAAAACGAAGAAUGGCUAAAUUUUAUAAUAAAAAAGUUAUAGCCAAGUCGUUUAGCCUGGGCGAAUUGGUUUGAAAAAUAAUACUUCCUUUGGAUAGCAAAAAUCCAAAGUAUGGCAAGUGGUCGCCCAAUUGGGAAAGACCAUAUAAAGUAAAUGAUGUGUUGCCUAAUGGAGCCUAUCAUUUGGAGGAUUUAGAUGGCACCAAGCACAUGAGGUUCAUUAAUGGCAAAUAUUUAAAAAAGUAUGUUCCUUCCUUAUGGGAAAGUGAACAAAUAAAAGCGUAAUCAAAUCGCGUUGAAUGAUCGUAGAUAAAAAAGGGCCAGAGCGAAAUACGUUCAAAUAAAUUCCUUUAUUGUCAAACGUUCAUUACAAAAUUGCAAAAUACAAAAUACUAAAUGCUCUAUAAGCUACAAUUAAGAGCGAACUAAUCUCCUGGUCGAUCGCUGAGUAAGAGGUGAACUGGCCUUGAUUGCCAUCCUGAUCGCACUAUUGCAGAAGCAAGUAGAGAGGCCGAGAAGCACUCUCAGCAAGCAGAAAGGAAGAAGAAGCACCCUCACAUCGCCUGAUGCGAACCUCGUAGCAAUAGAAACUAUGAAACCCACAACGAGAUUGAUGCGGAACCCAAGAGCGCCAAUACUAACCCGGUUUUGGAUCUUGAACCCCAAGAAUUGAACCAAGAAGCCCUAGAUUAGCGAAGAACCUAAAACCCCUUGAUUACAAUUGAAAGAACCCACAAUCCGAUUGAUAGAACGCCACAAGAAGUUGAAUCUUGAUAAGUUCCAAGAUUGUUCAAGAAGAACAAUUAAAUUGAAAGAAGAAAUUUCUCUCUAUAAUAUUAAUUCAAAGUCAAAAGUUCAAAGGUGUUUACAAUGAAAAAAUAUUCUCCUAUUUAUACUAUUCCUCGAAUAGGAGUCAAAAAGGAAAUAUAAUUCUAAUAAUCUAAUAAAAUUCCUAAAAUAUUCGUCCAAUAUGGUAGGAAUUUGAUUAAGAAUGAAAUUCUAGUAAAAUAAAGAAAAAUGCGGAAAAAAGGAAAAUCACCCCAGAAAUGAACCAUGCUGUCGCAUAGUUAUAACUCGUGCUGCCACAUGGUAAUAAAAUUUCGGCCAUUGAAUUCUCGGUAUCAUGUCAUGCGGUCGCAUAGUGCUGCCGCAUGGUUAUACUGCCCACUCUCUUCUUCGGCUGCUUGUAACGCAUUGAUCCAUUUUGUUUCGGCCUUCGACCCGAACACGAAACUUGUUCCAUUUUGAGUUCCGAAUAUGGUUCCAUCAAUAGUUUCUUGAACGAGCAAUCCCAUCGCUUGUUUCACUUGCUUUGCCCUUGAUCGCGUCAUUGGUCCGCCAUCAACUAUCAACGGGUCUCGUCUCGCACUUGCCUUCGUCGGGCUCGACUCCUGGAUCAUAUCAUCCCUUUCCUCUUCAAAAGGAUUCGUCCUCGAAUUUGAACCUAUAUCAAACAGAGAGAGAUCAGAUACAUUAAAAGUAGCUGAAACAUUAUACUCACAAGGUAAAUCCACUUUGUAUGCAUUGUCAUUGAUCCUCUCGAUGAUUUGAAAUGGUCCAUCGCCUCGUGGUUGCAAUUUUGACUUCCUCUGUUCUGGAAAACACUCUUUUCUGAAAUGCACCCAGACCCAAUCUCCAUGCUCAAAUGUAACGCGUCUUCUUCCUUUAUUUGCUUUUGAUGCAAUUAGAAUUCCUUUCUAUUCGAUCUGCAUCCUGACAUUUUCAUGGAGUGUUUUCACCAUCUCGACUUUUCGUUUCCCAUCCAAGCUACCUCGUUCAUGUACAGGCAAAGGCAUUAAAUCCAUAGGUGUUAGUGGAUUAAAACCAUAAACAAUUUCAAAAGGAGAAAACGAAGUAGUAGAAUGUGUAGCUCAUUAUAUGCAAACUCUAUAAACGGUAAACACUCUUCCCAUGAUUUUGGAUUUUUAUUGAUUACUGUCCUAAGUAGUUGAGUCAUAGUUCGAUUAACUACCUCAGUUUGUCCAUCUGUUUGUGGGUGACAAGUUGUAGAAAAUAAUAACUUAGUUCCUAACUUACUCCACCGAACAGGCCAAAAAUGACUCAAAAACUUCACGUCCCUAUCAGACACUAUACUUUUAGGUACUCCAUGUAAACGUACUAUUUUCCUAAAGAAUAAGUCUGCAAUAUUAGUAGCAUCGUCAAUUUUAUGACAUGGUAUGAAGUGCGCCAUCUUACUAAACCUAUCGACCACUACAAAUAUUGAAUCCCGACCCCUUUUUAUCCUAGGCAAACCUAACACAAAGUCCAUAGAUAUGUCUACCCAAGGUUCACUAGGUAUAGGCAAAGGAGUAUACAAACCAUGGGGUUGAACCUUAGACUUAGCCUUUUUACAAGUUAUGCACUUUUCACAUAUUUGUUCUACGUCAUGUCGCAUUUUAGGCCAAUAAAAAUGUUCCCCUAACAUGUCUAAAGUCUUUUGAACCCCGAAGUGUCCCAUUAAACCACCCCCAUGUGCUUCCAUUACCAAUAAUUCACGCAAAGAACAAUUAGGAAUGCACAACUUAUCUUCUCUAAACAAAUAUCCUUCUGCCUAUAGAAUUUAUCAAAUGCACCUUUGUCACAUGAAGCAUAAAUAUUAGAAAAAUCACAAUCAGAUUCAUACAUGCCCUUAUAUGCUCGAAACCAAGUAAUUUAGUACUUAAUGAAUUUAAAAGCACGUACCUUCGAGACAACGCAUCAGCAACUAUAUUCUCGUUACCUUGUUUGUACUUGAUGACGUAGAAAAAUGUCUCGAUAAACUCCACCCAUCUUGCAUGUCUUUUGUUCAACUUACCUUGACCUCGCAAAUGCUUUAAAGAUUCAUGAUCAGUGUGUAUCACGAAUUCCUUUGGCCAUAAGUAGUGCUGCCAAGUCUCCAAUGCUCGAACAAGUGAAUACAACUCCUUAUCAUAUGUCGGAUAAUUCAAUGCUGCCCCACUCAACUUUUCGCUAAAGUAAACAAUAGGUCUCCUUUCCUGUAUUAACACUGCUCCUAUACCUAUUCCUGAUGCAUCACACUCAACCUCGAAUGUUUUAUCAAAAUUUGGUAAUGCCAAAACAGGUUCUUUACAUAGCUUAUCCUUAAUUGUGUUAAAUGCAAUUUCUUGAGAUUCUUCCCAAUGAAAACCUAUACUCUUCUUUACUAUUUCAAUCAACGGUGUGGUGAUGGUGCUAAAAUCUUUUACAAAUCGCCUAUAAAAACUAGUCAAUCCAUGAAAACUCCUAACUUAAGUUAUAGUCUUAGGUGUUGGCCAUUCUUUAAUAGCCUUUAUCUUUUCUUCAUGGACUUCCACCCCGUUAGCACUAACCACAAAUCCUAGGAAAACAACUCUAUCCAUGCAAAAUGUGCACUUUUUGAAAUUAGCAUAUAGUUGUUCCUUUCGCAACACAACAAGCAUACAAUUUAAAUGUUCUAAAUGCUCAUCUAGGUUUUUGCUAUAGAUUAAGAUGUCAUCAAAAUAAACUACAACAAAUUUCCCAAUAAAAGCAUGCAAAACAUGGUUCAUUAAACGCAUAAAAGUGCUCGGUGCAUUAGUGAGUCCAAACGGCAUAACCAACCAUUCAUACAAUCCAUACUUAGUCUUAAAUGCCGUUUUCCAUUCAUCACCCUCCCGCAUGCGAAUUUGAUGAUACCCACUCUUAAGAUCAAUCUUACUAAAAAUGCAAGCACCAUGCAACUCAUCAAGCAUAUCAUCUAGCCUAGGUAUUGGGUGACGAUACUUUACCGUGAUAUUGUUGAUAGCUCGGCAAUCCACGCACAUUCUCCAAGUCCCGUCCUUCUUAGGCACCAGCAAAACAGGUACAGCACAUGGACUCAUGCUCUCCCUGACAUAACCUUUGCUCAUCAACUCCUCCACUUGCUUUUGAAGCUCCUUCGUCUCCUCGGGAUUGCUUCGGUAAGCUGGUCAAUUCAGUAUGACAGCUCCAGGUACAAAGUCAAUCUGGCACUCGAUGCCUUUGAUUGGUGGCAAUCCACUUGGCAUCUCCUCAGGAAACACAUCNNNNNNNNNNNNNNNNNNNNNNNNNNNNNNNNNNNNNNNNNNNNNNNNNNNNNNNNNNNNNNNNNNNNNNNNNNNNNNNNNCUUUUCUCCACUCUCAGUCACCUCACUAUUUUCUCUCUUAUUGAUGGUUUUACUAUUGCCUCUCCUUUUUCCUGACUCUCUUAUUCUCUCGUCUUCCUCACUUUUCAGCUUGAUUUGAUCUCCAUACACUUGUGUCGGUGUUAAUGGUGUAAGAGUAAUAGUCUUCCCAUCCUUGACAAAGCUAUAACGAUUCCUAUAACCAUCAUGUGUGACCCUUCUAUCAUAUUGACAUGGCCUUCCUAAUAAGAUAUGACCCACAUGCAUAGGCACCACAUCACAUACUACUUUGUCACUAUAACUCCCAAUUGAGAAAUUAAUUAAAACUCUUUUAUUCACCCUAACUUCCCCACUUUCAUUCAACCAUUGCAACUUAUAAGGCCUAGGGUGUCUUAACAAUGCUAGUCCUAAUUUCUCAACUAAAGUUGUACUAGCUACAUUCGUGCAACUCCCACCAUCAAUAAUCAUACUACAUAUCUUAUUGUUGACGUAACAACGUGUGUGGAAUAUAUUUUCUCGCUGCUGCUUUGAAUCAUCCAUUUUGACUUGAGUGUUAAGAGCUCUCCUUGACACCAACGAUUCCCCAACAGCAAACUCCAAUUUUUCUUCUUCUUCAACGUCCUCCAAUGCAGGCAUGUCCUCAAACUCUCCUUCACUUUCACUCACCACCUCUCCAUUAUCCAACAAAACCAUUACCCGUUUAUUUGGGCAUUGAAAAGCAAUGUGCCCUGACCCCAAGCAUCUGAAACACUUGAUGUCUCGAUUCCUUGAAGGUUGUGAAUCUGUUUUGGGUGCUAGUUUGCUAGCACUUUCUUAUUUCCCUUUCUGCCACUCAUUCCUACCUUUAGGUACUGCUUUAUCACCUUUAUUGUUGUUGUUCCACCCUGGCUUCCAAGAUGGAUUAACACUCGAAGUUCCUAACGGCUGCCUAGUUGCCCCUUUCCUCUUCCGCUAUCUCUCCACCUUCAUAACCACAUGCAACAUGUCUUCAAACUCCACAUAAUGUUGCAACUCCACUACAUUGGCAAUUUCCCUAUUCAACCCAUUCAAGAAUCGUGCCAUGGUAGCCUCCCGAUCCUCCACCACAUUGGCCCUAAUCAUGAGUAUUUCCAUCUCCUUAUGAUAGUCUUCUACACUUUUCGACCCUUGAUAUAGACCUUGCAGUUUUUGAUGGAUCUCUCGGUAAUACUGGCUAGGAACAAACCUCUUUCUCAUCAAUGACUUCAAUUCCUCCCAAGUGCUGAUUGGUCUUCCCCCACUCCUACGUUGUGAAGUAAUCACUUGAUCCCACCAUGAAAUUGCAUAUUCACUGAACUCCAAAACUGCUAACUUCACCUUUUUCUCCUCCGAAUAGUUCUAACACUCGAAGAUCAUUUCAACCUUCCUUUCCCACUCCAGGUAUGCCUCGGGAUCACUCCUUCCUUUGAAUGAAGGAACUGUCAUUUUUAUAUUUCCUAAGUUUCCAUCCAACUCCUUCCCGCGAUCAUUCCGACCCCGUCUGUCGAACCUAUCACCUCUAUUCCUCAUCCUUCCCAUCUCAACACCGUGAAAUUCAUCUUCGCCCAUGUCACUCCCAUAUCCAUACUCCUCUCGCCUUUCCCUCCUAGGCUCCCAUCUAUCCGGUCCUCUGGCAUUGGAUACAUCCACUCGAUGCCCUCGACUAAGAUUAGCCACCGAUGUAUCUAAUCUAUUCAUCCAAGUGUCCUGCUUCUCCAACCUAUCUCUCACAUCUCCAAACGCCCUCUCAAACCUCUGCACUAAUCCUCCAUUGCAUUGCUAUUAUUGCCUUGUCAGCUUGAGUUUGAUUCUGCCCUUUCUGACAUCCUAACACUAAAAUUUUAUUUUACUGCCUCACCAAAAGUCACACGGAAACACACACAAGGAUUUUACCCUCUAUUAAGCUCACCUCUCUGCCUUUUACCACUCAAUUCUUUCAACAAUUGCUUCUAGGAACAAUCAAUGAACUUAAUCAAUCAAUCAAUUCGUGUAGAAUUUCCCAAACCGGAUGUGACUCAAUAAUUGUAACAAAGGACUCAAAGAAAACUUUUAAAACUUGAUUUGAAUGAAGGAAUGGAAUGAUUCAAUGUGUCCAAGUAAUUUAGAAAUGAUAAUGAAUAAUAAAAGUUGGUAUUUGACGGAUCAAUAAUAUUCAACAAGUUUUUUUUACUGUACGGAUGAACAGUACCGUACGGAUGAGUAGUAUUUUUUUUUAGAUCCAGAAAUCAAUAACAAAACCAACAAAGAAAAUGAAAACUGAGUUGGGCGAAAAUUGAGCCCAAAAUCGGAAUUUGAAGAUUUUUGAUGAAAUUUUUUGGAUCAAAGAUCAAGACAAAUCUUCUGGACACAAGAACACAAGAAAUUGAAAAAAAAUUAGAAAACAAAGGAUAUAACCAGAUUAAAUUGGAACCAAAGCUCUGAUACCAACUGAUGCGAACCCCGUAGCAAUGGAAACUACGAAACCCACAACGAGAUUGAUGCAGAACCCAAGAAUGCCAAUACUAACCCGGUUUUGGAUCUUGAACCCCAAGAAUUGAACCAAGAAACCCUAGACUAGCGAAGAACCUAAAACCCCUUGAUUACAAUUGAAAGAACCCACAAUCCGAUUGAUAGAACGCCAUAAGAAGUUGAAUCUUGAUAAGUUCCAAGAUUGUUCAAGAAGAACAAUUAAAUUGAAAGAAGAAAUUUCUCUCUCUAUAAUAUUAAUUCAAAGUCAAAAGUUCAAAGGUGUUUACAAUGAAAAAAUAUUCUCCUAUUUAUACUAUUCCUCGAAUAGGAGUCAAAAAGGAAAUAUAAUUCUAAUAAUCUAAUAAAAUUCCUAAAAUAUUCAUCCAAUAUGGUAGGAAUUUGAUUAAGAAUGAAAUUCUAGUAAAAUAAGGAAAAACGCGAAAAAAAGGAAAAUCGCCCCAGAAAUGAACCAUGCUGUCGCAUGGUUAUAACUCGUGUUGCCACAUGGUAAUAAAUUUUCGGCCAUUGAAUUCUCGGUAUCAUGUCGUGCGGCCGCACAGUGCUGCCGCAUGGUUAUACUGCCCACUCUCUUCUUCGGCUGCUUGUAACGCAUUGAUCCAUUUUGUUUCGGCCUUCGACCUGAAUAUGAAACUUGUCCCAUUUUGAGUCCCGAACAUGGUUCCAUCAAUAGUUUCUUGAACGAGCAAUCUCAUCGUUUGUUUCACUUGCUUUACCCUUGAUCACGUCAUUGGUCCGCCAUCGACUAUCAACGGGUCUCGUCUUGCACUUGCCUUCGUCGGGCUCGACUCCUGGAUCAUAUCAUCGCCUUCCUAAAUGUAUCACUGCAAUAAUAGGCAAGGAGGCUGAGAAGCACUCUCAGCAAGCAAGGUGGCUUGCAGGCAUCCUCAAAAAUUGUUUUCCAUCAUCGAACUCCUUGUAAGGAACAUGGAGACGAUGGAAAGAACUUUGCUGGCCAAAGAAUAUUUCCUAUAUCUCCCAUACCAAAAGUGACAUAAAAAAAGAUGGCAAAAUGGGCAGAUCAAAUGAUUCAUUUCCAUGGAAGACGAAGGUUUUGGAUCGAUUGUCAAAAUGCCAGACAAUGGCAGCAAAUUGGUUUUGAAGAAGAGAAUGGAAAUGAAAAUGACAAGUGUGGAAUAUAAGUGCAUUUAUAGGGGCAUGAAGAUGAAGAGACAGAAUAUGAACAGCCACAUUCGUGCCUAGUAACUGGAAUCAAAUGGCCCGAAGUCUUGGAAAUAGAGACAGAAGUACCAAGAGAAAAUAUGCGUGAAUCUUAGCAUAAAGCAGUUAAAUGCUUGGGGGUUGACGAUUAAAGACAGCGUCAAUAAAUACACAAGAAGACAAAUUAAUCAUUCAUGAAUGAUAAUGGUUGCUGGUACGUUUAGAGUUACCAGUGGACAUCAGUACGAGGUUACAAGGGGAAAGUUAAUACGAAGUUACAAAAAGAAAAGUUAAGGCAUUAUAUGUCUUAAUUACAAUUCGCCCCAGAUCGAACGAAUUCUUUCCCUAAGUCUCCCCCAAUCCUCGCUCUGUCGAAAAGAGGCGAUAUCCAAUUCGGCUACAAAAUCAUCGUCAACUUUUAGCUUCUUGUACUGUUCGACCAAAGACUUGGUUCGCUCAAUUCCUUGGGAGGCAUUAGGCUUUUUAGCAGCCAUUCUCGCCUUGCAGUCGUCCAUCUUUGCUUGAAGCUCCUUCAUCUGUGCAGCCAAACUAGUCAUCAAAGGGUCUUCAAUCUUAACUUCGAAAGAGAUUUCUUUCAAUUCGUCCUCAGCUUUGUUGAUCUCUAGAAGCAAAGACUCUCUUUCAGAUACAACGCGAAGAUAUUGAGUACUCUUGACCUUCAGUUCAACAUUUUUGGCCAGCAAGGAGAGAAUUUCGGAAUGGACCUUUAAAGAAAGAUUGAGCGACGGAAGUGUCAGUGCUUGCGCCAACUUCGCCCUCAAAUGCUUAAGCUUAUCCUUAUGUUUGGUAGCACUAGCCUGACCAAUGUCCAUAUCCAUAAAGGAUACAUACUCAAAUAUCGACUGCUUAAGGAACUUCAUAUCUUCCUUUGAAGAAGCAGAAGGACGAUCGGUUGAAGCAGGGCGAGACGUCUUGACCUACCCCCAGGAAGUGAACAAGUCCUGAAUAGAACGCACAAUCUUAUCAGCAUCCUGCAAAGAAAAUUGCCAACAUUGAAGGUUUUCACUAUAAUGAACAAAGUGGAAGUAAAAGUGAAGCAAAGAUUACCUCAUCAGCAAUCUUGGGAGGUGGCAUAUCCCCAGCCAAAUCUACCACCUGUGUCUCCACCACUUGUGAGGACUUCCCCUUGUCUGGGUGAGAAGACUUUGCCACAAUGGGAAAACCCAUGGGAGCAUCUGCAGAACUCAAAAAGCAACAAAUCAAAACCCAAUAGCACAAGCAAAGGUAAAACAUCAAAAAAUGUAUUACCUUCUGGUUCGACAUUUUGGGGGUUGGCGCCCUGGGAAAAAGGUGGCUUAUCCAUUGGUUGUGAUGAGGAUUUCGGGACUGAAGGUUUCUCUUUAAGCGUAGUCCCUUCAUCAGCGGGUUUGGAUGAAGCAGUCUCAGUAGAGGAUGAUGGAGCAGGAGCUGCCAACACCAAAGCCUUCAAAGGAGAGGCUGAACUUUUCUGAGAAAUCCAAAUAAACCAUCAGCACAAAGAAAAGUUUCAAGUAUAGAAAGGUAUUCUUGUGAGUAAACUAAUUUAAUUACCUUUCUCCUGACGAUGAGAGGAGUAUCAUCAUCAUCAUCACCAUCAUCCUCCAAAAUGGGAGAUGCUGAGGCUGGCCGUUUGCGGCUUGGGGCACUCUUAGCUACAGUGGGCUUGGUAGGAAGAAAAGUAGAUGGACGAACAGACUAUUUAGCACGAACAAGGGGGGAAGGACUCCUAAUGGACAUAGGGGUGACCAAAAUAGGAGAAGUGGAAGAAAUGAUUGGCUGAUCUAGUGAAUGGAAAACACGAUUGACAUCAGUUGCAAACAAUCUGCGCUUCACUGAUGGCCAGAUUUGUUCAAAAAGGGGAUGGAUGGCAUGGCUAGAAUUGAAGGGGGCUAGUGAAAAGUUACUCGUCAAAAGAAUAUUGCGAGUAUCUAUAGAUUUUGCCUCUGCCUUAUUAAUGGUGUGGAAGCGAUCUAUCAAAUUUCUUGAAUAACAAAGGGGAACUGGCCAAGUUUGGCCAAAACCAAGUUGACGAGCAAAAAAUUAGGGAGCAUAUAUUUCAAUCCCAGCUUUGGCAUUGGUUCCAGUCAAAAUAUCAUGGAACAACUUCCUCCCAGUCAAAAACUAAACCCAAACGAGCAGAGAGGUGCUCAAUCUGUCCAAGGUGGAUGGGGGUUGCACAUAGUCUGGAGUUAAAAAUGGAGGAAAAGGAAAGAAAGAAUGAAUUGAAUUCAAAGUAUAAAAGAAUGAAAAGAUGUCCCUUCUGGACAUACUUACAGGGCUCAGUGGGUCAAUAGCUAGCCCAUAGCAGCUAGCAGAAUGAAGGGAAAAAGAUAGAGCACCAAGUGAUGGAAAAUAUGCUCUCAACCACAUUUGAGUGAACCAAAGAGGCUCACUGCCAGUGGAAGAUGCACUGUUUUUCAAUUGGAAUUGUAGAGAAGCCAUGCCUCUAUAGAGGGCAGCCAAAACGAAAGAACACAAAUUCAGAGGCCUACCACGCGCCAAUUCAUGUGCUAUGGGUAAAUAGCUUAUAGAAGGCUUCAUGCUUGGCACACACAGAAUAUAUUUACAAAGCCAAAUAUGAAGAAAGGCCACACGCUCAGCAUGGGAAGGCUCAACGCUCGAGUGAUUAUAACAGCUUUGUAGGCUUGAAUAGGAUUCGAUGAGUUUUUUUGUCAAAUUUUGGGGCGACACCAGAAAUCAAAAUACCAGGGAAAAUGGUAUUGUCCAAAGGUAGCAAAUUUACUAGGGCCCCAACAUCCCUUAAAGUAAUGGACAUGGGACCAAGAGGGAAAACAAAAGUAUUAUACUCAGAGGACCAAAAACUUAAAGCAAUAGGGAAAAGCACUGGAUCAAAAAUAGGGGGUUGAAAAGAGAUUUCUAACAAAUCAAAAAUCCUAGCACUAUAAAAAAUUGCCUUGGUAGGACCAUGGCCCAUAAGGUGAGCAUGCCAUCUACGGAAAAUAACAUCAGAUUUAGGCCAAGUACGAAUACCUCUUUCGCGAAGCGGCCUCAGCGGCAAAGAGUUCAGAAACGGAGGGCCUUGAGUACAAGGGAACAGCUGGCCCACCGCCACUUGUUCUACGGCCUCGACGUUGUUGAAUGAAGGACCUAGAUAGAACUCAUUGAGUUUGGCAUUGGCUGGUGUAAGGAAGUUCGGAGUUAUAUAUGGCCGAGUGAGGAUUUUCUGGAAGUCUUCGAAGCUGAAAGAGUCACUAGAUUGGGUUUGUGAAGCAGCCAUUGGGAACGAAAUAAAUUUUUGUUGAAGUUUGCUUGAAAAACGUAGCAGAUGAGCAAGAAGAUGAACAGUAAUAUUAUGAGAGAGAAGCGCGAAAUAAUGAGGCCUGAAAUGGCGUGUAUUUGGGGGUUAUAAGGGUUUGUAACGUCGCACCUUUUCAGGCUAUGGAAGGAAAUAAUAAUUGAAAUUCUUGGGAAUUUCAAAUGUUGCUGGGAAACACAAAGUGAAUAUGGCAAAAAUUAAUAAUUGGUAUUAAUUCUGCCAUAUUGGAGGGUAAUCGUUGACACGCUAAAAGUGCAGCCCAAAUCGAGUAGCCCAAAGAAUGAAGGCCAACUAGGCAAUUCAGGAUAAAGGCCCAAAUAGGGUUAUUAACGAAUGCAGUGGAAGCCCACGAACGCGGUAACACCAUCGCCCAAACUUGCAAGACGCCCAAGAUCUGAGCGAAUGAAGUGUCUUGCAGUCGCCCAGGGUUAUGACCUAUUCUCGCCCAAACUUUCGAAUUGCCUAGGAUCUUAGCAAAUAUAAGAUGUUAUGUUUAUCCAAAACUGCAGUUAUCGAAGCAAUUAUUAAGCAAUCUUAUCACGUUCCACGAUUCAAGAAGUUCAGUUGAAGACGGUUGAACGACAAAGAGUAGUGACAGUAGUUAGAGACGGCAGUUCCACGAUAAGUUGGCCACCAUGAAGAAAGUGGGCAGUUAUAAAGCAAUUAAGCAGUUUCUAACGAAGAGAUCAUCAAGGGAAUAUAAAAGGAAGAAAAGACAUAGAGCAUAGGAGCCCGAAUAAAAAACUCUCAAACAGAGAAUAUGUAAUUUCAAUUUCUUAGUUUAGACUAAAAUAUUUCUUUUCAGUACUCGUGUGCUUACGCCCCUUGGAGGCAUUUUGUUUAAAGUUCCAAUUGUAAAAUCAUCGCCAAUAAAACACCCCUUUCUGGGACUUUGUCUCAAGAGGUUUGUUCCUUACACAAUCGUCUGAUCCCUUUUUUAAGUGUUAGCGACUACCCGCACGAAACAAUUUGGCACGUCCGAUGGGACAUUGGUCUUUGGUGUUGAAGAUACAAAAGGUGAAACAAUAUGCCUCAGAAAUUCGAUAAGGAAACAGAAAGUCAGGGAGGAGUCCUGUCUGUGAUCGAGCGAUAUGAGGAGCAACAUAGCUCUCCACGAACAGAUGGACAGAAUCAGAGCAAUCACAGUCGUUAUGAACCAAUGACAGUGUUGAGUCCUCGAACCAUGCGUGCAUUACUUGGAGAACUCACACAAGAUGUCGUUGAACAGGUAAAUCUAUGAAAUAUUCAUAAUAUGGAAAGAUUUACCCAGAAUGGGAAUGCACAUUAUGACAACAUGGCCAAACAACUGAAUACUUUGAACGAAAUAAUGAAUAAGUUAGUAGGCCAAAUUUAUCAGCCAGUUGUGCCUCUUGCAAACCACUUUCAAACUAGGACAAUUGUGGGACAUAAUCCCCCAGUCCUAAGUUCAAAUCAAAGGGUAGAAUCACCUUUUGAUCUCUCUACUUCAAACCAGGGGGUGGUGUAAUACCAAAUCAGAAUAAUGGCAUUGGUACAUCUAACUUGGGAGGUAACCUAAAUGUAAGAGAUAAUGUCCUAAAUAAUGGGCAGAAUACCCCACGCGUUAAUGAUGAAAUAAAUUUUCAGGCUAAUGAUAACAAUGGCCCAAAUCAUGGUAACUUUGUUGCCAAUCAAAGACCAAACAUCAGGCCUCAAGCAAAUCAACCGGUCAACCAACCUGUAGGAAUUCCAUAUGACCCCAACGUCAUGUUAAGGAAUCAAAUUAUGGAAAUCGUACAGGACCAGAUGGCUUUUGGAGUUCAUCCUGUCAUUAGGCCGACUUACACAAAGCCAUAUCCUGAUUGGGUAGACCAAGCAUAUCCAUGGCCUAGAGGGUACAAAGUGCCAGAAUUCUCAUUGUUUACCGGUUUAGGAGAGGUGUCUACUCUAGAACACAUAGGGCAAUUCACACUGCAAAGUGGUGACAUAACUGAUUACCAUAAAAUGAGACUGUUCCCUAGUUCGUUCACAUGAGUAGCCUUCUCCUGGUUCGUCAAUUUGCCAGCAAACUCUGUUCAAACAUGGCAACAAUUGGAACAAUUGUUCCAUGCUCAGUUUUAUAAGACUGAGUCUAAAGUUACUUUGGCCGAUUUGGCGAAUCUACGUCAAAUACCAUACGAAUGGGCAGAAGGUUUCCUUCAAAGGUUCAAGACAACAAGAAGUAAAUGUUUUGUACCUUUGCCCGAAAAGGAGUUUGUCAAAAUUGCUCAAGGUUGUCUAAGCUUUGAUCUGAAGAAGAAGUUCCAAGACAAGCAAUUUCCUGAUCUUUUCCAAUUGAGCGCGAACGUGAUUAGGUAUGAACGAUUAAUAAGAGAAGAAGAACAAAUGAAAAAUUCUAGCAAGGAGACUUAUUAUAGAGACCCAAAUUUUGAUGUUCAUACCAUUAAUGACGAGUAUUACGAUCAAACCGAAAUGUGUUUGGCCGAAUUAGUUAAAGGAGACACUUAUACUUGUCCUAUAAUGGCUAAGCCUAGACCGUCGGGCAAGGAUGAGCCUAUAAAAAAUGAAAACAUAAAGGCUAGAAUGUUCUCGUUCGAUGUAACCAAAGCUGACCUUAUAUUUGAUAAAUUAUAUAACGAUAAGCAGAUAAGCUGAGUGAUAAGCACAAAUUGCCAAGCCCUAAACAAGUUAAGGGUAAAAAAUAUUGUAAGUGGCAUAAUUCAUGGCCACAUUUGACUAACAACUGUUUGGUUUUUUGCCAUGUGUUACAGGAUGCCAUUGACUCAGGACGAAUUACAUUUGAGGAUAAGAGGAAGGUGGCAGUGGAUGAAAAUCCUUUUCCACAGCCACUUGGAGUGAACAUAGUGACGUCUGGUUUCAAAAACAAGUUGCCAAAAUUCAAGUUGGUCAUAGAUGAUGGAGAAGAAGAAGUUGGACCACAUCCCAGCGUCUUUGAACGUAUCAAAGGAAAGGAGCCCAAAAAGGACGAAGACGUCCUAUGUGCAAGAUGCAAAAAAGAAGUGAGUGCAGGUGUAGAGAAACCAGGGAUAUGGCAGCAUCACCACCGCCCUAGUUUUUUCCCAAACGCUCAGCCUAGUAGAGGGCAGGGUGCAUCGUUCUAUAAGGGAUCGCCUUUUGAGAGGCAAUUCAGGCCAGUAAAUAAUGGGAGAACAUUCAGACCGCAACCUCGCCAACCAAAUGUAUGGCAUUCGUUCCAGUAUAAGGCUGGAAGGGCGAUACCUUUCAACGAGAUGACUAGAACCCAACAAAGUGCAGUUAUCGAAGCAGUUAUAAAGCACUCUUAUCACGUUCCACGAUUCAAGGAGUUCAGUUGAAGACGGUUGAACGACAAAGAGUAGUGGUAGUAGUUAGAGACGGCAGUUCCACCAUAAGUUGGCCACCAUGAAGAAAGUGGACAGUUAUAAAGCAAUUAAGCAGUUUCUAAGCGGUUGAUCACGAAGAAUGAGUCGGUCAUCAUACCUGAAUUUUGAAAUUGCCUUAUGUCAUCCAUCAGACUUGUACCCUGAUCGAACCAUGAAACCAAAGAAUGAGUCGGUCGUCAUACAUCUAUACAACUUCAAAAAUCUGAACGUUAACGUCUUCCACGUUUACGUACUACGUUCAGGUUUAGCGUCCAAAAUAAUUAGAAAAUAUACUGUAAAACUAUUGGAAUCUCAGCAACAUAAAUUGAAAAUAGCAUACACUUACUGAAUCCAUGAGGUGUACGUUCGGUUGGCAAAAACUCUUACCAUCGUGUUUUCGUGUCGACGACGCCUUUAAGGACCAAACUGUAGCAGUGGCUUUAUAACGUCCUUAGAAGCUGGGAACUUGUUUUUACUAAUUUGUGUCAGCACUGAUCAAAAGAAAUGAUAUAUAUAAAACUCAAAAAAAUCAACAUAAAAAGAAUAGAAUAAGUAAAAUUUACCUUAUGUGUAUUUCAUACUCAAAUCACUCUGCUGUACUAAAAAUUAAUUAAAAAUAAUAAACACAACGAAAUAAAACCACAGAUUAGUGACUCCGAAAAUUUUUGAAUAAAAUUUUGCUAUCUUUCUUACCUGAUAUGUAUGCAGUCUCACAAUUUUCUUCUUCUUAGCGCUCGAGUCACCCACAACAUUGUCAAUUUGCCUUUUACCGAUGUUAACUUUUCUAUGGUUUUAUAUAUUCAAAAACAAUCUCGAAAAUGUGUAAAUUAGAGAUUGUAGAAUGGAUUUUCUUUUAGGUCCAGAUCGAAAAUAUUUUGUGGUUAUCACGUUUAAAAUUGAUUGCAGAAAUAAUAAAAUCAACACCAGAAUUUUUCGCCCCAAAAAGGGGCCCGGAUGUUCAGCCUUUAGGCCUAAUCACCCGUUGAGCAUCUGCUACACAGAUAGAGCUCAAGAUCCACUAAGAAGAACCAAGAAAUGUUACAAAUGUACGAAAAAACUGAAAGUUUCUUCGAUAUAUCUCUCUAGCCUCUAUUCUAUAGAAAAUCACAAAGAUCAACUUCUACCAUGAAAGUAUUCUACUCUCGUUUACAUAACAUAUGGAAGAAUCACCACUAAGAUGAAGAUCGAAUUUACAGAGAGAAAUAUUCAUCAAACCCUAACUGCACUCAGAGAAAGGGAAAAGACAGAGAGAGAGAGAGAGAGUCACGAAGCUUCUGGCUAAUGAAAGGGCCAAAACCAAGUUAAAAUAUCUGGUCAACCAAAGGACGGGAUCCAAGGGUUGAGGAUCAGCCACGUUUACGGCUGAUACUCAACCCCUUUGAGGCGUUAAAUCGUGUUUCCAUUGGAUGCAACUUCUUUGCGACUCGGUCCGUAAUCAAUGGGCCAAAAAUUGUGAGGCAGCCCAAAGAAAAUUGGUUUAACAUUCUCCACCUUGCUGAACAAUUCUUUUGGUGCUUAAUAGUGGAUCUUGGACUUCUACAUGUGAUUACUUCGUUUGCUCUAAGUUCCUGUAAAAACAAAAAUUUCAGUUACAAUAUGUACUACAAAUUUGUGCUUGAAGAAUUUGAAUACCACUUCCUCAAGUGAUAUUAAGGAUCUUCAAGCAAGUUUUGAAUUUAUUUAAAGGUAAUACCUUUGUCCCCAAAUCUGAAGGAUUGUAUUCAGAAGGUAUUUUUAUCAGUUUACCUUUUUCUGCCAUAUUUCUUACAAAAUGAUACUUUAUAUCUAUAUGCUUGGUCCUGUCAUGAUAUACAAGAUUCCUGCUUAAGUGUAUGGCACUUUGAUUAUCUGUAUAAAUCCUUACAGAAUCAUUAAUGAAACUAAUUUCAUUUAAUAAGCCUCUUAGCCAAAUGCUUCUUUUACAGCAUACAUACAGCUAUAUAUUCUGCUUCAGUAGAGGACAAGGCAAUCAAUUUUUGUAAUUGUGACUUCCAACUAAUGCAACCAUCACACAAAGUGAAAAUGUAUGCAGAUGUGGAUCUUCUUUUAUCUAAGUCACCAGCAAAGUCAGAAUCGGUGUAACCCUUUAAUAUUACUCCUUCUUUGCACCUUUUAUAUACUAAAGUAAGAUCAGUUGAGCCCCCUAAAUACCUCACAUCCAUUUCAUGGCUAACCAGUGUGUCUUAACUAGAUUUGCCAUGAAUCUACUAAGUAUACUAAUUCCAUGUGCCAAAUCAGGCCUCGUGCAGACCAUAAGAUAUAUUAUUGAUCCCACAGCAUUAGCAUAAUUUUUUCCAUUCUUUUAAAUUCUUCAUUAGUUUUUGGUGAAAAUUCACUUGAAAGUUUGAAAUGAUCUGUAAUGGGUAAAGUAGUAGGUUUGGACUCAACCAUAGAAAAAUUUUCAAGAAUUUUCUUCACAUAAGAGUGUUGUUUUAGAAACAAGAUACCAUUCUGCCUAUCUCUUUCUAUUUCCAUUCCAAGUACCAUUUUAGCUUGCCCUAAGUCUUUCAUUUCAAAUUUAGACUUCAAUUUUGAUUUAAUAGUGUCAAUUUCAGAUUUAUCAUGACAGGCAAGUAACAUGUCAUCAACAUAAAGUAGCAGAUAAAUGGAUUUAGGCCCUCCAGAGCCUUUAUAAAAUAGGCAGGUAUCAUAUUUGCUUUUUACAAACGCUAAUGUCUGCACAUAGGAAUUGAAUUUAAUGUACCAUUGCCUAGGGGCUUGUUUCAGCCCAUAAAGUGAUUUCUUUAACAGGCACACCUUUUCAAUUUUGGAUCUUACUUCAAACCCCAUGGAUUGCUUCAUAUAUAUUAUCUCAUCAAGUUCACUAUUUAGAAAUGCUGUUUUGACAUCAAGUUGUUCCAAUUCCUAGUUAAAAUGGGCAUUUAGAGCAAGUAAAAUUCUGAUUGAAGUAUAUUUUGCCAUAGGUGAAAAUAUUUCAUUAUAAUCAAUUCCUUCUUUCUGAGUAAAGCCCUUAGCAACUAAUCUGGCCUUGUAUCUUUUAUCUUCAGAAUUUAUAUCCCCUUGUUUAAUUUUGAAAAUCUAUUUACAAUCUACUAUCUUAUGAUUUUCAGGUUUAUCAACAAGAAUCCAGGUUCUAUUCUUGAUAAGUGAUUCCAUUUAUUCAUUCAUUGCCUUUUUCCACAAAUCAGAAUCUGGAUGAGUAAUAGCUUCAUCAUAAGUAGUAGGUUCAGAGUUUAAAGAAUCAAGGGCAGAAAAUAGAGUAACGAAAUCAUCAUUAUUAAAUCUGGAGGAGGGAAUUAUUAUUCUCCUUUCUCUAUCUCUAGUUAACUGAUAGUUUUCUAGAGUAGGAUUAGUGAUUUCGUUUUCAUUUUCAUGUUCGUCUUGCUCAUUAUUAUUAUCAGAUUGAGUGGACUCCACCUCAAUUUGAUCAUCUUGAUUAUUAGCAUUUUCAAUUUGAGUUUGUAAGAUGGUUUCCCUUAUAGGUGCAUUUUCACUGACUUUUUCAUCAGGUGAUUCUUUACAAGGCAUGUCUUCCUCAUUAAAGAUGACAUUUCUACUGAUGAUCACCUUAAAACCAUUUUGGUUUUUAACCCACAGUCUGUACCCUUUUGUUUCCUCUCCAUAACCCAGAAAAACACAUUUUAAGGACCUUGGUUCAAGUUUGCCUUCACUUUGAUGUGAGUAGGCAGAGCAGCCAAAAACUUUAAGUUUAUUGUAAUCUGGUGUAUGCCCAGACCACAACUUUUUAGGAACUUGAAAAUCAAUAGCACUGGAUGGACUUCUAUUUAUUAGAAAGGUUGCAGUUUUUAGGGCUUCUCCCCAGAAAAACUUUGGAAGACCAGAAUUGUAUAACAUACAUCACUUUUUCCAAUAGAUAUCUAUUCAUUAUCUUAGCAACUCCAUUUUGCUGAGGAGUAUGUGUAACAGUUCUGUGUCUUAGAAUACCAAAUUCAUUGCAAAAUGUAUCAAAUUCAUGGUUGCAAAAUUCAAGUCCAUUAUCAGUUCUCAAUGCUUUAAUUUUCUUGUUGGUUUGAUUUUCAAUCAUGACUUUCUAUUUUUGAAGGUAUGAAAAGUAUCAGAUUUUUGUUUCAUCAAGAAAGUCCAGAUUUUUCUUGAGAAAUCAUCAACAAUUAGUAAAUAAUAUCUAAAUCCACUUAAAGUGUUUAUUGAUGCUGGACCCUAGAGGUCAGCAUGUAAAUAUUCCAGAAUUGAAGUGGAUAUAUAGGUUCCCGUUUUAAAAGGUAAUCUUUUCUGCUUUCCUAGUAUACAAUUUUCACAAAAUUCCAACCCUUCAAUUUUAUCAUUUCCAAAACAAGCAAGUCUUUUCAAAAUUGUUAGUCCCUUUUCAGAAAUGUGGCCAAGUCUAUUAUGCCAAAUUAAGGACUUAUUCAUUUCAGAGUUUAAGGCUGCACUGCAGUGACUGGCAAUUGGUUCUGCAGUAAUGGUAUAUAUACCAUUAGUUUUAGGGGAGGAUAAUACAGUUUUAUUUCCUUUUUGCAGUUCUAGGAGGCCUUUAUUUAUCAUAAUAGUGUAUUUAUCAUCAAGCUCUCCUAAGGAAAUAAGGUUUCUUCUAAGUUCAAGCACAUACUUGGUGUUCUGUAGUUCAAGUAUAUAGUUGUUCUCUAACUUCAACUUAACCUUCCCAUUUCCCUUUAUUUGACAACUCAUAUCAUUUCCCAUUUGAAUUUGCCCUCCACUAAAUUCAACAAAUUCAGAAAACCACUCUCUUUUGGGACACAUGUGAAAUGUACAUCCUGAAUCCAGAACCCAUUCUUUUGGGUCUCUAGAAUAGGUGUUAACAAGAACAACACCUUGAAUGUCAGGUUCAUUUCUACAGGCCACAGCUGCAGAACCAUCAAGAUUAUUUCUCUCUUUCAUAUCAGAAAUUUUCUUAAAGCAAUCUUUUAUUAGAUGUACAGUCUUAUCACAAUAAUAACACUUUCUGAUAUGAUUUUUUGUCUUCACAUGAUUCUUAUUCUUUUCUUUGGGUUUGGGAUUGGGAGAUUUCCAUUUCUUAUGGAAAUUAGAGCUUUGUUGAUAUUGUUUCUUGAUUUGAUUUACCCUUUCUUUUACAUAUAACCCUUCACCAUACUUAAGAUCUUUUGUUUCAGCCUUUAGUUCAAGUUCUCUAUUUCUUAAGGCUGUAGUAAUCUUAUCUAUGGUAAGUUCUUGACCCCUAUAUUCCAGGGCAUUUCUGAUGUCUUUAUAUUUCUCACUUAGUGAGUUUAAAAGAGUAACAACUUAUUGAUCAUUAGAAAUUUCCUCAUCACAGUUAUCUAAAUCCUAAAUCAAUUUAUUAAAUCCGUCAAGGUUUUCUUCUAGAUUAGAUGAGGGAUCAAACCUGAAGUUGUAAAAUUGCCUAAGAAGAUAACAUUUAUUUGGCAUGGUUUUGGUUAGACACAGAGUUUCCAAUUUAGUCCACAAUGCAGCAGCAGAGGUGGUUUCUCCUACUUUUCUAAUAACAUUAUGAGAUAAAUGUAAGAAUAUUGUACUCCAUGCAGUAUCAUCUAACUCUUGUCUCAUAUAGGCACUUAUUUCUACAGCCCAUUGACCAUCAAGGGCUACAGCACAUCUUUGUUGUAAAAGUAAUGCCCUCAUCUUCUGGCGCCAGAGACUGAAGUCUCCAGUGCUAGACCAAGUUUCAAGUUCAAAUUUAUGAGUAGUGGACAUUAUUACAGAUUCCUAGCACACAGCAGCUAUCUUACAACACUUAGAGUAUAAUAGUUCAGGCAAGUUAUGAUGCUUGUUUAAAAAACAGAACAGAUAAUAAUGCAGGAUAUUCUAGAGUUUAUACCUACUUAUUAUACAGUUCAAACAGUCAAUAUAUGAUAUUUUGAAAAAGGUUUAAGAGCUUAUAAUUCUUAAUUCCACUAUUCCCUCAGAUUUCCAGAUCCUCGCAGGAGAUCUUGGACAAAGGAAAGUAAUGGAGAAUUACUUACCUUAAUAACCAAUUUCCAAAAAAAAAAAAAGUAAAAGAAUAACUGUUUAUAGAGGGGGUUUCAAGAAAGAUACCAGAGCCUAAAAAUCAACAGUUUCAGAUUAAGGGAAGCACUAAGGGUAUGCAGGAUACGAAUCCAGCUCAGGAAUCCAGGUUGAAGAAAAACCAGCGAGUCACCAAGACUCAGUAAUGACUCAGCAAGAAAGCUAGAACUCAGCAGAACACUUAGUGAGUCAACACAACUCGUCAAAACUCAGCACGAGUCAUCAAAAAACAAGUUAGAACAAGAAUAACCAACAGUUCAUAAAAAAUAAAAAUAGAAAAACUUCAAGAUUCCAGUAGAGAAGGUAAAUCAAAACAACCGAGUUGAACUCCGAAUUAUAGAACUUCUAACAAAAAACAGUUUACUAUUUUCUGAAAAGAAUAAUUUCGAUUAUGUAAAACAACAAAUUUUUAAAAAAUUUUAAUUCGAAGUUUUGAGAUCUGCAAUAUACAAACAGAGAAAUAAAAAAAAAAUUGAGACGAAAGGUCAAAAAAAAAAAAAAUUUCCACACAAUAACUCGCUCUAAUACCACUGUUAGGUCCAAAUCGAAAAUAUUUUGUGGUUAUCACGUUUAAAAUUGAUUGCAGAAAUAAUAAAAUCAACACCAGAAUUUUUCGCCCCAAAAAGGGGCCCGGAUGUUCAACCUUUAGGCCUAAUCACCCGUUGAGCAUCUGUUGCACAGAUAGAACUCAAGAUCCACUAAGAAGAACCAAGAAAUGUUACAAAUGUACGAAGAAACUGAAAGUUUCUUCGAUAUAUCUCUCUAGCCUCUAUUCUAUAGAAAAUCACAAAGAUCAACUUCUACCAUGAAAGUAUUCUACUCUCGUUUACAUAACAUAUGGAAGAAUCACCAAUAAGAUGAAGAUCGAAUUUACAGAGAGAAAUAUUCAUCAAACCCUAACUGCACUCAGAGAAAGGGAAAAGACAGAGAGAGAGAGAGAGUCACAAAGCUUCUGGCGAAUGAAAGGGCCAAAACCAAGUUAAAAUAUCUGGUCAACCAAAGGAUGGGAUCCAAGGGUUGAGGAUCGGCCACGUUUACGGCUGAUACUCAACCCCUUUGAGGCGUUAAAUCGUGUUUCAAUUGGGUGCGACUUCUUUGCAACCCGGUCCGUAAUCAAUGGGCCAAAAAUUGUGAGGCAGCCCAAAGAAAAUUGGUUUAACAUUUUCGAACAUAAAUCGUUGAAAUACGAUCUUCUUGUGUUGAGCAUAUGGCUUAAUCACAGUUUCUUGAACAGGCUGAUAAGAGGGAAUAUAAACUGUCAUGUUCUUGUGUCGAUCCUUACUGGAUUUACCGGAUUCUAACUUCUGUGCUAGAAAAGGUAAAGAUGAGGGUUUGGGUAAAUUGGGGCGUGAAUUGGGGUAGGGAGUGAAUUAUGGUAGGGAAUUUAAUGAUAUAUUAUGUUAUGGAAUUGAUAAUAAUUUAUACUUUUCAGAUAUACUACAAAAAUUGCAGUAUAUUUGGUGAAAAACAAUGGAAAAUGUAAAAACAGGAUAUGUUUAUUAAAAGAUGUAUUGGGUGAAAUUACCUCUAAAAUAUUAUGUCAAAACAAAUCAAACCGGGAAAACCGGAUCUGGGCCUACGGUUAACCGGCUUUAAUGGGUUGGACUACAGGUUUUUUACCGAUUUGGAAAUUAAUGGGGUUUGGGCAUUAAUCGGACUGGAUUUUGAACCGGUUCCCAAUUGAACCGGCCGAUCCAGUCCGAUUUUCAAAACAUUGGAAAUUACACUUCGCUAAACAGAUUCGAUUGGCAGCCAGCCGCAUUAAACAAUUCAUUCACAAUUGAAAUCCAAAAGAGGAAAGAAUUCAUCAAACGGCGGUGGUCGCAAUCAGGAAUCAUAUUCAAUUGUUUUAAUUCCUCUCACAUGGCAGCCAUGAUUAAUUGUUUUCUUCCCAAACAAUAAAGAAAUGCAGAGAAAGCCAGCAAUUGAUUCAAACGCAAAUUGUCUUUAAUAAUCUAACAUGAGUGAUUUACACAUCACACGGGUCCCACAUAAAAAUCUUUCCAAAUAAUGUCACAAAUCUGAUUUUCUUGUAAUCAUAUGAAAAGGAAAUUUACGUGGUUCCAUGACAAACUUCUCGCACAAAAACAGGUUGCUUGAUCUCGAUCCAUAUAAACAUGUUUCUUGAAUCAAAAACUUGACACCAACAAUCCAAAAAUGUAAAAUUUUAGGGCUAAAAUUCAGAUCUCAAAAUUGAGAAAUUCAAACCAUAAAUUCUAAAAAUUUUAAUCCAGAUCUAGGAAGACAACCAAGAAUAACAUGGCGAAGAGUUUUCAAAUUCAACAAAACUAGAUCCGAAAUUGUCAAAUCUGAAAACUUUCAAAAUAUUGCGAGAACCAAAUCACAAAACUUUGAUUCUCAAUGAUUCAACAUGAAAAGACUCUGAUACUACUCGUAAAAAAUUCAUUACCUUCAUAAUCACUGGAUCUUUCAUGUUGGAUCAUCAAAAAAUCAAGAUCUAUAGCGGAAGCGUGCCUGAAUCAAAUAUGAUUAUUGUAAUAAUUGAAUCAUGUGGCUUAGUCUUUCAAAUCAACACGUAGUCUCAUUUUUUCUCUAUGAUUGGAUGCAAAAGAGAACUAACAAAAUAAAAUCUCUCUACGUGUGAUUCAGGGACCACAACCGUACUUAUAUACGGAUUCCCUUUUGAUCUAAUUUGACCCAUCAUGAAAUUAGGAACUUGGGUCCGAUCUGUACACACACAAAACCCACACUUUAAUUGGAUGCAUCAAAGUCCAAAAUCGAAACCUUAUUAGAUCAUUUUAAAUGGGUUCAACUGAAUUCGAUAGCCUUUAAUUUAAGUGGAAAUUACACUACACUAGGCAUUUAAAGAUCACAUUUCAAAAAUCAGAGAAGUUUGUUUAAUCAUAAAUCAGGUCUCAAUUCAAUUAUUGAUAUUAUUAAAUUAAUUAAUUUAUCCAACUCCACCCUACCCCGGCACACCACACCCCAUAUUCCCAAUUCAAUCCAAACCUAUUUUCAUUUUCCUUCCUCCUUUCUGUAUCUUAACCAUGCUCUCGCUACAAUAUCUCUCCACCAUAUUUUCUUUCAAAGAUGGUAGAACUCUCAAGGUCGAAUCUAAAUAGGUUGGGACUUGGGAUGGAGUGGAAACAUAGAGGAAGGCAAGCGAGGAGGUGAUUGCAACAGUACAUGACAAGCAUGAGACGGCUAAAGCACUUAUCGGGUCAGGCCCUCACACAAAACCAGCAGGGGAGGGGGUCGGAUUUAUGGGGUACUUUUUUAAUGCAGGACCCACUUCUCAUGUGAGACGCCCUGUAAGACCCCUGUGAGAAAGGACCUGGCAGACCAGCAAUUUCCAUAUCCCAGCGUUUGAGGUUAUUUUUGGGAAAACUUGGGAGUUAAUUGUUUCAAUGGUUACUGAAGUUAGGUCCAUGUCUUUCAUUGUUUAUUGAAAUUUAAAAUGUCGAGUUUUGGUUAUUGAUUUUAAGUCAUUGUCUUCGACUGCUCACUAAAGUUUAAAAUGUCGAGUUUUGGCCACUUAAUUUUGGAAAAUAUUGUAUGUUACUCACUAACAUAACUUCCGUCUCAAACCUCUAACGAAAUUGGUGACGUGGUUGACAGAAUGCAUACGUGUCAUCCCAUCACACCAUUAAACUUUGAGAGAAUUUUGGCCACUAAACUUUGAAAAAUGUCUUCUAUUACUCACUGAUCUUUGAGGUAGUGCCAUGCGUUUUCUGCAACGUGAUUUAUACCGCAAGUAUAUGGUGCCAAGUUUUAUAAUAUGGUAUUGAAAUAGAGUGUCAAACACAUAGGGAUUGUAAUUUAAUUUUCAUUAAGUACCAUAAUUGUGUAAUCUCUACUUUAUUUAGAUGAAUGUAUGAUUGAAUGGAUGAAUGUCUUAUGAAUGAAUGAUUUAAACUAAUCUAACAUGAUUGGAUGCGACAAAUUGGAAGAAUGCAAAUUAUCAAAUGAGAGGUGCUAGGGAUUGAUUUCACCUAACUCUCCAAUAUGAUUCAACGAUUUUCAAUUAUUCCGAUUAAUUUUCCCAUAUUUAAAAGCAAGAAUCCUAAUGUAUUUUUAACCACCUCUCUCGAGGACCGAUUAGAAAUUAACCCUAGAUCCCAAUUCCAACAUCUCUGUUCAAAAUUGAAAAUCAAGAAUUUAAUAAAAGUUUUGAUUCUUUUGUAAAGUAAGCUUAACAGAUUUAUACUUUCUCUCGAAACCUAUAAAACCUAUGUCAUGUCAAUCUUAUGAUCACGCCUAAAUUCCUCUUCUCUCGAGUGUCGAAAUUGACUAGCAUCAAAUCAUUUAAUUGUUAAUUAGCCAAUUGAAAGCAUCAAAAACCUUAACAGAAUUAAAUAUAUGCGGGAAAUCAAACGAAAUAUUUAAUUAGUUAAUCAAACCAUAAUUUCGAUUUGGCUACUUCAAACUCUAAGUAAGUUGUUUAGUUUAUGAUAAAGUCUAUGAAAUUCAUACAAAUUAUAAUGGAAAAUGUAAAGGGGAAAGAAAAGAAAUUAAACUCUUUUGGAGUGUAAUAGAUUCUUCCAUUGUUCUACUCCUCCAAUUAAAUUCUACCCUUUGACUCUUUCAAAGUUGUCCAGCCGUUCACUUUUUUCUCUUCUUCUAGAUUGUAUGUCGGUUGUCUGCUUGAAGUUCCCUCUGGUUCGUUCCUUCUACAAUUUUCGGUUAGCUAAAGCUCUUCCAGUCAAGCUCUGUAUUUGGGAUCUUGUGUUAGGCGGCUGAAAUCUAUGUAAUUCUCUCUAGAUUCUCCCCAAUUCUUGAAUUUGGGUGGUUGCCCUCUCUCUCCAAUUUGUCUAUCGGCUGCCCCCUAGUGUUGCCGACUCCAACCCCUCUUCAUUAGGUCUUGUAAGUGGUAUUUAUAAUUCUUUGGAGUUGCACUACAAUUUGGAAGUGGGCUGGGCUGUGAAAAAAUCCAGAAAUUGGUGAAGUUACUUCCUCGGAAGGUGACGCCUUACUACGGCUCGCUACUUCUUUUUCUUCUACUUUAAUAUGGCGUUGUAGCGAGGCACUGGGGCACCAUCUCUUUUGCCCCCUUCAGUUCUUGUAUUUUGUCUUCCUUCUUCAUUUUUUUCACUUAGCCUCAUCUAUCCCCUCUUUUCAACCCUUUAUCCAAACUGUAAAACAUGAAAAUCACAUGUUUACACAUCUAAAAUACUCUCAAGAGUGGCAUAAUAAUGGGUUAAGUGAUACACAAAAUCAUAAGUGUAGAACACUCAUCAAAUACCCUCAAACUUAAUAUUUUGCUAAUCCUCGAGCAAACACUAAACCAUAGAAAAUCGUUAACAAGAACACAAAUAACUUAAAAACAAGUUUAGCCAGGUAUCUUGCCUUCAUAGCUUAGAAUUAAAAAUAUAACAUCAAUUUCACUAAUCACUUCAAAGUUAUAAUGUACAAGCUAAAGUCUCACAUAUUCAAUGCAAAACGGGUAUGUGUGUGGAGAGAAUUAAAUGCAAUGCUGUAUAAUAAUAAAUUGAUCCAAUUCCUGAUCUUAAAAGUCAAAUAAUUCCUUACCUCUCUCGUAAGAUUCAUACGCCCCAGGCUUAUUUUCUUUUCUCUUCUCAACGGUGCAAUCUAAGGUGAAUUUUCAAUACUAGUUUCUUACAUCGCUCAAUUUUGAUUAGAUUUCACUGAUUACAGUUCAACAUGUCAACAAAUGAGGAUACUCGCUAUAUUUUUUGACUGGUUUAACCUCUAAGAAUCGAUCAAAUUACUAAUCCCUUAUCAAAGGUCUAAUCAUCUAAAAUAACUGUUAGGGGCUUAAUCAAGGCAUUUGAUAUCUAUUUUUUCUCCUUUUUUUUCUUUUUUCAGAUAUAAAUUUAUUCUUUAAUCACCAUUUGUGCGGACAUCCCUCCCUUAAGCUUUCUAAAUGACUUUUGUAGCAAACUUUAGACCAAUGAUGCUCUAAUUAGAUGACUUUAGAGCAUUAGGUUUUAAACCCUUACAGACUUAAUUACUUGAGUCAUAAAGGGUACGAAGAGAUGAUUUACAAUGAGAUUAUUAAAGUUGUCCUCAUUGGGAUAUUUUCUCUUUCUUUUUUUCUUUAUUUUAUUCUAGCGCAGUGAUUAGUGCAAUGCCCCUUAUUAAACACCUUGAUGCGAACUUCGUAGCAACAUUGACUACGAAACCCACAACUAAAUUGUUUCAAAACCCCAGAAAAGCCAAAAAAAAAAAAGUUUGGAGAUUGAACCUUAAAUCAAUGAAUCAAAAAACCCAGCAAAAAUGUUGCUUGAAGGACCCCUUUAUUACACAACCCAAGACCAACACUCGAUUUGUAGAAUGCUACAAGAAUAAUUCUUGAUAAGAACAAGGAAUUGAAAGCAAUAAGCCUUUCGUAUUAAAUCUGAAAAUAAUGUGUCGUAAAAUUACAUGGAAGAAAUAAACUUAUAUUUAUACUAAUCCUAGAAUAUAAGUUAUAAAAGGAAUAAAACUCUAAAAUCCUAGAAAAUAUGGAAAAGAUUCGUUCAACAUCUUAAGAAUUUAACUAACAAUAAAAUUCUAGCAAAUAUGGAAAAAAUGCGGAAAAAGGAAAUUUUCUUCCCGACUUGACUCUAUGCAGUCGCAUAGAAGAACCAAUUUGGUUACUUAAAUCCCUGCUUGCCCAAAUGCUACCGCAACUCCAAGUUAACUAUGCGGUUGCAUAGUUGACUUCGGUAGCUUCUUCUUCACUCACUUGUAUUGAUUUGAUUCAUUUUGAUUCGGCUCUCGACCCCAACAUGAAAGUUGCUUCAUUUUGUGUUCUAAACAUCGCCUCAUCAAUGGUUUCUCAAACGAUCAAUCCCAUCGCUUGUUUUACUUGCUUUGCCCUAAAUCACAUCAUCGAUCCGCCUUCGAUAAUCAACGGGUCUCAUCUCGAACUCGCCGUCUUCAAGCUCGAUUCUUGGAUCACAUCAUCCCCUCCCUCUUCAAAAGAAUUCGUCCUCGAAUCUGUACCUACAUCAAAGAGAGAGAGAUCAGACAGAUUAAAAGUUGCUGAAACAUUAUAUUCACCUGGUAGGUCCAACUUGUAUGCAUUGUCGUUGAUCUUCUCGGUGACUUGAAAUGGACAAUCUCCCCGCGGUUGCAACUUUGACUUCCUUUGCUUUGGAAAGCGUUCCUUUCUGAAAUGUACCCAAACCCAGUCUCCUAGUUCGAAUGUCACACGCUUCCUACCCUUGUUUGCCUAUGAUGUAACAACCUUGCUUUUGUUUUCAAUUUGCAGCUAUACCUUUUCAUGGAGUGUUUUCACCAACUCUCCUUUUCUUUUACCAUCUAAACUGCUUCGCUCAUUCACAGGUAACGGAACUAAAUCCAAUGAGGUUAGUGGAUUAAAACCAUAAACGACUUCAAAAGGUGAAAAUGAAGUAGUAGAAUGAACAACACGAUUAUAAGCAAACUCAACAAAAGGAAAACACUCUUCCUAAUUUUUCAAGUUCUUAUUGCUAACUGUGCGGAAUAGUUGAAUCAUGGUCCUAUUGACUGCCUCAGUUUGCCCAUCGAUUUGUGGGUGACAAAUUGUUGAAAAUAACAACUUUGUUCCUAACUUACCCCACAGCACUCUCCAAAAAUGACUCAAAAAUUUCACAUCCCUGUCAGAUACUAUACUCUUAGGAACCCCAUGCAAACCUCUUUAAAGAACAAGUCAGCUAUAUAUGUGGCAUCGUCGGUUUUGUUAAGUGUGCCAUUUUACUAAACCUAUCUAUCAUCACAAAAAUAGAAUUUUGUCCUUUCUUAGUCCUAGGUAAACUCAAAACAAAAUCCAUAGAAAUGUCAACCUUACGUUCACUAGGCGUAGGCAGUGGUGUGUAUAACCCUUGAGGUAAAAAUUUAGACUUAGCCCUUUUACAUGUUAAGCAUCGACUACAAAUUCUCCCAACAUCUACUUUCAUCUUAGGCCAAUAGAAAUGCUCCACCAACAUCUCCAAAAUUUUCUGUACCUCAAAAUGUCCCAUCAAUCUACCACUAUGUGCUUCUUUCACCAAUGAUUCUUGCAUUGAACAAUUAGGAACACAUAACCUAUUUUCCCAAAAUAAACAACCCUCAUGCCUAAAGAACUUAUCAACAACCCCUUUUUCACAAGAUUUAUAAAUAUUGAAAAAAUCUAGAUCAAUUUCAUACAUGCUCUUAAUAUGUUCAAAUCCUAGCAAUUUAGCACUUAAAGAAGCUAUCAAGGCAUACCUUCGGGAUAACGCAUCUGCCACUAUAUUUUCUUUACCUUGCUUGUACUUGAUGACGUAGGAAAAUGUCUCAAUAAACUCCCAUCCACCUAGCAUGCCUCUUGUUCAAUUUUUCUUGACCCCGCAAGUGCUCCAAUGAUUCAUGAUCAGUGUGAACAACGAACUCCUUCGACCACAAGUAGUGCUGCCAUGUUUCCAACACCCGAACAAGAGAGUACAACUCUUUGUCAUAUGUUGGGUAGUUCAGUGCAGCCCUACUUAGCUUUUCGCUGAAAUAGGUUAUCGGUCUCCUUUUCUGUAUUAAAACUGCUCCAAUACCUAUUCCUGAUGCAUCACAUUCAAUCUCGGAAGUUUUGUUAAAAUCAAGUAAUGCCAAAACAAGUGCCUUGCACAAUUUAUCCUUAAUGGUACUACAUGCAUGCUCCUAUUCAUUACCCCAAUAAAAACUCACACUCUUUUUAAUGACUUCAGUGAGAGGUACAGUGAUUGUGCUAAAAUCAUUUACAAACCGCCUAUAAAAACUAGGCAGACCAUGGAAAUUUCUAACUUCAGUUAUAGUUUUAGGUGUAGGCCAAUAUUUAAUAGCUUUUAUCUUUUCUUCAUCCACCUCUACCUCGUUAGCACUAACCACAAAACCUAGAUAGACAACUUUAUCCAUACAAAAUAUGCAUUUCUUGAAAUUAGCAUACAGUUGUUCUUUCAUUAACACCACUAGCACACAUCUCAAGUGUUCAACAUGCUAAUUAAGGUUUUUGAUAUAGAUUAAGAUGUCAUCAAUGUAAACCACAACAAAUUUUCCUAUAUAAGCACAUAAAAUAUGAUUCAUUAAAUGCAUAAAGUUCUCGGUACAUUAGUGAGUCCAAAUGGCAUAACCAACAAUUCAUACAAGCCAUACUUAGUUUUAAAUGCAGUUUUUCAUUCAUCACCUUCCCUCAUGCGAAUUUGAUGGUACCCAUUCUUAAGAUCGAUUUUACUAAAGAUACAUGUACCAUGCAAUUCAUCCAAUAUAUCAUCUAACCUAGGAAUUGGGUGAUGAUACUUUACUGUUAUGUUGUUGAUGGCUUUGUAAUCCACACACAUUCUCCGAGACCCAUCUUUCUUUAGCACGAGCAAUACUGGUACUGCACAUGGACUCAUACUUUCCCUUACAUAACCUUUGCUCGUCAACUCCUCUACCUGCCUCUGAAGUUCAUUUGUCUCCUCGGGAUUGCUUCGGUAAGCUGGUCAAUUUAGGAUGAUAGCUCGAGGUAUGAAGUCAAUAUGGUGUUCAAUGCCUCGAAUGGGUGGCAACCUACUAGGUAUGUCAUCCAGGAAUAUGUCUUCGAAUUCCCACAACAAAGACUUAACCAAACUAAGGAGGGAUGGGUUAGUUUUCUCAAAAAUUGAGGAGCAUUUCUUUAUACAGCAACAAAAUCAUUUCUUUCCUCUCAACUACCGCUCUCUUCAAAUUACUCUCUUUUGUAAAGAAAUUCACUGGUGACCUCUCAUUUCUCACGGAAGACUCUCUUUCUUUUCUCUAUUGUGGCUCCUCUCUCUUUUUCUCUUUAAUAGCCACCUCACCAUUUUUCUCUCUUACUUACACCCUCACUAUUUCUCUCCUCUUCUCUGGCUCUUUUACUCUUCUUUCUUCCACAUUCUUCAACUUAAUUUGAUCCUCAUAUACCUGUACCGGAGUUAAUGACACAAGUGUAAUGGUCUUUCCAUCAUUAACAAAACUGUAGUGAUUUUUGUACCUAUCAUGCUUAGCCUUUCUAUCAUACUACCAAGGUGUCCCUAACAAAAUAUGUCCCGCCUGCAUCGGUACUACAUCGCACACCACCUCAUCCCAGUAACUUCCAAUUGAGAGAUUAAUUAACACUCUUCGUGAUGCGAACCCCGUAGCAACGUUGACUACGAAACCCACAACGAGAUUGACGAACUCAGGAAAGCCAAAUUAAUCCAAGAGUUUAGGAUUAACCCAAAAGAAAGUCGAACCAAAAAACCCAACAAGAACAACGCUUGAAAGACCCAUUGAUCACGCAAUCCAAGAAUUAAAUCCGAUUGUUUGAACGCCAUAAGUUAACACUUGAUAAGUUCAAAAUUGUUCAAUGAAGAACGAUGAAGAGAAGACAAUACGUCUCACUUUUAAUUCAAUAUCAAUAAUGUCAAAGGUUUUUUAACAAUCGAAUGGAAACUCCUAUUUAUACUAAACCUAAAAACUAGGUAAAAAUUGUGCAAAAGUCGAGUAUAAUCUCCAAAAUAUGGAAAAGAAUCAAAAUCUAACAAAAUAUGGAAAAUUGCCAAAAUUGAAAAAUUCGCCAAAUUUUUGGCUUGUGCGGCUGCAUGGUGUAAAUCCAUGCAGUCGCAUGGUUCAACUGAAAUUGCACUUUUGGUUUUCGGUAUGCAUGCGUGCGGUCACAUGUAGUUUUGCCUAUGCGGCCGCAUGGUGUUGUCUUCAACCUCCGCUUUCGUCGCUUGAUAACAAAUUGAUCUAAGUUGAUUUUGCCUUCGACCCGAACAUAAAAGUUGCUCCAUUUUGAGUCCCGAACAUGGUUCCAUCAAUGGUUUCUUGAACGAGCAAUCCCAUCACUUGUUUCACUUGCUUUACCCUUGAUCGCGUCAUUGGUCCACCAUCGACUAUCAACGGGUCUCGUCUCGCACUUGCCUUCAUCGGGCUCGGCUCCUGGAUCAUAUCAUCCCCUCCCUCUUCAAAAGGAUUCGUCCUCGAAUCUGACCUGCAUCAAACAGAGAGAGAUCAGAUACAUUAAAAGUAGCCGAAACAUUGUACUUACCUGGAAGGUCCAACUUGUAAGCAUUGUCGUUUAUCUUUUCAAUCACUUGAAAUGGACCAUCACCUCUCGGUUGCAACUUGGACUUUCUUUGCUCCAGAAACCGCUCUUUCCUAAGGUGCACCCAAACCCAAUCUCCUGGCUCGAAUGUCACGCGCUUCCUACCUUUGUUCGCCUGCGACGCAACCAACUUACUUUUGUUUUCAAUUUGCACUUUUACCUUUUCAUGGAGUGACUUAACCAAUUCCGCCUUCUUUUUGCCAUCUAAACUACCACCUUCAUUCACAGGUAAAGGAAUCAAAUCCAAAGGAGUUAGUGGAUUAAAAUCAUAUACAAUUUCAAAUGGAGAAUAUGACGUAGUACAGUGAACAGCUCGAUUGUAUGCAAAUUCAACAAAUGGUAGACACUCCUCCUAACUCUUCAAAUUUUUAUUGAUUACUGUGCGUAACAAUUGUGUCAUAGUCCUACUUACUACCUCGGUUUGCCCAUCCAUUUGUGGGUGACAAGUUGUGGAAAAUAGUAACUUAGUGCCUAACUUACCCCACAAAACUCUCCAAAAGUGACUCAAAAAUUUGACAUCCAGAUCCGACACUAUGCUUCUAGGAACCCCAUGUAAACACACAAUCUCUUUAAAGAAUAAGUCAGCAAUUUUUGUGGCAUCGUCAGUUUUGUGACAUGGUAUAAAAUAUGCCAUUUUGCUGAACCUAUCUACAACCACAAAAAUAGAAUCCUGACCUCUCUUAGUCUUAGGUAAACCCAAAACAAAGUCCAUCGAGAUAUCAACCCAAGGCUCACUAGGUGUAGGUAAAGGUGUGUACAAACCUUGUGGUAAAACCUUAGAUUUAGCCUUUUUACAACCUAUGCAUCGACUACAAAUUCGCUCAACAUCACUUUUCAUCUUAGGCCAAUAAAAAUGCUCCUUCAAUACAUCUAAAGUCUUUUGAACCCCAAAGUGUCCCAUCAACCCACCACUAUGUGCCUCCCUUACUAACAACUCCUGAAUAGAACAAUUGGGAACACAUAACCUAUUUUCCCAAAAUAAAUACCCCUCAUGCCUAAAGAACCUAUCAACAGCCCCUUUUAUGCAUGAUAAAUAAAUAUCCGAAAAUUCAAUAUUUUUUUCAUACAAUUCCUUAAUAUGUUCAAACCCAAGUAACUUAGAAUCAAGAGUAGUUAGCAAUAUGUACCUUCGUGACAACGCAUCCGCCACCACAUUUUCCUUACCUCGUUUAUACCGAAUGACGUAUGGAAAGGUCUCAAUGAAUUCCAUCCACAAUGCAUGCCUCUUGUUCAAUUUAACUUGUCCCCGCAAGUGCUUUAGUGACUCAUGAUCGGUGUGUAGUACGAACUCCUUCGACCAUAGAUAAUGUUGCCAAGUCUCCAAAGCUCGAACAAGUGCAUAAAGUUCUUUGUCAUAUGUAGGAUAAUUUAAAGUAGCUCCACUUAAUUUCUCGCUAAAGUAUGCAAUAGGCCUCUAAUCCUGCAUUAAAACUGCUCCAAUCCCUAUUCCUGAUGCAUCACACUCAAUCUCGAAUGUUUUAUCAAAGUUAGGUAAUGCCAAAACAGGUGCUUCACACAAUCUACCUUUAAUAGUAUUAAAUGCAAGUUCUUGUUCAUCACCCCAAUGAAAACCUACACUCUCUUUAACUACUUCCGUGAGUGGUGCAGUGAUAGUACUAAAAUCCUUUACAAAUCGUCUAUAAAAACUAGCUAAACCAUGAAAACUCCUAACUUUCGUUAUGCUUUUAAGUGUCGGCCAAUCUCUAAUAGCUUUUAUCUUUUUAUCGUCUACUUCUACCCCACUAGCACUAACCACAAAACCAAGAAAUAUAACUCUAUCCAUGCAAAAUGUGCAUUUCUUAAGAUUAGCAUAGAGUUGUUCUUUCCUUAAAACAAUUAGCACACUCUUUAAAUGUUCCAAAUGCUCUCCUAGGUCUUUGCUAUAGAUUAAUAUGUCGUCAAAAUAAAUCACAACAAAUUUUCCUAUAAAAGCACGUAAAACAUGAUUCAUUAAACGCGUAAAAGUGCUAGGUGCAUUUGUAAGUCCAAACGGCAUAACCAACCAUUCAUAUAAACCAUAUUUAGUUUUAAAAGCCGUUUUCCAUUCAUCACCCUCCCACAUACGAAUUUGAUGAUACCCGCUUUUUAAAUCAAUUUUAGAAAAUAUGCAAGCACCAUGUAAUUCGUCAAGCAUGUCAUCUAACCUAGGUAUAGGGUGACGAUACUUUACCGUUAUGUUGUUGAUAGCCCUACAAUCCACGCACAUUCGCCAUGUUCCAUCCUUUUUUGGUACAAGCAAAAUCGGUACCGCACAAGGACUCAUGCUUUCCCUCACGUAUCCUUUGCUCAUCAACUCCUCCACUUGCCUUUGAAGCUCCUUAGUCUCCUCGGGGUUACUUCGAUAAGCCGGUCGAUUUGGGCUGACAGCUCCAGGUAUGAAGUCAAUUUGAUAUUCAAUGCCUCGAAUAGGCAGCAAUCCACUUGGUGCAUCCUCCGAAAAUACAUCAUCGAAUUCCUGCAACAAAGACUUAGCCAAACUAGGGAGGGGUGGGUUAGUUUCCUCAAAAUUGAGGAGUGAUUCCUUAUAAACGAACAAGAUCAUCUCUUUUCUCUCAACUACCGCCCUCCUCAAAUCACUCUCUUUUGCAAACAAAUUCCUUUGUGUUUUCUCUCUUCUCUCGGGGCACUCUCUUUCUUUUCUCUCUUGUGAUUGCUCUCUCUUUUUCUCUCUAAUGGCUAUCUCAACAUUUUCUCUCUUUUUCUCCAACUCACUAUUUGCUCUCAUUUUUUCUAACUCCUUUGCUCUCGUCUCUUCGUCACUUCUCAAUUUUAAUUGGUCUUUAUAGACUUGCGCCGGUGUUAAUAGCACAAGAGUAAUGGUCCUUCCAUCCUUAAUGAAACUAUAUCGAUUUUUGUACCCAUCAUGCAUAGCCUUCCUAUCGUAUUGCCAUGGUCACCCCAAUAAAAUAUGUCCCGCUUGCAUUGGCAUCACAUCACAUACUAACUCAUCCUUGUAACUCUCAAUUGACAAAUUAAUUGACACUCUUCGAUUCACCCUCACCUCGCCGCUCUCAUUCAACCAUUGCAAUUUAUAAGGUCUCGGGUGUUUCAACAAUGUUAAAUCCAACUUUUCUACAAGAGAUACGCUAGCUACAUUAGUGCAACUACCACCAUCAAUUAUAACACUACAUACCGUAUUGUUGACGUGGCAUCGAGUGUGGAAAAUGUUCUCCCGUUGCAACUCCAAGUCAUCCGCUUUGACGUGAGUAGUGAGAGCUCGCCUUGUGACUACUAGAUCCCCAACAGGCCCUUCAACUUUUUCUUCUUCACUAACACCCUCCAUUGUCGGCAUGUCAUCAAACUCGCCAUCACUAUCGCUCACAAUCUCUCCAUUAUCUCGCAACACCAUCGCCUGUUUGUUUGGGCAUUGAGAAGCAAUAUGCCCCGUUCCCAAACACCUAAAACAUUUGAUGUCCCGAUUGCGCGAUGGUUGUGCCUCCGAUUUUGAUAUUCGUUUGCUAGCAUUUUCAUCCUUGCCCUUUUGCCAAUCAUUUUUACCUCUAGGUACAGGCCCGUUUUUGUUGUUGUCAUCCCACUUCGAUUUCCAUGUUGGAUUAGGAGUCGAAGUACCUAACGGUUGCCUAGACGUCCCCUUCCUCUUCAAUUGCCUCUCGACCUUCAUUGCCACAUGUAACAUGUCCUCGAUUUCCACAUAGCGUUGCAACUCUACAACAUUUGCAAUAUCCUGAUUUAACCCAUUCAAGAACCGUGCCAUGGUAGCUUCCCGAUCUUCCUCCACAUUAGCCCGAAUCAUAAGAAUUUCCAUCUCCUUGUGAUAAUCCUCUACGCUUUUCGAUCCUUGGUACAAACUUUGCAAUUUUUGAUGGAUUUCCCUAUAAUAGUGACUCGGAACAAACCUCCUCCUCAUCAACAUCUUCAACUCAUCACAAGUGCUAAUUGGCCUUUCCCGACCCCUACGCCGUGAUGUCAGUACUUGAUCCCACCAAGAUAUCGCGUAAUCCACAAAUUCAAGCACCGCUAAUUUUACCUUUUUCUCCUCCGAAUAAUUAUAGCACUCGAAAAUCAUCUCAACCUUUCUUUUCCAAUCUAAAUAUGCUUCCGGAUCACUUCUCUCCUUAAAUUGCGGAAUAGUCAUUUUAAUACUCCCCAAAUUUCCAUCUACUUCAUCUCCCAAGUUAUUCCUACCCCAUCUUUCCAUCCUAUCGCCCCUAUUCCUCGCUCGACCCAUAUCAAUGUCAUUUUUAUCAAAAUCAUCCUCAUCACUACGAUACUCAUCUCGCCUUCCUCUCCUAGAUUCACGCCUACCCGGCCCCCUAGCAUUAGACAUCUCUACUUGUCCCUGGCUAAGAUUAGCAAUUGUAGUGCCCAUUUGUGCCAUCCAUUCCCCUUGCCUAUCUACCUUCUCCCUAACAUCACCAAGUACCCUUUCAAACCUCCUUAUCAUGUCCUUGAUGCAUUGUUGUCGUUACCAUUUCAGUUAGAAUUAGAACCUUCUCUUUCCGACAUCAUAUCACACAAUUUUUUUUUAUGCCUCACAAAGAUUUUCACUCCAAAAACACUCACUAUGGCUUUUUCCCUCUAUUAAACUCACCACUCGGCCUUUUACCACUCAAAGUCUCCCUCCAAGCACUUCAAAGAACCAAGUGAACUAAAUCAAUUAUUUUACCGGCAAUUCAAACAAAUCAAAUAUUAAUCAAAAACGACGAGACUCAAAGGACUUGAAUAAGUGGAAUAGAUGAAUGUUUUGACACGAAUAUGUGAAUAGACUCAAAAGAAGAAUGACAGACUCGAACCCAAUUGAAUAUCCCAAAACUCAAACAUAAUGUAGGAAUUGUUGUUGGUAGAAAAAAACACAAAAUCAAACAAUGAUAUCAAAAAAAUUUUUAUAUAUAUAUUUUUUUAUUUUUUGUGAACAAUACUUCGAGAGGAACAGUACCUCGAAUGUACAAUAAACUUUUUUUUUUUUACUCCUUGAUGAAAGAAGGUGAGUAAACUACCAACAACUCAACAAAACAAUGAAAAGAAAACAAGAAUGAAGAAAAACUAAGAAAGAAAAAUUAACGACCCAAACAAAUAAAGAAAAGAUAUAACCUUCAAUUAAUUUGGAGCCAAAGCUCUGAUACCAACUAAUGUGAACCCCGUAGCAACGUUGACUACUAAACCCACAACGAGAUUGACGAAUCCAAGGAAGCCAAAUUAAUCCAAGAGUUUAGGAUUAACCCAAAAGAAAGUCGAACCAAAAAACCCAACAAGAACGACGCUUGAAAGACCCCCUUGAUCACGCAAUUCGAGAAUUAAAUCCGGUUGUUUGAACGCCACAAGUUAACACUUGAUAAGUUCAAAACUGUUCAAUGAAGAACGAUGAAGAGAAGACAAUACGUCUCACUUUUAAUUCAAUAUCAAUAAUGUCAAAGGUUUUUUAACAAAUGAAUGGAAACUCCUAUUUAUACUAAACCUAAAAACUAGGUAAAAAUCGUGCAAAAGUCAAGUAUAAUCUCCAAAAUAUGGAAAAGAAUCAAAAUCUAACAAAAUAUGGAAAAUUGCCAAAAUUGAAAAAUUCGCCAAAUUUUUGGCCUGUGCGGCUGCAUGGUGUAAAUCCAUGCAGUCGCAUGGUUCAACUGAAAUUGCACUUUUGGUUUUCGGUAUGCAUGCAUGCGGUCACAUGUGGUUUUGCUUGUGCGGCCGCAUGGUGUUGUCUUCAACCUCCGCUUUCGUCGCUUGAUAACAAAUUGAUCCAAGUUGAUUCGGCCUUCGACCUGAACAUGAAAGUUGCUCCAUUUUGAGUCUCGAACAUGGUUCCAUCAAUGGUUUCUUGAACGAGCAAUCCCAUCCCUUGUUUCACUUUCUUUGCCCUUGAUCGCGUCAUUGGUCCGCCAUCGACUAUCAAUGGGUCUCGUCUCGCACUUGCCUUCAUCGGGCUCGACUCCUGGAUCAUAUCACUUCGAUUAACCCUAACUUUUCCACUUUCGUUUAACCAUUGCAAUUUAUAUGACCUAGGGUGUCUCAAUAGUGUUAAGUUUAAUUUUUCUACAAGUGCUACGCCAGCAACAUUUGUACAACUACCACUAUCAAUAAUGACACUACAUACCGUAUCAUUGACAUGGCAUCGAGUAUGAAAUAUGUUCUCCAUUUGCAACUUUGAAUCAUCCUCCUUGACAUGAGUAGUAGAGCUCUCCUUGCAACCAAAAGAUCACCAGCAGCGCCUUCAAUCUUCUCUUCUUCACUAAUCUCCUCCAACGCUGACAUAUCAUCAUAUUUACCUUUACUUUCACUCACCUUCUCUCCAUUGUCCAGCAACACCAUCGCCCUUUUGUUUGGACAAUGAUAAGCGAUAUGCCCCGACCUCAAGCAUCUAAAACACUUGAUGUCUCGACUCCUUGAUGGUUGUGACUCCGAUUUUGGUAUUAUUUUGCUAUCUCCUUCAUUCUUUCCCUUCUGCCAUUCAUUUCUACCUUUAGGUAUAGCCCCAUUUCCUUUUUUGUUGUCCCAUCUCAAUUUUCAAGAUGAAUUAGAACCCAAAGCACCCAUUUGUGGCCUAGAUGUCCCAUUUCUCUUCAAUUAUCUCUCCACCUUCAUGGCUACAUGCAACAUAUCUUCUAACUCCACAUAAUGUUGCAAUUCCACUACGUUAGCAAUUUCUUGAUUUAGCCCGUUCAAAAACCGCGCCAUGGUAGCUUCCUAAUCCUCAACCACAUUUGCCCUAAUCAUAAGAAUCUCCAUCUCCUUGUGGUAAUCCUCAACAUUCUUUGACCCUUGGUACAAACUUUGCAAUUUCUGAUGGACCUCCCUAUAGUAGUGAUUAGGAACAAACCGUUUUCUCAUCAACGCUUUCAACUCUUCCCAAGAGCUAAUCGAUCUACCCCACACCUACGUUGUGAAGUAACUACUUGAUCCCACCAAGUUAUUGCAUAGUCAAUAAAUUUUAAAAUCGCUAACUUCACCUUCUUUUCCUCCAAGUAAUUAUAGCACUCAAAAAUCAACUCAACCUUUCUCUCUCACUCCAAAUAUACUUCCGGAUCACUUCUUCCUUUAAACUGUGGAAUGGUCAUUUUUAUAUUUCCUAGGUUCCCAUCCAUCUCGUCUUCAUGAUUAUUCCUAUCCCUUCUUUCAAACCUAACACCUCUAUUCCUCAUUCGUCCCCAAUCGAUGUCAUUAACCCCAUAUUCAUCCAUAUCACUAUCAUACUCUUCACACCUCACCCUUCUAGGUUCUCGCCUACUCGGUCCCCUAGCAUUUGACACCUUCACUGGCUGUCCCCUGCUAAGAUUAGCCACAGAUGUAUCCAACCUAGUCAUCCAAUCUUCCUGCUUAAUCCUCCAAGCGUCCUAUUGAUCCAACCUAUCCCUCACAACUCUAAAUGUACUCUCAAACUUCUGUAUCAAAUCAUCUGUUGCACUAUUAUGAUUGCCGUGUCGACUUGAAUUAGAAUUCUCGCGUUCAAACAUCAUAAAACUAGUAAUUUAUCAGUCUCACCUGUUUUCACUCAAAAAUCACACAAUAUAGCUUUUACCCUCUAACAAGCUCAUCACUCUGCCUUUUACCACUCGGUGCAUUCUUCCAAGCACUUCAAAGAACACAAUGAACUCAAAGAUUGUUUAAACCCGUGGAAUUCCCAGCCGAAUGUGAACUAUAGGAUUGUGAUACAAAAAUAACUCAAAGAAAUUUAAAUGGACUGACGGGAAAGAAACUAAUGGAACUUGAUAAAAUUAAAAAAAACGACAAUUGUUGGUAGUAAAGUGCACAAUAAAAUAACAAUAAUGAUAAUAAUAUUUUUUUUUACUGUUACUGUAUAGUGAACAACAACGUGAAUGGUAAAAAAAAUUUCGACUUUUUUUUCCUUUUUCUGGACGUGAACAGUAAGCUGCCUUUGUUUUUUUUUUUUUUUUUUGCUAAAACAAUGAAUUAAACUACCAACGACUCAAAUGAAGAAGAAAGAUAAGAUAAACAAUGAAGAACGAGAUCUAAGACACAAAUUAACAAGAACACGAAGUACUAAGAAGAAAAAUUGACAAAAACGCGAAAAAAACUAGACUCAACGAAGAAAACAAAAAGAUACAACCUGUUAAUUGGAGCCUGUGCUCUGAUACCAACUGAUACGAAUCCUGUAGCAGCGUUAACUAUGAAACCCACAACUAGAUUAUUUCAAAACCCCAGAAAAGCCAAAUAAAAUGUUUGAAGAUUGAACCAUAAAUCAAUGAAUCAAAAAACCCAGCAAAAACAUUGCUUGAAGGACCCCUUGAUUACAAAACCCAAGACCGGCACUUAAUUUGUAGAACGCCACAAGAAUAAUUCUUGAUAAGUUCAAUGUGUUCAAUUAAGAACAAGGAAUUGAAAGCAAUAAGCCUUUCGUAUUAAAUCUCAAAAUAAUGUGUCGUAAAAUUACAUGGAAGAAAUAAACUUAUAUUUAUACUAAUCCUAGAAUAUAAGUUAUAAAAGGAAUAAAACUCUAAAAUUCUAGAAAAUAUGGAAAAGAUUCGUUCAAUAUAUUAAGAAUUUGACUAAGAAUAAAAUACUAGCAAAUAUGGAAAAAACGCGGAAAAAGGAAAUUUUCUUCCCGAAUUGACCCUAUGCGGCCACAUAGAGUAAUUCUAUGCGGUCACAUAGAAGAACUAAUUUGGCGACUUAAAUCCUUGCUUGCCCGAAUGCGAACGUAGCUCCAAGUUAACUAUGCGGUCGCAUAGUUGACUUCGGUAGCUUCUUCUUCACUCACUUGUAUUGAAUUGAUCCAUUUUGAUUCUACUUUCAACACCAAGAUGAAAGUUUCUUCAGUUUAUGCUCCGAACAUCGUCCCGUCAAUGGUUUCUCGAAUGAGAAAUCCCAUCAUUUGUUUUACUUGCUUUACCCUUGAUCGCAUCAUCGGUCCACCUUCGAUAAUCAACGGGUCUCGUCUCGAACUCACUGUCUUCAAGCUCAAUUCUUGGAUCACAUCAUACCUAUUCUCAAAAAUCAACCUCUAAUUUAAGGUUUUCACCUAAUUUUCAUCUUAUUAGUUCAAGACAGUCCACAAAAAAAUUAGCGCACACGGAAUCCACAUUAAUAUCUAUAUUUCCCUACAAUAGAUGAACCUUCUAAACGGUUUAGGGGUAUAGUAAUGUUUAACGGUUGUUUGGGUUUAGCAUCUAAGUUAUCUAGUCCAACCUAUAAACAUGAAUUAACCUACGCAAGUACAACACCACAAUCAAUUCACGUGCAUAAAAUAUUUUCUGUCUAGCAUGAAUAAGCAAAAAUUUAACUCAAACACAUAACUUAUUCAUAAUUCAUAAACCAACGCAUGUUCUCAAUUACACAAAUCAAUAUUGGCAAGACUAUCUAACUCACACAAGCAUGCAAAACACAAUGAUUUUUUUUAAACAAUGCACAGAAUUAAGAAAUUAAAAAAUGCACACAAAUCAAAGAAAAAUUUGUACACAAAUCACACAAAUUGAAAAAUUCAAGCAGUUAGAAAAAUAAAAAAAUAUAGGUAAUUAGGCAAUUUAUAAUAUACUCCUCUCAAACUUAAACUAAACAUUCUCCCCAAUGUGAAAUUAAAAUAAAAGGAGGAGGACUUUCCUGAAUUGUCUGAAUUGGCAAUGAUGGUCUGAUGCUCUGAUGUUGAAUUUAAUGGACCUCUUUUCUAACUUUUCUCCCCAAACUUGUGAUUUUUCAUGUUUUCUCCUUGUCACUGUUGGUAUAAUUGUUCCGCGAUGUCAUGUUCCUGAAAAAUCAAAUUUUAUAUAUUAAAUAUAUGGAACAAGUGUUACUUAGCUCAAACAUCUAAUAACCAACUUGACUACUUAUAAACCUAAAGGAAGACGGGAUAUGGCUGAUGAAUUCCUAAAUAAAAACUAUAAAAUAACUUAAACUAUCCUAUUAAUCAAAAACAAAAGAACAAAAUAAUAAAACAAUAAAACGCUUAGGUUACCUCCCAAGAAGUGCUUGUUUAGAGUCAUUAGCUUGACUUUGGCAAUUGCAUUAUGGAACUAUAAAGAAGGCUUUGGAUGCCCUGUCGAUUUUUCUUCUUUUGUCUUUGCUCCACUCUUCGUUGUUUUUCCAAACCUCGUCAUUGUCCUUUUCAAUGUGAUAUGAUCUUUUGUGCGGUCCAAUUCAAACUCAAUAGUAGACUUCAACCUUCUCAUCGGAUUUAAUCACAAAAUCAAUCUCUAUAUAAUCAAUGAAGUCAGACGAAUGUACGUUGUUUUCAUCUUCAUUGAUUUCUACAUCUUCGUUUGGUUCCUUUGUGAUCAAGUUGUCAUUCACUUCAGGCUCUUCUACGAUCAUUGAAAUUUCUUCGGAUUGAUUUAUUGAUCCACAUUCUAUAUCCACGGACGAUGAGAAGUCAUUCUUCAACCCCUUCGAGUGGAUUGUAUUUCCACCUUUUAAAUUCACUCCAGUAACUCCAAUCUCCAACCGAUAUUUUGCUCUCUUCCAAAUUGGCAAGUUUAUUGUAGUACUUUGCAAUUACCCUCCCAUUCAACAGAGGAGGACCAUUUCCCAUAAGUGUGAUGUCCUUAUCCCAAUCAAUAGGUACUUAAUCUUCCAAAGGCAUGUAGUCUUCAUCAGAUUUGUCAAUCGCUUCUUUUUGACAUCUUAAACAACGUAUGAACCUUUACUUUAUGGGGGUUGGUAGGUGUAUGCCAACAGUGCUUAGUGUAAUGCAUCCCACAGCAGAUUUCACAGAAGAUAUUUUCAACAAACAUGUAGUUUGUAUCCAUGUCAAGAUUACUUAUUUCAGUUGCUCUGCUCUCUUGCUGAUGUUGGAAUUAUGCAUAUACUAUUGAGUAGUUCCUGGAAAAUAUUUUAAAAAAAAAAUCAGGUGGGUAGGCAAAAUUAACAAAAUAAAAAAAAGAAAGAAAAAAUCUAAAUUAAAAUAGAAAUUACUUGAUAAUAAUAUGAGUAAAAAUCAUAUUAACAAUUCCCCGACAAUGGUGCCAAAUACUUGCCACGCGUUUUCUACAACAUGAUUGAUACCGCAAGUGUACGAUGUCAAGUUUUGUAAUAUAAUAUUGAAGUAGAGUGCCGAACCCAUAGUGAUUGUAAUUUAAUUUUCACUAAGUACUAUAAUUGUAUAAUCUCUACUUUAUUCAAAUGAAUGUAUGAUUGAAUGGAUGAAUGUUUUAUGAAUGAAUGAUUUAAACUAAUCUAACGUGAUUGGAUGCGACAAAUUGGGAGAAUGCAAAUUAUCAAAUGAGAGGGCCUAGGGUUUGAUUCCACCUAACUCUCAAUUAUGAUUCAAUGAUUUUCAAUUAUUUCGAUUAAUUUUUUUCAUAUUUAAAAGCAAGAAUCCUAAUGUAUUUUUAACCCCUCUCUCGAGCACCGAUUAGAAAUUAACCCUAGAUCCCAAUUCCAACAUCUUUGUUUGAAAUUGAAAAUCAAGAAUUUAAUAAAAGUUUCGAUUCUUUUGUGGAGUAAGCUUAACAGAUUUAUACUUUCUCUCGAAACCUAUAAAACCUAUGUCGUGUCAAUCUUAUGAUCAUGCCUAAAUUCCUCCUCUCUCUCUCUCGUGUCGAAAUUGACUAGCAUCAAAUCAUUCAAUUGUUGAUCAAACGAUUGAAAGCAUUAAAAUCAUGACACAAUUAAAUACAUGUGGAAAAUCAAACAAAAUAAUUAAUAAUUUCAUCAAACCAUAAUUUCAAUUCGGCUACAUCAAACCCUAGGUAAGUUGUUUAGCUCAUGAUUAAAUAUAUGAAAUUCAUACAAAUUAUAAUGAAAAAUGUAAAGGAGAAAGAAAAGAAAUUAAACUCUUUUGGAGUGUAAUCGAUUCUUCCCUUGUUCCACGCCUUCCAAUUAAAUUCUGCCCUUUGACUCUUUCAAAGUUAUCUACCCAUCCACUUUUUUCUCUUCUUCCAGAUUGUAUGUUGGCUAUCUGCUUGAAGUUCCCUCUGGUUCGUUCCUUCUACAAAUUUCGAUCGGUUGAAGCUCUUCCAGUCAAGCUGUGUAUUUGGGAUCUUGUUUUAGGCGGCUGAAAUCUAUGUAAUUCUCUCCAGAUUCUCCCCAAUUCGUGAAUUUGGGAAGCUACCCUCUUUCUCCAAUUUGUCUGCCAGCUCUCCCCUAGUUUUGUCCACUCCAAACCCUCUUCAUUAGGUCGUGUAAAAAAAUAAAUUAAAUUAGAAUUUUUUAACAACGAAUUUUAGCCCCUACUUGAUGGCCAUUAUUAAAAAAAAAUAAUAAUAAUAAUAAUAAUAAAUAAAAGAGUUCUAAAAAUAAUGAUUUUUUGGAGAAUGUGUGGUUUAAAAGUCAAAAAAAAAAUGAGCUUGCGUGUAAAAUAUUUUAUUGUAUAGAUGUGUGGUUAAAUCCAAAUUUAUAGUGAGUAAUAGAAGAUAUUUUUCAAAGUUUAGUGAUCAAAUUUUGACAUUUUUCAAAGUUCAGCGAGCAAUAGAAGAUAUGUUUCAAAGUUUGGUUGCCAAAAUUCGACCAUCUCAAAGUUUAACUGUGUGACGAGGCACCACGUGUGCAUCCCGUCGGCUAUGUCUCGAAUUUUUUAGGGGUUUGAGACGGAAGGUAUGCUAGUUAAUAACGUACAAUAUUUCUCAAAGUUUAGUGGUCAAAACUCAACAUUUAAAACUUUAGUGAGCAAUUGAAGACAUGUACCUAAGUUCUAUGACCAAAACUCGACAUUAUAAACUUUAGUGAGCAAUCGAAGACAUUAGCCUAAAUUCAGUGAACAUUGGAACAAUUAGCUUGAAACUUAGAAAAAAAUCCUCAAAUAUUAGAUGUCUUUUGAAAAAUCAUAAAAGUAUGUUGAAAUUAAAAAACAUUAUGUAAAGUUAAAUGUCUCUUUUCAAAGUUAAAACUGACACGCGAUAUGUUUUCACCAAAAAAGUUGACAGGAAUUUUUAAAAAAAAAGUAAAAAUCAAUUAAAAAAAAGUAACGGAAGAAAGUGACAAGCACUAUUCAAAAAUGACAAAAGUUAAAAAAGAAAAAAAAAAGAAAAAAUAGUGAUACACUCAAAAAAGUGAUAAAAUACCAAUCAAAAAUUAUGUUUGUCACUCAAAAAGUGAAAAAAUUAAAAAAAAAAACAGAUAAUAAAAAAAAGUGACAGAAAAAAGCGACACUUCAAAAAAGUGACAAACACUACAAAUACUAAAAAAAGUGACAAAACACUAAUCAAAACAUUAAAAUAUAUCAUUUUAUACAAAUUUAACCACUCCUUCAAUAUACAAACUUAUUUCAUAAUUAUUUUCCUACACAAAUUUUAAAUUUCCAAAAGAAAAGAAACUACCAAAUCGCCACCCUCUAAUUUCUCGGGCGUUCAUUUUAUCUUUUCUUUUCUUAGUCGCAUUUCUCCCCAAUAGAAAUAAUUCAAUCAAUUUUAUGGAGAAAUCCUCUUUGACUCAUUAAUUUUAUUUUACAAGACAAAGGUGAACCUUCUUCUUUCUUUGGUAGUCUAUUUUUUUUUUUUUUUUGUUAAUUUUGAAUUUAAUGAUUGAUUAGUGAUUAGUUUUCAAUUAUUGAUGCAUUGAGGAAUGAAUCUUUCUUUUAUUGUUAAAUUUGAGUUUUAUGAUUGAUUUAUUUCUUGUUAAUUGACUGAGGAUGAGGAGGUGGAAUACUAAUAGAGAAGAUGAUGCUGAGUCAAGAAGUAUUGUCGUCGAGGAAAAGCAUGUCAUUGGAUAGCUCAAUUCUAUAGGAAGAAAUUCAUCGCAAAGAACAGUGGGGAAGGAUUAUAGUGACAUUUAUGGUCUCUUUAAUCAGUUACGAGAUUCGGGGGUUUUGGUUUUGGGGGUAUGUUUUAUUUUAAGACUUAAUUAAUACGAGAUUUUAUGCGAUGUUUAAUUAAUUUAGGAUAUUAAUCCAAUUGGGUAACUUUUUAGAGCAUUUGGCCUAAUUUCCUCUUAUUUUAUCAAAAUUUAAAGUGGAAUCUAGAAUCCUUAGGCCCUAAAGCUCAUUAUAGCCUAUUUGAGCCUAUCUUUUCCAAAUUCAUUUCAAUCACACAUUCUCCCAUCAAAUAAUUUUUCACGUAAAUUUAAAUUUUUUUCAAUUUUUUAAAUCAUGCAUUCUCCGAAAAAUUACGAUGUCAAAGUAUUUUUUUUAGUUAAAGGAGGAUGGUACUUCCUAUAUAUUAUUAAUAUGCCCUCACUUGUGAUAGAGGAAUACCGUGGUUACAUGAGAAAAUAAUGAAAGCAAUAAACAAGGAAAUACUACUUCCCUUACAAAGAGAAUAAAUGACAAAGAACAAACAUAAAGCUAUAAGAGAGGAAGUACUACUUCCCUUACAAUGAAGAUAAAUGAUAAAGAACAAACGUAAAGCUAUAAAAAGAAAAAGUACUACUUUCCUUACAAUAAGAAUUAAUGCAAGUGAUUACAAAAAGAAGAAGAAUAAUAAUAAAUAAAUAAUCAUACUCUAAUGUUGGGCAGUCCAUAUCUUUCAAUCUGUACCAGUGCCCUAAUGUGUCAUGGUAAGUCAGCUGCUCUAUAUAUGUGGUAUCGGCGAUGAUACCAACCCUCUACAGCAAGAGCAUCUGCUACUUGGUUUUUCUUUUUGUAGAUGUGGGAAACUGUAGCUCUAUCGAUGGAUACGAUGUCUAUGAUUUGUCUAAGAAUACCCUGAAUAGCCCAUGGUCCUCCCCCUUUAGUGAUGCAGUGAAUAGCUAAAAGCCCAAGAACAACUAACCAAGAGGGGCAUGAAUUGGUUAAUUGAAACUUUUUCACAAAUUUAAGCAAAUAACUAUGAAUAAACAAGAUAACACAAAAGUAAUAAGAAGAAGGGAAAAGAGAGUGCAAACGAUGUAAUAAGGAGGUUCAUCCAAUCACGAUCUACGUCCACCGUUACCGAGCUCUCCGUCACGAGCAAGGUCUUUUUCACUAUGUUGAUUGACUUAUGGUGCAAUCCAACCUUCUACAAAGCUUUCGGUGACUUACAAACAAGGAGCACUGAUUUUUUACAGCGUUGAGCUUUCUAGGAUCUCAACACGACCCACACUAUUGAGCUUUACGGGACUUCAAUAUGACCUACACGGUGACUGACAACAAGGAGCUCCAAUCCUUAUACAUCAUUGAGCUUUUCGGGACCUCAACACGACCCACAACCAAAACCAAGAGAGUGAAAUAUUACAAGUGAAAAAUUUCUCUCUUAAUAAAUGAUAUCGACACAAUUAAGUAUCAAGAGAGAAGAACGCUCAACACUUCAAUAAAUUGCAAAGAGUAUAGCUCAAGUGUUGGUUGAAAAAAAUUGAUGAAUAUGAUAAUUAAAAGUUAAAUUCAAUGAAUCAAAGUUUUCAAUAUGAAGAAGUUGAAGAGUUUGUGUAAUGUAAGUAGAAAGAACUUCUUCAAAAAUAUAUCUCUCUUAUAAAUUUGAUAUUAUCAAGUUAAGAAUAAAGAGAGAUGAAAACCUUUGAUGAGUAAAAGUUGAUUCAAGAAAUUUGAUUUAACAAUCAAGGUUUUCAAUGUGAAGAAGUAGAAGAAUUUAUACAAUGUGAGUGCAAAUACCUUCUUCAAAUAUAUAUCUCACCUUGGAAAUUAAUACAAACAAGUUAAGCUCCAAGAGAUAUGAAAAACUUUGAUGAAAGGAUGAUUCAAGAAAUUUAAUUCAAAGUUUUGUUGUGAAGAAAUAAAUAAAAUGAAAAUAAAAGUUAAGCUUCAAAGAAGAUUUUUCACAAUAAUAACUCACAAGAAAGCUCUCUUCAUUGUUAUGUUGAGGAAUGGAAGAGAAAUGGAAUUUAUAGAACUCAAUGGACAAAAAUCUAUCCAUCCGGAUGUCCGGUUAUGAUCCGAACACCCAAAACUAGCCGUUGUGUAAUAGUAAAAAAAAAAAUUACCGUUCGCGGAUCCGGAUGUCUGGUUGACCGUUGACCGGACCUUUUUUUUUUCCAUAAAGAAUCAUGGUCUAAGUUCAAAGAUGACUUUUGAAAAAUCAAACUUAUUUUCUUUUGUUAAAAACAUUUUAUGCAAGUGGUAGUGAAAAUAAUUUUUGGUACACAAAAUGAUUUUGUGUCGUGAAAAUGUUUUCGUGCAUAAAAACUGUUUGAGCUAUAAUCGAUGCGAAAUAUUAAAGUGUUCUACCUUUACAUUUGAGUUCAAAAACGCAUCUAUAUCAAAUGUCUUCAAUAUCUUCUUCCAAUGUGAUUUUUGAUGCAAAUGCUCGAUUUCCAUCUCCACGUUCGUCUAUCUCCAAUUUGCUUCCAUGUUGAUCUCCAAGCAUCAAAAUCAUUUGUCCAUGUGCGUGAUUCUUGAUCCCGAUUCUAGCGCCUUCAUUUGUUGUUAAUUCCAUGAUAAUUACUAUCAACACUCAAAUUCAAUUUGUUAGAAUUAAACGCAAUUUGUUUGUGAUAAUCAAAACGAGAAGUCAACCAUUUGGUCAACAAUAGCCACUUUAGAAUCUGACUCAAUCCAAAUGUCUGAAAGACCGAGUCCUCUAGCUAGUAGAAUUCCAUCAAGAAUAGCCCUGAGCUCUGCCUCUAAUAUCAUGCACGUUCCAUAUGUAGUUGAAAAAGCCUUGAUACAGGAUCAUGCGUGAUCGUUGAUGAUACCUUUCCCAUUUGCAAUACCAUCCUUGACGCAUCCAUAAGUAUUGAUCUUGAUAUAUCCAAGUGAUGGAGUAGCCUACCAAACCAGAAUUGGAGGAGAUUGGGUAGGGGAAUCAAAGAAAUACCAAAGAUGGGUACAAGAGUCAAAUCUCUUUGUCAACGCAUAGCUUGAAACAUUCCUCCAAUAUGUAGAAAAGAGAUCAUGUGAUAGACCCUCCAUAUGAUACGUCUGGCCACCAUACAGAUCCUCCUAUGCUUUGCAUCAUUCCUCUCGGUCCAAAGAAACCAAAAUACCAGUAGAGGAAUAAUAGUACAAAUGUGUCCACAACGAACAUACUGUCCAGAAUACCUCUAUCUAACUCCCUCUUCUAAACUCAUAGGUAUCUGAAAAAUGUUCCCAAAAUGUUGUCGUACAUGAUCAGAAAUGUUACUGUCGGUGAAAAUAUGACUAAUAGACUCAAUCUCAGAACAACAUUGGCAGCGGGAAGCUGAUUGAUAGCCAAUCCUCCUCUGGAUAACCACAUCUACUAGAAUGAGGUCCUGCAUAGCCUCCAGCAGAAAAUAAGACAGUGGUUGGCAAAAUGGUGUUCAACAGUAGUCGAUAUGAAUUCUGAUUCUGGCAUCCUAAAUGUAUGAACUGCCAUGCCAACUUGGUAGUAAAGCUACCAUUCAAUGUAUCCCACCAAACAAUACAAUCUGGGGCAUCACACAUAAAGGUAUAGCCCCUAUCUCCUUUGCCAUAAAAGGAGGGAGAACCUGCAAUAAGCGUCCAAUGUCCCACUUAGGAUCAUCAAAAAAUGCCUGCACCCUCGCAGAUGUGUGCUGCUAGUGUGGUAAUAAUGAGUCCAAAGUGGUGUCUCCCUUCCAACAAUCAUGCCAAAAAAAUAUCUAACCUGCUCCAAGGUGCCAUACAAUGUGUGGCUCUAUCCGGGGCUCGAACAAUUUUAGCCUUUUCCAGGCAGGAGAAGCUGAGUGGGAGACUGCUGCAAGUAAAUGAUGUGUUCCCAUAUAAUAUUUGCCAAGUAAAAAUUAGGUCCAAAGUGAUCUCUGAGAACGAAACAACCACCAGAGCUUUUAUGGAGAAGGUGUCUACCAUAUCCUGUAAUCUUCUGAAACCUAGACCACCUUCAUUAGUAGUGAUGUGAACCCAGUUAGCUAGGUUGCUAUCAAACCCAUAGGAAUUGACAAGGACCCCAAGAACGCCCAAAUAAUGAUCAAGAUUUAGGAAUCAACCCACAAAAGUGAACUAAGCAACCGAACGUAUAUGAAAUGAACGACCUCUUAAUCACACAAUCUUGAAAUCUCCUCCGGAUUUGUGGAUUUGACCCAAAGAAUUAAUGAAUCAAACAACCCAAUGAUAACUACGAUGCGAACGACCAUUUGAUUACACAAUUCAAUGAUUCAUACCCGAUGUUUUGUUUGAACACCAUAAGAUAUCAAAUCUUGAUAAGUUCAGUAUUUUGAAGCAAAAGCUUCAAAAGAAAAUUUAUUUAAUAAUCCAUGAUAAAAGUUGUGUUACAAUGAAGAAAAUAAAACCUAAUUAUAUGGAAAACUAAAAACCUAAUUUUAUAAGGAAUAAAAGUCUAAGAAAUCUAGUUUUAAAAGGAAAUCUCAUGCUAACAUUGUAAAGAUAAGGAAAGAUUGGAAUUCUAAAACAAUAGGGACUCCUCGCAAAUUUUGGAAUUUUUUGGUCGUUUUUAGCCUAUGCGACCGCAAGGCAUUAAUGUAUGUGGUCGCAUGAUAUAUGGAGUUCGGCCCUCCAGAUCCCUGUAAUAUGUUGUGCGGUCGCAAGGACUUUUUAACCAAGCGGUCGUAUGGUUACGAUCUUGGUCUGAUUUCCAGUCGCAUGUAACACCUUGAUUUGUUUGGUUUCGACCUUGGAACCCUUCAUCAAAUAUGUCAUUUGGCUUCACAUCUUCAACCUCUUAGACUCCAAUGCUUCAAUCAGUAAUUGUACAGCUUGAAUUCGACCCCCAAUUGGUCUCCAACUAAGCUCAAACUUUGCCCUUGGCCUCUCGCCCACCGUCAACAAGCUCUCAUUCAACUCGAGCCUAUUCUAGAUCACAUUAAGUAGAAAGGCGAUCCUUCCAUCUCUGCCAAUGUAACCACAAUGCCUGUUCCUUGGAAUCCCAUAGGAAUCGCGCAAAGAUGCUCUCAAGUUUCUUCAAGCCAGCCUUAGGGUGCUGCAUAAUUUGAAGAAGAUGUAGUGGCAUAGAAAAAACAUUGAUCUCAGCAAGAUAAUAUGGCCACCAGGUGAUAAUAAUCGUGAAGCCCAACCUGAGAUCUUAUCCCUGGCCUUCUAGAUAAGAUUAUCAUAAAUGAAGCUCCUUCUAAUCCUCUUAGAUAAGUGGACUCCCAAAUAAAUGAAAGGUUGUUGCGGGUGUCGAAAUCUAGUCAAAAUCUCCAAUCGUCUGAUCUGACUAAUGGAUGCCCUUCUAGCUAGUAUAAGUCCACUCUUGUCCCUAUUCACCAACUGAACAAAAAUCCCUUCAUAAUGUUCCAGACAAUGAAAAAGCUUCCUAAUAGACUGUUUCUGGCCGUUGGAGAAUAUGAUCAUAUCAUUAGCAAGUGAAAGGUAUGAGAUAAGAGUACUACCUCCAUGCCGAUAACACAUACUGGGAUACUUCUGAAACCUCUAAGUGAGUAGGCGUGAGAAGUAGUCUGCAGCUAUGAUGAACAAUGAUGAUGAAAUGGGAUCACCCUGUCUGAGCCCUCGUAAGGAUGAAAAAAUCACAUGGGCGACCAUUUAGGAGUACAGAAAAAUGACACUCCGAGAUGCAUCGCCUAAUCCUGUCGAUCCAAAUUUGAUCAAAUUCGAAUGCCUCCAAUACAAAAUAAAUGAAGCCCCUAUCCAUAAGAUCAUAUGCUUUAGCCAUGUCUAGCUUCAGCACAGUGUUACUCCCUCAUACUCUAGCAUCCAAAGAAUAGAGUAGCUCCUGAGCUAAUAACACAUUAUUCGCAAUCAAGCGGCUAGGGAUAAAUCCACUUCAUGGAGGAGAGAUAAUGCGUGGUAAUAGUGAACUCAACCAAUUGUUCAAAAGCUUAGUUAUAAGCUUAUUGAACAUUGUGCAUAAACUGAUGGGUCUGAAGUCAGUCCAUCUACAAGCUUCAUAUAUCUAAGGGAGUAAAACGAUAGUUCUAGUGGUAAAACCCCGUGGAAGAUGGCCACCUUAAAAAAAGUCCAAACGGCCCUAUAUAUAUUGUCCUAAAUAAUAUCCCAGCAAUACUGGAAGAAUAGAGAUGAGAACCUAUCCAGACCUACAGCACUAUUAGCAUCUAUGCUAAAAAUCGCCUCCCAUACCUCAUGAAUUAAAGAUGGACGCUUUAGAGUCAAAUUAUCAUCCUCCGUCAAGAGCCUGGGAAUAAUAUCAGAAAGGAUGGGGUCCAAAAGCUAUGGAGAAUCAAAUAGAAGAUUCUGGUAGAACUUCGACAGCCCUGCACCAUCGUAUGAAAGUAUCGAGUAUUAUGAUCUCCCUCACAUACCCAACAUAAGCCUGCCUUUAGCUUCCAAAAGCCCUCCUCAAUAGAUAAAGUUUGAUUCAAAUCUGCCUAAGCAUGAUGUAGUAACUUGCGAUGCUCCGGUGUAGGGUCAUUGUCAUAUACUGCCUCUGCUUCAUCAACCAUAUCCUCAGCGUCCCUCACCCUUUGGAACACAUCUCCAAUCACAUGUCGAUUUCACCAACGCAGUCCCUAUUGUAGCCUUAAGAACUUCUCCAAAGAACAGUCAUCUCUAUAAGAUGUGUAGGGAGUGACCAGUUUUGAGAGACAAAGGCUAAAAAAUCAUAAUGCUUGGUCCAAACAUUGAGGAAUCUGAGAAGUUUAGGCCCCAAAUUAUCAUCAGAUACCUAUUGAAGUAGUAAAGGCGAAUGAUCAGAUGAAGUCCGAUUCAAGUUCCUUAUUGUAAGUUGUCGACAGAAUGCUGUAGCUGUAAAAUUAAUAAGUAUCCUAUCCAGUCUCUUUCUAACUUGACCCAUUGGUCCUAGUGUAUCGAUUCCCAAGAAAGCUAGCAUCCUCCAAGCCAUAGUCUAACAUCAUGUCAGAGAAAGCAGUAGUGCUUCCAUCAUUAAUAUUAUGACCAGUGCGUUCACCAUCAUGUGUGAUAACGUUGAAGUAUCUCCCAACUAGCUAAGGGUCGUCCAUAUCAAGAAAAAUGUGGGGAAGAGCCGUCCACAAAUCCCUCCUGAUAGUCGCCUAACAUGAAGCAUAGACGGGAGUCAGAUAGAUGGGACGUGCUAGUCUAGGAUCCUCAACUCUAACUUGAAGGAAUUGGGAGAUGAUCAACAAUAAUAGUAACAAUAGUGCCCACAUUCCAAACAAACCAUAUCUUGUUCGACUCAUUCUGAACAUCCAUGUCAAAGCUUAGGUAUCAUCAAAUAUGUGUAAAUCUAUGUUGUAGAACUGAAGGCUCCAGUGUAACCAAGCGAUAAACUUGAUGAAGCCAUAUAAGUCUUCUUAGGCGCCGGCGAGUCGCCACACUAGUUGUAGCUCUCGCAUUCCAUAUGAUGGCACUCAUAGGGACAUAGAAUAUGAGAGGUAUCAUGUGACUGGCUCCUAGUAACUCUCCUACUCAGAUGUGGAAUAUUAGUAGCCCGCUGUUGUUUCUUUCGUUUAACCCGAACCAAAUUUUCAUCCCCUGUUCAUCCAACCAUUCCAAUCAGAUCCUCGUUAGAGGACCUACAAAAUAUGCCUUACUGGUACACCUCAAUCUGUGGUGAUCACUCUAUAUCGGGCUGUUCAGACUCUAGAGAUGGAAUAGAUGCCUCAACGUUCUGCUGAUAAAGAGAAGUAUAGUGGUAAUAGGUGCCAGAGUAAGUGGAGAUGGACCUAAAAUCUGUGUAGCUCUGAUACCUUCAUACUUUGAGUCAUCUGGCAUCAGUGGUUUUUAGACCAUAAAAUCCACAAGGGAAUUGAAAUAUGAAGUAUAGGCGGCAUGUCGACUUGAGGUGAAUUCCCAUUAGCAUCAACUAUAGUAGGCAAAGAUGGCAAUGGAGAACUGGUCUGAGUAGAAACUAAACUCAGAACUGGCUGAACUGUGCAAUAUGUGGGACUCACUGAUGGAGCAACUGACUGAACCUGAACAUGUUUUCCAACAAGAGCUGGUGUGUCAACCGUAGCAAAUGGUGGUACUGGUCGUGAGAUAGACUGAAUCUAGAUGCCUAAAGUGCUAAUAGUAUGCUAUCCUCGUUGUUCCCUACGAAUUGGACCAAUUGCUUAGAGGGCUCAACAAGUGUUUCCUUACCCUUUCUCUUGUCAUUGUCCUGAUCAAUAGGCCUAGGAACACGGUCCUCAUCUGUGAUUGCAGUAGGUGGUGGUGCUAGGCAUGUUCCAAACGAACAGUGCUCGUUAAUAUGUCCAAAGUGUUUGCAUCGAAAGCAAUAUUCUGGUUUUUUAUCAUAGAGGACAAUCUGCUAAUAUCCACCACGCUUUUCCCUCUUAAUCCAAACCCUGUCAAGGAGCUUAUACUCUAAAUUAACCUCAAUACAUACCCAAGCCUCACUAGGUUGAUAAAAAUCUGAUGUUGCCUCAUCAAUACGCAGUGCCACUCCAAUUGCCUUAGCUAAGGUAAAUAAACUACUCUUGACCUGAAAAUGAAUGGGCAAUAAAAGAAAGGAAACCGAGACAGAAGCAAUAGGGGUCUCAUAUUGUGGACUGAAACUAGAUGUCCAUUUAAUAACUUGCAUAAAAAAUCCAUCAAUGUACCAAGUGGGUUUGAGGAAUAACCUUGAGUAGUUAUCCUCGUGCACUAAAUGAAUUAAAAUAUGUGAUGAAUCAAUAGGCCUAUCAUGAAAACCAAAUGUCUGAAAGCUAUCAUGUACCUUAACCAUUGAGGGCUUGCGCUGAGAGAAUUUAUCGACAAGUUUAAACUUGUAUGGCUCAGAUAAAAAUUCUUCCUCCUUCUCAGUAAAGGAAAUUGCAGCCUCCCCCAUAUGCAUGAAAGGUUCCUUGGAAGCAGGCCCGUGGUCCCUAAAAUCUUGUGGGGGCCUGAAAGACAAGUGUAAAAGAUUUUCUUUGACUCCUUUCUGCCUAAAAAGUAAUAGGUUUGCCAGAAAGGGCGGCAGCAUAUGAUUUCUUAUCCUAACUCUGUGAUGUCUGACCUACUAGUGGCAACCGAGCUUGAGCUGAACUUCCAGAAAGAAUAGUCGUGCCAAGUGGUCGCAUUAUCUGAGGCAAGGUACCUUGGGAUUUUGCAGCUGGACAUGGAUUAACAUGAUCAAUUUGGUGAGAAAAGACCUGGGAAUCAUGAGGAAUAGUUACUGGUUCAGUUUCUUGAUUUUCGUGCGAAGGCACGCUUUCCAAUGUAGUAAUUCUGUUAAAUUGGGAGGAAAAUUUCCAACCACAAGGAUUUUUGGGGCUAUUGAGAGCAAUGGGAAGGGUAAGACAAUCUGAUUUUGCCCAGGAAUUGUUGAAUUAGCUUGCCUCGUUUUGCGUGCCAUUAGACACUAAUCCCAAAGAGUAGUUUCGGACCGAAUUGGACUUAAUGUGCAUCAUCCUAGGGGUUUUCAUGGCUUCCCAAUUCAAUGGAGAUGGUCCCACACCCAGGAUUCGAGCUGAAUCGAUAGAAUUUAUCGGCACAGAUUGCACCUGAUCCAAGGAAAAGUGACUUUAAAAUUGAAAGAAUUGACGUUAUAGUUGGAGCAAUUAGGACAAGACCCAAUGUUGGUGUUGCUUGAAUUAAGUUUCCAAUGAUUGAAUUGGUGGAUUUGAGCGUACUAGAACCUUCAAUUAAUUGAGAAGAGCCAGUUUCGCUCGCGUUGGUUAUUGUCGAGUUCAAUUCCAAAAUUGGUCCGUCUAACUGAUGAAUUGAUGCUAUUGAAGAAUGACCCAUAGUUGUACCAAUAGUAAUUGAAGGAUUGAAGCCCAGUAGAAUCCUCAAUUGGAAAGGGAUUGGCCAAACCAGUACGUGUGUUACUUAUCUUUUUCAAUUUAUCUAUGUUAGCUCGAAAUUGGUGAUGACCCAUAGGCUGAUUUGAUGCAUCUGGAUGAGGCGUUGCUGGGGGAGGUGGCCCAAAAUUUUCUGAUGAAGGUGCAGUAUUCGUUGUUUGGAGAAAUGGUUGUAAAUUUUGAUUCUCAGUGUUGUUAGGUGUUAUAAGACCAUUUGUAGGUGCUAAAUGAAGAGAUUGUUCGAUCUGGGUGAUGGACAAGGCACGGGUGUCACCGAAAAUAGUAAUUCCAGCUUGUUUUGAUGAGAUUUUUCUACCAUAUCUGUCGGAUCUACGGCCUGUGUUUGAUUAGGUUAUGAGGAGGGCAGGGAGGGCUUCACGUAGGUAUGUUGGUCCGAUGGCCUAGGUGGCCAGAAGUUGUCGAAAAUUAACUCCAUAAAGUGGUGAUGGUAAGAUUGUUUAGGGUAAUUUUAGUAGAGUUUUGAGUAUUGUGAUUCUCAAAAUAUAUUUCUCCUAAAAAAGGGUCUCAAAUAGGGCUUAGCCUAUGUUUAAUUUUGUUUUGAGGUGUUUAUAAGCUCGUUGAUGCGAACCCACGUAAAGGGUCUCAAACAAGGCUUAGCCUAUGUUUAACUGUAUUUUUGGGUGUUUAUAAGCUCGUUGAUACGAACCCACGUAGCAGCGAUGGCUACGAAACUCACAACAAGAUUGUUAGAACCUAGAAAAGAUGAAUUGCAGGUUUAUGAGUUUGAACCAAGAAAUCCAACAAGAUCGUUGCUUGAAACACCCAUUGAUUACAUGUUCAGAUAUUCACGCCCAAGUUGUUUGAACGCCACAAGAAUUAUGAUUCUUGAUAAGUUCAAGAUGUUCAAUGAAGAACGGAAGAAGAAAGCACAAUUGCCUCUCAAAGGAUUCUCUCAAUUUAUUGAAUAAAUUUGUGCAAUGUCGUGUAUUACAAUGAAGAAAUAAAGCCUAUGUUUAUAUUAAGUAUCAAACCCUUAAAAUCUAGUAGAAUUCGUGCAAUAUAAGUCAAAGAUUACGAUAAUAUGAAAUAAGAAUAAAAUCUAGCCUAAUAUGGAAAAUCCCCAAAAAGAAAAUAUUCGCCUAAAUUUUUUCUCUGUGGUCGCAUAGAAGAAGCCUUUGACGCCCAAAAAUUCCUUGCCUGGUUGUAUGGGACCGCAUCAUUGGAUGAACUAUGCGGUCGCGUAGUUGCUGACUUUGGCUCCAACUUCAUCCGCUUCUAUCACAUUGAUCCACUUUGAUUCGGCACUCGACCCGAGCAUGAAAGUUGCCUCAUUUUACAUCCCGAACAUCGUCACAUCCACCCAUCCCUACAUGGACACCACCACCAUCUUCUUUCCCACUCCAACCACCACCCAUCUUCAACUAAUUCCAUACACACUUUUGAAAAUAUGGUUUAAUAAAUUUUAAAUUAAAAAUAAUACGAAAAGCAAAAGCACAAGAGUGAAUGGAAAUGGCUGCCUGGGAUUUUAGCAUGACGAUGCCCUAAGCUUAUUUAAUAUUUAACAUUUUUCAAUUUAUCAGUCUAGUACAAAAUUAAAAAAUUAUUCUCCCAGACUUCAUUCUUAAAAAAGUGUUGUUCAUUUUCUCCUCUUUUUCUUAUCCCUUUUUGGAUGUCCAUUUAAAUUCAAUCUUUAACCUGUAAUUUGAUUUUUUCUUGUUGUAAAUUCAAGAUGGGUUAUGCUUGAAAGUUUGCCAACUGAACAUAUCUAAAUCGACUAUUUUCAAUAGUCCUGCCAAAAUGAAUUCAUGUCAUCAAGGUAUGCUUCAUAAUUAACUCUGAAUGUCAUAUGUGGUGAAAUUAUACGUAAAUCUCAUUUUUUUUCUUCUCGUAGUUUGGUACAGUAUGUCACUAUUAGAGGUAGUGGGAUCGAACAGAUCAAGGGCAGAGCCAAGUACUUUGUCCAGUGCAGGCACAAAUUUAGGUGUCCGCUACAGUAAAUUUUUUGGGGGCCUAAAGUAGUAUAAUUAAUGGAGAUGCACAAACAAAAACUCAAAACACAUUGUACACAUUUAUAUGAGCAAAGAGGCAUGUUUUGUGCAUAUAUUUAUGAAACAAUAGCUGAACAGCUUGAACUACAAAAAUAUAAUCAACUAGGAUUUCCAACCACCUUCAACCUUUACCUGACCCCAGAACUUGCAUUGACACCAGAAAUCGAGCCUUUCAAUUGGGCAAACGUUGGAGCCAAUAUAGCAAUCCGAGAUCAAGCAGUGGCAUCGCAGCGUCGAGGCUCCCUCAGCUUAGAAUCAAAGAUAGGGUUUCAAUCGAUUUACCAGAUUUGGUCUACUGUCUGUGUUACCUUGGUCAGUGGGAACGGUUUUAACUGAUGUAGGCAUAUGGGCUAUGAUCAUGGGUUAAUGUUAAGAAAAGCCCAAUUUAACAAAAAGCCCACAAUUUUUUUUAAAAAAAAUGGCCCAACAACUCACCUUCCCCAUCAAUUCAUCCCUGCUCUUCAGUCUUCACUGCGAUGGCGGCUCUGGAAUUUUCUUCUCUUCUUGGUAUGGACAGAAAAGGCUUACAGGUUACAGUUUAGAAAAAAAUUAUUAGUUAGCUUAAGAAAAAACCCUUAUACCCUUCUUCCACUUCCAGGUUUCCACUCUGCGCUCAACUCUUUGACUUCAAGUGAUGCCUGGAUCUGUCGGAAUUCUCAGUGCUGGCACCGUCUUCAUCUACUGCCUAAAAUUUCAGUGCUUGAAAUCCCAGUGCGGGCACCUACCCUCACUGGUCUGUAGUUGGCUCCGCCCCUAGAACAAGUGGUGGUUGGAAGAGAGAAGAUGAGGCUUUUGUUUAGAAAAUUGUAUAGAGGACAUUUGUGCCAAUAAAAAAAAAUGUCAUUCAUGCAAAACUUUUCAAAAUUUUCCACAUUUAGAAAGGACACCUUCAUAAAGUAACCAAAAUAAAAAAUUAUGGGUUCAUUUUAAAUAUGGCAACUUUUGAUUUAUUAUUAUUAUUAUUUUGCAAAAAUAGUCAUUUUUUAAUUAAGAUUAUCAUUAUACCAUUUUCCAUAAGCAUUAAAGGUUUUUUCUGGAACUAGAUAGAACAGGACGAUUUCACUUCAGUUCUUUUACUAAAUGGGUCAAUUUUGGAAUCACACAACGAGAACCUAUCAGUUUUGAUCCAAUUCUAGGUACUGUCUUGAGAACUAAUAGUGAAUUCGAUUCUCCUGAAUUUCUCUUUUUGUUGAUAUAUUGUAUCAAGAUGCAUCAGAUCUUUGAAUACUAGACCCAAAAAUUAUCCUACACCGGAAUUUCACUUUCAUACACUUCUCUUUCAUUCUUUUGCAGCAAAGGAAUAAUAAGUGGUUUUAUAUUUUGUUUUUGUUUAUUUUUAAUUGACAAGUAGUUUUAUAAUUUAUUAUUAUGAUUUUUCUAAAGAACCAGAUCGAUCGAACUGGAAUUGAUUGGAUCGGUUCCAUAGUUGAAUAUGAAACCAAUAGUCCCAUUUCUAAAAUUUUCAUUGGUACUUUGUUCGAUUCGAUUCCUUUCAAAUUCGGACUAAAUUAGACCGUCCCAACUCUUAACAAGCAUCCCUAUUAUCGCAAUCCAGUAACCAUCAUCUUCUUCAACAUCCCUACACUUGCACCAAACAAAUAUCUUCUUCUUCAACAUCCCAAUACUUGCAGUAAACAGCCAUCAUCCAACACCAAAAUCCAACAAACCACCACCACCCAACACUAAUAUCUGGGGAUAAGGAAAACCGUUGCAACCUUCACCAACACUAGUCGCGCGUAGAUCUACUCGACCACCAUCGCAACCACCAUAACUAUAUUACCACUCCACCAUUGCAACCACCACCAAUCACAACAAUAACCACCUUUGCUCCAGCACCACUCGCGGUUGCUAGCAGUAACAUAUUCAAUUGUUAUAGAAGCGGUAAUUAUAAUCUCCUUCCCCGAGUGAUAUUUAUGAUUUUUUCUAUUAAAUUCUAACUACAUAAAUCAUCUCCAAUUCUCACUACAGUUUCUUAUGUGCUAUAUUAUUUUUUUAAAAAAAAUAGGUGGAAAAGUAAUGGAGUACUUCAUGACUCCACGAUGUAACAUUUUCUAUUUUAAAUUUUGCAUUAUGUUUUACCUUAUGUUUUUUACUUAAAGUCUGUUCAAGUUUCGUUCUUUGUCCAAAAUUCAUUUUAAAAUAGUAUUUUUAUAGAGAAUGUGUGGUCAAAAAUAAGGAAAAUUUUCGGAUUGAUGUGUAAUAUUAUUUUAUUGAAAAAUAUAUAUUAAAAAAUAAGAAAGAUAAAAAUAUAUUUUAAAAAUAAUGGGGAUCAAACACAGGCUUAGUCUAGAACGCUAAAGGUAGUUGCAUUUUGUUAUUAUUGAGUACAUAGAACCAACUAGUGUUCCUUACUUUUAGAUAAGCCCGUAUAAUUUAUUUUUUCUUGAACUUUCGAGCUGUUACUAAAUGGUACACAAAUGAUUAUUUGCAACGUUUUGUUGUAAUUAUGGUUUUAUUCUUUAAUAAAGACAUCCACACAUUCUUAGCGAAUUUUUAGGGUCCACCAGGAAGGUCGAUAGGGAUUAAGGGUUCCCUAAAUAUAUAUAUAUAUAUAUAUAUAUAUAUAUAUAUCUUUGUAUUUUGUCUAUCAUAAUUUUGAAUCUCAAUUCUGCCAAAUGCCAUUCUUCUGUAUUCUACGUGAAGUUUUUAGGCCAUUAAUUAUUCUGCACUUUUUUAUUAACCCAAAUUGCAGAGGCAACCAGAAUUCAGUAAUUCCGGCAAGAUAUGGAGAAGAUGAGAAGAUAAUGUGAAGAGACGUGAAGACAAGAUGAAGUGAAAUGGAAAGAGAUUUGAACUUUUCCAUAUUUAUCCCUCUUUGGAUCUUAAUUUGAUUGGUUGAUUGGUUUUUAAUUGAUUAGUAUAAUAUUUCCAUUUUGGCUUGAUUNNNNNNNNNNNNNNNNNNNNNNNNNNNNNNNNNNNNNNNNNNNNNNNNNNNNNNNNNNNNNNNNNNNNNNNNNNNNNNNNNNNNNNNNNNNNNNNNNNNNNNNNNNNNNNNNNNNNNNNNNNNNNNNNNNNNNNNNNNNNNNNNNNNNNNNNNNNNNNNNNNNNNNNNNNNNNNNNNNNNAUAUAAACCAAACGUUCGAAAAAGCAACAAUGCAUAAAGUGAAUAAAAAAGAAAUUAAAGCAAUAAAUAGGAAAGUACUACUUCUCGGUACAAUGGAAUUAAUGCAAAAAAUGGAACCUAAGCUACAAACCUCUAAGCUGGGUAGUCCAUAUCUAUCGAUCUGCACCAAUGUCCUAAUCUGUAGUGGUAGGUCGGACGAUCCAUACUUCUGAUAGCGCCAGUGAUCCCAACCCGCUGAAGCAAGCGAGUCUGCAACCUGGUUCCCUUAUCUAUAGAUGUGGGAAACCAUGUCUCUGUUGAAGGAGAUGAGGUCUUUGAUCUGUCUAAGAUUGCCCUGAAUCUUCCAUGGUCCUUUGCCCCUGGUGAUGCAGUGAAUAGUCACGGUUGAAUCUGCCUCAACCGAAAUAGCUAAUAUCCCAAUUCCUCGGGCCAAUAGAAUCAGUUUUCAAAAUCAAACAUGGGACAUAUGAUGCUGAGAAUGCCUUGAUGCAGUGUGUUGUGUGGUCCCUAAUGAUGUCUCCACCACUCGAAAAUUCAUCAUGGACGUAUCCAUCAAUGUUGAUCUAGUAAGAUCCUACUGCUAAGGUACGCCAAACAACCAUAAUAGGUGGUGGUGGAGAUAUAAAUACCAAAGAGUGGUGCAAGUGCUAAGUCUCACCGCCAGUGCACAACUCUAAAAAGUCCUCCCAUAUGAAGAAAAGAAAUCAUGUGGUAUACUCUUCAAAUGAUCCAUCUGGCUACUAUGCGGAUCUUCCUAUGAUUUGCAUCAUUCCUCUCGGUCCAUAAAAACCAGAAAAUCAGUAGAGGAAUAAUAGUGCGAAUGUGUCCACAGCGAACGUACAGAAUACCUCCAUCUCUAGAACCUCUGUCUGACCCCAUCUCCUAAUCUCGUAGGUAUAUGGAAAAUGUCCCCAAAGUGUUGCCAUACAUGAUCGGAGAUGCUAUUGCCAGUGAAGAUAUGAUUGAUGGUCUCAAUCUCAGAGCAACACUGACAUCGAGAAGCCAAUUGACACCCAAUCCUCCUCCUAAUAACUACAUUUACUGGAAUGAGAUCCUGCCAUAAUCUCCAAUAUAAGAAUGAAACAGAUGUAGGCAAAAUAGAGCUCCACGGCAAUUAAUACGAGUCUCGAGACUAGUGAACCAAACUAAUUAACUGCCAUGCUGAAUUGGUAGCAAAACUACCAUCCGAUGUAACCCUCCAAACAAUAUAGUCCAUGGCAUCUAUAGAUAAAAGUAUCGCCCCUAUCUGCUCUAUCAUGUGAGAAGGAAUAGCCGAUAAUAAUAGUCCAAAAUCCCAACCAGUGUCAUCAAAGAAAUCCUGCACCCUCGCAGAUGUGUUCUGACUAUUUGGGAAUAGGGAUGCAAAUGUGGUAUCACCCAUCUAGCAAUUGUGCUAGAAGAACAUUUGUCUCGUGCCAAGGUGUCAUGCAAUGUGUGGCUCAGUGUGUGGCACAACUCUUUUCAACCUCUUUUAAGUGGAGAGGCCGAGUAGGGGAACAACUGCAAGUGAUGGAUGAGUCCACAUACAAUAUUUUCCCAAUAAAAACUGAGCUCAAAGAUAACUUUGAGACCGAAACAACCACCAAAGCUUCAUAGAAAAGUAUCCACCAUAUCUUAGAGUCUUCUGAAACCUAGUCCGCCCUCAUCUACUGGAAGGCAAAUCUCCUUCCAACUCCUCUAGUGUAGUUGGCGUGCCUAUUCCAUAGAAUCCCAUAGGAACUUUGCAAAGAUGCUCUCCAACUUUUCAGUACAGCCUUGGGAGGCUACAUAAUCUAAAAAAGAUAAAGUGGCAUAGAUGAUAAUACUAAUCUCCAUCCUUCAAAAUUUUCUAACAAUCUCAAACUAUAUUUUGUGAUGGAGAACAAGACAACCAUGGCGACUAUCAAACUUAUGAAUCAAGAUAUGGUUCGAUUGGAUCGUUUUGACAGGACUAACUUGAUGCGGUGGAAAGAUAAGUUGAAGUUUCUCCUUACUACAUUGAAGAUCUUUUACAUUCUAGACUCGAAUUUGGCACAGUUACCGAAACUAACAAAUGGAGAGACCAAAGCAAUCAAGGCUGAAAGAUAGAAAUGACAAGAAGAUGAAUUAAUUUACCACGAUCACAUAUUAAAUGUAUUGUCAAAUUGCUUGUAUAAUCUAUACACCAACACUUCUUCGACGAAAGAAAUAUGGAACGCAUUGGAAAGUAAGUACAAAGCGGAAGAAUAAGGUAUAAAGAAUUUUUUUUAUUUCAAAGUACUUUGAUUUUAAAUUUUUGGAUAAUAUCUCCCUUCUUCUCCAAGUACAUGAAUUGCAAGUGAUUGUCAACAAACUAAAGAUGGUAAAGAUUGAGUCCCAGAGACCUUUCAAGUGGGGGGCUAUAAUUGCUAAACUCUCGGGGGUUUGGAAAGAAUACCAGGAGAAGAUCAUGCAUAAUUCCGAAUAUUAUUCUUUGGAUUUGUAAAAACAUCUUCAGAUUGAGUAAGAAUCCAGAUUGCGUGAUAAGAGUGAAAGAACUUCCAAGGCUAACGCCAUUGAAAAAUUUGAGCAGCCUACAAAAUUCGACAAGAGGAAGCCUUCGAGAAACUUUAAUAAGUCCAAGGAGACGACUAAAGGAGGGUGUUUUGUGUGUGAAAAAUUCGGUCACUAUGCUAAGAAGUGUGGACACUAAAAACAAAACAACUUUGAGGGUAAAGUGAAUUCCAUCCAAAAUGAUAAAAUUAUAGCUACCGUAAGUGAAAUAAAUGCUAUCAAGGGAAAGGUUCCCGGGUGGUGAUAUGAUACUUGUGCUACCGUACAUGUAUCAUAUGAUAAAUCAUUUUUCAAAAUAUAUCACGAGGUGGAUGGAAACCAAGAAAUUCAAAUGAGUAACGAAGUGCGGUCCAAAGUGAUUGGAAGGGGAAAUGUUGAUAUUAAAUUCACUUCUGGGAAAACUGUUACUCUUACAAAUGUACAUGUUCCUGAUAUGAAUAGGAACUUGGUUAGUGAAAAUCUCUUAGGCAAAUCGGGCAUUAAAAGUGUAUUCGAGUCCGAUAAACUUGUAUUAUCUCUUAAUGGAAAAUUUGUUGAAAAAGGCUUUUCUUGUGAAGGAAUGGUCAAAUUAUGUACCGUUGACAAUAAAAUAAAUAAAACUGAUUUUGCUUAUGCUGUUGAUUUAUUUUCAUUAUGGUAUGCUAGAUUAGGUCAUAUUGGAAUAAGAACUAUGAAAUGCAUGAAAAAUUGUGAAUUGAUUUCAUAUGAUGAAAAUAAUGAAAGUAAUUGCAAGAUAUAUGUAGAAUCUAAAAUGAUUAAAAAGCCUUAUCAUAGUGUGAAAAGGACUUCUAGUAUUUUAGAACUAAUCCAUACCGAUAUAUGUGAAAUGGAUGGCAUGUUAACUAGGGGCGGAAAUAGAUAUUUCAUUACCUUUAUUGAUGACUUUUCUAGAUAUACAUAUGUUUAUUUGAUAAAGCAUAAAAGUGAGACUUUUGAUAUGUUUAAAGUAUACAAAAAUGAGGUUUAAAAUUAUCUAGGAAAGAAAAUCAAAACUUUAAGAAGUGAUAGGGGUGGUGAAUACUUUUCCAGCGAUUUUAACUUGUUUUGUGUACGUGUCUUCACCAAUGUUCUGCAUCUAGGACUCCCGAGCAAAAAUGGUUUGGCUGAAAGAAAAAAUAGAACCUUAGUUGAAAUGAUUAAUGCCAUGCUCAUUUAUGCUAAGUUUCCAUUUAACUUGUGGGAUGAAACUUUAUUAAGUGCAUGUAGGGUAUUUAAUAGGAUUCCUUCAAAACGUACUAAGGUUUCUCUUUAUGAAUUGUGGAAAGGAAGAAAAUCAAACAUUGGAUACUUUAAAGUGUGGGGUGUCUUGCUUAUUGCAAGAACACAAACCCCAAUAGAACCAAACUGGGACCAAGAGGCAAUAAAUGUGUCUUUGUUGGAUAUGCGAAUAAUAACAAAUCUUAUAGAUUGCUGAAUUUGGAGCCCAAUGUGAUUAUUAAAUCCAACGAUGUGGAGCUCUUUGAAGAUUCAUUAUUUUCGGAUAAUGAAUUGAGGGAAAAUCUUGGAAAUGUCCCUAGCUCAAGCGGAACACGUGAUGAAAUAUCUUCUAAAGAAGUUGAUGAAUCUAGUGAACCAUGAAGAAGCAAGAGAACUCGGGUUGAGAAGACUUUGGGACCAAAUGAAAUUAAUUUUCAACUUAUCUUCUUUUUUUAGUAGAGUUAAAUGAGUUUAAUGUUGUAAAAACAAUUCCUUUUGUUUUACAAGUUGAAAUCGACCCUAAAACUUAUAAAGAAGCUAUGGCUUCUCGUGAUGGCGUCUUUUAGAAAGAUGCAACUAAGAACGAAAUGAAUUCGAUAAUGUCUAACAACAAGUGGGAACUUAUCAAUUUACCACCCGGAUCCAAACCUAUUGGAUGUAAGUGAGUAUUUAGGAGAAAAUAUAACAUGUUAUGUCCCUUGAAAAAUUUAGUUAUUGUGCAUUCUUGGUUGAGUAUUUCUCUUGAUGUACUUGGUUCAUUCCUCUUGAAACAAAAUCUGAACUUGUCUAUACUUAUUUGGCUUUUGAGCAAUAUGCCGCGAUCCAAUUUGAUGCAAAAAUUAAAAUCUUUCAUUCUGAUGGAGGUGGAGAAUUCAUUAACUUAGGGCUCAACUCUCACUUCCAAGCACAUGGCAUCAUUCAUCAGAUCUCUUGCCCUCACACCUCAGAAUAAACGUAUGGUUGAGCAUCAUCAUAGAAUAAUUCGUGAACUAGGUAUGGCAAUGUUAUUUCACCAUGCUGCUCCUUUAUACGUAUGUGUUCAUGCCUUUGCAACCGUUGCUUUUCUUAUUAAUUGUCUAUUCUUGAUUUAGAUGCACCAUAUUUCAAAUUUCAGGGAAAGCAUCCAAAUUAUUCCUUUCUAUGAGUAUUUGGGUCUAAAUAUUUUCCACAUACUUGGGAACUCGGAAAAAUAAAUUUGAUCCAAAGAUAGUACCAUGUAUUUCUCUGGGAUAUAGUGAUCGGCACAAAAACAGUAAGUACUUACAUCCAUCGACAAAAAAAUAUUUAUCUCACGGCAUGUGGUUUUUGAUGAGAACACUUUUCCUUGCAAGAAACCUCGAGGCCAUGAUUAUGUCAUUUCCCUCUAAUCAAUGGAUGAGUAUUUUUAACUUAUGGACUCUUUCUCAAACUAAUUCUUCCCCUCUGUCUAUAGGUAAUUGUGACUCACCUCUUCCAUCACCUGGUCUGUCAUAUCCAUGCACUCCACUUUAUGCUGUCAUCCAGCCCCUUCCAUUCCAACAACUUCUUCUAAAUCAACUUCAAUUUUACCCUCUGCCUCUGCGGACUUGAUGGCUACCCCACAUUUGCCACCUCAUUCAUCUGAUGAAACAGUCUCUGACACCUCUCACUUUCAUUUAACAAACUCUCAUUUGUCUUCUUAGCAUCAGGAUUCGGACACAACACCCAUGUCGCCUCUUUCCGCUUCAAAGCACGUCGAGUCUCAACAUAAAGUUGUUCCUAAUGUUUCAUUUGGGCAACCUGAGUUACUUGAACUAUCGGAGCCUACGAAUCAGCUGAUGGUAACAAGCUCUCAACUUAGCAUUUACAAACCCAAUCCCAAAUAUGAACUCACUGUUGUCUGUCAAGAUAUCCCAAGAGUGCUCUACUCAGUUAAAAUUGCUUUUAUUCAUGUUGGUUGGAGAGCAAAAAUGCAAGAGGAAAUGGAUGCUCUUCAUCGUAACAGCACCUUAUACAUUGAAUUAAAUUCUGGUAAUUUAUGAGUAAAUAAUAGACUUCCAGCUACAAAACCAAUCACUCACAAUGUUGAAAGCUUGGCGACGGCGUUGGGGCUCUCGACUGCAUAGUGAGAGGGAGAUAUAGGGUUUGGUUUGCGCCACACCGUCGUCUGUUUUUUGCAAAUUCAAUUUGUCGUAUAACAGGGGCUGGGUGCAAUACAAAGCAUAAAUUAAUGGGGCUAAUUUAAAAAAAAAACCAAAAAACACAAAAAAAAAUAUUAUAAUGCGCUUACAGAUAGAAAACUUUAAAGAAAAUGCAUACAUAUGAAUCUAAGAUGACACAUUAUUGUUUGCCUUUUAUGAGAUCCAUUACUUGACACUUAAUUGAAAUUCUCCAUUUACAUAAAAGGAAAGGGAAAAAUAAAAAAAAAAAAAAAAAAAAAAAAAAAAAAAAAAAAAAAAAAAAAAACCAACAACAACAACAAAAAAUUUAAAAAGGCCCAAAUCCAAACUUUAACCUUUUUUCCUGCUUCUCUAAUUCGUCCCCGGCUUCAAUCUUCCUCGCGGCACUGGAAGUUUGCUACAAUGGCAGCAUGCAACUUGUAAAUUCCGAAAAAAGUCUGCACGAGCGAUCGCACCAACUCGCCGGGUGCUGGCUCCGCCACUGACCAGAGCACCGUAAGAGCUACUUUUUACAAUGAGAAUUGCCACCAAGUGAAGGCAAGAUGCUGAAAAACAAGAUUUGGCUUGGAUUGUCUAUUUCAUCUCUCUUUCAUAAGAAUUUUCUGGAAUAUUUAUCUAUAUCUUAACCAUACUGACCUUUUUAUCAUUUUAUUUUGAAGAAUGUUAUAUAACACCAGUAGUGAUAUAGUAUCAGUUUCGGUGACUACACUUGAUAUGUUCAAUUAAAUAAAUUGCGUUACAUUACAUUUAAGUAAAUAUAUCAUUUAAUAUCAUGUAAUUGUCACAUUAGGGUGGUACUUGGCACUAAAGAUGCAAAAUAAAAUUAAUCUUUACUUUUUCUUGUACAUGUAUCACCUUGUCAUUAGAGGCUUAACAUAUUGUGAUUAAAGAUAGCUCCAUAUAUGACACGUGACAAACACGUGAAAUACGGUGUAUUUAAAUUAAGAACUGUUGAUGGUAGACGAUUAAUAAGAAAAACAGUAGUUGCAAAGGCAUGAACCCAUACUUAUGAAGUAGCACCACAGUGAAAUAACACUGCCAUACCUAGUUCACGAAUUAUCCUCUGACGAUGCUCAACCAUACGUUUAUUCUGAGGUGCGAGGGCAAGAGAUUUGAUGAAUGAUGCCACGUGCUUGGAAGUGAGAGCUGAGCCCUGAGUUAAUGAAUUCUCCCCCACCAUCAUAAUGAAAGAUUUUAAUUUGUCUCAAAUUGUCUCUCGGCAUAUUGCUCGAAAGCCAAAUAAGUAUCGACAAAUUCAUAUUUUGUUUCAAGAGGAAUGAACCAAGUACAUCAAGAGAAAUCAUCAACCAAACAUGCAUAAUAACUAAAUUUUUCAAGGGACAGAACAGGCGAUGGGCCCCAUAAAUCACAAUAAAUUUUAUUGAAGACGGUUGAACUAGAAUUAUUAGAACAAGAAAAGGGUAAUUUACUGAGUUUGCCUAAUUGACAGGUAUCGCAUAUUGAUUGUAAAUUAUUGGAUCCUUGAACAUGAAUUAACCCUUUUCUGUUUUAGAUGCGACAGCAUCUAAAAUGUUUGGAAAUUAACGCUUGCCGUCACCACCAAGCUUUUGGGCACAUUGCUCUUAGAGGCCUUCUGUGACUUGGACAUCAACUCCACCAUCUUCGCCGCCUUCUCGUCCUUGGUCUUCUUUAUUCUCUCCUUGAUCUCACUGAAAACAAAUACAAAGAGUCACGAUGUGUUCGGAUUAAAAGCGAGUACGAUGUUCUAUUCAAAGUAAGUCAGACCUUCAAAGUUGAUUUUUCUUACUGAUGAAACUUACCUUUCUGAAAUGGAAGUCUUACUUACUUUACAAAAGAGUAACUUAUAAGCACAGCCAAACAUACUCUACAUCUUGCUGAAAGCAUACUCAAACACUUCUAUAUUCACGAGAAUAUCAAACAUUUGAAUCUUUAACAUACCGUAAAGCAGCAUGACGUGCAGCAUCACGAACUUCUGGCUUUUCAGCUCUUUUCUUCUGUAUGACUUCCAAGGUUGCACCAACAAUUGAUCUAGAGUAGGGCUUCUGAGUGGUUCGGCGCUUCUUCUUCACAGUUUCAGCAGCAAUGUCCUAUAAAUCAGUCACGAGAACCAUCAGUGACAGCUAGAUUAUGAAGGGAGCCAAUUCAUCUAAGAAACAAAAGAAAGAUCAUUAAAAGGAAUUAUCACUAUAUUUCACCUUCUUAUGUUGUUUCCGGUAUACAGCAGUCCAUGUAAGCUUUGCAGGCCUCAGGCGAUUGUGAAAAUACCUCUUGCGUUUUGAGUUGGCAAAGUGGAAGACCUUCAACAGGGGAAAAAAAACGUCUUCAUUCCCCAAAAAUAACACAAAGUAAUAUUGGGUGAAAAGUAAAGUGAAAACUGAAUCCGCCCCUUAACAAAGUGACAUAAAUAAAGUAGGAAAAACAUAAAUUGUAUACAGUUCGCAACAAAAACAAAAGGGUGAAACUUUAGGAGUUAAGAAACUAGGCAAAAGGUUAUAAUGCGACACAAAUAUGAUAAUUCAAGCAACAAAGCUUCAACCACCUGGGAAUCUGAGCGAAUAAAUUUGAUACCCUUCCCUGGGUAUAUCUUGGCACCACUAAAUCGGCAAAGCUCUGUCCUGACAACCCAUAAUUAACAGGUGAGACAAACAAAAGAAAAUUAACUCUGAAAUUGAACGUAAAAUCUAUACAGAGUAGAAGCAAAACUUAUCCAAAGCAAGAUAACAUAUAUAUAUUUUGCAUCACAAGCAAAAUCAGGAGUAGGAUCAUCGCUUACAUCGCAUGAAUUCUUUGAAACACAUCAAAUACAACAAAGCAACGUCUAAAUAAGACGUUUGCGUCCUAUAUUUAUCUAUUUGAUAGCAUCUUCUGACUUUCAAAGUAAAACAAAAGAAUUCCAGAUUGAAAUACCAUAUGCUACUGUCUAGCCACAGUAAAAUAUUAAAUCCCCCAAUAAAUCUAAACUCAUACUAAAUUAACAACCCAUCUUUUUAAAAUUGUUAUUGCUACCUUUUGAAAUACCAAUAUGUCCUCCAUCUAAUAAAUAUUUUACACUCAACCUGUACGUGAAUUUCACCCCCCACACACCACCACCAUUUCUAUCGUAAAGUAGAAAAAAGUUCAAAACAGAUCCUUAAAUGCAACAGAUGACAUAUACACUAGAAAUCAGAAUUGAGCACUGGAUUACGCAUCUCAUCACAGAGAAGGAUGGCGGAACUCACUUGAGAACCAUUGUCAUGGAUGCCGAGCUCGCAGCGCUUCGUUUACUCCCGGAAAUGCAGAAACCCUGACUGCCCAUUCAGCAAUACACAGAGUAAAAGGCCACAAUGCGUAGGUUUAGGCUUGGAGUUUGGACCUUCCAUUCAUGAGCCCAUAUAUUAUUGUUGGGCUCAUAUACUAUCUACGAAGAGGAAAUUAGGCCCUAUACCCUUCUUUUUUAAUUGUUUUGAAUGCUAUUUCUCCGACUCCCUCUUGCUGUGCAGCUGGUGGCCCCUACCCCAUCGUCGAGCCUUCAAACUUGUAAGUGGAUUGGUAGUGGGUCUUUUGAAGAGCUUUAGUUGAGUAAUUUUGAUUUCCAUUUCCGAACCACAAAUUAUUUUCUUCUGGGCUCUUUUGGGUGUGAUGUUGUUUGAAAUGAUUUUACUUCAAUUAAUUUCAGAAGCAAAUAUACAAACUCGAGAAGAAGUUGUCGUGAAGCUGUUUAGUAUGAAAGUUUCGUAACUUUGUGAAUUUAAGUUCUUAUUUGGAAUAAAUUUUUUAAUUGUUAAUUUAUUAGUGGUUAAUCAACACCUUUAUUUUUUAUUGUUUACCUAUUGGGAAUUAGUAUUUGUAUUUACUAAGCUAGUUUAUUUGUCAAGUUUUAGCUAUUAACGAGACCAGCUGACAAAUCACUCGAGUUCAAGCAAUAGAUGUACUUCUUUGACAUCAAUGUGUGCAUUGAUUUGUUUCAAGCUUCACUUUGUGUACCUUUUCUGAAAUUUGUAGUGUCAUUUUCUCUUUAAGAAUCUGUUAAAAUUUGUAGUGUCUUUUUCUCUUCAACCUUGUGAAUGACUGGGAUUUUCAUUGGGAAAGAUUUAUGAUUUAUGUUUUAUAAAUUAUGAUUGUGAGUCUGCUGACUAAGAUUUAUGAUUUAUGAAAAUUGGGAAAUUAGUAAAUAUGUGAUAUACAUGGACUAUUAUUUGUGAUAAAUGAUAAAUUUGGGAAUUUGUGAUAAAUGAUAAAAUAGUCAUGUUUGCCAUUGUGAUUCUAGAAUGAGUUAUGCCUUAAUGGAAUUGGUGCACAAUGAAUAAGUUGUUGCUUAGGAUCCAUUAACGCACAAUUAGUAAGUUGUUCCUUAGAGGUGAGUUUGCUUUUUGAAAUCGAUAAUAAAAAGUAAUUAUCUCGUAUCUAUAAUGAAUAAAAGUUUCGAGGCUAUUGAGAUUCCGUUCAAAAUCUAAGUGUGGCCCAUCAAUUUUGCAAUCAACCAAAUUUGCUCAUAUUGUAAAAGAGUAAUGCUAUUUAACAACACUAAUAUUUGAUAGAGCAAUGUUAUUUGUCCCCACUGGGGAUGAAUAGCAUUUUUCUGAUAUUUAAUACCAGUCUAGAUAGUAGUACUAAUGACAUUAAAUUAUAGAUUCAAUUAAAUGUAAAUCACAUAAUUUUACAUUUAAUUGAAUUAAUCACAUAAUGUCACGUACUAGGUAACAUUAUUUAUUGUAAAAUUUUCAAUCAAGUCAUAUUCAGAUUACCGUAAUAAAAUUGUUGAAUUGCAAUCAAGAGAUUUGUAUUGCCAUUGUUUAUUGAGCUAAUCAUGGAUUACCUAGGAGAAAAUGUUCUGUCUGAUGACUGAAAAUUUAUUACAAAUAAUCUUAAAACGUAUAAUCAUAGAUGACAACUUCACAAAAUUCUCUCAGUUCAUUUUUUUUUUUUUGGCUAAUUACGUGUAGUUAUUUUGCAAAUAAUGAGAAAUAUAUUUUUUGUUCAUUCAUAUUUUAAAUUUAUUAAAUAUCAAUGAUUUAAAAUUCAACCCGAUUAUUGACUCAGAAAAGUUAAACAAUCAAGAGCCAAUAAGUUUAACAGGGUCUAAUUGAUGGUAAGAAAUUAUUAAAUCAAUACAAAAUAGUACAUAAGACAGUGUAAAUAUAUUUUUUUCCUUAUUUUUCAAAUAUACUUAUUUUAUACUAUUUUUAUUAAUUCUUAAUAAUUAUGAAAUAAAUAAGUACAAAAAUACAUAUUAAGCGGAAUAAUUUUAUUAAUUUACUACUCCCUCCGUCCCAAUUAUAUAGGUUGAGUUUCCUUUUUCGUUUGUCCCAAAUAUAUAGGCUUGUUUUCAAAUUUAGAAUCUUUUAUUUUGUUCCUUUACCAAUAUACCCUUAUUCAAUUUUAUGCACUUAAUAUGCCAAUUUCUUGAAAUCAUCCAAUUAUGCACAUUUCCCACUUCUUAAAAAUAUGGAACAACUCUCAUUUCUUUUUCGUCAAAUUAAAUCAUUCAAAUUAUUUAUUAAUUCCAACAAUAAUUUAUUACCACAUACUAAAAAUUAAAUAGUGGUAAAUUAGGAAUGAUCUUGACAAAAAUUAGUUUUCCAAUGAUAUUAAUAAGCCUAUAUAAUUGGGACGAAGAGAGUAUUAUAUCAUAUUGGGGUAUCAUUUCCACAUAGUAGAUUCCACCAUCUUCUUGUUGUGCAGUUCAUAUUUUCUAAAAUUAAUUGAUGGUGGCUAUCUCAAAACGAAAGAAAUGAAUGGGUGUGAAAUAUAGGAAUGUUACCAAAUCGGAAUCGGUUCAGGUGUUUCGAUUUUCGAAAAUCCAUUGACUUGCUAUUUUUUAUCAUAAUUUUUAAUGGUACGUUUUUUUUGUCUAACAGGCCCAAUUUCGAAGCCGAUUUCCAAUUUUGCCAAUUGAACUGGUCGGGCCGUGUCGAUUUUAAUAAUAUUUUUAAACAUUAUUUUUGGUCAUUGGCUAAACUUUCUAGAGUUUAUUUUCUUUAACAAUGGAUUUUUCAAUGAGAGACUAACAUGAAUUGAUGGGCACUUUAUUGUGACAUCAUUAACUAUGUUAACUUUUUUAACGGGCUUAGUUGAAGUGGUGGAUGGAGAAUAAUGAAUAUUUCAAGUUUAUUUCUCAAGUUCAGUGAUGUUAAUGAGAAGUAACGACGAAAGUUCAAUGACUAUUAUGAUAAUUAAGGCCAAUAGUUUAAGAGAGAUAAGAAAUACGCAUCAUAGUUAAUUAAUAUUUAAUUCAUUAAAAUAUUUUGUUUGUCUGUGCGACUUUGUCUUGUUAAUUAAUUUAUUUGUAAAUAAUUUUGAUUGGUGGGGCAUUUGAGAGUAAUUAGUCAAUUUAUUUAAUCUGUUAAAUUUUAGUUAAUGAUUUUCUCAGUUAACCACAAUAAAAUUAUUUGAAUCGACUGCAACAUCACCUAACUCAGCUCUUGUUUGCUCCCCUUAUUUUGAAAAUACGUUUUUUUUCUCUCUCUCUCUCUCUUUCUUUUUUUAAUCAUACAUUUUUUAAUAAAAUAAUAUUACAUGCAAAUCAAAUUUUUUUUAAAAAAAAAAAUUUAACCACACAUUUUCCAUUAAUUUACUAUUCUGAAAUGCAUUCUUAACCAAAAAUGGGGCUCAAUCGGACGCUCAAUUAGUUAACAACUUCACAUUGAAUUUACUUAACCUAAAAUAUUAGAAUUUUUUAUGCUAGAAUACCAACCAAAAUUAAACCUAUUCAAAUCUUAAUUUAUCGUUUAAAGAUAUAAUAAAGAGUAUACUUAAUUAUUUUUGUGCUGGAAUACCAACAAACAGCAAACCUACUUGGGUGCGAUUAGUGGAUCAGACUAGACUCGAUAAGAUAAAUAUAAACAUACGGCGAAUUGUAUUAAGUAAAUAGUAUUAUGUUGGAUUAAGAUGAAUUUAGUUUUUACACUUUUCAGGCAACUAGAUAACAUAGUGCUGAUAGUGAUGAGUAUAAUCCGGGAAAGAUAAGAUAUUAUUUUGUUCGCGUUGAAAUAAUGACUUCCAUUACCUUACCAUAAUAUUAUAAUGCUUAAUUUUUUUCCAGUCUAAUAGGUUUGCAGAACCCAUCCUUCAAGCGUUAAUUUAUCAAUUAUGGGAUUAGCGAGGAUUUAUCCUUGAUAUCUCUAGGUUGGUGUUAUCUAAUAACAUUUUCUAUAGGUAUUGACCCUAGUUGUUAGGUGGAUUCAUAGUCAAAAUUUCCAACUAUAAUUUAUAGAAAAAAUUGCAACGAAGGCUCUUUUAGACAGUUUUCAUCCAAAUGUCUGUUAGUUGACUAAAAAAUUUGACUUUGACCAUAUUUUUAAUAUUUUUGAGCCAGUAAAAUAGUAACUUUUCAUUUAUUAUAUUAAAAUAAGUUAGAAUUUAAAUUAAAAAAAUAAGAAAUGAGAAAUAAAAUAAAAUAAAAACCUCGUGGUCUUCUUUCUCUCACCCCACCCCCACCCUGCAACACCCUUGCCGGCCGCCGGAGGCUGUGCCACCAGUUGGAUCUGCUUCGGUACCAUUUUUGGAGAAUUGGGACCAAUUCUUUUGGCCCCAUAAAUCACCAUAUCAUCAACUGGACUUUGCUUUGGCGAACCCCUUUUUUUGUUGUUGUUAAUUUUCGGAUUCAGAGAAUCUAAUGACUCUCCUCUUCUCAAAAUGGUGACUUGCCCCAGAUCAAAAAAAUGACCUGUUCAACUUGUUUCUAGAUGUAUAAACUGACAAUUGCAUAUGAGCUGAGAUAGAAUUCCCACGUAUGAGGAAAUCAGUGCAUGGGUGCUCAUAUUGAUUAUGGUCAUCAAAUUUUUCGAUCUGAUUUAUUUUAUAUAGAUGCUUGAUUCUCUCAAGAAUCGUAAAAUAGGGAUCUCAAAAGUAGCCGAACAAUAUUGUCAUAUGUUCUAACCCAAGGAGACGCCUCUUGAAUAUUCUUCACUUCCAGACAUUGCCACAUUACCUUCCGCUGAAACCUAAAUAAAUUCACUUGGCCCGUAUCAGCACCAGCCCUCAUUUGCCUCGGAUUCUGCUCGAGCUCUACCGAUACUUCAAGCUCUUAACACAAUUGCUCCAUGCUCGCAACAAACUUCUCGAACCUGAGAUAGAGAGAGGAGGAGAGAGAAGGGGAGAGAUGGAAUGGGGGUGGGGCAUAUUAAAUUACUAUUUUUCCCUUUUAAAAUUGUAUAAAAUGUGGUUAAAAUUAAUUUUUCAGGUCAAAAUCAGUUUUUUAGGUCAACUAAUGCAAAAUUAGACAAACUCCAUCCAAAAGGGCCCCUGCCACAAUGUUUCGAAAGGUUUUGGGUGAUGGUUGCAACAAAUUAAAGGUUUGGGNNNNNNNNNNNNNNNNNNNNNNNNNNNNNNNNNNNNNNNNNNNNNNNNNNNNNNNNNNNNNNNNNNNNNNNNNNNNNNNNNNNNNNNNNNNNNNNNNNNNNNNNNNNNNNNNNNNNNNNNNNNNNNNNNNNNNNNNNNNNNNNNNNNNNNNNNNNNNNNNNNNNNNNNNNNNNNNNNNNNNNNNNNNNNNNNNNNNNNNNNNNNNNNNNNNNNNNNNNNNNNNNNNNNNNNNNNNNNNNNNNNNNNNNNNNNNNNNNNNNNNNNNNNNNNNNNNNNNNNNNNNNNNNNNNNNNNNNNNNNNNNNNNNNNNNNNNNNNNNNNNNNNNNNNNNNNNNNNNNNNNNNNNNNNNNNNNNNNNNNNNNNNNNNNNNNNNNNNNNNNNNNNNNNNNNNNNNNNNNNNNNNNNNNNNNNNNNNNNNNNNNNNNNNNNNNNNNNNNNNNNNNNNNNNNNNNNNNNNNNNNNNNNNNNNNNNNNNNNNNNNNNNNNNNNNNNNNNNNNNNNNNNNNNNNNNNNNNNNNNNNNNNNNNNNNNNNNNNNNNNNNNNNNNNNNNNNNNNNNNNNNNNNNNNNNNNNNNNNNNNNNNNNNNNNNNNNNNNNNNNNNNNNNNNNNNNNNNNNNNNNNNNNNNNNNNNNNNNNNNNNNNNNNNNNNNNNNNNNNNNNNNNNNNNNNNNNNNNNNNNNNNNNNNNNNNNNNNNNNNNNNNNNNNNNNNNNNNNNNNNNNNNNNNNNNNNNNNNNNNNNNNNNNNNNNNNNNNNNNNNNNNNNNNNNNNNNNNNNNNNNNNNNNNNNNNNNNNNNNNNNNNNNNNNNNNNNNNNNNNNNNNNNNNNNNNNNNNNNNNNNNNNNNNNNNNNNNNNNNNNNNNNNNNNNNNNNNNNNNNNNNNNNNNNNNNNNNNNNNNNNNNNNNNNNNNNNNNNNNNNNNNNNNNNNNNNNNNNNNNNNNNNNNNNNNNNNNNNNNNNNNNNNNNNNNNNNNNNNNNNNNNNNNNNNNNNNNNNNNNNNNNNNNNNNNNNNNNNNNNNNNNNNNNNNNNNNNNNNNNNNNNNNNNNNNNNNNNNNNNNNNNNNNNNNNNNNNNNNNNNNNNNNNNNNNNNNNNNNNNNNNNNNNNNNNNNNNNNNNNNNNNNNNNNNNNNNNNNNNNNNNNNNNNNNNNNNNNNNNNNNNNNNNNNNNNNNNNNNNNNNNNNNNNNNNNNNNNNNNNNNNNNNNNNNNNNNNNNNNNNNNNNNNNNNNNNNNNNNNNNNNNNNNNNNNNNNNNNNNNNNNNNNNNNNNNNNNNNNNNNNNNNNNNNNNNNNNNNNNNNNNNNNNNNNNNNNNNNNNNNNNNNNNNNNNNNNNNNNNNNNNNNNNNNNNNNNNNNNNNNNNNNNNNNNNNNNNNNNNNNNNNNNNNNNNNNNNNNNNNNNNNNNNNNNNNNNNNNNNNNNNNNNNNNNNNNNNNNNNNNNNNNNNNNNNNNNNNNNNNNNNNNNNNNNNNNNNNNNNNNNNNNNNNNNNNNNNNNNNNNNNNNNNNNNNNNNNNNNNNNNNNNNNNNNNNNNNNNNNNNNNNNNNNNNNNNNNNNNNNNNNNNNNNNNNNNNNNNNNNNNNNNNNNNNNNNNNNNNNNNNNNNNNNNNNNNNNNNNNNNNNNNNNNNNNNNNNNNNNNNNNNNNNNNNNNNNNNNNNNNNNNNNNNNNNNNNNNNNNNNNNNNNNNNNNNNNNNNNNNNNNNNNNNNNNNNNNNNNNNNNNNNNNNNNNNNNNNNNNNNNNNNNNNNNNNNNNNNNNNNNNNNNUAUGAAAAAUAUGUUAUCAUUUCAAUAUUCUAUGAAACUUGAAAUAUAAACCAGUAUAUCAACUCUUAAUGAACUAUACUAUAAUUUCAAAACCACUUGAAUUUUUGACUUAUACCAUUCAACAUGACAACUAUAUCAUGUUGCCGAGUAUUUUUCCAUUAUGAUGUUUUACUACAGAACUAUAGUUUUGGCUCAUGCACCAUUUGUUUUAAAAGUAUGCCUAUACACAAGUCUUGGUCUUGUUUCUUAAUUACGUUUUUACGCUUUUUUCAGACAUAGACCCGCUUAGACUCGUAGAAACUUGAAACUUGGCAUUCCCACCUAACCAUGGUUUACACUCUUUAGAACAUUGCACCAUAUUUUAAUUGAAAUGAAGGUCCCAAACUUUUGCUCAUUUCAUAGUUAUGUCCCCAAUUUUUCAUUGUAUUUUAUUUCUCAACCUAUUAAUUAGCACAAUUUGUCCAUGCUGAUGGCCAAAAAAAUCACGAGGACCUCAAAGUAAUAGAAUAUUCGGACAGAAACCGUCUGCUUAGAUAAGAUAUGUUAAUGAGACGAAAAAAAUAUAGGAAUAUAAGUACGAAAACGAGCAUUUGUUGACGAUCAUGUCAUUGAUUUCAAUGAACUACCACAAUUACAAAUUAAAUUAAAAUUUGUUAAAUUAAAGUUAAAAUGCAGUUAUUGAAGAAAAUUAAAGUUAUCCAUAGACACUAGAUUAGAAGUAUAAUUUCCACAAAUGGAAUUUACCCAGUAAUUUAUAGUCUGAUGUUGUUAAGAAUGUCGACUAGGCCCUUGUAGUACAAGGAAAGAUGGCCCUACAAAUGACCCAAAUGCAGAUUCCACUUAGGAUGUAAUUUACAUUUCAAUUAGCAUUUCAUCAAAUUCAUUUCGUCUCGGUAUUAUCACUUUAAGAGCACCAAUUUGUUAGGUGACUGCUAGGUUAUAUGGUAGAGAGAGAAGUCCGUAUCGAUAACUGAGUAGGAAUCAAAUUGCUCUUUACGAGACAUUGGGUUUUUAAUUGAAAGUUAUUGUACGCUUAAAUGACUCUGACUAAUAAAAGAUUAUUCUCAGUGUACAGAAAAAAUUCACAGAAUAUUUACUGGCUCUCACAUGGGUGUUGGGUCCAUGUGUUGUUUUGCAAAAAAUAAACUAUCCAUCUCACUAUUGAGUCUGUAAUACUUCUGUGAAGUUUCUCCAAUGUAGCUUGACUCUUCAAAAAAUAUAAAGAUUACAUGUGAUUGCUGGUGAAUCGAAUUGAUAGGUCACAAAAUUUGUACCAUUAAAUGAGUUUUCUGCACAAUAGCUUCAGCUUAUCCCUUUCUUUGUGUUGUUGCACAGAAGAAAAUGGCCAGUUGUUGAAAAUAUCUGUCAGACCAAAAUAAUUUCUAUAGCGUUUGAGAUAUAUUUAAUUGAGAGCGUUUGUUUCCCACUUUUGUAAAAAUGAGAAUGAAAAAUAUAGUCAUUGUGGCCUCAUAAAAGAGGUAGAAAUUUAAAUUUGGUAGCUUAAUAUGAUGGAUAACGGUCAUAUUUAUUAUUUUAAUAGUAAAAAAAGGAGAAACAAACAGGGGCUUAAUUAAGUUAAAAAAAUUAGGGAAAAAACGAUUUAAUUGAGCUAAAUCAGACUGUUAGGUGACUUAUAUUAUAGAGAGAGAAGUGAGUAUUGAUAAUUGAGUUGGAAUCAAAUUGUUCUUUACGAGACAUUGGGGUUUUAAUUGAAAGUUAUUGCACGCGUAAAUGACUUUGACUAAAACACUAAAAAAGUAUAAAUAUUCCAUAUGGUUGCUGGUCACAGAAGAUAAAAUAUGUUAAUGAGGAAAAAAAAUUGAAAACCUUUAUUACAAUUUAAAUAUAGCACAAUAAACAGUAAAUGUGGUAUAAAUAUAAUUACCCAUUUAAAAAUCUAAAAGUAAGGGACACAAUUAUUUUCAAAACUCUUUAAAGAUACUUUUGUCAUAUCACCCAUUAAAAAAUCCAAAAGUAGUGGACACAAUUAUUUUCUUAGCUCUUUAAUAGGAACUUCUUUUUUUUUUUUUCUUUUUUUUUUUUUCAAUCUUUUUAAUCAAAUGGGACACUAGGUGAACACUGUUAAAAUCUCCACUUGCAAUGUUACCAAAUUAGUUAGUUUAUGCAAAUGAAAAUGGAAGUUGUGAGUAAUUCAUAAAGUAAAGUUAUGGUACCUAAUUUAGCCCUUGUUUGAGCCACAUUUUUUUAAAAAAAUAUAUUUUUCAACAGUGUUUUGACAUUAUUUUAACCAUAUUCUUCAAUAAAAUAAUAUUAUAUGUAAAUCAAUAUUUUUUAUUAUUUUUUAAUCACACAUUUCUCAUCAAUAUACUAUUCAAAAAUUCAUUCUUUCCCAAAAAUGGGAGGUCAAACAAGGGCUUAGUAUUAAGAAAUCAUGAUUUUAGACUAAUUUCUCCACUACAAGUUGGAAAGUGGCAGGAACCAUAGGCGUUUCAUCCAUUUUUCUUGCUUUGGAAUCGGAAUCUGGAUUUGAAUUAUACGGCGUAUGAUUUAUUCGGUAUAGAGAGAAAUGUAGAAUUCAAAAUCAAUAAAUGAGUAGGUAUCUGUCCUUAGCCAGACAAUUGGGCCCAUUCUCCGAUAAUACAUGGUAUUGAAUAAUUCAAUUUGUGUACCUUUCUUUAAAAAAAAAAAAAAAAAAAAAAAAAAAGUUGAACCCCAACCUUGAGGGCCCCCUCGCUCCGUCUUUAGAGUUUUGUGAGAGAGGCAAAUCGCGGGAUGUGCCUUAGCAAGUCAAGGAACAAGAGCUGUCUGUACACUGCGUCUACAAGGAGUCCAAUUCCAUGUCUCAAGAAUCGAACCUCCACACUGCGGCUGCUAGCAAGACGUGAGAUAAUCUCACACCUGUUCUUUGCACUACGAACAACUCCACUGGUAAUUUUAUUUAAAUUAUGUUACAUUGGGUAAUUAUACUUUGAUUCGAUUUCAUUUAAGAUGACUUCGUCGAAAUAUAACUAUUUGAAAUGUUGUGUCCUUUUUUCUAAUAUCUUAUUUUAUUUCACGUAUAGAAGAACAUUAAUGACAUCGACAAUAUGAAAAAUAUGUUAUCAUUUCAAUAUUCUAUGAAACUUGAAAUAUAAACAAGUAUAUAUCAACUCUUAAUGAACUGUAUUAUAAUUCCAAAACCACUUGAAUUUUUGACUUAUACCAGUCAACAUGACAACUAUAUCAUGUGUGCCGAGUAUUUUCCAUUAUGAUAUUUUACUACAAAACUAUAGUUUUGGCUCAUGCACCACAUGUUCUGAAAAGUAAGCCUAUACACAAAUCUUGAUCUUGUCGCUUGUUACGUUUUUACGCUUUUUUUACACAUUGGCUUGCUUAGAUUCAUAGAACCUUGAAACUUGGCCUUCCUAGCUAACCAUGGUAUACACUCUUUAGAACAUUGUACCAUAUUUUAAUUGAAAUGAAGGUCCCAAACUUUUGCUCAUUUCGUAGUUAUGUCCAUAAUUUUUCAUUGUAUUUUACUUCUCAGCCUAUUAAUUAGCACAAUUUGUCCAUGUUGAUGGCCAAAAAACUUCAUUAGGAGGAUAAAUAUAAAUUUUCAACGAAAUAUUUUCAUCAAACAAAUGGAAUAUUUGGACAGAAACCGUCUUCUUAGAUAAGAUAUGUUAAUGAGACGAAAACAAUUCAAGAAUAUAAGUACGAAAAUGGACAAAAAUUGAAAACCUUCAUUGCAAUUAAAAUAUGAUGCGAUUAACGACAAUAAUUAUCCAGUUAGAAAUCCAAAAGUAGUGGACACAAUUAUUUUCAUCUCUCUUUAAUCAUACUUUAUUUUAUUUUUAUUUUUUUGGGUCAAAUGAGACACUAAGGUAAAAAUGGUUAAUAUCUCAGCUAGCAAUGUCAUUAGAUUUGUUAUUUAAUUCUAAUGGAAAUGGAUGUAGUGAUUAAUGGUUUUAAGUAUCAUAAGUCAUAAUGUUGGGUGACUAAUUUAGUAUUAACAAAUCAUGAUUUUAGACAGACUUCUCCGCUACAAGCUGGAAAUUGGCAGGAACCAUAGGCAUUUCAUCCAUUUUCUUGCUCUGAAAUUGGAAUUUGUAAUAUUCUAGCAAUUAGACAACGAUAUCUUGCAAAAUUUCUCUUCAGUUGAUCUAUAAUUUCAACGACAAUUUUAGUAAUCAACAGAUUUCAAUUAAAUAACUCAGUCCAAUUCCAUUACUUGGAUGGAUGGAUUGAAAUUGAUGAUGCAACAGUAAAUAAAUUUAUUUCAGUAAAGUUGCACUUGAUUCAAGUCAAUAACUAACAACCACGUGUGAUUAACGUCAUUUGUUGACGAUCAUGUCACUGAUUUCAGUGAAUUGAAAUUGGACGAAGUUAUCAAAAUUAAAAAUUGAAUUAAAACUUCGUUACGAAACUUGAAUUCAAAUUAAAGCACAGUCGGUUAAAUUAAGAGCUUUCUGCACAAGAGCUUCAUUUUAUCCCUUUCUGUGUAUUGUUGCAAGCAGAAGAAAAUGGCCAAUUGUUGAAAAUAUCUGUCAGAUUAAAAUAAUUUCUAUAGCAUUUGAAUUAGGAGUGAAUUGUCCAAAUGGUCAUUGAACAUUGCAAAAAAAUUUUCAAAGGCUCAUUGAAUUUUAAAAAUUACCUAAAUGGUCACCGAACUUUGCAAAAGGUUUCUAUGGAGUCACUAAACUUUAAAAAUCACCUAAAUAAUCACUAAAUUUUGCAAAAUAUUUUCACGGGGUCACUUAACUUUGCAAAAGGUUUCUCAAGAGGUCACCGAAUUGGGAAACUUUUUACAAAAUUCAGUGACUAUUUAGAUGAUUUUAAAGUUUAGUGACCCUGUAAAAAUAUUUUGCAAAGUUCAGUGACUUCUUAUAAACUUUUUACAAAGUCCAAUGACCAUUAGGACCAUUCAUUCAAAAAUUAGGGGAAAAACUACUCAAGGGAUCCGAAACAGAGUAGAAAAAACAAUUUAAUAUAGCUAAAUCAGACUGUUAGGUGACUUAUAUUAUAGAGAGAGAAGUACGUAUCGAUAUUUGAGUUGGAAUCAAAUUGUUCUUUACAAGACAUUGGGUUUUAAUUUGAAAAUUAUUGCACGCGUAAAUAAUUCUGACUAAAAGAUUAAAAAAAUAUAAAGAUUCCACGUGGUUGCUGGUCACAAAAGAUAAAAUAUGUUAAUGAGGUGAAAAAAUUGAAAACAUUUAUUACAAUUAAAAUAUAGUAAAAUAAACAAUAAAGGUGGUAUAAAUAUAAUUACCCAUUUAGAAAUCUAAAAGUAAGGAACAAAAUUAUUUUCUUAACUCUUUUAAACGUACUUUUAUAAUAUCACCCAUUAAGAAAUCAAAAAGUAGUGGACAAUUAUUUUCAUAGCUCUUUAAUCAUACUUUUUUAUUUUUUUAAAUCAAGCUGAACACUGUUAAAAUCUCCGCUUGCAAUGUUACCGAAUUAGUUAGUUUAUGCAAAUGAAAAUGGAAGUUGUGCAUAAUUCAUAAAGUUAUGGUACCUAAUUUAGUAUUCAGAAAUCAUGAUUGUAGACUAAUUUCUCCACUACAAGUUGGAAAAUGGCAGGAACCAAAGGCGUUUCAUCCAUUUUCUUGCUUUGGAAUCGGAAUUUUGGAUUUGAAUUAUACGGUGUAUGCUUUGGUCGGUAGAGAGAGACGUAGAAUUCAAUAAAUGAGUAUAUCAAAUUGUCCUUAGCUAGAUAAUUGGGUCCAUUCUGCAAUAAUAAAUGGUAUUGAAUAAUUCAAUUUGUGUCCCCUUCUUAAACAGAGAAGACGAAAAAAAUAAUUUACACCCCAAACAACUCCACUUUGCAAUCUGCAUCCAAAUCUCUCUCUCUCUCUCUCACCAAAUUUCCAAAGCAAGAAAUAAAAUGGAAGCCGUGGCUAUCGAAGGCGUGAAAUUUAUACUGGAGAAGUUGUAUGCGGUAGCUGCUGACGAAAUCAAUCUUAUGCGUGGUUUCAAGAACGAACUAGCAAGCCUAAAAAAAUACUUGGAAAAGGUCAACCAAGUCUUGGAAGGUGCUGCAAGGCGUGAAAUCAUCGACGGGGAUGUUAAAAGCUGGCUUAAGGACCUCAAGGAUGCUGCAGAUCAUGCCGACAUUGUCUUAGACGAGAUCCAAUAUGAAGAUUUGCGUCGUACAAUAGAAACCGAGGACGAGAUUAGCCCCUGUUUGGCCCCCAUUACCUGAAAAUGGUAAUGGGGGGAAUAGUAUUUUUUAGAAAAAUGAGUGGUUGAAAAAGAAAGUAAAGUUUUCGAUUUACGUGUAAUAUUAUUUUAUAGAAGAUUGUAUGGUUGAAAAUAGGAGAGAGAAAAAUGAAAUGUAAUGUAAUGUAAUUUAAUGUUAAUCAAACAGGGGCUUAGGUGCUUAAACAUCCCAUGCUGUACUAAUACCGCUUUGACAUUUCAACGGGAGAUGGCCCACAAAAUCAAGGACAUAAAUGCCAACUUCAAAAAGAUGAACAACGAAGCUGAUCGCCUCGGCCUCAGCAGAGUUAGAGAUUAUCCUCUGGCAAAGCCUCCAGUCAUGGAAACUACCAGCUUUGCUAUUGAUCCAAUUGUCAUUGGACGAGAAAUUGAUGAAUCAGAAAUACUGGAGAUGAUAACCAGCUCGAUCAAUAAUGUCCUUUCAGUCCUUCCCAUAGUCGGAAUGGGAGGGCUUGGCAAGACGACUUUAGCACGCAAGAUCUACAAUCACCAUCGUACACAAACCCAUUUUGACGAAAGGAUUUGGGUUUGUGUAUCAGAAAAUUUUGAUCAGCUGACGCUUUUCAAAAGGAUUCUGGAAUUAUUAUCGGGCAAAGAUUUUGGCGGAGGUAGCAAGCAAGCUGUUGUUCAAAAGAUUGCAGAGGAAUUAAAAAACAAAAGAUACUUGCUAGUUCUCGAUGAUUUAUGGAAUGAAGAAACAGAAGAUUGGGAUGAAUUCAAAAAUACACUGGUGGGAGCUAGCUCCAAUAAAGGAAAUUUCAUUAUCGUCACCACACGUAAGGAAAAGGUGGUAUCUACUGUGAACACUUGCAAUCGUCCAUGCAGAUUGAGGUCAUUAACAGCUGAUGAAUGCUGGUCCAUAAUCAGAACAAUGAUAUUUCAAGAUAAAGAAGUAUUGGAAAAAUUUGCGAUUAUUGGACUGGAGAUUGCUCGCAAAUGUAGAGGUUUACCUCUAGCAGCAAAUGUGAUUGGAAGAGUUUUGCAAGGAAAGGAAAUAGAAGAGUGGGAUUCAGUUCUACAGUCUGGGCUUUCAAAUCUUGAAGAGGGGGAGAAGGGUGUGUUGCAAGUCUUAAAGGUAAGCUAUGAUCGCUUACCUUCUUCAUCACUGAAAAAAUGUUUUGCCUUUUGUUCAAUAUUUAUCAAGGAUUCGAUCAUGGAUAGAGAAGACUUAAUCCAGCUCUGGAUGUCGGAAGGACUUCUUCCAAACAAUCAAGAAAGUGAGAUGGAGACUACAGGCAAUAAAUAUUUUAAUAUUUUGUUGCAAAAUUUCUUCUUCCAAGAGCCCGAAAAGGACAAGUAUGGCAAUAUCAUAAGCUGCAAAAUGCACGAUCUUGUCCAUGAUCUUGCAUGUUUAGUUUCGAAAUCAGAAAGUUUCAUGAAUACGGAGGGUCUCACUGUUGAUGACAUUCUUCAAGUUAGACACCUUGCAAUAGAAUCAAUUGGAGAGGAAAUGGUCAAGGACAUAAAAGAGAGAGCAAGUUAUCUCCACACCUUGUUCUUAAGAAGCAACGUACCAGAUGGAAUUUUACCGUACUUCAAGCAUUUGCAUUCUCUAAAGCUAUGUAAUGCAAAUAUUAAAGAAUUGCCAACAUCAAUUGGCACCCUGAAACAUUUGAGAUAUCUUGAUGUGUCCGACAAUAAAGAUCUCACUACUCUGCCAGAAUCUAUCUGCAAGCUCUACAAUUUGCAAACUUUGAGGAUUCUAUGGCACUACCUUUAUCGCGAGAUUCGAAGGCUUCCUAGAGAUCUGCGAUUCUUGACUCGUUUAAAGCAUCUCUGUAUUGACACUGUUACCAAGGAUUUCAAGAUGCCACCUAAAAUCGGAAGUUUAUCUUGCCUUCAAACGUUACCAUUAUUUUGUGUGAGUGACGAGGAAGGUUGUCGAAUUGAUGAGCUGGGAAAGUUGAAGAAAUUAAAAGGCAAACUACAAAUACGGAAUUUGGAAUUGGUGAGAUCUAACACAGAAGUGGAGCAUGCAGAUAUGGCUGGAAAGCUAAACAUUUAUAAGUUUUACUUUCAUUGGACUCCUUCCAGGUACAGGUAUUUCAAUGAUGAGAGUGAGUCAAUGGAUUCCUCAGAAAGUAACAUCAAUGAUGAGAGUGUACUUGAAGGGCUGCAACCUCAUUACAAUGCAACAUACUAAACUUGAUGCUUAAUGUUUGAGAAGUCAUGAUUAUGUUAAUUAUAAAUCCAUCCAACCCAUUCAUUUAUAAUUCUACUACUUGAAAUUCAUUAGUGAAUAACGUCACUUGUACAAUGUUUUUGCACAACUUGGUUGACAAGUGUGUUGAAAAAAUUCUGAACAUUGAUUUUAAAAGCAGUUUUUCAAAUAAAUGGAAGUGCUGUUUGUCAACUUAUGCAUUGUAAACCAAGUUGUAAAAUAAAUUGCACAAGUAACAUGAUUGUUCAUUAGUACCAGCAAAUUCCUCCAUGCAGCUACAGUGUAUCCUAGUUGUUAGCUAGAUCUCCUACCUCCACUUUUAUGGAAGGUUGGUUAACAACCCUCAUGGCAUAGAAAUAGACAGAACCCAAAGACAAAUGCCUCUACCAACCACUGAAUUCUUGGUCUUGGGGGUAAGCCAAGCCAUAGUAUCAAUUAAAGUGAAAGAACCCAAAUCCUUCUCUUAUGCCUUCUACACUGCAUAAUAAACAUAAAUGAUUGAGAAUGGUAUCAAUUUAAUAUGCUAAACUUAGAGUUUUAGAUCUGUUCUCCCAUAGCUUAUGCAUUACUAGGUAACAACCAUUUUCAUUUAAUAAAACCCAAUUAUUAAACCCUGCAUAUGCUAGUCGGACAUAUUUACAUCACUAGACAUCCAAUAAGAUGAUAAACAGCGGCGGGAGUCAAUAAAAUUAUAUAUAUUUUUCAUGAGCUUUGGUAAGAACAUAUAAAGAUAUCAACUUUACCCGUCAAAAAUAUUAAUUUGUGUUUCUAACAUGAGGAAAUAUGACACUAAAGUCAAUGAAAUUAUGUAAAAGUGACGGAAUAUGGAAAAGGAAGCAAAUAUUGGGGGGACUGAAAAUCCAAUUUUAAAGGAGGGCUACGAAUAUUUCCAAAAAUGCUAAAGUCCAAUUUUUCAAAAAAUGAAAAAAUAAAAAUAAUAAAAAUUGAUUGUAACCCCUCGGAUUCGAUCCCCAAUCUCCAAGGCCAAAACAAGAAACAUUUAUCAAUAAGCUUAAACCACUUUUAUGUCAGUAAACUAAGUUAUAAAAAUUGUACUUGUUUUCUGUUUCAAAAUAUACAUAAAAAUAUUAGAUGACUUCAAACCUAGUAUAAACGGAAUAUAGCAUAUUGUUGGAAUAAUAUAUUUUAAAUUAGUUUUAAAUAUUUUUGUUCAAUUCUAAUAAAAAUUAUAUUAUUCUACAUCUUUCUUCUAUAUAUUAUUCCAAAUCAGAGUUCAACCAAUUCUACAUUUACAUAUGAACAUACUUUUUAAAUAUUGACUUGAACAAAUUGACUGUUUCCAUAGCCUCACUUUCUACAAUUCCCUAUUGCGAAUGAUCUCUUUUAGUGUCAUUGUCUGUAUAAUUUUAAUUAUGGCAUUGAAAGAAAAUAUUCUAAAAGAUGGAACUCUAAGAAAUGAUAAAGAAUUGUUUCAAAAUUUUUUGGAAGGUCAUGAAUGUGGUCAAUUUGUUAAUGCCAAUAUUAAAAAAUUCCAAUCUGGAUUCAUAUGUAAAUAUAAAAUUGGUUAAAAGAUGUCAUUUAUGUAGCUUUUCAAACUCUGUGGAAAUAUAUACCAUUCAUUUCAAAUUUUAGUGAGAGUUUAAUGCAUUUAAAGAAUUGAGAAGGCACCGUGCUCUUAAUCCAAGAGAAACUGGACGCAUUAAUAUUUGAAGAUUUAUAAGAUCUAACAUCGUAGGUCGUGAGUGUUGUUUAUCUUAAAUUUUGUGACUAUUUAAAAUUUUUUUAGAAUUAAUAUGUUACACUUGUAUGAUUUUAACCCCAUCCACAUUAAAAGUAGUUGAUCCAAAGUCCCAAAAAAUGAGGAUUUUUUCAAUUUUUAAAAAAUAAUAAUCGAAUGGGCUUGUGGGUGGCUCGACUCAACUCAUGAAUCCCAUGAGCCAAAAAACCAAAUCAUGCAAUGUUUUUGGACAGUAGUCAAAUUAGACUCGUUCUAAUCAAAAUUAUUUGUAUAAAGAAUUUUACAAAAUAAUUUCAACCUUGUCAACUGAUAGUAAAAGAACAAAAUCGGAGUAUAUACUAAUACGUAGUAUGGAUUAAAAAAUAGUGAUAGAAAGAAAUAACAUUCAACUUGUUCCAUUGCUACUUCUAGAUGAAAUCGAGUUUAAACGUUAGCCUCGCUUCUUCGAGAUUUAAAUUUGAAAAGUCAAAAUUGGCUUGUUUGGUGUUUUCAAUAGUAUUAGUAUGGGCUUUAUAUUAGUCUACUUCGGUUGGGCCAGAUUUAAAAUGUAUCCGUUUUUUAGCACCAUUCAUUUAUUUUUUAUAAUUAUAUUCACAUAAUAAUUUUUUUAACUGCACAACAUUUUAACUAAAAUGAAGAUCCUCUAAUUUUGUUCAGUUUUAGACUUAUAUCUCCUACUUUUUCAUCACUUUUUAUUUUAAUCUUUCAUUAAUUAAUACAUGCUGUCUCAGAUAACGAUUUCUGUCCAAAUAUUAUGUUCAUGUGGGAAAAAUAUAUUGUCAAGCUUAUAUAUUUAUUUUUUAUCUUUCUUGUUACAAAUCUUCAUCCUAAUGGAUUUUUUGAUUGUCAUCAAGAACUAGAUAAAAUAAGAUUGAGAUUAUAGUAUGAAAAAAAUAAAAAAAAUUAGAGAUGUAAGUGCCUAAAUGAGCAAAGCAAAAAAUUACGACUGCAAUUGUGACUUGACGUACUUCACAAAAAAAUAAGGUGUAAAUUAUAUUUAUUCUUUAUUUUUUAUAACUGGAUAAUCAGGCCAUUUAUGUUAUAAAACUAAGUUAAAAAGAGUGAACAAUAUAAGAGAAUUGAAGAUCAAGUCUCAAGUUUAGUUUCUUAUAAUAAUUGAUUUAUAUAAAAUUUCAAUGAGAAAUACAAUUUGAAAAAAAUAUACUUUACAGUAAGGGUCCGUUUGAUUGUAAAGAUAGAAUUUGGGUAGAAAGAAACAAAUUUCAGGGAAUUGAAUUGUCUAGAAAUUAUUUUCCUAAGAAUUGUAAAUUAUUGUGUUUGAUUGGUAUAAUUUUCUACGUGGAAAAUGUUGAAAUAAAAGUAUUUUUUUGUGUUUGUUUGACUUUGUUUUACAUGAAAAUUGUCAAUUAAAGAGAUAAAAAUUACUGGUAUUGGAGAUGAAAUUUGUUUACAUUGCCAAAAAAAAUUCAAGAAAAUUAUCUAUCUUUUAGUGUUCGUUUAGCUUUAUUUUACAUGAAAAUUAUUAAUUAAAGAGAUGGAAUUUAUUACAAUAAUUCUUAAAAUUUGUUUCAAUUGCAAGAUAAAAAAUAAAAAUAAAAUACUUCAAAAGAUGGAAUUUCAAUUCCCACCAUUUUGGUGAGAAUUGAAAUUCCAAUGGUGGGAAUUGAAAUUCCACAAUUUGGUGGGAAUUGAAAUGUGGCAACAAAAGAUGGAAAAGGAAUUCUAUGUCAAAUUUGUGCCAUCAUACACAUAAAAGAUGGAAAAUAAAUUCCAUUUUUCAUGGAAAAUAUAAGCCUAUAAAACAUUGCCUAAGUUGAAAAGUUAUAUAAAUUCAAUAAGAGUAACUAGUCAUUCAUCAUUAUUUAUUAUUUACAACAUUUCUCCUUCAAUCACUAUUUAUAAUAACCGCUACGUUAAAGGCCCCUGCAAAAACUCAAUGGGACAAAACACCAAGUGAAGGGAAAAAUACAAAUAAUUAUCAAAAUUUGGAAAUACUACCUCGUUAAAAUCUUGUCAAAAAAUAUAUUGGAACAAAACUUGAGCAAAAGAAAAAGAAUACAUCUAUUCCCUUGAUUUCAAUAAAUAAAAUUCCUUGUAUCGAGCCAUUUAUAUUUUGUACACCAAUAUUUCGACGCUGCUGUUGUCAUACAAGAUAUUCAUAUAUCUCUCAUUGGUUAAUUGUAGUUAGUAUGAUGGUCUAACUAAAAAAAUAAAAAAUAAAUAAAUCUUCUUGUUGCUCUUCAGAGGUUCCAAUAAUAUUUUAUAUGAGCAACUUAUACAUAAAUAACUACAAAUUCUGAUAUCAUUAUAUGAAGGAUGGUCCUUGCGGAACUUUUCACCCGUAAAAAAUUUAUGAAGUUUUUGUCUUGGGAAAUUGAGAAUUAGUCCUUGUUCCAAUAAAUGGGCUUCAGCCAUACACAAAGAUUAUUAAAGAACAGCUUGGUAGCAUACACUUUAAAAGGUUUAUUACUAUCAACGGCCAACCAGUAGUUAAUGGCGCAAAGUCAGAUUAUCCAAGUGUUGGUAAUAUGCCGUCUUUUGUUUUCUCUUAUUUAUGUACAGUUGUGUUACGCCUUUGCCCAUGAGACAGGUAGCGUAAAGAUUCACGCAAGGUCAGCGCUACAUUUAGCAUUAUUUUUUCAAUGUCUUUUUCGAGGUGAUUGGGCCAUGCCUCUAAAUGCCUAACCUAGAAUAUUAUUGUUAUCUAAGAUGAUGCGUCACUUCUCCUCUAUAAUAUGUAUCUGAGGCAAUGACAUUUGCUGCAACCCUUGCCUUAGCCAAAUUGUAAUAGUACACUGAGCAAAAUGAUUGAUGCGAUACUUUGCAACAACGUUGUCCAAUCAGAUCACAACUUUCAACUCAUAUUUAGGCUAUGGAACCACAUGCAUUUGAUGACUAUGAAUUGACACAAUUGAAUGUGACAAUUAAGCACUUAAAAUAAAGUCGCAUGUCAAGCAAUCAGAGAGGGCCUCUUCUACCUGUAAAUACUCAAGUCUCUCUCCUUUAAAGAUAAGUUUUUGAAUGGUUGACAAACAAUAAGUACCAAAACCUAGUAACAAUAUACUUCCCUACAUUGUGUUUUACCCACACCCAAAAAUACUUCACCAUCUGAUUUGAGUGUCGAAGUUCACGCGACCAUCUCACCCACCAUUGGAGCUAUGGUCUAUGCAGUCCAACGUGAAUGUACAAAUGUGUUGAUAAUAUACGCAUGAUAGUUGAAUCAUGCUGUAUUUGAAGAUCAAUUAGUAUGUUGUUCAUUUCAGAUAUAAUAUCUAUGUAUGUACAUGUAUUUAUGUGCAGAACAGAUUUAAGCAGCAAAAGAGUGCAAAAGUUGUUUGCCAUGUACUCACCCAAUAUAUGUGGAUAGUAUAAUUAUUACGCCUUUUGAGCCUAGCUCACCGGUAAGUGUGUUUUUGCACACUCGUUCAAUAUCUAAAUAAUAUUAAAAUAUUAAUUAAAUGAGCGAAUUUCUAUUCACAAUUAUAUCGUUAUUGCAUUUGUAAGUAAAAAUCACCCAAAAAAAGGACACUGCAAAAUGGUGCGAAAAGGGCUCAGAAGCAUACAAAAAUGUGAAGUUGGGGACCAAAGUGCACACAUACUGAAAGUUCAAGGGCCUAUGUUGCCAAUUUUAGGGGUUUAAUUGAAAGAAAAGUCAAAAUUUGAGGACAAAAUUGUACAAAAUCAAAGUUGACGGACCUGCUAUGCAAUUAUCUCAUGAACUUAACUGCAAAAAUGACAAAAAUCCUUUUUUUUUGGGCCUUGAAAACAGAAAUUGGGCCUAGGCGCCAUUUUUAUGAUCAAAACAAGGCCCGGGACAUUUUUGCUUUUUUAUCCAAAACUCUGGGGACUUGUGCUGCAAUUUUCUGAAAAAGGGUUUUAAUUGAAUUGUAAAAAGACAACAACUGGGGCAUUUUCUGGAUUCUGCUUCUUUUGGGGUGGAGCGUCUUUUUUUUUUCUUUUCGUUCUUCUUUAUUUUUCUCUUCUUUUUCCUUUUUAUUUCCUUGGUAUUUUGAAGGAUACAAUAAAUAGUAAAAGAAGAACAUCAAGAAAAAGUGAAAAAAUAUUUGGGAAAAGCAAGAUCAAGCUCUAAAAAGGUUUCAUCUAUAACUUUGCAUAUCUUUAUUUUUUUUUGUCAAAUUUGCGAUGUAUUGUAUAAAAUAUUUUCCUUUUUACUAUUUAUAUAACAUGGGCCAAAUAUUUGUGUUGGGAUUCACGGCAUUAACUUAACAUAACUUUUUAAUUAAUUUUAAUAUUUGCUCUUUGAAGUUAAGUUAUUUAUUUUCAUGUGUUUUUACUACUGUUAUUAUUGCAUUUUCAUUUAUCUGACCAAUGUAUUAUUAUUUUUAGUGAUUUGUAUAUCGUUCGAGAGAAGCUUGUGCAUUUUAGAUCAAAUAGUGGAAACCCUAUGUUUGUGUAGGGGAUCUCUAACCCUAGGUGACUUAAUGAGCUAUUUUCACAAAGAGUUAAUGCGGUUGUUUGAUUUUAAUCGACAUAGAAAUAUAGUAUGUUAAAUCAAUUAAUUAGGAUUAAUUUCGCUCGAGAGAGGUAACUAAAUAAAAUUGAAUGAUCGGGUCUAACAUCGUAAAUGAGUAAUUUGUCAAUUAGCUUUUAGAAAAAUUAAUCGCGCAACGGUUAAACGAAACCAUGAAUCCUAACUACGUUUGCUUCCAAAAUUCCCAAAAUUUUUAUAUUUUCUUAGUUUGUAGAUUUUUAGUUAUUUUCCAAAAUCAAAUAUUUAUUGUGUGUUUAUUUUUAUUGUUAGAAUUAAAUUAAUUAAAGUUGUGUAAUCUAAAGUAAACAUUCCCCGAGGUAUUGACAAUCCGGACUUAAAAGAUCAACUUUAUUACUUGAACGCGAUCCAUGCACUUGCGGCAUGCACUUUUAUCAAACAAGUUUUUAGCACUGUUGUUGAGAAAUGUUUUUAUUUUGAUUACCACUUUAGUUAAUUUUAGUUUUAACAAUUUCUUUUUAUUUAUCUUUAAUUGCUUUUGUUUUUGUGUGCUUUGGCUAAGCCCCGUAUUAUUAAUCUACCUUGUGUUUAUUUUCUCUCCCUAUACGUUUCAAAUAUUUGCAGUAUUCUGACUUUGGAAAAGUAACAAAAUUGUUUCAAUGACAAAUCUCUAUAUGGAAAGUCAAGAUGUGCUUGGAGGAUAUCCAUGUUGUGAAAAUUGUUACGCGAUGCAUUGUAAUGGGAAUUGUUUGUUUUUGUAUACUAGUUUUAUACACGUUGAAACUUCUGAAGUUUAGAAAAUAUUUGAGGUGUCGAAAACAAGCCAUUGACAAAAAUGAUGAAGGGUACAUGCUCGCGGGAGAUUUGAUACCUUACAAUUGAGAUGACGUUGUUAAGCUUAUAGGAGAUGGCCCUUUCCUACUGAAUGAAAAGGUAAUUGCAAAGUAUUUCAAAGAGCUUGCCAAAUUGGAUGAAAAUGAUAUGCUUAUGGGAGACUACAUGUAGUGGGAAUGAUUUCAACAAUGGGGGUAUAAUCCGCUUAAUGCAAUCAAUGAGACCAACUUCUCACUGCCUGUGGAUCUAGACCGUGGACAUGUCAUUUAACUCGAGGAUAUAUCGAUUAUGGUAGAAGAGAUUAAAAAGAGUGGAGAAUUGAUCACAAAGGAAUCAAGUAAAGAAGUGGCAAUUAAUGAGGAUGAAAUCAACAUAUAUUCUUUUGACUUUAUUGAUUGUCCAGAAUUUUGAUUUUGUAAUUAAACACUAUGUAGCAGUGGAAGUCUACAUAGUUGAAGUUAUGUCAGAUGGAAUAGAGAAGUCCUACUAAAUUGAAAAGGACAAUGUCGAGGUUUGGAGAUCAAAUGAGAACUGGAACAAAGCCAAAUGAAGAAAAAAAAAAUUUGGGCAAGGCAUCUAAAGCCUUCUUUAGGUGCCCAUGAUUCAAGGCCAAAGUUGAGCUAAAAUCUAUAAAAAAAAUUGCUUGUUAGGAGGCAGCCCAAUUUUUAAAUUUUUAAUACUUUUAUUUAAUUUUAUGUAUUUUCUUAUUUUUAUUUAAUUAACCAUCAUUUUUUGUGGGUAAUUUUUGAAGUCCCACAUAUCUACGAUUUCUCACAAGUAUGGGAGUAAAUUGUGUACAAGAAGGUCACUUGCCAAAACUCAUUGAAAGCAUCGCAAGUCCAAGUCAAGUAUUGGUACCUCUUCUAAAAUGUUCAAUUAGGGAAGUCUCGUUAAACUCCUUCUUCUCUUUAUCUACUUCUUUACACAUUGAGGACAAUGUGUAAUUUAAGUUUGAGAGUGAUUAUGCUUAAAUUGGUGAUUUUGUGUUGACAUGUUGGAUAGUCUUGCUGGUUUAGGAUUGCUUGAUGUUUAAAAUUGUUAUUGAUUCAUGAUAUAUGACCAAAUAUGCUAUUUGUACCUAUAUUUUUUUUUUCAAAAAUUGUUUAUCCAUUUUAAGAUCUUGAAUUACGUUGAGUACAAUAAUCAUGAUUAAUUAUUAUCUAGAUGUGGAAAUUUUUUAACUGAUGGAGAGAUUUUUGAAACGGUUGAACUAGAUUGUGAGUUGUUUGAAAAUUUUAUAUCAACAUAUAUCCACUUCUCUUCGACUUAACCAUAUUAUAAGAUAAGUUUGAGGAUGGUCGAGCGGAUGAAGGAUAUUAUCUAGAAGUGUAUUGAUUCCAUGAAUGUUGAAAAUAUUUGUGUGGGGUAUCUUUUGCCAAGUAUAAGCUAGGUAAUGAGUAAACCCCUUUUUUUUGUGCUUAAAAUAAAAAAUAAAAAAUCAAAAGGAAUGUUAUUAUACUUGUUGAAUUCUAGAUCUCACUUCUUAACCUUUUUGACUCAAGUCCAUAGGGUUAUUUCAAAACCCGAUACCCUUUAAACAACUGGGAAGUAACCGACUUAAAGCUCGCUACAAGGGUCAAAAAGAAAGCUUACGAGAGUGAAGUAAAACAAGAGAUUCGGAUUAAAAAAGAAAUAAAGCAAAAAAAAAAAAAAUAGAGGAAAAAAAAGAAGAAAUUUUAUUUGUUGUUGUGCAAUUGUAUUUGAUAUUUGGGUUUAGAUAAGUAGUGAGUUUGAAUUGUUUAGUACAAGCUUAAAUGUGUAAGCACUCAUUAGUAGAGAAUCAUCACGUGAUUAGAUAUUGAGAUUGUCGAUUAGACCCAACCAAAUUAGAGCAGGAAAGGAAAAUAGUGAUUGAGAGAAACAUUUAGAUUUACACCUCGAGAAAGAAAAGAGCACAUCUAUUUGAGGAAUGUAAAUCUCACAAACGAGAAAGGAAAUAUUUAACCACAAAGGGUCGGGCUGAAACCAAUUUGAAAAUGUUUCCUUUGUGACAAUCUUUUUCUAAUUUAGAGGAUAAUGCUCAUUGAAUGAGCAAUUCAAUAAGAGAGCUCGGAUCGAAUCGGUAUUGAUAUACGAUUCGAUCCGAGCUCUUGGAAUAAAAGUGACUACACACACACACACACACUAAUUGAACAUUAGAUAAGCUCAAAUUAUUUUUGCUAGUAUUACUUGGAACAUAUUUGUGAAUUGACUAUAAAAUUUUACACUCAUUGAUGACAAGUUAUCUAAUGUGUUGAUCCUUAUCUUAUUUUGCAUGAUUAUGUUAGUACAUAAUCUUGCUCGGGAUGAGCAAGAGCUUAAAUUUGAGGGCAUUUGAUAAGCGUAAUUUUGCACACUCAUUUAAUACCUAAAUAAGCCUAAAUAUUGAUUAAAUAAGCGAAUUUCUAUUCACAAUUAUGUAAUUAUUGCUUUUGUAGGUAAAAAUCAUCCAAGAAAAGAGAACAAAGUAAAAUGGAGUGGAAAGGGAUCAAAAGUGUACAAAAACGUGAAGUCGGUGACCAAAGAGAACAAAGCAAUUUUGGGGGCAUAAUUGAAAGAAAAGUCAAAUUUUGAGGACCAAAUUGUACAAAAUCAAAUUUGAGAGGGACUAUCAUGCAAUUAUCUCAGGGACUUAACUGCAUAAAUGACAAAAAUCAGUUUUUUUCCCCCCUGAAAACAGAAACUGGGGGCCUAGGUGCCACUGUUCCAAUGCCUAGGCGCAUUUUUACAAUCAAAAUAAUGCUCGAGACCUUUUUGCCCUUUGUCCAAAAUUCCGGGGACUUGUAUUGCAAUUUUCUGAAAAGGGUUUUAAUUGAAUUGUAAAAAGACAAGAUCUGGGGAUUUUCUGGAUUCUGCUUCUUUCGGGCUGGAACGCCUUCUUUUUAUAUCUUUUUCUUUUCUUUCUUCUUUAUUUUUCUCAUUUUUUUCAUUUUCUUUUCUUUUUCCUUUUUAUUUCUUUGGUAUUUUGGAGGACACAAUCAAUGGAAAAAGCAGAACAUCAAGAAAAGAGUGGAAAAAUAUUUGGGGAAAGCAAGAUCCAGAACUAAAAUGAUUUCAUCUAUAACUAUGCAUUUUCUCCAUUAUUUUAUCUAACUUGUAAUGUAAUGUAUGAAAUUUACCAUUUAUAUAACAUGGGCUAAACAUUUGUAUUGAGAUUUAUGACAUUAACUUAACCUAGUUUUUAAUUAAUUUUAAUAUUUGCUCUUUGAUGUUAAGUUACUUAUUUUCAUGUGAUUUUACUAUUGUUAUUAUUGCAUUUUCAUUUAUGUGGCCAAUGAAUGAUUAUAUUUUAUGUUUUGUACAUCGUUCGAGAAAAGAUUGUGCAUUUUAAACCAAAUAAUAGAAACCCUAGAUUUGUGUGGUGGAUAGAGACACACCCUUUACCCUAGGUGACCCAAUGAACUAUUUUCACAUAGAGUUAAUGCAGUUGUUUGGUUUUAAUCGAUAUAAAGAUUUAGUAGGUUAAACCAAUCAAUCAGAGUUAAUUUCUCUCUCGAGAGAUAAUUAACUAAAAUUGGAAGAUAGUGUCCAACAUCAUAAAUGAGUAAUUUGUUAAUUGGCUUUUAGAUAAAUUAUUUAGACGACGAUUAAGCGAAACCUUGAAUCCCGACCACGUUUGCUUCCAAAAUUUCCAAGAUUUUUAUUAUUUUGUAGAUUUUUAGUUAUUUUCCAUAAUCAAGUAUUUAUUAUGUGUUUGUUUUUAUUGUUAGAAUUAAAUUAAUUAAAGUUGUGUAAUCUAAAGUAAACAUUCCUUGGAGAUCACAAUUCAGACACAAAAGGUCCACUUUAUUACUUGAAUUCGAUUCAUGAACUUAUGACAUGCACUUUUAGCGAACACUCACGUCAGCCUCAUUCCUAAAUUUAUGCUCCUCAAACUUAUGAAUAACUACCUAAAGUUCACAAGUACCACCAAAUCACCAAUAAUCCUCAUGUUGUAGAAAUAUUAGGCACCAAAGAUAAAUGGUGUCAAGCCUUCAGCAACCACUGCAUUCUUGAUCUUGGGUGCGAGUGCAAGUAUUUGAAAAAUAUAUCCAACCAUCCGAAGUUAAAGAAUAGAGAUGGCAAAAGAAUCCGUUCAACCUAAUACACUUGGAGCCCUGCCUAACUGGGUAAAUGGGAUGGGUACAAGACGAGAGUCAUUGCUCCGUUUAAAGUUAAUUUCAAAUUUAAGUUUUUAUCAAACAAAAGUAAUAGAUUUAUCAUCAUUUUUUAAAGUGAACAUAAGUUGUUUUAACAAAUUGGUAAAAAAGUAAUGAUAUUUACUACCUAAGGACAAAAAAAUAAAAUAAAUAAAAAAUAAAAAGAAAAAAUAAAUGAGGCGAUAAAUGGGGCAGGUGAUCCGCCCCGAUCCCGUCCCGCUUUAAUUGGGUAUGAGUAUGUGUUAAAAUAACAAAAAUACCCAACAUGAUGGGGGUAGGAAUGGUCGACCCGUACCAUACGCGCACCGUUGCCAUCCCUAUUAAAGAACCAAAAUCCAUUUCUUAUGCCUUUAUGACUGAGCAAUAAACAAGCAUUUGAACCUUAAUUCUCAUCAAGAAUCAGUAGCUAAAAAUGAAUGCAUCCUAGUCGGAAAAUAUAUUUUGGAAUAAGAAGUGUUUAUUUCUAAUCACAAUAUACAACCAAUUGGUUAGACUUGAGCCCAGACGACCUUUAGGGAUGUCCAAAUACAAGUCUUAUAAGCAUGAAUGUGAUAUGCUAAAUUUUAAUACUCAAGACUUCAAUUGUUAGCCAAAUAAUAGCAGAAUUUAGUUUUUAUUCUUUUGAAGCGAGUAGAUAACAUAGUGAUGACAGUGAAGAUGUGUUUAAGCCGGAUAAGAUAAGAUAUUAUUUUGUUAGUAUAAUGACUAAAUUAACUUAGUCUAACGUGGUUUGCAGAACACAUCCUUCAAGUGCUAAUUUAUCAGUCACAGGGUUGGUAAAGAUAAAUCAUUAUUAUUUUCUAAAAGAAUACUAAUUUUGAUAUCAUUCAGCUGGAGUUAUCCAGUAAUAACAUUUUCUAUAUGUAUUAUCCCUAGAUGUUAAAUGGAUUCAUAGUCAAUUUUUUCAACUAUAAUCUAUAAAACUAGAGUGGAAAUUUUGUUUGAUUGGAACUGUAGUUCUUAGAUCGCCACGGUCAAAGCUCAGGGUCGGCGAGUCUAUGGUUAAGCAGGUUGGUCAUUGUCAAACUGAAAAUUUAUAUCAAAAAUACAUAUUUUAAAAUCACUUCAAAGAAAUGUAUACGGAUGAAUAUAAAAUAAGACAUAAAGCUCUUUGGCCUCAACAAUCGAGGAGUUAUCGACUUAAAGCUCGCUACAAGGAUCGAGAAGAAAACUUACGGGAGUGAGGUAAAACGUGAUAUUCGGAUUAAGAAAGAAAUAAAGAAAUAAAGCAAAAAAAAAUAAUAAUAAUAAAAUAUAUAUAUAUAUAUAUAUAUAUAUAUAUAUAUAUAUAUAUAGUAGAGAAUCAUCACGUGAUUAAAUAUUGAGAUUGCUGGUUAGACCCAACCGAAUUAAAGCGGGAAAAAAAAAUAGUGAUUGAGAGCAACCUUUAGAUUUACACCUCAAGAAAGAAAAGAGCACAUCUAUUUGAGGAAUGUGAAUCUCACAGGUGAGAAAGGAAAUAUUUGACCAUAAAGGGUUGGGUUGAAGCCAAUUUGAAAAUUUUUCCAUCGUGAUAGCAUUUUUCUAAUUUAAAUGACAAUUAAAAGUGAUUAUGCACACACACACACUGAUUAAACAUCAGAUAAGCUCAAAUUAUUUAUGCUAGUAUUACUUGGAACAUAUUUGUGAAUUGAUUAUAAAAUUUUACACUCAUUGAUGACAAGUUAUCUAUUGUGUUGAUCUUUAUCUCAUUUUAUAUGAUUAUGUUAGUACCUAAUCUUGCUCAGGAUGAGCAAGAGCUUAAAUUUGAAGGUAUUUGAUAAGCAUAUUUUUGCACACUCUAAUACCUAAAUAAGCCCAAAUUUUGAUUAAAUGAGCAAAUUUCUAUUCAGAAUUAUGUAAUUAUUGCUUUUGUAGGAAAAAAUGAUCCAAGAAAAAAGAACAAAGCAAAAUGGAGUGAAAAAGGGAUCAAAAGCAUACAAAAAACGUGAAGUCGGUGACCAAAGUGCACAAGUAAGAAAUGUUCGAGGACAUGGGCUUGCAGUUUUUGGGUCAUAAUUGAAAGAAAAGUCAAAUUUUGAGGACCAAAUUGUACAAAAUCAAAGUUGCGGGACCUUCCAUGCAAUUAUCUCAGGGACUUAAUUGCAUAAAUGCGCCUAGGCGCCACUGUUCCAACGCCUAGGUGCCAUUUUUAAAAUCAAAAUAAUGCUCGAAACCUUUUUGCCUUUUGACCAAAAUUCUGGGGACUUGUAUUGCAAUUUUCUGAAAAGGGUUUUAAUUGAAUUGUAAAAAGACGAGCUGGGGAUUUUCUGGAUUCUGUUCCUUUCGGGCUGGAGCGCCUCUUUUUAUAUCCUUUUCUUUUCUUUCUUCUUUAUUUUUCUCAUUUUUUCAUUUUCUUUUCUUUUUCCUUUUUAUUUUCUUGAUAUUUUGGAGGACACAAUCAAUGGAAAAAGCAGAACAUCAAGAAAAAAGUGGAAAAAUAUUUGGGGAAAGCAAGAUCGAGCUCUAAAAUGGUGUCUUCUAUAACUUUGCAUUUUCUCCAUUAUUUUGUCAAACUUGCAAUGAUUAGUAUGAAAUUUACCGUUAUAUAACAUGGGCUAAACAUUUGUAUUGGAAUUUAUGACAUUAACUUAAACUAAUUUUUAAUUAAUUUUAAUAUUUUCUCUUUGAUGUUAAGUUACUCAUUUUCAUGUGUUAUUGUAUUUUCAUUUAUGAGGCCAAUGAAUGAUUAUAGUUUAUGAUUUGUACAUUGUUCGAGAAAAAAUUGUGUAUUUUAAAUCAAAUAGUAGAAACCCUAAAUUUGUGUGGGGGAUAAAGACAUACCCCUAACCCUAAAUGAUCCAAUGAGCUAUUUUCAUAUAGAGUUAAUGUGGUUGUUUGUUUUUAAUCGAUAUAGAGAUAUAGUAGAUUAAACCAAUCAAUUACGAUUAAUUUCUAUCGAGAGAGAGGUAAUUAACUAAAAUUGGAAGAUUGUGCCAAAUGUUAUAAAUGAGUAAUUUGUUAAUUGGCUUUUAGAGAAAUUAAUUAAACGAUUGUUAAGCGAAACCAUGAAUCCUGACCACGUUUGCUUCCAAAAUUCCCAAGAUUUUUAUUAUUUUUUAGAUUUUUAGUUAUUUUCCAAAAUCAAAUAUUUAUUGUGUGUUUGUUUUUAUUCUUAGAAUUAAAUUAAUUAAAGUUGUGUAAUCUAAAGUAAACAUUUCUCGAGAGAUGACAAUUCAGACUCAAAAGGUCCACUUAUUACUUGAAUUCGAUCCGUGCACUUUCGACAUACACUUUUAGUGAACACUCACGUCAGCCUCAUUCCUACAUUUAUGCUCCUCAAACUUAUGAAUAACUACCUCAAGUUCGAAAGUACCACCAAAUCACCAAUAAUCCUCACGGUGUAGAAAUAUUAGACACCAAAGAUAAAUGGUGUCGAGCCUGCAGCAACCUCUGCAUUCUUGAUCUUGGGUGCCAGCACAAGUAUCUAAAAAAUAUAUGCAACCAUCUAAAGUUAAAGAAUAGGGAUGAGAAAAGAAUCCGUUCAGCCUGAUACCCUUGGAGCUCUGCCUAACCGGGCAAAUGGAAGGGUACGAGACGAGGGUCAUUGCCCCAUUUAAAGUUAAUUUCAAAUUUAAGUUUUUAUCAAACAAAAGUACUAGAUUUAUCAUCAUUUUUUUUAAAGUGAACAUAAGUUGUUUGAACAAAUUGGUAAAAAAGUAAUAAUAUUUACUAACUAAGGACAAAAAAUAAAAUAAAUAAAAAAUAAAAAGAAAAAAUAAAUGAGGCAAUAAAUGGGACAGGUGAUCCGCCCCGAUCCCGUCCCGCUUUAAUUGGGUAUGAGUAUGUGUUAAAAUAACAAAAAUACCCAACAUGAUGGGGGUAGGAAUGGUCGACCCGUACCAUACGCGCACCGUUGCCAUCCCUAUUAAAGAACCAAAAUCCAUUUCUUAUGCCUUUAUGACUAAGCAAUAAACAAGUAUUUGAACCUUAAUUCUCAUCAAGAAUCAGUAGCUAAAAAUGAAUGCAUCCUAGUCGGAAAAUAUAUUUUGGAAUAAGAAGUGUUUAUUUCUAAUCACGAUAUACAACCAAUCGAUUAGACUUGAGCCCGGACGACCUUUAGGGAUGUCCAAAUACAAGUCUUAUAAGCAUGAAUGUGAUAUGCUAAAUUUUAAUACUCAAGACUUCAACUGUUAGCCAAAUAAUAGCAGAAUAUAAUAUAUUAUUUAUAUACUGGAAGAACAUAAUAGAAAAUUACAAACAGAACUGAAACUAAAUUGAAUGGCAGAAGUGAAGAAACCAGCGAACUGAGGCCUGUAACACAGUGUCCUUAAAAGCAAAAAUUGGAAACUCCCGUGGGCCCAAUUUUUGAUCCGUUCGGUUUGACAUUCAUAUAAGCUAGUCAUGCCAGCACACUAGUUCAAGAUCUGAAAUUCUAAUUUAGUCCUUGAUUUGCACCUCCAUACGCGAGGACAUGGAAAGCACCUCUAUGCUACAAAUGAUUAAACACUUCCAAAGUAUAGCCAUAUAUAAAGUUGUAUUUUAUUCCAUCUUUUUUUUAUGUGGGAAAGACCUUAAUUGGUUUUCCUCCAACACAUAACUCCACAUUCUAAUAGUCCAAUUUGAACUUCAAUUUCUCAUUCACCCAAACAUCAAUUUUGACAAGUUAAUAUAUGAUUUCGAUGUUUUUACGAAAGAGAACAUAAAUCAACUUUGAUUUUUCAAAUUGAACCAACGAGUCCCACCUAAAAUUGUGCCAAAAUUAGCUCAACAAAGUCAUUUUUUCCACAUCAAUAUCGUACAAUUCUCACUAUAGAAGUGCUAUGAUUUGUAAGUGAAGAGAUAGAUAUAGAAGCAUUAUCUUGCAAUAUCUUUUACUAAUAUCUCACAUUCUUCCUUUUCAUUUCUUCGUCUCUUCAUAUUCUUCUGAAGAGUCAAGAAUAAUUUCAAAAAUUAACGUAAUCAAUACUUACAAAUUAUUAUGAAGUUAGCUCUUUAGCUAUUAAUUUUUCACUUAUCUUAGACCCGGAGCUCUGUGUUUUUUCAUUCCUUUAAAUAUAUAAACUCUCUAGUAUGCCUUAUUUAUGUCUUGAUUAAUGAGCAAUUAUCGUUUAGGGAUGAGUUUAAUGAGCAUUUAGUUAAUUAAUUUGACAAUAUAAUGUUAUCACUGUGUCACCUCCGAUUUCUGUAAACACGUAGAAAUUUCCUUCAAGUGGAAGUAAUAGAUUUCACUCUGUGAUGGAUGUGUAAUAAUUUGAAUACAUGAGUGAGCAAUGAGUAACAAUUUAUUUAUUUAUUUAUUUUUUAGCUCAGAUAGUAAGUAAUAACCUAGAGAGAAAUUUAAUGAGCAUUUAUUUAAUUAUUUCACAAAAAUGGCAGCAAUGGCAAAUUGUGAUUUUUUUUUUUUAGAGGAAAUAGGCAUCAUCAAUGGUGGUGCUUUUGAGGUGGUGGUGAUGCCGAUUUUGCAGUGUUUUUGGAUGAUGGCGAUUGUGGUCAUGAUGGCAACGAGAUGGGGUGAUGAUGAUGUGGUGAGAUGAGUUUGGAUGGCAUGACUAUAGUGGAGGUGGUUGUUGGUGGAGGUGGACAUAACACAAUAGGUUACAUGUAUAUUUCAAGCACAACAUAGUAUGUUAAGUGUUACAUUUAUAACACAGUAGAUUAUAAGCGUUAUAAUAAUUAAUCGUAUAACAAACUGUAAUAUACAUAUUAUAUUUGUAGAAGUUAUUAUUAAACGGGUAAUAUUUGGAGUAUUUGUGAAAAAUAAACGUAGUUAGUGGGAAAGAAGAACCAAUUUUAAGAUUCUUAUGUUGUCAGAAAUAUAGAAAAUAGGAAAUAAGUUCAGUGACUAACGAGAAGCAAUGAUAAAAGUCUAGUGACCGUCGUGAUAAUUAACCAAUAACUUGCCUUCAGAGAAAGUAAUUAAGAAAUACGGGUUUCAGUUAAUUUUAAUGUAUAAUUUAUUAAAGAUUUUUGUUUGGUGGUGGAACACAUUAUAAAAUUUUUUUUGCUAGCAUACCAACCAAAAUUAAACCUACCAAAGUCUUAAUUUAUCAAUUAAAUGAUCAGUAAAUAUUACUUUUAAUUAUUUUUUCUCCAAAGGCACUAUUGUGUCCUUGAUAUCAUACUUUUGGUAUAUUAGUCAUUUUCUGGAUGUUUUGUGGAUUUGUAGUCAUAUUUGCCCACGAUAAUAAGUACUUAAUUAUAUUAACAACAAUUCUGAACACUUUCGACUACAAGAAUUUUAUGUUUUUUAUAUAAAAAAAAAAUUUGUUGUAAAAGGUUUUUAUUUGUAGGAAAAACCUUUUGCGGAUGAAAUAAAUUUUAGAAACAUUUGUGGGGGAAACUUCGAGAGGAUAGGUAAAAGAUGAAAUUUUUUAAAAAUUUGUAGGUUAAAGAUUUUCCCUAUGAAAUCAUUAGAGAGAAAUACAAUACGUCACGUAAGUCUUUCCCCAACAAAAUCAUUUGUCUGCUAAAGUUAAUUUUGCCCACAAAAAGAUUUCACUUUUCCCUACAAAUAAAUUUUGUGUGAAAAGGAUAUUUGUGGGUUAAGAUAUACACAUUUUUCCCUGCAAUUAAAAAUUUGUGACAACAUGGUACAAAUUAUUUUGUGGAUUAAACCCUGUUUUUCACUACAAAUAAUUUUUUGGAGGGAAAGAAUAUCUGCGGGCUAUUAUGAAAUAAUUCGUAAGGAAAAAAUAAAUUAUAUUACUUUAUUCAAAAUAAUAUAAAGAUACAAAAAGACAAUAAAUUAAUUAAGACAUGUCAAUAUAAGAUUGAAUCUAAAGUAUUUCAUCAAAACACAAAUAAAAAUCAUUCUAAAUUAACUUUCUUCGUACUCCUUUUUGGAUGAGUUACUUUUGUUUGCUUUGUACCUUUUGAAAUUGUAGCCUUGCUAGUGAUAAUUUUAUUGAUUAUUUCGUUUAUGGUUUAUUCCACUCGCACAUUUAUGUAUACAUCCAAAUAUGUAUUCACGUCCAUAUCAUUGUCUUGAUGUUGCAUUUGUUUUAAAUAAUGCAAUGCCAUUUGAGUACUGAAUUAAGUAUAUUAUUUUUAUUAAUAUAUUUUCAUAAAAAACUGGAUUAUCAUUUCCAGAUUUCCGCACAGUGGAUGUCCCCUCUCUCAUUGUUGUACAGUUUAUCUAUCUACCUUCAUUUUUUUCCCCUUCAAUAUAAUAAAAGAGGUGUCGACACGCUAAAAGUGCAGCUCAAAUCGAAUAGCCCCAAGAAUGAAGCCUAACUGGGCAAUUAAGGAUAAAUGCCCAAAUAGGGUUAUUAAUGAAUGCAGUGGAAGCCCACGAACGCAGUAACACAAUCGCCCAAACUUGCAAGACGCCCAAGAUCUGAGCGAAUGAAGUACCUUACAGUCGCCCAGAGUUAUGACCUUGUUCUUGCCCAAACCUUCGAAUCGCCCAGGGUCUUAGCAAACAUAAGAUGUUAUGGUUAUCCAAAAGUGCAGUUAUCGAAACAGUUAUUGAGUAAUCUUAUCACGUUCCACGAUUCAAGGAGAUCAGUUGAAGACGGUUGAGCGACAAAGAGUAGUGACAGCAGUUAGAGACGGCAGUUCCAUGAUAAGUUGGCCACCAUGAAGAAAGUGGAUAGUUAUAAAGUAAUUAAGCAGUUUCUAAGCAAUUGAUCACAAAAAGAUCAUCAAGGGAAUAUAAAAGGAAGAAAAGACAUCGAGAAAAGGACCCCGAAUCAAACACUCUCAAACAGAAAAUAUUUAAUUUCAAUUCCUUAGUUUAGACUUAAAACAUUUCUUUUCAGUAUUCGUGUGCUUGUGCCCCUUGGAGGCAUUUUGUUUAAAGUUCCAAUUGUAAAGUCAUCGCCAAUAAAACACUCCUUUUUGGGACUUUGUCUCAAGAGGUUUGUUCCUUACACAAUCAUCUGAUCCCUUUUUAAUUAUUAACGACUACCCACGCGAAACAAUUUGGCACGCCCAGUGGGACCUUGGUGUUUGGUAUUGAAAAUACAAAAGGUGAAACAAUAUGUCUCAGAAAUCCGAUAAGGAAGCAGCAAGUCAGGGAGGAGUCCAGUCUGUGAUCGAGAGAUAUGAGGAGCAACAUAGCUCUCCACGAACAAAUGGACAGAAUCAGAGCAAUCAUAGUCAUUACGAACCAAUGACAGAGUUGAGUCCUCGAACCAUGCGUGCAUUACUCGGAGAACUCACACAAGAUGUCAUUGAACAUGUAAAUCUACGAAGUAUUCAUAAUAUGGAAAAAUUUACCCAGAAUGGGAAUGCGCAUUAUGACAACAUGGCCAAACAACUGAAUACUUUGAACGAAAUAAUGAAUAAGUUAGUAGGCCAAAUUUGUCAGCCAGUUGUGCCUCUAGCAAACAACUUUCAAACUAGGACAAUUGUGAGACAUAAUCCCCCAGUCCUAAGUUUAAAUCAAGGGGUAGAACCACCUUUUGACCCCUCUACUUCAAACCAUGGGGGUGGUGCAAUACCAAAUCAAAAUAGUGGCAUUAUUACAUCUAACUUGGGGGGUAAUCCAAAUGUAAGGGAUAAUGUCCUAAAUAAUGGGCAGAAUACCUCACGUAUUAAUGAUGGAAUAAAUGUUCAGGCUAAUAGUAACAAUGGCCCAAAUUAUGGCAACUUUGUUGCCAACCAAGGACCAAACAUCAGGCCUCAAGCAAAUCAACCGGUCAACCAACCUGUAGGGAUCCCAUAUGACCCCAACGUCAUGUUGAGGAAUCAGAUUAUGGAAAUCGUAUAGGACCAGAUGGCUUUUGGAGUACGUCCUGUCAUUAGGCCGACUUACACAAAGCCAUAUCCUGAUUGGGUAUACCAAGCAUAUCCAUGGCCUAGAGGGUAUAAAGUGCCAAAAUUCUCAUUGUUUACCGGUUUAAAAGAGGUGUCUACUCUAGAACACAUAGGGCGAUUCACACUGCAAUGUGGUGACGUAACUGAUUAUCAUAAAAUGAGGCUGUUCCAUAAUUCAUUAACAGGAGUAGCCUUCUCCUGGUUCAUCAAUUUGCCAACAAACUCUGUUCAAACAUGGCAACAAUUGGAGUAAUUGUUCCACGCUCAGUUUUAUAAGACUGAGUCUGAAGUUACUUUGGUCGAUUUGGCGAACCUACGUCAAAUGCCAAACGAAUGGGCAGAAGGUUUCCUUCAAAAGUUCAAGACAGCAAUAAGUAAAUGUUUUGUACCUUUGUUCGAAAAGGAGUUUGUCAAAAUCGCUCAACGUUGUCUAAGCUUUGAUUUGAAGAAGAAGUUUCAAGAUAAGGAAUUUCUUGAUCUUUUUCAAUUGAGCGCAAACGUGAUUAGGUAUGAACGAUUAAUAAGAGAAGAAGAACAAAUGAAAAGUUCUAGCAAGGGGACUUAUUAUAGAGACCCAAAUUUUGAUGUUCAUACCAUUAAUGAAGAGUAUUACGAUCAAACCGAAAUGUGUUUAGCCGAAUUAGUUAAAGGAGACACAUAUACUUGUUCUAUAAUGGCUAAGCCUAGGCCAUCGGGUAAGGAUGAGCCUAUAAAAGAUGAAAACAUAAAGGCUAGAACGUUCUCGUUCGAUGUAACCAAAGCUGACCUUAUAUUUGAUAAAUUAUAUAAGGAUAAGCAGAUAAAGCUGAGCGAUAAGCAUAAAUUGCCAAGCCCUGAACAAGUUAAGGGUAAAAAAUAUUGUAAGUGGCAUAAUGCAUGGUCACAUUUGACUAACAACUGUUUGGUUUUUCGCCAUGUGUUACAGGAUGCCAUUGAAUCAGGACGAAUUACGUUCGAGGAUAAGAGGAAGAUGGCAGUGGAUGAAAAUCCUUUUCCACAGCCACUUGGAGUGAAUAUGGUGACGUCUGGUUUCAAAAACAAGUUACCAAAAUUCAAGUUGGUUAUAGAUGAUGGAGAAGAAGAAGCUGGACCACAUCCCAGCGUCUUUGAACGUAUCAAAGGGAAUGAACCCAAAAAGGACGAAGACGUCCUAUGUGCAAGAUACAAAAAAGAAGUGAGUGCAAGUGCAGAGAAACCAGGGAUAUGGCAGCAUCACCAUCGCCCUAGUUUUUUCCCAAACGCUCAGCCUGGUAGAGGGUGGGGUACAUCAUUCUAUAAGGGACCGCCUUUUGAGAGGCAGUUCAGGCUAGUAAAUAAUGGAAGAACAUUCAGACCGCAACCUCGCUAACCAAGUGUAUGGCAUUCAUUCCAGUAUAAGGCUGGAAGGGCGACACCUUUCAACGAGAUGACUAAAACUCAACAAAGGUGUUCUCAACAGAACUAUGGGCGAAUGAUGAGGCAACAACAGGGAAUACUACGUCCAAAGGCACCUAGGCUACUCGAGACAGCCAAUCAAAAUGUUCUCAAAGACAGUGAAGAGACUGGUACAGGAGAACCUAUGGAAGAGUUGCCAGAGACUUCUUCUGGGAGGUCGAAGUUUGAGCGAGACAGAAGGGAUGGAGAAGAUCCAGAUCAGCCCCUUACUAUUCAGUUUGGUACGUUGCCUCUUGUCGUGGCUAAUAACUAUUUGCUAGCCAAUGAGUUCAAGAAUAAAGAGAAGGGAGAAGAAGAAAAGGAGGAUAACGAAGAGGAAGCAUGCCUGCUGAAAUAUGAAGAAGGCCAAACUUCUAGCGAGGCCUACAAUGGUGAAGAAGAUGAUGGUAUGACAGACAUCGAAGAGGAAAUCGAUCUGGAAGCAGAAAGAAGAAGAAGAGGAGUAUCGUACAAUACUCUGUUGAAGCAACUACAUCGAGAGGGAGUUCGUGAAGUAGACUUAUUAGGAGAACCAUCUGGGCGUUCUUUUGAUUUUUAUGUGCUGUAUGGAAUGCCCAAAAGGAAGAAGAGAGUGCCUCAUUCUGAAACGUAUGGAUCACCUCCAAGAAUAAUACCUCCUCCCACACGUUGGAUAACUGAAGAAGAAGCAUUAGAAAACAUUAAAAAGGAAAUUCAGGAGACAGAGGCUCAGUGCGAUAUGCUGCACGUUGACUUACCACAAAAGGAUAACUCGAUAGAGGACAAGCAGGAAGUGGAAAUAGAUGCUGCCGAAAAAGUUAUUUUUAAGCGACCAACCAUGAAAUUGACCAAACACUUGAGACCAUUGGCAAAAGUGCUUGUCGAUAAUGGAGCAGCUAUAAACACCAUUUCAUCUACGAUGAUGAGGUAAUUCGCAAAGACAAAAGGUGAUAUGAUCCCAACGAAAGUCAUCCUGACAAGUUUCAAUGGAGGAGCAACUUCAGCUAAAGGGGUUAUGCCAUUGGACAUAACUAUAGGAACAACUACUAGGACCACAGUCUUCUUUGUAAUAGAUGGUCCCACUAGUUACAAUGUGUUAUUAGGAAGAGAUUGGAUACACGGAAGUCGCUGUAUACCUUCAUCGCUCCAUCAUUGCCUAGUUUUUUGGAAUGACAACGGCGAAGCAGAGAUGGUGCAGGCCGAUCAUAGGCCUUUUGUCACAGAAGCAAACUCAGUAGAAAGGUUCAUGCACGCAGGAAAUUAUGGACCUGUCAGAGUAGUCCAAGAUGGAGAAGAAACUCAGAUUGUCGCGCAGAGUGAAGAGUUGUUUUCGGUGGAUGCACUCACUGAAAUGUUCAAUCAGAUGAGGCCAAACAUAGUGGCCCUGGAGGAGCCAGUAAUUGAUAAAAGAAUAAUCAAGGAGUUUUAAAUGAGUUGUAAGCAACAAAGACAAAUGACCGAUAUUCAGGCCUUAAAGCAAAAUUAAUGGCUUUCAAUAAAGAAUGCAAGGACAACACAAAAGAAGCAGUAGCCUUGAAAGCAUUGAGAGACAAAUUGACAGUGUUCGAGUUGGAACAAAGUAUUGGCCGAGAAGUCAACAAGGCGGAUUGUUUAGAAGAAGAAGAAGUGCCUACAAGGGAACUGGACGACGAAGUGAUAAGGAUCGCCAAGCCUGGAUACGCUCAAGCACAAGACCCUCUGAUUAAAGUGAACAUUGGCAAUGAAGGAGAAGAUCGCCCAACGUUCAUUAGCCAAAUGCUCGAUCAAGAGGUUAGUGAUAAAUUAAUCGCUUUAUUAAAGGAGUACAAAGAUUGUUUUGCUUGGGAAUAUGAACAUAUCCUGGUUUAGAUAGAGAUUUGGUGGAACAUAGAUUACCAACCAAGCCUAAUUUUAAACAUCAUAGGCAACCUCCUAGGCUUUUCGCUCCUAAUGUACUCCCUGAAAUUAAGGAAGAGAUAGAGCGAUUAUUAAAAGCAGGCUUUAUUAGAACGGCCAUAUAUGUUGAAUGGUUAUCCAAUAUCAUGCCGGUAUUAAAAAAGAAUGGUAAACUAAGGGUGUGCAUAGAGUUUAGGAAUCUAAACAUAGCCACACCUAAAGAUGAAUAUCCAAUGCCCACGGUAGAUUCUUUAGUAGACUCGACUACCGGACAUGUAAUGUAUUCCUUCAUGGAUGGGUAUUCAGGAUACAAUCAAAUUUAUAUAGCUGAGGAAGAUAUACACAAAAUUGCCUUUAGAUGCCCUGGGUCUCUAGGAUAUUUUGAAUGGGUGGUUAUGCCUUUCGGCCUGAAAAAUGCAGGAGCAACUUAUCAAAGGGCAAUGAAUUUGAUUUUUCAUGAUAUGAUAGGCAAGUUUGUUGAAGUGUAUGUAGAUGAUAUAGUGGUCAAAUCCUUUAAAGAAGAGGACCAUUUUGAACAAUUAAGAUGUUCAUUUGAGCGAAUGAAGCAAUAUAAACUAAAGUUGAAUCCCUUGAAAUGUGCAUUUGGUGUUAAUGUAGGAAAUUUUCUUGGUUUCUUAGUACACAAAAGGGGGAUUGAACUAUAUAAAAAUAAAGCGACGGCCAUUUUAGAGGCCAAACCACCUAGCAACAAAAAAGAAUUGCAAAGGCUUCUAGACCAAGUAAACUUUUUAAGACGCUUUAUUUCUAGCUGUGCACGGCGAACUAAAGCUUUUUCGCCGCUUUUAAAAUUGAAAAAUCAGGACGAAUUCGUCUGGAAAGAAGAGCAUCAGAAGGCUUUUGAAAGCCUAAAGAUAUAUUUAUCAAGUCUACCAGUGUUGGUGUCACCAAUCCAAGGACGGCCAAUGAAAGUGUAAGCAUCGGCUGAAAAAGAAUCAAUAACUGGAAUGGUCGCGCAGGAAGACCAAUUUGGUGAAGAAAGGGCGAUUUACUACUUGAGUAGACGGUUAACAAAAUGUAAAUGUAAUUAUUCUGCCAUUGAAAAAUUAUGUCCUACAUUGUAUUUCACAUGUACAAAAUUAAGGACUUAUUUACGACCCGAGACCGUUUAUUUAAUUUCUAAAGUAAAUUUGAUUAAGUAUAUGUUCUCUCACCCUAUUUUACAUCAAAGGGUAGGCCUUUGGACAUUAGUUUUAUUAGAAUUCGAAGUACAAUACAUACCCCAAAAGGCAGUAAAAAAUCAGGCUUUGGCUAACUUUCUGGCCAAUCAUCCAUGCCUUGAUAUGCUUGAAGAAAUUGAGUUAGAGAUCAAUUCAUUCGAAUUAAAACCUUGGGUUUUAUAUUUCAAUGGAUCGAAAACCUCUACAGGUGUAGGAGUAGGAGUAGCAUUGAUAAAUCCUUUAGGGAUUUGUUACAUGUUCGCAUUCACUUUGGACAGGAUGUGCACCAACAAUCAGGUCGAAUACGAAGCCUUAAUCGUGGCCUAGAAUUAAUGAUAGAUUGGGGGUAAAGAAUGUGAUCAUUAGAGGCGAUUCUCAAUUGGUAAUUCACCAAUUGAUUGGUGAUUUUAAAUGCCAAAGUGAUUCCAUUAUAAGUCAGUAUGAAAUCGCCCAAGAGUUGUUGGAAGAAUUCGACCAAAUAGAGCUUCAAUGUGUUAAUAAGAUAUAUAAUGAUGUAGCGAACAAAUUGGCCCAGAUGGCCUCAGGGUACUCAAAGGUUUUAAAUUGGAAGUCUACUUGUGAGUAUGGAACAAUAUUGCCCGUGAUCCAAAGAAGGGCAAGAGCGAUUGAAAUUCAUUGCAUACAAGAUGGAGAUACAAUAGAUUGGAGGGCAGAGAUUAAAAGGUUCCUUAAAGAACCCAAUAAAGGAGAUAGUAGAAAAAUGAAGUUGCGUUUGCUAAACUAUACACUGAUAGAUGAAGAGUUGUUUAAGAAAUGCUAAGAUGGUAUAUUGCUAAAAUGUGUAAGUUUGCAAGAAGUCAAGACUAUCAUGGCUGAAGUGCACGAAGGAAUAUGUGGAGCUAAUCAAGCUGGCCAAAGGAUGAGAUGGUUAAUUAUUAAGAAUGUGUAUUUUUGGCCAAAGAUGGAAGAAUCAUGCGUUCAGUAUGCAAAGAGUUGUCUAGUAUGCCAAAAGCAUGGUCCAAUACAAAGGGCGCCAGCAUGAGAGAUGACACCUAUUAUUAAACCUUGGUCGUUUAAGGGUUGGGCGAUAGACCUGAUAGGGAAGAUUUAUCCCCCAUCAUCCAAGCAACAUACCUUUGUUAUAAUUGCAACUGAUUAUUUCACUAAGUGGGUAGAAGCGAUACCUUUAAAGGAGAUCACCCAAAAGAAUGUCAUAGAAUUUAUCCGUGAUCACAUCAUUUAUAGAUUUGGAAUUCCACAAACUUUGAUGGUAGAUCACGGAAUAUCUUUAAAUGGGGAUCAAAUGAAUAAAUUCUUGAGCGAGUUUGGAGUUAAAUUAGUGAACUCCACACCAUAUUACGCUCAAUCCAACGGACAAGCAGAAUCUUCUAAUAAGAUUCUAAAAAAUAUCAUAAGAAAAAUGAUAGAUGAAAUGCUAGAAAUUGGCACGAAUGUCUAAACAAGGCCUUAUGGGCUUAUAGGACGUCGCCUCGGUCAAGUACCAAAAUUACUCAUUUCCAACUUACUUAUGGACAGGAGGCUGUUUUGCCUAUGGAAAUCAACAUGCAAUCGAUCAGAGUGUGUUUGUAACAUAAGUUAAGUGGUGAUGAGUAUACCGAAUCACUAGUUCAAAACUUAUUGGAGUUGGACGAAUUAAAGUUGGACGUCGUAGAUAGAUUGCAAGUUCAAAAACAAAGAAUGACUAAAUUUUAUAAUAAAAAAGCUAUAGCCAAGUCGUUCAGCCUGGGUGAAUUAGUUUGGAAAACAAUACUCCCUUUGGAUAGUAAAGAUCCAAAGUAUGGCAAGUGGUCGCCCAAUUGGGAAGGACCAUAUAAAGUAAAUAAUACAUUGCCUAAUGGAGUCUAUCAUUUGGAAGAUUUAGACGGCACCAAGCACAUGAGAUUCAUUAAUGGCAAAUAUUUAAAAAAAAAUAUGUUCCUUCCUUAUGGGAAAGUGAACAAAUAAAAGUAUAAUCAAAUCGUGUUGAACGAUCGUAGAUUAAAAGGGCCAAAGCGAAAUACGUUCAAAUAAAUUCCUUUAUUAUCAAACGUUCAUUACAAAGUUGUAAAAUACAAAAUACUAAAUGCUCUACAAGUUACAAUUAAGAGCAAACUAAUCUCCCGGUAGAUCGUCGAGUAAGAGGGUGAACUGGCCUUGGUUGCCAUCAUGAUCGCACUGUUGCAAAGGCAAGCAGAAAGGCCGAGAAGCACUCUCAGCAAGCAAAAAGGAAGAAGAAGCACCCUCACAUCGCCUUCCUAAAUGCAUCGCUGCAAUAGCGGGCAAGGAGGUUGAGAAGCACUUUCAGCAAGUAAGGUGACUUGUAGGCGUCCUCAAAAAUUGUCUUCCAUCAUCGAACUCCUUGUAAGGAAUAUGGAGAUGAUGGGAAAAACUUUGCUGUUGGCCAAAGAAUAUUUCCUAUAUCUCCCAUACCAAAAGUGACAUCAAGAAGGAUGGCAAAAUGGGUGGAUCAAAUGAUCCAUCUCCAUGGAAAACGAAGGUUUUGGAUCGAUUGUCAAAAUGCCAAACAAUGGCAGCAAAUUGGUUUUGAAGAAGAGAAUGGAAAUGAAAAUGACAAGUGUGGAAUAUAAGUGCAUUUAUAGAGGCAUGAAGGUGAAGAGACAGAAUAUGAACAGCCACAUUCGUGCCUAGUAACUAGAAUCAAAUGGCCCGAAGUCUUGGAAAAAGAAACAGAAAUACCAAGAGAAAAUAUGCGUGAAUCUUAGCAUAAAGCAAUAAAAUGUUUGGGGGGUUGACGAUUAAAAACAACGUCAAUAAAUACACAAGAAGACAAAUUAAUCGUUCAUUAAUGAUAAUGGCUGCUGGUAUGUUCAGAAUUACCAAUGGACAUCAGUACGAGGUUACAAGGAGAAAGUUAAUACAAAGUUACAAAAAGAAAAGUUAAGGCAUUAGAUGUCUUAAUUACAAUUCGCCCCAGACUGAACGUAUUAUUUCCCUAAGUCUCCCCCAAUCCUCGCUCUGCUGAGAAGAAGUGACAUUCAAUUCAGCCACAAAAUCAUCAUCAACCUCCAGCUUCUUGUACUGCUCGACCAAAGACUUGGUUCGCUCAAUUCCUUAGGAGGCAUUCGUCCUUAGUUUUGUUGAUCUCCAGAAGCAAAGACUCUCUUUCAGAUACAGCGCGAAGAUAUUGAGUACUUUUGGCCUUCAGUUCAACAUUUUUGGCCAGUAAGGAGAGAAUCUCGGAAUGGACAACUUUCAACGUCGCUUUCAAAUCAAUAGAAAGAUUGAGCGAAGGAAGUGUCAAUGCUUGCGCCAACUUCGCACUCAAAUGCUCAAGCUUAUCCUUAUGUUUGGCAGCACUAGCCUGACCGAUGUCUAUAUCCAUAAUGGAUACAUACUCAAAUAUCGACUGCUUGAGGAACUAAUAUCUUCCUCUGAAGAAGCAGAAGGACGACUGGUUGAAGCAGAGCGAGACGUCUUGACUUGCCCCCAGGAAGUGAACAAGUUUUGGAUGGAACGCACAAUCUUAUCAGCAUCCUGCAAAAAAAAAUUGCCAACAUUGAAGGUUUUCACUAUAAUAAACAAAGUGGAAGUAAAAGUGAAGCAAGGAUUACCUCAUCAGCAAUCUUGGGAGGUGGCAUAUCCCCAGCCAAGUCUACCACCUGUGGCUCUAACACUUGUGAGGACUUCCCCUUGUCUAAGCGAGAAGACUUUGCCACAACGGGCAAACCCAUGGGAGCAUCUGCAGAACUCAAAAAAGUAAUGAAUUAAAAACCAAUAGCACAAGUAAAGGUCAAACAUCAAAAAAUGUAUUACCUUCUGGUUUGACGUUUUGGAGGUUGACGCCCUGGGAAGAAGGUGGCUCAUCCAUUGGUUGUGAUAAGGAUUCCGGGACUGAAGGUUUCUCUUUAAGCGUAGUCCCUUCAUCAGCUGGUUUGGAUGAAGCAGCCUCAGCAGAGGAUGAUGGAGCAGGAGCUGCCAACACCAAAGCCUUCAAAGGAGAGGCUGAGCUUUUCUGAGAAAUCCGAAUAAAUUAUCAGCACAUAGAAAAGUGUCAAGUAUAGAAAGGUAUGCUUGUGAGUAAACUAAUUUAAUUACCUUUCUCCUGACAAUGAGAGGAGUGUCAUCAUCAUCAUCAUCAUCAUCCUCCAAAAUGGGAGAUGCUGAGGCUGGCCGUUUGCGGUUUGGGGCACUCUUAGCUGCAGUAAGCUUGGUAGGAAGAGAAGUAGAUGGAUGAACAGACUGUUUGGCACUAGCAGAAGAGGAAGGACUCCUAAUAGACACAGGAGUGACCAAAACAGGAGAAGUGAAAGAAAUGUCUACCUGAUCCAGUGAAUGGAAAGCGCGAUUGUCAUCAGUUGCAAACAAUUUGCGCUGCACUGAUGGCCAGAGUUGUUCAAAAAAGGGAUGGCAUGGCAUGGCUAGAAUUGAAGGGGGCUAAUGAAAAGUUACUUGUCAAAAGAAUAUUGCGAGCAUCUAUAACUUCUGCCUCUGCCUUAUUAAUGGUGUAGAAGCGAUCUAUCAAAUUUCUUGAAUAACAAGGGGGAACAGGCCAAGUUUGGCCAAAACUAAGUUAACGAGCAAAAAAUUGGGGAGCAUGUAUUUCAACCCCAGCUUUGGCAUUGGUUCCAGUCAAAAUAUCAUGGAACAACUCCCUCCCGGUCAAAAACUGAACUGAAAUGAGCAGAGAGGUGCUCGCGUUUUCCAAAGUGGAUGGGGGUUGCACAUAAUCUGGAGUUAAAAAAGGAGGAAAAGAAAAGAAAGAAGGAAUUGAAUUCAAAGUAUAAAAGAAUGAAAAGAUGUCCCUUCUGGACAUAUUUACAGGGCUCAGUGGGCCAAUAGCUAGCCCAUGGCAGCUAGUAGAAGGAAGGGAAAAGGAUAGAGCACCAAGUGAUGGAAAAUAGGCUUUCAACCACAUUUGAGUGAACUAAAGAGGCCCACUGCCAGUAGGAGAUGCACCAUUCUUCAAUUGGAAUUGGAGAGAAGCCAUGCCUCUAUAGAGGGCAGCUAAAAAGAAAGAAUACAAAUUCAGAGGUCUACCACGCUCCAAUUCGUGCGCUAUGGGUAAAUAGCUCAUAGAAGGCUUCAUGCUUGGCACACACAGAACAUAUUUACAAAGCCAAAUUUGAAUAAAGGCCACACGCUCAGCAUGGGAAGGCUCAGCUCUCGAGUGAUUAUAACAACUUUGCAGGCUUGAAUAAGACUCGGUGAGUUUUCUCUCAAAUUUUGGGGCAACACCAGAAAUCAAAAUACCAGGAAAAAUGGUAUCGCCCAAAGGUGUCAAAUUUACUAAGGCCCCAACAUCUCUUAAAGUAAUGGACAUAGGACCAAGAGAGAAAAUAAAAGUAUUAUACUCAGAGGACCAAAAACUUAAAGCAAUAAGGAAAAUCGUUGAAUCAAAAAUAUGGGGUUGAAGAGAGAUUUCUAACAAAUCAAAAAUCCUAGCAUUAUCAAAAAUUGCCUUGGUAGGACCAUGGAUCACAAGGCGAGCAUGCCAUCUACGGAAAACAACAUCAAAUUUAGUCCAAGUGCGAAUACCUCUUUUGCAAAGCGGCCUCAGCGGCAAAGAGUUUAGAAACGGAGGGCCUUGAGUACAAGGGAACAGCUGGCUCAUCGCCACUUAUUCAAUGGCCUCGGCGUUGUUGAAUGAAGGACCUAGGUAGAACUCAUUGAGUUUGACAUUGGCUGGUGCAAGAAAGUUCGGAGUUCUAUAUGGCCGAGUGAGGAGUUUCUGGAAGUCUUCGAAGCUGAAAGAGUCACCAGAUUGGGAUUGUGAAACAGCCAUUAAAAAUGAAAUAAAGUUUUGUUGAAAUUUGCUUGAGAAACAUAGUAGAGAAGCAAGAAGAUGAAUAGUAAUAUUGCAAGAGAGAAGCGCGAAACAAUGAGGCGUGAUUUAGUAGUGCGAUGAAAUGGCGUGUAUUUGGGGUUUAUAAGGGUUUGCAACGUCGCACCUUUUCAGGCUAUGGAAGAAAAUAAUGAUUGAAAUUCUUGAGAAUUUCAAAUGUUGCUGAAAAACACAAAGUGAAUACGACAAAAAUUAAUAAUUGGUAUUAAUUCUGCCAUAUUGGGGGAUAAUUGUUGACACGCUAAAAGUGCAGCCCAAAUCGAAUAGCCCAAAGAAUAAAAUCCAACUGGGCAAUUCAGGAUAAAAGCCCAAAUAGGGUUAUUAAUGAAUGCAGUGAAAGCCCACAAACGCGGUAACACCAUUGCCCAAACUUGCAAGAUGCCCAAGAUCUGAGCGAAUGAAGUGCCUUGCAGUUGCCCAGAGUUAUGACCUUGUUCUCGCCCAAACCUUCGAAUCGCCCAGGGUCUUAGCAAACAUAAGAUGUUAUGGUUAUCCAAAAGUGCAGUUAUCGAAGCAGUUAUUGAGUAAUCUUAUCACGUUCCAUGAUUCAAGGAGUUCAGUUGAAGACGGUUGAGCGACAAAGAGUAGUGGUAGCAGUUAGAGACGGCAGUUCCACAAUAAGUUGGCCACCUGAAGAAAGUGGGCAGUUAUAAAGUAAUUAAGCAGUUUCUAAGCGGUUGAUCAUAAAGAGAUCAUCAAGGGAAUAUAAAAGAAAGAAAAGACAUGGAGAAAAGGACCCCGGAUCAAACACUCUCAAACAGAGAAUAUGUAAUUUCAAUUCCUUAGUUUAGAUUUAAAACAUUUCUUUUUAGUACUCGUGUGCUUGUGCCCCUUGAAGGCAUUUUGUUUAAAGUUUCAAUUGUAAAAUCAUCGCCAAUAAAACACCCCUUUUUGGAAUUUUGUCUCAAGAGGUUUGUUCCUUACACAAUCGUUUGAUCCCUUUUUAAUUGUUAGCGACUACCCACGCGAAACAAGAGGAAUUUUGUUUUGGCAUUGUUCAUUGGAAUCUGUCCCUCCCUUUUUUUUCCUUCCUGUUUUAGUUGUCCAUCCGGACUCUUCUACGUCUUUCAAUUUAAUUUUUCCAUAUUUUCACACAUGCAACGAGCACCGUAUCUUUUUACGGUCUUGAUUUAAUUACAAGCUCAAUGACAUAUUUAAAAUUCUGGAGGACACAUGUCAAUACAUAAUUGGAUAGUUUGACAUAAUGUCAUGUGUCAUUCCAUCAUUAGACAAUUUAAAGCACGGUCAACUUUUUCAUCCAAUUGUUUACGGGCUUUGCUUGGUAUAUAUAAUGUUUUGUACAUCAAGGUAUCCCACACUCACAUGGGAUAGGGCCCGCUUGAAUAUUACGGGCUUUGCUUGAUGUACAUAAUUUUUGUACAUCAGGUGUCCCACAUUCACAUGGGGUGGGGCUCGCUCGAAUAUUUACUGGUCUCAUCCCAUCUGAGUGUAUAGAUACCUUAAUGUACAAAAAAUUAUGUACAACUAUUGUUGUUCACUAUUAACUGUCACAUACAAUUAUGUCAAGUUUCUUAUCAAAGUAGCUUUAUCCAUCAAUUAUAGCCAUCCCAUCCUAUCAUCCAAUUUUUUGUCAAUCACCUUGGCCACAUAUGUGUGUGUGUAUAUGAAUUAAGCCCCCUGCAUAGGUCCAUUUGCACAGGGACUCUCACAUGGGCGUGUACUCCAUGUGUAAGCUCCACCCCCAUGUGUGUGCACCUGUACAGACCCUGUGCAAAAGGGUCUGUGCAGGUAGCACAAUUGAUUGAUAUAUAUAAGUGUAUUUUAUACACUUAUACGACGCACUAAAUUGUCGAACUAAAAAAUUGAUUAAUAAGGGGGGUUCUACAUCUUAUCAACAUUUCUUGUGAAGUUGAUAAAUUUUAUUUACAUUGCUUUCUAGUUAGUCGAUAGAUUUAAUAGUUUUUAGUUACCACUCAUUUUACUAUUCGAUUAAGGGUAGGGUUAACUUAAACUUGAUCAAACACAUAGUUCUCAUGGGUUCGACACUGUACACACCACUUUAUUACUUGUUCCCGAUUUCGUUCACUUGCGGAUAAUCAAACGAUAUAUAUAUAUAUAUAUAUAUAACCCCAUAUUUAAAAUUGAUCUAAGGCCCCAAAAUCUCAGGACCCGUCUUGCUGGCCAAGUAGCAUUAUUCAUCUUUUUACUCUUACUUCCCCCCACAAAAUUACCAUUCAUACGUCUCCUUCUUCUAACCUUUUGUUUUCUUUCUCCAAAAUUCUCUCUAACAAAUUCAAUUUUUGUAGAAUCAUAUGUUACUAGUGCAUUCUGUGAACUUCUUGAGAAAAACCGAGAGAACUCUGUUCAGAGGACGGAAUGAGAACAAGAAUCGCAAAUCAAGUACAAAAAUGGCAUCGAAGAUUUCCCUAAAGGCGGCGAAAGGGCAAGAGUGUAAAGAAGCUUGCGGUGGCGGCCCAAGGUGGAGUGUUGCGAAGUGGGUUAGCUACAGUUUUGAAGGAUGGUCCCCUGCAUAAAUACAGUUCAUAUGGAUUCAAGUUCGUUAGGUGAGAACUAGUCCUCGGCAUAAAUACAGUUCAUAUGGAUUAAAGUUCGUUAAUUUUUAGCUUGUUUGCCAUUUCUCUUUUAGUUGUUUGGUAUCUUUCCCAGCCGCAUUCUACUAUUAUUUCUAUUAACUUCUCUAUGUUCUUUUCUCCUCCACAUUUGCAGUUUCAUCCAGGGAAGAAUGUGGGUCUUGGCAAGGAUCACACCCUUUUCUGUUAGAUAGAUGGCAUCAUAAAAUUUGAGAAGUUUGGGCCUGAUAAGAAAAAGGUUUAUUUCAUAGAUACAUAAACUCGUCUCUCUAUUUGUAGCCGUAUAAAUAAUUGGUUAAAAAUUUUGCAGAGCGUAAAGAUAUAACGAUGUAUAUGUUUAUAAUGUAUGAAAUUACUUGAGUAAACAAAAUGGUUUACAAGACUCAUGGGUGGAUAUAAAUUAAUGAAGAUUUGGGUUGUGUGUUUGUGUUGUACAAACAUUAAAAAGAAAUGGCCUGCAGCUCGUGUGGUUGCGUGUUUGUUUUUGGAUGCAAGAUACACAAUUUCAGUUCCCUUCAAUGGCACUCCUCCUUUUGGUUCCUGUUUGGUUAAUUAAUGGAAAAAAAAAUGGGAAUUCUUUUCAGAUAUGGAGAUUAGAUAAUUAACUCUAUACUUUCAAACUUGUGUCACAAAAGGCAUCGAAUUAAAAGUUAACGUGCAUCGGUAAUUUUAUUACUCACAAUAUGUAAUUAUUACUUUUCCUGCAUUUUAUUUUUACCAUCUUCUCUCCAAAUUAUUAUAUUAGUGAUAUGUCCCUUCAUUAUUAUUAUUAUUAUUAUUAUUUUUUAUAGCAUUUCAUUGGGUCAAUAUAUGGAGCAUUGUAAAUUGAAAUAUUUUAGAUGCAUUCAACUAUAGAGAGUGACUUUGACUCUUAAAUAGAGAAAUAUUUCACUUUUAAAUAACUUCUUGGAUGUUGUAGUAGUAUUAAGAAAAAUUUGUGACAAAAAUCACUCUAAUCAAACCUAAUUUCUUCUUUGCCUGAGUUAUCCAUGUCCACGCAAACUCCUCCACAAUACCGACUUCCAAAAAUCUUAAAAUCAUGCUCUAAAUCCAAAAUCUAAAAAAUAUAAGCAAAAAAUUGAUUGGGAUGGAAACAAUCUAAAAAAAUUGAUUGCCUUUUCCUUUAUGCAAGAACUUAUUAAAAAUCAACUACCUAUAAUGGACAAGACUUGUCCAAUAGCCUUACUGGAAGCACAACUUAUUUGUUGGAAUUACCAUUGUCUCCAUUAUUGGGAUUUGGAUAAUGAGAAAUGAAAUGCAGGUUUGGGAUUCCCAUUCCCACAUAGCAAGCUUCUAUGUAUGUACAAUAUUAUGUGUAUGAUAGAUUAGAUUUAGUGCGACCAAUUAAACAAUUUUUACAUUUAUAAUUACAAGGGAAUUGCGAGAGAGGAAAUGUCACUCAUCUUAUUGCUUUCCUCUUGUUGCUGUAAUUUUAAAUUGGCAGAACUUAAUUUGAUAUAUAAUUUGUGUUCUCUGCAGGUUGUGCUAUCUGCUUUUGAUUCAGACGCCUCACUUGAUGUAUUGGACCAUCCAGUUCUGAACUUAAUCUACUACCAUGUAGUAGAUUAACUGAAUUUUUGUUCAGUUAUAAGAAAAUAUUUAUAAUCCAAUAGAAAAAAGUUUAGAUUUUUAGUGUUGUUUUCGAGGGAUUUUAUCUUUAUUCGAGCUAAAUUAUACGUUAAACCUUGAUUCUCUAGUUACAAAGAUAGACCAUAAAUUUAGUUAGAUAGAUACAUAACUUGUUAAGUCAAAUAUAUUAAAGAAUUAUGCUAAUUGUACAUAAAAAUGGUACAUAAAUGAUUACAUUAAAUAAUGCAGAGGGAAAAUAUAUGAUAAAAAAGUUGAUUGUGUUUUAAAUUGAAAAUAUAUAUAUAUAUAUAUAUAUAGAGCAAGAUUCUAUAUUAAAUCCCCAUCACUCUGUAAAUCAAGCUAAUUGUGUAGUGACUAACUGUUUCGUGCGGGUUCGUCGCUAACAAUUAAAAAGGAAUCAGACGAUUGUGUAAGGGACAAACCUCUUGAAACAAAGUCUCAAAAAUGGGUGUUCUUUAUUGGCGGUGACUUUACAAUCGGAAAUUAAAAACAGAAUGCCUCUAAGGGGCGCAAGCACACGAGUUACUGAAAGAAGUGUUUAAAUCUAAGCUAAGAAAUUUAAAAUUACAUGCUCUCUGUUCGAGAGUUUUUGAUUCAGUCAUUUUGCUCUAUGUCCUUCCUUCCUUUUAUACUCCCUGGAUGAUCUCUUUGUGAUCAACCGCCUAAAAACUGCUGGAUCGUUCUAUAACUGUCCAUUUUCCUCGUAAUGGCCAACUUGUUAUGGAACUACCUUUUCUAACUACUGCCAUUACUCUUUGUCAUUCAACCGUCUUCAAUUAGGUUCCUUGAAUUGUGGAACGUGAUAGGGCUGCUUUAAUAACUGUUUUGAUAACUGCACUUCUUGAUAACCACAAUACUUUAUGUUUGCUAAGACCUUGGGUGACUCGAAGGUUUGGGCGAGAAUAGAGUAACAGCUCUGAGCGACUGCAUGGCACUCCAUUCGCUCAGAUUCUGGGCGACUUGCAAAUUUCGGCGAUGGUGUUACCGCGUUCUUGGGCCUCCCCAUUUGGGCCUUCAUCUUGAAUUGUUUGAUUGGGCUUCGUUCUUUGGGCUAUCUGAUUUGGGGAUCCUCCAAUUGGGCUUCAUUCCUUGGGCCGUUCGAUUUGAGCUGAAUUUUUAUGUGUCAACAAUUACCCCUCAAUAUGGCAGAAUUAAUACUAAUUGUUAAAUUUUGCCAUAUUCAUUUUGUGUUUCCUGCAGCAUUUGAAAUUCCCAAGAAUUUCAAUCAUUGUCUUCUUCCAUAGCUUGAAAAGAUGCGACGUUUUGCAAACCCUUAUAACCCCCAAACACGCCAUUUCACUGCACCAUUAAAUCACGUCUCACUUUUUUUCCGUUUCUCUCCCACGAUUUACUGUUCAUCUUUUUGCUUCCCUGCUACAUUACUCUGAAAAAACUCCGUUUCAUCCCUAAUGGCUACUUCACAAUCUCAAUCUGGCGACUCAUUUAGUUUUGAUGACUUUCAGAAACUUCUGAGUCGUCCAUACAUAACUCCGACUUUUCUCGCGCCUGCCAAUGUCGAACUCAAUGAGUUCUACCUAGGUCCUNAAGACACUUUUUGAUAAUGCUAGGAUUUCUGAUUUGUUAGAAAUCUCUAUUCAACCCCCUACUUUUGAUUCAGCACUUUUUUCAAUCGUUUUGAGUUUUUGGUCUUCUGAGUAUAAUACCUUUAUUCUCUCUUGGCCCCAUGUCUAUUACUUUAAGGGAUGUUGGGGCCCUAGUGAAUCUACCACCUUUGGGCGAUACCAUUUUUCCUGGUAUCUUGGUUUCUGGUGACGCCCCAAAGUUUGGUAGAAACUACACCGAGUCUUAUUCAAGCCUGCAAGCCCUUCAUAACCAUUUGAGCGCUGUCCCAUACUGAGCGAGUGGCCUUUCUUCUGGUUUGGCUUUGUAAAUAUGUUUUGUGUGUACCAAGCAUAAAGCCCUCCCUGAGCUAUUUACCCAUAGCGCACGAAUUAGCGCGUGGCAGGCCUCUCAAUUUAUGUUAUUUCUUUUUGGCUGCCCUCUAUAGAGACAUGACUUCUCUUCAAACUCAAUUGAAAAAUGGUGCAUCUCCCACUGGCAGUGGACCUCUUUGGUUCACUCAAAUGUGGUUGAGAUCCUAUUUUCCAUUGCUUGGUGCUCCAUCAAUUUCUCGUCCUUCUGCUAGCUGUUAUGUGCUAGCCAUUAACCCCUGGCUCCUGUAAAUAUGUCUAGAAGGGACAUUUUUUCAUUCCUUUAUUCUUUGGAUUCAGUCCCUUCAUUCUUUCCUUUUCCUCCCUUUUUGACUCCAGAUUAUGUGCAUCCUCCCUCUUCUAUAGAUAGCGCGAGCACCUCUCUGCUCAUUUGGAUCCAGUUUUUGACCGGGAGGGAGUUAUUUUAUGAUAUUUUGACUGGGACCAAUGCCAAGGCAGGGGUAGAAAUAUAAGCUCCCCAAUUUUUUGCUCGCCAACUUGGUUACGACCAAACCUGGCCUGUUCCUCCUUGCUAUUCAAGGAACUUGAUUGACCGCUUCCAUAUUAUUAAUAAGGUGGAAGCAGAGGCUAUAAAUGCUCGCAAUCUUCUUUUAACAAGCUAUUUUUCAUUAGCCCCUUUCAAUUCUAACCAUGCCAUCCAUCCCCUUUUUGAACAGCUCUGGCCGUCAGUGAAGCGCAAAUUAUUUGCGACUGAUGCCAAUCGUCCCUUUCAUUCACUAGACCAGCCGAGCAUUUCUUCCCCUCCUCCUGUUUUAGUCACUCCUUUGUCCAUCUAGAGUCCUUCUUCUCCUCGUCGCACUAAACAGUCUGCUCGUCCAUCUUCCUCUCUCCCUGCCAAGCCUACUGCAGUCAAGAGUGCCCAAGCCGCAAACGGCCAGCCUCGGCAUCUCCCAUUCUGGAGGAUGAUGUUGAUGAUGAUGAUGAUACCCCUCUUAUCAUCAGGAGGAAGGUAAUUAAAUUGGUUUACUCACAAGCAUACUUUUCCAUACUUGAAACUUUUCUAUGUGCUGAUGAUUUAUUUGGACGUCUAAGAAAAGUUCAGCCUCUCCUUUAAAGGCUUUGGUAUCGGUAGCUCCUGCUCCAUCAUCCUCCGCUGAGGCUACUUCAUUCAAACCAGCUGAUGAAGGGACUACGCUCAAAGAGACAUCUUCAGUCCCAGAAUCCUCAUCACAACCAAUGGAUGAGCCACCUUCUUCCCAAGGCGUCAACCCCCCAAACAUCAAAGUAGAAGGUAAUUCAGUUUUUUGAUGCUUUACCUUUGCUUGUGCUAUUGGUGUCUGAUUUGUUGCUUUUGAGUUUUGCAGAUGCUCCUAUGAGUCUGCCCGUUGUGGCAACAUCUUCUCGUUCAGACAAGGGGAAGUCCUCACGAAUGGUGGAGUCACAGGUGGCAGACUUGGCCGGGGAUAUGCCAUCUUCCAUGAUUAUUGAUGAGGUAAUCUUUGCUUCACUUUUAUUUCCAUCUUGUUUGUUAUAGUGAGAAUCUUCAAUAUUGGCAAUUUUCUUUGCAGGAUGCUGACAAGAUUGUGCGUUCCAUCCAAGACUUGUUCGCUUCCUAGGGGCAAGUCAAGACAUCUCGCCCUGCUCCAUCUGGUCGUCCUGCUGCUUCUUCAGAGGAAAAUUUGAAGUUCCUCAAGCAGUCAAUAUUUGAGUACGUGUCCUUCAUGGAUAUGGACAUUGGUAAGGCUAGUGCUGCCAGACACAAGGAUAAGCUUGAGCACUUGAAUGCGAAGUUGGAGCAAGCACUGACACUUCCGUCACUCAAUCUUUCUGUCGAUUUUAAAGCGACGUUGAAAGUUAUCCACUCCGAGGUCCUCUCUUUGCUGGCCAAGAAUGCUGAACUGAAGGCCAAAAGUACUCAAUAUCUUCGUGCCGUAUCUGAAAAAGAGUCUUUGCAUCUGGAGAUCAACAAGGCUGAGGACGAGUUGAAAGAAAUCUCUUCCGAAGUCAUGAUUGAAGACUCUUUGAUAGUUAGUUUGGCUGCUCAGAUGAAGGAACUUCAAGCCAAAAUGGACGACUACAAGGCGAGAAUGGCUGCUAAAAAGCGUAACGCCUCCUAGGAAAUUGAGCGAACUAAGUCUUUGGUCGAGCAGUACAAGAAGUUGGAAGUUGAUGAUGAUGUCGUGGCCGAAUUGAACAUCACUUCCUCUCGGCAGAACGAGGAUUGGGAAAAGCUUAGGGAACGAAUUCGUUCAGUAUGGGGUGGAUUGUAAUUAAGACAUAUGACGCCUUAACUUUUCCUUUUGUAAUUUCGUAUUUGACUUUCCCUUUGUAACCUUGUUCAUCAUUAAUGAACAUAUAUGUUAACUUAUUGUGCAUUUAUUUGAAGUUUGUCUUUUAAUCGCCAAUUCUUCAAGCAUUUAACUGCUUUGUGCUAAAAUCUUGCACAUUUUCUUUUGAUAUUUCUACCUCUUUUCCCAAGACUUUGGGCUACUUAAUUCCAUUUACUAGGCAAAAUGUGGCUGCUCAUAUUCUGUCUCUUCAUCUCCACCCCCUAUAAAUGUACGUAUGCUUCGCACUUUCCAUCUUCUAUCUUCAUCUUCAUUUUCUUCUUCGAAACCAAUUUGCUGCCAUUGUUUAGCAUUCUGACAAUCAAUCUAAAAUUUCGUCUUUCUAUAAAAAUGGAUUGUUUGAUCCGUCCAUUUUACUAUUUGCCUUGAUGUCACCUUUGGUGUGGGAGAUACAGGAAAUAUUUUUUUGCAAGCAGCAAACUUUUUACCAUCAAAGUUCUUCCCAUCAUCUCUUUGUCCUUUACAAGGAGUUCGAUGAUAGAAGGCAAUUUUUGGGAUGCUUGCGGGCCACCUUGCUUGCUGAGAGUGCUUCUCAGCCUCUUUGCCCGCCAUUGCAGCGAUGCAUUUAGGAAGGUGGUGUGAGGCCAAUCCACCCUCUUACUCGGCGAUCCCACCAUUGCAGCGAUGCAUUUAGGAAGGCGGUGCGAGGCCAGUCCACCCUCUUACUCGAUGAUCGACCGGGAGAUUAGCUUACUUUUAAUUGUAGUUUGUAGACCAUCUAUUAUUUGUAUUUUUGUAUUUUUGUAAUGAACGUUUGAUAAUAAAGGACUUUAUUUGAACGUAUUUCAGUCUGACCUUGUUAUCCUUAAUCGUUCAACAUAUUUUGAUUAUGCUUUUAUCUGUUUACAUUCCCAUAAAGAAGGAACAUAUUUUUUCAAAUAUUUGCCAUUAAUGAAUCUCACGUGCUUGGUGCCAUCUAAAUCUUCCAAAUGAUACGCUCCAUUGGGCAACAUACUGUUUAUUUUGUAUGGUCCUUCUCAAUUGGACGACCACUUCCCGUACUUUGGAUCCUUGCUAUCCAAAGGGAGUAUCGUCUUCCAAACUAGUUCACCCAGGCUGAACGAUUUGGCUAUGACUUUUUUAUUAUAAAACUUAACCAUUCUUUGUUUUUGAACUUGCAAUCUAUCUAAGACGUCAAACUUUAAUUCGUCCAACCCCAAUAAAUUUUAAACUAGUGAUUCGGUAUACUCAUCAUCAUUCAACUUAUGUUGCAAGCACACUCUAAUCGAUUGCACGUUGAUUUUCAUAGGCAAAAAUUUGUUCACUUGAUCCCCAUUCAAAGAUGAUCCGUGAUCUACCAUCAACGUUUGUGGAAUUCCAAACCUAUAAAUGAUGUGAUCACGGAUAAACUCUAUGACAUUCUUUUGGGUGAUCUCUUUCAAAGGUACCGCCUCUACCCACUUGGUGAAAUAGUCGGUUGCAACUAUAACAAAAGUAUGUUGCUUGGACGAUAGGGGAUAAAUCUUCCCUAUCAGGUCUAUCGCCCAACCCUUGAACGGCCAAGGUUUAAUAAUAGGUGUCAUCUCUCGUGCUGGCGCCCUUUGUAUUGGACCAUGCUUUUGGCAUGCUAAACAACUCUUUGCAUACUGAACGCAUAAUUCUCCCAUCUUUGGCAAAAAAUAUCUACUCCUAAUAAUUAACCAUCUCAUCAUUUGGCCAGCUUGAUGAGCUCCACAUAUCCCUUCGUGCACCUCAACCAUGAUUGUCCUGGCUUCUUGCAAACUUACAAAUUUUAGCAAUACACCAUCAAAGCAUUUCUUAAACAACUCUUCAUCUAUUAGUGUAUAGUUCAGUAAACACAGCUUCAUUUUCCUACUAAUCCCUCCAUUAGGUUCUUUAAGGAACCUUUUAAUCUCUGUUCUCCAAUCCAUUGCAUCUCCAUCUGGUAUGCAGUGAAGUUCAAUCUUCCUCGCCCUUCUUUAAGUCACGAGCAAUAUGGUUCCAUACUCACAAGUAGACUUCCAAUUCAAAACCUUUGAGUACCCUGAGGACAUUUGGACUAACUCAUUUGCCACGUUGUUAUAUAUCCUAUUAACGCAUUGAAGUUCUACUUGGUCGAAUUCUUCUAACAAUUCUUGGGCGAUCUCAUAUUGACUUAUAAUGGAAUCACUUUGGCAUUUAAAAUCACCAAUCAAUUGGUGGAUUACCAAUUGAGAAUCGCCCCUAACGAUCACAUUUCUUACUCCCAUAUCUAUCAUUAGUUCUAGGCCUACAAUUAAGGCUUCAUAUUCGACCUGAUUGUUGGUGCACAUUCUGUCUAAAGUGAAUGCGAACUUGUAGCAAAUCCCUAAAGAAUUAAUCAAUGCUACUCCUACUCUUGCACCUUUAGAGGUUUUUGACCCAUCGAAAUACAACACCCAAGGUUUUAGCUCGAACGAAUUGAUUUCUAAUUCAAUUUCUUCAGGCAUGUCAAGGCAUGGAUGAUCGGCUAGAAAGUUAGCCAAAGCCUGAUUUUUGACUGCUUUUUGAGGUAUAUAUUGUAUCUCGAAUUCUGAUAAAGCUAAUGUCCAAAGACCUACCCUUUGGUGUAAAAUAGGGCGCGAGAACAUAUAUUUAACUAAAUUUACUUUAGAAAUUAAAUAAACGGUUACGGGCCGUAAAUAAGCCCUUAAUUUUGUACAUGUGAAAUACAAUGCAAGACAUAAUUUUUCGAUAGUAGAGUAAUUACAUUCACAUUUUGUUAACCGUCUACUUAAGUCGUAAAUUGCCCUUUCUUCACCAAAUUGGUCUUCCUGUGCGACUAUUCCAGCUAUUGAUUCUUUUUCAGCCGAUAUGUAUACUUUCAUUGGCCGUCCUUGGAUUGAUGACAUCAACACUGGUGGACUUGAUAAAUAUGUCUUCAGGCUUUCAAAAGCCUUUUGAUGUUCUUCUUUCCAAACGAAUUCGUCCUGAUUUUUCAGCUUUAAGAGCAGCGAAAAGACUUUAGUUCGCCCUGCACAGUUAGAAAUAAAGCGUCUUAAAAAGUUUACUUGGCCUAGAAACCUUUGCAAUUCUUUUUUGUUGCUAGAUGAUUUGGCCUCUAAAAUGGCCUUCACUUUAUUUUUAUCAAGUUCAAUCCCUCUCUUGUGUACUAAGAAACCAAGAAAAUUCCCUGCAUUAACACCAACUGCACAUUUCGAGUGAUUCAACUUUAGCUUAUAUUGCUUCAUUCGCUCAAACGAACAUCUUAACUGUUCGAAAUGGUCUUCUUCUUUAAUGGACUUGACUACUAUGUCAUCUACAUACACUUCAACAAACUUGCCUAUCAUAUCAUGAAAGAUUAAAUUCAUUGCCCUUUGAUAAGUUGCCCCUACAUUUUUUAGGUCGAAAGGCAUAACCACCCAUUCAAAACAUCCUAGAGACCCAGGGCAUUUAAAGGCAGUUUUGUGUAUGUCUUCUUCAGCUAUAUAAAUUUGAUUGUAUCCUGAAUACCCAUCUAUAAAAGAAUACAUGACAUGUCCGGCAGUCGAGUCUACAAAAGAAUCCACCGUGGGCAUUGGAUACUCAUCUUUGGGUGUAGCCAUAUUUAAAUUCCUAAAGUCUAUACACACCCUUAGUUUACCAUUCUUUUUUAGUACUGGCACGAUAUUGGACAACCAUUCGACAUAUCUAGCUGUUCUAAUAAAACCUGCUUUCAAUAAUCGCUCUAUCUCUUUCUCAAUCUUAGGGAGUACAUUAGGAGCAAAACGUCUAGGAGGCUGCCUAUGAGGUUUAAAAUUAGGCUUAGUUGGUAACCUAUGUUCCACUAAGUCUCUAUCUAAACCAAGCAUUUGUUCAUAUUCCCAAACAAAACAAUCUUUAUACUCCUUUAACAAAGCGAUUAAUUUAUCACUAACCUCUUGAUCGAGCAUCUGGCUGAUAAAUGUUGGACGAUCUUCUCCUUCAUUGCCAAUAUUUACUUUAAUCAGAGGGUCUUGUGCUUGAGCGUAUCCAGAUUUGAUGAUCCGCAUCACUUCGUCGUCCAGUUCCCUUGUAAGUACUUAUUCUUCUAAACAGUCCACCUUGUUGACUUCUCGGUCAAUGCUUUGUUCUAACUCGAAUACUGCUAAUUUGUCCUUCAACGCUUUCAGGGCUGUCUCUUCUUUUGCCUUGUCAUUGCAUUCCUUAUUGAAAGCCAUUAGUCUGGCUUUGAAGGCCUGAAUAUCGGUCAUUUGCUUUUGUAACUUAGAAUCCAUUCAAGACUCCUUGAUUAUUCUUUUGCCAAUUACUGGCUCUUCUAGGGCCACUAUAUUUGGCCUCAUCUGUCUGAACAUUUCAGUGAGUGCGUCCACUGAAAAUGGCUCUUCGCUUUGCGUGACAACUUGAGUUUCUUCCCCAUGUUGUACUACCCUGACAGGUCCAUAGUUUCCUUCAUACAUGAACUUUUCCACCGAGUUUGCUUCUGCGACAAAAGGCCUAUGAUCGACCUGUACCACCUCUGCUUCGCCUUUGUUAUUCCAAAAGAUCAGGCAUUGAUGGAGCAAUGAGGGUAUACAGCGACUUCCGUGUAUCCAAUCUCUUCCUAGUAACACACUAUAACUAGUAGGACCAUCUUUACAAAGAAGACUGUGGUCCUAGUAGUCGUCCCUAUAGUUAUGUCCAAUGGCAUAACUCCCUUAGCUGAAGUUGCUCCUCUAUUGAAACUCGUAAGGAUGACUUCUAUAGGAAUCAUGUCACCCUCUGUCUUUGCGAACUUCCUCAUCAUCCUAGAUAGAAUGGUGUUUAUAGCUGCUCCAUUGUCGACAAGCACUUUUGCCACUGGGAUGCCGUUAACUAGAGCUUUAACAUGCAAUGGCCUCAAGUGUUUAGUCAAUUUCAUGGCUGGCCGUUUAAAAAUAACCUUUUCGGUAGCCUCUAUUUCUACUUCCUGCUUGUCUUCUAUUGAAUUAUCCCCCUGUGAUAAGUCGACGUGCGACAUAUCGCGCUGAGCCUCUGUCUUCUGAAUUUCCUUCUUCCUGUUUUCUAAUGCUUCCUCAUCAAUUACCCAUCCUGUGGGAGGAGGCAUUAUUCUUGGGGGUAAUCCAUACUUUUCAGAGCGAGGCACUCUUUUCUUCCUUUUGGGUAUCUCGUACAGUACGUAGAAAUCGAAAGGACGUCCAGAUGGUUCUCCCAACAAGUCUACUUCGCGAACUCCCUCCCGAUAUAGUUGCUUCAAUAGAGUAUUGCGCGAUACUCCUCUCCUUCUUCCUUCUGCUUCUAGGUCAAUUUCUUCUUCAAUGUCUGUCAUCCCGUCGUCUUCUUCAUCGUUGUAGGCCUCUCUAGAAGUCUGACCUUUUUCACAUUCCAGCACGCAAGCCUCUCCUUCGUCGUCCUCCCUUUCUUCUUCUUCUUUUUUUUAUUCUUGAAUUCAUUGACCAGUAAGUAAUUAUUGGCCAGGAUAGGAAAUGACGUACCGAACUGGAUAGUAAGGGAUUGAUCUGGAUCCUCUCCAUCCCUUCUGUCCAGCUCAAACUUUGAUCUCCCAGAAGAAGUUUCUGGCAGCUCUUUCAUUGAUUCAUCUGUACCGGUUUCUUCACUAUCCUUGAGAACAUUUUGAUUGGCUAUCUUGAGCAGUUUAGGCGCUUUAGGAUGUGGCACUCCCUAUUGCUGCCUCAUCAUUCGUCCAUAGUUUCGUUGGAAACGCCUUUGUUGGGUUCUAGUCAUCUCAUCGAAGGGUAUUGCCCUUCCUGCAUUAUACUGGAACAAAUGCCAUACAUUUGGCCGGCGAGGUUGCGGUCUGAAUGUUCUCCCAUUAUCUGUUGGCCUGAACUGCCUCUCAAAAGGCGGUCCUCUAUAGAAUGAUGUACCCGCCCUCUACCAGGCUGAGUGUUUGGGAAGAAAGUAGGGCGAUGGGGAUGCUGCCAUAUCCCUGGUUUCUCCAUGUUCCCACUCACUUCUCUUUUACAUCUUGCACACAGGACGUCUUCGUCCUUUUUUGGUUAUUUUCCCUUGAUUCGUUCAAAGAUACUGGGAUGUGGUCUAGGGUCCUCUUUUCCAUCAUCUAUGACCAACUUGAAUUUGGGCAACUUGUUUUUGAAACCAGACGUCACCAUGUUCACUCUAAGUGGCUGUGGAAAAGGAUUUUCAUCCACUGCCAUCUUCUUCUUAUCGUCGAACGUAAUUCGUCCUGAUUCAAUGGCAUCCUGCAACACAUGGCGAAAAACCAAGCAAUUGUUAGUCAAAUGUGACCAUGCAUUAUGCUAUUUACAAUAUUUUUUACCCUUAAUUUGUUCAGGGCUUGGCAAUUUAUGCUUAUCGCUCAGCUUUAUCUGCUUAUCCCUAUAUAAUUUAUCGAAUAUAAGGUCAGCUUUGGUUAUAUCGAACGAGAACGUUCUAGCCUUUAUGUUUCCAUCUUUCAUGGGCUCAUCUUUGCCCGAUGGUCUAGGCUUGGCCAUUAUAGGACAAGUAUACGUAUCUCCUUUGACCAAUUCGGCCAAACACAUUUCGGCCUGAUCGUAUGACUCGUCGCUGAUGGUAUGAACGUCAAAAUUUGGGUCUUUGUAAUAAGUCCCUUUACUAGAAUUUUUCAUCUGUUCUUCCUCUCUUAUCAGUCGGUCAUACCUAAUCACAUUCGCACUCAACUGGAAAAGGUCAGAAAAUUCAUUGUCCUGAAAUUUCUUUUUUAAAUCAAAGCAUAAACAGCUCUGAGCGAUUUUGACAAAUUCUUUUUCGAGCAGAGGUACAAAACACUUGCUUCUUGCUGUCUUGAACCUUUGGAGAAAACUUUCUGCCCAUUAGUUUGGCAUUUGACGUAGAUUUGCCAAAUCAACCAAAGUGACUUCAGACUCAGUUUUAUAAAACUGAGCGUGGAAUAACUAUUCCAAUUGUUGUGUUUGAACAGAGUUUGCUGGUAAGUUGAUCAAUCAGGAUGUGGCUUUGUGUAAGUCGGCCUAAUGACGGGACGCACCCCAAAAGCCAUCUGAUCCUGUACGAUUUUCGUUGGGAUCAUAUGGAAUCCCUACAGGUUGGUUAACCGGUUGAUUUACAUGAGGCCUGAUGUUUGGUCCUUGAUUGGCAACAAAGUUACCAUGAUUAGGGCCACUACCAUUAGCCUGAACAUCUAUUCCCUCAUUAACACGUGGGGUAUUCUGUCCAUUGUUUAGGACAUUAUCUCUUAUAUUUGGAUUACCCCCCAAGUUAGGCGUACCACUACCAUUGUUCUGAUUUGGCACUCCAGCACCCUCUUGGUUUGAAGUAGAGGGACCAGAAAGUGGUUCUACCCCUUGAUUCAGAUUUAGGACUAAGGGAUUAUGUCCCACAAUUGUCCUAGUUUGAAAGUGAUUUGCAAAAGGUAUAACCGGUUGACAUAUAUUUAUUCAUUGUUUCGUUCAAAGUGUUUAGUUGUUUGGCCAUGUUGUCAUAAUGUGCAUUCCCAUUUUGGGUAAAUCUUUCCAUAUUAUGAAUACUUCGAAGAUUUACCUGUUCAACGACAUCUUGUGUGAGUUCUCCAAGUAAUGCACGCAUGGUUCGAGGACUCAACUCUGUCAUUGGUUCGUAACGACUGUUACUGCUCUGAUUCUGUCCAUCUGUUCGUGGAGAGGCAUGCUGCUCCUCAUAUCACUCGAUCACAGACUGGAUUCUUCCUUGACUUGCUGCCUCCUUAUCGGAUUUCUGAGGUAUAUUGUUUCACCUUUUGUAUUUUCAACACCAAACACCACUGUCCUACUGGGCGUGCCAAAUUGUUUCGCGCGGGUUCGUCGCUAACAAUUAAAAAGGGAUCAGACAAUUGUGUAAGGGACAAACCUCUUGAGACAAAGUCCCAAAAAGGGGUGUUCUUUAUUGGCGGUGACUUUACAAUCGGAAAUUAAAAAUAGAAUGCCUCCAAGGCGCGCAAGCACACGAGUUACUGAAAGAAGUGUUUAAAUCUAAGUUAAGAAAUUUAAAAUUACAUGUUCUCUGUUCGAGAGUUUUUGAUUCGGUCCUUUUGCUCUAUGUCCUUCCUUCCUUUUAUACUCCCUGAAUGAUCUCUUUGUGAUCAACCGCCUAAAAACUGCUGGAUCGUUCUAUAACUGCCCAUUUUCCUCGUAAUGGCCAACUUGUUAUGGAACUAUCUUUUCUACCUGCUGCCAUUACUCUUUGUCGUUCAACCAUCUUCAAUUAGGUUCCUUGAAUCGUGGAACGUGAUAGGGCUGCUUUAAUAACUACUUUGAUAACUGCACUUCUUGAUAACCACAACACUUUAUGUUUGCUAGGACCUUGGGCGACUCGAAGGUUUGGGCGAGAAUAGAGUAACAGCUCUGGGCGACUGCAUGGCACUCCAUUCGCUCAGAUUCUGGGUGACUUGCAAACUUGGGCGAUGGUGUUACCGCGUUCUUGGGCCUCCCCAUUUGGGCCUUCAUCUUGAAUUGUUUGAUUGGGCUUCGUUCUUUGGGCUAUCUGAUUUGGGGAUCCUCCAAUUGGACUUCAUUCCUUGGGCCGUUCGAUUUGGGCUGAAUUUUUAUGUGUCAACACUAACGUGAGCCAAGAUCGGAAUGCCAACGUUAUUCCUAUAAUUGCACAAUUAUUUUCCUAUUAUUAAUUUUUCUAUGUAUAACUUAGAUUUUAAUGUUUUAUAUUUGGUACCAUGUAGUAAUAUAAUUGCACGAUAAUUUUCCUAUUAUUAUUAAUUCAGCCUUUUGGUUUUAGUAAUUAUACCUAGAAGUUUGAUGAAAGCUCUGAUGAGCAGGGACGGAUUUUGGUUUGUGGGGGGGGGGGUAGGACAGGGCUGUAGUCCCCCACCCUCAGGCCCAACAAAUUUUUUUAAGGGUGUUUUUUAUUUUUUGGUAAAAAAUCAAAUUUUUAUGUGUAAUUUUUUUUUCCACGUAGCUGCCCGGUUUGAAAUUUUAUAGAUCGAUCUUGGAUCCAAUCUUGGAUCCGUCCGUGCUGAUGAGGCCUGGAAGCGGUCAAAAAACACCUAGUGAUAGUGAUCAGGUUUGUUAUUGUCACUAAUUGUGUUCAUAGAAGGUGUUGGAAAUGUUGAUUAUAUUAUUCAACUUAAUUCAAUUAUUCUGAAACUAUUAUAGAAUUGACGUCCAUAGAAGACUGGAAAAAGAUUAGUAGAAAAAAUUUCAGAUUUUCUUUGAAAUCCUAUAGUUUAUGUAUAAUUGUACUAUUCGAACACUGGACGGAGUGGUCAUUGAGUAGACAAGAGCUGAAUUAGGAGGUGAGUUCCACUCCAUGCUUCUUUAGUAGGUAUCAAUGGGGCAACUUUUAAAAUGGCUGGAUAAUUGAUCCAAUUUUUCACAAUGGUCUUUUUUGUUGGAAGUAUUAUUUUGCCCUUACUAUAAUUAUUUGCAAGAUGUAUCUUAUAUCUUUAAGGAUUUAUUAGUCAGAACCUAUAUUUAUAUUUUUCAAUCUUUCAAAUACCUUUAAAUAUUCAUUAUAUUUUAGUAGUUCUUCAAAGAUCCUAGGCUGACCUUUCUUGGUUAUAUAUCCUCGAACUAAUCCUUCUGAAAUUUCUUCUUGUAUAUCUCUAUGUUUAGUUAUAAUAUCUUCUACCUUUCUUAUUUCUCUGCUAGUUCUUACAGAAUCAAAUCCUAUAUUAUUUUUACAAUUAUAAUCUAUAUCUCUAUAUAUUUCUUCAAUUUUUUCUUUGCCAACACGAAAUAUAUCUUCAGACUUUUCAUCUAAUUUAAAUAAAAACAAAACAUCUGUUUCAUCUAAUAAUAUGAGAUUAUUAUCAUUAGUGGAUGUGGAUGCUUGUGAAUUGUUCAUCAGAAUUAUUAAAUCAUAAGCAUGUAAAAACAAGUAAAUAACUUACAGUAAUCAAAUGGAAGUAAACAUACUUUCCUCCAAUAUGCUCUUAUAGAUGCUUUGUAUAUACUUAAUCAAUCUUCUGAAUCAAGUAAAGGUUUAAAAUAUUUUUUGAAAUCAUUUGGGUCCACAACUGCUUCCGCAAAAGGCUUUUCAAUUAAUGUUGCAUUUCUCACUCUAGAGAACUAGCCGUGUUGCCACAUACGCUAUCACACAGUAUCUAAAGUCUCUGUUUUCACCUUUAUCCAAAUUCUUUUCAGAAUUAAAUUCUUACUUGGAACGAAAUUUUAAAAGAUAACUCACACACAAUGUGCUACAAUUUUGUUAGAAAACUGCCUUUUUACCCUAAACAAUUCAUCAAAGACGGGUACUUUGGCAUGGCUAACAUCCAUUCAAAAUCAAUGUUUUGAAAUAUUUUAAAAUCUCUAUCUGUACUGCCGAGAAAUCAUGAGAAACUUAACGAAAUCCUUUUAUGAAAGUUUUGUUGAACAUAACAAACUUUACUUUGAUAUUCAUAAACUGAAAUUGUACAUGCUUACAAACUAUAUUUACAUAUCUUUGGUACUCACCUUAUGAAGUUUAGAACUCCAUAAGUGAUUACCUUAUUACACGCUUUACUAUCUUCAAGCUAUAUAAUAUUUUUCUGAAUACAAGUGGUGUAUACAGAUUGCAAAAGAUAUCUUUCUAAGAUGUGUUUCCUCAGAGUGUUUAAGAGAUAAGUUGUUUCGAGAUAUCCCCCUUCUUCCUUCUUGCCUCCUUUUAUAGAAGUCUUUGGGAAUCUUAUCUUGACAGAUGUUUUCCACCUUUCUUUGUUGGGUAGUUAGGCCAUCUUAUCUCCACCGAAUUUUCCAUUAUCUUCUUGCUAAGUGGACCUCUUCUUUUGAAAUUAUAUGCCUUGUCUUUUGAGUUUAUCUGCCACUUGUGACAAUUGGUGGGGAGAAGUCACAAUUAUGGAGACUUUUCUUGCACUAUCUUCUGUCUUUUAGUAGCCACAGUUUUUCUUUAAUAAAUUUAUUUAUUAAAGUAGUGAUAAAGGGCUACUUUUGUCACCAUCACUUUUCCAUUUUCGAAUCAAAGAAUUCUGCAGGGAAUUCUUCAUCAUUAAGGGAUGCUUGACUCAUAUCUUCAACUACGCAGUAUUCACAAUGGUGAUCACUGUAGUUCCAAAGUAAUUUGCAUAAUUCUUUAGCCAUAUCUUCUGAUCCAUGCACUUGGUUAGAAAUAAUUGCAGAUAAUAAAUGGUCGAGAUAACAAAUAUCUUCUUCCUGGGUGGCCAUCCUUGCAUUGGAAUAGAUAAUAUGAUCUUCAGAUGGAUAAACCCAUAUUUUUUUCUUUUUCAGUAAUUAUCUGAGUUACAUGUUCAAAUAUCUCUUUGUACCCUUUUGCUUUUCUGUAGGGCAUCAUAUUUAGAAUAUCUUGAUAUCCAUUUUUAACAACCUUUUGAUUGGUUGGUAAAAAAUGUUGAUUUGUAAGUCCCAUUUUUAUCACAUGGAACGAUGGAUGCAUAUAUUCAAGAACGGGAUCCCAUUCCAUGGUUGCUGAAUGGAAUCUGAUAUAUAUAUAUUUUGUGUUGACGACUUCAGUAUAUCUUUUAACAACUUUCCUAAUGUUGGCUGGAAGCUGAGCUAUCUCUUUGAGAUCUUUGCUAGGAUAUAUACAAAGUAUAUUUCCUAUCUCAAAAUAAUUUCGAACCCAGUUGGCUGGUGCUCUUGGAUAAAAAUUUAUCUUGUUGUAUUUUGAAUAAUGGAGAGUCUUCAUCCACUUUCCAAUCUCCAGAUACCAAUCUGAUAAAAUAUUAAAAAUAACAAUAAAGAGUGUUACUUCUUCAUGGUUAUCUUUUCUGGGAAUUUUUGCUUCAUGGCAUAUCUUGACAAUAUCUUUUAGAUCUAUCCUUUCAAUAGAAAGUUUAGAUUGAAUUUGGCUCUGUGAAGAGCUACAUUCUCUUUUGAUAUCUUGAAUAUCUUUAUUACUAGUAAUAGGUUCAAGUUUUCCCUGUGAAGGGGUCCUAUUACCUUCUUUUCUUUCCCUUUAUCCUCGGGGAGAGCGCUAGUAUUCACAAGUCCUUGCGAAGGGAUACUAGACUUGGUACAAGUAACUCCUGCCUCAAGGACUAUAUUUUUGUCUCGAAGGCUAUCUUGAAUAUUUUGAAUUUGUGUUUCCAAAUAGGAAACUUUUAUCUCAAGUAUUUGGACUUUCGUCCUUAAUUAUUCUAGCUCCAUCCCUGCUAAGAUAAUCAGGAAGAAAGUUAGUUUUACCUUUUAUGUAUUCAAUAUCAAAUUUGAAAUAUGAGAACCAAAUUUGUAUCCUAAUAAUAUAUCUAUUGGUAAUAGAUGGAUCAACAUUAUUUUUUAAAAAGGCUUUAACUUGAGUAUUAUCAGUUCUGAUCAAAAAUUUCUUUGGUAACAAAUAAUCUUCAUAUUUUUGAACUCCUCUUUUUACAGCAAUGAGUUCUUUUCUAUUUCUCUCAUAUCUUGUUUCAACUUCUUUAAAUGUUCCUGAUGUAUAUCCUGCAAGUAUCUCAGGACAAGAACAAUCCUCUUCACAUUUAUAUUUUUUAUGAUUCUUUUUAACAUUUAAUACUGCUCCCCAGCAAUUAUUUGAAGCAUCAGUUUCAAGGAUAAAGAAAUCUUCUUCUUGUGGUAUUACAAGUUUGGGCAAUACCUUUAAUUCUUUUUUAACUUUCCUUAUAUUUUCACAAUCUUGUUCUUCCCAAGACCACAUAAUAUUUUUUCUUAACUUUGGAAGAAAAUAAUUUUUCAGUUUGGCACAAUUUUCAAUGAAUCCUUCAACAUAAUUUAAUAUACUAAGGAAGCUUUGUAAUUAUUUUUUAUCUUUGAUUUCCUCGGGAAAAUCUUGAAGUUUUUCUCCAACAUGAGAUUGCAAUUGCAAUUCUCCUUCUUUUAUAAAUAAUCCUAAAAAUUCUAUUUCUAUUCUAACUAUCUCAGCUUUCUUUUGAGAAAGUGUAAUACCAUGUUUUUUCAUAAUAUAACAAAAUUUCUCAAGAUAUUCAAUAUGUUCAUCAAUAUUAUUUGAAUGAAUAAGUAAAUCAUCAACAUAUGCAAUACAGAAAUGAGUAAUUGGUUUGAUUACCUCAUCCAUUCUUCUUUGGAACAUUUGUGGUGCAUUUUUCAACCCAAAUGGCAUUACAUUCCAUUCGUAUUGUCCUAAAGGAUUGGGGGUACUAAAUGCAGUUAGUGGUUUACUUUCUUCUGUAAGCAUGAUUUGCGAAAACCCUGACUUACAAUCAAAUUUUGAAAAUAUCUUUUUGUUAUGUACUUGUUUAAUAAGGGUAUCCUUAUUUAGCAAGUAGUAUCCAUAAAAUUUAGUAACUUCAUUUAAUUUUUUGUAAUUUAUCACCAUCCUGGCUUUUCCUCUUUUUCUCUCACUAUGUUUUCUAACCAUAAAGGCUGGGCUGCUAUGUGAACUUUUACUAGGCCUAAUUAAUUUGGCUUCUAGCAAUUCUUUUAUCUGGUUUUUAAAUUCCUUCUGGUCAUCAACACUAUAUUUCAUGGGUUUGACUCUAACAAUAGUGUCUGGAUUGGUUAAUUCCAUCUUUGCCUUUACUUUAACUGUAUUCUAUUUUUCUAAUGGAUUUUUCAGAAUAUGUUUUAGAAAUUUCUUUUUUCAAUUUUUCUAACCUAUUUUCUGUUGCCAUCUUUAAGACUGUAACUGGUUUAAAUUUUUCUGUACUCCAACAUCUAACGCUGGGUUGAGGAACUCUGAUGGUUUACAUCUGUAUAUGCUAUUGUAACAGUUUUAUUUAUUUUUGGUAUAAAUAUUUUAUGUGCACAAGGUGUUGUGAACAUAUACUUAUCAAUAUAUUGUGUAAAUAGUGGAUAUUUUAAUAGGAAAUUUUGUCCUAAUAAAAUAUCACAUCCAAUUGUGGUUGACAUAUAUAUUGUAUCAACAAAUACUUCUCUAAAGGAAAUUAGAAAAGGUACUUGCGUAGCAUAUUUGCUGUAUAUUACCUUAUUUCCACCUGCUGUUGUAGUGGUGACUAUCCUCAUUGAAUUGUCUAUUCAGUAUUCAGAUGGUAGUACAUUUGAUAAGCAUAAACUUAUUGUACUUCCUGUAUCUAAGUAAGCAUGAAAUUUAAUUCUACAAUAACUUUUUGUAUUAAGUGUAAUUUCAAUAUAUGGACUCAUGGGGUUAGUACUUAUUACUCUUUCCAUGAUAACAAUGAUUUCAUAUUUUCAUCUAUUCUUGAUAUGAUGAUUUGGUUAUCAUCAACUGUUAUCUUUAAAUAUCCUUGGCUGAUUUUAUAAGGACUAUAAUUCUCAAGAAAGUUCAUUCCUAAUAGAAUAGGUGAACGAUCUACUCCAUAUAAUUCAUCUUUAUAUAGAAUUAUUUCUUUAGUAUAUUCUUUCUGAUCCUCUCCUAUAAGUAUAAGAGGGAACUUAACAUAUUUUCUUAUUUUAAGAUUAUUUUCUAAAUAAUCCUUAAAUAUAUAUGGUUCUGGUAUUUUAAAGUCUAUUAAAUGACUACCAAAUUUAGCAUUUAUAUGACUUUUAUCUGCUCCAAUAUCUAUGAGGACAAGAAGAUUCUUCUUGCAUCCUUCUUGAUUUACAUAUCUUGUCUUAAUGUAAUAUUGCGAACUUGUUGGUUCAGCAAUACUUAAAUUCUUAAGUCUGCUUAUCCUAGAGUCUUGUCUAGAGGGAAAUCUUGCAAUAAGAUUAUCUCCUUCUAAGCUGACACUAUUUCUUCUUAUUAGUUUUCCUUCAGAAUUAAUUUCUCUAGCUUGUUUGUGGAAAUCAAGCAUUAUCUGUUCUGGUACAGUGACUUCAUGUUCUUGGUAUUUUCUAGGAGGUAUAUAUUGUGCUAAUUCCUCAAAAUCUUUAUGUAUGAUAAUAUUAUCAGUUAUCUUCCUUAGAUUGUUAUGAUGGCUAGUACUAAAAGCAAAAAUUGAUUUUAUACUUAUACUAAUAGCCUUACUUCUUCGUAACAUUUUUAAGUUUUCAAUUCUAUAGUAUAGAUUGAAACUUUGGUCAAUAUUUUCAUCAUUUAAUGAUAUUGCAUAAUUUGGUUUUACUGUAAAUAUUAUAUUUUGAUAGACUAAGUUUCCUACAACUGUUCCUAAUAGAGCAUGUAUAGGAUCUUGUAAGAUUCUAUUGUCCAUACAGUAUAUUUCUAUUGGUAUGUUCAUACCUUCUCUAAAAAAUCCUUUUACCAUUAUCUGGACUCCUCCUAAUUCAAUGCAUUUUAAUUUGUUUCUUACGUUUUCUGGAAUUUUGGAUAACUUUUGUUUUACCCAUCCUUUUGUAAUUAUAGGAAUCCUUGCUUUUUCUAUAGUAUCUUCUAUAUUGAUAGACAUUUCUUUAUAAUUCAUACUUACAAUUGUUUUAUUUACUCUUGAUAAAAUUCCUAAGAAUCCUUGAUGGAAUACAUCUUUUUCUUGCAGGUCUAAUAUCUUCUUAGUGAUUCCUGUGUAUUUUUUAAUAUCAAAGGUAAUUUCUUGAUUUAUACCUUCUAUAGAGUCUUCAACUUUUUCAGUUGUUUCUAUUUCUAUUUUUGAUUGUUGUAUCUCUUGAUUCAUAUAUACUAUUUCCUCAUAAUCUUCUUCUGAUGAAGAUGUAUUUAAUUCAUAAAUGCUACUGCAUUCACUACUUAGAUUUUCAAAAUAUUCAAUUGGUUCUAUGUCAUUAUCUUCUUGAAAUUUUUCAUAAAUUCUAAGAGUUUUUAUAUUUUGUCUAUCUUUCUUUUUAGGACAUUGAGGGGCAAUGUGUCCUUCUUCAUUGCAAAUAAAACAUCUACAUUUCUUAAUAUUUCUUGAUUUAAAUUUUUUAUUCCAAUUUCUUUUCUUGAAAUAUUUUUUAUGUGGUUUAAAAUUCCUCUUCUUGAAUUUUUUGUAGUUUUUGAAUUUUCUUUUAUAUUUUUUAUAUGGUGUUUAUCUCUUCUUAUGGCAUCCAAAUUGUUCGACUUGGCCAUUAUCGUUAUAACAACAUAAUGAAUUCUUUCUUAUUUUAUAUGCUUUUUUAUUUUCUAAAGUUUCUCUACACCAUAUGUCUAUCAUUUUCUUUAUAAAUUCAAUUCUACUUCCAAGACUAUCUGUUUUUACUCAUUCCUCUUCUCCUAAAGGUAAUAAUUUUUCAUAUUCUUUUAAUAACUUAAUUCCCCAUGGGAAUGGUAAUUUAGUAAAAUAAGACCUUAAUAUAGAUUUAUUUUCUUGAUAAUCUCCUUGAUUUAGUAUAUAGUAUAUUUCUUUGAAUUUACAUGUGUAUCUUUCUAGCUCACACAUAUCACAUAUCUUUAAAUUUUUCAUUGCUAUCAUUCCUUGAUUAUAUUCAUCUUGUUUUCUUUCUUCAUCAUUAGAAGUAUAUCUAUCUCCUAAAAAUUCUGUUCUUAAGAUUUUUUCAAAUCUUUUUAAUAUCUCCUGAAUAUUUUGUUCAUUUAAAGUAUUUCUAUUAUCUAAUACUUCAGUUCUACUUGCUCCAUACUUUAUUCUUCCUUUAAUAGUUUUUGGUAAUUUUCUCCACCAUUCAAAAAUAAUUCCUCUGAAUGUAUGUUCGAUAAAUCCAAAAGCUAUAUAUGUUUCCCAUUUAUUGAAUUGUAUUGCUAAAUCUAUACUUUUUAUCCAUAUUUCAAUAGCUUUAUUUUUAUCUACACAGUCUAGAUCUAACCAUAUACCUGUUGUAUGAAUUGGUUCAUUAUAAGAUUUCAUUGGGUUUAUUUCUUUUAUGGACUGUUUUCUUACAUUUUCAGUGUAUCUUUUCUGUGUUUUUCUAUUUUGGUAAAUACCAUCCUUAUUAGGUAUUGGGGUACCAUAAGGAUAAUCUUGUUCUUCAUCACUACUGAAUUUUACUUUUAUAUUUUGACUUGAAGAUGGAUUAGUAUUCAUCUUUGUAUUUUCCAUUUUUUCAGUUAAUUCUUUUAACUGUUUUUUAUAUUCUUCAUACUCUUCUCCUGUAGAUUCUAAGAAUUUUUGUUCUAUUUCUUCUAUAUCUGUAAUCAUAUAUUGUUUUUCUUCAUGUUUUUUCCCUUUAUUAUUUUCCUUUUGUGUUAUCCUAAAAUCUUGAGGUGGAUUAAUUAUAAUCAUAUCUUUUUCUUUAAGAUUUUUAUCUAAAAGAGCGUUUCCUACUUGUAGAUUAUGUUCUAGAUUUUCUAAUCUUUUGUGUAUAUCCUCAAAACUUUCAUUGCGGUGUUUUUAGGUAAAUAGGGAUAACUAGGUUUUUUAUGUUUUUCAACUUUUUUCAAAAAUUUUUCAAUUAUAUUUUCUUCAUCUACUAUAUUCAUCAUAAUUUUUGGUUCGUAACAUGGCUCUAAUACCAUUUCAUCGGAGUAAGCAGCGGAGGGAUUAAAAUUUUUGAGCCAAUUAAAAUCUUUAUAAUUAUUUAAAAUAUCACAAUAGAAUUUAUAAAAUUCACUAUUUUUUAUUAAUACUUUUUCUUCAAUAAUUAUAUUUAGUUCUUUAAUUCUUCUUCUCAGAUUAAGAAUUAGUUUAUAUAUAUCAUUUUCUGUUUUGAUUGUACUAUUAUCUAUAGAAACAUUUUUAUUUUUUAAUUUUGGAUCUAAAUAUUCUGUAAAGAAACCUUUUAGAUCUUCUUCUAAAUAAUUUAAUUCAUUUUCUGUUGCGUUUUUUAGAUCAAUAAAAUUUUGUAUAAUAUUUGGGUUUAAAUUUAUUAAAGAUUUUUUUAUCUAUAUUUGAAGGUUUUUAUACAUUGUAAUGGCUUUGGUUGCAAUUUCUCAAUGAGGGGUAUUUUUGGAAAGAUUAUUGUUAAAAUGCUAUUUCUCAAAUGAUUAUAUUUUUUUGGUCUAAUCUUACAAACCUCCCUUUUAUUUAGGCUAUCUAGAAGUAUUUCCUCAGGUAUCAAUGUAGCUUGCAAGUAAGUAGUAAUAACAAAAAACCAUAAUGUAGAAGUAGAACAGGAAGAGAGCAAAAGAGGUUAUAGACUGAAAUUUUACCAGUGGGGAUUUGCUUAGUCGUUUUGAUUAUUUGCUUUCCAUAUUGGUUGGAUAUAAUAUUUUAAUUUCGAACAAAAAUUCAAUUAUAUUUACUUGUUCAGAACUUCGUUCCCAUUGAGUCCAAAGGAAGGCGAGCAAUGUGUUGCUACCAUGUGUUCCAUUCCAUGCACGGACACUCUACACUCCGUGCACAGAGUGCUAUACUCCGUGCACACUCUUUGCACGGCGUGAACGAACUAUUUUUUUUUUAUUUCUAACAAAAUAAAUCUGAAAACAUUAAAAGAUUUAUAUUAAAAAAAUGAGAUUUUUUUGUCAAAAAUCUUAGUAGGAGGAGUGCGUGUGGCUUCUUUUUAUUUUAUUUAUUUAUUUAUUUACAUAAUUAUAAGUUUAAAAAAUUUCAUUCUAUAUUUACCUCUUCCACAUAAUUUUGAUUUUAAGAUCAAUAAAUCAUUCAUCAUGGAAAAGAGAAGACCCAAUAAACUUUAGAGAGAAGAAGAAAUUGUCGGUAAUUUGUGUGGUGAAAUGGACAACCAAAAGGCAAUAACGUGUAAAAAUUGAGAAGAUAUAAAAAAGAUAUACACGAAUUGAGGAAGAGGGAAGAUGUCAGGGAAAAUAGGUGAAUAGGAAACGACAUCGUUUUUGGUCACAAAAAAAAAAAAAAAAAAAAAGGAGAAGAAGCUAUAGUGAGAUAAAAAUGGAACAAUUCACUGUUGAUUUCUACGGUAACUUCACAUUCUUCUUUUUAUAUAGUAGAAAUAGGGAUAAAUAAUAACUAAACAAUUACGUAUUAUUAGUUUUCGUUUUCGAAAUAAUUUCUUUAAAAAUUUUAUCGGCUCGAAUUAUUACUUUUUAAUAUAGAUACUUCUAUUAUUGAGUUUAAUCAAUUUAUUUUAUAAAAUUCAAAUUUGGACAAUUUAUAAAUUGCUCUUUAUUGUUUAAAGAGUUCGAAAAACACUUUUCUUUCGAGGUUAAAAUAGUUCUAGUUCUAAAAAUCAUUGUUUCAAAAUUUUGCAUAACCUUCGUCUAAGCUUGGAGCUUCUAUUUAUCAUUCAAUUAUGCUUUACGUAUAAAUUUCAUCUUGUCUUGCUUAAGUUCAUAAAAAAAACUUGAAAAUUGAUCAUAAAUAUAUGAUUGAAAAAUGUAUUUAUUUCUUAUUAUAUUCGGUUGUAUUUGAUGUAGGAUAAUCUUAUUGUAAAUAGGGUAAAAGUUAGAUAAUUAUAAUAAGAUUUUUACUUGUGAUAGGUUUUAUCUUUUUAUUUUAAUAUUUUGUUGAGAAUAUGAUUUCUAAUUACUUUUAGAUUAGGAUUUAUUUUAGUUUCCUUAUAUUAGUUUCCUAGUAGUAAUAGUAUGGAAUAAUUUUGCCUAUAAAUAUAGAGGCAUUGUAUACUUUUCAACAACAAUCAAUUAUUAUUCAAUGCAUACAUGACAUAAUUAUUCAAAUAUCGUUUUUAUUUAUUACAUAAUUCUUAUUACAAGAAUUUCAUCACGCUUCUGCACCAGUAUUUUAUUACAUUUUUAAUUGUAUAUGACUUUAACAUUUUUGUGAAUUUAUAUAUAGAUUAAAAAUCUUUAAUGUUAUUUAAUUAAAUAUUAAUAAACAAUCUUACUAUUGUUGGCGUCAACGACUACCCUAUCUCACUCAAUUUCCAGGAUCUGUCAAUGUCCAUGAGGAAUUUAACAGACUCGAUUUCGUAUUUUCUGAAGAGUUAGCAUUGAUUGGUUUUAUAGGGUAGACGCCUAGAUGGUAUAUCUGUGAUUAUGCUGCUCAUUGAAGCAUAGUCAAGAUUCGGAUCCAAUAGUGACGGCCUUCUACGUGACUUCAAUUUCAUUUUCUUAGAAAUUAAUUUGAUCCCAUUUCAAAAAUUUAUUUUCUCUGUGUUUGUGUAUUAUGUCACGUUUAACUAGGUAGGAGAAUUUACUUUUAAGUGACUUUUAUUGUUCUAAGUAUUGUCUUUUAACAGUAAUUAUCUGUUGGUAGCAUACUUAUGUUUUUAAUAGAUAACGCCUUUUUGCUUUUAAGCACACCCAAAAAUUGUGAUAAAUAUGAACAUCUAAUUAUUGUGAUACUUACUUGUAUAAUUGCAUGUUAACAAUUUACUUAAUUACAUGGUAACAUUUACUUUUAAGUAAAUUUUUCAGAUUAGCCAAACUUGCUGAGUACUUACCUCCACACAAACACAUGCCUGUUUGUGCCACGUUGGAUAUUGAUUAUUGCGCAGUUGGUUGCAUAGAAUUCACAAUAAGUGGAUAACUAUUGAUAGCGAUGCUGUUAUAGAUCCUGAUAAAAUUCUAUAGUUUAAUUUUUGAAAUCAUUCUCUCUAAAAAUUACUACAAUACCUAAAAUUUCAUGAACUUGAAAUUAAUCAAUAACUCGGUAACGUUACAGUUUUCCCUUCAUUUUAUUUAGGGAGGUCUGGAGCUAAUACGUUAUCGGCUUCCCUGAUGCGCCUCUCCUAUAAUUCUACGUGAAGAUGAUGAUGGGCAAGUAAAUACAUCGUUCUAUCAAAAGUUAUUCAUGUAGACAGGGGCGUAUCCAGGAGUUUCAGUCAGCACGGGCGGCCGUUGACCAUUUAUCGUUAGCCGCAACAAAAUAUUAAGAGUCCAUUUAAUACCCCUUUUUUUCACAAAAAAAAAAAAAGAGAAAAAGGAAAGCAUUUUGGAAUAGGGAUUUGAUGGAAAAUGCUUGGCUAAAAAUAAAGAAAUGUUUGAAUUUGCGUGUAAUAUUAUUUUAUUGAAAAAUGUGUGGAUGAAAUAAAAGAAAAACAUGUAUUUAAAAAAAAAGGAAUCGAACAAAGCCUAAAGUUUAAAUAAAACAAUUAUUUUGCUCAAAUUCAACAUAAAAUUCUGUUUUAAGAAUAAAUAGGACUCAUCAAAUGACAUCGUUGCCAACUUUUGUACAAUUCAAAGGAAGGGCGAGGAUUCAAAUCUUUGCAAUUGUUUUUGUAUUAAAACAAUUAAAAUCUAACAAAUAUUAUUUUGUUAAAUUUAGUGACACAACUCAAAAAGUGCUGUAAUGGUUAAGUUUACAACAACCCUUGCAUGUGGUCACAUGAAUUCCCUUUGUCCCCUUCCCUAUUGAAUUUUGAUAAAAAUUGUAGAAUAAAAAUAAAACACAACAAAUCCAUUGGUAAGUGGUUCGAACCCGAGACUUUAAAUAUGCACAUGCAAACUCUAACUAGCUGAGUUGCAAGAGAAGUUUGAAAAUGAAAUGAGUUACAAGUAAUAUAACGUAAAAAUUAAAUCUAUUUUCAACAAAAAAAAUUUCUCCAGCAGUUUCGGCGAAUCCAACUUGCCACCACCUAGAUCCGCUAUUGACAAUGAUUUACUAGUUCUCAAAGGUUUAGACAGAAUAUGACAACAAUCGGAAGUACGAGCAACCCUUUAUCAGAAAAGAUGAAGAAACUUGUUGUGAACACAACAAUGGUUGCUGAUACAAAUAUCUACUCUCUGGUUCUGCCAACCCCUGAUAUUUUAAAGGCCUUAUGCGAGCUUCAAAUAUGGGGUCCUUUUAAAAAAAAAAAAUCAUCAUAUUCUUACUUGAGCUUUCUUAUAGAGAGUUUUAAUAUAAUCAUGAAGAAUCUAAUAAAGACAAUUAAGUCCCAAAAUUUGAAAAAGAAAAUAAUAAAAUUUAAAAUUUAAACAUGCAAUACAAAUUAUAGGUGAAGUUUACCAUACAGAAUUAUAAUGCAAUGGCAAAUGGAUCUAUUCGUUUAUUUGAUCACACAAUUUUUAUGCAUGUGUUAAAAUCUUAAAUUAUCUAUUUGCACACUUUUUAAUUAUUUUCGUAGAAUUAUCAUAUUUAGGCCAUGUUUGAGCCAUAUUUUUUUUUGGAGGAAAUAGAUUUUGGAAUAGUGAUUUUUUAGACAAUGUGUGAUUAAAAAUGAGUUUUGGGAAAAGUGGAGCCUAACAUAGGCAUCAUAAUUAAAAUCUCCUUUAAAUUUUUAAUUGCAAAUAGAAAUUAAGUAUAAUUAAAUCAAUAGUUAGCUAAAUAGAUACCUGAGUUCAACUCCCAUAUAGUUUACUGAGUGAAUUGCCCAAAUAGUCACUGAAUUUUACAAAAGGUUUCCGGGAGGUUACUGAACUUUAAAAAUUACCUCACUCAUUACUGAACUUUUCAAUUCGUAAUACCAUUCAUCACUGAGCUAACGGCUGUUUAUAAUUUGGACGGAAUGCUGAUUUGUUCAAUGACGUGGCGCGCCACUUAGAUGGUUAUGCCAAAUGGAUGAAUUGUUACACAAUUGGCAUUCUUGAACACAUUUUUUUUCCAAAAAAGAAAAUUAAAAAACGAAAAAACAAAAAACAAAAAUCAUACUACCUUUAAACCACCUUAGAGCCACCACUUAUGGACCACCAAAACUGUACCCUCUGACCACCUUGCCACUGGAUCAACAUACCAUCUUGAAACCCUCAGUUCCCUCUUUGCAACCCUUGUAAGCUUAGGCCAUAACACCAACCGAUUUAGAUGAAAAUUCAAGCCAAAAUAGGCUGCCCACUCAACGAAAAGUCGCCGGAAUCUUCACUUAUGCGACACCCAUGCCUACACAACUCCAGAUCGAUCAAGCUUCUCAAUACUCACCUACAGAUGUCCUCAUACCAUCAAAUACUAGAAAUAAUCCAAAUCCCCAACCAAUUUUGUCAACAGCGAACUCGAACUGUUUACACUUGACUUUCGGCGCCAGCAGGAUGAUUCACGAUUGCGAACCACUUCCACUACCACCGCCUCAUCAAGACGCACCUAAUGCACCUAUGGGUCAUCUCCAAUUUUGCCCCCAUAUGGAAGAAAUAGCUUUGAAAGUUCGCAUGCAAGGAGAAACCGACGAUCCCCCUUUCAAUUGAUGCUUCUCCAUAGCUUCAACCCACAAAUUGGACCAACCAGCAUGAAAUUCAUGAAAAAAGGACUCCGGGUAAGGAUUCAAUUGCUGCAUUUCAUCAAUCAAAAGAAACAAUUUUGGAUUUAGCUUCAAGAACGGUCCACCAACGUUCAUCUCCAAUUUCAUAUUCAAUUUCUUUUUAAUUUUUUUUCAUUUAUCCUUAUUAAAAAUGUCAACUAUGUAACAAUUCAUCAUUUGGCAUUCAUCGUCUGAAUGGCGCGCCACGUCAUCGGACAUAUCAGCAUUCCGACCAAAUUUUAAACGGUCGUUAGCUCAGUGAUGAAUGGUAUUACAAAUUGGAAGGUUCGAUGAUGAGUGAGGUGAUUUUUAAAGUUCAAUGACCUAUCAGAAACCUUUUGUAAAGUUUAUUGACUAUUUGGGCAAUUCACUCAAGUUUAUUAGAUCAAAUAAAGAAAAAAACCACCACCGACCGAGGAUAAUAGCUCCCAAUAAGUACUUGUACAAUAGACUUCAUUCCUGCAAACGAAAUAGCACAAGUAAUGAGCAGAUAUACAUGAUAAUAAUACAAAAUCACCGAGAAAUUAUGCACUAAAAUUGAAUAUGCGUCAAAAAUUUGUGGAAGGGAACGCAAUCAUUCAUAUUUGUGAAGCAGCAAAUAUUUAAAAUAUAAGUUAGUAAUAAUGUUAAUGUAGCCUCGACUGACAACUUUUUAAAUCAACAUAUACCUCAAAUAAAUUUACGUCAUCUAACUAAUGUUACGUAUAGGCCAUACUGCAUGAACCAGCUUCUGAUUAAGAGUCCUCAAUUUUGUAAAAAUUGGCCUUAGAUUUUGCUAGAAAAUUGGAAAUUUGGAAUACUAAAAUUUAAUAAAGAGAGUUUAUGUUUCUUCUUUGUCCAAUUCAAUAAAAUUGACGGGCAAAUAUUCAUUUCUUUGUCCAUUGUUCAAUUUUGUGGCUAACCCCUAGGCCUAAGAGCCCUAGAUCAUGAAAGAAGACUGAAUUCGAUAUAGAGUUGUAAAUUUAGAUCGAGCAUCCGUUUAGACUUUCUUUAAUUUUAUUCGGUUUCUCUUUACAAAAUUUCAACAAAGAAGAAAUCUAGACCAACAUGGGUCGUGCCUUGUCUCGCAAUUUUUUUGGGCCAACUGAAAUGCGGCCUGUUGGUUUUUCUACUACACGUCUAGUUUGGUGAGAUCAAUCAAAUCAAGUGUAAAUGUCACGGAUACUAAAAUUCUUUAGAGAAUUUAAAAUUAGAAUGCUUAAAGAAUUUCUUAAAAAUAAAUGGGAAAUUGCCCUCCUAGAUAUGCCUAAGGUCAAUAGGAUGGCCCAUGGGCUGGUGUUAUGCUCAGCCCCCAAAAAAAGUUGAAAGGCUUGAAAUAGUUAUUGUGAAAAUUUUGCCGCAUAAUAUUUAGAAUCUACCUUUCAAUUUAUUUUUUUUAAACCAUAAAUGCUGUAUUUUCAUAGUAAAAUCGAAAUAUGAAAACUUAACCAAAUAAUAAAGCCAAUUCACUUUCUGUUCCUAAAUUUACUCCAUCAAACGUGUCCUUAACUUACGCUACAACCUUAACAUGACAAAUUAAUAUCCAAAUCCAUAAAAUGGAGCCCAUUCAUCUUCCACACAAAUCUCCUCCCAAAUCAUCUCUCACUAGAAUCAUCCAUCAAAAUAUCCACACAACAUAAAAAUCAAAUUGAUCUUCUACAGAUCUACCGCACCGCAUAAUCCAUAUCAUUAUCACACAAAUUCAUCAUUUGAUUCUCGUUUUGCAUUCAUUAGGGCAUUAUCGCAUGUAUAAAAUCCUAGUUGGAGGCGUAGUACCGCCAUCCAGAUUCAAAAAUUUCUACUUAUCCACUAUAAUACACAAUGGUUUACGAGUUUUCAAAGGUUCAGACAGAAUAUGUCAACACCCCGGAAGCGGGGGCAAACUUUUUUCAGAAAAGAUGGUUGCUGAUACAAAUAUCUACUUCUGGUUCUGUAUAGAUACAACAAAAUAUGGAAAAGACUCUAAUCAAUGGCGAUCCCGAAACGCCAUUUGUCCAUGGGUCCCAUCAAGACCCAGCAAGUAUUCUUGCUACAUGACAAGUUUUGAAAAGAAAUGAUAAUGUGAAUGACUUUUUUUUUUCCUUUUUCACUUUAUCGAAUUCAUAAUAAAAACUUAUCUUGAGCAACUGAAUUUGGAUAGUUGUUUGAUUUUUUGAUUGUUCUAUUAAGUUCAUUGUGCACUAUGGUUUACUUUGUUGGUAGAUUAUUAAGCGCUAGAUUUAUACAGGGGAUUAUGUAGUUGUGCAUGUUAAAGGUAGCCUAAUAUGAUAGUUAAUGAUAUAGGUUACGUGUUUAUGAAAAUAAAAUCUACUACAAUCAUUUCCACGUGUGAAGAAUCACGUGUAGAUAAAUUUAUGCUCUUACUCUUCGCUUAGGCAUUAACAAUUUAUAGUUCACUGAUUCUGUAAAAAUAUGUAAAAUUGUGGGAUGGUUGUUGUUGACCUCGCGAAUUGGACCUUACACGUGUUCCUCCCUGUGCACAACAAUAAAUGGUAGGACGUACACAGCUAAAACCAGCGGGGUGGUGGCGGCCGCAUAUACUCCAACGAUGAAGUCAGUGGACGGUGUUGAAACGGUGUCGGAAUUGUGCAAGAGAGUAGGGAGGAGAAUAUAUUUUACUUAAGUAUGGAGUGCCAAAUCUGAGAAAGAUUCAUUACCUUUGUUUCUUGCCAAACCUUUGGUAUUUGCAGGUGAGGGGCACCGUUGAAUGUAAGACACGUGUAUGCAUCUGAUGGUAUGAAGUGUCUGCUCGUUGACGUCAAUCAGCCGUAUCUAGGGGGCAGGUAAUUAAUUCUUCUGAGUUGUGAGUUGACAUAAAGCUAGGAUGCCACAUCAAUCAAUAUAUGAAGAUAAAAGAUGAUCAUGACAUAAAGAUAUUUCUCUGAAACUGGCGACGGGGAGACCUCUGUUGCAAAGUGCCUCGACACUCCUCACACUUUGGUAAGAGGGGACACCUCGACAAUUACUUCAGAGAUGCAUGUGUUUCGUAACUUGCUAGUCAUGAGGUUCGAGCAAGAAUAGUAUCACUUUGGAAUCAUCUGCGCUAGAGACGUGGCACAUCGCUGAGGAGUAGGCAUAACGUGCCUAGGUGGAUAAGCUAGGGGCGUAACAGUGGUCUCCCAAGUUCAGGGAUGAAUAUUUAUAUCAUUUGUGGACUUUUUGAUUGGUUGUGUAUGCUUGCUGUUUUGAGUGUAGGUUGUUUGUCAUUUCUAUUGAAGUGCUGACCUACAGGGGACGACGCGGGCAAAUGGGCGGAAGCUUUAUAGGCUGCUGUUCAUUUUCUAACCGAGACAAUGGGGAUAGGGAGUCCUUUUGGUUAGUAGUUUGUUGCUUUAUAAAGAACAAUAAAUCUUCAACUAAUGCGUAAGAGUGUUGUGAAGCUGGGUGCUAAGGCGUAUUUGCGAUCGGAGCUUGACCCAUAGCGGACAAUGAUUGGGAGAUGGCUGAAACUUUGUAAAGCUUUCACAAUGCUGUAAUCGAGGCGAUGACCCUGAGGGGACUCCGCAUCGAAAGGGUUGAAAACUGUAAAGCUGAUGGAAGUGCUCAUCUGUGAUCAAUACGCUGACCCACAAGGGACGACGAUGGGGAGAUGGCUUGAAGCUUUGUAAAGCUUUUGCAACAAUGCAACCGGGGUAAUGACCUUGAGAGGACUCCGCAUCGAGAGGGUUGAAGCCUGUAAAGCUGAUGGAAGAGCUCAUCUACGAUCGAUGCGUUGACCAACAAGGGACAACUCUAGGGAGAUGGCUUGAAACUUUGUAAAGCUUUUGCAAUGCUGUGACUGAGGCGAUGACCAUAGGGGACUCCACGUCGAAAGGGUUGAAGUUUUGUAAAGCUGAUGAAGGGGCUCAUCUGCAAUAGAUGCGCUGACCCAUAAGGGACAACGCUUUGGAGAUAGUUUGAAGCUUUGUAAAGCUUUUGCAACGCUAUGAUCAAGGCAGUGACCCUGAGAGGACUCCGUCAAGGGAGGGUUAAAGCCUGUAAAGCUGAUGGAAAAGCUCAUCUGUGAUCGAUAUGCUGACCCACAAGGGACGACACUCGGGAGAUGGAUUGAAGCUUUAUAAAGCUUUUGCAACGCUGUGAUCAAGGCGAUAACCCAUAGGCGACUCCGCGUCGGGAGGAUUGAAGCUUUGUAAAGCUAAUGAUGGAGCUCAUUUGCGAUCGAUGCGGUGACCCAUAGGGGAUGAUGGUUGAAGCUUUGUAAAGCUUAGUUUCAAUCCGAGGCAUUCAGUUUGUAAUCUUAAAUGAUGUAACGACCGUCGCGUAUUUUCAAGGAGGACAGUUGGAUGUAAUGCCUAUUCCCAGAAAAGGCUGCUGCGGCUAAUUAUGGUAAACCGUUGUUGAAGCUCGAGGCGACGCAUUUGAUGCUUAGGUAAGAGUCACAGCUAGAUCUUGGGCGAUGAUUAAAUCUUGUGUUUUGUUUCUAUGGUCUAGAUUUGUAAUGCGAUCAACGGCCCAGAUUGAUAGCAUUUGAAUUCAAUGGUAUAGAUCAUCCUAAGCCUCUUAUAAAAGGCUGAUUUUUUGCCAUUCGAAGGUUUUCGCUUUGGCAAAAUCUGAAACUUCGUUUCUUUCAAGCUUUUUUUAACGUUCGACGAUCUUUUUGCGCUCUUUAGAGUUUUUCGGCCACGAUCAGUGAGCCUUAUGACAUUUUCGAUCGUAAGAUAUCAUUUUCAGUGAGUUUUUGUAAGUAUUCACAAUUUUUCACCUUUUUCUUUGAGAGAAAUGGCUUCUAAGGGUAAUGGGUCUUUCGGGAGGGAUUUGGAAAUUGUUAGGAUAGACAAGUCGAUGCUAGCUACUUCAACAGAGCUAUCCAAAGCGAUAGUGAGGGAAAAACAUUUCGAAACGACCAGAUAGCCCCGUGGAUACUUCUAUGCAUGGGAGGCAUCUGAUUACCCCUCGAAAUUGAAAUCAUCCGACCAGGUUAGGCUUAGGGCAGAAUAUAGGAUACCGAAUAGUGUGGGUCUAAUCAUAUCGGAUCCAGAUGAACGAGCAUGUUCCCUUAAGCUCGGGUGCGUGGCAAUAAGUGAGGCCAUUCUUAGGGCAGGGCUUAGGUUACCUAUCCACCCAUUCUUUUGCUACGUCCUUAGGUCUUGUGGCUUGGCCCCCACCCAACUCAACCCGAACUCGUGGAGUCAAAUGGUAGGAUCAUGGAUGUUGUGGAAGGGGGCUUCAUACAGGAUGGAGAUGCCUUUUUAGUUUUUCAGACCCUUCACAUUCCCAAAGGGCAGUGGGAAGUAAUAAAACUAGGGGUGGUACUAUCUGACCUCUUGGGAGGCCCACACUCCAUUCAUGCUCGAUUUGCCAAGCUCCAUUAAGGAAUGGAAGAGUUCAUGGUGCUGGGCUUCCAGGAAAUAGGAUACGAUGGAGGGUGGCCCCUUAGCACCUCUAACAGUUCCCACCAAAUAUUCCGCAGUUAAUGAGUACUAAUACUUCGACUUAUUGUAUAUUUCUUUGGCUAGCGUACUUAAAGCUCAUAUUCUGGUAUAGGUGCCCUUCCUUGGUGUGAAUUGUCCAUAGAGGAUUUUUAUAGUAUCUGCAUCAUCUAUCAGCUUCUAGCUAAGAUCCGGUCUUACCAGGAGUUGAUAAGGAAAAAUAUACACUUCGUCAAUCAAGGCUUGAUGUCUUCACAAGGUAGACUAUCUGACCUUAUCAUGUUUAUUCCGAGUCCUUUAUACUCGGGCUAAUAUUCGAAGUUUCUUGCAUAUGAUUUUAAUAAGAAAAGGCCUCUGAAGCCUGACUUCGCCACCAUCAAGCGCAUGAUGGCUGAGGCGAGGGCCUUGAAGACCUCCUCCUCAGCAUAUGAAAUGCAAAUGGAGGACUUGGUGGCAACCAGCAAGAAGCUGCCUCCUGCUGAGGAGGAGGGGGGAAGCCCCUACUCAAGAAAGGGAAAAAAGUAGCCAGGCCAUUCUCAAAUGCCUCAACAAUGGCGAGGCCGGCCACUAGGCAGACAACGAUUCCCACUGGGGUCAUGAUACGAGAGAGGUUUGUAUGUUUGUCGGAGACGACUCCUACUGAAGUGGCCCCUAUCCCACCUCUAGUUGCUUCAACUGCUGAUCACCCCGUCGAAGAAGGGAGGAAAAAAAGGGCCUGUCUUGACAAAGAGCAAGAUUUUUUGGGUACCAACUUUGAUGAGCCUGUGAAUGAGGUACUGAAGCCUUGCCAUCAAAGGCUGCAGCAGUAGCACUGACCCAUCACAAGUAUUAGACCGAGGCUUGGAAAGAUAACACUUCCUCUUAUACUGCCGAGGAUUUUGUGGCUGCCAACAACACUUGUGUUGCCCGAGCUCUGAGUACCAACACCCAGCUGGAGGGCCUCGUCAAAACUUGAGGGUGAAGAACAUCGAUCUAGCCCAAAGGUUGGAGAAGGCAGUAUUGUAUGGUGAUGAGGUGUGGGUUACUAGAAAUAAGGCCAUGGAGACAGAGAAGAGCAGAGCCGAGGCGAAAAGUAGGGUGGUGAAGGCUGAGGCUGAGUCAGAGCAGCCAAAAAAAUAGUUGUACGAACAGAAUGCCAAGUUUCUGUUCUGAUGAGGCGGAUUGACCACGCUAAUGAACAUCACUGCCUCACCGUGGAGACCUUGAAGCCUCAAAUAAGGAAUGGGCUAAGCUGAGGCAGCGGGUGGAGGCCCAAGUUAAAGAGAUCGAAUCUCUCGAAACAGAGGCAAAAACUGUUGGGGAGUCAGCCAUGUAGCAUUUUAUUGACCACUUUGAAGAGCACGAGCUGUACAACACAUUUACCAACUAUUAGGCCUCUUGGAACACCCAAGCUAUGUUGCAGCGUCUGAGGAAGGUGUACUCGAACCUGGACAUUUCAGCGUCUCAGAUCGAUGGGCCUACCAAAGGUCGUCCUGACAUUGCUGCUGUCAAGGAGGCUACAACGACUCCUCAAGAAACAAAGGCGAGGGAGGGGGACAUAGUGCUAGUAGAGCAGGAUUCUCUUUGUAUUUUGUAAUGGCCUCGGCCCUUAAUUGUAAUUAUUUGGGUAUUAAUGGAUUGAAAUAUUUUGUGACUUCUUCUAUUCAUGUUGAGCUGUGUAAUUGCAUUAUUGUGAUUGGAUAAGCGCCUAAGUUAAAAUCAAGCGUUACUUACCAAUAGUAAUAGUAGAAGCAAAAAAUGAUUAAUCCAUAGAACACUGACAAACUAAGGUUUCAUAAGAAAUUUGAACUUAACAUUAUCAUAAGCUAAGGCGAUUUCAGCACUUAAUCAGAUAGGAAUAAGUUACAGUGGAUCAUAGAAGAACAUGACCAAUUCAGAGCAUACAUUUAUUGGUAGUACUUCCUCAAGUGUUCAAUAUUCCACUGAUGUGGCAUCAUUUUUCCUGCUAUAUCUUCAAUCUGAUAAGUUCUGGGUCGGGAUUCUUUGACAAUGCGAUAUGACCCUUCCCAGUUCGGCCCAAGCACUCUGAAACCAGUUGGUUUUGAUGUUGGGGAGACCCUUCUAUGUACCAGGCCACCCAAACAUAGAGUUCGAUUUUCGACCUUCGAAUUGUAGUAGCUGUCAUCUUUCUCUGAUAUGUGGCUAGUUUGACUUAUGAAGAAUCCUUUUUUUUUCUUUCGGGAGGUGAAGCUCGUAUACUUGCAUUUAAUCGUUGCUGAUCUCAUUGAAGUGUAUGAGACGAUGCGAGGGAAUCCCCACCUCAAUUAGGCUCAUGGCUUCGACUACGUAGGUCAUAGAGAAGGGUGUCUCUCCUGUUGCAAUUCGGCAAGUUGUACGGAUGGACCAGAGAACAUGGGGAAGCUCAUCGACCCAUGCUCCUUUCGAGGCGUCAAGCUUUCUUUUCAGGGUGUGCUUGAUCGUCUUGUUUACAGCCCUAACAUGUCCAUUUGCUUGGGGUGAUGGGGUGUUGAGAAAUCCUUCCUUAUACCCAGUUCGUCGCAUAUAUCUCGCAUCUUCCUAUUGUCGAACUGACUCCGUUGUCAAACACCAAGGAGUGGGGAUUGUUGAACCUACAAAUGAUGUGCUUCCAGAUAAACUUCGUAGUAUUCGCUUCAGUGAUUUUUGCCAGAGGUUCAGCUUCGACCCACUUGGUAAAGUAAUCAAUAGCAACAAUCGCAAAGUUGCUCUUCCUCUCCCUUUUGGGAGGGGACCAAUGAAAUCUAUCUUCCACUUGGCGAACGGCCAGGGACUAGUGACUGCGGAGAGGCUCUGUGAAGGCUAUCUUUGAACAUUGGAGAACCGCUGGCACUUAUCACAUCUUUGAACAAACUGGUAGGAAUUAUUUUUCAAGGUCGGCCAGAAGCAACCUUGUCGAAGCACUUUGUGCACCAAGGCUAUUCUCCCGGAGUGGUUUCUACGUACUCCCUCGUGAAUUUCCCUCAUUAUCUACAUAGCCUCUUCUUUCCCAAAGUAUUGAAGGAGAGGCGAUGCGAAGCCCCUUUUAUACAGCAUGUUUUCCUGGAGGAUGAAAUGAGCAGCCAUUCUUCUCAACUUCUUGGCCUCGUUUUUUGAGGUUGGCACUCUUUGAUCUUUGAGAUAGGUUAUCAUUGGUUGUAUCCAAGGUGAGGUACCCUCAAUCCACAUCACCUCUUCGCCUUCGGUAAUGGAGGGCUUUAGUAGGCGCUCAAUUGGAACAAUCUUUAGUAGUUCGGAGUCCUUGCUACUGGCCAGUUUGGAUAGGGCUUCUGCACGAAUGUUUUCGAGGCGUGGGACCUGCACUAGUUUGAAUUUUUCGAAGUGGGGGACGAGGCUCAAAAUAGUUUCAAAUAGGCGACCAUGCCACUAUCUUUGGCCGCGAAUCACUGCUGGCUAGGAGUCUUUUGACUUGCAUUUCUUUGGCCAGUCUAAGGCCUGCUAAGAAAGCCUCACAUUCGGUAGCAUUGUUCGAAGCUUUGAAGCCGAACCUGAUUGCAUAGUUUAGCUUAUGGCCUUUUGGGCUUUCUGAAAUGACUCCUGCCUUGGAGCCAGUCUCUCUUGAUGAGCCGUCCACAAAGAGGUUGCAAGUAGGGGGCUCUGCUGGUUCCAUGGUUGCCUCAAUUUCUUGGGCUUUGGUAAUCUCUACGACAAAGUCUAUGAGGGCUUGUCCUUUGAUGGCGCUUCGGGGUUUGAAGAGUUGGUCAAACUCGCCAAAUUCAAUUGCCCAUUUGAGUAAGUGACUCGAAGUGUCUAUCUUCUGUAACACUUGUUUCAGUGAAAAAUUGGUUAGAACUUCAAUGGAGUGGGCUUGAAAGUAUGGCCAUAGUUUCCUUAAUGCAGUUACGAAGAAGAGUGCAAGCUUUUCCAUGUCUGGAUAGCAAGCCUUUGCUGGCAGCGGGGCUUUGUUGAUGUAGUACACUGGCAAUUGGCGUGUCUUUUCUUCCCUGAUGAGGACUGCAUUGACUGCUUCUUCUGAAACCGCCAAAUAUAGCAGAAGUGGCUCGAGUGGUUUGGGCUUCGACAGUAAGGGUGCCUCUCCCAAGUGCUUCUUUAUCGCUUGGAAGGCAAUCUCACAUUCCUCCGCCCAUUGGAACUUUUUUCCCUACUUCAGAAUCUUGAAGAAGGGUAGACUUUUAUCGGUGAUCUUGGAGAUAAAGCGGCUAAGUGCAGCAAUCCGUCCGUUGAGGGUUUGUACCUCUUUUGGCUUCUGAGGUGACCUCAUCUCUAAUAGGGCCUUUUGGAUUGGCCCAGCGUGCCAGCCAUUUUUUUGAAAAAAUAUAUUGAAUUUAAUUGUUUAUAAAUAUUUCAUGAAUCAUGUAAAUUGUUUAUUUAAGUAAAAUAAUUAAUUGUUUUUAUUUCAAUUUAUUUAAAAUAUAAAUAAUUUAAUUAAUGAAAUAAACAAUUUGAAUAAAUAUAAUAAACAAUUGAAUAUUCAAUAAACAAUUAAAAUAAAUAAGAAAUUAAUAUAAAUAAUUAAAUGAAGUAAAUAAAUAUGAAAUAAACAACUAAAUAAGUAAUUAAAUAGAGUUAUCAAAUAUUAAAAAACAAUAUACAUAACCAAUUAAAAUAAUUAAUGAAAUAUUUAAAUAAUAAAUAAAUUAAAUAUUAAAUAAAUAAUUUAAUAAAUCGAUAUUUAAUUUAAUUGUUUAUUUAAAUAUUUAAGUAAUUACUUUAAUUGUUUAUGUAUAUUAUUUGUUUAAUAUAUAAUUAUUUAUUUUAUACUUUAUUUGUUUAUUUAAAUAUUUCAUGAAUUAUUUUAAUUAUUUAUAUAUAUUGUUUAUUCAAGUAAAUAAUCAAUAACUAAUUGAAGUAAUCAACUAAUUGAAAUAUAUUAAAUAAAUAUUAAUAAAACAAUUAAAGCAAUUAAUUGAAAUAAUAAAUAACUAAUUGAAAUAAAUUCAAUAAACAAGUAAAUUAAAUAUUAAUUAAGGAAUAUAAAUAAUUAAUUAACAUAAAUAAAUAUAAAUAUAAAUAAUAAAAAACUAGUUCAAAUAAGUAAUUAAAUAUUAAAUAAACAAUUCAAACAAACAUUUGAAAUAAAUAUUAAAUAAACAAUUCAAACAAACAUUUGAAAUAAAUAAUUAGCAUUUAAAUAUUAAAUAAAUAAUUUAAAUGAACAAUAAAUAUAAAUAAUAAAAAAUAAGUAAUUUAAAUAAGUAAUUAAAUAUUAAAUAAACAAUUUAAAUAAACAAUUGAAAUAAAUAAUUAAUAUUUAAGUAUUAAAUAAAUAAUUUAAAUGAACCAUGAAUAUAAAUAAUAAAAAUAAGUAAUUUAAUAUUAAAUAAACAAUUGAAAUAAAUAAUUAACAUUUAAAAUAAACAAUUAAACAUUCAAUUAACAAUUAAAAUAAAUAUUAAAUAAACAACUAAACAAUUAAAAUAAAUAAUUUAAAUGCACAUUUAAAUAUUGAAUAAAUAAUUUAAAUGAACAAUUUAAAUAAAUAAUUAACAAUUAAAUAUUCAAUAAACAAUUUAAUUUUCAAAUAUUAUGUUUUAUCCAUUGUCUUUUGCAUAAGGCCCUAACAUUUUAAAUUUUAUAGGAUGGAUUAUCAUUUAGACGUCGCCAUGAGACAGAUUCCGACAAAGUUACGUUGAACUAUAACUUUGCUAGCUUUACAUUAGUCCUAGAUUUGUUGAAUGAGGAGUACGUAGACCUGUUAUGCCAAUCCUUCUUACGACGAUAACUCUGGCACAGUUAGGAGACGCAUUCAGGGAAUGCGUCAAUAUGUCUAGAAAUUGAAGUUGAGGAUAAUGUUUAUACUGGAAAGCACACUGAGGUAUCAUCACAAGAUGACGUCGAUCGAAGUUUUCAUUUAGAGGUUGUUAAUGACAUUGACAAAUUCAACAACUAUCCAUGGGACAAAGCUAACAGUUAUCGGCUCUCGUCGACGAUCCUAAGGUACGUAUUAUUCAUUUGUGAUUUAUGUUGCGCGUCAUUUCGAAAUCUCAAUGCAUGGUCAUUAAUUCAAUGAAAUGUUAAUAUGUCAGCUUGAACUGCUCACUGAGCUGACACCGUUGAUCGAGAAGGAAGUUAGAUUCAUAUCUGAGGAGAUACAGCUUGCAAACGAUGAGGAUUCCAGAUAGUGACAGAGAAGGUGGUAGAGAUGGUGACAGAGAGGGUGGCGGUGGAGGGGUGGGAAUGUAUACAAAUGUUUUCAUUAGAAUCAUUAUGGAUCUCAGUGGGGAUGGAAAAAGUGCCAGUGGAGGGGAUGAAAUAAUUGUAUAUAUUUUUUUAUUUAUGAAAUAAUUGUAUAUAUUGUAAAAUUUAUUUAAAUAAGGUAAUGAAAUAUUAAAUACAUAGUAUACACAACCAAUUAGAUAAUUUAUAAGUGAAAUAUCUGAAUAAGAAGUUAAAUUUAAUAUUACUUUUUUAUUUAAUGAAGUUAUUAAAUAAAUAAUUAAACAAAUUAAUUAAAUAUUAAAUAAAUAAUAUACAUAACUAUGCCAGAGAUGAGCCCCAACUUGAUAGAUAAUGUCGCGAGUUUGGAUAACGUGACAAUUAUGCCGGAGAGGAUAAUGGAAGUGACACCAUGUAAGAAACAUGUUAUUGAUGUGCCAAAGUAGAUGGUUAGCAAGAUGACUAGAUCAUCGUCACAAAUACAUUGUUUCUCUGUACACAAUCGAGGCAAAGAAGAGAACAUCCGUCGACGGUACAUUGCCCAACCUCUUUCGUGAAAUCGACUCGGGGCAAUUGUGGAGUCUUCACAUUGAAGUACAUUGAAUUUUUUUAAAUGAAAACGUUCUUUUAUGUAUAUUGUGAUCCGUAGUUAUAAUAAUUUAAAAUGUAAGCAUUUUUUUAAAACGUUUGCAAUACUUUAGUAAUUAUGUCAUUGUAUGAUAAAUAAAUAAUUACUCUUAAUUACAUAUAUAACACACUUCAAAUAAAGAAAAUUUAGGAAAUCACUAACAUACUAUAAAUAGAGAAUACAUACGAUUUAAGUAGAUAUUACAUAUCCGUCGGGUCAAAUUUCAUGUAAUCAAUAACACACUAUAAAUAGAGAAAAUUGAGGAAAUCGGUAACAUGCUAUAAAUAGAAAGUACAUACGAUUUAAAUAUAUAUUACAUAUCCGUUGGGUAGAGAAUAGCAUGCUAUAAUCGGGAACUUCCCACUCGACUUCAUUUGGUAAAGAAAAUAUAGUUUCAACAUUCAUGAAUAGUGUUCGAUGUUUUGAAAAUGUGGUCAUGCCCAAUGUUCAACUCCCGUCUCUGUUAGAUAUUCUCAUCCACCGUGUGAUUUAUGUCCAAAUUAAUUAUUAAAUAAAAAAUAUACAUAACCAAUUAAGAUAAUUAAUUAAUAAAAUAUUUAAAGAAUAAAUUAAAUUAAAUAUUAAUUUUCUAUUCAAAUAAGUGAUUAAAAUAAUAAUUAAAUAAGGUAAUGAAAUAUUAAAUACAUAAUAUGCACAACCAAUUAAGAUAAUUUAUAAAUGAAAUAUCAAAUAAGAAAUUAAUUAAAUAUUAAUUUUUUAUUUAAUUAAGUGAUUAAAUAAAUAAUUAAACAAAGUAAUUAAAUAUUAAAUAAAGAAUAUACAUAAUUAACUAAUGAAAUAUUUAAAUAAGAAAUUAAAAUAAAUAUUAAUUCUUUUAUUUAAAUAAGUGAUUAAAUAAAUAAUUAAAUAAAGUAAUUAAAUUUUAAUUGCAUAAUAUACAUAACCAAUUAAGAUAAAAUUAAUGAAAUAUCUAAAUAAGAACUAAAUGAAAUAUUAAUUUUUUAUUUAAUUAAGUGAUUAAAUAAAGUAAUUAAAUUUUAAAUAAACAAUAUACAUAACCAAUUAAGGUAAUUAAUAAAGAAAUAUUUAAACGAGAAAUCAAAUUAAAUAUUAAUUUUUUUAAUUUGAGUAAGUGUUUAAAAUAAAUAAUUAAAUAAGAAAUUAAAUAUACAUAACCAAUUAAGAUAAUUAAUUAAUGAAAUAUUUAAUAGAGAAAUCAAAUUAAAUAUUAAUUUUUUAUUUAAACAAGGGAUUAAAUAAAUAAUUAAAUAUUAAAUAAAUAAUAUACAUAACAAAUUAAGAUAAUUAAUUAAUGAAAUAUUUAUACAAGAAAGUAAAUUAAAUAUUAAUUUUUUUAUUUGAGUAAGUGUUUAUAAUAAAUAAUUAAAUAAAGUAAUUAAAUAUAAAGUGAAAAGUGUUUGGUUUUUUAAUUUGUAACGUAAGGGUAUUUUUAUCUUUUUAAACAAAAUUCUAUCUUUGUAAUUGUAUAAAUUAUUUAAGGAUAUUUUUGUCUUUUAUUCAACAAAAGAUCAUUUUGAUGAUAGGCAAAUUUUUUUCGUUAAAAUGAAAAAAUAGAAUUUUGACUUGGCCAAAAGUACCCUAGAAAAGAAUAUGGCCUUACAAAUGACCCAAAUGCAGCUUCCACUAUGAUGCAAUUCAUGUUUCAAUUAGCAAUUCAUCAAAUUCUUUUCGUCUGGGUCUUAUCACCUGCAGAGCACUGCACAUUGUAAUUAUAAAUGAACAUGAAAUGAACUCUCUGCAUAAUAGAUCCAGUUUAACCCUUUCUCUGUGUUGUUGCAAUUCUUACAGAAGAAAAUGGCUAAUUGUAGAAAACAUCUGAUAGACCAAAAUAAUUUCUACAAUGUUUUAGAAAAAAAUUAAUUAAUUUGAAAAUAAUUAGGGAGAAAAAUCUACUCAGUGAUUCGAAAAAGAGAAGAAAAAACGAUUUAAUUGAGCCAAAUCAAAAGAAAAUAAAAAAACAGGUCACUAGUAUCUAAUAUUCUUGAAAUGUCACAACAAAAUUUUUUUUUUUUAAAUUUAUUUCGGUAUAAUGGCCAUGUACGAUCACUGCUUGAAAUGUCAUCAAAUUUGUUGUUUAUAACAACGGGAUGAGAUGUAGUGACUAAUGCUAUAUAAAUAUCAAUAUUCGAUAAUUUAAAUUUAAAAUCAUUUGCAAGUAACCAGGUAAGUUUGGACACUUUCUAAUUGAGUUGGUAUCAAAUUAUUUUUGCAAGACGUAGGAGCCAUAAGGGACGAAUCCAGGAUGUUGAGCCAGCACGUGCGGCAGUUGACCGUCGAUCGUGGACCGUAGGCCGUAAUAAAAUAUUAAGAGUUCGUUUGAUGUUAUUUUUUGCAAAAAAUGCAUUUUGAAAUGGUGAUUUGAUGAAAAAUAUGUAUUUAAAAAUUAGAAAAAAUUUUGAAUUUGCGUGCAAUAUUAUUUUAUUAAAAAAUGUUUGAUCGAAAAUAAGGGAAAGAAAAAUGUAUUCUGAACUAAAUGGGAAUCAAACAAGGCUAAAAUUUAUAUAAAAUAAUUAUUUAGUUGAAGUUGAACAUAUAUAAUUUCGUUAUAAGAAUAAAUUGUACUCACCAAAUGACAUUAUUGCUUUGUAUAAUUCAAAGGAAGAGCAUGGUGUUAAUAAUUUUACAAUUGACCCGCUAAAAUCUAAUAUAUAUUAUUUUUUCAAAUUUGAUAUCAAAACUCAGCAAGUGUCAUAAUGGUUAAGUUUUCAACAUAUUUUUAAAAAGCUCACAUAUUCGAUUACCCAUUGGUCCUUUCCUUAUUUCAAUGGUUUUUGGUAAAUAUUGUAUAACUAAAAAUGUUAUACAAUAUAUUGGUGGACAAAAGUUUCGAACCCGAGACCUCUAAGAAACAAAUGCAAGCUCUAGCCAACUUGGCUAGGAGUUGUUGAAACUAAAAUGUAUUAUCGGUAAUAUAGCAGCAAGCUCUUGUUGCAUAACCUAUAUAAAGGUGCAAAGUGUAAGUAUUACGCCAUUGGUCCAAUCAAUUUUGGACAUAAAUACUUUAGAUAUAUAAUUAAUGCAAUUUAACGGCAGAUCUAUUAUUUAAUCAAUAGACAAUUAAAUAAAUAAUAGAGUUUGUAAAUUCAAAUCUUCGUAAUUUGUUAAUUACAAGAAAUUGUGAUUGUGAGAUACAAAUUACAUCUGAUUGAAUCUUAAAUCAACUUUGGACAUAAAAACUUUUGAUAUAUAAUUAAUUCAAUUUAAUGGCAGAUCUAUUAUUUAAUCAAUAGACAAUUAAAUAAAUAAUAGAGUCUGUAGAUUCAAAUUUUCGUAAUUUGUUAAUUACAAAGAGUUGUGAUUGUGAGAUACAAAUUACAUCUGAUUGAAUCUUAAAUCGUCCGUGGUCGUAAGUAAUAACGAGAUACGGAUAUCGUUAUUACGGAUAGACCAUCACGUGUAGCAUUUCUUACUUAUGAAGUAAGUAACUCAUCUCACAAGUUAAAGUGUGGUGAUACUUAAAUGAACACGUUGCUAUUUUAUUACAAAACAAAAUAUUGGAGACCCGUCGAGAGAUUUCACAUGGAUAACUAUCUGAGUGUCAGUGGUUAAUCUCUAAAGUUCGAUAGUGGGAUUGGUCCUUUUGACUUGAGGUCAUUAUUGUACCUUAUAUGAGGACGGUCAUGCUUUGAUGGUGUUGGAUGUUGCUCUGCCAAGGGCUACUAAUACGACAUUGUUUGGGUAUGUCAAUAAUCAUAUGAAGGUUAUGAAUGACCAAUAGAGGAUUUGUCACUCUUAGGUAGUAAGAGAUUAUGAUCUGCGUUUCAUUCAAUUAAGUCGACAACGAAAUCCUUGGCUAAGGUGUACUUAUAAGUCAAAAAGGAGUUUUCGACUUAUAUUGACUCAAUAGUAGAGUGAAAGAUAUGAUCGAUAAUUGAGAUUGACACACUUCCAUAUCUCGUAAUUAAUCGGAUCAUAUUGAUGAAGGGAUUAAGUUUCACGGUAAACGAACGAGUUUGGUUUUAUCAUACCAUAUGAUAUUUUACGUCAUAUGUAUUGCCCUGACACAUUGCUAGAUGUCAAUCUUGGACGGCGAGUGUGAAUUGAUAAUAAAUUAAAAAGGUAUUUUAAUUUAUCAAUUUUAAUUAGAUCAAAAUAAUAUUUCACGUCGUUAGGCAUCGCGAUCGGAAACCUGAUGGGUCGCACACAAAAGAGAAUUGGAAGAUUGCAAUUUGUCAAUUAAUUAAUUUAACAAUCGUUAGAUAAAUAAAUUAAUUGGUUUGGUUAUUUAUAGGCCCGAAUUAAUUAAUUGGAUUAAUUAAUUCACGGACCGGAUUUAAUUAAAUGGUUUAAUUAAAUAUUAGACCAGGCCAGGCCCGUUUUGGUUUAUAUAAAUACAUGGCUAGGGUUUUCAAUCUAUAUGUUUUUCUCAUAAUUAUUCUUGCUAGCACAAGAAGAGAAAACCCUAAUAGCUGCAAUCUUGUUUUCUAUGUGGAUCAUCGUUGGAGGCUGGACAAUUGGACAGCUGUAGGUGACGAAUCAAGAUUACUUGAACGAAAAGAAUAGCAAAGAAGUUUGCAGAUUUGGAAAAUGUACAAUCUUAUCACAAUUUCUAUCUAAACACAAAGGCAAUUCUUGGUGGGAAUCAAAAUAUGUUUUAAUUUUUCGCUGCGCAUGUUAAGUGGAUUCCCAAACGUGGUAUCAGAGCCAACUUUGUGUUUGUUAGGAAUUGAUUUACGUAUUAUUGAAAUCAAAAGUUGAUUUAUCAUGUUUUUUCUUUGAUCUAGCAAUUUAGAAUUAUUUUUCAUUUUCAAAAUUUGUUUGGAGAAGAAAUAAUUUUGGAUCAAAACAAAACAAAGGGGGAGAUGGCGGUGGAGGACACGACAGCGGCGGCGCACCACCCGUGAUCGACCGCGAGCAGUUGCAGCAAGCGUGGCGGUGGAGCAGCAGCAGCAUGCUUGCUGUAGCUGGCAGCGACAGUGACGCCGCUACUGUUGCAGGGCGGAGACGCUGCUACAGCAGCGCCUCAGCGCUGCUGGAGGGUGGGCAAAAAAAUCUAAAGGUUUUCAGUUGGGUGAGGGAGAUUUGAAGGCGAGGGCCUCAGUUGCAAUUUUUAAAAUUGCAGGCCCCCACUUGCAAUAUUAUGAAAGGGAUCGAGUUGUAAUUUUAAAAGGAAGGGCAUGUCUGCAAUUUCGAAAAUUGGAAGGUGCAACAAUUAACUCUAAACCAGGGUCAAAUUGCAAUUUCUAAAAGGUUUUGAAUUUGAAUUUUGAAAUGGUUUUAAAAUUAUAUCUUAAUUGGGUUUGACCCAAAUUAAAAAUUUUAUUUAAAAUUGACGACUUUUAUAUUUUCGUUAAAAUAUUAUUUUAACUCAAAUAUUAAAUUUGACCCAACUGAAUUUUUAUUUUAUUUAGGAGUGUUAUCCUAUAUUAAAAUAUUAAUUCAAUUUAAAUUAGGGUUGACUUUAAUUUAAUACUUAAUUAAAAUUUGAUUUUAUUUAAUUAUUCACUCGAUUAUAUUUUUGAAAUUAGAAUUGGAUUCUAAUUUGACAUUUAAUUAAAAUUUGAUUUUAAUUAAAUUGUGUUGCCCUAAAAUUUUAUUUAAAAUUAGAGUUAGACUCUAAUUUGUGUUUAAUUAAAAUUUGAUUUUAAUUAAACAUGUUCGCCCUAAGAUCUUGGAAUUAAAGUUGGACUCUAAUUUUGUUAUUUAAUUAAAAUUUGAUUUUAAUUAAAUUCAACCGCUUUAAAUUUUGGAAUUAGAGUUGGACUCUAAUUCGGUAUUUAAUUAAAAUUUGAUUUUAAUUAAAUAUGUCCGCUAAUUAAAUUAAUUGAUUAAUAUGAUUAAUUAAUUAUUUAAUUGUUCCAAUCCAUUUGUCUAAAAGAGUUUAGACGACCUUAAUUGCUAGAAAUUUGAAAUGUAUUUGCAUAUAAUAUUAUAUAAGAAUACAUUUAUGUGAUAAAUGCAUUAUUAGUGGACAAUUAUGGACUCGACCAUAUGGAUGUGUUUAAUGAUUUAAUUUUAUUCUUGUCGUUUUGUGAGCCUGCGAGCUCUUAAUUGUUUUGGGCCUGGGAGCCUGUUAUUAUUGUUAUUAUUACGGGCCUGCAAGCUCUUAAUUAUUUUGGACCUGCGAGUCCGUUAUUGUUAUUAUUAUUGUUGUCAUGGGCCUGCAAGUCCAAUUUCAUACAGGUCUGCGCGUCAACUAGUAUAAGAUACAUGUUGCAAUUGGACUAAUUGAAUACACACGAAGAGGAGGAAACCAUGAAGAUGGUGCAUUGAUACUGAUCAAUGCGAUACCCCCUAGGAAUUGACCAACUAGUCUUCCUCAUGGCUCCGGAAGACUAGAUAGUAAAAGUCCAUAAUCGUCCACACUAUUACAAUAUAUUAUAUAUGUGUUUAUUGGCAUGGUAGAUGUGUAAUAAAAUAUAUAUGAUUGUUACGAUGAGACUUUUGAAUGCAAAACCCCUCAAUAAAAUAUUAUGUCACAUUUAUAAUCGCCUUCCAUCAUUAUAGUGAAAAAUCAGAGUCCCAAAUCGUCUCAACAUGUUGAGUACACUCAAGGUUGGUCCAUUAGGAAUAUGUUUGACGCUAUGAAGUAUUUGAUAUUUCUGAAUGAUGAGUUUGACUUAACUAAAAUUUAUCUUUUAUUGAGUACACUCAAGGAGAUGAAUUUUAGAGGCAUGUUAACCUGACACAUAAGAUAUGUGAAGACGAUGAGUUGUCAGCUUAACAAUCUGGGAGUUGUAUGGAGAUACAAUUGAUAAUUGUAUUUACCUAAAUGUUAUAUUAAGGCUUGUUGACAACACUCUAGGACUUGAUAUAAUAGAUGGGAUCCCAGUCCACUGGGAGUCAAGUAUGGACUCCAUAAAUUUAUAUGAAAGGGUCAUAAAUUUGAGUUAAACAGUGGGAGCAUAAUUAAUUUAAUAAAAGUCCAUGUUGAAUUAAUUGAUGCAUUUUAUAUAUUAUUCUUCUUCUUUUUGUCAUUAAUACUUAUUGAAUCUUGAGUAACCAUAUGUUUUGAAUGGCAUACUGGAUGUCAACAACUAAAAUUAAAUCUUCUUGAUAGGCACUGUAAUUUGAGAAUUGUUCUCAUGCAUGAGAAAAUUGGUCACGUCCUUGAGUAGCCCUUUCCAGAGGCACCUGCUGAUGACUCGAUUAAAGAAGAGGUGGCUACUGUAAUAAAGACACUGAUGAUGAUAGUAUUGCAACAUGUGUGAUGUUUGUGUUACGUCACCUGAGUUACAAAAGAAGCUUGAGAGUAUAGAUGUUGACGCAUGAUUUUUCAUUUCAAAGAAUUGUAUGAUAAUAAUUAUGUGUGGAAGGAUGCGAGACUUCCAAGCAACUAUACUGAUGCAAAAUAACAGAGCGAUCUUCAGUCAGUGCAAAGGUACUGAAGGUGAUUGACGUUGAGAAGUGUCUCAGUUAAGUUCAAUCAUGAACCAUGAACUAAGUAUUGACUUUGUUCUGCAAUCUCUAUUGGAAAGAGCUAUUCGCUACUAAUUAUGAAAUAUGAUAUGAAUAAACUCGAAUGCUUACUCAUUAAGUUGCUUAACAUGCUUCGGACUGUUAUGCCCAAUAACAAUGUUAUAAGUGGGCAAGCUAUUGAUUCCUCUAAGGGUAUUAAGAGGAAGUCUAAAAGGACUUUGGAAAUGUACCCAAUAUGGUUAAGACAGUCUAAGUGAAGGACAAUACCAAAUCUAAUGACCCUUGGUUUCAUUAUAGAAUGAAAGGUCAUUGGAAGGAAUAUUGCGUGACUUACGUCUACUUUACGAGUUUCUUAGGUAUUUGAUACCAGAUGUAAAUCUCAUAUUUAUACAAAUAUGGAGAAACUAAAUAGAAGUAGACCACUGUAAAAGGGAGAAGUUGACCUACACGUUGGAGAUGAGCAAAGGUUGCUACAUUGCCUGUAGGAAUACACUUCUUGCCAUUGCCUUUUGGUUUAGCAUUGAAAUUAGAGAAAUGUCGCUUUAUACCCACCAUAGCUGGAACAUUAAAAUGAAUUUUAUGUUCGGAUAUGAACUAUUUUAAACGUGACUUACGUCUACUUUACGAGUUUCUUAGGUAUUUGAUACCAGAUGUAAAUCUCAUAUUUAUACAAAUAUGGAGAAACUAAAUAGAAAUAGACCACUGUAAAAGGGAGAAGUUGACCUACACGUUGGAGAUGAGCAAAGGUUGCUACAUUGCCUGUAGGAAUACACUUCUUGCCAUUGCCUUUUGGUUUAGUAUUGAAAUUAGAGAAAUGUCGCUUUAUACCCACCAUAGCUGGAACAUUAAAAUGAAUUUUAUGUUCGGAUAUGAACUAUUUUAAUGUUAAGGACAAUUAUUGUUCUUGUUUAUCUUGAUAAAGAUCCUAAUGGCUAUGGUAAAUUACAAAACACGAUGUUUAUAUUCUUUAAUACUAAGGAUUCUAUAAUGAGUAUAGAAAUUAUAAGGCAUAAAUGCGAUAAUCUAAUUAUAUAUGCAUGUCUGGCACAAUGACCAAAUCUUCUUUUAUUUGAAAAGAAGAAAGGUCUGCAUAAUUACUGGUCUAAUGCAUACCGAUGCAUAUGGACUCUUGUUAAUUGAUGUCAGGUAAUGUUUCUCUUAUUUCAUCAAUGAUCAUGUAUACUUGGUGAAAUUCAAACAUGAAACUCUUGAAGAGUUCAAGGGAUUCAAACUAGAAGUAGAUAAACAAAUAAGUAAAGAUACCCUCACAUUAAGAUUCGAUCGAGUAAGAAUAUCUUAAAGAUAAAAUUUAGAUUAUCUAAGAGAGAAUGUGAUUCUCUUGCAGUGGACUCCUCCAUAUACGCUGCAGCAUAAUGGUGUAUCUAAAAUGAGAAAUUGUUAACUAUUAGAUAUAAUGCGAUUAAUAACAAGCCAUGCAAACUCCCAAAAUUGUUUUGGGGUCAUACAUUGAUUGCAGUGUGCAACACACUAAAUCAUGUCCCAUCUAAAUUGGUUAACAGAACUCCAUACGAGUUAUGAAAAUGCAAUAGUCCCAAUUUAUCUUAUAUGAAAGUUUUGGGCAAUAACGCUUAUUUGAAGCGCCUUAAAUCAGAUAAGUUUGAGACUAAAAUCGAUAAAUACAUAUUUGUGGGAUAUUCAAAGCAGAUAUUUGAAUAUAAAUUUUAUUAUUGUAAAGAAAGUCUUUAUCUCACGACAUAUCGUCCUCUUAGAGUAAAUAUUUACUCUAGGGGAGGACAGUGGGAGCAAAAUAGAACAUGAAAGAGUUCAAGAGUCCUCAAAUAUAGUUAACCCAAGUAGAUAAAUUCGAGUUUGAUCCCAUAUUUGAUAUGGGACAUACUCUUGAUUAGGAAGUAAAGACUCCUAAGGACAUAUCAGCUCUAUAUGAAUCUAGUAGAAUCAUUCGACCUUCAAGAAGGUGCAAAUCAGUGAUUACUAAUUAGGUAUUACUGAUUUAGGAUAAUGAACAUACUAGUUGCAACAAAAUAAAAUCAAGUGUUGACUUAAAAGAGACAGCAAGAGGCCAUGAAACUCGAGAUGAACUCGAUGUAUGUGAACAAGGUCUGGACCUUAGUCAAGCUUCCUGAUGGAAUAAAAACCAUAAGUUUUUGUAAAUAGUUUAGAAGGAAAAUGUCGAUAUGGAUGGGAAUAUCCAUAUAUACAAAGCAAAGGUUAAGUGUUGACCUUGGUGAAACCUUUCUCCUGUAGCCUUGUUGAAGUGUAUUCGGAUUUUGCUUGCAACAGUUGCAUACCGUGACUAUAGGUUAAGAGAAGUCUUUUGGAGCUGAAAUCUUAGAUUUGAUGAAAAAGUCAAGUGUUUGAUUUUAUCAAAUUUGAAGACGAAUUGUGUGUUUACAAGAAGAUAGUGGGAGUAUUGUCGUAUUCUUAAUAUUAUAGAAAACGACAUCCAUAUGUUUCAAUCGUUGAAAUAAUGGUUGUUAAAGGAUUUAUUCAUGAACAAUAUGGGAGAAGCAACUUGAUCUAUAGAGGUAGAUCUAGAAGAUUGCUUAACUUAUCCCAAUUUACAUAAAUGAAAUCUUGAGAAGAUUUCAAGAUUUCAUACGAGAAACUUGUUUACUCUUAAGUGGUAUGUUGGAAAGGUUCCAAACAUGAAGCAACCGUUGAUUCAAUAGUAGAAACCUAAUAACUUCAGAAGUAGCAAAGAGUUGCAAUUUGAAUCAUGAUGUUAUAAAUGAACUUGGAGUAGUUCUGAUAUUGUUGAUCACAUGUCAUUGUAUUGUGAUAACAAUAGAGCCAUUACGAAAGCGAAGGAACUAAGGUCUCAUCAAUGAUCCAAACAUGUAUUAAGGCGAUAUAAUCUUAUCAGAGAGAUAAUACAUAGAAAUGACGUAAAGAGGAGAACAAAUUCCCACAUUUAACAAUAUUGUAGAUCCACUGACAAAGAGUUGUUGUAGCAUAAACAUGAUCGUCAUGUAGACCUAUGAUAUUGGAUACAUAAGUGAUUGGAUCUAGUGCAAGUGGGAGUUUGUAAGUAUUAUGCCUUAGAUCCAAUCAACUUUGGAUAUAAAUACUUUUGAUAUAUAAUUAAUGUAAUUUAAUGGCAGAUCUAUUAUUUAAUUAAUACUAUUAUUUAAUUAAUAGAUAAUUAAAUAAAUAAUAGAGUCCGUAGAUUCAAAUCUUCGUAAUUUAUUAAUUACAAGGAGUUUUGAUUGUGAAAUACAAAUUACAUCUGAUUGAAUCUUAAAUCGUCCGUGGUCGUAAGUAAUAACGAGAUAGGGAUAUCGUUAUUACGGAUAGACCAUCACGUGUGGCAUUUCUUACUUAUGAAAUAAGUAGCUCAUCUUACAAGUUAAAGUGUGGUGAUACUUAAAUGAACACGUGGAUGUUUUAUUAUAGAACAAAACAUUGGAGACCCGUCGAGAGAUUCCACAUGGAUAACUAUUUGAGUGUCAGUGGUUAAUCUCUAACGUUUGAUAGUGGGAUUGGUUUUUUUGACUUGAGGUCGUCAUAGUACCUUAUAUGAGGACGGUCAUACUUUGACGGUGUUGGAUGUUGCUCUGCCAAGGGCUGCUAAUACGGCAUCGUUCGGGUAUGUCAAUAAUUAUAUGAAGGUUAUGAAUGACCAAUAGAAGAUUCGUCACUCUUAGAUAGUAAGAGAUUAUGAUCUGCGUUUCAUUCAAUUAAGUCGACAACGAAAUUCUUGGCCAAGGUGUACUUAUAAGUCGAAAAGGAGUUUUCGACUUAUAUUGACUUAAUAGUGGAGUGAAAGAUAUGAUCGAUAAUCGAGUUUGACACAUCUCCAUAUCUCGUAAUUGAUCGGAUCAUAUUGACGAAGGGAUUAUAGUUUCACGGUAAACGAACGAGUUUGGUUUUAUCAUACCACAUGACAUUUCCCGUCAAAUGUAUUGUCCUGACACAUUGCUAGAUGUCAAUCUGGGACGGUGAGUGUGAAUUGAUGAUAAAUUAAAAUGGUGUUUUAAUUUAUCAUUUUGAUUAGAUCAAAAUAAUAUUUCACGUCGUUAGGCAUCGUGAUCGGGAACCUGAUGGGUCGCACACAAAAGAGAAUUGGAAAAUUGUAAUUUAUCAGUUAAUUAAUUUAACAAUCAUUGGAUAAAUAAAUUAAUUGGUUUGGUUAUUUAUAUGCCCGAAUAAAUUAAUUAAUUCACGGAUCGAAUUUAAUUAAAUGGAUUAAUUAAAUAUUGGACCGGACCAGGCCAUGCCGAUUUUGGCUUAUAUAAAUACAUGCUAGGAUUUUCAAUCUAUAUAUUUUUCUCAUAAUUAUUCUUGUUAGCACAAGAAGAGAAAACCCUGGUAGCUGUAAUCUUGUUCUCUGUGUGGAUCACUGUUGGAGACUGGACAAUUGGACAGUUGUGGGUGGCGAAUCAAGAUUGUUGGAACGAAAAGAAUAGCAAAGAAGCUUGCAGAUCUGGAAAAGAUACAAUCUUAUCACAAUUUCUAUCUAAACACAAAGGCGAUUCUUGGUGGGAAUCGAAAUAUGUUUUAAUUUUCUGCUGUACAUGUUAAGUAGAUUUUCAAAAGUGAUAUCAGAGCCAACUUUGUGUUUGUUAGGAAUUGAUUUACGUAUUAUUGAAAUCAAAAGACUCGCUCGAGAUUUUCGCUUGAACAGGAAGUCUCAGUAACUGCUAUUAGUUAUACAAUCCAAGGAGCCUUCUUCAUUGGGAUAAAUUCUCUCAAGGUCGCCCAACUUAAAAGUUACUUCCAUAUUGAUCCCUAACUUGUGUUUUUGUUUUGAUUGGAUAAUUUCAUCGAUAGCCGUCGAUCAAAACUUUUAAGAGAUUCUGUAACCUGGCACCAAACAAAAUUAGUGAUCGCAGAUCAAUCUCCGUGCCCCGCACCAAAAUUUCAUUAAGGACUGUCUAAUAACUUGUAGAUUUGUAAAAUUAUGUUAAAGAAUUGAAGUUAUUGUAAAAUUCGAAUUUGUCCUAAUUUAUCUUAUAAUUAUGAAGGCAUCCUUAGAUUUUAACAUUAAGGUUAGAGAAGAUGAGUUUGUGAUUUUCUCUUGUAAAAUUUUUUCAUCAUUGUAAAUUACUGCAACAACGAAAUGUGAAGUAAUUUAACAUUGAAGCGAAUCUUUACAAAUCUUACUUAUUUCUAGUGUUUCGAUUGCUCUUGAUGGAAUAUAAUUAUAUUUUCAAAAAAACGAAUUUUGAAAAUGAAAAAUAAUUCUAAAUUGCUAGAUCAAAGAAUCACAUAUAGAUGUAUCUUCAGAGAGAGAGAGAGAGAGAGAGAGAUGCGACCUUCACCAGUAUCGACCUAACAGUACGUGGCUAAUAAAAUCUAGUACUGUAGUACAGAUAAUUAAGAGUGUAAAAAAUGAAAACAAAACCAAGUAGGAGCAUAUUCUUCUGCAACUUGUUCCUAUGCGUUCGUUCACAUAUUAAAAUAAUUGAAUUUUUAGUUUCUUGCAGUGUAGAAGGUUACAUUAUUACAAUUGAAAAAAGAUAAUGAACUAACAAAACACAGCUUUGUUAAUUGUAAACUUGUUAAUCCCCUGUUUGUUUCCCAUAAUUUGACAUUAUAAUUUUUGGAAUAAUAUUUUUUUGGAGAAUAUAUGGUUGAAAAUGAAUUUUUUUAUUUAUGUACGUGUAAUAUUAAUUUAUAAAAAAUUGUGAAGUUCAAAAUAAAAUAUCGAAAAAUUAUAGUAUGAAAUAAUGAGGGACGAGCAUAGGCUAAUAAAUCAAAAGUUGAUUUAUCAUGUUUUUUCUUUGAUCUAGCAAUUUAGACGUUGGAGCCAUUUCUAAUUGAAAGUUAGUGCACGAGAAGAAUACGUAUCAAUAAUUGAGUUGGAAUCAAAUUAUUGCCUGUGAGACAUUGACAUUGGGGCCCUUUCUAAUUGAAAGUUAUUGCACGCGUAAAUAACUUUGGCUAAAAGAGUCAAAAAGUAUAACAAUCACAUGUGAUUGCUGGUGGAUUGUAUUGACAAGUCCUACAAAAAUCAGCCAUAUUCUUUCCCAGGGAAAUUUCAUGAAUAUUGAUGAAAAAAAUUGUCUACCAUUUAGAAUUCAACAAAAAUGUUAGAAAAAAUAUGCUAAAACUUUAAGUUGUCCUUUUUACAAAAAUUGUAAAUGGCCACAUUUUUGAACGGGUCAGACAUCAUUCAUGAUGGAGUUAGGGACACUAUUGGGUGGUUAAAAUUUUACGUAUUGAGGUGGCUUAUGCAUUCCAUUCAUGUCUUUUUUAUUUCAACGGAAUAAGGGAUCUCGAAACUAUAGAAAUAUAUACCAUCUAUAAGAAAUAUUUGAAUCUCAUUUAAGUUCUAUUUUAAAUAAUUCAAUCAAAUUUUGAUGGAAUUAUAAUUAUGACUAUUAAAAUGAAGUUUACUUUUUUCAUUGUGUAAUGAUUCUUGAUCUUGUUGAUAAAAUAUUCUUGGUCUUUCUUUUAAUUUUAAAUUUUUAAUAGAUAUGUCACAACUGUUUUCAAUUUAUUUCGGUAUAAAGGUGUAAGAUCACCGCUUGCAAUUUCAUCAAAUUUGUUUGCUGAUAGAAACAGAAUGCGAUGUAGUGACUAAUGGUGUUAAAUAUCAAUAUCAAUAAUUUAAAAUUAUGUUGUGUAAGUGUAAUUUACUAGGUGGAGAGAACACAAAUUAAAUAAUUGAGUUGGAAUCAAAUUGUCCUUAGUGAGACAUUGGGACCCUUUCUAAUUGGAAGUUAGUGCAUGAGUAAAUGACUCUGACUAAAAAAUUGAAAAAGCGUAAAGAUUACAUGUGAUUGCUGAUGAGUUGAAUUGACAUGUCACACAAAAUAAUAGCAUAUUCUUUCUUGGGGAAAGUUGAUGAAAUAAUAUACCAAAAGUUUAAGAAUUUUUAUUUUUAUUAUUAUUAUUAUUAUUUCUAUUUUAUAAAGAAACGCACAUAUUGCUGGGCAGCCUAGAUAUCAUCCACGGUGAAGAUAUGAACAAUAUUGCGCGACUAAGAUUUCAUGUAUAUUGGCGUCGUUUGCACAUAUUCAAGGACUACACUUUAGAAUAAAGAAAAUGCAACCAAUUCAUUCGAAUUGAGUACUUCAAUCCAUGUCCUUUUUUUCCCCAGUUUCGAUUCCAAAGAAAUAAGAGCUCCAAACAAAUCAUUGAUUUGGGCAACUUUCGCUAUGGAUUGACCUACAAAUGAAGGAAUGAAAUAAUUUUCAUGAAUAAUUUUUUUUUUUUUUUUAACAACUAGGAUCUUUUAGGCUCGUAGAAGCUUGAAGCUUCCCCUAUCAUCUAGACCCUAGCCACGAUUUACAUUUUUAGAGCAUUGCACCAUAUUUAAAUUGAAAUGUUGUUCUUCAACUUUUGCUCAUUCUAUGGUUAUGUCCCCAAUUUUUCCAUCGUAUUUUAGUUUUCAACUUUUUAUUAAUUAGUGUACUUUGUUCGUGUUGGUUGCCAAAAUAUUCAUUAGAAAGGAGUAAAUAUAAAAGUUUGAUAAAAUAUUUUUCUCGUACUUAUAAAAUAUUUAGACAAAUCCUAUCAUCAAAGAUAUGAUAUGAUACUAGGACGAAAAAAUUUCGAGAAUACAAGUACGAAAAUGAGCAAAAUUGAAAACUUCCAUUACAAUUAAAAUAUAGUGCAAUUAACUAUAAAUGUGGUGUAUAUAUAUUUAUCCAUUAAGAAAUUUAAAAGUAGUGGACACAAUUAUUUAAAUAACUCUUUAAUCAUACUUUUAUAUUAUUACCCAUUAAGAAAUCCAAAAGUAGUGGAUACAAUUAUUUUCAUUACUCUAUAAUCAUACAUUUUCCCCCCUGUUUUGUAAUCACGGGGCACGAAGGGAGACAUUGUUAAAAUAUCUUCUUUCGUUGUCAUCAAAUUCGCUAGUUUAUGCUAAUGGAAAAGGAUGUAAUGACUUUGGCCUCAUUUGUUUCUUAUUUUUUGAAGAAUGAGAAUGAAAAAUAUAGACGUUAUGAGCUUCAAAUAAGAGAUAAAAAUUCAAAUUUGGUGACUUAAUGUAAUGGAUAACGAUCAUAUUUUUUAUUUUAAUGAAAAAAUAAUGGAAAACAAACGAGGGCUUAAUAUUGGGUAAUUUAUUUAGUAAUAAAAAAGAACAUGAUAUUAGACUAACUUCUCCACAAGCAUGGGCAUUUCAUCGACAUAUUUCUUGCUUUGGAAUUGGAAUUUGAAUUAUGUGGUGCAUGAUUUAAUUGUGCCAAUCAGAAGAAAAUAAAAAUACAGGGCACUCGUAUCUAAUAUUCUUGAACUUUUUUAAAAUUUUAUUUCGGUACAAUCGCCACGUACGAUCAUUGCUUGAAAUAUCAUCAACUUUAUUGUUCAUAACAACGGGAUAAGAUGUAGUGAUUAAGCUCUGUCUGCUUCUCAUUCUUUCCUUAUUAAAAUGAAAAAAAUAUAACUGUUAUUCAUCACAUCAAAUUACCAAAUUUGAAUUUCUAUAUUUUGUUUGAAAUUCAUAACGAUUAUAUUUUUUAUUUUCAUUCUUUCAAAAAUGAGAAACAAACGGGAGUUUAGUCAUUUGCAAAUAACCAGGUAAGUUGGGGCCCUUUCUAAUUGUGAGUUGGUAAAGAAUACGCAUUAGCACCUUUUUGAGCCCGAUUAAUUUAUAUUACAUUUCAUUUUUCUCUUUCCUAUUUUCAACCACACAAUCUUCCAUAAAAUAAUAUUACGCGUAAAUCGAAAAUUUUUCCUUCAUUUUUAACCACUCAUUUUUCAAAAAAAAUAUUAUUCCACCCAUUAAAUUUUCACGUAAUGGGGGCCAAACGGGGGCUAAUAAUUGAGUUGGGAUCAAAUUUUUUUUGCAAGACGUUGGAGCCAUUUCUAAUUGAAAGUUAGUGCACGAGAAAAAUACGUAUCAAUAAUUGAGUUGGAAUCAAAUUGUUGCUUGUGAGACAUUGGGGCCCUUUCUGAUCAAAAGUUAUUGCAUGCGUAAAUAAUUUUGAAUAAAAGAGUAAAAAAGUAUAACAGUUACGUGUGAUUGCUGGUGGAUUGAAUUGACAAGUCUUACAAAAAUCAGCUAUUUUUUUUCCCAGAGAAAUUUCAUGAAUAUUGAUGAAAAAAAAAAAUUUGUCCUCUUUACAAAAGUGACCACAUUUUUUUCAGACAUCAUUCAUGAUGGAAUUAGGGACACUAGUGGGUCGUUAAGAUUAAUUUCAAAGGAAUAAGGGAUCUCAAAAUUAUAAAAAUAUAUAUCAUCUAUAAAAAAUAUUUGAAUCUAUUUAAGUUGUAUUUUAAAUAAUUAUAAUUAUAACUAUUAAAAUUAAGUUAAGUUUUUCAUUGUGUAAUGAUUCUUGAUUUUUUUAUUUUUUUUUUUGUAAAAUAUUCUUGGUCUUUCUUAUACUUUUUUAGAUGUGUCAGAACUUUUUUCAAUUUAUUUUGGUAUGAUGGUGUAAGAUCGCAGCUUGCAAUGUCAUCUAAUUUGUUUGUUAAUACAAACGGAAUGAGAUGGUGACUAAUGGCGAGGAAUACUAUAGUGUACAACCUCCUCACAUGAGAAGAGAGCCCACAAAUCCCUUUCUAAUUGGAAGUUAGUGCAUGAGUAAAUGAUUUGGGAAGUGUUAUAUGUUUAUAAUUUGUUUACAUAAUGAUAUUCAUAAUUACAUGUGGUAUUAAAUUCAAUUUUUAAUUCAAAUCUCAUAAUUGUACAUCAAUAAUCAAAUUAUUGUCACAUCACAUUAUGAACAUCAUUAAGUGCAAUAAUUAAAUUUUUGACAAAUGACUUUGACUAAAAAAUUGAAAAAGCAUAGAGACUACAUGUGAUUGCUGAUGAAUUGAAUUGACAAGUCACACAUAAUAAUAACAUAUUCUUUCCUGGGGAAAGUUGAUGAAUAUUGACGAAAAAUGUCUGAAAUAAUAUACAAAAAGUUUAAGGUUUUUUAUUUUUAUUAUUAUUAUUAUUUUUUUAUUUUAUUUUACUUUUUUUUUUUUACAGAAAUGUACAUAUUGCCCUUGUUUGAACCCCAUUUUUUUGAAAAAUAUAUUUUUUUACUAGUAUUUUGAUAUCAUUUUAACCACAUAUUUUUCAAUAAAAUAAUAUUACAAGUAAAUUCAAAAAUUUUCCUUAUUUUUUAACCACACAUUUUCCAUCAAUACACUAUUCAAAAAUUCAUUCUUUCCAAAAAAAUGGGGCUCAAACGAGGGCAUUUUUGAACAGUAUAGAUAUUAUCCAAGAUGACACUACCACGCGGCUAAGAUUUCUUGUAUUUUGGUGUCGGGUUCACAUAGUUGAAGGACUGUACAAUUUAGAAUAAGAAAAUGCAGCCAAAUUCAUUGGAUCGGAGUACUUCGAUCCAUGUCCUUUUCCCCAAUUUUGGUUCCAAGAAAAUAAGGUUGUGUUUGAUAACUCCCUUUUCCAUGGAGGACUGUACACUUUAGAAUAAGAAAAUGUAGCCAAAUUCAUUGGAUCGGAGGGUCGAACUUUAGAAUAAGAAAAUGCAGCCAAAUUCAUUGGAUCGGAGUACUUCGAUCCAUGUCCUUUUCCCCAAUUUUGGUUCCAAGAAAAUAAGGUUGUUUUGAUAACUCCCUUUUCCAUGGAGGACUGUACACUUUAGAAUAAGAAAAUGCAGCCAAAUUCAUUGGAUCGGAGUACUUCGACCCAUGUCCUUUUGCCCAAUUUUGGUUCCAAGAAAAUAAGGUUGUGUUUGAUAACUCCCUUUUCCAUGGUAAAGGGAAUUUAAAUUAUAUUUGCCCUGUUUGAUAGGCAACAUUUUCUAGGCAAUAGAAUUUCCAUUUUCCAUACGCGUGACUUGUUUUCCACCAAAUUGAGGAAUUCAUAUUCUUUUGCUUGGGGUGGGAGAGUAUGGUUUUUGGUUUUCCAGGCAUCUGGCAACUUUUAUAAAAUUUUUUCCUUUUUUUUCUUUUUUGCAAUAGAAACAAAUUCUAUCACCAAUUAUAAAAGAAUAUAUUCCUUAAAUUGACAAUUUUCAUAUAAAACAAAGUCAAACGAAUACCAAAUUUUUUUUAUUAUUAAUUUUUUUUGCAAUAGAAACAAAUUUUAAUAACAACAAUAGAAGUAGAUAUCUCUUAAAUUGAUAAUUUUCAUGAAAAAUAAAAUCAAACGAACACUAAAAAACACUUUUAUUUCAACAUUUUUCAGGUGAAAAAUUAUAUCAAUCAAAGACUAUUAAUUGACAUUUCCUAGUAAAACAAUUUAUAGGCAAUUCAAUUCUCUAGAAUUCAUUUUUUUCUACCCAAAUUCUAUCCAUGUAAUCAAAUGGACUCUAAGAGUUCCAAUCAAAUUAUUGAUUUGGGCAUCUUUUGCUAUGGACCGACCUGCAGGUGAAGGCUGGAAAUGAUUUCACGAUUUAGGCAUUUAGGUACAAAGCUUGACCUUGACGUUUAAACACGCUUUAUAUAUAUAUUUUUAACAACUUGGAUCUCUUAGGCUCGUAGAACCUUGAAGCUUGCCCUAUCACCUGGACCCUAGCCAUGAUUUACAUUUUUAGAGCACUACACCAUAUUUUAAUUGAAACGGUGGUUUUCAACUUUUGCUCAUUUAAUAGUUAUGUCCCCAGUUUUCUCCGUCGUAUUUUACUUCUCAACUUUUUAUUAAUUAAUACACUUUAUCCGUGUUGAUUGCCAAAUAUAUCCAUUAGAAAGGAAUAAAUAUAAUAGUUCGACAAAAUAUUUUUCUCAUGCUAAUAGAAUAUUUAGACAAGUUCUGUCAUUAAAGAUAAGAUAACAUACUAGUUUGAAAAUUUUUUGAAAAGUACGAAUCAUUACAAUUAAAAUAUAGCGCAUUUUAAUUAUAUAUGUAGUGUAUAUAUAAUUAUCCAUUAAUAAAUUUAAAAGCAGUGGACACAAUUACUUAAAUAAUUCUUUAACCAUACUUUUAUAUUAUCACCCAUUAAGAAAUUCAAAAGUAGUGUACACAAUUAUUUUCAUUACCCUUUAAUCAUACUCUUUCCCCCGAAGGAACACCUUGUUAAUAGCCACACACCCCAACAUUUGGUAACAGGCUCGCUCAUCCGACCUCGAAAGUAUCAAGUCUACGCUAUCUGGUAUCCUAUAUUCCCUCUUAAGUCUAUCGAGGUCGGCAAAUUUAAGUUUCGAUGGAUAGUCAGACGCCACCCAGUGCACAGAAGUAUCUACUGGGCUGUUAGGUCUUCUUCAAAUGUUCUCCCACUAAUAUCGCGUUCGACAGUUCGACGGAGGUCGCCAAUAUGGGUUCAUCUAUCCUCACCAUCUCCAGUUUUCUCCCUGAAGUCCACUACCCUCAAAAGCCAUUUUUUGAGAUAAAAAGUGCGAAGAGAACUCCAAACGGUCUUGUGAAUGUCACUAGAAUACUUAAAUGUCACCGAAGGAGUUUGAAAAUUGCAAUAACAGUCGUCGAAAAUCACAGAGUUAAGAACAAGAAGAUUUUCUAUGUUUCCAAGAGUCAGACAAUCUCAAACGUUGAAUUCAAAAUACUAUUGAUCUGGGUCGUUCAUCGCAUCACAAAUCUAAGCCACUGAAACCAAACGCCAGAAUUGAUCAACGCCCAAGAUCUAACUGUGAGACUCACGUGAAUACCAAACACAUUGCAUCAAGCUUCAACAGUCGUUUGCCAUAAUUAACCGUAGUAGCCUUUUCUGGGAGUAGACGUCACAUCCAAUUGUCUCUUUGGAAAUACGCGACGACCGUCGCAUCAUUUAAUAUUACAGCCUUCAUGCUUUUGAUUUAAACUCUUUAGCUUUAAAAAGCUUCAACACCCCCAACGCGGAGUCUGCAGUGGUUCAUCACCUCAAUCGCAGCGUUUCUAUGCUUUACAAAGUUUCUAGCCAUCUCUCAAAACAUCGUCCCCUGUGGAUCAGUGCAUCGGUCAUAGAUGAGCUUCUCUUCAGCUUUACAAAGCUUCAACCCUCUCGACGUGGAGUUCCCUGUGGUUCAUCACCUAGGUCGCAGCAUUUCUAAGCUUUAAAAAGCUUCAAGCCAUCUCACAAAGCAUUGUCCCCUGUGGGUCAGCACAUCGCGCAUAGAUGAGCUUCUCCUUCAGCUUUUCAAAGCUUCAAUGCCCCCGAGGCGGAGUCCUGUGUGGGUCAUCACCUCGAUCGCAACUUUUUAAACUUUAUAAAGCUUCUAGCCAUCUCUCAAAGUAUCGUCUCCUAUGGGUCAACGCAUCAGUCAUCGAUGAGCAUCUUCUUCAAGCGUUACAAACCUUCAACCCUCCAGACGCGUAGUCUCAUGUGGAUCAUCGCCUCGUUUGUAGCUUUUCUAAGAUUUACAAAGUUUCAAGUCAUCUCCCAAAGGGUCGUUCCUUGUGGGUUAGCUCACCGAUCGCAAAUGAGUUCCUCCUCCAGCCAGAAUCACACACUUCUACGCAUAGGUCGAAGGUGAACUGCUCUUUACAAACCAAUGAACUACUAACCGAGAGCAUCCUCUACCCCCAUCGCCUUAGUUACAACGCAAUUCAGCCCACAAGGCUUCUGCCCAUCUCCUCGCGUCGUCCCUGUGGGUUAGCGCUACAGAAGAUGUGUCAAAACCUAUUCUCACAGUGGCCAGCGUACACAAUCAGUCAAAAAAGUUCACGAAUGAUAUAAAUGUUCAACCUUUAAUUUGGGAGGACCACUAUUACGCCCCUGACUAACCCACUUCAGUGCACCAUACCUACUCUCAACGAGGUGCCGCAUAUCCCUCCAAAGUGGUGCUGAAGUGAUAUGAGCCUCGACCAAACUUUAAGUUGACAUGCUACAAGACACAAGCAUCGCUAAGUAAAUCUGCCAUGGUGUCCGAAGUGUCUCUUGGUGCUAAACGUGAGGUACUUCGAGGUGCUUCUUCAGUGCCUUCACCGCCAGUUUUAGAAAUAUAUAUAUGUGUUAGGAUCUCCUUUAUCUACGUGGAUUAAUUGAUGUGACAUAUCAACUUUAUGUCCACUCAAACUUAGAAGAAUUAAUUAUCUGUCCACUCUAAACGUGGCUGAUUAACGCCUACGAGCAGACGUCUCACACCCUUAGAUGCAUACACAUGUCCCACAUCCAAUGGUGCUCCUCGUCUAUAAAUAUCAAAGGUUUGGCAAGAGACAAAACUAAUAAAACUCUCUUUAAUGUACUUGGCACUCCACACUCAAGCAAUAUAUAUUCUCCUCCCCACCAUAUUCUACAACACCAACCACUGCCCACUGACUUGAUCGUUGGAGUGUAUGCGGCCGCCACCGCCCUGCUGGUUUCGACUGUGUAUUUCUAACUGUUUAUUAUUGUGCACAGGGAAGAACGCGUGGAAUAGCUUUCGGUUGGCCACGUGGAGGGUCCAAUUCGCGUAGUCAAUAAUUUCAAUUGUCAAUAAAUAAAUAGAUAUCAAAUUGUCCUUAGUUAGAAAGUUGAUAUCUUCGAUUGCUCACUACACUUUAAAAUAUUAGGUUUUGACUACUAAACUUCUCAAAGUGUCAUAAUUAUUCACUGAAUUCACUUCCAUUUUGCGUUCAUGCAAGUAAGGUGUCUAUGAUUGUUGACUAUACUUUGACGACUUUUUUGAUUGAUCGCUAUACUUUUAGCUAUACUUUUCAAAUUGACGUUGUGAUAACAUUAAAAUAUGUGUUUUGUUUAUUUUCGUGUAUAAUAUUUGUUAUUAUGUAUUUAGAAAGUUCUUUCUAUGCUGAACAUUUUAUUAAAUUACUUUGCUGGUGGAAUAUAAUAUGGAACACAAUCAAAUAAAACUCGAUCACCAUUUCUUACCGGUAGUUUUACUUAAAUUUUGUUUAAUUGGGUAACUAUACUUUGAUUUGGUUUUAGUUAAGGUGACUUCUUCCAAACAUAACUGUUUGAAAUGUUGUGUCCUUUUUCUAAUAUCUUAUUUUAUUCCAUGUGUAGAAGAUCAUGCGGCAUUAAUGGCACCGACAAUAUGAAAAUACGUUCUCCUCUUAGUAUUCGAUGAAACUCGAAAUAAAAACUAGUGUAUCACCAAACAUACACAUUGAAACAUAUUAAACUCUUAAUGAACUACAACAUAAUUCCAAAACCACUUGAACUUUUUACUUCUACCAUUCAACAUGACAACUACAUUUUGCCGACUAUUUUCCAUUAUGAUAUUUUACUACGGAACUAUAGUUUUUGCUAUAUAUACCAUGUGUUCUAAAAAGUAUGCAUAUACAAAAUCUUGGUCUUGUUGCUUAUUUACGUUUUACGUUUUUAUUUUUUACACUGGCCCACUUAGACUCGUAGAAUCUUAAAACUUGGCCUUUUCACCUAACCAUGGUUUACACUAUUUAGAACACUGCACCAUAUUUUAAUUGAAGUGAAGGUCCCAAGCUUUUGCUCAUUUCGUAGUUAUGUUCCCAAAAUUUUCAUUGUAUUUUACUUCUCAACCUUUUACUAAUUAGCAGACGUUGUCCAUGCUAAUGGCCAAAAAAUUCAUUGGGAGGAAAUAAAUAUAAAAUUUGAACAAAAUAUUUUCCCCAAGUUAAUAAAAUAUUUGGACAGAAACCGUCUUCAAAGAUGAGAUAUGUUACAGAGAAAAAAAAAUUUCAGGAAUAUGAGUACGAAACUGAGCAAUUAAUGACAAAUGUGGGAUGAAUAUAAAUACCCAUUUAGAAAUCCAAAAGUAGUGGAAACAAAUAUUUUUAUCUCUCUUUAAUCAUACUUUUUUCUUCUUUCCUUUUUUUUUUUUUUUUUUUUUUUUUUUUUUUUUUUUUUUUUUUUUUUUUUUUUUUUUUGUUUUUUGUUUUUUGUUUUUUGUUUUUUGUUUUUUUUUUUUGGGUCAAAUGGGACAUAAAAUCUAUGGCAAUAAAUUAAGAGCCAAUAAAGUUCUUUUGCAAAUUAGAAAAUAAGGAAAAAGAGAAAAUGUGAAAAGUUAUCCAAAAACCUAAAUCUCGGAUCACAUAAUAUAAGAACAAUAGCAAAUAAAUAAAAUUUGAUAAAUUCCAUUAGCGAUACUAUAGUUUCGUCUAGUGUUUAUCAAGUCAUUGCAAUUUAAUUUUGUUCAUUCGGAGUUUGGUUUUAAUAUGAUUUCAAUUAGAGUAACUAUUCUUCAAUUAAGAUAGUUUUAUUUGAACCUACUUAUGAAAAUUGAUGACAUGACAAUCAAUAAAUGAUAGUCAUUACAAACAAUUAUAGAUGUAGAAUAAGUAUAGUGUUUAAUUAAAUAAAUAAUGAUCAUCAUUUAUUUAUUGUCACGUUAUAGUUUUUCGUGAUUCAAGCGAUCGAUUCGGACAAUUUUAUCCGUUUAAAAUAAAAUCAAAAUGUAGUUACUCGAUUGAACAAAAUUAAAGUACAAGUACCUGAUUAUUAAAAAAAUAAAAGUAUAAUUACCGUGAAUAAUUUGUCCUUCCAUAAAUUUUUUCGAGAAAAAAACUUGGAUUUUUAUAUCGCUUCCGUAAAGAGAAAAAAAUAUUGGUAAGAAAUGAGCAGAGCAUUAUGUGGAUGAUGCGUGAUUGACACCACUACCACAUUUCAUUAUAGGUAGUAGAAAUUGCACUAUGGUCAUCAACCUAUUGCCAUUUUAGCAAGUUGAUCUAAAUCCUUGAUCUUUUAUUACCGUUGUACAACUAGUUUUCAAUUAACUGUUAAAAUCUAAAUCUUCAUGAAAUAAUUUAGUGAAAAUGUGGACAUUAUUGAUAUUGAAUGAAGAAUUGGAAUACCAAAACAUAACUGAAGUAAUAACUAGGACCAAUAAUGCAAUUUUCUAUAGGUAAAAAUGAAUAGGUUUUUGCUUUGAUUUGGAAGAAACUUGGUAGUAGUUGAAGUUAAUUCUACUUGAAUUAAAAUUUAAGUUUUUUCGAACAUUAUCUUAGUAGGAAUUGAAGUUAGUUGAAAUUAAAACAGUGUCUGCUUGGAAAUCCAAAUCAUCAAUAUCCAAUUUGAUCCCGUUCCAAUAAAAAUAGAUCCGACCCAAGUAACAACCGAAAUUUCACGGAUGAAUUUGAAAGAUUUCAUUUACAAUGACGUAAUCAAAUCAAACCUGACACAGUGGUCGUGCCUCGCUCCAAUGUCAGCUUGCAAUGUCAUCAGAUUCAUUAUUUAAAAAAAAAAAAAAAAAAAAGGUCUAACCCCAAUCUUGAAGGCUCCCAUGGUCCAGCCCCUAAAACUUUGUGAGGGAAAUAAAUCUCGAGAUGUGCUUCAGUAGGUCAGGGAACAAGAGUUGCAUGUAUAUUGCGCCGAUCCAAUUUCAUAUUUCAAGAAUCGAACCCUCACACUGCGACUGUCAACAAGGUAUGAGAUAACCUCACUCCUGUUCUUUGCACCACUAAACUAUGCCCGAAGGGCCAUCAUAUUCGUUAUUUUAUUCUAAUGAAUAUGGAUGUAGUGAUUAAUGGGUUAAGUAUCACAAGUCAUAAUGUUGGGUAACUAAUUUAGUAUUAAAAAAAUGAUUUUAGACUAACUUCUCCACUACAAGCUGGAAAGUGGCAGGAACCGGUGGCAUUUCAUCCAUUUUCUUUCUUUGGAAUUGGAACUUAAAAUAUGUGGAGGAGAGAGAAAUGUAGAAUUCAAUUAUCAAUAAAUAAGUACGUCUCAAAUUGUCCUUAGCUAGACAAUUGCGUCAUUCUCUAAUUGAAUGUUGCAAAUAAAAAAAAAAAGGUUGAACCCCAAUCUUAAAGGCCUCCACGGAUCUUGUCCUGGACUAUUGUGGAGGAGGUAAAUCGCAUGAUGUGUCUCUUAGGAGCCAGGGUGGAGAGCAUAUGGGUAGGCCAAGGCUGUUAACCUAUAUGGUAACUUUCGCUUGCAACAAAGUCAAUUCUACCUUGCGGGGAAUCGAACUCUGCACACUGUCGUGCUGAGCCCUAUCCGCCCUCCCCUUUGCCACUGGAAGAUAUGCCCUGGGGGCGAAUGUUGCAAACAAGACUUGACUAAAAGAUGGUAUUGAGGCCUGUUUGAGUUCCAUUAAUUUGAAAAAAAAUGUAUAUUAUAGAAUAAUAAUUAAUGAAGAAGGUAUAAUUAAUAAGAAUAAAUUUUUUUUAUUUUAAUUUAAGCCUCCGUUUGAUCCCAUUAAAUUCAAUUAUAUUACAUUCUAUUUUUCUCUUUCCUAUUUUCAACCACACAAUCUUUUAUAAAAUAAUAUUAUACGUAAAUCGAAAUUUUUUUCUUCUUUUUCAACUAUUUAUUUUUUUUAAAAAUACUAGUCCUUUCAUUUUCAAGUAAUGGGGCUCAAACGGGGGUUAAGUAACUUAUAUUGUAGAGAGAGAAAUACGCAUCAAUAAUUGAGUUGGAACCAAAUUGUUCUUUACUAGACAUUGGAACCCUUUUUAAUUGAGAGUUAUUGAACGCGUAAAUGACUCUGACUAAAAAGAUUAAAAAUGUAUGAAGUUUACACGUUAUUUCUGGUGGAUUGAAUUGACAAGACAUGAAAAUCUGCAAUACAAUUUCUCGGGGAAAGAUGAUGUAUAUUUGUGGAAAAUCUUUAGGACAGUUCCAUUGAGGGCAUCAAAAGUUGUACCCCUCUCACAUUGUGCGCGGACUUUGCGUCAAUAUAAAAAUUCUCAAGUGUGAUCUUUAUUUUUUUUACCGUGAGUAAUAGGUAAAUGAUUAUAUAAAAAUAUUAUGCACAUGUAACAUUGUCUAAAUUUUUAUAUGUGGUUAUUGGUGGAUUGAAAAUUGACAAGUCACACAAAGAUAAGAUACGUUAAUGAGACGAAAAAAUUGAAAACUGUCGUUACCAUUAAAAUAUAGUACAAUUAAAGAUAAGACCCUGUUUAAGCAAUAUUAUUUAAAAAAAAUAUAUUUUUUAACAGUGAUUUAAUAUAAUUUCAAUUACACAUUUUUAAUAAAAUAAUAUUACACAUAAAUCUAAAUUUUUUUGUUAUUUUUUAACCAUAUAUUUUUCUCAUCAAUAUAUUAUUUAAAAAUGUAUUUUCAUUUCAAUAAUGCGGCUCAAACAAUGGCUAAGUGUGGUAUAAAUAUUAUUACCCAUUUAGAAAUCUAAAAGUAAGGGGCACAAUUAUUUCCAUAACUCGUUAAACAUACUUUCAUAAUAUUACCCAUUAAGAAAUCCAAAAGUAGUGGACACAAUUAUUUUCAUAGCUCUUUAAUCAUACUUUUUUUUAAAAAUCAAAUUGGAUACUAUGGUGAACACUGUUAAAAUCUCCACUUGCAAUGUCACCAAAUUAGUUAGUGUAUGCAAAUGAAAAUGGACGUUGUGACUAAUUCAUAAAGUUAUGGUACCUAAUUUAGUAUUAAGAAAUCAAAAUUUUACACUAACUUCUCCACUACAAGUUGGAAAGUGGCAGGAACCACAGGCGUUUCAUCCAUAUUUCUUGCUUUGGAAUCGGAAUUGGGCCCAUUCUCUAAUAAUAGAUGGUAUUGAAUAAUUCAAUUUGUGUACCCUUCUUAAACAGAGAAAAAAAAGGAAAUCAUUUACACCACAUACAACUCCACUUUGCAAUCUGUACCCACCUUUCUUACUCUCUCAACCUCCCGAAAUCAAUCAAUCACACCACCAAAUUUCCAAAGCAAGAAAAAAUGGAAGCUGUGGUUAUUGACAGUGUAAAAUCCAUGCUGGAGAAUUUGUUUGCAUUUGUCACCGGAGAACUCAAACUUGUGCGGGAUUUCGAGGAUGAAUUUGCAAAUCUGAAAAAAUAUUUGGAAUGGAUCAACCAAGUCUUGGAAGAUGCUGAGAGGCGCGAAAUCACCGACAAUGCUGUUAAAAGCUGGCUCAAGGACCUCGAGGGUGCUGCAUAUGAUGCCGACAAUGUUUUGGACGAGAUCAAAUAUGAAGAGUUGAUUCCUACAAUCGAGACCCAGCGCACGAAAAAACGAAAAUGGAGCACUUUGACAUUUCAACGGGAGAUGGCUCACAAGAUCAAGGACAUAAAUGCCAACUUUGAAAAGAUAAACAACAAAGCUGAUAGACUUGGCCUCAAUAGAGAUUUGAAUGCUUAUCCUCUGGCACAGCCUCAGGCCAUUCACACUACCAGCUUCACUUUUGAUCCAAUUGUCAUUGGAAGAGAAGUUGUUGAAUCAGAAAUUCUGGAGACGAUAACCAGCUCGAACAAUAAUGUCCUUUCAGUCCUUCCCAUAGUCGGAAUGGGAGGGCUUGGCAAGACGACAUUAGCACGAAAGAUCUACAAUCACCAUCGUACAGAAACCCAUUUCAACAAAACGAUUUGGGUUUGUGUAUCAGAAAAUUUUGAUCAGAUGACGCUUUUUAAAAGGAUCCUGGAAAUAUUAUUGAAAGAAAAAUCUGAUGGAGAUAGCAUGGAAGCUGUUAUUCAAAAGAUUGCCGAGAAAUUAAAAAAUAAAAGAUAGAUGCUUGUUCUCGAUGAUUUAUGGAAUGAAGAAGAAGGUGUUUGGAAUGCUUUCAAAAAUACAUUGGCGGGAGUUAGCACCAGUAAAGGAAGUUUCAUUAUCGUCACCACACGCAAGGAAAAGGUGGUAUCUAUCGUGAACACUUGCGAUCAUCCAUGUUGCUUGAGGUCAUUGACAGAAGGUGAUUGCUGGUCCAUAAUCAGAACAAUGGCAUUUCAAGAUAAAGAAGUACCAAAACAAUUUGCGAUUACAGGAUCGGAGAUUGCUCGCAAAUGUAGAGGCUUACCUCUAGCAGCAAAUGUGAUUGGAAGAGUUUUGCAAGGAAAGGAAAUAGAAGAGUGGGAUUCAGUUCUGCAGUCUGGGCUUUCAAAUCUUGAAGAGGGGGAGAAGGGUGUGUUCCAAGUCUUAAAGGUGAGCUAUGAUCGCUUACCUUCUUCAUCACUGAAAAAAUGUUUUGCCUAUUGUUCAAUAUUUAUCAAGGAUUCAGUCAUGGAUAGAGAAGACUUAAUCCAGCUCUGGAUGGCGGAAGGAUUUCUUCCGAAUGAUAAAAAUGGUGAGAUGGAAUCUGUAGGCAAUAAAUAUUUUAAUAUUUUGUUGCAAAAUUUCUUCUUCCAAGAGCCAGAAAAGGACAAGUAUGGCAAUAUCAAAAGCUGCAAGAUGCACGAUCUUGUCCAUGAUCUUGCAUGUUUAGUUUCAAAAUCAGAAAGUUUCAUGAACAUGGAGGGUCGCACUGUCGAUGACAUUCUUCAAGUUAGACACCUUGCAAUGGAAUCAAUUGGAGAGGAAAUAGUCAAGGACAUAAAAGAGAGAGCAAGUUAUUUCCGCACCUUGUUCUUAAGAGGCAGCGUACCAGAUGGAAUUUUGCCAGACUUCAAGCAUUUGCAUUCUCUAAAGCUAUGUGAUGCAAAUAUUAAAGAAUUGCCAACAUCAAUUGGCACGUUGAAACAUUUGAGAUAUCUUUAUGUGUCCGAAAAUCAUCUUCUCACUACUCUGCCAGAAUCUAUCUGCAAGCUCUACAAUUUGCAAACUUUGAGGAUUCUACGUUGCUUAAGUUUUCUCAAUCUUCCUAGAGAUAUGCGCUUCUUGAUUCGUCUAAGGCAUCUCUGUUUUGAUAAGGUUUGCCGUGUUUUCAAGAUGCCUCCUAAAGUCGGAAGUUUAUCUUGCCUUCAAACGUUACCAUUAUUUUGUGCGAGUGACAAGGAAGGUUGUCGAAUCGAUGAGCUGGGAAAGCUGAAGAAAUUAAAGGGCAAACUACAAAUACAGAAUCUGGAAUUGGUGAGUUGCAAAACAGAAGCGGAGCAUGCAGAUAUGGCUGGAAAGCUAAACAUUUAUAAUUUUAGCUUUUAUUGGAAUUGUUCAACGGAUUCCAAUGAUGAGAGUCAGUCUACGAAUUCCAUAGAAAGUAACGUCAAUGAUGAGAGUGUACUUGAAGGGCUGCAACCUCAUGAAAAGCUAAAAUGCUUAACAAUUGAUGGAUUCCGAGGUAAAAAAUUUCCAUUAUGGACUAGAAAUAUGAGAAUAUAUAAAGGCAAUUCUGGCCUUCCGGUGAUAUUUGAUAAAUUGAUCAAGAUCGAAAUUAUAAGUUGUGGCAAUUGCGAAGAAAUCCCAGUGCUCGGCCACCUACCACUCCUCAAGUAUCUACUUAUCCAGGAUCUGGGUAACGUAACAUUGAUAAGUUCAUCAUUCUAUGGAGAGAGUGAUUGUACCACAAAUAGCAGCAACGAUGGCCAAGAGACAAGAGAAUCAUUCCCGUCACUCAAAAGUCUCGUAAUAAUGGAAUUGCCGAACCUAAUAAAUUGGGAAGAAGCACAAAUGAGCGGAACACAGGUAUUUCCUUGCCUUGAAUAUUUGGAUAUACUUUUUUGUGACAAGUUAGCUCAUGUUCCCCAUUUACGGGGCAGCGGAGCUUCUCUUAAAAAGAUGAAAAUUGAGAAUUGUCUUAAAUUGAGGAAAUUACCCUAUGACCUUGGUAGCCUCCAGUCUCUUGAGACAUUGGAAAUAGAAUCAUGUGGAAAUCUGAAAUCAAUUUCAUAUCAAAGUGGACAAAAAGGCCUCCUUUCCCUUCAGAAGUUGGAAAUUCGUAAUUGCCUCUUUUAAUUUUUAUAGAUAUGUCACAACUUUUCCCAAUUUAUUUCGGUAUAAUGGUGUAAGAUCACCGCUUGCAAUGUCAUCAAAUUAGUUUGUUGAUACAAAUGGGAUGAGAUGUAGUGAUUAAUGAUGUGUAAAUAUCAAUAUCAAUAAUUUAAAAUCAUACUGUGUGAGUGUAAUUUAUUAGGUAGAUAGAAAUACAAAUUAAAUAAUUGAGUUGGAAAUCAAAUGGUCUUUAGUGAGACAUUGGGACCCUUUCUACUUGGAAGUUAGUGCACGAGUAAAUUCGAAAACAAAAAUGAGCAAAAUUGAAAACUUUCAUUACAAUAAAAAUAUAAUGCAAUUAACUAUAAAUGUGGUGUAUAUAUAAUCAUCCAUUAAAAAAUUUAGAAGUAUUGUACAAUUAUUUAAAUAACUCUUUAACUGUACUUUUAUAUUAUCAUCCAUUAAGAAAUCCAAAAGCAGUGGACACAAUUAUUUUCAUGUACGUCUCUACGGACUUUAUGUGUGGAACACUGCCAUAAUCUCACUUCACUUCCUGAAAUGAGUGGGAUGGGUUCUCUACAGUCUCUAGUUGUGGGUGGAUGUAAAAAUAUCACUUCAUUUCCUGAAAUGAGUGGGAUGAAAUCUCUACAGGAACUAUGUUUAAAGUCAUGCACUUCCUUUCCAGAAUUGAGUAGGAUGGGAUGCCUUAACAGCUUAAUUGAAUUGUCCAUUGGGUUCUUCCCAAAUUCAAUGGAAUUACAUUCAUUUCAAUCUUUUAUCAACGGCAUCAAACGCAUGAAAUCCCUUGAAAGAGUAGUCUUAUAUGGUUCGGGAGAUUGGGUCUCUCAACUAGAUCAGCUUCAACAUCUCAGUUCCCUAAAAGAAUUGUUAAUAUAUGAAUUUGAAAUGGAAGCCUUGCCUGAUUGGAUUGGAAAUUUGUCAUCUCUUGAAAGUCUAGGAGUACGGUACUGUGGAGAGCUUAAGUACCUGCCCUCUAAAGAAGUUAUGCAACGGCUCACCAAAUUAGAACUAUUAAAUAUUUGGUUUUGUCCGAUAUUGGAGGAGAGAUGCAGGGUAAAAAGCGGUCCUGAUUCUGAGUGGCCAAAAAUUUCUCAUAUUCCCCAUCUGAUAAUAAAAGAUCUGUGAAGUUUGGUGUUCCUGUAAGUAUAUUUAAAGUUUGAAUAUUGACUUUAUUGUUUAUUAAUUUUGGUUAGUGUAUGUUCUAAAUAUUGCUACAGGGUGGUUUUAAUUGAUUUCUGUUACUAAUAGAUAAAAAGAGUUUGCAUGAGGUUGUCCUUUAAUUUUGUCAAAUAACAAAGAUUUCUCGAUUAAAUGUUUACCAAAGUAUUCAGUUAAAUGACUUUAUUUUUCAAUUAAUUAUAUUAUCCUUUCUUAAGUUAGCUAGUGUGCUAAAAUAGUUAUAGUUAUGAAUUGCUUCGAGUGCCUUAUGGAAUUUGUAUAAAUUUUAUUAGGUUGUGAUGAAGAAGAGCAUCCACCCUCAACAACUUGAUACUCAUUUAUUGUCCUAUCAAUUCCUAAUUCUAUUUGGAUCUUCGUCAACUUUACUAUUGUAAGUUUUCUUAUCAUUACAUAAAUAUUAGAACGAUUUGAACUAUCUUC